AUUCAUUGGUACUGACCCUCGAAGUUCGCGUGUAAGGUGCCGAACUUCUGUAAUUAUGAUGUUGCGGUGGAAUGUAAUAUACCGGAUUUUAAUAUAAAAGUGAAAAUAAAUAAAAAUAGUAUGAGAUAUUAUUUUUAUUGGAUUUAGAGAAGUGAAAUAUAGGUUGGAAAUGACCUGUGCUGAAAUCGGAGCGAAAACAGAAGAUUUAGAAUUUUCUGCGAGAAAUGGGACAGAUAAAUUAGCAGAAAAUGCACAGUGUCGAAAAAUUAUGAAAACUGGAGAAUAUGUCAGAAUCAUUUUUAUGACGCUAGACUUAAAGUUUCAUGCCAUUCUGAUACCCGGAAAGUGGAAAAUAAAAUCCGACAGCUAUCUGAUAGAGAUUACAGUUCGGUACAGCUUUCGGUGAUCAAACGGGGUCGAAAGUGAAAGAUUAAAAUUUUUUUGUACUUAUUAAGUAAAAUCAAGCCUGUCUGUCAAAUUUGAGCUCAAACGGACAUUCGGGAAGGCUCCGGGAAAAAAUGUCAGUUUUAAACUGCCCGAUGUGAAUAGUGUAUAGUUGAGGGGCUAAAUUAUAAAAAGGGAUUUAAUCCUUCUCCUCCCUCAACCGUGCACCACAACGCCACACACUCACACAUGCACGCAUGCAUGGAGGGAGAGAGAAACCUCUCUUUCUCUCUCUAAAUCUCUCCCAAAAUUGGUGGCUUUGGGGGAGAUUGAAGCUUGGAAGUGAAUCGUCUUCAUCUUCUUCAUCUUCUCCAUGGUUUGGAGCAAGCUUUGAGGUGAGCUUCUUGAGCCCUCUGAUGGUAGAUCUCUAGAAUUAGCUUUGUAUGUUCUAGAGAUGGAUUUAGUAGAAUGCUUAGAUACUAAUUAGAGGUUUAUUGCUUGAUUCAUGAAGUUAAAUAAUGGAUUUAGUUGUAAUGGCAUAUAGGGCUUCAAAAUUGGGGUUUUGUAAAAUAUAAGGAUUUGAUCUAAUUUGACCCUCCGUAAACCUAAUUGUUAGGUAAACGAACGCGUUGGCGAAGUGGGUUCGGCGAUUCGUCGAGCCAUUGUGAAGAUAUUAAAGAAAUGGACGUUUAGGCUUCGUUUCCGCCUGGAGGGCCGAGGCGACAUCGUAAAAUCAUGAAAACGGAUUUGGAGUACCGUAGCACAUAACCGAAGACCUUUAAUUUCUGAAUCGUGGAUCGGAGGCCAUUCGGGUGGUCGCGCGGGAGUUCGGGCCAAACCGGGUUACGGGCGCCGCGGGAGGUCGAUUGCAAGUGGCUAUGAGCAAUCGGAACGCGAUAACAGGUGGGUUGUGUUUACCGAAGCGACUAGGUCGCCUACAUGUCAAAGAGAAAUGUGCUUCUCGUUGAUGCACAUACAGGUGUGAUGGUAGUUGAUUGCAUAGGUGAAUGCUUAGGGAUAAUGCAUGAGAUACUAUGUGAUAGCUGCCUAAGAUGAAUAAAAUUGCAUGUUAGCAUGAUUAGAAUAUGUGCAUAAUGGCAUCAUGAAUGAGUUAAAGCAUAUAAAUAGAAUAUGCAUGAUGAUGUUGUAGAUGUGGUAGAGCAUAUGAAUAGAUUGCAUGCUAGUUGAUAAUGGCAUAACGAAGCAUUGGAGUAUGUAUGCUAGUGGAUAAUCGCAUAUAGAUGCCUUGAGAAAUACAUGCUAGAUGAUAAUGGCAUAUUAGCAUUAUGAAGGUGUAUACUAGAUGUAAGAUGCAUGUUGGCUUUAUUGAACAUAUAUGCUAGAUGAAAAUGAAUGUUAACAUAUUGUUAAUUAUGGAGAUUUUGAGGUAUGUGGACAUAUUGCUAGAUUAUACAAAUAGGCAUGUGGCAUGUAAACCUAGUAUUGUGAACCUAUGAUAGAUCGAGUGGCAUUAACCUAGUGUUAUGAAUAUAGGUUGAACAAGUGAACCUAGAAUCAAGAUCUAGGUAGAGUGGCAUCGAACCUAGUGUUAGUAAACAUAGGUCGAAUAUGAACAUAGUGUCGUCAAACAUAAGUUGACAUCAAACCUAGUGUUGUGAAACCUAGAGUUAACUAAACCUAGGUGAGUGGCAUUCGAACAUAGUGUAAAGAAACACAUUGAGACACUUAACGUGGAACUAGGGAUAGGUGGAUUUCCGAGUGUUUAUUAACCAUAGUGGACAGGGUAUCCUCGGUUGGUGAGGAUUGGAUCAUACUCACAUAGUCUGUUUUGGGCUUGUGGCGGUCACUCCACACAAGCAGUGCACUUCGGAGUUGUCACACGAGCUGGGUAGCUCACGAGAGGGGUAGCUCACUGGGUGGGAUACGAGCGGGGUAGCUCCUCACCCAUUGGACUGGGAAGUGAGUCAGGCGAAGGGCGGGGUAGCUCUUCACUUGUGAGAUUUGUGCGGGGUAGCUCUUUACCUAUGAGUGGGGUAGCUCUUGACUGAUGAGAUUGAGGUUAGAGUCGAGGCGAAGAGCGGGGUAGCUCUUGCCCUUAGGCAUUUGAGUUAUGAGUUGGGCGAGGAGCGGGGUAGCUCUUCACCUAUAGGACUUUAGAUAUGAGUCGGGGCAAAGAGCGGGGUAGCUCUUCACCUACUAGAGAUGUGAGUGAAUAUCUAUGGCAUUCGAGAUAUGUGUUGGGUGAGGCAAGAGCGGGGUAGCUCUUCACCUAUGUGAUAAGAGAUCUUAGGCAGGUUAGCCUAGUGGAUUGGGUAAUGACAUGAAUAACAUAGUGGAAUGGCAUUCAUACCAUGAUUGGGACAUAGUAUAUGUUUAGUGGAUUUAAGGCCGAGGAGUAUGUGAGGGUUCCUUCACCUCGAGCCGGAUAGAGUGCGGUACUCCGCAGUUGAUUGACUCGGGGCAGAGUUGGGUGGCUAGCUUGAAUAAGGUAGAUGGAACCUUAAGGCUAGUGAUAGAUGAAAUGGAUCUAGGGUAAUAGAAACCUUAGAGAGUAGUUGGAUGUGAUAGAAAGUAGUAUCGGGUGAUCUACUAGUUUUUGCAUUACUUGCAUGGUUGCAUAGCAUGACAUUAUUGCAUUCGCGAGGCAAAAGCAUGACAUAUGUUAGUCGCAUAUUUUUGAUAUCAUAUCUAUCUGUUUAUUAAUCUAACCUGCAGUUUGCCUCCUUUGAACCUGUUGGUUGAGCUUUUUCCUUGGGUGGCCGUACCCACUGGAAAUCAUGGAGUUGGUUCUCACCCCACGUUGCUUUGGGGUGUUAUAGGUUCGCACGUGAGCGACGCGACGGCGCGAGGAAAGGGCGUAGCUCUGUAGAUAGCGCCCUACCUCAGAGACCAGAGCUAGCAGUACCCCGUCGACAUAGCUUAGGGGUAUAGGAAAUGAAUAGAACACAAUGUAUCAAAAAUGUAUUAAAGAUAUAAAUGAUGUAAUAACAUAGAUUGCAUUUGGAUGGAAAACAAGUUGUAUUUGAGUUGUAAAAAUGUAAGCUGGUGAAUGCAUGUAAUAACUUAGGAUGUGUUUAUGUUGUUUGAUACCUUCCUUUGCAAUCAGUGUAUGAAUACUGUUCCUGUUUGGAACCCCUUAUAUUAUACUGUUUGUUGAGCCUUGAACGUUCAGGGGAGACUCUGUCCGAGGUACAGGGGAAUCCCCGGUUCGUUCGGCGCUGUCUGCGACCCGACCCGGCCAAAUAGGUAGAGGGUCACAGGGCGUGACAUCGCGCCCUUCGAUUGAUCAAGCGAUUCGGCUGAUGAGGGAUCGGAUCAGCCGGAUUCAAAGCCUCUACAGUAAAUUCGGUUUGGCUGGAAGAGCCAAAUGUACGGACCAAGCAAAAACUGAAGUCAGCCGAUGAGCCGAAUAGCUAAAGAACACAGGAAUUGACCGGCUUGAAAAGCCGAAUGCCUUUAUAUUCACUGAUAAGAAGUACAGGGGUCGAGUGUGCCGGAUGGCAUGCAGACUCGGUUGAUCUAUUUAAAACUACUCCUAGGAAGAACAGUAAAUACGGGAAAGAGAAAUUACAAGUAGACUACUCCUAGAAAAUGCAAGAAAUUGCGAGGAAAAUAAGGGCGGUCUUUUGUUCAUAGAAAAAAAGACCCAUUUUUAGGGCGUUAUUGACCUAUUUAUAGAUCGCCCCUUGUGAUCAGUUAUUAUCUGUGCAUGAUCAGCCACUACUCCUGAUUCUCCGGACCAUUUUCAGCCCACUUUCAGCCGAUCAGAACCGUUUGCAACUGCUUACGGUUACUGUAACCUCCCUUAAUUAGCGCAACAGUUUCUCUUCCGGUGCUCCUGGUGUACGGCAAGAUUGAUGCUUUUGAAAGGAAUACCGGCGUACCAUCUGUCCGCGCCUAAUUUCCUCAACAAUUGCCCCCUCGGCAACUUUCGAAGUAACGCUUCGGUAGCUGGCGUAAUCUGAGGCGCGAUUACUUUUCAAACUCUUGGUACGGUUUCGUCUCAACCGUCCACUUUUUUCUACUGCCGAAAUCCUGCCAUCGCUUCAAUAACAAGCGCGAUCCGAGGCGUGGUUCUCGGUCCAAUCAAAUUCAAAUUCUCUGUACGAGUAGCUGACGUAAUCCGAGGCGUGAUCCUCCGUACGGUUCAAUCUUGGCUGUCCAUUUUCUUUUUUACGGCUCUGAUCUCGCCCUCUAUUUUUGUCUUAUAUGUGGCAUUAAUUAGGUCAUCUUAAUUACCGCCAUCUAUUCAUCAUUAUAGCCAUCUUCGGAACUCGCUUUGAUGCGACGAUUCGAUGCGACGACAACCUUUUCUUCUUAGCCAAGCUUCUCAUUCCUUUUUGUACUCAAACCUCAUCUUCGUCGCUUCUUUUACUUCUCUUCGUCUUCUUUGCUAUGUCUAUACUCCAGCUUGGCCCAUUAUUUUCUUCCUGAUACUUUAGAUUUUCCUUCAAUCUUUCGGCAAUGGCGCCGCUUCCGCCUCUGCCUUCCUUUCCAACACUGGAUUAUACCAUACUUAAACCAUAUCUCUCUUUAGACCCCACUAGAUUAAUCUUGGGUCCCUCCUUUACUGAAGACCCAGCUCCUGAUGAUUUCCCUUACUCCAGUGAUGGUCUUCCAUUAAUGGCUAAAUCCAUUCAUCUCCACUCCUGGUAUUCCUCGGCUUCGACAGGAAAAAGUCUUCGAACUUGGCCGAGUGUUUCAGAUGCUUACUUGGCUUGGUUGGAUCGAGUGGAGGCUGUUUAUGGUGAUUCUUGGAAGGAGAUCGGGAUUUAUGAAGCUAUUAGGCUACCUAGGAAGCCUCCUGUAGCCGACAACCUUCUGUUAGCUUCUGCUCUCUAUUUUUGGUCCCCUGUUUUCAACGUUUUUCUUUUCAGAGGAGGACCUCUUACUCUAACUCUUUUUGACAUAGCCGCUAUCGUUGGACUGUGUCCUCAUGGAGUUACCAUCUCUAUAGCUUAUAAUCCUGAUGGCGUGUCUGACUUUGAGGCUCAUCUCGACCUCAAUGACUUGGCCUAUUCUAAGUUCCUCUGUAAGUUUGCAGGCGAAUCCCCUGCUCCUGUCACUAGGAAAGAACAUACAGCGUUCCUCCUACAUUGGUAUGCCACAAUCUCUUCUGCACUCGUUUGCAGAAAAUCAAUCGGGACUUUGUCCCAAUUGCCGUUGGUUUAUCUAACGGCGAUAGAUUAGCUCUAUAGCCUUAUUUUCUUACCUUCGUCUAUAGGAAAAUCUUUGAUUCCAUUAAACCACUACCCUCUGGAGAUGGUGUAACAAUCAGCUCGGGUUGUGGUGUUUUUUCGUUUUUGCAAAUAUUUCUGCAAAUUUAUUUUCAUAAAUUGUGCCGAGAACCUCUAGAUCUAAACUCGGCUGCUCAUUUUGACUCUUAUGGGCUUGCUCUCGGCUGUCCUCAGCCGUUAACAUCAGGCCAUCCUCUUGAUUUUAUCACCUAUUUUAAAAUUUUUUAUGAAUCGGGUCCUCAUUUCCUCAUUUCUUGGUCUCCUUUUGCUGAUUACGUCACCGGCCCACCUUGGUUUUUAGCUAGGUACGAGGCCAUUCAAGGUGAACUUGCUUCUUCUCGUGCCGACGAAUAUUCAGAUGUCUAGUACUCUUUUUUGGCUACAAGGGAUUUACACAUUGGUUUGAAAUCGCGCUCAAAAUUACUGCCCAGUACUGAGGUUUACUCCCCCCAGUUCGCAGUGCGUCAAUUUGGAUUUACGCAAGCAAUCCCUGCUCCAGCCAAGUUCUUCAUGGCCAAUACUGCCGUUCAUCGUCCUCCUACCAAAAGUAUAGCCGAUGCUAAUCGAAUUUUGGCCAUGGGGAAUCGUCUUCGGCGAUUUUUCAAAUUAUUAAGCUUUAGGCCAAAUUAUACAGGAGUAGUAGGUUUCCGCUAUACCGUUACUUGGGAUAGUUUUGUCAAUAGCACCUUCAAUUUUCCUACCUCGCAGGCACACCGCAAAACUAUUCACCCAAUCAGUAAAUCUCUUACUUAUGGCUGAUUUUCUAUUCCACAUAAUUUCUGCUUAUCUAUUUUCCAUUUACAGUGUCCUAUCCAAGCAAAAGUCUUUCGGACGACACCGCUGCCCUAUCUGUAUCAAAAAAAGUCGGUUUGACGAUUCGUUGAGUUUGUGUGGAGUUCUUGGCAAAAGGGGCGGUCGUAGCCUUCGUUCCUACUCGGAGAGCCGAAGCGACGUUCUAAGAGAUUGCCGAGUUCCGUUCCUCGAGUUGUAGCAUCGCCAAAAGGUGGGUGGUGCCAUCUCGAAGCAGUUGAACUGCUCCCUAUGUCUAAGUCUCAUUGUUGAUCUCAUGAGCAUCUUGCCAUAUUGCAUUAUAGGGUAUAUAAUAUGUUGUUGUGUAUUCUUGCAUGCUAGUGGUAGUGUAGAGUCGCUUACUUGACACUUGGACCUAGUAUGUGUGACAUGAUGACUUGGAACCCUAUAAUGAGAAGAUAAAUGAUGAAUGUGCCUUAUGUGGAUGAAAACCUAGUAAAGUGUAAACUAGUGUAUUGGAAACAUGUAAUGAGAACGAGUGGCAUCUAGUUAAUGUUGAACACAAGAAUGAGUGGCAUGAAAACCUUAGUGUAGCUAAAACACUAUGAGAUUGAGUACAGGAACACAUUGAUUCCAUGAUCACGAUAACCCUAGUUGGCAGGGUAUCCUCAGUUGACGAGGAUUGGAUCGACUCACAUAGCCUGUCUGCGCUUAUAGUGGUCGCUCCACACAAGCUAUGCACUCCGGAGUUUUGGUCACUAGAGGGGCAGUCGUGAGCUGCCUGGACAGUAGCCAGCUGUCCGCAGGCGGUCUCGGGGGUAGUCGAGUGAUCAAAAUCUCCUCCCCUAUGAAACUUCAAGACGUGAGAUGGUGGCGAACCUUCGGGUUAGUCGAUUGAUUGGGUAAUCUAAUGAAUUACAUCAUUAUUGAGCAUGAUAGCUUGGUAGUAGCCUUUACUUAUGUUGCAUGCAUGAUUAUAGAUUGAGGCAUGGUAGAUUACUUUCAUAUCUCCUUAUUGUUAUCGCUUUUAAGUUUAUCUAUCUAUCUGUUUAUCUAUCUAUGCCUGCUUAGACCUAGUGGGGAGAUCGGCGGAGUGGGCGGCCGAACCCACUGGGAACUAUGGACAAUAGUUCUCACCCUACUUUGUUGCAGGGCCGAGCUCGAGUACACCCGGCGAGGAUCACGGUAAGGGCUUAGCGCCCUAGAGGUUGUAGAUGCUUCCUAUUGCAUUAGUAGUCACCCUUUGUACUUGAGAGUAGAUGAUGUAUAGGGUGAGAUGAUGUGAAGAAUUGUAAACCUUAUGUUUAUGUUUUGGAAGUUUAAAUGUAAUCAAAUGUAUUAAAGUUGCAUGAAUGUAAUAGUUAAGUAUCUCUCUUUUAUUCACUUGUUUAUUACUCGUGACGCUUGCUCUUGAUUGUUGUGCUCCCGCUGUUGUUGUAUGAUCGUGUAUGUAUUCAAGUGAUUUCCUGAGAACUUGUUGUACAUGAUCUCGUUGUCUAGUCUUGGGCGGACAGGGGAGGUCCUGUCCAUUCGGCGUCUGUUCGACGCGUCGGAACCGGACCAAAUUGGUAGCGGGUCUCGGGGCGUGACAGAGAGAGCUAGGGUUGAGGGAAAGUGAGAAAGAAAGAGAGCCAUCCCCUUUCUUUACCUCCCACUCAUGUAACAAGUGCAAAUAAUCCCCUCAACUUUUAGCUUCACCAACAGCCCAAAAUAGGCAUUUUCGGCUACGGGGACCGGUCCUUGGAGUCAGGGACCGGACCCCCAUGGUCCAGAAUUUUCAGUUUUCGUUGAUUUUGCUCCGUUUUGCUCCGUUUUCGCCCGUUAGGCCUCCGAUUCAUUUCAAAUCGAACCGACUCCAAACACGUUUUCGAGCGUAUUUAAAUCAUCUUUUUACCCAUGCUAAUGCCGGAUUUAGUUCACAGCCCAACAUAGCCUUUCGGGUCCCAUUUUCGUGCCUACGCGCACCGAAACGUCCAAAUGCUUCCGGACUUCACCGGAACUUUACCGGAACAAUUCAAAUGGCUUUCCAAACCAAUACACACCAUAACUUCAUAAUUUUAGAAGUCCGGUACCUUACAUCCUCCCCUCCUAAAAAAAAGUUCGUCCUCGAAACUAACUCACAUCAACCCUAAUUUACAGCUCAACUCAACUUAUCGAGCAACAUAGGGUUCCAAUGCACUUUUAUACUCCGGAGUGGCCUUUCACUCAUUGGAAUCAUUCAAAGGUCCACUACGGAGGAUGUGAGACCAAGUUCACUCACAUUGGCUAAACGCAACUCCAAAAGUGCAUUGCAAUCUCCGCAAGUCUCGGUGGUAGCGUAAGUCGACACUUGAUGACUCUUCACGCUCCAACACCGCUCGCUAACCAGCGCACCAAGGUCAUACCAUUUCCUUCGAGACCAGGACUACCCGUCGUCCUCGUGGCGUGGAUCUAACAAAAUGCACCGACUAGUCGUAUCUUCCACCACCACGACACAACACACCCGAGAAGCCCUCUCGAAUCACUCAAGUGUUCACAAGUUGACACUCCAUCACUCGAUCAUACAAGAGUCUAUACUAUCAGGUACGACUCUUCCUCGCAUCAACUUCUCCCCUUGGGAACGCACCCUGCUUCGAUCACCGACAUUGCCUAAAAGCAAUAUCGUGGUGCAUCGGCUAAUCGCGAAUGUCCCAAUCACAAUCGGAUUUCCGCUCUAUUAUGAGAUGGCACACUCCAGCACAUCUCCAAUUCCUAUCCACAAAAGAGCAUUAUCCUCAAGCUUUAACUCACUCAAGAGCAUCAACUCCAAUCCUCACGUGGCAAUCCAUUAUUCAUGUGUCUCCUAGAGACCACUCUACUUUCUCUUUAUCCGUUGACAUCCUAAGCCACGGCCAUCUCGACUUCGCUCUCACAACGAAUUAACACGAAUACCCGUUCGUGAAUCCCGGCCAAAUUCCUCGACAGAGUUAUCGGCCAAACCGACUACCGCGGGUUCCACAGGUGACCAAUGGUCUCAAAUCCUACGUAACCCUAUAACCUAAACCUAUCUCAACACACGUUUCAUCUUUCGCUCGCAAGCGCAGACCCAAUUAGCAUUAGACGAAAUCCUCAUUGGAGAAUUCGCACACACUCCAACCAGGAGCAACCACGACCCCAAACCACAUCAAGUCCCCGGGUUGGGUCAUAACCACACUCUCUGUAUCCUCGAUCACAUGAUCUAACAUGUGGCAUUCCACGUUCCCGGGUCUAAGCUCGGACUACCGCCCCGACAAAAACUCUGCCCUACCUCAGGCCGCUGUCACCCACAGCUGAUUGCACCUGUCCAUAAGGACCUAGGCUCCACAGUCCACGAGUGGUCCAGGCACGGAUCGUCCCCAAGCAAUACCCGCAAUCGUCGUCUCACACGACACGCUCACCCGAGCAACACACGCCACUACCGGCUCCUAUGCACCCAGUGUGAGCCAUCAGCCCUACGAGUGAUCCAUGGCCCGCUUCACACUUAGCAGUGCUACAGUGCUACUGCCAUCUCACUCUCCCGGCUGAGUCAUUACCACACACCACGAGUACCUAUACUCGAGCGCUCUAUACACCGUAUACUAAGUCCAACAUUAGGCAACCCUGCCUAUGCACACCAGCCAUAAGCACGACUCACCCACCUCACUUCAAGGUACUACCAGGCCCACGUGCCCGUACCCAGCAACUAAUCGGCUACUCUCUCAACAGUAACUCUACUUUCACUGUUCGAUCUACCGGAACAAUGUUCACACACUCGGACUACUCGGGUAUCCACGAGUAUCAUAGCUCAACUCUCGCAAUCUAUUAACCACAUUGCCUUGAGAGUUGCUUCACCAUUUCCUUUCCACUACGAGUCUCACUUCCCGUCUAGAACUCACUGCUAGCAAUUCGCUAGUACCGUCUAGCUCUCUACCUGCUCCAGCAGGCGCUAUACUUUCACGCGCAAGCAUGCCUUACACCUACUCGAUCACUGGUCCAUACUAUACUAACGUGUAAAUAGCAGCAAAAGACCACAAGGUAAUUGCAUGCAAUUGCUCAAACCUAUAUCAUGCUGAAGCGUAUGAUUGCUUUAAUUAAAUCAUACCUACGGUGACAUUACGAGCAGCAGCAGGUUCCUCAACCUGGGUCACGUAUCCAUGGCCGCUUGGCGCUCUCCGCGAACCCUCCAGCUGCCCAAUCAUCACCUCUCGCUCUCCAGACCGUGCCAAAGGCUGCACAUCCACCAUCUAUCCAGAAGAUGAGAAUGCCGUCGCCAUCGGCAGGGGUUGUCUAUCACCCAAGGGGCAAUCAUAUCUCACGUGGCCAGAUUGCUCGCAAGAAAUACACCUUUCCUUUCGCAGCGCACACCGCUGCGUCCUGUGGGAUCCACCACAAAUCACACAUCCCGCAGAUAUGGCAGCAGCAGACGGAACUCCACCAUACUGCCACGGAAUCACUAGGGCGGAUGCAAUAGACGGUGCAGGCGACACUCCUUCUGGGCACUGACGGACCAUAUGCCCCGCCUGACCACACCUAAAGCAUCGUCCUGCCCUAUGCUCACAAUUCCUUACGCGAUGCUCUCCACCACAAAAUACACAUUGCUUAGGUCUCUGGCUAACGGACCUCCUUUUCCGGUACUUCGGGGGCUUCUGGGAACUAAAUUGUCCCCCCGAACUACCGCCAGGCCGUUUCUUUCCUCUGCCUCUCUUGAACGCCUAACGCUCAACGUCAGCGACAUAUCGCGACACCCCGCACGCCCAUGCUCCACACAUCCGUGCUUCGCAUGUGACCCGUACGGCACACGUGUCCUCAACGCUCCUGGCAAGGAAGCCAACAAGCCCCACACCGUGCUUCUCGACCGUCCCCACGACAUCACAUUGCCAUGGCGCACCGCGCCCUCAAUUCCCAUAGGUUCGCCACAUAAGGCCCCAUACAAACGAGCCGGCCUCACUCCGCGUUGCUACCCAUCUGACCCCUCCAUGGCUCGACCACACCUGGCCAUACACACUAAUGGUCUGGUCUCUCAAGGUUCACCAUACGGAUACUGAUACCGCUUGCCUCACUGGGUUUCGCCCCUCUCGAGUCUCCAAGACCUACGCGUCCGACGCUCCCAUUUCACCUCCCCAGCCGCCGCAUUGAGUACCAUAGAACCCGAAGCCGCCAGAGGAACACUAGCCGGCAGGGGAUGCGCCGCCGCCGGAGCUACCAAAAUGCUCACACCGUCAGGCGCAUUAGGCGUGAGAGCCGAGGGCGCGGGCGGACCAUGGCCUUCAAUUGCCGUCGCGGCCGCCGCCGCCACUUGCUGCCCCAAAAGCUCCUGGAGCCGCUCGAUCUGACUCCCCUAGCGUUGAAUCACGCCAACCAGCACAGUCAUAUGCGCCCGCAGUCCUUGCACUUCGCUUGACCCAGCUCGCUCAGGCACCUCGGGAGGUGGUGCCGGAACGGAUCUACGCGUGUAGUGUCUCUUUGGUGCCAUUAGCUCCUGAAACACAACAACUCGGUUAAUUACCUUAACUCGUUAAUCUCGUCGCAAUUAUUAGACAACGCGACUCAAAUCAGGCGAAAGUCAUACAAGGGUGCCUAUUCUCAUCACUAGGUUUCAUGUUGUAUGCAUCCAACAUGAACACCCUCGGGUGAGAAUAAACAGAACCUUGAAUCCACCUCUAACAUCCGUCUUAAAGGUUUACUAACUUGACCCAAUCGAUUCAACUUCCACCACCGUAUAGGUCCACACUCCACUCACGCACCUAUAAGCUUAGGGUUUACCGUCCUAGGGUCUUCUAGGUCCAUCCUAGACUUCUCUCUUUACUUGCUCUUAACCGCUCUGAUACCAUUUCUCUAUCACGCCUCGAGCCCGUUACCUAUUUGGUCCGGUUCGGGCGCGUCGAACAGACGCCGGACGGACAGAACCACCCAUGUUCGCCCAAGGCUCAAGCGACGAGAUCCUAUACAUCAAGUCCCCAGGAAAACAACUUGAAACAUGUACAAGAUUAAACAACCAUACGAGGGUACAAUCAGUGCUAAACAACUAAGAGCAAGUAUCACGAGUAAUGUACAAGUGAAUAAAAGAGAGAUACUAAUCUAUUACUUUCAUUCAACCUUUUUAAUACAACUUGAUUACCAUUUAGCUUCCAAAACAUGAACAUAAAGCUUACAUCUUCCAAAAUAGUCUCACAACCUAUACAUCAUCUACUCUCAAAUAUACAUAUGGAAACUCUAAUGCAAAUAGGAAGCAUCUAUCAACUAGCACUAGGGCGCUAAGCCCUUACCACGAUCCUCAGCUGGCGCACUCGUACUCGGCCCUGCAACAAAGUGGGGUGAGAACUAUUGUCCAUAGUUCCCAGUGGGUUCGGCCGCUAACUCCGCCGAUCUCCCCACUAGGUCUAAGCAGCCAUAGGUAGAUAGAUAGAUAAAUAGAUAGAUAACUUGAAAUCAAUGACAAUGAUAAGGAGAAAUGCAAGUACUCUACCAUGCCUUAAUCCAAUAUAAUGAAUGCAUGCAACUCAUAGCAAAGGCUAGCUACCAUACUACUAUGUUCAACAAUAAAGCUAUUCAUUAGAUCACCCAAUCUCUCGGCUAACCCGAAAGCUCGCUCUCAAUCUCACAUUUUUAAGUCUCAUAGGGGAGGAGUCUCACUGAACUACCCCGAGACCGCCUGCGAACAGCUAGCUACUGUCCGGGCAGCUCACGACUGCCCCUCAGGUGACCAAAACUCCGGAGUGCACAGCUUGUGUGGAGCGACCACUACAAGCGUAGACAGGCUAUGUGAGUAGGAUCCAAUCCUUGUGAACCGGAGAUACCCUACCAACUAGGGAUGGCAUCAUCAUGGAAUCAACGUACUACUAUACUCAUUGGUCUAGUGUUUCAACUACGCUAAGGAACUCAUAUGCCACUCGUCAUAGGUUUGCAUUAACUAGAUGCCACUCAUCAUCAAUUAGAUGUUCUCGAUACACUACUUGCACAUACUCACUAGGUUGUCAUUUACCUAGAUUCCAAUCCACUAUGUGCUAUCACAUAUAGGGUUAAGCUAUGUCACAUUAACCUCAUGCAUACUAGGUUCAAGUGCUACAUCCACCAAACUACAUUAACACUAGCAUGCAAGUAUGGAUACAAGUAUCUAAACACCCUAUAUGUAUCAUGUUCAUAUCACUACAUUUUGAUCUCAUGCAUACUAGGUUCAGGUGUCCAAGCCAAUAACACUAUAUUACACUAGCAUGCAAGAAUAUGUAAUAACAACUAAGCACCUUAAUUGUACACAACUACUAGGUUUUCAUUCAACUAGAGUUUAAUCCACAUUAAUCAUGUUAUUAUGGGGUUUCGCAACACUAUGUCCCAAUCUCAUGCAUACUAGGUACAAGUAUUAAGCAAAUAACACUACACUACCACUAGCAUGCUAUAACAUGUAACAAUUACCAUCUAGCACCCUAUAAUGCAAUAUCACAAUAUGCAACUUGAUAAACGAUAACUUAGACAUAGGGAGCAGUCCAACUGCUUCGAGAUGGCACCACCUACCUCUCUGGUGAUGCAACAAAGUAAAGAAUCCAAAUCUUGCGACCACAAGUCGCCGCUACGACUUCUCGGGUCAACUCUGAGCCACGAACACUUGUUUCAGCCGGAACGUCGCACCUGCUCAACGAAUCGACGAACCAUCGCCUCCCACGCGUUCAAACACCUAUCAAUUAGGUUGAUAUAUGAUCAAUUUAGAUCAAAACCCUCUAUUUGUCAAAACCCCAUUUUUGAAGCCUUAGAUGCCAUUAGUGCUAAAUACCCCAAAUCAAUCCAAGAUUUAGGUAAUAGUGAUUUCAUUAGCAUCCUAGGAUUCCAAAAAUACCACUUCUAGAGAUCAAAAUCCAUGAUCUUCCAAAAACCCAUUUUAAACCCUAGGUUUACAACUAGGCAAGAAUCCACCAUUAGAGCUUCGGAUUCAAGCUCUAAUCAUCUAUCUAGCAUAUUAGAGUUCCACUAAAUCCAUUCUUAAGAGUAUAAAACCCAAACUCUAAAGAGAUGCCAUUAAAGCCUCACAAAGCUUACCUCCAAAGCUUACCCUCAUGGUGGAGAAGAUGAUGAUAAAGAUGGUGAAUCCUCUCUUGGCUUGAAUCUGCACCAAUUCCCCUUCCUUCUUCACCUCCUAGAGAGAGAAAGAGAUCUUAGAGAGAGAAAGAGAGAGCUAGGGUUAAGGGAAAGUGAGAAAGAGAGAGAGAGCCAUCCUCUCUCUUUACCUCCCACUCAUGUAACAAGUGCAAAUAACCCCCUCAACUUUUAGCUUCACCAACAGCCCAAAAUGGGCAUUUUCGGUUACGGAGAUCGGUCCUUGGAGUCAGGGACCGGACCCCCAUGGUCCAAAAAAUUGAAAUUUUCAGCUUUCGUUGAUUUUGCUCCGUUUUCGCCCGUUAGGCCUCCGAUUCGUUUCAAAUCGAACCGAGACCUUCCAAACAUGUUUUCGAGCGUAUUUAAAUCAUCUUUUCACCGACGCUAAUGCUGGAUUUAGUUCACGGCCCAAUAUAGCCUUUCGGGUCCCGUUUCUGCGCCUACGCACACCGAAACGCCCGAAUGCUUCCGGACUUCACCGGAGCUUCACCGAAACAAUUCAAAUGGCUUUCCAAACCAAUACACACCGUAACUUCAUAAUUUUAGAAGUCCAGUACCUUACAUCGGCCUUCUUGUUGCACACCACGUUAUCGACCUGCUGGGCCGAAUUUAUCACACAGCCGACCCUGUCGAUCGGCUCCUCUUGCCGAAGCUCCUCUAAAGCUUCGGUUCCUGAUUCUUCAUGCUCCAUUUUAACCAGCUUGGUGGCUCCUCGGCUGCCACCAUAGCUCCUUCAUCUCUAGAGAGAAUCAAUUGCACUCCCUCUUCAGUAACUCUCACGAAAGAGAUUUGAUCUGGGUCAGCGUCGGCCCAAUUGAUGUGGCCGAUCUCUUCUAAAUUAACGUCCACCAUUUGGGGCCGUUCUUCGGCCUGGAUUUCUUCAACUCUGUCACCUAUCCACUGGAAUAAUUUUUCGUGGAGUGUGGAUGGCACGCACUCAUUUUUGUGUAUCCAAUCGCGUCCGAAUAGUAGGUUGUAAUGGCUAUCUCAUCUAUUACAAAGAAUGCAGUUCUUAAGGUUUUAGAACCUACCGUAAUCUCGGCCGUGAGCACCCCUCGAGCUUGUUGACCGCUUUCGGUGAAAUCGGUCAUAAUUGUGUCGGUUGGCUUCAAUUCGUCCUCGCCCUUGCCUAAUUUCUUGAAAAAUGAAGUGGGCAUGACGUUGACCGUUACUCCACCAUCCACCAUAACUCGGCCUACCGGCCGACCUUCGAUCAAGGCCCGAAUGAACAAAGGCCUCACAAACCUAGUCUGAAUGGCCGAAGGUUUUUCGAAAACCACCGCAUCGGCCGGUUUAACAUCUUCUAAUUGCAAUUGGGCCACCGUAAGCCCAACUUCUUCAUCUACCAUCUCCUCAUUGUACUCAACAUACUCUGCCUUAAAAGACUGCGGCAGAGUAUACACCAUGUUGACAUCGGCUGAUCCUUCGUCAGCCGAUUUUCCUUGAAUCCUCUAUUUCUUUUCUUCGGACUCCUUGGCUGUCUCAGCUGAGGAAUCACUCUCCAUCGGUGCCUCCCUCUCUUUUUGAGGCCAUCUCGCUUUUUUGAUGAUUGUCUCGAGGGAGGCUAUUUUUUCUUCUAACUCCUUCCUAGUCAUCUUCUCCUCUGGUUCGACCGUGACCGGCCGUUCUACCUUUGACUUUAGCCAAGGAACGGGUGAUGAACCACCCGCCUCAUGAUUGUUUUUCAUUAGACGAAAAAGGUGUAGUAGCUCGUUAGGUCGUCUCCACACGUUCAGUCUUAUCCCUUUUGCCUCUUCAUAAUGUUGCCUCUCCUCGGCUUGCAUCCUCUACUGCCGACGCUUCUGUGUUUUUGUUAACAUCGGCCCUUACCAUUUGGCCGAUGAUUUGACUUCGACUUCAUGCCACUGAUCUACCGGCACAUUUGUCGAUACCUUCACAGUUCUCAAAUGAUUCUUCAAGAUCUCUCUCCUUUCCCAAGGUCUCGGCCAGGGCUGUAUGCCAAGCUCAUUUACUAAUCUCCGACCGAGGAAUUCUAUAUCUCCUUCGGUCAUUCCUUCGAAUUCUGGUUCUGGUCUCGGCCUGGCUUGAUGCUGCCAGUGCGGCCGAUACCCAGGGAAUCUUUGCUUUGAGCCGAAUGGUUUCUCUGGAUAACUCCAUCGGUUGUUGCAUUUUUCUUUUCUAUUAUAAUAAUCAAGCAGAACUUUCUGCAUUAAUAAAUCCUUCUUGCGUUGAACAGAAUCAACUUCUGGUUCCGUCUCGUUAGAGGCUUCAUCCGAGCCAUCCUCUGAAUUAUCAUCUCCAUCGGGAAUUUCAUCCUAUUCUUCGGGAAAAGCCGCCAACUCUCUCCAUUCGUUGCUUCUUUUCUUGUCGUUGACGAUAACUUCCCAAUCCUUCUUUGUUAUGCAAGAUGCAAAGCCGAAGCGUCUUCUUGACGAAAGCAAUGUUCUCAGCGGUCUUCUUGUCUGCGACCGCCUUUCCUUUGAUAUCCACCAUAUUUACCUGCGAAGGAAAUGUAUUCUUGUCAAUUUCCAUAGCUUUGUUUUCAUGAUCGGCAAAUAUGAGCCGACCUUCCUCUAUUUCUUCUCGGAUCUGUCUUUUUGCAGCCGCUUUUCCUUUUCCUACCAUAUUGACCUGUGAUGGAAAAGGAUUCUUAUCAAUCUCCAUAAUUUUAUUUUUUUGAUCGGCAAAUAUGAGCUGACCUUCAUUUAUUUCUUUUUGGAUUUGCCUCUUAAAGGCAGUACAUUCGUUUGUUUAUGACUCCAGGAAUGGUGCCAUUUACAAUAUCUUCUUUGUUUCAAUUCUUCUACUGGAGGUAUUGUUUGACCUUCCUGUAAUUGAAUCCCUCCGUCUUUUAGAAAUCGAUCAAAAAUUAGAUCGUUCUUUGAGACAUCAAACGAAUAAGUAUAUGCCAACACUCGUGCCUUCGCCUCACUUGAUUUAGCGCGCUUCAACAAAGCACAUUUAUAUGGCUGUCGGUUUUUCACCAUUUCGGCUGUAUAUAUUUCGGCUUCAUCAGCCGAAUUUUCAACCUCUUCAGAUGAAUUUGGCUCCUCAUGAGCCGAAGACUCUUCAAGGAAAGAGAUAUUUUUCUCCUUCCCUUUGUUCCAAUCUUUAUUUCGGCUCCAUCUAGGCUGAUCUUCAUUAUUUCCUUUUCGGAAUUGCUCGUAUUGAGCAACCCGAAUUCCCAAAUCGAAAAUAUUUGGAAAAUAUUUAUCUUCAAAAUGAUCUUUGAUUUUGAAGUGCAAACCAUUAAAUGCCAUUUUGGCAAAUUCCGACUCUGGCAUUCUCACAAAACAACGGCUUCUAGCCGUCUUAAACCUAUUCAAAUACUUCUCAACCGAUUCGCCUGUUCUCUGUUUGAACUGGGCUAAAUCAGCAACCGAUAAUUCCGGUUCCGUUCAAUAAAAUUGUUCAUGAAAUUUACCUUCUAAUUCGCCCCAAUGUCGGACAAAAUUAGCCGGCAAACUUGUAUAUCAAGUGAAAGCCGUUUUGGUCAACGAGGUAUUGAAUAAUCUUAAUUUUAAAUUGGAUCUGCCGCGGCUUCAUGGCACUGAGCUGUAAACCGUGCGACAUGUUCGACCGUAUUUUCGGUCUCAUCGCCGAAAAACUUAUCAAACUUCGGCAUUUUCCAAUUUGCCGAGUAUGGAUGCUCUGCGUCUAUUUUUGCAGGGUAUGGUGAUCGAAAUACGGGCCGCAUUGCCGGCCUUGCGCCUACUCUAAAAGUGUUUCGGAUAGCUUCCUCUGUAACAUACCGAAACCUCGGUAAUUAAAUUUGAACCUUGGUCAAAUUGACCAAAGUGCGAGGUUGGUACACUUCGGAGAGGCCGAAGGCGUCAAAUAAUGCAAAAAUGCAUUACUGGUGUAAGGUACCGGACUUCUAAAACUAUGAAGUUACGGUGUACAUUUAAAUGAUUCCGGUGAGGUUGCGGUGGAAUGUAACAUGCCGGAUUUUAAGUAUAAAGGUGAAAAUAAAUAAAAAUAGUAUGAGAUACUAUUUUAUUGGGUUUGGAGAAGUGAAAUAUAGAUUGGAAAUGACCUGUGCUGAAAUCGAAGCGAAAAUAGAAGAUUUAGAAUUUUCUGUCAGAAACGGGGCAGAUAAAUUAGCAGAAAAUGUACAGUGUCAGAAAAUUAUGAAAACUGGAGGAUAUGUCAGAAUAAUUUUUAUGAGGCUAGGUUUAAAGUUUCAUAACAUUCUGACACCCGUAGAGAGAGAAAUAAAAUCCGACAAUUAUCUGAUUAAGAUUACAGUUCGGCACAGUUUUCGGUGACCAAACAGGGUCGAAACUGAGAACUUAAGACAUAUUCUUACUCAGUACGUUAAACCGAGCCUGCCUGUCAAAUUUGAGUGCAAACGAACGUUCAGAAGGGCUCCAACGACUCCGAACUGCUAAACUACUGCCUGAGGUGAAUAGUGUAAAGUUAAGGGGCUGAUUUGUAAAAAGGGAUUUAAUCCCUUCUUCUCCUUCCUCCCUCAACCGUGCAGCACACACACAACCCACGCACACGUAUACAUGGAGGGAGAGAGAGAAACUUCCCUUUCUCUCUCUAAAUCUCUCCCAAAAUCAAGAAAAUUGGUGGAGAUUGGAGCUUGGAGAUGGAUCGUCUUCAUCUUCUUCAUCUUCUCCAUGGUUUUGAGCUAGUUUUGAGGUGAGCUUCUCGAGCCCUCUCAUGGUAUCUCUUUGUAGUUUGGGUUUUAAGCUUCAAGAAUAGAUUUAGAGGUAUUCUAGUAUGCUAAAUAGAUGAUUGUUGCCUAAAUCAUCGAUCAAUUUAAUGAUUUCUUGCCUAGUUGCAAACCUAGGGUUCAAAAUGCUAGUUUGGUAAAUAUGAGGGUUUGAUCUCAUUUGACCCUCCGUAAACCUAAUUGAUAGGUAAACGAACGCGCUGGGGAAGACGGUUCGGCGAUUCAUCGAGCCGGUGAGAAGUUAUUAAAGAAACGGACGUUUAGGCUUCGUUUCCGCCUGGAGGGCCGAGGCGACGUCAUAAAAUCAUGGAAUUGGAAUUGAGGCACCGUAACAACAAAACGAAGACCCUUUUUGCCCAAGGCUACGAAGCGAUGCGCGGUUGGUGCGCAAUUGCAAGUUCCGACGGAACCGAGCACCGGAUGCUGCGGGAGGCCGAUUACAAGUGUCAACAAGCAAUCGGAAUGCAAUAACAGGUGGGUUGUGCUUACCGAAGCGACUAGGUAACGCAUUGAUUUUCUAGUUGUAAACCUAGGGUUCAGAAUGCAGUAACGCGUUGUCGAAGAAAAAUAUGAUUUUCUAGUUGAUGCAUAUAAUGGGUUAAAUGCUAUAUGAUGCAUAUGAUGUGAAGAUUGGGUAAAUGCAUAUAAUGUGAUAAACGUAUAUUGCAUGAUAAUUGCAUAUGAAUAUAAUGCAUGCUAGUUGAUAAUGAUAAAGUAAUAUGUUGAAUGUUAGAUGAAUGCAUGAACUAAAAGCAAAAGGAAUGCAUGAAAAUGAUGUUGUAGGAAUGCAUGGGCUAUAUUAUACUAGAGGACAUAUUGCAUGUGAUAGAUGAAUGCAUGAUGAUAUGUAAUUGGUUGUGCUAAAUGAUCUAUGCAAGUUGGUAAAUAUGCAUGUUAAUGUGUUUGUGGAUUAUGUUAAUUAACAUAUGCAUGUUGACCUGGGUCUAAAACUCUUGGAUGAUUAGAAAACUCGACAUUGGAAAUACAAAUGUAGUAUUAAUAUCAUGAUAUGGUUUGGAUUCCUACAAUGGGAUGAUAAAUGUGGAUAAGACCUAGGUAAAUGUCAACCUAGAGAUUGUGUAUAAAUAAAGUAUUAAGAAUGCUUACAUGAUGACGAGUGGUAUGUAGUUAAUGUAAACCUAUGACGAGUGGCAUAUAUGAAUCUUAGUGUAGCUGAAACACUAGAUUGAUGAGUAUAGAAACCUAUUGGUUCUAUGUUGAUGCUAUCCUUAGUUGAUAGGGUGUUCCCAGUUUAUGUGGAUUUGGAUCGAGCUCACCUAGCCUGUCUGCGCCUCGUGUGGUCGCUCCACACAGGUAGUGCACUCCGGAGUUGUCACCCGAGGAGGGUUAACGUAUUUACCCUUGGACUAACGUAUCUGUCCGCAGGCGGUCUCAGGGGUAGUCGAGCAGUGGGACUCCUCCCCUAUGAGACUUAUACACAUGAGAUUGAGGGCGACCCCCUUCGGGUUAGCCGAGAGAUUGGGUAACAAAUUAUGAGCUAUAGUGAUUGUCCUAGUUGAGGGGAUUUAAGGCCGAGGUGCAAGUGAGACGUCCUUCGCCUCAAGCCUGACUUUGUGCGGUACUCCGUAGACGAUUGACUCAAGACCGAGUCGGGUGGUUAGCUUUGUAAAGGUAGAUGAAACUUUAUGACAAAAAUGGUAAAGGACAGAAAACCUUAAAUGUCAAUUGGAUGAAAGUAGUAAUCGAUUGAAUUACUAGUUGGUUGUAUAGUUGCAUUAUUGCAUGAUCUUCAUAUUGCAUAUCGCGAGGCAAUGCAUGGUAUUGUCAGUUGCAUAAUCUUAUUAUCAUAUCUAUCUGCUUAUUGAACUAACCUGCAGCUUGCCUCCUUCAGACCUGUCGGUCGAGCUUUUUUCUUGGGUGGCCGUACCCACUGGGAACUAUGGAGUUAGUUCUCACCCCACGUUGCUUUUGGGGUGUUACAGGUUCACACGUGAGUGGCGCGGCGGCGCGAGGAAAGGGCGUAGCUCCGUAGAUAGCGCCCUACCACAGAGACCAGAGUUAGCCGUACCCCGAGUCAACAUAUCCUAGGGAUAUAGAGAUGAAAAGAUCAAUGUAUCAAAAUUGUAAUGAAUAAUUGAUGUAACAAUUCAUAUUAAGAUGUACUAUACUUGUGAAUAAUGAUGUAGUAGCUUAGAUUGCAUUUGGUUGGAAGUAAAUUAUAAUUGAGAGGUAAAGUAUGAAUGAAUGAAUGUAAUAACUUAGGAUGUGUUUAUGUUGUUUGAUACCUUCCUUAUACAAUCGUUGUAUGUUGAAUAUUGUUCCUGUUUGGAACCUGUUAUAAUUGUAUUGAUUGCGAUGCCUUCAACGUACAGGGAAGACUCUGUACGCAGUGCAGGGGAAAUUCUGUUCGUUCGACGCUGUCGGUGCCGCGACCCCGGCCAAAUAGGCGGGUGGUCGCGGUGUAUGACAACUGGGGAUCUUCGAGAGCUUUUGGAAAUCAAAAUCUGCAAACUGCAGGUUUUGUGCUCUCGGGGACCGGUCCCUGGUGGGAGAGACCGAUCCCCGAACGCAUAGGCAGCGAGGGAGGCUGAGAAAUCGGCUAAGUCCUGGAAAACCAGCUCUCGGGAGACGGUCCCUGCGAAGAGAGACCGGUCCCCAGAGACCGGUUCCAUUGAGGGAGAUCGGUUGCAUCGCGCGCAGCCUACGCAGUCCGCGGGAGAAGCUCUCGGGGACCGGUCCCAGGUCGGGGAGACCGGUCCCUGACUGUGAAAAAUGCCCAGUCUGGGCAGUGCAUUGGAAAUAAAGUGGAGGGGCCUUGUUGUAAUUGUUACAACAUGAUAUAACCCUACCCCCUUCACUCCCACGGCCAUUUUCACCUCCCGAACUCACUCCCCUUCUUUCUCUCUCUAGAACCCAAGCUCCAAGGCAAGGAGAAGGUGGAGAAAAGCUUGGAGAAGGUGGAUUUUGGAGGUUUGGUGGUUCUAGAAACUCUCCAACAAGAAGGAGAUUGCUAAAACUUGGGCCAAAGUAAGUUUUUAGCAUGUAGAGCUCUAGGGUUUGGAUUUUAACCUUAGGUUUUGGAGUUUUGAUCUCUUUAGAAGCUUUAGAAAAGUAAUGGAGCCUUGAACACCAUGAAACCAUGGUUUUCUUGAGGUGCUCACAUGGUGAACUUCUAGGGUUCACAAUAGAUGCCCUAGAUAUGGUUCCAAUAGCUUGGAAAUGGAAUUAGAGAGCUUCCUAGGCUUAGGGAUGAGAUCAAUCUAGGAGCUAUUGCUAUAGGGCAUUGUUAGGGCUCAAAUUUGGGACUUUUGCCCUAGAAUUUUUUGAGGGCGAAUUGACCUCGUAGAAACCUAAUUAAGGGUGUUCUCGACGCGUUGGACAACUCCGUUUGACGUUACGAAAAUGUUAAGUAUGGUUCAUGUACAAAAGGCCUAAUAUGGCACUAUUUUGGUUAUAGGACGCAAAAUCGGCUUUCGUAAAGUUCGGGAGUCAUCAUAUUCUACACCUACACGACUACUCGAGGUAGGUGAUGCAUUCCAAGGACCUCGAAAAUUUCUUUAUGUCUAAAGUGUCAUAUUUGAACAUAUAUGUAUAUAUUGAGCAUGUUGCAUAGUAGGGUUGAUUGUGAGCUUUUAUGGCAUGAUUGUGAAUUUAAUUUCGUAUGAAAUACUUGUAAGAAUAUGAGAAUUAUAAAUCUUAUUUAUGCAUAACAAGUGACAAAAACCUAGAAGAGUUAGUGAACAAAAGUGACACAAGAACAUAGACCUAGUGAGUGACAUUGAGGAGUCUCGAAAACUUAGAAAACAAGUGUCACGACCCGCGACCACCUGCCUAUUUGGCCGAGGUCGCGGCGCCGCCGACAAACCGCCGAACGGACAGAGUUUCCCCUAUACGUCCUAGGUGUCGCAAUCAAAACAAAACGUCCUAGGUGUCGCAAUCAAAACAAAACAAGUGGUUCCGACCAGGAACAGUAUUCAAUCACAGAUUGCAAAUGGAAAUGUAUCAACAACAUAACACAUCCUAUGGUAUUACAAACAUUCGCCACAGUUUGCAUUUUACAUUACAUUCAACCUCCAAAUGCAAUUAAGUUAUUACAAUUAAUAUUACAAAUUUGAUACAUUGUGUUCCUUUCCCUUUCCUAUACCCCUAGGCUAUGCCGACUCGGGGUACCUCCAUCUCUAGUCCUGGGGUAGGGCGCUAUCUAUGGAGCUACGCCUUUGCUUCGCGCCGUCGCGCCACUCACGUGCGAACCUGAAACACCCCAAAACAACGUGGGGUGAGAACCAACUCCAUGGUUCCCAGUGGGUACGACCACUCAAGGGAAAAGCUCGACCGAUAGGUCCAAGGAGGCACUGCAAUCAUGUUAGUCCAAAAACAUCUACAGAUAUAUAUAUCGUAAUGUAAUUAUGCAACUAACAGAUAACAUGCCUCGGGAUAUGCAAUAUGAAUAUCAUGCAACUAUGCAACUGUAUAAACAACUAGUAGAUAUGUUGAUUCUACGUUCACUUUGCUAACUUUAGCUCAUUUCAUUCAAUUCUAAGGUUUCUAUUACCUUAGGUUCUCAACUCAAGUUCAACUUGCUUCUAAGGUCUCUAUUACCUUAGAUUCUUGCCUCGAUCACUAGCUUAUAAGGUUUCCAUUAACCUAAUCAAGCUAACCACCCGACUCGGCCUCGAGUCAAUCAUCUGCGGAUAGUCCGCGCACUAGCUGCAACUCAGCCUGGCUGCCAUCGUAGCCAACCGCAAAUCUGACUUAACCAUCUGGCGGCGAACUCAUCGCAUCGAAUCCAACAAUAACUCAAGUCAUGAUUUAGCCAUCUGGCGGCGAACUUAUCGCACCUUACCCAACAAUGGUUUCAGUCGUGACUUAGUCGUCUGGCAGCAACCACAUCGCUCUUACCCAGCAAGGUUCAAGUCAAUCUAGGCGAUAUCAUCCGAUAAGCGAAUGGGCGAGGAGAACCACACAUACCCAAUUCUCCCUUAUUCUCAUAGCAUCUCGGGCGAGGAGAACCACACAUACCCGUUGAAUCACUGCCAGGCGAGGAGAACCACACAUACCUGCAGUUAGGAUUCGCUUGCCAUCUCUUUUACCACAAUUUCCACCGCUUCUUUUGCGGACACAUCACUUGGGAUUCCGGAAUCCAUUUCACAACUCAAGGGUUGGUCUCAAACCCUAUAUUAUUGACCUAUCUAGGUCCAAUGUCCUGUUCACCCUAGGUCCAACUGACUCUAGGUUCAAUGCCUCUAUCACAUAACCUAGGUUUAUUUUAACUCUAGGUUCAAUCCAUAACCUAUGUUCACGACACUAGGUUAAUGCCACACACCUAGAUUUAGUUAACUCUAGGUUCAUUCUCAACCUAUAUUCUUUAACACUAGGUUAGAUGCCACUCGACCUAUGUUUAAAAACACUAGGUUCAUUAUCAUUCAUGUUUAACCUAUGUUUAAUACACUAGGUUAAGUGCCACUCGAUCUAUUCGACAUCCUAAUUGUCCACAUCAAGUUCAACAGAUAUCCACAUUUUAUCUAGCAUGCAUUAUAUGAUGCCAACAUGCAUAUUCCUUCUAACAUGAUCUACAACAUGUUAACAUUCAUGUUUUAGCUAGCAUAUUUGCAUUAUGUCAUUAAUAUGCAUUCUUUACAAUAUGCUCACAUGCGUUAUUUAGCAUUAUUUACAUGCAUCAUCUACAUGCAUCAUCUAGCAUUUUUAUAACAUGCUCAUCGUGCAUUUUAUGGUAGUCAUAGCAUAGCAAUUAAUAUGCAUUCACCUAGCAUUUAACCCUUGCAUUCAUCUACCAUUUAUAUGCAUCAAAAUGAAACCACGUUUCUCUUAGACAUAAGGGCGACCUAGUCGCUUCGGUAAGCACAACCCACCUUAGCUAGCUUUCCGAUUGCUCGUCGACACUUGCAAUUGGCCUCCCGCGGCACUCGGCACUCGUUUGGGCCCGAUUUCAUAGUUGCUCUCCAAGAGCGCGCCGCUUCGCCGUUUCAAGUGCUAAAGGUCUUUGCCUUAUCGUUACGGUGCUCGGGACCCGAUUUCACGAUUUAUGGACGUCGCCUCGGCCUUCCAGGCGAAAACGAAGCUCCAAGCUUUCGUUUCUUCAAUAUCUUUACAACGGCUUGUCGGAUUGCCGAACCGACUUCGCCAACGUGUUUCGUUACCUAUCAAUUAGGUUUACAGAGGGUCAAAUGAGAUCAAACCCUCCCAAAUCACAAAAUCCUAUUUUGGAUGCCCUAGAUGUUAUUACUACCAAAUCCACCAAAUCGAUCCAUGAAAUGGGAAAAAAUCAUCUAAAUAGCAUGCUAGGGUUCCGUUCAAACCAACCUUAGAGAUCAAAAACCUAUCUCUAAGGAUCUACCAUGAGAGAGCACCAAGCUUACCUCUCUAGGCUUGCUCCAAUGGAGAGAAGAAGAUGAUGAGGAUGAUGAUGAUGAUGAUGAUCCUCUUCUUCUCCUCUAUCUUCUCCUUCUUUUCUUCUCUUUUCCUUUCUUUCUUUUCUUUCCUCUCUUCUUCCCCUUUGUUCCUCUUCCACGAUCGGAGAGAGAGAGAGCGACAGUGAGGGAGAGUGAGGGAGUGAGAGAGAGAGAGAGAGAGAACACCUCUCUAAUAAUCCCCUCUCAUUUGUAACAAAAUGCCAUUAAGUCCCUCAAUUUUUCAUCUCUUAACUAGCCCUCACUAGGCAUUCUGCGCGCGGAGGGACCGGUCUCCCCAACAUGGGACCGGUCCCAGAGGACCUUCCCCGAUUCCUCGCGUUCGGGAACCGGUCUCUCCUUGAGAGACCGGUCCGCCGGAGACCGGUCCGCCCACCAGAGACCGGUCCCCGAGAGCUCAUCUCGCGGGACUUAGCCAAUUUUUAGCUCUUCUCACUAGUGUCACCUGCGAGGACCGGUCCCCCUGCUGCCAAGGACCAGUUGCCUCAGCAACCCCGCAACCCUCAGCUAAUGGGACCGGUCUCUCCCUGCCAGAGACCGGUCCCCGAGAGCAAAACAAGACAAAAUGCAGAUUUGGCAUCUUUGCUCUCGCGGACUCCAUUCCAAUGCACUUUUUGGUUUUCGUGCAUCCAUAACUUUUCCAAAAUUUACCCACUCGACAAUUAGUCGAUUCUGGUCGAAGUGCAACUCUCGAAUUUCGAGAAUUCACAUUGUUACAUUCUCUCCUCCUUAAAAAGAGUUUCGUCCUCGAAACUCACUCAUUCAUAACUCCAAUUCACCCCUCAUUUCAACUCAUUAAUUAAUCGAGGGUUCCAAUGCACUUUCGCACUCCGGAGUGGCCUCUUCCUUAUCGGAAUCAUCCAAAGGCCCACUACGGGAGAUGUGAGACCAAAUUCACUCACAUUUGUCACAUGUAAGUCCAAAAGUGCAUUACCACCAUGCAAGGAACUGCUCUUGCAUUAUACACCCAAUCGAAAAAUUUUACUCCGAUUCGAUCACCAACAUUGCUUAAAACAAUGUCGUUGGUGCAUCGACCAAUCGCGAGUGCUCCAAUCCCAACCGGAUCCUUGCUCUAUCUCAAGAUGGCACACUCUGGCACAUCUCCAAUCUUAAUCCAUAAAAGAGCAUUAUCCAUGUGUCUCCUAGAGACCACUCUGUCACAACCGAUACUAAUCUGCUCAUCUCGGUUCACCACAAGGGGUCCAUAGACCACCAAUCUCACAAAGGCCCAUCGCCUAACCUGUCUCAAUACACGUAACAUCUCUCGCUCGCAAGCGCAGACCCAAUUAUCAUCAGGCGACAUUCUCAUUGGAGAAUUCGCACACACUCCAACCAGGAGCAACCAAGACCCCAAACCACAUCGAAUCCUCGGGUUGGGUCACCACACACACUGUGUGUCGUCAAUCUCAUGAUCCAACACGUGGCAUUCCACGCACUCGGGUCUAAACUCGGACUGCCGUCCUAACCAAAACUCUCCGCCCUACCUAUAGGUAUCGGGCUGCUGUCUUUCACAGCUGACUGCGCCUGCCCAAUGGGCCCAGGCUCCACAGUACACAACUGGUCCAGGCACGAGUUGUCCCCAAGCACUACUCGCCAACAUUGUCCUACACGACGUACUCUACAGAGCUGCACACUCUAUCAGCUCCUAGGCACCUAGUGCGAGCCGCCAGCCCUCACGAGUGAUCUAUGGCCCGCUUCACACUUAGCCUUGCUAAAGUGCUACUGCCAAUUCACUCGACCGGCUGAAUCGAAACCGCACUCUACGAGUAUCUAUACUCGAGCGCUCUACACCUCUACAGCGUCUCACACGAAGUCUAGCAUCAGGCAACUUAGUCUAUGCACACCGACCACACGAGCACAACUCGCCUACCUCAACUCGAGGUACUACUAGGCCCACAGGCCAAACUCGGCUCUAAUCGACCAAUUUCGCAACAGUGGUUCAUCUUCACUUUCGAUCUACCGAAUUCGCAUCCGAAAUACCCUUGGAAUAUUCGGGUGUCCCCAAACAUCAAGGCUCAACUCUCGCGAUCCACUAUCCAUUGCCUUGAGUGUCACUUCACUAUUUCGUGCUCGCCAUGAGUCCUUCCCUUGUUCAAGGAUCAUUACUAGCAUUUUGCUAGGGCCAUCGAGCUCUCAACCUGCUCCAGCAGAUGCCACAAUCUCACAAUGCAAACAUGCUUGGGUAUUUACACUUGCCCUUUAUUGGUCCUACUAUACUAAUGUAUAAAUAGUAGCAACUGACCACUCGUUAAUAUGCAUGCUAUGCAACAACUUGAUAUCAGGAAGCAGCACACGCUUGCUUAAUUAACUCAUACCUGCCAUGGCAUUAUUAGUAGUCGCAGGCUCCUCCACCUGGGUCGCGUAUCCACGGUCACUUGCUGCCCGCUGCGAACCCCUCGGUGGCAUCAUCUUCAACGUCCGCUCUUCCGACCAUGCCGCGGGUGGCACACCCGCAGGCUGUCCCGGAGAAGAAAAGGCCGUUGCCAGUGUCAAGGUCUGGUCAUACCCUUGCGGACACUCGUCCCGUACAUGGCCCGGCUGCCCACAACGAAGGCACCUGCCAUCGCGCAGCACACACCGCCGAGCCCAGUGGGAACCUCCACAAAUCACGCAUCCUGGGGAGGAUCGGUUAGAGGACGACUUCGAGUGACGCCUCGAACUUGAUUGUCCACCCGAAUCGCUCGACCGUGGCUUCAUCCCUCCCCGCUGACGCUCAGAAGACUCGUGCUUCUCACGCACGAAAGCAUCACCGUGCUCUGCCAACAACGCUCGGUCCACUACCUCCGCGAAGGUUGUGAGCCUAAGGAUUUGCACCCUCUCAUAAAUCUCCGGUCGAAGUCCACGUAGGAACCAAUCGGCCAUAUCCUCGUCAUCCCGUACCACAUCCGGGACACAGUUCACGAUACGAGAGAAUUCCUGUUCUUAUUCUCUCACUGAGCGGUCUCCUUGCCGCAGCUUCCUGAACCUGUCCUGAAGCUUUCUCUUUUCAGUAUCGGGGAAGUAAGUCGAAAACACCAAUCCCCGAAACUCCUCCCAAAUCAUAGGAGGGAGACUAGGCGAUCGAUUCCGUCGAAUGCCUUUCCACCACACUUUUGCCGAUAACUUCAAACAGUGCACGGCUAGGGGCACCUUGUCUCGCUCCAAGGUGUACAGUUCCUCGAAGAGCGUUUCCAUUGAGUCAAUCCACAUCUCCAUGAUCCAUGGAUCAACAUUCUCUCCGUCAAAGGUAGGCGGGUCAAACCUCUUGAAGGUCAUAAGGGCCGCCAAAGCUCGCUCUUUCUCCGCCUCUAAUUCCAUAGGACCAGGGGCCACCGCCCCCGAAUCCAUCGUGAUUCCUGUCGGCACAACGUGCGCUGCUACCGGUGCAGCCGCCGCAGCCUGUAGUGCCAACAACUCGUGGAGCUCCUUGAUCUGCUCCUCCUGCCGCAGUACUACGCCCAUGAGCGUACUCAUUUGCUCGCGGAGCACCAGGUCUCCGCUUGCCUCGGACUGCUCAGGGACAUCACCUAUCCCACCCCGCGUCGAUCUAGACGGACGUCGCCUACGCGGUGCCAUCUUUUCCUGAAACAGGGCAACUCGAUUAAUUCUCAACCCUCUAGGUCGAGAACGAAACGACUUAACAUUGACAUAAAUCGGGCGAAAGUCACACAAAGGCGUCUAUUCUCAUCACUCGGUUUCAUAUUGUCGCGCGCCAAACAUGAACACCCUCGGUUGAGAAUAACCACACCUCAAGUCUACCUCCAAUAUCCGUCAUAGAAGUUUCAACACAACCCAAUCAAUGAACCUUUCGCCAUAAGUCACAAGUCCUCGUCUCUCACGAGUCUUAUUCUCCUAUGGUUUGCUAUCCUAGGGUCUCCUAGGUCUGCCUAAACCAUUCCCAUUCUCUGCUUUAUGCUCUGAUACCACCUCUAUCUGUCACGACCCGCGACCACCCGCCUAUUUGGCCGAGGUCGCGACACCGCCAACAGACCGCCGAACGGACAGAGUUUUUCCUGUACGUCCUAGGCGUCGCAAUCAAAACAAUACAAGUGGUUCCGACCAGGAAUAGUAUUCAAUCACAGAUUGCAAAUGGAAAGGUAUCAACAACAUAACACAUCCUAUGGUAUUACAAACAUUCGCCAUAGUUUGCAUUUUACAUUACAUUCAACCUCCAAAUGCAAUUAAGUUAUUACAAUUAAUAUUACAAAUUUAAUACAUUGUGUUCCUUUUCCUUUCUUAUACCCCUAGGCUAUACCGACUCAGGGUACCGCUAUCUCUAGUCUCUGGGGUAGGGCGCUAUCUAUGGAGCUACGCCCUUGCCUCGCGCCGUCGCGCCGCUCACGUGCGAACCUGAAACACCCCAAAACAACGUGGGGUAAGAACCAACUCCAUGGUUCCCAGUGGGUACGGCCACCCAAGGGAAAAGCUCGACCGAUAAGUCCAAGGAGGCACUGCAAUCAUGUUAGUCCAAAAACAUCUACAGAUAUAUAUAUCGUAAUGUAAUUAUGCAACUAACAGAUAACAUGCCUCGGGAUAUGCAAUAUGAAUAUCAUGCAACUAUGCAACUGUAUAAACAACUAGUAGAUAUGUUGAUUCUACGUUCACUUUGCUAACUUUAGCUCAUUUCAUUCAAUUCUAAGGUUUCUAUUACCUUAGGUUCGCAACUCAAGUUCAACUUGCUUCUAAGGUCUCUAUUACCUUAGAUUCUUGCCUCGAUCACUAUCUUAUAAGGUUUACAUUAACCUAAUCAAGCUAACCACCCGACUCGGCCUCGAGUCAAUCAUCUGUGGAUAGUCCGCGCACUAGCUGCAACUCAGCCUGGCUGCCGUCGCAGCCUACCGAAAAUCUGACUUAACCAUCUGGCGGCGAACUCAUCGCAUAGAAUCCAACAACAACUCAAGUCAUGAUUUAGCCAUCUGGCGGCGAACUUAUCGCACCUCACCCAACAAUGGUUCCAGUAAUGACUUAGUCGUCUGGCUGUGACCACAUCGCUCUUACCCAACAAGGUUCAAGUCAAUCUAGGCGGUAUCAUCCGAUAAGCGAAUGGGCGAGGAGAACCACACAUACCCAAUUCCAGCUUCUUCUAAUGGCAUCUCGGGCGAGGAGAACCACACAUACCUGUUGAAUCAAUGCCAGGCGAGGAGAACCACACAUACCUGCAGUUAGGAUUCACUUGCCAUCUCUUUCACCACAAUUUCCACCGCUUUUUUUGCGGCUACAUCACUUGGGAUUCCGGAAUCCAUUUCACAACUCAAGGGUUGGUCUCAAACCCUAUAUUAUUGACCUAUCUAGGUCCAAUGUCCUGUUCACCCUAGGUCCAACUGACUCUAGGUUCAAUGCCUCUAUCACAUAACCUAGGUUUCUUUUAACUCUAGGUUCAAUCCAUAACCUAUGUUCACGACACUAGGUUAAUGCCACACACCUAGAUUUAGUUAACUCUAGGUUCAUUCUCAACCUAUAUUCUUUAACACUAGGUUAGAUGCCACUCGACCUAUGUUUAAAAACACUAGGUUCAUUAUCAUUCAUGUUUAACCUAUGUUUAAUACACUAGGUUAAGUGCCACUCGAUCUAUUCGACAUCCUAAUUGUCCACAUCAAGUUCAACAGAUAUCCACAUUUUAUCUAGCAUGCAUUAUAUGAUGCCAACAUGCAUAUUCCUUCUAACAUGAUCUACAACAUGUUAACAUUCAUGUUUUAGCUAGCAUAUUUGCAUUAUGUCAUUAACAUGCAUUCUUUACAAUAUGCUCACAUGCGUUAUUUAGCAUUAUUUACAUGCAUCAUCUACAUGCAUCAUCUAGCAUUUUUAUAACAUGCUCAUCGUGCAUUUUAUGGUAGUCAUAGCAUAGCAAUUAACAUGCAUUCACCUAGUAUUUAACCCUUGCAUUCAUCUACCAUUUAUAUGCAUCAAUAUGAAACUACGUUUCUCUUAGAUAUAAGGGCGACCUAGUCGCUUCGGUAAGCACAACCCACCUUAGCUAGCUUUCUGAUUGCUCGUCGACACUUGCAAUCGGCCUCCCGCGGCACUCGGCAACCGUUUGGGCCCAAUCUCACAGUCGCUCUCCAAGAGCGCGCCGCUUCGCCGUUUCAAGUGUUAAAGGUCUUCGCCUCGCCGUUACGGUGCUCGGGACCCGAUUUCAUGAUUUAUGGACGUCGCCUCGGCCUUCCAGGCGGAAACGAAGCUCCAAGCGUCCGUUUCUUUAAUAUCUUUACAACGGCUUGUCGGAUUGCCGAACCGACUUCGCCAACGUGUUUCGUUACCUAUCAAUUAGGUUUACAGAGGGUCAAAUGAGAUCAAACCCUCCCAAAUCACGAAAUUCCAUUUUGGAUGCCCUAGAUGCUAUUACUACCAAAUCCACCAAAUCGAUCCAUGAAAUGGGGAAAAACCAUCUAAAUAGCAUGCUAGGAUUCCCUUCAAACCAACCUUAGAGAUCAAAAACCUAUCUCUAAGGAUCUACCAUGAGAGAGCACCAAACUUACCUCUCUAGGCUUGCUCCAAUGGAGAGAAGAAGAUGAUGAGGAUGAUGAUGAUGAUGAUGAUCCUCUUCUUCUCCUCUAUCUUCUCCUUCUUUUCUUCUCUUUUCCUUUUUUUCUUUUCCUUCCUCUCUUCUUCCCCUUUUUUCCUCUUCCACGAUCGAAGAGAGAGAGAGCGACAGUGAGGGAGAGUGAGGGAGUGAGAGAGAGAGAGAGAGAGAGAGAGAACACCUCUCUAAUAAUCCCCUCUCAUUUGUAACAAAAUGCCAUUAAGUCCCUCAACUUUUCAUCUCUUAACUAGCCCUCACUGGGCAUUCUGCGCGCGGAGGGACUGGUCUCCCCGACAUGGGACCGGUCCCAGAGGACCUUCCCUGAUUCCUCGCGUUCGGAAACCAAUCUCUCCCUGAGAGACCGGUUCGCCCACCAGAGACCGGUCCUCGAGAGCUUAUCUCGCGGGACUUAGCCAAUUUUUAGCUCUUCCCACUGGUGUCACCUGCGGGGACCGGUCCCCCUGCUGGCAUGGACCGGUUGCCUCAGCAACCCCGCAACCCUCAGCUGAUGGGACCGGUCUCUCCCUGCCAGAGACCGGUCCCUUAGAGCAAAACCAGACAAAAUGCAGAUUUGGCAUCUUUGCUCUCGCGGACUCCAUUCCAAUGCACUUUUUGGUUUUUGUGCAUCCAUAACUUUUCCAAAACUCACCCACUCGACAAUUAGUCGAUUCUGGUCGAAGUGCACUCGGAUUUCGAGAAUUCACAUUGUUACAACAAGUGUAGCAUGAGUCAAGAAUAUAAUACUUAGAAAACAAGUGUGGCAUGAGUCCAAAAAUAUAGUAAUGUAUAUAACACGAGUGAUGAUAAAGAAUGCAAAGAAAAGAAUGAUUGAGAUAUUAUGACGUUUCAACCUUAGAGUUAAGGGUCAUUUGAGCACGGUCUUCCUUAAAGUUAAGAAAUUGAUUGAACUUGGAAUCCUCAAUGUAGGAUUGAUCGUACUCACCUUUAGUCCUUACUCGAGGGUGGUAGCUCUCCCUCGGGCAAUGUGCUCCGGAGUUGACAUCACUGGGUUGUAGCGGGUAUCUCCCCAGAGGACGGUCCUAUCCGGUUGUAGCGGAUAUCUCCCCGGUUAUUAGGAUUUUGGGUUUGUGAGUUUGUUAAGGGGGAAACCUACGGGUUAGCCAAGAGAUUGGGUAAAGAAAUUGUGAUCCUGCAUUCAUCAUGAGCAUUAUAUCGAGCAUCGCAUUUUUUAUUGUUUAGGCAUAUUAGUUGCAUUUGUUAGUUGGUUAAUUUCUUUCCUCUAUUCUAUUAUGCCUGAUUAGACCUAAUGGGAUAGUCGGCGUGGUUGGUUGCCGAACCCACUAGGAACUUUGUUGUAGUUCUCACACCCCUAUUUCCACAAAGCCGGGACCGAGCGAGCCGGCAGACGACCGCGGUAUGGGCAUCGCGCCCUAGGUAGAGACCGCCCGAGAUGUUUUAUUUCAUAGUCGCAUACCCUUUUGAUAUAUCAUCUUUUGUAUUUCGAUGAUUAUAGUUGUUAAAUGAAAGGACAUGAAUGAUGUAAAAGAAUUUAUUUAAUAUCAAUGUUAUAUUUUGGAGAAAUGAGAUGUAAAAGGAAAUGAUGCAAAAUUGUAAUUGAUUUCCUAAAUGUAGUUUAUUAUUUUCACUAUUGACUAUUGCUUGCCAUCGUGCAAGCCAUUGUGUAUGCUUCCGCUUAUGCAAACUUUAUACUCUAUUAGUACCUGUUGUUGAGCCUUGGGCGGACAGGGGAGGCUCUGUCCGUUCGGCGUCUGUUUGAUGCUCUCGAACCGGCCAAAAGGAUCGGGCUCGGGGCAUGACAUCCUCGAUCUAUGCAUAUAUUUCAUUAUUAAUCCCCUGUAAGGGGACUUGCGCUUGUGCUGGAUUCGGCCCUUGUGGUGGUCCGAAAUUGUGUAUCAAAGGGUUCACUCCUUGUGCAUUUGGGGCCUGCGCCCCAGCCCUAGCCCCUACAUUUUGGGGUUGAUAUGCUGCUACUGGUGGAGGAGGUGGUAACCCCCAUGUUAUCUCUGGCUGUUGACCGGCAUUAACAAUAGCCGAUUUAUAAGCUGCUUGAUAUGGUGCCCCCUGGUAUUGGGGCUGACCAUUCACCGGUGUUACAGGAUUUUGUAACAUUGGUGUCAUUACAGGCACUUGCAAGCCUGCUAUCGAUUGCUCAUUCCGAGUUAAUAAUUGCCCUAUUCAGGCAAUAUUCUUAUUAGAUGCCGUGAUUGCAGCCAAUACUACAUCUAAUCGUGCAGUGCUAGCAUGACUAUUUUGGUCUAAAACUUGUAAGACCCUAGUCAUUUGCCCAAGCGCUUGAGCCAAACUAGGCUCUUGUUGGCCAGAUUGACCACUAGUCUCACCCCUCAGCAGGUAAGACUGCUUGGCGUUUUGAAAUAUUUUUUGAAUUACUAGGUUGUUCGCUCCUAGAACUUCUAGGAACGGCCCUAUUACGUAGAUUUAUGGCAUUGUCAUCAGCCAUUAUCUUAAAACAAAAACAAAUUUACCUCAAAAUGUCCCACCGGACGUGCCAAAAAACUGUUCGCUGCCGAUUUUCCGGACCCUCAUCGUUGUCGACGAUCCUCCUCGGGGAGCGUGUUGGGAUGGAAACGACUUAUGGUACUGACCCUCGAAGUUCACGCCCUUCGAUUGAUCAAACAAUUCAGCUGAUGAGGGAUCGGAUCAGCCGGGUUCGAAUCCUCUACAGUAAAUUCAGUUUGGCUGGAAGAAUCGAAUGUACGAACCAAGCAAAAACUGAAGUCGGCCGAUGAGCCGAAUAGGUAAAGAACACAGGAAUUGAUCAGCUUGAAGAGCCGAAUGCCUUUAUAUUCACUGAUAAGAAGUACAAGGGUCGAGUGUGCCAGAUGGCAUGCAGACUCGGUUGAUCUACUUAAAACUACUCCUAGGAAGAACAGUAAAUGCGGGAAAGAGAAAAUUACAAGUAGACUACUCCUAAAAAAUGCAGAAAAUUGCGAGAAAAAUAAGGGCGAUCUUUUGUUCACAGGAAAAAAUACCCCUUUUUAGGGCAUUAUUGACCGAUUUAUAGAUCACCCCUUGUGAUCAGUUAUUAUCUGUGCAUGAUCGGCCACUACUCCUGAUUCUCCGGACCACUUUCAGCCCACUUUCAGCCGAUCGAAACCACUUGCAACUGCUUGCGGUUACUGUAACCUCCCUUAAUUGGCGCGACGGUUUCUCUUCCGGUGCUCUUGGUGUACGGCAAGAUUGAUGCUUUUGAAGGGAAUACCGGCGUACCAUCUGUCCACGCCUAAUUGGCCCAACACAAUUAUUAUUCUUUUCCUAUCCGAUGUGGGAUUAUUAUAGCGUUAUGAGCCCAACAAGUUAUUAUUGGUAGUGGGUCAGAUCAAUAUAUUUAGUAUCAGAGCCGAAUGCCGAUUUCAGUCGAGUCAUUACAACUUUAUGUAUCAAGUCUUCUCAUCAGUGAUUUCGGUCCAAAUGCAGUACCAUUGGUCCCACAUAUAGUUUGCCCUUAUCCCAAAGAGAACGGAAUAGACUAUUCAGCAAUGAGGCACUAAUUUUGCCGAGACCCAGUCAGAUCCGACGACCCGCAAAGGCUUUGCACCAAUCAACAUCCAAUCCAACACAUCAUAGGUACAAUUAAUUAACCGAAAUUUUCUCAAGAAAAUUAAAGAAAGUGAAAAUGUCAUCUACUUUGAAAAUUAGUCGGUCUACUUUUAAUAUCAGUGGCUCCACACGGGUUUGUUUUAAAGACCAAGACCUCCAAGAAGCGUGAGGAAAAGACCUGCUCAAAGGUUGGAAAAACCAUAGAAAUCAAUACUUUAAAAUAAAAAAAAAAUACAAAAAAAAAAAAGAAAAGGAAAAGUUCCAUAGAAGAUCUCUCACUCUCCGUCAAUAUAUACUUGAAGCUGGCAAUGAAAACGGUAUUCUACUUAAAAGGUGCCAAGCACAAAAUAAUUAAUGAUACUCGUGGUAACUUUAAUAUUUGCUUAUUAUUAUGUAGUUAUACAUCAAUAUGGAAUGACGAAAACAAAAGAAAAGAAAAGGCAUCAGCAUAUCAUAAGAAUGCGAAAAGAGCCAAACCCUGCAAAAAUUAAAAAGAACUAUUUUGGAAUAGAUAAAAAACCCCACAGUUGUUGAAUCAUGGAUAAAAAGAAAAUAUUGAUGCACAUGGUGACGUCAAUAUCUGCUUAUUAUAUAUGGUUAUGCAUAUAUGAAUUGUUCAUAGAGUUAAGGGUGCGUUUAGUUCGCGCUAUCUUUUUAAGAUUCCUAGUAAUCCAAUAGGAAUAAAAAAAUAUGACGGUGUUUGGCUAAACACACUAAGUAAUCUAGUUGGUAAUAUUAGAUUUACUUGGGAAUGAGAUUCAUCCCAAAGUACUAAUCUCAUUCUCUUGAGAGAGGGUGGGUACGUAUCCUCAUAUUAAUGGAUCGGGAUAAUCAUAAUAUGUCUAAUUUUUUUAUUUUUUCCUACNACCCGCCGGCUAGUUGAUAUUAUUUAUUUUUUUACACUCUAACCUCAUAUUUCUCUCUAAACUUAUCUUUUUCUCUCUAAACUUAAUUUAUUUUUCUCUCUCUAAACUAAGCUCUCUCUCUCUCCCUCUUUUUCUAAAAUCUCAACUUUCUCAUUCUCUCUAAUAACCUCGAUUCUAUUUCUCAUUCUAUCUUUAAUUAUGCUCUCUCUCUCUCUCUAAUAUAUGUUCUCUCUCCUUCUUUUCUAAAAAGAUGUUGAAAUUUUUUGUAGCAUUAUCUAAAAUUAAUUAAAUAAAUUAAUUAAUUAAUUGUAUUUUUUUUUGUAAUCUUAAAUAACAUGACUAAAUAAUAUGACCAUACGAACCAAACACAGAAAUGCCAUAUUCUUAGUAAUAGGAUGAAUAGAAAUAAGAUUCUCGGAUAUCUUUUUAUUCCUAGUAAUCUUUCAUAGUGCGAACCAAACGCGCCCUAAUAGUGAAAGAAUUGUAUUCUUAAAAUAUUAGAAAUUUAAGACAUGUUCUUCUGUAAUUAAUUCUUAAAUACUACUGAUUAUGAGAUUGUCAUGGGAAUGGCUACUUAAAAAGUGUCAAGCACAAUUAAUGAUGCUUAUGAUAACUUUAAUAUCUGCUUAUUAUGUAGUUAUGCAUCAAUAUGGAAAAAAAGAGAAAAAAAAAAAAGCACCAGCAUAUUGUAAUAAGGUGAAAAGAGCCAAUCCCUGCAAAAGUUAAAAAGAACUUUUUUGGAUUAGAUAACAAAACCACAGCUAUUGAAUCAUGGAUAAAAAGAUAAAAGGAGAAAUUAAGAUGUAACCUAUCAUCAGUAUUGGUUCCACUUACCAUAUCUAAUAGAAUUGUGAGGACUAAGAUUUUUCGUAUAUAAAUUUAAUAUCUUUUUAAAUAUUAUUGUGUGUAUUUUAAUUUUAAAACCGUCCGUCAAAUUUUAGUAAAAAAUGAUUUACAAUGAAAAUUUUACGCGAUUAUUAUUUUUCACUUAAAGUGAAUAGCAAUCCUCGUUUCCGGUUGUGACCGAGAAGAGAGGUGGGCUUCGCACACGAAUUGAACUCCGUAUCGAACGAUCCAAUAGUUCAUUCUCAAUGGUCGGACUGUGCCAAAGCUAAUGUCGUUGACAAAUUUCAUGUUCGACGCAUGGUUUUUGAGAAAAAUAGCUUUUAUCGCUGGGAGGGCUUUUAUUUCACGUUGUUCUUGCUUUUUUGAAGCGAUUAGUGCUUCGUUUUGCGUGAAAACUCGCAGGCAGGGACCUUUCCACGAGAGGAACGUAAUAAAGAGGGAUUAGAAUGUGAAUUUUGAGAGUUUGGGGACUUUGGAGCGAUUAUUCUCCAAGAUUAAUGGGUUUUAGGUUUAUAAAGUUUGAUUUGGGGAUUUUGGAACCCAAACCCUAGAUCAACCCUCAUCCUCCACCUUUGCCACCUGAGGAAGAACCCUGCCGCCGCCAUCGUUCCCGCCGGCUACCGGAGAAGGAGAGGAAGCCAAUCUCCUUCUUUCUCUCUCCAUUGAUGUGUGGUGUGAAGGGGGGACCUCGAGCCCUCUUGUAUUCGGCUGCCGCCAACCUAGGCUACCGCUAUCGUCACCACCGAACCCCGGGCAGCCAUCCCUGAUGCUUCUCUCGCUGCCGUGCCCUGAGGAGCUGCCACGGUUGAGGAGGAGCUCUACAGAGCUUGUACAACUGUGGGGAGACACCCAGCUGCCACCGUCGCACCACGCCACUACAGGGCGACGCCGGAGGUCCCAAGGAGUCCACCGGCGCUACCCCUCGCUGUCUCGACCCGCCGCUGUAGGGAUUUAUGAUGCCUUAGCCACCGGUCCACUUUGGGGUGCUGCCGCUGCUGCCGGCCAGGGGUCCCGGCCGACUCCCCUGAGUGCGGUGAUCUUCCCCUGGCUGGAGUUCCCCCUGCCGUGCUGUCGGCCGCCGGAUCUGUGAUGCCCUACCCUGGCCGACUCCCCUAAGUGCGGUGAUCUUCCCCUGGCUGGAGCUCCCCCUGCCGUGCUGUCGGCCGCCGGAUCUGUGAUGCCCUAGCCCCUGCAUGGUUUCUGCCAAGUGGAGCUUCUUUUUAUGGCCACCAAAGACUUCGGUGAGCACUUGAAGCAUGAGCACCACUCUUCAGGUCUUGUGGAGACCCGCGCUCACCUUCGCUGUAAUCAACGAAGCUCCGAUGUGCACGUAGGACUUGGCUGCUUCCGGGAGCAAAUAAUUGGAGGGGUUUCUCCACUAUUUCAAAGCCUUUUGGCCGUUGAUUGUGCUCCGAACAGUGAACACGAGCAUCAUAGUGUCGAGACGAAAUCAAAUCGACUGGUUGGUUGGAUCCGUUACGACGCGAAUCUAAUGAGCUCGAAACUCGUGUUUAUGUAUUAUUUGAAUAGUAUCUAGUACAUUAGCGAGUUGUUUGCAAGUUGUAAGCAAUGAGGACUCUAUGCAUAGCCUCAGAGAGUGUGUAAUCAUUGUUAGCAACCUCUUCACUGAUUGUCAAAGGCUUGGGAUCCGUUUCAGAGCGAAAAUAUGGUCCCACAGCAUCGUUUGGCAGAAAUUCGCCGAUCGGAUGCGGUUUAAGUUGCUGUUUUUGCACGUUAGCCAUCCGAAUGCCCUAGAGACCCCGCCAAGACUUGUUGGCUAGUUUCUACCGCCACCUUCAAAGUCCGAACGCGGUGGAUGAGCGGCGGAAGGGUUUCAGCACGUUUUUCGACGAAAUCGUCGGUAGAACGUAGUUUUGCGUCGCGAUGAGUUUCCGGCUGCAUGGUCACCCUGGAAAUCAUCGCCUAGCCCCAUAGGCUCCAGGGUCGCCUCGUGUGUUCAGAGGCGAUAGGUGAGCGGUGGAGGCUUCCAGUGCCAAAGUGGACACUUUUGGAAACCCGCAAUGAAACGGUCGAUUGACGACAACCGAGUUGACCUUGAUGUUUGUGUUUGCUGCCCGGACACUCAAAUGGAUGUGUUAUAGGGUAGAGGGUGACUCACGGCAUCAGUCGGUGUGUUUCGAGACGUUUCAUGGGUCCCUCGAGCAUCCCGAUGCGUUUUCGGGAUUCCUAACGAGUUUGGGAAUCGGUUUUGGAAAACCGAUCCCACAGGUGGUCUUGGGUUUGUAAGCGAUGUCUUUGAGUCAGUUGGUUCGGUUUCUGACUCGGUGGACCUACCGUAGGUCUGGUCGAGGGUUCUGUGCACCGCGGAAGCUAGGUACAACUGCGACACAUGGGGGUACUUAGAUUCGAAGUCGGUUCAGUGGUACACGCUCGGUGAUAUUCCCUUCAUCCCUACUUUUUACUGCAUGCAUAUAUACAUAUUCAAUACUUGAGCUCUUCACUACAUGACUUCAACCCUUGCUCUACUUAGUAUACUCUCUUGUUUGCCAUGAUAUAGAAGUAGAGCGGUAGUGACACUUGUAUUUAUAUUCUAGUUCACCUGAGUGGUCGGUGCCCAUGUACUUAUAGUAUCAUUGAUCUCACACUUUUCAAUUCACCUGAGUAGUCGGUACUUGCAAACUUGAGAGGAUAUUAAGCUUGUCUAUCCUAAUUGACCUCAGUGGUUGGUACUUGUGUUCCCAUACAGCUUCGGUGACCUGUUGGUCGGUGUGCCCCGAUGGGAGGUGUUUGUUGGCUAUUCGCUGACAGUUGACUAUUGAUCAUAUUCGCAUUGAUCGCCACAGCUCGGGAGCAUUUUAUUAACACCAACAGUCAGAUCCCCUGUAGGAGUGUUUUUUUUCGGAAAAGUGGUUGGUUGCCAACCCAUGAGCCCAGCGGGUAUUUGCUAUGGUUAUAUGCCAGGUGGGCGAGCAGGAAGUGGCUUUUGCUUGAGAUCCUUAGACCAACACGGUGGUGUAGAUUGGAUACAUUUGGACUAUUCAUUCGGUUGACGCAUAUAGCUACAGUAGAGGUUGUUGCAUACUUACUUUCAGUUCAUUUCUUACACUUAUUGCUACUAUGGACCUUUCUUUACCUAUACCUAGUUACUAGUGAGAACGCUUGCCUUCGUCGGCUCACAGUACCCAUUAGGAGACCCUUUGUUGGUUUCUCACCCCCAAUUUUCCAUAGAUGACCCAGGUGGGAUUGAUCGGAAUGGUGCAUGAGGCUGUAGUUAGAAGGCCGAGAUAGAGUUUCCCAACAUACGAUAUACAUUUGAUUAUACUCCUUACUUAGCAUUAAUUACAUUUGUGGAUAGCAGUCUUACCCUUACACCUGUCAGUAGAUACUUAUGUGGUUCAAUUACUGUUUAUACUCAUGGAGUUUGGGAUGUUAUACUCAUGAGGUUUUGGAUAUCGAACUUUUGGACUUGCGUGGUUUUAGCUUGGAUUUUGAAAUGUGGCUUUCUACCCCUUGUGGUAAUAUUUUCAAAAUAAAGGUUUCUGUGGUGGGAACGACUUUUAAAUGAUUUUCUUGCGGCUUUUUAAAAGAUAGAAUUUCAAACAAAGUCUUCGUAUGGGAGACAUUUCCAACUAAUAGGAUGAGUGAGAAUGAAUGUGAAUAGAUGUGAUUAAAGAUUGUCAAUUGUAUGCUGAUGAAUAUUGUUCUUUGUAUAUCCUGUACCACUGUGUGUGUGAGUGAAAGUUUGGUUGCUAAUUAUACAUAUACUAUGUCAUGCAAAUAUAAAGAAAACUCUGUCUGUUUAUUUCGAAAAUUUUCUGUGCUUGUGGCGAUCUAAUGCAUCAUUGGGGAUUAAGAUUUUGAAAAAAAAAAAAAAAAAGAGACAAUUUUUUCGCUUACUCUGAUUUAUAAAGAUAGCCCAAUUUCGAAUUAGCUUUCAAAAAGGACCGCCGUUCCGCUUACUCUAAUUUAUAAAGAUAGCCCGAUUUCGAAUUAGCUUUCAAAAAGGGGCCCCGGAGCAUGACAAGAAUCCGCUGAAAAGCAGGGAGGGAUUCACUAACAUCCAAAGUAGAGAUGAAAAAUUUUCCUUCGAAUCUGGGUCUCCACAGAGGUCAGCCUCCAAUAGGACGGGGAAUUGGGAGGACUUCGCACCCCAGGGGAUGGGGUUGAGAAAAAAAUUUGACUUAAAAAAUAAACUUAAUAAUUGGAUAAAAUUUAAGCUAAUUUGAAUUGGAAAAAAUUAAAAUUUAUUAACAUUUCAAAUAAAAAAUUAAUUAAUGUAGUGUAUUUUAAGAAAUUUUACGUAUCUCGCGAGGAUGGUCCGGGCAGAAUUUGUUUCACGCUCGUGAGAAUUUGGCAGGAACAGAUAUUCUAAAAACCUGCGGAGAAUCUAAUACAAGAGAAGCAAUGUUUUGAGGUAAAAUAUUGAACUAGCGGUCACGACGUAGCAGAAGUCCUAGAAUAGCAGGCGGCAGACUGAAGCCUAACUAAACAACAAAGAAUAUUAAUAAGAAUCUACCAAGGGUUCGUUCGGAAACUAAAGUUGAUGUCAAAUUCUCAUAAAGCGAUCAUCAAAAGGUUUCUCUUUUUUUCUUCGCCAUUCAUGGAGAGUAGAUUUUUCAAGGACAAAGUACCUGUUGAAGAAAUAUUAGCACUAAUAUGUGAUGGAAGCUCUUGAAAUUAUGUUAAAAGAUGUUUACAUAGUAGAGCAUAAAAAACAGAGAAGACUACAAUAUUACAUGCAAGAGUCCACUAGGAAAUACAUUAAUCUCUCGCUUAUAGGCUCGCUGUUGAAACUUAAUUGACGUUGCGAGUGCAAAGUAAUGAUGGUGGAACUGCACGGGUUCACUUACAACAGUCGGCACUCUCAAUUUUUUAGCGGACCAAUUCCAGCAGUACACCUGUCUCAAAACUCUCAAGAGGAGGAAUACGUUCCGAAAAAUAUAUGUAAUAGUUUGUUAUUGCAAGAGGGCGCAAAAUAAGUAAAUUUCAUCUUCUAGACGUCUUCUCAGACCGACCCAAUGUCGAUAUACCACAUAAUAGUAUAAAAUUUGCACCUAUUUUUCUUUUUGUUAUAUUGCACAACAGAUAAGUUUAUCCUCCCCAAUUCUUUUGUGAAUGAUUCGUCUUGUUUCCCUUCCACUUAGAAACACAUGAAAGAAAAAGGAUGAAGUAACCCUACUGUAACUGCGCUGUUUAUACAGUAAGUAAUAUGCAACUGAAUAUUGCUUCCCCGAUCGUGUUGUUCUUCAGACAACCAAACUUAAACCUGAAACAAUCUUGAGGACCUAUUGUAGAAGCGCACAAGACAUGAGAAAAAAAAUUUGCUCCCCUAAUUACCACAUAUAAGGAAUUGCUGCAGUUUUACUGGGCAUGCCACAACACAGUCUUAUGAUAAUGGCACGGCAUUGACACAAUGGCACGAAUUUUUAUUAUCAAAUAUUCAAAAAAACAUAAGAUUUAUUUUAAUAUUUCUUCUCGUAGCUAUAAAAAUGACACGAGUCUUAAUUAUAUCUCACAUAAUUUAUUAAAAAUAGAGUGAUAAAAAGAACAAUUUGUAUAUAUUAUAUUAUGAAAGUAUAUGCAUCAAAACAAAACUAAAAUCACGAUUUGGUAAACAUUCAUAGAAACAUACUACCAUAGGCAAAUACGCUACAUCUGAAUUGAUAAAAGAAUUGAGGAAGACAUUUACUAAUUGCAACAAAUGUACGUAGAUUUACAAAAUUUAUAUAUUUCAAGUAUGGAAAAAUCUUUGUGAAACUUUUCACGUGAAAAAAUAGAAAAAUUCAAAAAUAUCCACUAAAAACUCAAAACAAAAUUAUAUUGUCGAUUCAUUGUCAGCGCCGUGCCACGCCCGAGGACGACCUAGGCACGGUACAGCACGGACGGCGACGGCCCUGGCAAUCCUUCCACAGCACAAGUGCACAAGUGAAAAAGGGUUGUUGAGCAAUAGACAGGUAGAAAUUUUGCAAGCAAAUUUUACGUGGUUUUGCAAACUCAAAGAGUACAACCAUGCAUAUCCUCUAAAACUCAAGAAUAGGCCAAGUUAACAGCCAUUAGCGUGAUGAAAGCCAGAGAAAUAAAUGAAGUAGAUCCUCUUAAGGUGAAAUUUACAGGUGGGAAACGCAAUUUCCAGAAGAGCAUCUCUAGGAAAAUACAAACCCUCCUUGGAUCCCUUUUCAUGUAAUAGGACGCUGAUGAUAGGUGAUAACAGCAGCAGCAAGCUUCCAAAUUCCAUAUCAGAAAAGUUGAAGUUUUGGUUCCUGCGUCGGUGAUCCACCAAAGCCGAAUGAAAUUUUACUAGGACAAAAGACCUAUUAUGUUUAUAUAUAGUAUUUUAAGGACCUAUUAAUUAAUUCUAUUUUGAGAAGGUAAGAUGAUUCUUUAUGAAGGAUGAGAAAAAGAUUUGUGCACAUACAGCAUCUACAGCAUAUACGGAGCAAUUUUGUGCAGCUAACUCAUCACCGACUCCAAAUCUCUGAGAUCGGAAUAUCUUAGUAUUUUAUUUGGAAUAGAUUUAAAUCUGUAAUACAGAAAUAUCUUAGUAUUUUAGUCAAAUUGGACUAGACAAGCCUAGAUUAUAAUUUAAUCCUAAUUUGACUUCAAAUAAAAAUUACAUUAGAGUAAACAAAAUUAUAGACACGUACUAAAAUAAGAUAAAAUUGUCUUAGAUUUUCGACUAUAUGGUUUUUUUUUUUUUUUUUUUUUUUGAGAGAUAGAUAGCACGCUACCCGCUUCGUUUAUUUCAUUUAGAAAUAAACUUAGCUGGAAAUGUGAAUCAACUAGGAUUCAAAUUGGGACCUCGGAUACCAACCACCAAGCCCUUUGCCACUUACUCUAGGGACAGUCAGUAUUUUUCGACUAUAUGUUAAAUAACAUAAACUCACCCAUGCAUGCAUUGCGCAGCUUCAAAUCUAGUUAUAUAUAAUUUUCUUUUUUUCUUCCUCUUUAAGUUCUUUGAGCUUAAAGGCAAGUAGGGAUAUAACUCUCUUUAAUUUCUCUAUAUUUGAAUCACUUGAAAACUCUACAUAUAUGGCUUUUGUUUGACAAGAAAAAAAAAGAAAAAAAUAGUAGUAACCUUUCUUUGUUCUUUGUUUUCUUUUAAAAAAAAAGAUUUCCAAGCUAACAAACACUUGAACAAAAGAAUUUCAUCCCCAUGUACCUUGGACAUCAAAUAAUUGAGAAGAAACAAAAACAAAACUGCAGUAACAUUGGAUACACCAGAAGGUGCACGCACACCUGAUUAUCAGGUAUGGCCAAACAAAUUCUGGGAGUUGCUUUUCUACAACUUUGUUGAUAGUACAAGCCAACUGUCUGCAAUCAAAAGCUGAUCAAAUUUAUAGGGCACAGUACACUACUACCCGAUUCCCAUAGUUUUUUUUGAGUACCUUAAAAGUCCAAAAGUAGUUGUGGAAGUACUCUCUCAAGAUGGGUAGCUUCAAUUUUGUCACUUCCUUCUGCUUCAGCAAGUAUGGCGGCACGUUGAACAGCCUCUUUGAAAAAUAAAAUAAACUAAAAUAAGUUUAAACAACUAACUUUUAGUAUGGCACCAGAUUUAUAUCAAGUUAACAUAUUAAAACAUAUAAAUAAACUCGGGGUUUCAAGCAUGCACACCUGUGACAAAAAAUCGCAGAAGCUCACAACUUACUUUAAGUGAACUUGCAUUAGCUGCAUGCAACAAACAUAUAAUUACAAACUACAACCAUUAUAAAUUUCUCAAAGCAUAAUAUCAAAAUUAUAUAAUCUUAGCAUGUCAGGAAAGAACGAAAAUUUUAUAAAGCAAUUAUGGUGAACACGGAAAACAAUUUAUGGGCAAUCAACUAGAAGGCAUGACAAAACUACAGUUUUAGUGAUCAGCUCAGAGUGUGGAACAUUGAUAUAGUAUAUUUUGGAAUACUGUUGUUUUUGAACAUAAGAUAAUAUGUCGAUAAAUAAAAAAAUUAUGGACUCUGAGUUUGUGAACAAUUUAUAUUUAAUAAAUUUGUUAAUUUCUUGCCUUGUGCAUUUACAAUAAUUAAAUUACACUUUUAGCUCCAUGUUGAUAAUGGCACAAAAGUUAUAUUAUGCAAUGCUUCAAAAAUUGCUCCUUAUGCUUAAGGGUGCAAAGCAGGCCACUAGGCCCAAAAUGCUUCGAGCCAAGCUGUGGCACAACAUAGGUACUGUAGCACACAUGCCAUGCCGGCACCGCCCGAAUUAAUGGGCCAUGUUGGGCCGAUGUGGAACCUGUAAAAUUUGAAUUAUGUAACAAAUUGACUUUUUAAAUUCAAUAAAUGGAAAUGGAGAACAUUGAGAGAGAGGCUAAUUUCAUAAAUUGGAACCGUUUCCGACGAAACAAAAUCACCACUUUUAUGGCCUGUCAAUGCAGGAAGACGUGGUGAAGUCCAUUUUUGGAUUCUGCAAGGCGAAAGCGGGGAAUAAUGCAAAAAUCAAAAUAGGAAAAAAGGUAUUUUUGGAAAAAAGUGCGACUGUUAAUGUAUGGUUUCGCAUGAAACUCAUUGGGAGGGGCUACUGUGCAAUUACGUGUGCCGAUGAAGUUGGAGCAUAAAAUGUGGAAAAUACAAUAGGCUACAAGAAAAAUUACAAAACCCUAUAUUAAAGUGAAUCCGGAGUUUGGAACCCUAACUCCCUCGCUUUUUCUCCUUAGCUUCCCCAGCCGCAAGUAACAUCUCACCCCACCUGCGCCGCGCCGACCUGACCUCCGGCGAUCCCCUCAGACUACCGGAGCCUCUGCCAAGAUCCCGAAGUCUCUCUCUUCCUCUUUCUCUCUCUCUGUCUCACUUAAAUACCUUGACCCAAUCUCCUCAUGCCUUCGACCGCACAGUCCCAAACCAACGUCACCGGCCUCCAGGGGUUCCAGCGACCCUCCUCCGAUUAGCCCAGGCGCCACCAUGUGCCCCGAGUCCGAUCUCCACCUGUGAACCUGAUAUGUUGAGGAUCAGGCCGCAUCUUCAAGUCCCGCGCUGCUAUCGUCGCCGUCGCCGCCGCCGCUUCCAGCCGUCCCUGUCGACAUCUAUGGACCUGGAGAACCCUCCAGCGUAGCCCCAACAUCUCUCGACCAUCCUAUUGCUCGGGUAGCCAGUCUGAACCUGAGGGUGCUUAGGCUUGGCUGCAACCCUUCAACCACCAUUGUCGCCUCCCGCCGUCGGCAACAGUCAUAUCUGAUCUCUCCUCGUCAAGCACGACCCCUUCCGGCUAGUGCGAGCCUUCUUUGGCGGUCGAAACCCGAGAAGAGUGAAAACUGCUCUAGGCUGCAUCGAGCAGGGUUUUCGCACUCCUGCUCUGGCAAUCCCAUUCAUUCAUAUCUCGUUGUUUUGCACGCAACCACAGCUUCAAGAUGACGCUACUGUCACGGACGCUCCGGGUGCAAACGCCAAAAGAUUACCUCGAUGCGAAGUACAUUCAAUUAUGCCCUGUGAUGUUGGGCAACUGGAUGUUCCUUGCGAACCUAGUGCUUUUACCGCUGAAGGAGUUCGAUGUGGUGCUUGAGAUGGACUGGCACAUUGAACACCAUGCUACUCUCAAUUGUGAACAGAGGAUGUUGACCUUCAAUGCACCCGGGAAGGAGGAGUUCGUCCAAUGAGCAUGUUGCUCUUUCGCAAUGACCAUCUCUUCAGCUAGGGCAAAACAACCUACGAUUGGCAGAUGAAUGGCCUACCUGGCUUCGGUGGACGUCAUUCGCAGAGCGGCUCCAAAUCUUGAGAAGAUUUUGGUAGCUCGAGAGUUUCUUUUUUUUCCGACAACUUUUUUUCCGACAAGCUACCCUCGAUGCCUUCAAAUCGGAAAAUUGAGUUCUUCAUAGGAUUGGCUCCCGACACGACUCCCAUCUCAAAGGCCCCAUACCGAAUGGCCUUCACAGAGCUGAAGGAGCUGAAGGCUCGGCUGGAGGAUCUCCUGGACAAGGGGUUCAUCAGACCGAGUGUGCCCCCCUGGGGUGCACCCAUUCUUUUCGAAAAAAAAAAGAACGAUAGUCUAUGUUAUGCCUAAACCAUCGAGAGCCCAACAAGGUCACGAUGAAAAACAAGUACUCCUUGCCACAGAUCGACGACCUUUUCAAUCAGCUACAGGGAUUAUCGGUCUAUUUGAAAAUUGAUCUGCAGUCAAAUUACCACCAACUAAAGAUCAAAGCAGAUGAUGUGGCGAAAACUGCAUUCAGGACUCGUUUUCACGGUGAUGCCUUUCGAAAUUAUUAAUGCCCCAGCAACAUUCAUGGACAUGAUGAAUUGAGUGUUCAAGCCAUAUCUAGAUCACUUUAUCGUAGUUUUAAUUAACGAUGUACUGAUCUGCUCGCGGAUUGAUGAGGUGCAUGAGGAUGCAAUCUCUGGCUUCUCCUUCACAUGCCCCUCUAUUGACGUUGGUUCCCAUAUAGUUAUUUCACCGCCUGAGACUUUAUCAACAUUUCCUUUUACCUUGAAUUUUGAUGCCUCACAGGUUAGUAAUAGGAACGAUGCCGAUGUCAUUGGUCAACCAGAGCUCCGAGUCUAUACUGGAUGACACACCGUUUGGCCUGCUGCUGCUUCACCUUCCACUGUUUCCCCGACACCUUCCACCUCUGCUUACUACCUUCCCCUGGGCCUACUUUAGUACCUUCUCCCUCACCUUCUGAGCCUCCUUUACCUCCCCAAACAGACUCUAUGCAUACUCGAUCCAUGACUAAGGAUUUGGCUGAGUCUACCUUGAUUCUGGCUUCUGGGCGUUCUCUUCUUUCUACUAAGCCUACCACUUUUCAUAAAGCUUUUUAGGAUGCAGAUUGGCGUGCUGCCAUGGCUGAAAAAUUUGAUGCCUUGCUGUCCAAUGCUACUUGGGACCUUGUGUGACACCUUAAUAGUCCCACAUUGGGUAGUUAUGGCUAGAUGUGGAAGUAUAUAAGCUUGAUUGGGCUAGACAUAAUAACUAAGCUUAAACAUUUUGGGCCGGUGGUUUGGGCCCAACGAGUUAUUAUUGCUAGGUAUCAAAGUCAGUUCACUAGCCGAAAGUGUGAGAUAAAGGUCAAAAUGAUAGACUAAACCGGGGAUGGUGAUUGACAAGCUAAGUCAGGAUCGGAACGACAAACGCUAGCGAGAUAAGUCUCAUAUCGCUUGGUGAUCUUGAGCUGUGAGCUGUGUGUGUUUAGGGCUGACGAGGACGUCAGGCCUAAACGGGGGGAGUCUGUGACACCCUAAUAGUCCCACCCUAGUAGUCCCGCAUCGGGUAGUUAUGGCUAGAUAUGAGAGUAUAUAAGCUUGAUUGGGCUAGACAUAAUAACUAGGCUUAAGCAUUUUGGGCUGGUGGUUUGGGCCUGACGAGUUAUCAUUGCUAACGGGUCAGGUCGUUACACUUUGUUCCUCCUCCCUCUUCCGUUGAUCUCAUUGGCUGUAGAUGGGUAUGCAAAGUAAAGCAGAAGGCGGAUGGUUCUCUUGAGCAUUUCAAAGUUCAGUUUGUGGUUCAUGGUUACAAACAGCAACAGGGUUGACUUUGAUGAGAGCUUUUCUCCGGUUGUCAAGUCAACCACUAUUCGUAUAGUUCUUUUGGUAGCUCUCUUCUCUAGGUGGUCCCUUCGCCAACUUGAUGUGAAGAAUGUCUUUCUUCAUUGAACUCUCUCUAAAGGGGUUUAUAUGACACAACCCCUCAUAUAACCCCCUGGCUUUGUGCAUCACUCUUUUCUUCAUCAUGUUUGUCACCUAUGGAAAGCAAUUUAUGGUCUAAAAUAGGCACCUCGGGCUUGGUUCCAACAGCUUCCUUUCUUUCUAAAAUUGAUUUUGUUGGAAGCACUACUAAUCUUUCGAUAUUCAUUAGUCAUUCUUCUGGCAGUCUUGUUCUUCUGUUAUAUAUUGAUGAUAUUAAUGUCACCGGCAACUCCUUUCUUUUAGAGGAUCUUAUCGUUACCUUACAACAAGUAUUUGUAAGGAAAGACCUCGGGCCACUACAUUAUUUUCUAGGUGUUGAGGUUAAUCGCUCCACUUUUGGUUUUCAUCUGACUCGGCACAAAUAUGCGCAUCAACUGCUUCAGUGACAUGGUUUUCUUGAUAGUAAGCCAGUCUCUAGUCCUUUCUGUCUGACCUCUCCUCUCUCUUCUCAUGAAGGGCGUCCACUUGAGGAUCCCUAUAGUUAUCGUCGGAUUGUUGGUGCUCUACACUAUCUCACCUUCACUGCCGUCAAUUCUGUUGCUCAAUUCCUACAUGCUUCUCGUGAACCGCACAUGCAAGCGGUCGAGUGUAUUCUACGAUAUAUUCGAGGGACGCUGACUUAUGGUAUUCCUAUCUCCCACUGCAUCAAUCCUUCUCUUGUAGGAUUUGCAGAUAAUGAUUGCGUUGGUUGUCUAGAUACACGCCGGUCUACUUUCGGAUAUUACAUAUUUCUGGGGCCCAAUCUUAUCUCCUGUUUAGCUAAGAAGCAGCCCAUUGUUUCUCGUUCCAGUGUUGAAGCAGAGUAUCGUACUGUCGCCUACGCACUUGCUGAGACUAUGGAUCUGUCAUCUACUUCGUGACCUUGGUGUUUUCUUAUGGCGCUCCAUCAACAUAUAUUGUGAUAAUCUUUGCACCACUUAUCUUGCGGCCAAUCCUAUCUUCCAUGCUCGCACUGAACACAUUUAACUUGACCAUCAAUUCUUGCGAGAAAAAGUCCAGUCCGACGAUUUGGAAUUGGUUCAUAUCUCUUCUAAUAAGCAACUUACAGACAUUUUCACCAAGCCUUUAUCACCCUCUCGAUUUUCAGUACUCCAGCUCAACUUUCGCAUUUGAUCGGUGGAUGCUUAGCUUGAUGGGGAAUGUUACGACAAGCUUAAUAUCAUUACUCUAUAUUAGGAAACUGUAUAUUACCAUCAUAUAUAGAGUUACAUAGUAUAUAAUCCCAGUUGUAUUAUUACUAUAGUCAGCAUUAUUACUACGGUAGACAUAUCUCUUGUACUAUAUAUUUACAUCAAUACAACCCAAGAAGGUAUGCUCUUUUGCACUUCUCACAGACCACCUUAUAUUCAUAAGAUGUACUUUUGUUUGAAACUGUAUAUCUUCUGAAUGGUUAAUGUAGCAGACUUUGACUUACUCCUUUUAGUGUUAUGUCCACAUGCUUUAAUUAUCUUGUUUAGAAUGUGUAUAUUUUUUUUCCGCCUUGUUUGAUGUAGACACCUUGUGUGCACCGAAGAUGCCUUGUGCACACGGCGGGUCUGUGCACGUGCCGGGUAGGCUUCCGCUGGGGCCAGGGCGUGACAGUUUGUGCACAUAACAAUCUACCUUCUCCGACAAUCCAAAUACCUCGAAAAGGGUUGCAACGGCCCUCUUAUGGCGCAUGGUGACCAUGAAAUAUAUGGGAAGGAAAGGAGGCCCAGUUGUCUCUUACUCUAUUUUGGACUAAAUUAACAAGCCCUAUUUAAAUUCUUUUUAAAACAUUUGGUAUAAAUCCAAAGAAUAAUUAAAAACUCCAUCCAAACAGUCAAAUACUGAAUCUAGAUUUUUAUCCCCAAAGUAAAACCAACUCAAUUCCGAAGUAUUUUCCACACUUUCUCCAAAUACGUACAAACAUGCCAUUAUUGGAUAUUUUCAAGUGUUUCCUCUUAAUUUUGAAAAAUAAAAUAAAAUUUCAACAAUAAUUUUGAAAAAUGUGAAGAUCAUUCAAAAUUUUGUGAAAAUUCUAAAAUUAUGUUUUGUAUGUCUUGGGCUCACUGCUAGCAAGAUAAAUUAGAGUUCUUCAAAUUUAUCUUGUAUCAGUUUUGGCAUUAGAGAGAUCCUAAUGUAUUUUUUUUUUCUAAAUUAUUACCAGGACUUCUAAAUAUGAACUUUAAUUAGAUCUUAAUCUCAUCAAGCCUCCACAAACAACCGAUUAGACAAUCUAUAGUCCACCUUCAAUGACUUACAAACCUCCAAUACCCAAAUUUCAUGGUUAACCCACUCAUCUCUACCAAGCUAUCCAAAAAUCUUCUGUUUUUGUCUCAUUUUUACACCUAUUCAAGAGCUAUCUCAACAGAUUACUGAGGUUCCUAUUAUCCUACGUCCAUUACCACCACCAAAGGAGUCUCUUCUGCUACAUAUUGUGCUUCAAAUAAACACUAGAUCGUUCUCCACCUGCACAUGAUCUUUUGACACAAUACAACAAGUUCAUUAAUCCGUCUUCUAAUGUUUUAGUAAAACUCAUAUAUGCGCUUGAAGUUCCAAAUGUCAAUUAUCUUUUUCACAACGCCACAAUUGAAAUACAACUAAUAAAGAUUGUUCGACAUGCAGGCAUUGGACUGCACUACUUUAUCUUUCCAACCAUCCAAUAUAUUCCCAUUCUAGUGUUGAUCCCAUUGAUAUCAAGGACAAGAUCCUGUGUUUUUUUGUACAUUUUUAGGAUUUUUCUACAUGGAAUAAAUCCCGAAAGCUCAGGGAUAUGGUUUUGAACUUUUACAUUAGGAUUAGAUAUAUUUGUAUUUGGAAAAUCCCAAAACUGUUGAUUUGACUUAGAGUAGGAUUGUAAAUAUCGCCUAUGGCUUGCAAUUUUAGAGAGAGAAUUACGGCAUAAUUGGUUCUUUUUUUUCUACCAGUUGGGAAGUCCUGCACCAAUUGCAGUCGUGUUAUCUCUUUUCCUUCCCCUUGUGUGCAUUGGCCAAAAAGUUGUUUUCCCUAAAGGUUCCAUCUUGUCUGUCUUUCUCACAUUUUUUUUUCCUCGUUUAUUCUUCUUUAAAAACUUCCUUCCGAAAUUACCUAGACUUUCUCAGGAAUCUUGUGAAUUUUUACCUCUUCGUUGGCGAUUUUCUAUUGUUUCUUCUUAAUUUCUAAAAGCAAAAAUUACCUCUAUACCCUUGUAAAAUUCCUAAAUUUCCUAUUUACCCUUUCUUGCAAAUAUACGCCUAAAUUUUUUUCUUUUUCAAAUACACCCUAUUUUGAGGGUUUAGAAGGAAAUAUUUGAGAACAAAUCUUUUGAAAGAUAGAUAUGAAAGUAGGUCUGUACCGAGGGAUAUAUAGAUAAUUAGCUCUUUCUUAAGGAAAGAUAAAAGUUAAAAAUAAUUUUUUAAAAAAUGUAAAAAUCAUUCAAAAUUGUGUGAAAAUUCUACAAUUUUGUUUGUAUAAAUCUUGUGCUCAUUGCUAGCAAAAGAAAUUGGAUUCCUACAUCGCCUAGACACAACCCUGAGUAGGGCGUCUGUAAGGAAGUGAAUUCUCGAAAUCCGAGAGUUGAACUUCUAUUAGAAUCGAUUUGUUGUCGACUUGGCAUGCUUCGGAAAAGCCGAAGUCAUAAAAAAUGCAAAAAGUGCAUUGUAGAAGGUCUCGGAGAGCAAACUGGUGAAAUUCUGCAUAGUUGCAGAAUUUGCUCUCGGGGACCGGUCCCUGGUGGGAGGGACCGGUUCCCGUAAGCAUGAAAGGUGGCAGAAAAUUUCUGCGCAGGAUUCUUGCUCUCGGGGACCGGUCCCUGGUGGGAGGGACCGAUCCCCGAAAAAAAUGGGCAAAGGCUAUUAACUGCAAAAAUUGCUCUCGGGGACCGAUCCCUCUAGGGGCAGACCGGUCCCCGUAGCCCGAAAUGCCCAAAGAUGAGCUGCUUCAUGAUUGUAAAGUUGAGGGGUUUUUAUGCAAUUGUUGCAUAAGUGAGAGCUAUAUAGGGGUGGAGAGCUCUUCUCCUCUCAUUUCUCUCAACCUAAAACCUAUUUCUCUCUCCCUCUCUCUCUCUAAGUGCUCUUCCUCUCUCUCUAGAAGGUGAAGAAGAAGAGGGCUUUGGUGAAGAUCAAGAUCAAGAGAAGGGAUUUCUUCUUCUCCUUCUCCCUCCUUGGCUAGUAGCAAGCUUGGAGAGGUAAGCUUCUAAGCUCAACCAUGGUGAACUUCUAGGGUUUGGGUUUUAUAUCCUAGAAUUGGUUUAGUUGGGACUCUAGUGUACCAAAUAGAUGUUCCAUGCUUGAAUCUAGGACUAGAAUCAUGGAUUUUUGCAUUGUUGAAACCUAAAAAUGGGAUUUUGGGAAAUCUAGGGUUUUGAUCUAAGUUGGUUGGUUGUAAACCUAAUUGCUAGGUAUCUAAACACGUUGGCGGCGACGGUUCGACUAUUCGUCGAGUUGGUGCGGAGAUAUCGCCAAGUGGAGGGCGUUUCGGCUUCGUUUCUACUCGGAGGGCCGAAGCGGCGCCCUAGGAGAUUUCCGAGUUCCUUUCCUUGAGUCGUUGCAUCGCCAAGAGGUGGGUGGUGACCAUCCCGAAGCAGCUAGACUGCUCCCUAUGUCUAAGUGUAUUGUUUAUCAAGUUUGCAUAUUGUGAUAUUGCAUUAUAGGGUACUUAGAUGAUUACUACUCAUCCUUGUAUGCUCCUUGGUAUAGUUGCAUAGUCGGCUUAGCACUUAAACCUAGGAUGCGUGAGAUUAGUGCAAUAAGGUUUGGAACCCUAUAAUGAGAUGAUAAGUGAUGAAUGUGCCUAUGUGGAUGAAAACCUAGUAAAGUGUAAACUAAUGUAUUGGGAUCAUGUAACAAGAACGAGUGGCAUCUAGUUAAUGUUGAACACAGGAAUGAGUGGCAUAUGAGAACCUUAGUGUAGUUGAGACACUAGGAUGCUGAGUAUAGGAAUACAUUGAUUCCAUGAUGAUGACAACCCUAGUUGGCAGGUAUCCUCAGUUGAUGAGGAUUAGAUCGUGCUCGCGUAGCCUGUUACGCUUGUAGUGGUCGCUCCACACAAGCUGUGCACUCCGGAGGUUUGGUCACACGAUAGGACGGCGGCUAGCUGUCCGCAGGCGGUCUCGGGUGAGUCAAGCGGCUGGGACUCCUCACCUAUGGGAUUAGAGACGUGAGUUGUGGGCGAGCCCUUGGGCGAGCCGAGUGAUUGGGUAAACUAAUGAACAAGUAACCUUGUUGAGCAUAGUAGUUUGGUAGUUGGCCUUUACUAUGUAGCGCAUGCAUCAUUAUCUUGGAUUGAGGCAUAGUAGGAUACUUGCAUUUUACUUACUAUGUCGUUGCUGUUUCAUACAUAUCUAUCUAUCUAUCUAUCUUCCUAUACCUGCUUAGACCUAGUUGGGAGAUCAGCGGAGUCGGCGGCCGAACCCACUGGGAACUAUGGAUAAUAGUUCUCACCCCACUCUGUUGCAGGGCCAAGCUCGAGUACCCCCGACGAGGAUCGUGGCAAGGGCUUAGCGCCCUAGGGUUGGUAGAUGCUUCCUAUUGCAUUAGUAGUCACCCUAUAUACUUGAGAGUAGAUGAUGUAUAGGUGUGAGAGAUUUUGGAAGAUUGUAAACUUUAUGUUUAUGUUUUGGAAGAAUGUAAAGUUAAUCAAAUGUAUUAAAGUUGAAUGAAUGUAAUAGUUAGUAUCUCUCUUUUGUUCACUUGUUUAUUACUUGUGAUACUUGCUCUUAGUUGUUUAGCACUGGUUGUGCUCUCGCUGUUGUUGCUUGAUUGUGUAUAUAUUCAAGAUGUUUUCCUGGGCACUUGUUGUACACAAUCUUGAUGUUUAGCCUUGGGCGGACAGGGGAGGUGCUGUCCGUCCGGCGUCUGUUCGACGCGCCCGAACCGAACCAAAUUGGUAGCGGGCUCGGGGCGUGACAGCGUCGAGACUUGAUAUUUUGUGGAUUGGCUAGGCCCUUCUUACGAGGAUUUUGUUUUGAUGGCUGAGCAUAAGAGAUGCUAGCCCUUAGGCCCUUGCGAGAAGGCUCUAGCCCUCUUCCCUUUUUCCAAGGGUCUGCCAUGGCGAAUCCUAAAGAGAUAGGCCAACAGCUAGCAUGCCACCCAUUGGAUCCUAGGGUGGCUAAGAGUUGCGUUGGGUAUUUUAGUCUUCAAAGGCUACUGGGGAGGUUAUUUUAAUUCAAAUAAUAUCUAAAAUUUUACAAUUUUAUAAUUUUUUUUUAAAAAAAUUAUAACUAUUGAUAUCUAUAAAUACUCCUACAAACUCUCCCUAUUUCACCACAACAAAAAUUUAUAUUCUUUCUUUUCUCCCAACAUUAACCUCUCUCUAACUUCAAAUCUCAAAUUGAACGCUUCCAAUUUCAUUUCACCACUACAAAAUUUUUAAAUUCUCUCUAAAUGCUCUUCCUACAAACUUUCCCCACGAGCUCUCUAAUGUUGUAUGGAAGUAAGACAAUAGGUAAUAACAAGAUUCGGCUAGAAAAGGACAACGAAUAAAGCUAGAACAAUUAGGGUUUUAAGAAAACCGCUACUUUGUAAGAUAUAUUAAAAGAAAAGAUGACAAAGAAUGGCUGUAACCGAACUUGCAGCCUUUAUAUACUAGGGUUGCAAGAUACUCAUCAAUAAUGGCCCUUGAUUAUGACUUAUCAACUAACUUUAAAUCCUAGCCAUCAACAUGUUUCAAAAAGUCACAUGACCUCUAGUUAAACAAAAGGGGUAAUUGCUUAUAUACCCCUAAAAAGUUACAAACUUUCUGAUUUACCCCUCUUAAAAGGCUAAUAUUGAAAAUUUCCUUUUUAAAUCCAACCUAUUUCAAAUAUACCUCUAGAGUCAAAUUGUGUUAAUGAACUAUUAGCAAUAGCUAUUAUCUAUAUGAAAUUACUAUUUUGCCCCUUCAAAUAUAUACUUCCACCAUCACCGACUUUUCUUAUUUGCCCUUAAGUUAGGGGCACAAAAAGUAUUUUGAUUUUGUCUUUUCAAAUAUACCCUUCUACCAUCACCAACAUUUCUUAUUUGCCCUUAAAUUAAGGGCAAAAGAGACAUUUUAAUUUUUUUUAACUCUAGUAGAUAUUUAACUCACGUUUAACCUAAGUUAACUUAAUAGGUGGUAACUGCAGGGUAUUUUGGAAUAAUGGAAAUAUGAGGGGUAUAUUGGAAAGAAAAAAAUCAGAGUAAACGAGAUAUUUCCGAAGGUAUGAGGGGUAUAUAGGCAAUUACCCCUAAAUAAAAUGAAAGUUGUAAAGUAAAAUGUGACAUCCCAAUAGUCCCACAUCAGAUAGGAAUAGAGUUGUCAUUGGGUAUAUAAGAGGACUCCACCCUAGUAAUAAUAACUGGGCUUAAGCAUUUUGGGCCAGCGGUUUUGGCCCAACGAGUUAUUAUUGCUAGCGGGUCGGGUUGUUACAUUUGGUAUCAGAGCCAGUUCACCAGCCGGAAAGUGUGAGAUGAGUCUUAGCUGAGCCAGGGUCGGAAUGACAGACGAAGGCAAGGUCGGUGAUUGACAACAGACUAAGUCAGGGUCGGAAUGACAAAGGCUAACAAGACAAGUCUUACAUCGUCUGAUGAUCUUGGGCUGUGUAUGUGUUUAGGGCUGACGAGGACGUUAGGGCCUAAACGGGGGGAGUCUGUGACACCCCAAUAGUCCCACAUCGGAUAAGAAUAGAGUUGUCAUUGGAUAUAUAAAAGGACUCCACCCUAGUAAUAAUAACUAGGCUUAAGCAUUUUGGGCCAGUGGUUUUGGCCUAACGAGUUAUUAUUGCUAGCAGGUCGGGUCGUUACAUAAAAAUACAAUAGUAAAGCUCUUGCAUCAAUCUUCCAGGCUCUCGAUCCUGGCAAAAAAAACCUUAACAACCUUAGUAAUACAUCUUUGGAUCAGUCUUCAUUACUUUCACCAUAGCCAGCUCAAAAUCCUCCAAAGUCACGUGAACUCCUGUCCCUUAGCCCAAAUAUACAUGCUUCUAUACACACUACUUUUUGUAUAUGCUAACGAUGGUAAAAUUGUUUGCCAAAAUGCACAAAAUACAAGGAAAGCGUUUAAACCGCACAUCAUAUAUUUAAGAUGAUCAAACUGGAAUCGGAAGAAUCAAACCAUUAAUCUCUCUUUCUUAAUGUAGUUGUCGAUAUCAUCGAUCGUUGUCAAGUGCAUUCCAUACAUCUUCAUAUAAGGAGAUAACUCUUUCAGAAACUUCAAAUGUUUCUCUAAAUUUUUACGUGAGAACUUUUUCGCUAACAAAAUUUGACGUGCUUUCUUUUACCAUCUUCAAUAGUGCUAACAAAAUUUGACAUAAAGGACAAGAUCGUGAUUUGGCCCAACAAGUUGCUAGUACUAGGGAGACUGGUCAUUACAAUUUAUACUUAUGUGGUACGCAACCCCAUUGUGUCCCUAGGGAUUGGAAGAGUCCUAUAUAUAAAAUAUAAUAGGACUAAACCUCUUAACCCAGCAUAACAUAUUGGGUAGUGGUUAGGCCCAAGAGGUUAAGAGGGUUAAGCGUGCUAGAACUAGAGUAGUUCUAGGAUGGGUGAUCCCCCGGGGAAGCGAGGCAUCACAGUUGGUAUUAGAGCCAAUCACUAGUAGGAACUGUGUGAUAAGUAUCGGCUAAGCCAAUUAUAUCGCGGGCAGAGCGCGAUUCUCUAGCUGAUGACUAUUCCAGGUUGAGUGCGGCUCCUCCCAAGGCCGACUAAAAGCUACCGAGACAAGUCUAACGUUGCUUGGUGCUUGUGAGUUUCUAAAAAGGCUAUAGCAUUUUUGGGCAGUUGCAAAGCCCAAAAAGGUUAAAAGAGUUAAGCGCACUAGGGCUAGAGUAGUUCUAGGAUGGGUAACCCCCUGGGAAGUGAGGCAUCACAGUUGAUAUCAGAGCCAAUUAUUAGCCAGAAAUAUGAGAUGAGUCUUGGCAGAGCCAAGUUAUACAAUAGGGAGAGCGCGGCUCUCAUGCUAAUGACUGUUGUGGACACGCACGGGUUCCUUACAAGAUCAGUUAAGAAUAGCGAGAUGAGUCCCACAUCGCUUGGAAUUUGUGAGUCUAAGCUUGACGAGGACGUCAUGACUAAAAGGAAGGGAGAAUGUGAGACCUAAGAAAUUGGAAGAGACCUAUAUAUAAGAUAGACUAAACCUAUUAACCCAACUAUAGUAUGUUCGGCGAUAGUUAGACCCAAGAGAUUAAGAGGAUUAAGCGUGCUAGAACUAGAGUAGCUCUGGGAUGGGUGACCUCCCUGGGAAGGAAGGCAUCACAGUUGGUAUUAGAUCCAACCACCAGCAGGAACUAUGUGAUAAGUCUUUGCAGAGCUAGAGUCAUAUAGCGGCAGAGUGUGGUUCUCUAGUUGUUGACUAUUGUGCGUAGAGUGCAGCUCCUCACAAGGUCGGCUAAAAGCUAGCGAGACAGGACUCACAUUUCUUGGUGCUUGUGAGUUUCUAAAAAACCCGGCUAUAGUAUUUUGAGCGAUGGCUAGGCCCAAGAGGUUAAGAGUGUUACGGGUGCUAGGGCUAGAGUAGUCCUAGGCAAAGUUUAAAGUGCCAUGGCACGGGGGCAUGCUGUUGUCUGCCCAGCACGGUACGGCACCGGCACGCUUUCGUGCUGACACAUGGUACACUUGCGUGCCGAUGGAUACGUAUGACCUCCUACUGGCACGCUUUGGCACGAACUUAUUUCAGUUUUUUUAUUCUAAUAAGCUCUUAUAAUGUUAUUUUAAAAGAUUUAAUCAAAUAAUUAUGAAUAUUUGCUAUGUAUGACUUACUAUAUUAUCAAUUAAUAUACUUGUAAGCUUUUUUGUAUGUAAAGUACAACUAUACCUGAUGCAGAUAAAAUAUUUUUAUAGAUUCGAAUUUUAAAAAUAUAAAAACAUCUUUUCUUCUUUCUUUAGACCAAAUUACAGUUUUUCUUUUAUAAAAUAGAAAAAACUAAUUUUUAAAUUAUUUUAAAAAUUAUUUUAAAAGGUAUUUGAAAAAAUUAUUUUUUAAUCAAAUUUUUUAAAAAAUUAUUAUUUCUAUCAAAAAAGUUACGCAAUAAAUUAUAUGACAAAUAAAUUAAAUAAAUCUAAGUAUGAAUUAAUUUAAUUUAACUUUUAAUUUUAUCAGUAUUUUUAAUCUUCUAAUGCAAAAAUAAAUUUUUAUGCUUGAUGUGCCUCAAGAUUUAUUUAUUGAGUUCGAUUUUGUUCCCUUAAUUUGCCAAAAAAUUCGCCCCCAGCCCACCACUGACACCCGAGGGGGGUGCGGGGUGCUUCGCCCCCUGCAGUAGGGAUCGAAUAUGUAAAUUAAAAUUUGGCUGCAUAUUGAUAAACAAAAUAAUAAAAUUAUAAUUUUUUGACUUACUUAACAAGUAGAUCUUCGAUUUGCAAUGUCGAUGUUUCUUGGUAUCCCAAAGAACAAAACAAAAAGAAAAAAAAGCAAAAAGCAAAAAAAAAAAGAAAAUAGUGUGCCAGCACGGCACAGUGCCGUGGCACUGACCUACGUAUCGCUCUAUCUCACGCGAAACACAGGUCCGUGCCACGGCACGGAGGGGGGUCUGAGACCCCUCCUGUACUGUGCCAUCUUCUUGGCGACACGAUACGUGCCGCCAGGUGCCGUUCGGCACUGAGUUGCACUUUAAACCUUGGUCCUAGGAUGGGUGACCCCCUGAAAAGUGGGGCAUCACACGCAUAUGCGGUCCAUCUAUUUAAAUAUUAAUAAAAUAUUUAUAGAUAUUAAAAAUAUAUAUAAAUACUUUUUAACAAAGAUAAAUAACUAAAAUAACAAUUCAGAAAAUUAAAAUAAUUAAUUUCAAGUAAAGGACCCCAUAUCCAGACAUGUAUUACUAAACUGACUAUUAGUAAUUUACUCGUAAUUAUUAAAUAGAGAAAUAGAUACCAUUUUGAUGCAAAAUCAUAAAAAAUGUCUAACAAAAAUUAAUGUUCUAAAAAGCGACAUGCCAAACAUUUAUGAAAAUAAUAAUUUUUUUAAUAAAUUAUCAUUAUCAUUUACAUAAUUUGAGAGAACAACACUUGAAAAAAAAAUAUAGUAUAAUAACGUCUAACGACUACAAAAUUAUUCAUCAAUAUUUAUAAAUAUAAUUAUUAGAUUGAUUAGGAAUAAUACUUACUGAAAUAAGAACAGAGAUAGUUAGAUUAUAUUUAUACAAAGAUAAUUGCAUUCAACAUUGUACUUCAAUCGCACCUAAAAAAAAAAAACUCUACCACAUAUGCAAGCCACAUAUGCGGCCGAAUAUGGGCCACAACUAUAGUUCGGACUAUAACUAUACCGCAUAUAUACGGCCGCAUGGACCACUUGGGAACAUUGGAUAAGAGAAUGUACAUGGCAUUCACGGUGUCAUGGCAAUUGCCUCCGAAAGCUUAGACAAAUCAUAACAGUAAUUUUAUAUUUCCUUAAUAUUUCGUAAAAAUAAGCUCAACGGCUCAUUGAGAAUUAAGAGGGAAUAUCCACUUACUCGAUAUAGAUUAGUUGUGUUUAUGCUAACUAACCAUAAAAAAGAACAUGUUAAGCUAUGAACAUUCUUAAAGCCAAGAAUAGAAACAACAUUGGGGGAUGAUUUUCUCCAAAAUUCUUUAAUAGCAUAUAUUAAAAGUAAAUUAGUCAAGAAGCUUUCUAUCUAUUCAAUCAAAAUAGAUUACACAACUUACAGAACAACAAGAAUUAUUUUGAACCUUUGAUGGAAUAAAAGGGCCAAUAUAUAUCAUGAAUAUCUGUUUUAAUAUGUUUAAUCAAGUUAUUUAAUAUUGAGGAAAUGCCAAAUCUAAUAUUUUGCAAAUUAGUUUGCUAGCUUCUGAAUUUUUUUCUUGGGAUCCCUUGUUAUGAAUCUUUAGCAUAGCCCUUAGUUAGAUACAUAGACAAUAUCGAUUGGUUGUGUUUAUGCUAACUAACCGAAAAAAAAAAAAAAAAAAAAAAAAAAAAAAAAAAAAAAAAAAAAAAAAAAAACAUGUUAAGCUAUGAACAUUCUUAAAGCCAGGAAUAGAAACAACAUUGGGGGAUGAUUUUCUCUAAAUUCUUUAAUGGCACAUAUUAAGAGAAAAUUACUCAAGAAGCUUUCUAUCUAUUCAAUCAAAAUAGAUUACGCAACUUAAAGAACAACAAGCAUUAUUUUGAACCUUUGAUGGAAUAAAAGGACCAAUAUAUAUCAUGAAUAUCUGUUUUAAUAUGUUUAAUCAAGUUGUUUAAUAUUGAGGAAAUACCAAACCUAAUAUUUUGCAAAUUAGUUUGCUAGCUUCUGAAUUUUUUUCUUGGGAUCCCUUGUUAUGAAUCGUUAGCAUAGCCCUUAGUUAGAUACAUAGACAUUCAUAUAGCUUCCUAUAUUGAGUAAUAGCUUGUAAUUAAUUUGCUCAAACACAAAAAUUCAUAUAUGCACCUAACUACAACAUACAAACAUCAGUUUACCAUAUAAUUCUCAAGAUGCAUCUAAUUAUACUAAAGAAAAGUUCUUAAUACCUGUUGUUCCCCGAUUCUUCUUUGAUGUACUAGCACCAACCUACCAAUUAAGAGAAAAUAUCAAUAUUCCCAUCAAUUAUAGCAUAUAACAAAUAUACAACUAAAAAUGAUUUAUAAGAUGCAAUCAUUAAAUGCACUUUUCAAACAUAUACCAUCCAUUAAUAGCAUGAAACAAAAUCUCGAUGCUGUUUUAAAUUGAUUAAUUCGACAUACAAAAAGAAAAACAAACGAGUACUCCAAAAUAAAUGACUAGUAAAUAUUCCUGUAGAUCUUUAGAGCCAUUACAAAAAUGAUAACAACAAUUUGUUUGAUUAAUAAAUGUUAUAAAAAUUUCAUCAACAAGCUCCAGGAGUUGAUGCUGGAGAAGAAAACAAGUGGAAAUAAAUGUAGUUCUAGCAAGGCAGCUCUUAGUCUUAAUAUGAUUCGUCAAAACAAACUUCUGCCUAGCUAUUAAUAUUUUCUUCAUUAUGAGUAGGGCUACUGUGCUAUUAGGAGCACAGCAGCCCUUGUGCUCCUAACUUUCUAACCACCCAUCAAGUUUGAUGGGUGGUUAGAAUGAGAGAGGGAAGACAUAUUGUGUACACUGGGGAUGCCUUGUGCAUAGGGCGGGUCUGUGCACGUGCCGGAUAGGCUUCCGCUGAGGCUCGGGCGUGACACUAACAAUGGUUAGAAUUGAGAAGAACAACAGCAGGAAAAGCAACAGGGUAGUGGCAGCAAGAGGAAGGCACAGAGGAGAAAAAAAAACCAAUCCCAUACAGCAGGAGCAGAAGAGAAAGAGCCAAUCCAGGAUGAGCAAAGAGGAGAGAAAGGCCUAAUCCAAAGCCGGAGGAGAAAAUUGCCAAGCAAGAACAACACGAAGAGGGGAGGAACUCCAAGGGAAAAAUUACAAUAUCAUACAUCAAAUUCCCCCAAACCAGUAAAAAGAUUUUAAUAGAACUCUCAAACAAAUAGUCCGACCAGAAGUUCAAUAGGAAAUAGGUUUAGGUUUUAAUAGAUUAUAAGUAUUAAUUCAACCUAAUCAAAUUUGAACCAAAAGUCCAGAAAGGUAGAAACUAACCCAAAAUAGAAAUAAGCUGACCGUACAAUUAAGGGUUAUCUCGAACCGUAUUCAAAUCCCUUCCCAAAACCGAUAAAAACCAACAAUUAGAACCCAAAUAAUUUUGAAGAAUAUAGAAAUCUUCUCAGAAUCCUUGAGCACCAUCUAAAAACAACUAAGCAAUCAAAAUUACAACAAAAGUUCAUAUACAAAAAUUAAAACUAAAAAAACUAAAAUAAAUAGGAUAAGGCUCAUCCUUGAACUGUAUCAAAUAAGUGGUAUCAGAACAAUUUGUGAAUUCUGGGGCUAUGUUUCAUCAUGGUUACCUAAUUCAUAAAACAUCAUUUAAAUUUCGAAUCGGACCAUGCGAUCCAAUUUGUGCAUCACUAGUGAAUUGGAUUGACAUAACAAGGAUCCUAUCCUAACCCAUCUAAUCUGUACUGGUAUCAUAUCGAGAGUAAUACACAAAUAAAUUAUGUAUCUAUGUAUUGCAUUUAGGUAUUCAGUACUUUAAUUUAUUUGCAUUUUGUGUUUCCAGUAAAUGUUUUCUAUUCCUAUAAAAUGUGUUGAUGAAGACUACUGUAGUAUACUGAGCUUUGCAAAUUGCUAAAGUCCAGUGUAAAAUGACUUAUGGUGCCAUUAGAGAGAUUUUGGGAGAGUUUGAGAUGAGUUGGAACUGUUUUGGGGCGAAAACGACACGAAAAAUAAGUUCUGGAACCAACCUGCAAUUUGGGCCAAAUUCCGUUUCAGUACUGGGGCCAAAUUCCGUUUCAGUACCGGUACUGAAACUCUAAGUACUGACACUCAACAGAAGUUCUCGCAGGGGAACGUUCGGGUUUUGCAAAACUCGGGUUGGAUACUAGUAACGGCUACCGUGUUCUGACACUCGAGAGGGAGGACGGUACACUUUGAACUGAUUUCGCUGUUGCACUACCAUGCUCCGAGACCGCUACCAAUUUGGUCCAGUCCGGGCGCGUCGAACAGACGCCGAAAGGACAGGACCUCUCCUGCCCGCCCAAGGCCAACCAACAGAUCAUGUAUAAGAAUUUACCCACUCGAGAGCACCGAAAUAAUAUCUCCACGAGAAUUAAGGGAGGUUAUGGUAACCGCGAGCGGUUGCAAGCAGUUCCGAUCGGCUGAAGAUGGCCCGAGGAAACAAGGAUAGUGGCCGAUCAUGGAUCAUGGAUGGAAAUAACUGAUCAAUAGGGGCAAUAUAAAAAGGUCAAUAACGCCCUAGAAAGGGGGUCUUUUCCCUGUGAACAAAAGACCACCAUUAUUUCCUUGCAAUUUCCUGCAUUUUUUAGGAGUAGUCUACUUGUAACUUUUACUUUCCCGCAUUUACUGUUUUUUCCUAGGAGUAGUUCCUAAGUAGAUCAACCGAGUCUGUAUGCGCCAUCCGGCACACUCAAUCCUUGUACUUUUCCUCAAUAUUAAUUUCCAAGGCUUUCGGCUUUUCAAGCAGACCAACUGAUGUGUUUCUUCUAUUCGGCUCAUCUACCGAGUCAAAUCUGUAGCCGGUCCGUACAUUCGGCUCAUUCCAGCUCAACCGAAUAUUUAAUAGAGUUUUUCGAACUCAGCUGAUUCGAUCCCUCGUCAACCGAAUCACUUGAUCCAGUCGAAGGGCGCAAACUUCGAGGGUCAUUAUUCGAAGCCGUUUUUCACCCCGACACGCUCCCCGAGGAGGAUCUUUGACUAGAUCAAAGGUCAGGGAAUUCAGCACGCAACAUACUGCACGCAAGUCAAGCUCCUGUUUGGAUGCGUGGACAUGUUAAUCGGCAUGUCUCUUUGAUUUUCUUCAAAAGAUUGUUGUUAUAUUUGAUAGAUAAGAAGUGCGAUCAAAUGCCUACAAUAAAACACCAUAUUUGGCCAUGAAUGUCCUUUUCCAGAAUAAGGUAAGUCACCUCGCAAGUGAAAUAUAUUAUGCAACCAAAUCAUACAUGCCACACGACGACACUCGAAAGAAGCAAAUAUCAAGUACCUAACUUUUAAUUGCACAAUAAAAUCUUCAUACCAAAUAAGUUAGUACCUAAUUCUGAAUUAUUAUCUAAACAAAGGCCCGAAUCAUACCUCGACGUUGAUUGCCUCGUCCUUCUCGUCACUUGUCUCGGCCCGUCUGCUCCAAACCAACUUGAAUAUGGCCAGAAUAAGAUCCUGGGGAAAGAAACCCGAUUAGGAGAAUCAAUCGAUGGGCGAUGAUCAAUCUGUGAAAUUCUAGAGCAACAGGACGAUGGAAGAGGGAUUUGACCACUCACGGUAUCGAAGGUUUCAUCCGUCAUGACUCCACGGCGAGCGGAGGAACGGCGAUCCGGAGUGAGAGAUUGGUUAGUGCGAGAAAAAUGGUGGGACUGGGAAAAGGAGGGGUUUCCCGCGGUCGCUUGCUUCUGGCCGUCCCGAACGGCCGGAACUGGGCCUUGCAAUCUAGAUAUAGGCCGACCCGCCGAACCGAUGCGACACACUUUGGGCUGCAUAAUGGGCCGACCGAAUUUUAUAACUCAAUUAUUAAUUUUGAUAAUAAUGUUUUUAUUAGAUUAGAUUAGAUUAGCUAGUCAAUAUACGAAAUCAUCAGAUUUUAUUUGAUGAUUUAGCUCUAAUGGUACUAAAAUAGAUGAAACUAGAUGAAAUAUGUGUGAAGUAGAAUAGAUUCGAUAAGAUUAGAUUUUAUGAGUUUGUUUAAUCUCAUAUCAGCGUGUUUGGUUUGGAUUAUCCUGCCAGAAUUACAAACAAUUUUGCAAACAUUACUGCGUUUUGUUCAUUCAAUCUAUAAUCUGAUCGAUAAUAUACAAAUGGUGUACGAUUACUACAAAAAUAUUACCGAGCAGGGGUGGAUGUCUCAUAUUACUGAUAGCGGUUUAUCUUGUAUGUCAUGUAAAAUUACAAGUCUACCCCUCCAACCCCUCCACACCCUUUAAAUGUGUCAUUUUUAAAAUUUUUAUUUAAAAUUUUCAAUUAUCAAAUUUUUAAUUUUUAUUUAUAAUUUAAAUUUAGAUUUUCAAAUUUUUAAUUUUUUUAAUUUUUUUAAAUUUUAAAUUUAAAUUUUUGAAUUUUUAAAUUUUAAAUUCUAAAUUGUAGAAUUUUAAAUUUUAAAUUUUAAAUUUCAUAUUUAUAUUUUAAAUUAGAAUAUUAAAUUUUAUAUCUUUGUUCAGAUUUUAAAUUUUAAAUUUUAAAUUUUGAGUUUUAAAUUUUAAAUUUCAAAUUUAAAUUCAAAUUCAAAUUUUAAAUUAUUUAAAAUAAACUUUUGUAAAAAAAUUAUUACUUGCAAAUAGUAAAAUUUUUUUUUUACCAAAUAGGACUAAGGUCAAUUUUGAAAUAGACUAUAUUUUAUUAUCAGGAUUACUGAAUUUUAUAAAAUGAAACCAAAUCUAGUAAUUCUAUAUCCACUGUGUGCCAGACCCCGCCAUAAUGUCCUACAACAUAUGAGGCGUCUACAGAAAAGCGGAAAGUAAGCAAGAGAUGGCAACAAAUAAAGAGAAGGCUGAAAUAACAGCCAACUAAACCGAUAUCAGGCGGUAAAGUUCUAACAUCUAUUCUAAAUAGUAAUUAGAACAACUAAAACAUAAAAGUUAAACAUUAAAUUACUUACGUAUCAGCCUCUAAUACAAAAAUGGUGGUCUCUAGUAACACCGGUUUAAAACUCGUCACCUCUCCAAAAAGUACAACGAGAAGGUAGACCAACUAGCAAAAUCGUCUUCGGAAGGAAGCUGCCGAAGCCAAUCGCCUUCCCGCCGGUCCCUGGCCUCACCCUGAGUGUAAGGCUCUGGAAAAACAUCGAUAAAAGAGGGGUGAGAACUAUGAUAUUAUAGUUCCAGUGCGUUCAAUUACUGACCUCAGCUCAGUGCACCACUAGCCCAAAGAAAAGGGUUAAGCUCUAAAAAAUAAGAGUAAUGAGUAAAUUGCUACUAGAAAGCAGUAAUAAUUAGGAUGCUAGCUACAACUUGCAAUUAAAACAUGCAUUCCUAAUGCCGAACUUAUCUUGUCAUGGAUAUAUUAUAUAUAUAUUCACAAGUAUAUCAUGCUUUUACUUAAUACGAUAUGAAAGUAAUACUUGGUAUACUACAAUGCAUAUAAGGAUGACAAUAAACAGAACAUUAUCUAGCAUACUACAUGUAUGUAUGAAUUACCCAAAUGAGCCACAACUAUGCUAGAAGGUAAGUCCAAGUAAUCCUACUACUACUCUCGACUAGUAGUGUUCAUAAAUAAACUCAACAUCGUAGUCAAUUUUCAUUUCCAAUUAGGACCUUACCAGAAGGUAGUCCAGCUUGUGCCGCACUAAGUGCCUGUGGUAGCCCGACAUUCCUACUCUUGGAAUGUGUCGUGUCCCACUCGACCCCGUAGGCUUCUCAAUACCGCACGAAGCGAACAUACGUCCAUAGGCUAACUCCGGAGAUGCCGGCUUGUCAGGAGCGACCCUCACAAGCAUGUGCGAAUGAGGCACAAAUGGCAAGCAAGCAAGGUCAAAGUCUCACUAGUACCUACUUUCGUGCCUCUCACAUGGCAAUGCCACUAAUGCAUCCCAAGGAUCUAGUCCAGGAGUUCUCAAGUGAGUACCCAAACACUUCACUUGCUUAGUGCUCUUUAUGACACUUUUUUUUUCUUGGGCAAGCAUCACCACUGAUCAAGCAAGGGGGCUCGGAUUCUUGUUCUUAUGUUUCAUUUAAAUUUAAUACUUAAUGAUAUUAUAGCCGGGCCCAAUGCCUCUUUGACAUUGGCCCAAUUCCUAAAUAGUCCAAGUUCUCGAAGCCCUCUCUAGGCUUUAAAUUUCUAAUGUUCCCAAUUGGUCAUAUAGGUUAUAAUGCAAGAGGCAAAAGAUCCGUUUCAUAAGGGUCAUGGUUUCCCAAUAUAACUAGGAAUGCUAAGUCUCACAAUACAUGCACUCUACCACAUAGGGGUCUAAAAUUUCACCAUAUACAUAUGUGUUAUAUGCAUGUUAAGCAUUUCUAAAAUUCAUAUUAAAUACAUUUUACACAUGGAAAUGCGAUGAAUUAUCCUAUUUUACGAAACAUAUUUGCCAAUAUGAGCAUUUCUGCAUCUUAUAUAGGCUAGGGUUUCAAACCACCGAACCGUCGCGUAGGGUCUCGAUUUGCCGAACAAGUUGUCCACGAGUCUCACAAUACCCUAAAAAGUCGAUCAGCCGAAGAGAUACGAGGGCAUUACGACAACGUCUAAGUCAGAAAUUAACCUAGGAGCAAAAAGAGUCAAACUUUUACCUCAAGAGUAGAAAUACUCUUCCAAAAGCUCCAAACAGAGAGCUUAGAACCCUUCCAAUCCAAGCACCUAAGGAGGUUCUAAUCGCAAUACAAUCAAGCCUCAAAAGCCCUAGGUUCAAAAAGCCCAAAUCCAACCCUAAAUCCCAAAAUUAGGGUUUCAUAUGGUAAAACCUACCAAAUCAAGGAUCAAAGGGUAGAAUCCAAGACUUAACCUCCCAAGAUGCCUCCAAACAAGCUCCAAAUCUUUCUAGGGUGUGAGAUUGGAUCCACCACCAAGCCCUACAAGGCAAAGCCUCCAAAGCCUCCAAAGUGGAAAAAGAGAGAAAGGUGGUUUUGAGCUCCAAGCUCCCUCAACCUAGCUCCUCUUCUUCUCUCCUCCAUUAUCUUCUUGCUUCUCUCUCUUAGAAAGUGUUGGGAGCGGGAGUGAGAGUGAGGGAAAUGAGAGAGGGGAAGAGGAGGAAUGGCUAAAUAGCCAUCCAUGUAACAAAUCCGACAUAGGCCCUCCAAAAAUCCAAUAUAUGAUCAGCCCGGUCUGGCAGGGUUUUCGCCCAGAGGUACGGUCUUCUCACCAGCAGGGACCUAGUCUUCUCGCCUGCGAACCCGAAAAACCAUCGUCUCGGGAACGGCUCUCCCUGCGCGGACCGGUCUAUCACUGCGGAAGACGCGUUCGGGAACCGGUUCUCGCCUGCAGGGACCGGUUGCCUCAGCUGCCUUCAACACUGUUCAUGUUGGGGGACCGGUCUCUCUGUUUCAUUGGACCGGUCCCGAGCAGUUAAAAACUCUCGGAUUGUCCAGAUUUCCAGUUUCGAAACUUUUUAGGUCGUGGAGAUACUUCUACACCUCCACCAAGUGUUGAAAAGCUCGAAAUAGCAUCUAAAACACUCGACUCGCACAUUUGCAAAGGUCAGUGCGCUUACAUGGUUUGUCUUCAAGGACUCCUCCUGGAAACCACCAGAAUUGAAAUGGCUGGUGUCUUUAACGGAGAAUCGAACUUUAUUAGAUAUUGGUUCGAUCCAUGAUUGAGCUUUACAGACUUUCCUAUAUCGUUUUGGGGUUACGCACUUCUUCGGCUAUUUAUAUUCUAAACAUUGCCUUCCAAAUCGGGCGUUUCUUUUUCGACCACACUGUUGAGUCUUGUGACAUGGUAGACAGCCCAAGUUUUCUUCAUAUUAAAACUUUGGGGGUGUCCAGCUUACUACUAUUAAGAAAAUUAAAGAGCGAGACAAGUUGGAAAGCAGCAUCAGUCAAGGGUAGAUUCAUUUGGGAUUAUCCCAAGAAUCACUAUGGAUAUAUUUUUAUCUCCGGAGAAGGCCAUAAUGUGAUGGGAGCGGUCAUGCCUUUUUCUUUCUUGAAGUAAUUUUAAUUUUGGCUGAGGGCAAGUCGUGAAGAAAAAAAUAGAACUAGAAAGAAAGUCUCUUUAGAAUCAAAUAUUCCAAGAGCCCGUUCGCCAUGAUAACUUCUGUGACAACUUGAAGGUUAAUAACCGCCACCUCGCAAGUCUGAGUAGGUCUCCCGUCCCCUGAUAGAUACAUGGGAUUAAGUAUUUAUAGAGGUGAUGGAGUAUAUGUUCCUAAUGGGAGAUAAGGACCAUAGAAUGAUCCUAAGGACAUGUAUUAGCGAGGCGAUGUCAGACAUCGACUCCGAUAAUGGUGGAAGCAAUUUGAAGUCCGAAAUGGACUCAAUGUACCUCCAAUCAAGUAUGGACUUUGGUUGAUCCACCGGAGGCGUAUUUGUACUAUUGGAGUGUAAAUGGAUCUUUAGAGAAGAUUGGUUCUUGAUGGAAGGUAGAGACCUAUAAAGCUAUGGCUUAGUAGCCAAAGGUUAUAGUCAACGCGAAGGCAGUUUGACUAUCAGAGGAAUACCUUCGUUCACCCGUUAGCUAUGCUUUUAAGUCUAUCAGAAACUCUCGCUUACUAUUGCUCACUCACUGUAUUGACUAUGAGAUUGGGCAAAUGGAUGUGAAAAACUUGCCAUUCCUAAUGGACUAUCUGAAGAAGAUUUAUUAUGGAGCAGCCUUUGGUUUCACUUCCAAAGAUGAGGUCAUAAGGGUGGUGCAAGCUUCAACGAUCCAUUAUGGAUUGAGCUAAGCUUCUCGGAGUUUGGAACACUCGUUUCAAUUGAUGCAAUUCGAAUCGUGCCAAUUUCAUCAGAAAUGAGAAGAGCAGCUGUUGUGAUAGUUAAAAAGAUUAGUGGGAGUGCUGUUACUUUUUUCGUACUGUCACGGUGGAUGACAUACUCCUGAUUAGGGAAUGAUAUUCCUAUGGCUAACAUCGGUCAAGGUUAUGGUAUAUCUUAAAGAGUUUUCUAUGAAAGACCUUGGAGAAGCAUCUUAUAUUCUAGCGGAUAAAGGUCUAUAGGAUUAGACCUAAGAAGUAUGCUUGUUUAUCGCAAGCCUAUGCUACAUAGAUGAAGUGCUGUGAAAAGGUUUCAGCGAUGGAGAUCCAAAAGGAGGCUGUAUGGUACUCUAAGACAUGGAAUUUCAACCUCUCUAAGAAUAUGUCUCCUAAGGACACUUUAAGAGAGAAGUCACCAUGAGCAUGUAUCCCUUUUGCUUCAGCAAUAGGGAGCUUAAUAUUAUCGAGUGCUAUGUACUCGACCUGAUUAUAGACACAGGCUGUCUGGAGUGUCAACGAGCCAGAUAUCAGAUCGAACACAGGACAGGAACAUGGUUAGCGGUUUAAAUGAAAUAUCCUAAGUACUUGGAGAAGAACAAAGGUAUAUGUCCUGGUUUUUGGAUGAGGAGAACUCAAAUUUAAUGGCUAUGCGGUAUUGCGAACUUAUGUUUGAUAUAGAUCGAUAGAAAGUCUACGUCUGUGUAUCUGUUUAUUUGCAAUGGUGGCGUCAUAGUUUGGAAAAGUUGCAAGCACGAGACGAUUGCAGAUAAAUCUAACUAAUUGGGAAGCGGAUUUACAUCGUGCAUCUUAAGUGCAAGAAGCUGUUUGAUCAAGAAAUUGUCACUGAGCUUGGGUGGUUCCUUCAGUAAGGAUCCCAUGCACCUUACUUGUGAUAAUAAUGGCGCGCGUAGCAUUAGCUAGACCAGGGUCUCAUCAGAAAUCAAGCACACUUGAGCGGCUGGUAUCCAAGAUCUAGAGAGCACAUCUAAGGAUAAUUAUUAAAGUAUAGAAGGUUGCCUCGAGGAUAACUGGCGGUCUUUGACUCGAGCAGAAAAACUUAGACUCUCUGAAGAAGAAUGGGCAUAAGUACGAUGAGUGGAUUGGCUUUAGUGCAAGUGGUGAGAGAUUGUUAUGUAUACCCUAGAGCUCCUAUCAGUGCUGACGCAUUUUAUUUUCAUAUGGGACAUAUAUUGUGUACUUAAUCUUUAUUAUUUAUAUAUUGGGCCUUUUAUCAUUCAUGUUAAAUGUUCCAUAAAUCGUCGCUUUUGAUUAUCUAAGAGAUAAUAUGAAUUCUCAAGAGUUUUGAGAAUUUGGAUACUAUUAUUAAUGAUUAAUUCAUAAAAUGCUCUCAAUCGGAGGAUCAUCAUGGGGACGAAUGAUUGAUCCGUGUAAGAUUGAUGUGUUGUGCCGCUUCCCUUUGGGUAAGAAUCUCGAGUCAUCAGUGUGGGGACACAUGGAUGCGAACAAUGCAGAGUGGCGUUGUUGGACAACGGUUACUGAGCGUGACCAUCACGAACAUUACAUGGAUGCUCUACUCAUUGUCAGUUAACUGGUUCGACUGUUGCAAGUGUUACAACUGAUCCUUAGACCUAUGCGACACCACGGUCAUUCAAUAUUUGAGGCUUACUGUAGUGGUUGACUUGCAACCAAAGCUCUGAUCCUAUCCAUGGUUUCUUGAGUAGUAUAUGUUUGCUACAGUGUCGGAAUUCAUAUCAGGAAUGGAGUGUGCUGUUUAUAGGGGAUCUCGCUCUCGGUAGAGAGAUAAUUAGUUCUAUGCCUAUUUGUACGGGCAAAGCUUAUAAAGGUCCUCGGCCGGGGGUAAAUAUGGUUGUAUGGAAGAUGUUUCAAGAGUAACCAUAAAGAGCUUUAUGUCUGAUCAAAUUUCUUCAUAUGACGAUGGUGAUGGGGUUUGACGAAUAUUCACAUGACUCCACUCAGUUGGGACUAUGCGAUAGAAAGGAUUGUAUUGCUUUUACGAUUUUUAAAAAAAAAAAAAAAUUCAUGCACUAGAGGUUUCAGUGUCAUAUUCACUUCUGACUGCGAAUUUGCCGACUACAUACUGCUUAGGCGGUCACUGGAUGGAUUGUGGGAACCCAAUAGAAAUAAUGUAUUAACAAUUAAUAUUCUAUUGGGUAGAGUGUCAAAGGAGUUUGAGCAUCGGAAAGGAGUUUCGAUGAUGAUUGUAGAUGCGAGAUCGCUCAUAUCUCAACUACAGACAAAAUUGAACUAUUAGGUCACACCAUAAGACAAGUCGCGCAUGAUCGAUAUUUAGGAAAUGAUAAAAGAAGUUUAUCAGAUGGUAUUAAUUACAUUUAAUUAUAGUUAAAUACUUAAAGUUUACUUAUUUAUUAGUUAAAAAGGACUAAUUUGCCAAUUGUUCGUAAAUUAGGAGGUAUUUAUCGUGUAAAAUUGCAUGGUGUAUUACUAAUCGUUAGUAAAUAAAUAUGAGGACUUAUGGUGUAAAUGUUACACACGAAGUCGAAUUUAGAAUUUAUGGAUUCGGAAUUCGUUAAAUAUCAUAAACAAACUUGCGGUCUCCAGUUGAUGGAUUAAUCAAAUCGGAAUAGGAUUUCGGAUACAACAACUGGGGAAAAUCCCCCGAAGUCCAAGGAAUGAUCGGGUACAACAACUCGUGGUCCCGGGAUGCAACAAGAUACAAGUGGAAAUGCCAUCUGACUGGCAAACAUCGAUCUAUGAAUGAAUGCGACUGCACCGCGUAUGCAAACAAAGCUCGAACUCUAAUACAUAAUAGUUAAAAUGAUACCUGCGACCACAUCUCAGCUGCUGGCCGCCUACUCAGUCUGGGCGCAUACGAUGCGCCACUGUGGCCUGUCGUGACCCCCCGUCUGAUCGCUGAACAGGUGCCGUCGCUGCCUGAUGAUGCGUAAAGAUAUGUCCUCUGACUGCUGGAGCCUGGCGCGAUUGCUGGUGCAGAUGCGAAUGGAUGGGCUUGGCAAUGCGACUCCUCGGGCAGUCGGACUGGAAGUGGCCCUCCUUAGGCCAACAAAGAAAGCACCUACCCGGCCUGGAGUGUGAACACUGUCGAGGUAAUGGCGACCACCACAGAUCACGCAGCGGGAGCCUACUGAUGACAAUCGUGUCCUCGCUCGCUGAGUAGGACUGGCCACGUUCCUCCGCGACGAGCUCCGGCUUCUGGGGAUGCUCGGUGGCCUCCGUCGAGUGCGUCUGGCUUUCCACCUCAGCCGCGGGGCUCUUGCCCUUCCCUUUCUCCAACUCUCACGUACGCUCCUGCCAAAUCUUUAAUUUACGCCGCUUCUGCCUCCACUAUCAUAAGCUCGAUCCACAAUCUUUUUUUUUUUUUUGAUUUUUUUUUUUUUUUUUUUUAUCCCGAUAUGUCUCGCGGGUUGGAAGACGUGCACCAACCGAAGAUUGAGGCGCAACCGCUGCUAAAAAAUGCUGGCCUUAGGUCUCGUCAUCCGUCACAACAAACGGCAACAGUGUAAUAUCCGGGCAGAACCCCUCUCAUACUCGGACUGACCACUCGUCCUUGCCGCAAGACUGCGCAAAUCCCUGCUCAUCUUCCUCUUAACGCUGGUCGAAAAGUUGGUGCGCCAGAAGAAGCCUUCCUGAAUCGAAGUCACAGUAAUCGCCUGCCAUCUGGUGUUGGGGUUGUCUGAUAUCCAACACCAACGUAGGCCUUCGCCGUCAAGAAAGUGAGUGUGCGAGCCAAACUCCUGUCGUCCUCCACAAAGGCUGUCUCAAAAGCUGUCUCCAUGUGCCUAUCAAACCACUUUCAACAUCAGGUGUGUCGAUGCUCUCGGCCUCGAUCAAAACGUCUCGGGCUGACCUGCCUGAACUCACCUUGAGGCGAAUCCAUGAGCCGUCCCGCUCAUGCUCCCUCAAGCCAUUUACACGGCGAAAUGCCGCCCUUGUCGCUAGGUCUCUGAACCAAGUUAGUGCCGCAGCUACCUCUCCCGGAGGUGUGGGUCACCGGUGCCGCACGUGAAGAACUGGGGCAGGGACUGCUGCCCUCAGUGCGGACGUCCACCGGGGUGUUGCGGUGGGACCUGGGUCAUCCCUCGAAGCUGCUGCCUGCCUGAAGUAGAAGGCUCCUCCAGAAUGCUUUCAAUCCGCCGCCCUUCCUGCCGCUGAGCACUCAGUCCUGUCAGCUGCGCCCUGCCGUCUCUGAGCUCAAAGAUCGGUGAGAACCGCAAGCUGGGCCCUCCAAGUCACGGACUCACUGGAUCGGAAGUAGCGGAGGUCAUCGACCUCUCCGGGGUGUGCCGCAAUCAUCGCCCCCGGCUUCAGACUGGGAGCGGUGUAGACCGCAUCGUUACUAUCAAACUAAGACGCAAGUAUAGUAACCCACGCUAUAUGCACCCCGCUCAAAUAGAUAAAACCCCAAAUCAUGCCCGAAAGUAAGGAAGUGUCCUUACACAUACUAACACCCGAUGUUACGUUGUCUGCCGCCAACGUAACCCUCCGCGCGAAGUUAGAAGCCAUACACUACCGAUCAAAAGUCUAACUUUUUCAGAGUUUCAUAAACCCAAUACGAAAUACUCUUUCGCUCAACAAGUCAAUUAAACCUCGUCUCUCACGGGCCUAAUUCUAUAGUCCAACCGGCCUCCUUAAGGGUUGCAAGCGAUCCACUAAGACUCAACCCUAGGCUCUAUACCAAAUUAAUCUGUCACCCCAGGAACCGGAGGCCUCCCGGUAGCGCGCCAGACUCGCAUAUGUCUACACAUAAUAAGAGCGUCUUACGAUAAAAUGCGAAGUAAACAAGAGGUAGAAUAAUAGAAUUGAUAGCACGUAAUGAUAUCAGAUGCAACGUAAAGUUCUAUCAUCUAACCCAGAGUAAAAGAAACAUAUCUAACAAUAACAAGUAUAACCAUAAGGCAAUACACAUAUCCUGUCUCAAAGUUGUACACAAAAGGGGGGUCUCUAGUACACUGGGCUAGAGCUUCACCUCUCCAAAAAGAAAUACAUCGAGAUGUAGGGACACCGUAAAACUCGCUCCACGUCGCUGAAGGCUAACUCGAAGCAGCGGCUCUCCACGUCCCUGCCUCUUCCGGGUGGAAGGCUGCUGAAAGAAAUCCAUUGAAACAGAGGCGCUUCUGAGAACUAUAAUUUAUAGUUCCAGUGGGCAUAUUACAUGACCUCAGUUCAAUGCACCACUAGCCCCCAAAGGUAAAGGUCGUAGUCGAAGCAAUAGUAAUAACCGAGUUAUUUGCAUUUACUGAAAAGCAUAAUGAAAAUGCUAAAUAUUUACUUGCAUUAAACAUAGCAAUUUAUGUAAUGCACAAUAUUUUUGUCAUUGAAGGUAUGCUCUCUACUUAGCCAUAAAUAAUGUACAUCGUAUUGCUUAAUGAAAUUAUGAGAUUAUACUUCAUAUCAUAGCAACAUUGUAUAUAUGAUGAAAUAAGCAAUGUCUCCUAGCAUAUACAUGUAUGUAUGUAUAUCUAAAAUGUCCAACUUUAUGCAGAAGCAGUCGAGUAAUCCAACUAUCUACUCUCUAUCUAGUAGUGAUUUAUAACAAACUCAUCCCGUUGUCGAUUUCCAUUUCCAAUUAAGGGCCUACCCAAGGUAGUCCAGCUUGUGCCGCCUAAGUGCUGUGUAGCCCAACAUCCCUACUCUUGGAAUGUGUCUGUCCACUCGAUCCCGUAGGCUUCUCAAUACCGCACGAGCGAGACUAGUCGCGUUAGCUGACUCCGGGGUGCCGGUUUUAGGAGCGACCCUCACAAGCAUGUGCGAAUGAGCACAAAUUGGCAAACAAGCAAGGUCAAUGUCUCAAAAUAUCCAAUCAUCAUAUCAUCUAACAUGCAAUAAUCACUAGCAUCCUCGAAGAUCUAGUUCUAUGUCACAAUGUGAAAUUUCUCAUAUUUACUAAGUCUAGUGCCCCUUUAUGACACUUAGACAUUUUGAUGUACAAGCAUAUCCAACUCUCUCAGGUGGCACUAUCCACAUAGGUACAACAUAACCCGAGCUCAAUGCCCUUAAUGACAUUAGCCAAUUAUUCACAAGUUAGUACAAGAUCCCCCGGCCUCUGUAUGGCCUUACUAAGGUUCUGAUGUCACGGAUUAGGCAUAAGAGUUAAUACAUAAUAGCAAUGUCCAAUUGCAUAAUGGGAAUCAUAAUUCCAAAUCUCAACUAGGGAUGCUAUUAUCUCACGAUGCAUGCACUCCGCAACAUAGAGGUCCAAAAAUUUACUAGACAUUACAUAUUGCAUGUUAAGCAUUCAAAAAUUCAUAAUAAAUGUAUCUAACAUGAUUAUGCAUGCCUUUCCAUUUUACAAACAUAAAACAUACACAAUGAAUUUUCUCAUUGUGUGCUAGGUCAAACCCACGAACCGGGCGUAGUGCCUCGUUUCGCGAACGAAGUUGUUCACGAGCCUCAAAAUAUCCUAAAAGUAUUGAGCGAAGAGAUACAUGGUAUUAUGAUCAACUAUAAGAAUCAAACUUUAACAAACUUAGCCAAAAGGGCUCUAAACUCACCUAAAUGUGUAGGAAUCUCUCUCAAGCUUCAAAAGGAGCUAAAUCCUUCCAAUCCAAGCCAAAGGAGUGCUCUAAUCCAAAUAAUCUAGCCUCAAAAGCCCUAGCAUAAAAAGCCCCAAAUCAACCUAAAACCCAUUCUAGGGUUCCAUCUACAAAAAAUACGCUUCAAAACUAAGCGUUAGAGGAGGGAUUUAUGAGCAACAGACCUCCUUAGAAGCUCCAAUCAAGCUCCAAGGGUGAAGAUCUUCUUCUAGCAAGCCUCCAAGUCAAGCACCAAGCACCAAGGAAGAAGGAGGGUGAGAAGAUGCUCAAGUCCAAGCUAGGUCCUCACCUAUUCUUCUCUCUUAUUCUUCUCCUCCUUCUUUCUCUCUCUAACAAGAGUAUGGAGGGAGUGUGAGGAGAGAAAUGAGAAGGAGAGAGGGUGGAAGGGCUAUUUAGGCCAUCCAAAGUAACAAAAUCCAGGAGGUUUCCUCAAAAUUCAAAAUUGCAUUAGCCCGGUUUGGGCAAUUUCUCGCCCAGAGGGACCGGUCUCUCCCUGCAAGGGACCGGUCUCUCGCUGCGAACUCGAGGAACCAACGUUCGGGAACCGGUCUCUCCCUGCGCGGACCAGUCUCUCCCUGCGAGGAUGCCGCUCGGGGACCGGUCUCGCCGCAGGGACCGGUUCCUCAGGGCUGCCACAACACUGCUCACUUGGGACGGUCUCCUCCUUUCAGGGACCGGUCCCCACAGUGAAAAAUCUCAGGACUCGUUCAGAACUCAGAUUUGAAUUUUUGGAUCGAAAACAUUCUACGACCCUCCACCAAAUGUGGGGAAAGCUCGAAACACAACAAUCACUCGAACCUCGCAAUUUGCAAAGGUCCAGUGUUGUACGAGUACCGGUACAAGAAACUUUCACCGAUACACAGCCUUUUUCUGUGGUCCACUGUGCACCUUGUACCGGUACACAAAAUCAUGUCACCGGUUCAACAGCCUUUUUCAACUCAAACCGAGAGCUGCUUCUCUCAGUUUUACACUUUGUACCGGUACAUUUUUGAGUUAAACCGUAACACAAUUCCAGAUUUCAGAUUUUACGCAUCUUUUCGAUUCUAUUUCGCUCGAUAAAUGCUACAACCUUUCUAAUCUUUUAACUCAUUUCUAACCCUUCCAACCUUGUUGGAAUGUUAACUUGACUUUAUCCAACUAUUUCUUUCGUACUUUUAGUCGAUUCGACUAAAGCUCGAUAGACUCAACCGAGGUUUCAGUAUGUUACAUGUCUAAUCCUGUGGAUUCAAGAAAAGGGUUUGGCUUGGUCGAUUUAAAGAUUGCACCAUUUCGACUCCCAAGUGGUCCACAGCAGGUAUUAAACGAUUGUUCGGACCUUAGGGGUACUGAUCCCUUGCUACUUAACCAUCUAUCCAGACGCUAGGGUUAGUAUAAAAAAAUUAAACAGACUUUUGGAUACAUGGGGUAAAGAUAUAAAACUAGAGGUGCGCUAAGAUUAGUAUAAGAAAUUGACUGACAUUUGGAAUUAGUAGGAUGAAAGAUUUAUAGCAUGUUCAAGCAGCAUUACUUUUAGGGCGUGUUUGGUUGCGUUAUAUAGCUAUUUCGAUAUAACCAUGUAUCUGAGAUUUCUGAAUCAGAUUACUAUUGCAUAUUGCAUAUUACUGAGAUGAGUUUAGUGUAAUAAUGUAAUAUCGUAUUAUNNNNNNNNNNNNNNNNNNNNNNNNNNNNNNNNNNNNNNNNNNNNNNNNNNNNNNNNNNNNNNNNNNNNNNNNNNNNNNNNNNNNNNNNNNNNNNNNNNNNACGUUAGAAGAAUAGAUUGUUCGAGACCGCUCGCUAUCUCGAUAGCUCCGUACGGAGGCCCGCGAAUUGAAGGAGUUGCGGGCGUCAUUGAUAGAUCUCCCUCGAAUAAGGGAUUUCAUACGGCCAAAGUGAUCACCGGGGAGACCCACGUCGCUAUUCGUGGCGAAGAAUGGACGAUCGUUUCGACUCUGCGUAAAUUAUCGCGAGUUGAACAAGGUCACUGAUCAAGAAAAGUACCCGUGCCGAUGAUUGACCAUUUGUUUGAUAGUGCAAAUCCGGUUAUUCAAAGAUUGACCCUAGCCGUCCGAUUAUCAUCAGCUCAAUGAUCAAUGUCCGAGGAUGUGGCAAAAGACCCUGUUCGCACGCGGAGACAUUAUGAAUUCACUUGUCAUUCCGUUUGGCUUACUAACGCCUGCCUCAUGCAUUCAUUGGUACUUGAUGACCUGUGUCUUGCAAGGAGUACUUGGACGAUUUUCGUGGUUUUCAUAGACGACAUCAUUAGUCUAUUCGCAUAGCUGACGAGGAACAUGCCGAGCUAUUUGAGGAUAGUGGCUUCAAUCCUCGGGAGAGAAGUGAUCUAAAGUUUAAGAAAUGCGACUUUGGCCCGAGAGGUUCAUUUCUUGGGCAUUCAAUUUCCGAGAGAAGUAUCUGUUGACUAGGGAAGAAGAGGCGAUCAAAGACUCCUCCCCAUGACUCUAACUCAACGGAAGUUUCUCGAAGCUUCGUGGAGAUAGCGGUUAUUAUAGAUCGGUUCGUGGAGGGAUCCUCGUAGACGGGUCGCACAUUACCCGUCUGACUCGGAAACACCAAGUUCAUUUGAGUGACAGUGCGACCCGAAGUUUCUAAGAGUGAAGAUAGAUUAAACUUCGACUAACCGGUGCUCGCCUUACCGGCAGAACGAAGACUUUGUGGUGUAUAGCGACUUCACAAUCGAUGUUUGGGUGUUCUGAGCAAGGCGGGAAUUGAUCCUUAUUGCGUCGCCGCAUAAAACUAUGAGAAGAACUACCCGCACUGAUUUGAUGGCCGCAGUGGUGUUGCCCUCAAGCUAUGGAGGCACUACUUUACGGCGCGCAGUAUGUGAGAUAUACACACGACCACAAAAGUCUAACAGUACCUAUUCACUUACAAAAGAGCUCAAACAUAUCGACAGCGACGGUGUUGAAUAAUUUGAGAGGACUUCGAUGUCACGAUCCAUACACAAUCCGGAAAGCAAACUGUGCCGACCGCAUCAUCAGGAAAUCAGUGAAAAUCUGCUAUUUGGUCACACAUCAGGAGCCACAUGUGGAGAGCAGAUGGAGCGAUUAGAUCUCGAGGGGUACUCCGGAAAUCCGUCAUGCUUAGGCAUCUCGUUGUCGCCACCACCAUGUUGACAGAUUAAUAAGUUUGCCAACGCCGCAGGACCCAAUCCCAAAAGGUGCGGCGAGACAUCGAGAGUGGACACGACGGUGAUUUCAGUGUAGACGGCUGAGGGCGCUUCGGUUUUGCAAAACCGAUGUGCAUACGCGGAGAACGAGAGUCCGAAAGUUAAAAUGCAAGAGCACAUCGAACUCCUUAUAGCAUGUCACCCGGGUGGCACCAAGAUGUACCCGAUCUAAAAUCAGUACUGUGGCCGCGGGCAUAAAGCUGAUAUUGGCCUAUGUACGAAAGUGCCUUGUAUCAGCCAAGUGAAGGCGACGCGAUUUCCAGUGGGAAAGCUCCAAAGUUUACCUAUUCUCAGUUUGGAAAUGGGAGAAUAUCCGCCAAUGGAAACUUCAUGGCGAUUGCCCCGUCGAUGGUGUCCUACGACCGAUCUGGGUGAUUGUGGAUCGUAUGACCAAAUCGCACAUCUUCUACCGAUUCACACCACCUGGCGGGCGACAAUUGGGCGCUAGGUAUAUUUGGAAUGAAAUUGUGAGGUUGCACGAGGUCCCGAAGUCAUCGUGUCAAUCGAGAUCCCCGUUUACUUCGCGCAUUUUGGAAGAAUCUGCAAGAAGCACUUGGCACACAAACUCCCCCCCCCCCCGAUUUCCCCAGCCGCGCAAAACCCCGGUGUUCAUCCUCAAAACAAUGGAACAGUCAGAGAAGACUACUACAGUAUUCUGAGGAAUAUGCUGCGGGCGGUUCAUUGAUUACAAGAAGUUGGCAACGUCAUUUGAGAAUGCGCCGGCAGUUCGUCCUACAACAACAUUACCAAGCUAGCAUGGAAUGGAACGUUGAAAGUCCCUCUGGGACGAAAUGCCGAUCCCUUCAUAUAUUGAAGGCGCAUGUAGGUGAACCUGCGCAUGUCGCAGACUAUUGCCGAAGCCAAAGAGAAGCCGCUUGUCCAGAGGCGCUCACGCAUCAGUCGAGGCAAAAGAGCUUAUUUCGUCACAAGCGCCGUCGAGAUUUGAAUCGCAGUGGUGACCGCGUUUUCCUGAAAGUCGCUGCUAUGAGAGGCUGAAGCGCUUUGGGGUGCGGGGGAAAUUGAGUCCCCGAUAUAAAUCGGACCAAAUAUGCAAGUUUGGAACGUGUAGAGGGGCGUAGCUUACCGCUCGGCAUUGCCGCCGAAUGUCGCGAUAUCAAACGUGUUCCACGUCUCCACACCUUACGCAAAUAAGCACGACCACCUGAGCAUUGAUUUACAUAAACACCGCGGUCUUAACAAGAAAUUAAGGUAUGAAGAGUUCUCCGCAAUGAUCAUUGCUCGAGAAGUACGGAAUUGAGAAAUGGAGAUUCCACUAUUGAAGAUUCGUUGGAAGCACACACGAUAUCGCGAGCCACAUGUACUCGAGGAAAACGAUGAAAGUUGCAUUAUCCUCAUCUCUUCGAAGCAAAUGUGUUGAGGGUAUCGAGUUGGUUAAGUUUUAGUUGAAACUUCGUUUCGAGAAUAAAACUUUUUUUUUGGAGUGGAGGAUGUAAGGGUACCUGAACUUCUUAAAUUAUAAGUAGUUACGGGUGGUGAUGUAAUAUGCUGAAAUUUGAAUAAAAAAUAAAUAUAGAAUAAAAAAAGGUGUGAUAUCUAUUGUAUUGGACUUAUAACAGAAUAAUAGAGAGCGAAUGACCCCGUGGUUGAACUAUCUGACGAAAACGAAGGGAUUUAGAAUUUCGUGUGUGGAUAACGGCGCAGAUAGAUUAGCAAAAACGCAUAGUGUCAGAAAAUCAAAACGAAGAUCAAGCCAGAAUUAUCUGUAAUGAUGCUGAGAUUUAAACGUUUCGUAUUUUUCUGACACCGUAGAGUGAGAAAGUAAAAUCGGAAAGCGCAUCUGAUAAGAGGCAGUGUCGGGGCAAGCCGCAGGUUUUCGGUGACCAAAAUUGGGUCGAACUGGAAAGAGUUAAAAGUUUCGUUCGUUUAUAGUUAAGCAAUAACCGAACAUGACUGUAAAUUUGGAGCUCGAAAGGAUAUUCAGGGCGCCCGCAAAAUAUCAGAUUUUGAGCUGCCUGAUUUGAUAGUGUAUGCUACUGAUUCGAGUUUUGACUAAUAAGCUAUAGAACUACUCAGCUGCUUCUCUCUCCUCAGCCUCAGCCAGCAAAGGCAUCACAACGCACUGGUGGAAGGAACGAGAAACCCUCUCACUUUCCUCUCUCUAAAUAUUCCUCUCAUCCUCUCCUAGAUCUUUCGCGACCGAAUGAUUCGCGGCGUUGGUGGAGAUCGAGCUUGCGCAACCGCGUUGAGGCAGGGAUCGAGCUUUUCGGCGCAGCCGUUGGUAGCGACGUGUUUUCAUGCCGGCGUUCCACAUUGGGGUAAACUUUUGGAAUUUUGGCUAAUCUUUAACCUUAAGUUAUUCUAGUCCAUUAAUGAGCAUUCUUUAGUCAGUGUUGCCGCAUUUAAUUGAUCUAUUGUGGGGCUAUGCAUGUUAGGCUGCUCGAAAAAUGGGAAUUUAUACAAUACGUGAGGGUUUUGACUAAAUGAUCAUUAUAAACCUAAUGCUCAAGGUUUUCUGACGGCUUGGCGAAGUCCGGUUCGGAAAGAGUAGUACGACCGCGUACACGAAGAUAUUAAAAACGAAGCUGUUAGGGUACAGAUUGCCGGCAACUUGCCCAAAGCUUCCAAAAAUCAACGAAAUCGAGUGAAUCCUACGCCGUGAUAGCGGAUAAAAGUGGCGCGUGUCUGAUCCCGAGCAACUUGGCUUCCCAUAUUUAAGUAUUUCUAUGUUGAAAGCAAUGACUACAUAUAUAGUAUCAUGAUGUAGGGUAUUCAGAUUUACUUUUACUAUUCUUGGCAUGCUCGCCUUGAUGCGGCAUAGUUAGCUUGCAUGUGAACUUAGGUCAUGAGAAUGAAGUUUGCUGACAUAGAAUCCCUAUAGAGAAUAAGUUAAACAAUAACUUGAUCUUUGCAUGGAUGACAUAUACUAGUAUAGUGGGGGAACCAAUUGCAUUAUGGCAGUGACAUGUGAACCGAAGUAUCAAUUACGUUGACGAGUGCAUUAGAACGUAGUGUUAAAAGAAUAUUGUGGCAUUGUCAUAGUGACGGUACCUUCGUUGAAACGAUGAUCGUAUCCGUCACACAGCUGUUCAGCGCUGUGGUCGGUCGCCCCGCCACAAGUAGUUGCGAGCUCCUGAGUCCUUGGCACGUGAAACGAUUGGAAAGCCUAUGUGGGUCCCAAAGGGAUAGCGUAUGUGAAUGGGUCCCGCAGACAAUCCCUCGGUGGUUUCGAUCCCCGUUCAUAGAUCGGAUUGAAUUGUUUGAGUCGAGGGCGCGCGUUUGCUGCCAGCGCAGAUGAUUGGGUAAUGCAACUCAAGAGAAUUAUGCAAUUGAGCAAGUAGCAUAUUGAGCAUGUGCAUCAUGUUUGGCAUAAAGUUUAGAAUUUGCAAUGUAUUACUUAAUAAGAGUUAUUAAUAGCAUGUUAAGAGAUUACCAUCGAAUGUGAUUUGACUCUUGUUUCUCCGAGCAAUAGUAGAACCUUCUAAUUCUUCUAUAUGCAUCAAUUACAGUUACAGAUAUCUAUCUAUCAUGCUUUCGUCUGCUUAGACUAGUGGGAAAUCGGCGGACGUCGCGCCGAACCCACUGGGGAAUAAUUUAAUAGUUCUCACCACCGUGUGUUUUGGGGACAGGUACACACAGAGGCGAGCCGGCGGGACCGCCGCAGCAGGCAUAGCGCCCUAAGGUGAGCCUAGCUAAGUAGUUUCCUUAUCGAUUAAGUACGCUCGUUACUAAGAAUGUUUGGAUAGUAUGAGAGGCUAAUUUUGAAGAAAAACACUGUACUACAUUUUGGAAGAUGAAAAAUUAAUUAUAGUCAAGAUGUAAAAAUGGACAUGUGAGCUAAUACUAGAUAGUACUCUUCUUUAGCACUUUAUGUAUACUUGGUUACUGCUCUGUUGUAUGUGCCUCUUGGCUCUCUCCUUGUUGACUCGUGUAUGUAUGGAAUUAUUCCUGGGCAAUCUAGUACAUACUUACUUUGACCUUGGCGCGACAGGGAGGUGCUGUCCGUCCGCGUCUGUUCGACGCGACGCCCGAACUCGGACCAAAAUUGGUAGCGUCUCGGGGCGUGACACUCAGUCCCCUGCUCGCACCAUCAUGUAACUCUGUGCCCUCGUCUCUGGCUACAAUAUGUACACAGUUCAGAGAGCUCGAGUAACUCCGCGAACCGACUCCUGUACUGGCGAUGCUUCCUGCUCGAACCUCCUCAAAUCCUCCAUCGAGCUUCUGCUUCACAACUGUUGGGAAGAACAUCCGCAAACAGCAGUUCCAUCAGAACGUCAUCCCAACUCAACUUGCGCCGGCCAUAUUGUCUACCCCUGGUCCGCUCGUUCUCCGCCCCAGUCAUAGCAUCACCUAACAGACAGUGUACGCCCAGGGAUACCUGGCUCCCCCUCUGGAAGCGAAAACAGAUCCUCGAAUAACUUCGUCCAUCGGCAUCUGACCCAUCCCUCAACAAUUCAGCCUCAGUGCCUCUAGCAUCGAAGAUCGGUGGAUCAAAUCGCCGUAAAAACGAGCUAACCUCCUCCCGUCCACCGCUCCGCAGCCUCAGUCAACGGUACUGACCCCUAAACAGCCAACUGGGCGCUACUGGGAACUGCCUGCCGAUGGAGGAACUGCUGGCAGGUCGGCUGGUCACUGGGAGUAGUCGGGGGUGGAACUGGCGACUGUUCUGGUGCCUCUGUACAGAACUCGUAGGCUGAGCUAUCCUCUUCCACCAACGCUCUUGGCAAUAGCCUCCCUCUGCGUCCGUACCUCAGUCAGGGCAGCCAACACUGUGGCAAGUCAAUCUUGGGGACAUCGGCUCUCCGUCGGGCCCACUCGCUCACAGUACUGGGGUGCAGCUCGCCUCUGCCUGCUCAGCAUCUCGGCAGAUCCCACGAUCCCGCGCCAACUGGCACGCUCUCCCGGACGACGGUGACCUCGGCGACGAUACAUUACUGAAAAAGAAUAAAUCGGGUCAGAUACAACACAAACUAUCGCCCACAUCAACGAAAGUUCUAGAAGGCGGUCUCUGUUUCCUACCAAAAAUAGUGUCGUUCGCAGGCCAACAUAAUUUCUCAGAAAACAGGAACUCUUCAGUCACUCACCUCCCACUCUGAGGAGUUCAGAACAAAUAUAUCAUUGACUUCGCAAUAAUUCCAGCCUCUCGCUGUUGCUUUCACUAAGGUCGCUAAACUUAGGUUUCUAGGUCCCAUACACCUAUAGCUAAGCUCUGAUACCAAAUUAAUCUGUCACGCCCGGAUUACACUUGUCCCGCGGCGCCCGACAUAAUCUGCUCGUAUACAAAGGAAUUUCCCCUGUAACUAAGCGAUACUGUACCAGAAAAUCAAACACAUACCACGAACAGUAUAGAGAGCUGCUGGAGAGAACAAGAGAAACAAACUGAGUUUCAUAUACAUAGUCCAGAUCAAAAUACAAAGCUACUCGCACUGCAGUAAAGUCCACUAUGUACAUAAACUCGAAACAAAACAUCUACCUGCAGUAGGAGCACCUCUAACUCAGCACGUCGGGUAGGCUCUAACUCGCAACGCCCUUGCCUCGAUCCUGAUCCGCGGACGGUGGCAGCAAGCCGGAACCUGUGCUCUGCAAAAACAUAGGUAACUAACUGGCGUGAGAACUACUGUAAAAACAAGUAGUCUCAGUGUACCGCCCAAAACAACAUCGGUCUACCCAUCUAAGUCUACAGAAGGGAUCAAGAAUAGUAGUGAAAUGCAGGAAUAAAGUCUACCGCUAUCAAUACUACACUAAUCAUGCUCUACAUACUAACCAACUGUAGAAAUGUCCAACCUGACUCCAAUCCAAUCGGGACUGUAAGCAUAACCCGUCCCGGACUGUGAAUACACCCGUCCUGCCCUCCGUUGUGACUGUCAACUCUAUCCUCACUAACUGUCCGUGGAAGCAGUCCAACUGUCAAUGACGACAACCCAAUCGCCAAGCACAAAGCCUGACUCGGAGUGCAACUCGUGGGCGCUACCAACCGAGUAUGCAGCGAUCUCUGUCGAGCUCAAACAGCGCUCCAACUAGCCAAAGUCAAGUAACAGGUCAAAACAGGUCUACAAACCAAAACCGCACGUGCCCUCGCACAAUUCUGUGACCAAAAUAAGAAUCUGGUGCCACCGCUAACCGAAAACGGCACCAACGACCCGAAACAGCCAUAACUCUACUGAAAAAUAAGCUCGCAUCUCAGCACGACGUAAAUGCUUCUAAACUACCUGGGGUACUCACAACCCGAAUACAAAACUGUAUAUAAAAUACAAACGGCCCCUAAGGCUAAAUCAGGUAUUCAACAUAUGCCAGAUUCCGAACGCUGAUUUUCUCCUAUGUUUUAUCCAAGUCCCACAUGUAUGAUUAAUAACAACUAAUAACAUCUCCCAAUUCAGUUUAUAGUUCUAAAACAUACCUACUUAUGAUUUGAGCUAAACAACAAUAACAACUUGUAAUAUUAACGAUACACUGUCAUGACAAUAUUAUAGGCAGUAGGAUUCCGAUGAUAAACCCACCUCGUAUGCUAAAUCCAACGCGGGCGACGUCGAGAACGGCGAAACCACGCCCAUCCGCCCGGACGCCUCGCGAUGCAUGACUGCAACCGGACCUCGAACGCUCCGCGGCGCGAUGUCCGACGUUGAAUCCGAGCUCCACGGCUACUCCCCCAAGCUCCACCUCGUGUGGUUCACUACUUCACACUAAAAAGAGAAAGCAAAAACUAAAUUAAUUAGAGCCACCCUCAACCAGAUAAGCAUGCAUGGGGGAGUGCACGUGGCAUCCAUAGCCAUGCACACUUAGUCUAGGUACUAAUAUAUACAUAUAUAUAUAUAUAUAAAGAAAGGAUACUACAUAAACGGAUCGUUUAAUUCGGAUUUUCAAUAAUUCGCGAAUUAACUAACAUAGCCCCAAACCCGGGGAGGCCUUGUCAAUUCAUAGUUAUAUAAAUACUACUAUAAUAAAAAAUAAAUAUAAAUAAAUAAAAUAAUAAUAAUAAUAAUAAUAAUAAUAAUAAAGAAAAAGAUAAAUAAAAGUUUAUAAAUAAAUUCAAAUUCAAAAUUCUAUUUUAUGGUUAGGUUAAAAUUUUAAUUUUAUUAUUAAUUUCGAAUUUAAAUUUAAAAAUUUAAAUUUUUGUUUUUGAAUACUAAAGUAAAAAAUAUACAAAGUUUAGGGACCAAAUUUGACAUGCAAAGGAAAACUAAGCAGCAUGGUAAUUUCGUUUAAUUUAAUACCUCUUUUAAUAGAGGAAUAUAACCGCAAUAAAAUCAAGAGAUUAAAAAUUUAAUUGUAAAAAAAAAUAUUAUAGAUAAAAUAAAAAAUAGUGCAAUAGUUGGAAACCAAUGAUGUGAAAAAUUCUUAAUAAAAAUGUGUAUGCCCCCACAACCGCUAAAAUAAGAAGAGGCUAGAAAAAAAACAAAAAAAAGCGCAAAGAAAAAGAGUGUGGGUCCCACUACUAUGAAAGAAAAGGAAAAAGGCCAAAAAAAAAAAAUAAUAAAAAAAAAGAGUAACGGGUCCCACGGGCCCUGGAAUUCCGAGAGAGCUCGAAAUGGUUCCCAAUUAAUUAAUGGAAUGAAAAUCCACAAACCAAAAAACACUUAACUGUUUGUUUAAAGAAACAACGACAGCACAAACAGAAAAUUAGUAACCGUAAACUCGAGGGGAAUAAAAAAAAAUAAAAAAAAAAGAGAAUUAAUUGGACGCCUUUUUACUCAUGAUACAAAAUUGGAUGAUACACAAAAUUGUACACAGAGUAAUCCAAAGAUCUAUCUACUCUGCGCCAUAAAGUGAGCACAAGAAGUACGGUGUUGAAUUAGGGCUGCGAAGAUAACAGGUAGCCGACGACCUCAUGAAGUGUCGGGUAUCUAAAAGCAGAUAAUAACAACCCAAGAGCAACGACCGCUACAUGCAGUUCUUGUUUAGAAAUGGCUUGGGAAACACAUGAUGGUCCCUCAAUCUUGCGAUCCCGGCUCGGAACGCCUGCCGCAGGAGAUUGACCCAUUCCGCAAGUAUAGAUUCUUUUGAUUGCUGUAUAAGGGUGUACUCCUGCUCCAUAGUAUGUUCCAGCUCCUCGAAAUGCUUCAACUUAUAUUGUAUCUUUCUCAACUGGGGAAAGAACAGAAAGAAAGACAGAAAGCAAAACAUAUACCGGGUAAAUGCUUCAUUCCUCUUUUUAUCUCAAAUCCAAUAAUACGAUAUAUAAUUCGGAAUUACUGAAAGAACAGCAACCGCAACUGAACUUUCGAAAUGACGACAUCUAAUCCAAGGCCAAGAUAAACAAAUAAAUGAAGAUUAUGUCCAACAUGCUAAGGCCUUAAUGAAGAUUAUGCCCGACAAGAUUCUGUGCUAGUCUCACCAUUGAUUCAAACAGUAUUAAUGAAGCUUUUGUCGUAAUUUUUUGUUUCCCUUGAGGCAGUCGUGCUAGCUGACAUUAUUCAAGAACUGUACUACUUUCAUUUUACCGAUUGACAAAAUAGGAAUUAAUUACAAUGUCAGUCUGCUGUCAAAGGGAAUUAAUUCCAAUUCCAAAAGCCAAAUAGUGAAAUGACAAAGGAAAUGGGCAAAAACAGUGAUGUGUACCUGUGCUUCAAUAAUAGACGCCAUUAAGAGUUGCAUUUCCCUCUCUUCGUGUUCUGCAAACAGCUUGGCUCGAGCAGCUGCUGCUCCCAUAGCUGUCACAGUGGCAGCUCGCAUUCGAUAUGCUGCAGCACCAAAGCUCUUGUCCAUUUGGCACUCUAACAUAUAAAUCACAGAGAAGAUUUAGUUACAUGCUGAUUGCUGAAGGAGAACGUAACUUUGCAUGCGCCAAAAAAAUGGGUGCCAACGGAUAUUAGGUCAACAUAUAGAACCAUUUCAUGAUAAUAUUUGCCAAAAUAUUGCUUAUCUCUUCUAAGAGAACCAACAUUUCAGACCUACAGCACACUAUUGUUUCAUUUCAUGCGCUCUCAUCAGCGGAUACUAAAAUACUUUAACACAAGGAUACAAGAUCUGCACUUAUUAUUCAAUGGUGCAAAAUCGAAAUGUAAAAUCUUACCAGAACUAUAGCAUAAAUUGAAAUAGAUCAGAACUCGAAAGAAAAUUUGAUUUUACUACCAAGAACUACUUGAUCAAACUGUUCAACAGAAUGUUACAAUUUACUAUCUGAAAAAUGGGUUAAUGGCUGUUUAUGUAUACUGUGUAUAGCAAAUAGGCACAGUUAUGCUGUGUUCCCAUUAUGUCCAAAGAUAGCACAUAGGGAAUUUUAUGUUGAGGCCAUUUCAAAGAAUCAGAUAGGUUAGAACCAUCUUUGUAACUAUUAAGGAUCUUACUCUCACGCACAUGCUUUUGCCUUUUCCACAGUAAAAUAUGAUAAUAUAUUAUACUGUAAUCAAUCACAGAAACUAAAGUCUCAACUAGAUUCUAUAAACUGAAUUAUUCGGAUUUCUAACUAAAACCAAAUAGGAUUCGCAGACAAACCAUCAAGUCAGAGAGAUCUGGAUUUUAAGCAUUUACCUCAAUUACAAACAUUAAACAAUAGUACCAGUAAAGAGUAAAGACAGUAUGAAAACCACAUUAGCAUAAGAAUGUCUCAUCAAACAGUUAUUGAGUAUGUCUAUUAAUAUAAAAUAAUAUCAGUCAAUAUCUCACCGACUACAAAGCUACAAGACUAUAAGGUAUUGCACAGGGUUUCAAGAAUAAUUCAGAACUUGCCGUUCCAAGAUAUUCUCAAUAAUAUUAAACUUCGAAAUUGAAUCACGUCAAUCCUAGUCUAGAGAUACACUUGAGAAACUUUUGCACCUGCCGUCACAAGAUUCUAACGCUCAAUUUGUGAGGUCCUAAACCAAUAAGUCCUACAAGUUCCUACCCAACAACACACCUAUAAGAGGACAGUAUAGGUAUUAUCUAUUUACUUAUUCCAAUUGUUGGCCAAACACAAUGCAACAAGUAAUGCAAUAAAGAAAACAAAAAUAAAAUAAAAUUAAGAGACCGAAAGUUUACACUGAAUUGUGUGGAAAAACAACAUGAUCAGGAUAUGCAAAAGCUCAUUAAGAAAAGAGAGUACAAAAGGUAGUUGACGGAAAAGAACACGGUUUUUGACCGUGUUUUCCAAUGCCUUGAGAAGGAUCUUAUGCUAAAACAAACAUGUAGAACACUAGUCCAAGAUUUAAAUCCAAGCUACCACCUAAAUUCAUGGGCCACUCAAAUCCACUAACAAACACACUCAAAUCAAUGAGCAGAAAAUGAAGAUCAAAUUAUGUAAAAAUCAACCCUAAUCACCCACUUUAGGACAUGUAUAUAGUGAAUAACUCUGAAGAAAUUAGGGAUCAGAGAAUAAACCUUGCAUAAGAUAGGCUGUAGAUCAGAAGAAUUCCCAGGGAUGUUUGGAUGCUCAAGAAGAUCAAGAUGAACAAUCAGACUACCAAACAACCUAAAGAUAAGUUCUAAAUUCUUAAGAUACGUAUUUUAUAGUUCAAGGGUAGCCAACAUCCAUGUCAAAAUGUGAUAAAAGCACUAAAUCCAGACAACCUAAAAAUACAUUCUAAAUUCUUAAGAUAAGUAUUUUAUAGUUCAAGGGUCUCAUAAAAGCCAAAAUCCAAGUCAAAAUGUGCUAAAAGCACUAAAUCCGUCUGGAUAGACUUAAGACUGCUCCAUCAAGUCCGUCUGGAUAGACUUAAAGACUGCUCCAAACUAUUCCUGAUGGAAUAGUCAAGAGUGCAUUGCACAACACACUGUGCAAAUCAGUUCGUACCGAUUGAAAUCCAAUCCAGAGUUACAGAACAGACCAGUGAGAGAAUGUCUUCUAUUUUGAAGUCAAAAUUCAAUCUGCAUCAAUCUAACAUGCUAAACAUUCUCAAGUGAUCUUUAAAGCAAUUUACUCGUGCAAGACCAACCACAUGUGGAAUUCGAGCAUAUAGUUUUGUCACUAAUGCUCACUUCGUCUACACUAGAAAACACAAAGACUAAAAGAAAAUUAACAUAAAAGUAGUCGAUGACUACUUUCACAAAACUUGCCAACACUAGAAACACCUUAACACACUUACCUUUAAACUUGAAGAACCGGGACAAUUCUAAGUGUCCGAUGCCUAUAUGAUAUGCCAAUAUGUGCCAACAUGGAAUUUUUCUAAUAGAACAAGUAUCCAGGUAACACAUGUUACGAUCACCUCGAAUCCUAGAAGGAUCCGGAUAUGAAGUCUUUUUCUUAUUAGAUUAGAAUUAUUUUACUUAUUAGAUUACGAAAGAUAUUUUAUUUGAUAUAUCCACUAAAUUAGAAAUAUUUUAUUUAUUAUGUUCAUAUUUAGUUUCCUUACCAUUAGGACUGUUACGUAUUCUAGGCCUAUAAAUGAGAGGCUUCUCCUUUGCAAUAAUGAUCAAUUUUAUUAAUAAAGUAAGUGUGUUUCUCUUAAUGGGUUUUAACUUGCCCUAAGUUAGAAGAGAAGAACCCUCUUCUACUUGGAACGGAGAGAGGCAUGUAAUAAACACGCUAAAUAUAUCUAUUGGUAUCAAAGCUACAAUAAAGAAGAGGGAGAUCCUAACAAUUUGGUAUUAGAGCAGUUUGAUCUUCAGGUUAUUCAUCUACGACUUCGUUUGCACGGGCAAAGUAGGAGAAGCGGCAAAUCCGCUUGAUCAGAGCAGCUUUUAGUAGAAGCGUGCAAGUUCUCUUCAAAUUUUUAUUAGUAUUUAAAUUUCUUUGAGGUAUUUAAUAAUUUGUUAUAAUUUCUUGGAUUUCUCUACUAUUUUAAAAAAAUAAAUUUAGAACUAAAAUAAAUAAGAAGUUAUUUAAAAAAAAAAAAUCUUACGGCCUAUUGGAAAAAAUUGUGUUGCUUUUAAUUGUGUUGCUUUUAAAACGUACCCUAAAGUAUCUUUCUAUUUUUUAAAAAAAUGGUAACAAUUUGAAAAAAAUAUUAAAAAAUUAAAUAAAAUUCUUAAAAAUUCAGAACGAAUCUGAAAAAUUUACGAAAAAAUUUGAAAAUUUAAAAGAUAAUUUAUGUCUCAAAUAUUUUCAAUAUGAGAGCAAAACCUAAGAUAUUAAGUUCGUUUGAGGAAGAAAAAGAACCUCUAGGUUGGUUAUCUCAUAUAGGAGAAUAUUUUGAUUAAGAAAGAAUUUUAGAAAAUAAUAGCCUCAGUGAAAUAAUUUGCUAUUUGGCGGGUAGAGCAAAACGAUGGGUCAGAUGGUAUAAAGAUGAGACGGACCAUUUAAUAUAGAGGCAAUUAAUGUGGGCUCAUUAAAAAAAAAAAUGAAUACUGUGCCAUGGACUAUGCUUCUUCAGACUUGCAACAUCGUUCGUCCUAUACAACCAUCAAGAGUCGUCACUUAUGGAGCAACGACAAAAUCAACAAUUUCAAACCUUACAAGCUUCUGUAUUGUAGAUGACGCAAUAAUUUAGAACUUUUCGAAAAAGUUUUAGACCAAAAGAUGAUGCCUAAUCAUCAUCACAAAAAAGACAAUCGCAACUCAAAUUGAAUAAUUUUCAAUUAGCUGAUAUUCAGGUCCAAAAUUUGUCAUGAUGUUGAUCAGACUCUAUGUUGCACAGAUACGGAUACGGGGAUACGGAUACGACACGAUACAGAUACGGUAAUACGGCAAUUCCUAAAACUUCUUGGAUACGAUACGCGGGAUAUACUUGAAUAAAAUAUUAUUUUAAAUAUAUUUAAAUAUAUGUUAAUUAUAUGUAAUGAUAUAUUGAGAACAAUCAGGAUAUCUGGACUAUAUUAAGGAAUAUAUUUUAAUAUGCAUUAACUUGUAUAAUUAUUCUGCAUAUGUUCAUAAAAAAAGAUAAUCAAUCAUAUGAAAUAAUAAUAUAAAAAGUAUCAAACCAACUACAAUCCAACUUGAUCAAAUGACAACAAUAGAUACAUAGUCGCACAAACUAAAUAAUUAGUCAUUCAAUAUUUAUGUAUGUUUUGUUAGUUCUAUAAUUAAAAUAGUAAUAAAAAAUAUGCUAACAAUUUAAUAGAGAAGGAAAAAAAAUCAUAUUCUCUAUAGUCUUUGUUUGCUUAAUGAUAGAUUGACAAAUUAGAUGAAAGAGAAUAAAUACUGUGUGAAGAUAGAACGAGAGGGAGCGCCUUCUACCGUUCAAGAGCAAAAAAAUAGAGGAAAUGAUAAAUUGAACAGAGAUUGAUCGUUUUCUCACUCUUUUCCUUCUUUCCAAUAGGUUUGGACGUGAGCUUUUAAAAAAAUUUUAAGUUUUGAUCAUUUUAGACCAAAAAAGAACCUAGCCGUGUCCCCCCCGUAUCCCGCCGUAUCCCUCACGUAUCCGAGCCGUAUCCGAUAUUUUUUUUUUUUUUAAAUGCCGGAAACUCCAUUCCCGUAUCGGACACGUAUCGGGCACGUAUCGGUAUCCGAUACGUAUCUGAUACGGGUACGGCAUGAAAUUUGAAGUAUCCGUGCUUCAUAGAUCAAACUACUCCGCAGACUACCGAUUAACAAACAAAAUUCCAAAUUCCUCCACACAACCAACCAUCGCCUCUGUCAAAUCCUCUACCAUCACCUCCACCGGUCGUUCCUCUGCUGUCGCCACCAUCAAUUGUUCAUUCACUAUUGCCAUCUCCGAUUGUUUCUCAGUCACCACCUCCACCGGUUGUACCUCCAUCGGCGCCUUUAUAGCCAUCGUUGUCACUAUCCGUAUCUGUUUCAUUGCUUUAUCCAUCAUCGAAUAUUUCAAAGAUGUUAUCACUGUAAAUUCCUAUUUUCGUGCCACAAGAAGACAUUGAUAUGAUUUCGCCAAUGAUUAAGUCGAUUACACGGACAAAAUUAUUCAGACUUCAUCAUCAAUUGUUGCACUAUAUUGGCUCACACCUUGAGGACAAGGUGUGUUUCAAGUGGAAGGAAUUAUUACGAUCACGUCGAAUCCUAGAACGAUCUAAUCAUGAAGUCUUUCUCUUAUUAGAUUAGCAUUAUUUUACUUAUUAGAUUAGCAUAGAUAUUUUAUGUUACAUAUCUACUAAAUUAGGAAUAUCUUUGAUUUAUUCAAUCCUUAUUUAGUUUCCUUACAAUUAGGAUUGUUACAUCUAGGCCUAUAAAUAAGGGGCCCCGGUCUUUUGUAAUAAUGAUCAAUUUAUUAAUAAAGAAGUGUGUUCUUCUUAAUGGCUUCUAGCUUGGCUAAGUUAGAAUAGGAGGCCCCUCUUCCCCUUGGAGCUGAGAGGCUUCCAAUAGAGACGUUAAUCUAUCUAUCGGUAUGAAACCUACAAUCAUGAGCGGGGUAUCCUAACAUAACACCAUUCACAUCCAUCUACAAGAAGAUAAUGGGUAUAUCUCUUGCUUCUCUUUCUUACAGGGAAGCAACAAAGAGAUAGUUUCCACCUGAUUUACUCACAGAAGGUUUACUUAUAAAAUCUAAACACAUCGAUUUUCUGUCCAAAUAUACGACUAUAUAGGGGCUUAAUACAAGUAGCUAGUGGGUAAACUUAAUGUCUUCAAUGCUACGACUCAAUGCAAGCAUAAUUCAUCUUGAACCAAAUGACUUAGUACGCUUCUAACACCUCUUGUUAUAUGAAUACUAUGCAAGUUGCCGAUAAUGGCCAGUAUCAACCAAGCAAUGGGUCAUUAUUACUUAUGUUUGUUGCGUAAUAUAACUCAUAAAAAUGGCAUUUCCCUCCACAAAUUAGGGCCAAGUUCUACCAAACAUGGAAGUACUUUUAACCUUUUUUUGGUGUACUUUCUUCAACAACAACUUCUAUUUCUUAAUUGAGUCACACCCAUAGGAAAAGCACAAUCUUCUGCGGAUGAACACAAGUGUGUGGGAUUCAAGUUUCAGAUUGAAAAACACUUUUGUAUCCUCCUAAUCAUUUUAAAAAGAUAGGCUUCCUCUAACCACUGUUAGGGCAUCUUAAGAAAAAGGAUAAUGCAAAGAGAUGUUCAAAAAUUGACAACCUAAAAAACAUAAUUUAUGACCAUGAAUGAGCUUUUGGCUGGGAGUGAAAACCUUAUCUAGGAAAUACAUUAUGGGUCUGGAUUGCCAUUGGCAGUUUCUCUAAAAGCCUAUCCAAAAAAUACAUUCAACCCCCAUCAAGUGAAGCAUUAUACAUAAGGUUUGGUAUAAAACACACAAUGUAUUUCCAAAACCGGUGGUCCUAUUUAGCAACAUCCAUUAUUGGCAACAAUACUUGCAUCUUGUUACACAUCUAGGAAAACAUAAAAUUUAAUGCUGCCUACCAAGCUCCCCAUGAGCCGGAAGUCUCAAUAAAAAACUUCCCAUGACAUUUCUAGCGUAUUUUGAAUGUCCAUCACCUAUCAUAAGAAAUUCCAUUUGCAGUAAGGUUGACUUUAGUGUUUUUUCUUGAUUACACUCCACAAAGAAUUAAUCUUUGGGGUGCACUUUGCCAAUUACAUUUCAGAUCACCAUGAGGAAAUGUAAUGCAAAAAGAUACUCAAGGAAAAAGACUGACAAUAAACAUGACAGAUCUUAUUUUGUGGUAGAUUUUCGGAAAUGGAGAUCGAUGUAGAUCAAGAAAUUUAUAGAACCCCAAAAUAUUUAAAUAGUUUCUUGUUUGAAAAGAAAAUUAAUAUUACAUUCUACAAUAGGAUCCUAUUGCAAAGUAAAUUCUGCUAGAUAGAAAGACAAAGUAUGCAUCUAGUUGACGAACUUUACAGAAAUGAAAAUAAAACAACUAAGGAAUGAUGCUAUAAACCAUCUAAACAGUGAGAUCACUGUACCUGCUCGUUGAGGCAGCAUCAUGUCCUGAUCCCCAACAUUGAGGCCACUGAAAGCAUUAUUACACUAUAAGCACAUAAACUAGAAACAAAUGAAAACUGCGGGCUAAUGAACAAACACUAACCUACACUGGUCACCAUUAGACGAAAAUGAAUUAUUCAUAGUUUCCUCGUUGACAAUUAAGGCGUCCCUUGCACGUGUAUUUUCAUUGCACAGUGUUGUAACAGCUGUGUCUGCUGCAGCAGCAGCAACAUGGGGACCAGCUACUGUAGACAACAAAGCCACCUAACUAGACAGAACCAGUUUCCAAUUUACAUUCUAAAUUUACAUCAGAUCUGCACAUUUAUAUAACAAACCUUCGUUUAUAAAUUAGCACAGGUUAAGAAGAAAAAAAAUGAAGUACCUGGUUCAUUAGUGAGUCAGUAGCAUCUAAAGAAGAGAGGAAGCAUCUCCUCUUUAAAGGACGUUCUUCUGUAGAUUCAUCCACAACAUUCUCCUUCCCAUCAGUAUGUGUAGAAGUAACUGAUUGAAUAGGCCCCUUUGACAACUCAGUUAUAGAAUUUUGGUUUGUUUUGAGAUCAUAAGCUUGGAUUACAGAGGUUCUACUGUCACAUUUACCAUUCAUGCUGCCCAACAUAUGUUCACCGAAAGGUAGCUGGAUAAGCCUCGCAAUACAAUCAGAUUUACUUUUAGUACGUACGUGCUGAGCAAUAAGAUCCCAGUCAUCUCCAUGUUUUAGGACAGCUUCCAAAAGAAGAAGGGUCUCGGCAUCCGUCCACGCACUAGCCGCACCAUUGACAUCACCAUCUUUGUGAUCGCUUAACUGCACGGUUUCUUCCUCACAAAUGACCUUACUUUUUGAACAUUUUGCACAAACUACAAAUCCACCCUUCAUGACCUUAAUAGAAAAGAUUGUGAUAUUAAUUUAACCUUCAUAAACCAGUGAUUCUUUCAUAGGAGCAAAUAAAUAUCUUAAUUCAGUGAUGAAUUCUGAUAAUUAUUAGAUUAUCAGAAAACAAGCACUACAUGGUAAACCAUCAAAGUUAGUAUAUUUAUCAAUAUAAAUUUUGGGCUGAAGAAGCCAAAGUACAGUUAAGCAAUUGAUGAUCUAAUAACAACAUACAUGAUGGGACCUGUUAAACAUGGAUAAUUUAAAAUUAUUGCAACCCAUCAAAAUCAAACAAAAUUAACAACACAGAUCAACAACUUAAAGGAAAAAGGAUGCACCCAACACCAGCACACCAAAAUGGAAAUGCACCUCUUCCAAUUCACUCUCUAAAUGCAAAGACGGAGCUAUUGCAACCUUUUUUACGUGUUCUUGUGAUUAGUCUUCAAUCUUCUAAGAAAUCUCGCUAAUCCGGAUCCAACUCUUAACUGUCAUGCUACUCAAUCCCCCCCNNNNNNNNNNNNNNNNNNNCAAAAAAAAAAGGGAAAAACUGAAAAAGAAAAGAAGAAAAAAAAAAAAACUACCUACCCUUUAACAGCUAUACAAUUUGUUAGUGCUUCAAAAGAAGGCAUACAGCAUCGUCAUGCAACCUCAGAAAAUUUACACAUGCCAAGACUAUUAUGAUGACAAUCUAGACCACUAACAUGCUAUUGCAGGACAGAUAUUACAAAUGCAGAGAACCGUCUACAACACAGAUUUCAUUGGUUACAAAUAAGAGAAUUAUCAUAGGGUCUACCAAACAAGGCGACUAAUAAAUAUUUAAAGUAGAAACAAACUCUAGUAGAGUAUCAAAACGCAUGAAAAAAAGGCUCCCACAUAUUGAGUCAGACACCAGUUAUUUCCCAUAUGCAAGCCCUUGAAUAUAAUAAGCAAUAUACGAUACAAUAUAUUCAAUUAUGUAGUCUUUAUGUUAUAGUUGCUUCAAAGUAAUACACAACUUUGAGGCAUGAUGUUUCCAAAGCAUCAAUUAAAGCAACAGAUGAUGAGAUGCAAUGCAAUUUCCUUGAGCAUCAAGAAAAGCAACAAACGACAUUGUAACAUGAAAGUUUUUAAAUUGCUAUAAUUACAAAGGACAUCCACGAAUGCUUCUCAGCAUCUUAAUUAUGGUUUAGAAGUCAUACAAAACAAAACACACAAAUAUAGGAUGGUAAAUGAUCUUUACAUUACUGCAUUAUAGACCAAAAAUAAUGAUUUCGACACAAUGUGGCCAGGUGAAGAAGGGUGGCGCCUACUAAAAUAAGGGGGAGAGUUACAUGAAGAGCAGAUUUCCUAGCAGAGGUCACUGAUAAUGGAUUGAAAAAAUGGAUUGAAAAAGAACCUAACAGAAUGACAAAGCAGAAACUAGCAAAGUGGAAAAUAUAGGGGCUGAAAUGGAAUUUGCAAAAAGUUCUUAACUAUUAACUACAGAAAACAUGUUAGUAGGGCAAAUCUCAUUUUAGGCAAACCAAUUUCAAUCCCUAUGCACUGUGAAAACACAAUCAACGUAAACAGGCAUCCGCAUAUUAAAAAAACUAUAGGCAACUAGCAAUUUCUAUAUAUAUAUAUAUAUAUAUAUAUAUAUAUAUAUAUAUAUAUAUAUAUAUAUAUAUAUAUAUAUAUAUAUAUAUAUAUAUAUAUAUAUAUAUUUCCCCUUUCCUUUUCUUCAUCUUGAUACAGCUUACCUCCAUCAAUUCAUGCUGACCUGCAGAGCAUUCCUCCCCACAAAAUCCACAAAACGGUGCCUUCCGUGGCGUCCACUCUCCAAACACAUCAGAGUACGACGUCAAAGGCGGCAGCCUACACCCAAUCUCAUCACCGCCCACAGCAGAUGCUGCAGUUGCCGCCCCCGCACCUCCCGACUUCCUCUCGGCAGCGUACGACUGCGGCAGCGGCGGCACCACCCGCACUCCCCAAGGCGCACCUUCCUCUACCACGACACUGGGCCCCGCCGCCUCCCCCGGUGGCAAGGCCACGCCGUCGGCCGCGGCUGCAGCCGCAGGCGGUGCUGCCCCUGCCCCGAAAUUGAUCAAUCCCCACCUCUCCAAGAAGAGGAACAGCUUCCGGAGCAACGAAACGUCGCCGACCAAGGCCUUGCGGACGUCGGUGAAGGUGAGGCGGCAGGAGGGAUCCUCCCGGUACUUGUUGAUGAUGAAGUCGCGGUAGUCCUUGUAGACCCUAGGGUUUCUGGUGAACGACGAGCCCUCGAAGAACUCCGGGAGGGACCUCCUCUCCGUGUCGUGGAUCCCGUCCCACCGGAACCAGCCUGAGAGGGGAAGGGAGAAGAGAGAAUUAGAAUUAGAAAGGUCGUCAGAAAGAAAACCUAAUCGGAACCCUAACCCACAAAACCUAAUAAUAAUCGGAACCCUAAAAAAAUAAAUAAAAUAAAUAAAACCGAAACGCUGGGAGGAGGUAUCAACCGGACGAGAUGGGGAUGGUGUAGAGGUCGCGCGCGAGGCUGUCGUCCUCGUCCUCCUCCUCCUCCUCCUCCUCCUGGCCGCUGGGCCUCAUCCGUGUCGGAUCGCGCGAGGCGGGAAUAGGGGCAGCAAGCCUCAAGGAAGGGGUUGGAGGAUCGGAGCACAAGUCGCGACUACAGAGAUCGGACGGAUGGAUGGAAUUGGAGACGGGUGGAUUUGGGCUUGGUAGAGCGAUCCUCGCCGCUUGAUGGUUGCAUCCGAGUGGAGCGGGCGACAAGACCAAGGGACACCACGCCCUUUUGCUUUGCUGCUAUGGUCAUGGAAGUUGUCGACAGCUCUUUACGAGGCUUUUAAUAUUACUCCAGUACGAUGUAUUUUAGUUUUAUUUUUAUUUAUUAUAUAUAUAUAUAUAUAUAUAUAUAUAUAUAUAUAUAUAUAUUACAAAAAAAUACUAUUGUGUACUAUUAUUUUUUCAACUUCUACACUAAUCUGUAGAUUUAAUGAUUCCUUAGUUUAUUUUAAUAUAAAAUAAAAAAAAAUCUUAACCAUUAAUCAAUANAAUAAAAAAAGAUAUUAACCGUGGAUUAAUGAAGGUUAAAAAUAUCACUUCAUUAUGUACCAGGUUAAAAGGUUAUUUCAUCUGAGGGCAUUUGUGUAAUUAAAUUAGGCAAAAUUUUAAGAAAGUUUUGAUUAAUAUCCCAAAUUUAGCAUUAAUGCAACUAAUUUAAGCAUUAAUUUAAGAUUUGAUUGAUAUCCCAAAUUUUAGUCAUUAAUUUUAGGAAUUCUAGAAUUCUUCUAAUUUACGCAUUAAUUUAAAUUUUAAGAAUUUUAGAAAUAAUAAUAAAUAUGUUGAAUUUAAAUAUUUAAUAUUUAAAUGUAAAUAUUUAAAUAAGAAAAUUUUGUGUUACUAUUUUAACAAAUUUAAUGUGGAUAAUAACAGAUUCAACAUAUUUAAUUUGUUAAAGAAACUUUUAAAUUCUUCUAGUUUAGAUAUUGAUUUUUUAUCACAAACUUUAAAAAAUUUUGAAUGUGGGUAAAAAAAUUAAAUUAAAUUCAACAUAUUUAAUAUGUUGUAAUAUUUUUUUAAUGAAUAUCUAUGGAUUACGGAUAUGAAAUGAUAAAAUAUUUGUUGAUUACGGAUAUCAAUAGGUACGGAUACUCAUAAUUUUAUCUGAAUCCGAAUCUAAACCCGAAAGCAAAUGCAGUGAAUUUAACUAUACUAAAUGGAUAUAAUUUUGAAUGUGGAUAUCAAAAAUAAAAAUCCGACGGAUUUAAAUUCGGAUAUGAAUUUUGAUUGUAUCUUAUCCAAACCCAAACCCGAAACCGACCGAAACCCGAAUUUAUUUUACUUUAUAUAUAAUAUAUAUAAAUUUUUGAUGUUAUAUUUGAAUAUGUAUUUUAAAAAUUUAGAUUUAAUUUAAUAUAUUUUAAAAUAUUGUAAAGAGAAAUAAAUGCUUCGAGUUCGGAUUUUCCGGUUCCGAUUAGGGUUCAGCUUUUAGAUUUUUAGUCAGGUAUGGGUGUGGAUAUGAUUUUCUAAAAUUCGUGGGUUCGGGUUUUGGGUUUGAUAGUCGAGUUUUGAAGAGGAAAGAUAGAGAGAGGGAAAGGAAACAAAAAGCGAAUAGAGAUUUGAUAUUUUAUAGUGGAGGUAAAACUACUAAAUUACCUAUGUAUUAAAAGACCAAAAUACCCUUUUUGGGUACCUUAUAAUCAGUAUCUCUCUUAAAAUGACCUGUUAUUGCGGGUCAUAAUUUAAAAAAAAAUUAAAUCUGAGUCGUUGCGUAGGAAUGAAUGAACGAUAUCAAAAAAUAACAAAUAUAAAAGCAUUACUCUUAGGGCGCAUUUGGUUCGCACUAUGAAAGAUUACUAGGAAUAAAAAGAUAUCUGAGAAUCUUAUUCCUAUUCAUUCUAUUACUAAGAAUAUGGCAUUCCUGUGUUUGGUUCGUACGGUCAUAUUAUUUAGUCAUGUUAUUUAAGAUUACAAAAAAAAUAUACAAUUACUUAAUUUAUUUUUUUAAUUAAUUUUAGAUAAUGCUACAAAAAAUUUCAACAUUUUUUUAGAAAAAAAAGGAAAGAGAACAUAUAUUAGAGAGAGAGCAUAAUUAAAAAUAGAAAGAGAAAUAGAAUCGAGGUUAUUAGAGAGAACGAGAGAGUUGAGAUUUUAGAAAAAGAGGGAGAGAGAGAGAGAGCUUAGUUUAGAGAGAGAAAAAUAAUUUAAGUUUAAAGAGAAAAAGAUAAGUUUAGAGAGAGACAUAAGGUUAGAGUGUAAAGAAAAAUAAUAUCAACUAGCCGGCGAAUAGGAAGAAAUAAAGAAAUCAGACAUAUUAUGAUUAUCCCGAUCCAUUAAUAUGAGGAUACCCACCCUCUCUCAACGAAAUGAGAUUAGUACUUUGGGAUGAAUCUCAUUCCCAAGUAAAUCUAAUAUUACCAACUAUAUUACUUAGUGUGUUUAGCCAAACACCGUCAUAUUUUUUUAUUCCUAUUGGAUUAUUAGGAAUCUUAAAAAGAUAGCGCGAACCAAACGCACCCGUACUUUUUAUUUUUUCAUCUUGUACUAUCUUUCUUUUUCAUAAAUAUCACUACUAUGGGCGUGUUUGGUUCGCUUCUUUUUUAUCAUGGAAUCGGAAUGGGAAUGAGUGAAUCCGUUUGUGGGUAUUUGGUACGUGGGAGUCCCAUUCCGAUUCUGAUUCCCGAGUGGAAUGGGAAUCGCUCAAUCACCUCUUUUUUCAAUCCGGCCUAGAAGGCCGGAUUGGAAGUUGAAUUCGGACGGAAUAAAUAUUUAUUCGGAUUAAAUUUAUUUUUUCAAUUUUUUUAAUUAAAAUAUGAGUUAAAAUUUAAAAAUUAAAUAUAUAAUUUUAAAUUUUAAUUUGAACUUAAAUUAAAAAUUAAAAUUUAAUUAAGUAUUUCGAAUCUAACUUAUGAAUUUGAAUUUAAAUUAAAUUUUAAUUUAUAUAAAGUUCAUUCAAAUUUUAUUUCAAACUUAAAUUAAAUUUAUGAAUUCAAAUUAAAAUUAAAAUUAUAAUUUUAAGUUUGAAUUUGAAUAAAUCAAAAUUUAGUUUCGUAUUUUGAAUUAUCCACUCAAGUUCAAAGUUUAAUUUUUUUUAAAAAAAAUAGAUUUAAAAUUUUGACACUAUAUCAAAAUUUUGAUGUAAAUUUUUAAUAUUUAAUAUUUAAUUUGAAUUUAAAUUACUAUAUUAUAAAGAUAAUAUUAGUAUAUUAAUUUGAUUAUGUUUUUAUAUCCAUCUGAACUAAACACCGACAAUAGAAUAAUUUAUUCCGAUUCCGAUUCAGGUGAUGAACCAAACAGAAUUAGAUAAUAAGUCAUUCCGAUUCUGAUUCCAGCUUAUUUUGAUUCCGAUUCCGAUUCCAACUCUGACUUCGAACCAAACACGCCCUAUAUUUCUCUCCAAUUUCUAUAUUAGUUUUAGGAAAACUAUUAUUUUAAACAAAAUCUAACGAUUUUAUUAAAAGACGGUAGUUAAAUAGUACAACAGAUAUAAAAUAAAUCUCUAUGAUAGAUUCAUUAAAAGCUUCUAUCAAGUUAUUUUUAUUUUUUUAUUAUUUUUAUGUAUUUUGUUAAUUUUCAUGUUGAAUUAAGCUAAAUAUAUACUGUCAUUUUAACUAGUAUUUGUUAAUAAUUUUCCUAUAAAAUUAUAAAUAUCUAUAACUCUAUAUGAAUCCCCAAUAAAAUUGAUGGCAUGGCAAGCCCUCCUUUUUUUAAAUUUUUUAUAAUUUUUUAUAUUUUUUAAUGGUGGUUCAUUCUUCUUUAUUCUUACAUUUAAUGUUCUUAAUAGUUAUAACUCCAUUAAUACUCACCUCUUAAUUACUCUUUAAUUUUAUUUAUAUCUCCUUUAAAUUUUUUAAUAGUGAAAUAUUUAAGACAUUAAUUAUAAAGAAAAAAAACUGUCUAAUUAUUGCCCAAGAAUAAUUGCUUCAGUUUUAUAUGUUUAUAUUUUUACUAUCUUAUUAUAUUUAAUGUUGCUAAUGAUAGCUAUAUAUUACAUGCAUAUGUUUUUCUUUCCUAAUUAAUUAAAUAAAUACUAUACUUUAGAUAACAAAUUAAUAUGUGGUAGUAAAUAUAGCUUCUCUAAAUCCUAAAUCCUAAAAUCCCAACCUUUCCUCUCCCUCCGCACCCUCCCUCGCCACCGCCCCUCCGAUCGGUGGCGCCUCCUCUCCGCCGGCCCCGCCGCCGUCCACACGGCGGUGGCCAUCUAGAAGGAGACCUCGGAGGAGGAGCGGCUGGAGACCUUCCUCCGCAUGGCGGACCUCGCUACUGCCACGUCCGUGCGCGCGCGGUUCGAGCGGAUGAUCCGCGAGGCCCUUGACGAGAUGUGCGCGGCGCUCAAGGCCGUGGACGGGGGCGCCGCGUUCAAGGAGGAUGUGUGAUCGCGCCCAUUUGCAACAAUUUCGAACUCUUAUACGACCCCCACUCCUACCCUCGAUCACUCCUUUCUCGAAAAAAAGUAAGAACUCUCUAUAAGUUUUUAAUUUUUAUCCGCCGCAUCGCGUGAAUUCCUACACUAUAUACAUUAUUACUAAACUGAAAAUAUAACUAAAAUAUCUCUAUUUCCGAUAUAGGGACAACUCAUUCUUUUUUAUACUAUUCAUGAAAAUUUAGGCAUGGAGUGGAGUUUAAUAUCUAAAUUUUUUUUCGACAGCUUUUUUUAUUUAUUUAUUUAUACAGAAUCUACCCGCUGCAACGCGCGGGUGCCUUCACUAGUAUUACUUAUUAGAGUGUAGGAACUGAAACAAAAAAAAAGGAUAGUUGAGCAAUGUCUUUAAUAUAUCACUACAACAAAAUAGACAUUUUGUCACGCCCCGGGACCGAUACUAAUUUGGGCCGGCGUGAGCACGUCAAACAGACGCCGAACGGACAGAGUUUCCCCUAUCCGCCCAAGGCUCAUCACCUGUACAUUUUCAAACAAGAAGUGCACUAGCGAAAACAUACACAAACGGUUUACACGAGGAUAAGCAAUAGCCAUGAGUGAAAGAAAGGAAACUAAACAUCUACUCAAGUAUUAUGAUUCAACUUUUGAUCACAUACAUUGCAUUCAUAGUUCUUUACAUACUUUUCAUCAUUUCUUUUUACAUCACAUUCUCCUCGAGAUAAACAUUACAUUCUUUGCUUUACAUUACUAAUUCAUCAAAUACAAAAGAUGAUAAAAAGGUAUACUACUAACAAAAUAUAAACCCAACUUUGGUGGCCUUUGACUAAGGUGCGAUACCUUUACCGCGAUCGCUCGCCGGCUCGCUCGGUCCCGACUCUGUGGAAUAGUGGGGUGAGAACUACAACAAAGUUCCCAGUGGGUUCGGCCCCAAUCUCACCGACUUUCCCACUAUGACUAACUCAGGCAUAAUAGAAAGGAUAAGCAGAAUAGUAACCAAACUAUAAUCAUGAUGCUAAUAUGCCUGAACAAUAAAACAAGAAGUAUGCUCAACGUAAAUCAUGCAAGAUGCAAGUUCUUUGUUCUUUACUCUUUAUUCUUUAAUCUUUGUUCUUUGUUCUUUAAUUUCACGGCUAACCCGGGGGUUUCGCCACAUUAACUUGCCCACAUUAAGUCCAUCAUCGCGGGCCCUCAGCUGCCUCCCGCUAAGACCGUCCUCGGGUUUACUCUAACCCGUGAUGCAAAACUUCGGAGUGCAUCGCUCGAGGGGGAGCGACCGCCCUCGAGCACGGAACUCAUAGCAAGUAUGAUCGAUCCUUAACUCUAAAGAUAUAUAGUUCAAUCAUUGUCUUUACACUAACUCUAGUGUUCUUUACAUCACUUUAUUUUGCUAACUCUAGCAAUCAUUGUUCUUUAACUUUACUCGUUCUUUAUGCCACUUUCAUUUUCUUUCCUUAUCUCUAAUCAUUAUCAUUGUUCUUUGCGUCACAUUUCUCUUUGAUGCCACACACUAACUCUAGUAUCACAUUACUUUACAUUGUCGGAUGCUACUCGAUCUAUGUUUUAUUGUGUCACUUUGUUCUUUCAUCUCAUUGGACGCUCACAUGAUAUUCUCAUGCAUACAUAUAGGGUUGAAUAGGUUCUCAAACACUUCAAAUGGCACGUGUACUCACAUCAUGCAAUAUUCACAUAUAUAACAUCACAUCUACCCUAUAAUGCAUGCAAUAAUAUAGAUAUAUGCUCAAUUGAAUGACACAUUAGGCAUAGAAGGAAUUCCAACGAGUUUGGAUAGCACCACCCACCUCGUAGGCAUACUAGGAUGCUACAGUGAUUUUCUUGGGAUUUUUAGACUCCCAGUUCGUCACCUGCGGCAAAACGAAGCACUAUUAGGCUAUUUUGCUCAUAUCUUUACAUUGGCUUUUCGUAACGUCAAUCCGAGCGCAUCAACGCGUCGAAAAUACCCCCAAUUAGGUUUGUAAAGGGUCAAUUACACUUCGGAACCCUCACAAGUAAAAGCCCCAAUUUGGGUGCCCUAGCUCAUAACAUGUAUCAAACCUAGGGUUUGAUCUCAAAGAUAAGCAAAAGAAAGCUUAAUCUACUCUAGAGACUCCAUAAAAAUCAUUCUUAGCUCAAUCCAAACCCUAGUUUGGAUUCUACCAUGAGAGGGGUUGAAGCUCUCCUCUAAGCUUCACCACACACACCCAACCCAUGGUUUUGAUCUCAUUAACAAGCAAAAUAAAGCUUGAAACACUUAUUAAGCUCAAUUAAACCAUUUUUAGGUUACUUAGUUCACAUUCCAGGGUUUUACCAUGAAUAGGGUUCAAGCUUACCUCUAAGCUUGCUCCUAGGUUGCUCCAAAGAGGAAGAAGAGGAAGUAGCUCUACUCCUUAGCUUCUUCUUCACCUUCUUUCUCCUUUUCUUCUUCUUCUUUUCCUUUCUUUUCUUUGUCUUCUUCUUCUCCUUCUUGUCUUCUAGAGAGAGAAAGAGAGGAGAGAAAGAGAGGAGAGAGGGAGUGUGAGGAAGAGAAUGAGAGAAAUAUCCCAAAACCUCUCAUAACAUAACCCAUAUAUUGCAUUUUUGCAAAUAAACCCCCCAGCUUUCAUUUUAUUAAGCUGCUUGAACUGGGCAGUUUUCGGGCUCGGGGACCGGUCUCCCCGACAAGGGACCGGUCCCAGAGAGCUCUCCCCGCGGGCAGCCAGGGCUUCCGCGCAAUGCAACCGGUCUCUCCUAGAGGGACCGGUCUCUCCCCGCAGAGAUCGGUUCCUGAGAGCUGGUUUUCUGGGACUUAGUGUCACGCCCCCGCCUCGAGGCCGCUACCGAUUUUGCACGGUUCGGGUGCGGUAGGCGGACCGCGGAACGGACAGCACCUCCCCUGUCUGCCCAAGGCUAAACAACGUGAUCGUGUACAACAAGUCCCCAGAAAAUCAACUUGAAUACAUACACGAUCAUGCAACGAUAGCGAGAGCACAAACAGUGCUGAACAACCAAGAGCAAGCGUCACGAUUAAUAACAUACAAGUGAAACAAAGAGAGAGAAAGAUACUAAGCUAUUACAUCCAUUCAACUUUAUACAUUUAAUUACAACUUUGCAAUAUAAACAUUAGUUUACAUUCAUCUCAAAAUAUAGCUCGCAUCCUAUACAUCAUCUACUCUCAACAUAUAGGGUAACUCUAAUGCAGUAGGAAAGCAUCUACCAACUAGCACUAGGGCGCUAAGCCCUUACCGCGAUCAUCUGCCGAUCUGCUCUCGUGUGUAUCUGUACCCCAAAACCACACGGGGUGAGAACUAUAUAAAUAUAGUUCCCAGUGGGUUCGACCGCCGACUCCGCCGAUCUUCCCACUAGGUCCAAGCUAGCACAGAUAGAUAGAUAGAAAGGUAGAUAGAAAUACAUUGCUACUAUAUCUACUAUGCCAUCAAAUGCAAAGAAUGCAUGGAACAUCAUCUAGCAAUAACCUACUAUCAUGCUAGUAUGCCUCAACAGUGUAAUGAAUACAACUACAACAUAGUUAUGUAGUCUACUAUGUCUAAUCACGGUAUGAAUGCAAUCCACUUAUGCUAUUCAUGUUACUACCCAAUCGACUAGGCCAACUUGCCUAAGAUCUCAAAUCUCAACGGUCCUAGGCAAAGAGCUACCCCGCUCCUCGCCCGACUCAAUCUCGAAGGUCCUAGGCAAAGAGCUACCCCGCUCCUUGCCCGACUCAAUCUCGAAGGUCCUAGGGAAAGAGUUACCCCACUCCUUGCUCGACUCAAUCUCGAAGGUCCUAGGCAAAGAGCUACCCUGCUCCUCGCCCGACUCAAUCUCGCUCUACUAGGUACAAGCUGUCCCGCUCAAAUCUCAUAGGUGAAGGAAUAGUAUGUCCACUCACUGUAUGUAGGCAAAUCCACUAAUCCAACUACCAAGCGACUAUACUCAAUAUCGAUGUAACUCAUAGUUUAGCUACCAUCAACAAGGGUUAUUCAUCACUUUACCCAAUCAUUCGGUCAUUUCGGUAACUCGUUCUCAAUCUCACGUGUGUAAGUCUCAUAGGGAAAAGCCUCGCUGAACUAUUCCCCGAUACCACUUGUAGUAAAACUAACUACUAUGCCACUAUACUCAAGGAUAGCAUUUACUCGUCAGCUUGUCCAAUUGAUCGGCUAAUCUAAAACUUGUUCUCAAUCUCACGUAUGUAAGCCUCAUAGGGAAAAACCUUGCUGAACUAUUCCCCGAGACCGCCUGUGGACAGCUCGCUGACUGUCCGGGCAGCGCAUGGCGACUGCCCCUCAAGUGACAAAUACUCCGGAGUGCACAGCUUGUGGGGAGCGACCCCUACAAGCACAGACAGGCUAUGUGAGCACGAUCCAAUCCUUCUUAAUUGGGAGCACCCUAUCAACUAGGGGAAAUUAACAUGAAACCAAUAAGUGUCUAAACUCAUCAAUCUAGUGUCUCAGCUACACUAAGAUUCACAUAUGCCACUCGUCAUAGGUUUACAUUAACUAGAUGCCACUCGUCAUAGUUUAAUGUUCUCGAUGCACUACUUGCACAUAUUCACUAGGUGGUCACUCAACUAGAGUUUAAUCCACACCAAUCAUGCCAUUAUAGGGUUUCACAACAAUAUGUCCCAAUCUCAUGCAUACUAGGUACAAGUAUUAAACAAUUAACACUACCCUAUCACUAGCAUGCCAUGACAUGUAACAAUUGCCAUCUAGCACCCUAUAAUGCAAUAUCCCAAUAUGCAACUUGAUCAACGUUAACUAGAGUUUCUAGUACAAUAACCGAUCCAAUACUAAGUUCAAGUUAUAUGUGUUUCUAUCACACUAAGUUCAAUGCCACUAGUAAACUAUGUCUUUAGACACAACACUAGGUUUCUCAUUCAUUUAGCAUCAUAGGUUUACCAAUGUCAUUUCCCAAUCCUUAUGUCCAUUACAUCAAGUAUCCAUAUCAUAAUACUAUAUUAAUCAAAGACAUCAUACAAGGAGUAGGAAUGCAUGUAUUAUCACCCUAUUAUGCAUAACAAUAUACGAUAUGCUACAUGCCAAUCGAAUAAGCACUAAGACAUAGGAAAAAGCUCAGUUGCUUCGGGAUGGACACCUCCCACCUUUUAUCUCGUCCCGAUUGCUCGUCGUCACUCGCAAUCGGCCUCCCGCGGCGCACGCCGCUCAGCUCGACCCAAACCACGCGCGACCACCGAACGACCUCCGAUCCGCGAUCCGGAAAUUAUAGGUCUGCGGUUAUGUGUCACGGUGCCACCAGUCCAUUUUCAUGACCUUACGACGUCGCCUCGGCCCUCCAGGCGAAAACGAAGCUAAAUCGUCAGUUUCUUCAAUAUCUUUGUAACAGCUCGACGGAUUGCCAAACCGACUUCGCCAGCGCGUUCGUAGACCUAGCAAUUAGGUUUACAGAGGGUUAAUAAAGAUCAAACCCAACUAUUUACGAAAACCCCCUUUAGAACCCUAGAUUUGCAACUAUUGCAAAAUACACCAUUAGAGCUUUGGAUUCAAGCUCAAAUAAUCUAUUUAGCAUAAAAGAGGUUCACUAAAAUCAAUUCUAGAGCAAAAGAUUCAAGCCCUAGAGAUCUACCAUUAAUAAGCAUCAAGCUUACCUCUAUGUGUUAGCUCCAAGCAAAGGAAGAAGAAGAUAAAGAAGGUGAUGAAGCUUCUCUUGAUCUUCUUCUCCUUCUUUUCCUUCUUCUUCUCCUUCUUCUUCUCCUUCUUCUUCUCUUUCUUUUCCUUCUAGAGAGAGAGAGAGGGAUGAAAUGGUGAGGGGGAGUGAGAGAAAUGAGAGAAAGAGAGAAAGAAUCCUCUCUAUACACUCUCAUAAGUGCUAUUUUGCACAUAAGCCCCUCAACAAUGCUUCCCUCGCAACAACCCAAAAUGGGCAUUUUCGCGCUCGGGGACCGCUCCUUGCGAUAAGGGACCGGUCCAAAGAGACCGGUCCUUGGCUGAGAGACCGGUCCCUGAAGGUCCAGAACUCAGCCUCAAGGACUUAGCCAAAUUUUCAGCAUUUUCGCCCGUUUUCGUCCGUUUUCGCUCGUUUGACCUCCGAUUCAUCUCAAAUCGAACCGAAACUCUCCAAACAUGUUUUCGAGCAUGUUUUCAUCAUCUUUACAUCCAUGCUAAUGCCAAAUUUAGCUCACGGAGCAACAAAGCCUUUCGGGUCCCGUUUCCGCGCCUAUGCGCACCGAAACGCCUGAAUGCUUCCAAACUUCACCGAACUUCACCGGGACAAUUCAAAUGGCUUUCCAAUCAAAUGCACACCGUAACUUCAUAGUUUUAGAAGUCCGGUACCUUACACUUAGCCGAUUUUCAGCUUUUCUCAAUUCUCACGCGUUCGGGGACCGGUCUCUCCUACCAGGGACCGGCCCCCGAGAGCUCAAAAACUGCAGUUUGCAGAUUUUUGAUUCAUUAGCUCUCGAAAACCUUCCAUAACGCACUUUUGAUCAUUUUAACACCUUCGGACUUUCCGAAGUAUACCAUCCUCGCACUUUGGUCAAUUUAACUAAAGUUUGAUAUUUAUUUUUCGAAUUUUCGGUAUAUUACAUUCUCUACUCCUUAAAAUAAUUUCGUCCGCGAAAUUACGCAUACAUUAACUCGUCGACUCAAACAAAUGUGGAUACUCUCUCCGCAUGGUCUCCUCGAGCUCCCAAGUGGCUUCUCGCACAGCAUGGUUGCUCCACUGGACCUUCACAUAGGGAAUUUUGCGACUCCGCAACUUCCUUUCUUCUCGAUCGAGAAUGCACAUCGGGUACUCCUCAUAAGACAUAGCUCCACGGGCUUGUACUCCAAUACAUGUGUCGAGUUUCGAAUAUACUUUCGGAGAUUUGACACAUGGAAAAUAUUGUGAACUCCCGCGAGUCUCGGUGGUAGUGCGAGCUUGUAUGCUACCGCACCCACACGCUCCAAUAUCUCAAAUGGUCCGACAUAACGGGGGCUUAGCUUCCCACGGACCCCAAAAUGUUUGACUCCUCGCAUUGGUAACACUCUCAAAAAUACGCGGUCUCGAACCGCGAACUUUAAAUCUUUUCUUCACUUGUCGGCAUAACUCUUUUGCCGAGAUUGCGCCGUCGCUAACCGUUGACGGGCAAGACAAACCUUUUCUUCCGCCUCCCGUACCACAUCCGGGCCAAGAGCCGUUCUCUCGCCCACAUCGCUCCAAUGAAUAGGAGAACGACACUUACGUCCAUAUAAGGCUUCAAAUGGAGUCAUCGCUAUACUCUCUUGAUAACUGUUAUUAUAUGCGAACUCCGCCAUCGGCAAGAAAUCAUGCCAUCCUCCUUUGUAAUCUAGCACACACGCUCGAAGCAAGUCCUCGAGGAUCUGUAUUGUCCGCUUUGACUGUCCAUCACUCUGAGGAUGAAACGCCGUGCUAAAGUCGAGCCGUGUGCCUAGCGCGUCUUGCAAGCUCUUCCAAAAGUGGGAUGUGAACCCAGGGUCUCGAUCCGAUACAAUUGAUAUCGGAACCCCAUAAAGUCUCACAACCUCGUCAAGAUAAACUUGAGCUAGCUUGUCUCCCGACCACGUAGUAUGUAUCGGCAAAAAGUGUGCCGACUUUGUCAAUCGAUCCACUAUGACCCAUAUCGCAUCGUGUCCGCCUUGUGAUCGAGGCAAACGGUAAUAAAGUCCAUCGCUAUAUCUUUCCAUUUCCAAACGGGUAUUGAUAGACUUUGUAGCUUUUCCGCCGGAAACCGGCCUUCUGCAUUCACCUGUUGGCACGUUAGACAUUGCGCCACAAACUCCCAAUAUCUCUUUUCAUACCCGGCCACCAAUAAUGUUCUUUCAAGUCCUCGUACAUUUUAGUGCCGCCGGGGUGUAUGCUAUAAGGGGAUUGGUGCGCUUCCUGCAUGAUCGCCCUUUGAAUAUCACUAUCUUUGGGCACGCACCAAUGAUACAAAAAUUCAUAGUUUGUUGUCAAUCUGUUUGUUCAUUUAAUAUUAGAGGCACUAAUCUAUGUUUUUUUUGCAUACCAGUAAAUUCUAGGAGAUUAAUCUUGAUCAUAUCUAAGAAAAAUGCAAAUAAGACAAAAAUGGGCACCUAGGAUCUAGUUGCAAAAGCUUAGAUGUAGCAUGGUAAUAUCUAUUACAUGCCACAGAAUUUGCAAGAUCAUUAUUUUCACCUGUAUUAAAUCAAGAAUUUCUUGUCCACUUUCUGCUUUCAUAUGGUUCCUGGAAUCAAUAAACAAACAAAAGGAAUGAAAAAAAAAGUUAGAUAGAAAUUAACAAUAUAUAUAUGAUUAUAUGCAAACAUGAUAACUUGAGAAUCAUUACAUACAUUCUGUAACUCUCAUUUCUAGGAAUUGAUCCAGUAGCUUCACCAUCCAAUAUUUCGAGAGGACUGUCCUUCAGAGCAUGAAGAUCACAAUCCACAACACAUCUCGAAGUGCGAAGAUCAUAAGAGCAAGAAGUUUUGCUAGAUACCAGCAUAUUAUACCGCUGUUGUUGGGAUAUGUGAUCAAGAUCAUCAAUUACAGGUUCACUGGUCAAUUCUUUUGCAUGAUCUACAUGUAUGCAAUUUAAACCUUUUCCCUGAGGAUUUAUUUCUUCAUAAUCACAAUGAUUGUCGAUUGACUUUCUCACAUUCUUGAGCAACUGUACUAUAAGACUAUUGUUGUAAGGAUUGACUCAAACUGAGAGAACAAUAAAGCUACUAAGAUAGGAACAUUCUAGAAUGGUGUUUCACAAAUAAAUAACUUACAUAAUAAUAGCUGGCAAAUGGUGAAUGGCGAAUGAAGCAUUGGAUGGUUCAUCCCUCAGGAUUUAGUUUUCUUAUUAUCUUAGGUGACCUUCACUACCUUAUAACAUAGUAAUUAUUAUUUGUAAAAUUACAAGAUCUCAUCCAACUCUAUUAGCAAAAGGCACCACAAGGAAAGUUGGGAGGGGGGAGGAGAGGAGGGAGGGGGGGAGGUGUGGCAGAAGGGGCAGGAAAAAGCCAAUUUCUUUGCUGGUUCAGAGAAAAUUUCUUUGCAAAUGUGAAGCAUGACAAGAAGCUUUUCUAUGCCCAGUUUGCUACUAGAAUCCUGUGAGGAAGUGAAUUUUUGAAAUUCGGGAGUUAGACUACGUUAAAAUCGACUAAUUGUCGAGUUGGUGUGCUUCGAAAAGUCCGAGAAUAUCAAAAAUGCAAAAAGUGCAUUGAGGACGGACCCGCGAGAGCUUGGUGUGAAAUCUGGAGCAGAUUUCAUGCUCUCGGGGACCGGUCCCUCUAGGAGAGACCGGUUCCCGUAGCUAGGUUUUUCGGAGAAAGCUCUCGGGGACCGGUCCCUCUACACUUGGGCAGGUGAGAAACUUGCGUAGGUGUAUCUUGACGAGGUAGUGAGGUUGCAUGGGAUGCCGAAGUCGAUUGUGUCAGAUCGAGACCCCAAGUUCACUUCACACUUUUGGAGAAGCCUGCAGGAAGCCCUUGGCACGCGACUCGAUUUCAGUAUCGCAUUUCAUCCUCAGACAGAUGGGCAAACUGAGAGAACCAUUCAAACCUUGGAGGACAUGUUGCGGGCAUGUGUCAUUGAUUACAGAGGGAGUUGGUGUAAGCACAUGCCAAUGGCCGAGUUCUCCUACAACAAUAAUUAUCAUGCUAGCGUGGGGAUGGCACCGUUUGAGUCUCUUUAUGGGCGAAAGUGCCGAUCUCCCAUUCAUUGGAGUGAUAUGGGCGAGCGGACGGAAUUCGGUCCCGACAUAUUGCGAGAAGCGGAGGAAAAGGUCCACCUUGCCCGCAAGAGAUUGCUUACGGCGCAGUCUCGACAGAAAAGCUAUUCAGAUAAGCGCCAUAGAGAUUUGUAGUUCGCGGUGGGCGACCGCGUGUUCUUAAAAGUUUCGCCGAUGAGGGGUGUGAAGAGAUUUGGGGUGCGAGGGAAGUUAAGUCCUCGUUAUAUUGGCCCCUACGAAAUCUUGGAGCGGAUUGGGAUGGUGGCUUACUGACUUGCAUUGCCGCCAAAGCUUGCGGGUGUGCAUAAUAUAUUCCACGUCUCCAAUCUCCGCAAAUAUGUUCAUGACUCCGAGCAUGUAUUGGUGUAUGAACCGCCGGAACUUCAAGAGGAUAUGAGUUACGAAGAGUUUAUGGUGGAGAUUUUAGCUCGAGAAGUGAAGUUGAGGAAUCGCGAGAUCCCAUAUGUUAAGGUCCGGUGGAGCCAUCAUAGUGAUCGCAAAGCCACUUAAGAGCUCGAGGACAAGAUGAAAGUGCAUCAUCCUCACUUAUUUGAAGUUUGAUUUGAGGUAUGAAUCUAGAAUUUACAUUCUAAGUGAAUUUAGUAAUGUUGAGUUCGUUUGGAGGACGAAACUCUUUUAAGGUGGGGGGGAUAUGAGGAAGUGAAUUCUCGAAAUUCGAGAGUUAGACUACGUUAAAAUCGACUAAUUGUCGAGUUGGUGUGCUUCGGAAAGUCCAAGAACAUCAAAAAUGCAAAAAGUGCAUUGAGGACGGACUCGCGAGAGCUUGGUGUGGGACUGGUCCCUCUAUGAGAGAUCGGUUCCCGUAGCUAGGUUUUUCGGAGGAAGCUCUCGGGGACCGGUCCCUCUUGGAGGGGACCGGUCCCCAUACGCGUAACAAAUUGGGUGCUCUCGGGGACCGGUCCUCCCUCAGAGGGACCGGUCCCCGUAGCCCGAAAUUGCCCAGUGAGGGCUACUUCAUAAAAGGAAAGUUAGAGGCUUAUUUGCAAAAAUGCCUAUAUGAGAGGCUUGGGGGACCCCUUUUCUCACUCACACACUCUCAUUUCCCCUCUCCCACACCCUCACACUCUCCCUCUCUCUCUCUAGAAAGAAGAAGAAGGAGAAGAAGAAAGAGGAGAAGAAGUGGAAGAGGAAGAAGUCAAAGAAGGAGAUCAUCUUCCUCAUCUUCUUCCUUGAGCCUAGAGCAAGCUUAGAGAGGUAAGCUUUGAACCCUGCAAUGGUAGAUUUCUUGUGAUAGGGUUUUAUUGUUUAGAAAUGGUUCGAAUAGAACCUAUUGGAGCUAAAUAGAUGGUUCUAGCUCAAAUCCGAAGCUUGAACCAUGGGUUUAUCUAUUAUUGCAAACCUAGGGCUCCGAUUUGGGGUUUUUGGAAAUCUAAGGUUUUGAUCUCUUUUGAUGGAUCGGAAACCUAACUGUUAGGUCUCUAAAUGCGUUGGCGAAGACGGUUCGGCGAUCCGUCUAGCGAGUGCGAAGUUAUCGCCGAAACAAGUACUUGAGGAUUCGUAUUGACCUGAGAAGUUGAAACGACGUACGAGGAUCGCGACGUCGAGUUUGCUAGCUUCACGGCACUACCAAAAGGUGGGAGGUAUCCAUCCCGAAGCAGUUGAACUGCUCCCUAUGUCUAAGUUUGUCAAGUCGAUCAAAUUGCAUAUUGUAAUAUUGCAUUAUAGGGUGCUAAAUGUAAUUGUUACAUAUUCUUGCAUGCUAGUAGAGUAGUGUAGAGUUGAGUUGCUUAACACCUAAAUCUAGUAGGCAUGAGAUAGUGUCAAAUGACUUGAGAACCUAGUAAAGUGCAAACUAGUGUAUUGAGAACCUGUCAAGAGAACGAGUGGCAUCUAGUUAAUAAUAAACACAAAACGAGUGGCAUCUAGUUGACAUUAAACAUGAGAAUCUUAGUGUAGUCAGAACACUAUGAGAUUAAGUAUUAGAAUACUUUGAUUCCGUGAUAACACCAACCUUAGUUGGUAGGAUGUUUCCAGUUUAUGAGAUUGGAUCGAGCUCACAUAGCCUAUUUGCACUUGUAGUGGUAGCUCCACACAAGUUGUGCACUCCGGAGUAUUUGUCACUUGAGGGAUAGCCGCUAGCUGCCCGGACAGCCGCUAGCUGUCCACAGGUGGUCUCGGGGGUAGUUGAGUAGUUGGCCUCCUCCCGUAGGAGACUUAUACGCAUGAGACUGAGAGAGAGAGCCUCGGUUUAGCCGAGAGAUUGGGUGAUAUAAUGAAUAGCUUCAUUGUUGAACAUAGUAGUACGGUAGCUAGCCUUUUACUAUGAGUUUCAUGCAUUCAUUAUAUCGGAUUGAGGCAUAGUAGAUUACUUUCUGUUUCCUUAUCAUGCUACUGUCGUUUCAUAGCUACCUAUCUGUAUAUCUAUCUGUGCCUGCUUAGACCUAGUGGGGAGAUCGGUGGAGUCGGCUGCCGAAUCCACUGGGAACUAUUCGUAAUUCUCAUCCCACCUUGUUGCAGGUCCGAGCUCGAGCGCCCCCGGUGAGGAUCGCGGUAAGGGCGUAGCGUCCUAGAGGUUGUAGUAGUUUAUUUUCCUACUUUGCAUUAGAGUUACCCCGUACUUAUUUUGAGAGUAGAUGAUGUGUAGGUUGUGAGGUGCUCGAGAGAUGUAUCCAUAUAUGUAUAUAUAUGUGAUGGACGCGUUGUACUCAUGUUUUGGAAGUUCAAAUGUAAUUAAAUGCAUAAAGUUGAAUGAAUGUAAUAGAAUAGUUAAGUCUCUCUCUUUUAUCCACUUAUAUGGUUGCAUUACUCAUGAUGCUUGCUCUCGCAUUGUUCAGCACUGUUUGUACUCUCGCUAAUUGCUGUAUGAUUGUGUAUGUAUUCAAGUUGUUUUCCUGAAAACUUGUUGUACACAAUCUCGUCGUUUUAGCCUUGGGCGGACAGUGGAGGUGUUGUCCGUUCGGCGUCCGUUUGCCGCGCCCGAACCGUACCAAAUUGGUAGCGGUCUUGGGGCGGGGACGUGACAAAUCCAUUCACAUGUAGGAAUGUAAAUGGAUAUGGAUAUCCGAAUUUUAUCCGAAUCCAAACCCGAACAGAGCGGAUUUCAUCCGAUGUAAAUGGAUUUGGAUUCGGGUAUGGAUAUUAAAAAACAAAUCUGACGGAUUCGGGUUCGGAUAUGGAUAUUUUUAAAAAACCCGAACCCGAAUAAAUUUAAUACAAUAUAAUAUAUAUAAAAAAAUUUAAACCACUAGAUCCGAAUCUAAAGGCCAAAAAAAUAAUCACACUUUUAUAAUUUAAACCAAAAUACAUAUAUCUUUAUAACCCAAACCCUAAUAUUCAAAAAUCAAAACCUUCCCAUUUCCCAAAAUUAAACCCUAAUAUUCAAAAAUCAAAACCUUCCCAUUUCCCAAACCUUCUCCAUCUCCAAACCUUAAUAGUUAAAACCUCAAAAAAUUAAGAUAACUAUUUUAAAGCCUUCCCAUUUCCCAAACCCUCUCUAUCUCCAAACCCUAAUAAUUGAAACCUUAAAAGAGAAUUAGAGUAGUGGUUGUAUUCUCUUGUUCAUUCUUCUCCAAGAGGAUAUUUUAGCUUAUUGUUUUUUCUCCAAGAACCACAACCUCAAACCAAGAGGAAAAAAGGUUAGGAUUUUUUUUAAAAAAAUUGAAAAUUAAGUUGUUUCUUUGAUAUGGAUUUUUUUGAUUCUUUAUAUAUGUCUUUUUUUUUUCCUUAUUUUUUAAGUUUAGUCUUUUAGUUCUUGUAGGUUGUUGAACAAUAGAACUAUCUUUUUAAAAAAGAAAAUUGAAGAAAUUUUCAUUUUAUUUUUCUCUUAAUUAGUAUUUUUAACUUUACUCUCUUAGAUCUUGUGGAUUGUUGGGCAAUGAAACUAUUUUUUUUAAAAUUUUUUAGAAAUAUUUUGGUUUUAGUUUUUUGUAUAAUAUGUUUCGAAAUUUGGUAAAUAUUACUUUCAGGUUCGGGUUUUCGAGUUUAGAAUCGGGUUUCGGAUUUUUGGUCGGAUUCGGAUUUUUUUCGGAUUCGGGUUCGGGUUUUCGGGUUCGGGUUCGUGUUCGAAUUUUUGGUCGGUUUUGGGUUUGGAUAUGGAUUUUUAAAAUCCAUCGAGUUCGGGUUUGUGUUCGGGUUUCGGAUUUGGUAGUAGGCUUCGGGUUCGGGUUUAUAAAAACACGCCCCGAAUCAAACCUGUUGACAUCCCUAUUCACAUGCACUCUGGCCAGGUGUCCAUUUCCAAGAAAGAGGAAUGGUAUUUUUACUACUCUCAAAUUUCAACUCUAAAGUAAAAUAUCUAUUCUCCACAAUUUCAAUAUGUAUAGAUCUAAGCAUGGAAACAAGAAAAACAAGCAAAACAAUAGAAAAAUCUACAAAAUUUUCGGUUGCUUUUACCAUUUUAAGAAGAUUGAUUAGAUUGGGCACCUAUGAUAGAUACUAAGAUAAAAAUAUGUGUGAAUUUGGACACUAAAGUCAUAUUCGGUUGGGCAAAUCAGUAUGCAACGUGUAAUCUACCGAAACUUCGGUAAACCCUAAUGGACUUUAGCCAAAUUGACUAAAGUAUGCGAAAGAAAUAAUUGGACAAGUUCUAUUUAACACUCCAACAGUGUUGGAAGAGUUAAAAAUGAGUUCCAAAGAGGUUAGGAAGGUUUUGGCAUCAAUCGGCGCGAAAUAGAAUCGAAACGGAGCCAAAAACCAAGUCUGGGCAAAGUGUCGAUGGUUGUACCGGUACAGAUAAGUGUACCGGUACAAAAUGAAAGUGUACUGGUACAAAUGCCCCAAACCCGAGGGAGCUGCUCUCGGGUUUGGUCAUACGCGAUCGUGUUACCGGUUACACGAUGAAGUGUACCGGUACACUUUGGGCUGACAGCAAGAAAUAGGUCUGCUGCAAAUAUAAGUUGUUCGGGGGCUUAUUUGCAAAUAUUGCACACUAUAUAUGCAACCAAACCUCUUCUUCUUCACAGCAGUCCUCUCCUCUCCUAUUUUCUCUCCCUCUCUCUUUCUCUAGAAGCUGUGCACCAAGACAAAGGAGAAGGAGAAUGAGAAGGAGAAGAAGGCUUGGAGAUGGCAUUUUGAGGGUUUUGAAGGAUCAAGAAGCUCUCCUUCAUGGUGGUCUUGGAAGAGCUUAGGCUAAGAUGAGUUAUUUUGGAAGAAUACAUCUAGGGUUUAGAUUUCUACCCUAAGAUCUAGAGUUUUGAUCUUCUUGAAAGCUUUAGAACCUUGUAGAGACUUGGAAACACAUUAAAACCACGUGUUCUUCAAGGUGCUCUAAUGGUAGAUUUCUAGGGUUUGUUCUAAACACCCUAGGAAUGGUUCGAAUGGUUCUAAAUGAGUUCUUACAUUUUGAACAAGCUCUUUUUUGCUUGUUCUAGAGAUCAAAAUCAAGGAUUGGGAUUAUGGCAUUGUCAGGGCACCAAAUGUGAGAUCCCUGGUGUUCAGUUGUGGAGGCUUGUCGGCAGCUCUGGAGAGUGUCGGGACAAGUCCGAGUCGCGUUGGCGUCAAAUAGACGUAAAACGGGCUCCGUGCGACGCGAGGGCAGUUUUAGCGAAGAAAAUCUGUAAUUUGCUCUUUUUCUGCUUGCUGUACCGGUACAGCCAUCGUGAUGUACCGCUAUGUUGCGUUGUGAGAGCUGGGUUAGUUGCUUUCAGACCUUCCGCCAGGGACAAAAGGAGGUUUUAAUACAGCAGACGUCGGUGGUAUUAAAGAGUCCGGUUUUGUCUUUGAGGAAGUCAGUGAGUGAGGUGAGGUCCUCCUCAAUCUUAUUUAUUUGUAACUGAAAGCGUUAUUUAAUGCGGAGAGCACAGAACGAAAGGAUUCCAAACGGUUUGAAUCUAAAGGAUCCAGGGUUGCUGGAUAUCGUUUCGAGACUAUGGUUGAAUUAGACAGUGCGGGGCCUACAGAGCAAGGGGCCCGUGCGGCUGUUUAGGUGGCAUAUGUUUCUUUAAAAAGGACAUAUGCUUCGCAGUUUUCAUGGACAUCUAUACGUUAUGAUGUUUGUCAUCGUAUCUCGACGAGUUAUUUGUUUUCGAUUUGGUUGACUCGAAGUAUAUGUAUCAAGUCUUUGGUUUUAUGUCGCAAUAAGCGUGACCGCUCAAUUCAUGAUACAUGUAUUCGAGCUUCAUUUUGUUGAUGGACGCCAUCCCACGGAGAUCGAGACAGUCAGCCCAUCCCGAGAUCGAACGCUGCGGGAACGGAGCUAGGACUAGGCGCCUUCCGCAUCGUCGGCUUUGGACACCGAGACGUUUUUGUAUCCAUUGUUGACCCGCACUCUUGAUGACAUUUUUGUUCAUCAGGAGUCACCCAUGGCGGGUUUUGUUGUAGCCAGGUGGGUGAUUCAGAUGUCUUCCCUCGUUCUUAUCAGUUUUUUCAUCCUUUUAUUGAGAUGGCGAUGGCUAGUGAUGUGAUAGUACGAGAUGUGAUUGGUUGACAUCCUUUACAGUUGAGAUUGGGUUAGGUUAGCCCUGACAUUCGUAUGGGCAGGGGCCUUGACACUUAUGUGGGCAGGGACGGGGCAACGUUGAUAGUCCGAGAUAGGUGUGAUUGACCAGACACCUCUUAUUCAGGUUGACCGUACUCGCUGUGGUUACGUUUUCGUGUUUCGGACUGAGGCCACACCGUGAGCAUACGCGAUGGGUUGGCUCAUACGUUGCAUAGAGACAGCUCGAGUUUGUCCGAGACUUUUCGGUUUCAGUUCUUUAGCUGAGAUUGACCAGAUUGUUGGUUGUUCAUUGCACGGGAGCCGUGUUAGUCUUCGGUUUUUCCGCUAUGCCCAGGUGGCAGUUGGAGUUGCCGUGGGAUGUCAGGCCUUGUCGGACUUGCUGGGACAUUUUAGGGGAGCCGCUUGUUCGUGCUCACAUCUAUAUAAGAUUUGAUAGACCUCAUGAGCAGAGCUUCUAUGACGCUGUCAUGUUAAAUUAUUGCCGAGGAUCUCGAUUUAGUCCGUCAAAUUAGUUCACUGUCCAGGUUUAGCGUCCAAAAGAGGAUUAAGUCAAAGAUUCAGGUUGUAUAUAUUUGAUGAAUUAAAUAAUGGUGUACGAGGUUUAAGUCUAAACGUAAGAUAGUAUAUUAGGUACUUAAGCUCGAUCUUAUUUAAUAGUUUUAGCUCUAGAUAUGUACAACUGCUAAUACUUGAAUCCUCAGUUUUGGCUACAUUGGGUGGAGCGUGCGAUUAGGGACCGUCGUGCCUUGGCGGAGCCGACGCUGUGGUGGACGACCUAGCUGGUUUUUGCGGGCUCAGAGCUUUAGCUCGCUUGAGGUUUGAUUUUUGUGGUUUUAAGGAGUUAAGUCAGGUUUUAGGUGUUGUCGUCUCUUCUCUCCCUAAAGCUGGAUCGAUUGGAAGUGGUUUUAAGCGUUCAUUCCCGAAGCACCUAAGGAGAGCUUCAGGGCUUAGGUUGCUUGAUUCAGAGCAGCGUUAGGCUACGAGGAUGCAGCGCAUGCUCGACUUUAUGAUUGUCAGCUGCCACCUAAAGUCGUUUGUUGUUAAAAAGCUCAACUUCAUCAUUUGUGAACGGGUUUUUAGUUCUUUUUUGACUUUUUCGGUGGAACUAUUGAGGCUCGUGGCCGCGCUGCAGUUCUUGUCGCUUCAGCGUGCGAGCGGGCCAGAGGAGCGUUACGGGGCCGCAGUUUACGCACGAGCUUGCUAGGGCCCCGCGCUGCAGCCGCUGCUUGAGGUUAAUUUGGGGAAGGAUCGGAUUCUAACCUACCUCUCACUCUCUCUCUUUAUCGUCGUCUCCUUGAGGGAGAGAGACAGGAGUAUUCCGAUUUAUCUCUCUCCCUCCCGACCACUACGUUUGCUCCCUCUCUUUAAUGUGUAAAUCGGGAGAUGGAUGGGACCACAUGGCCAUGUGCCCCAGCGCAUGGCCAUGUCCUUCGGUUGGACUCUCGUCAUACGCGCAUUUGACACAUCACAUGNNUCUCGGGAACCGGUCUCUCAGGAAGGAACCGGUCUCCCGAGGACCGGUCUCUCUGGGAGAGACCGGUACCCGAACGCGUGACCCGAGCUGAAGCUCUCGGGGACCGGUCCCAAGUCGGGGAGACCGGUCCCUCCGCGCGCAGAAUGCCCAGUAAGGGCAGUGCACAGAGUGAAAAGUUGAGGGGCCUAUUGGGAUAUUGUUACAUUAGAGGGCUUAUUAGUCCCUCUCUCCCUCUCACUCUCCCUCAGCUCACUCUCUCUCACCCUCACACUCUCUUGCUCUUUCUCUCUCUAGAAGAAAAGAGAAGGAAGAAGAAGAAGAAGAAGAAGAAAGGAGAAGGAAAAGAAGGAAAAGAAGGAAGGAGAAGAAGAAGGAGAUCAACAAAAGGAAGCUUUUGGACUCCUCCCUCAUCCUCUCUUCUCUCUUUUAAGCUAACCUAAAGGUAAGCUUCUAACCCUAGCUUGUGAGAUUUGGGGUUUUUGGGUUUUAACUCUUUGGAUGGGAUCAAAUGGAUUCCUAGCACCAUGAAUGGAAGGAUUAGAGCUAGAAUCUAGGCUUUUGAGAUGGGUUUAGCUUGAUGCUAACCCUAGGGCACCAAAAUAGGGUUUUUUGGUGAAGUAUGGGAUUGAUCUCAUUUGAGGCCUUAUAAACCUAAUCGCUAGGUAACGAAACACGGGGGCGAAGUCGGAAAUUCGAUUCGUCGAGCGGGCCAAGAGCUAUCGGCAAAAUAAGACCGGUUGAGCAUCGCUUUGGACAAGAAGACCGAGGCUUCGCCGUAAGGGACGCCGAGGCACAUUUCUAGAAUCUUCAUACCCUCAAGAGGUGGGGGGUGUCGUUCCGGAACAUCCGGGUUUCUAUUUAUGUCUAAGAUAUAUAUGUGUUGAUCAUAUUGCAUUAUAGGAUUAAUAAAUGUAUAUUUCCUUUUUCCUUGCAUGCUUCUUAGUAGUGUACUAAUAAGUUGAACACCUAGACUAGGGUAGCAUGAGGAUUGGGCUUAUGUCAUAGAAUCCUAUAGCGGCAUAAAGAGCCGAACUUGGACAUAGCCUAGCAGAGUGACAUUGAACUAGUGUAGUAGAGACACUAAACUUGAACGAGUGGCAUGUCAAUUAGUAGAAAACUUACUACGAUGAUCGAACGAGUGGCAUUGAGUCUAGUGUAGUGAACUUGACGAGAACCUAGGGAUAGUAGAGAUCCCAACAUUGAUUAUAUAUCUUGAUUGUGCAGCAGAGGCACGUUGACCCUAGUAGACAGGGUAUCCUCUUGAGAGGAUUGGAUCAUACUCACUAGUCUGUUUUGCUUGUCGGUGGUCGCUCCAUCGAAGCACGAGUCUCCGGAGUACUUUACUAGGGGCAGACGUAGUUGUCCCGCAGACGGUCUCGGUGUGCGAGUGCAGUUUCUCCUCACCUAUGAGAUUGAGAGUGAGUCGAGGGUUUANNNNNNNNNNNNNNNNNNNNNNNNNNNNNNNNNNNNNNNNNNNNNNNNNNNNNNNNNNNNNNNNNNNNNNNNNNNNNNNNNNNNNNNNNNNNNNNNNNNNNNNNNNNNNNNNNNNNNNNNNNNNNNNNNNNNNNNNNNNNNNNNNNNNNNNNNNNNNNNNNNNNNNNNNNNNNNNNNNNNNNNNNNNNNNNNNNNNNNNNNNNNNNNNNNNNNNNNNNNNNNNNNNNNNNNNNNNNNNNNNNNNNNNNNNNNNNNNNNNNNNNNNNNNNNNNNNNNNNNNNNNNNNNNNNNNNNNNNNNNNNNNNNNNNNNNNNNNNNNNNNNNNNNNNNNNNNNNNNNNNNNNNNNNNNNNNNNNNNNNNNNNNNNNNNNNNNNNNNNNNNNNNNNNNNNNNNNNNNNNNNNNNNNNNNNNNNNNNNNNNNNNNNNNNNNNNNNNNNNNNNNNNNNNNNNNNNNNNNNNNNNNNNNNNNNNNNNNNNNNNNNNNNNNNNNNNNNNNNNNNNNNNNNNNNNNNNNNNNNNNNNNNNNNNNNNNNNNNNNNNNNNNNNNNNNNNNNNNNNNNNNNNNNNNNNNNNNNNNNNNNNNNNNNNNNNNNNNNNNNNNNNNNNNNNNNNNNNNNNNNNNNNNNNNNNNNNNNNNNNNNNNNNNNNNNNNNNNNNNNNNNNNNNNNNNNNNNNNNNNNNNNNNNNNNNNNNNNNNNNNNNNNNNNNNNNNNNNNNNNNNNNNNNNNNNNNNNNNNNNNNNNNNNNNNNNNNNNNNNNNNNNNNNNNNNNNNNNNNNNNNNNNNNNNNNNNNNNNNNNNNNNNNNNNNNNNNNNNNNNNNNNNNNNNNNNNNNNNNNNNNNNNNNNNNNNNNNNNNNNNNNNNNNNNNNNNNNNNNNNNNNNNNNNNNNNNNNNNNNNNNNNNNNNNNNNNNNNNNNNNNNNNNNNNNNNNNNNNNNNNNNNNNNNNNNNNNNNNNNNNNNNNNNNNNNNNNNNNNNNNNNNNNNNNNNNNNNNNNNNNNNNNNNNNNNNNNNNNNNNNNNNNNNNNNNNNNNNNNNNNNNNNNNNNNNNNNNNNNNNNNNNNNNNNNNNNNNNNNNNNNNNNNNNNNNNNNNNNNNNNNNNNNNNNNNNNNNNNNNNNNNNNNNNNNNNNNNNNNNNNNNNNNNNNNNNNNNNNNNNNNNNNNNNNNNNNNNNNNNNNNNNNNNNNNNNNNNNNNNNNNNNNNNNNNNNNNNNNNNNNNNNNNNNNNNNNNNNNNNNNNNNNNNNNNNNNNNNNNNNNNNNNNNNNNNNNNNNNNNNNNNNNNNNNNNNNNNNNNNNNNNNNNNNNNNNNNNNNNNNNNNNNNNNNNNNNNNNNNNNNNNNNNNNNNNNNNNNNNNNNNNNNNNNNNNNNNNNNNNNNNNNNNNNNNNNNNNNNNNNNNNNNNNNNNNNNNNNNNNNNNNNNNNNNNNNNNNNNNNNNNNNNNNNNNNNNNNNNNNNNNNNNNNNNNNNNNNNNNNNNNNNNNNNNNNNNNNNNNNNNNNNNNNNNNNNNNNNNNNNNNNNNNNNNNNNNNNNNNNNNNNNNNNNNNNNNNNNNNNNNNNNNNNNNNNNNNNNNNNNNNNNNNNNNNNNNNNNNNNNNNNNNNNNNNNNNNNNNNNNNNNNNNNNNNNNNNNNNNNNNNNNNNNNNNNNNNNNNNNNNNNNNNNNNNNNNNNNNNNNNNNNNNNNNNNNNNNNNNNNNNNNNNNNNNNNNNNNNNNNNNNNNNNNNNNNNNNNNNNNNNNNNNNNNNNNNNNNNNNNNNNNNNNNNNNNNNNNNNNNNNNNNNNNNNNNNNNNNNNNNNNNNNNNNNNNNNNNNNNNNNNNNNNNNNNNNNNNNNNNNNNNNNNNNNNNNNNNNNNNNNNNNNNNNNNNNNNNNNNNNNNNNNNNNNNNNNNNNNNNNNNNNNNNNNNNNNNNNNNNNNNNNNNNNNNNNNNNNNNNNNNNNNNNNNNNNNNNNNNNNNNNNNNNNNNNNNNNNNNNNNNNNNNNNNNNNNNNNNNNNNNNNNNNNNNNNNNNNNNNNNNNNNNNNNNNNNNNNNNNNNNNNNNNNNNNNNNNNNNNNNNNNNNNNNNNNNNNNNNNNNNNNNNNNNNNNNNNNNNNNNNNNNNNNNNNNNNNNNNNNNNNNNNNNNNNNNNNNNNNNNNNNNNNNNNNNNNNNNNNNNNNNNNNNNNNNNNNNNNNNNNNNNNNNNNNNNNNNNNNNNNNNNNNNNNNNNNNNNNNNNNNNNNNNNNNNNNNNNNNNNNNNNNNNNNNNNNNNNNNNNNNNNNNNNNNNNNNNNNNNNNNNNNNNNNNNNNNNNNNNNNNNNNNNNNNNNNNNNNNNNNNNNNNNNNNNNNNNNNNNNNNNNNNNNNNNNNNNNNNNNNNNNNNNNNNNNNNNNNNNNNNNNNNNNNNNNNNNNNNNNNNNNNNNNNNNNNNNNNNNNNNNNNNNNNNNNNNNNNNNNNNNNNNNNNNNNNNNNNNNNNNNNNNNNNNNNNNNNNNNNNNNNNNNNNNNNNNNNNNNNNNNNNNNNNNNNNNNNNNNNNNNNNNNNNNNNNNNNNNNNNNNNNNNNNNNNNNNNNNNNNNNNNNNNNNNNNNNNNNNNNNNNNNNNNNNNNNNNNNNNNNNNNNNNNNNNNNNNNNNNNNNNNNNNNNNNNNNNNNNNNNNNNNNNNNNNNNNNNNNNNNNNNNNNNNNNNNNNNNNNNNNNNNNNNNNNNNNNNNNNNNNNNNNNNNNNNNNNNNNNNNNNNNNNNNNNNNNNNNNNNNNNNNNNNNNNNNNNNNNNNNNNNNNNNNNNNNNNNNNNNNNNNNNNNNNNNNNNNNNNNNNNNNNNNNNNNNNNNNNNNNNNNNNNNNNNNNNNNNNNNNNNNNNNNNNNNNNNNNNNNNNNNNNNNNNNNNNNNNNNNNNNNNNNNNNNNNNNNNNNNNNNNNNNNNNNNNNNNNNNNNNNNNNNNNNNNNNNNNNNNNNNNNNNNNNNNNNNNNNNNNNNNNNNNNNNNNNNNNNNNNNNNNNNNNNNNNNNNNNNNNNNNNNNNNNNNNNNNNNNNNNNNNNNNNNNNNNNNNNNNNNNNNNNNNNNNNNNNNNNNNNNNNNNNNNNNNNNNNNNNNNNNNNNNNNNNNNNNNNNNNNNNNNNNNNNNNNNNNNNNNNNNNNNNNNNNNNNNNNNNNNNNNNNNNNNNNNNNNNNNNNNNNNNNNNNNNNNNNNNNNNNNNNNNNNNNNNNNNNNNNNNNNNNNNNNNNNNNNNNNNNNNNNNNNNNNNNNNNNNNNNNNNNNNNNNNNNNNNNNNNNNNNNNNNNNNNNNNNNNNNNNNNNNNNNNNNNNNNNNNNNNNNNNNNNNNNNNNNNNNNNNNNNNNNNNNNNNNNNNNNNNNNNNNNNNNNNNNNNNNNNNNNNNNNNNNNNNNNNNNNNNNNNNNNNNNNNNNNNNNNNNNNNNNNNNNNNNNNNNNNNNNNNNNNNNNNNNNNNNNNNNNNNNNNNNNNNNNNNNNNNNNNNNNNNNNNNNNNNNNNNNNNNNNNNNNNNNNNNNNNNNNNNNNNNNNNNNNNNNNNNNNNNNNNNNNNNNNNNNNNNNNNNNNNNNNNNNNNNNNNNNNNNNNNNNNNNNNNNNNNNNNNNNNNNNNNNNNNNNNNNNNNNNNNNNNNNNNNNNNNNNNNNNNNNNNNNNNNNNNNNNNNNNNNNNNNNNNNNNNNNNNNNNNNNNNNNNNNNNNNNNNNNNNNNNNNNNNNNNNNNNNNNNNNNNNNNNNNNNNNNNNNNNNNNNNNNNNNNNNNNNNNNNNNNNNNNNNNNNNNNNNNNNNNNNNNNNNNNNNNNNNNNNNNNNNNNNNNNNNNNNNNNNNNNNNNNNNNNNNNNNNNNNNNNNNNNNNNNNNNNNNNNNNNNNNNNNNNNNNNNNNNNNNNNNNNNNNNNNNNNNNNNNNNNNNNNNNNNNNNNNNNNNNNNNNNNNNNNNNNNNNNNNNNNNNNNNNNNNNNNNNNNNNNNNNNNNNNNNNNNNNNNNNNNNNNNNNNNNNNNNNNNNNNNNNNNNNNNNNNNNNNNNNNNNNNNNNNNNNNNNNNNNNNNNNNNNNNNNNNNNNNNNNNNNNNNNNNNNNNNNNNNNNNNNNNNNNNNNNNNNNNNNNNNNNNNNNNNNNNNNNNNNNNNNNNNNNNNNNNNNNNNNNNNNNNNNNNNNNNNNNNNNNNNNNNNNNNNNNNNNNNNNNNNNNNNNNNNNNNNNNNNNNNNNNNNNNNNNNNNNNNNNNNNNNNNNNNNNNNNNNNNNNNNNNNNNNNNNNNNNNNNNNNNNNNNNNNNNNNNNNNNNNNNNNNNNNNNNNNNNNNNNNNNNNNNNNNNNNNNNNNNNNNNNNNNNNNNNNNNNNNNNNNNNNNNNNNNNNNNNNNNNNNNNNNNNNNNNNNNNNNNNNNNNNNNNNNNNNNNNNNNNNNNNNNNNNNNNNNNNNNNNNNNNNNNNNNNNNNNNNNNNNNNNNNNNNNNNNNNNNNNNNNNNNNNNNNNNNNNNNNNNNNNNNNNNNNNNNNNNNNNNNNNNNNNNNNNNNNNNNNNNNNNNNNNNNNNNNNNNNNNNNNNNNNNNNNNNNNNNNNNNNNNNNNNNNNNNNNNNNNNNNNNNNNNNNNNNNNNNNNNNNNNNNNNNNNNNNNNNNNNNNNNNNNNNNNNNNNNNNNNNNNNNNNNNNNNNNNNNNNNNNNNNNNNNNNNNNNNNNNNNNNNNNNNNNNNNNNNNNNNNNNNNNNNNNNNNNNNNNNNNNNNNNNNNNNNNNNNNNNNNNNNNNNNNNNNNNNNNNNNNNNNNNNNNNNNNNNNNNNNNNNNNNNNNNNNNNNNNNNNNNNNNNNNNNNNNGCGGAUCAGGAUCGAGGCAAGGGCGUCGCAAGCUAGAGCCCUACCCGACUGACAGAGCUAGAGGCACCCUACCGCAGGUAGUUGUUUUACUUCGAGCUUAUGUACAUAGUACUUAACUCGCCAGUGCGAGUAACACUGUAUUUUGGUUUCUGAACUAUGUAUAUGAAGCUCAGUUGGUUUAGCUUUUGUUCAUUGAGCAGCUCUAUGCUACUGUUUGUAGUAUUGCAUAUCUACAGGUACUUUUGACGCUUCGUAUACAGGAAAAAUUUCUUUGUAUACGGCGGAUUUGUCGGUGUGCCCGGGGAACGAGACAUCCGGGGCGUGACACCAAAUUUGGGGCUUUUGCCUCUGGAUGUUUUUAAGGUAAAUUGACCUCUUGGAAAUCUAAUUGGGGAUAUUUCCGAUGCGUUGGUGUGCUCGGUUCAUCGAAACGAAAGACUAGGUAAUAGUUCUUGGUAAAAAGCCUAUUUUGGCUCUAAUUUGGUACAGAUCGACGGAACUCCCGAAAUAGGAGUCCAAAAAUCACGAGAACGGAUCCAGAGUAUCGUGGCAUCAAGUUAUUGGUCGAACAACUUUCGGAUUUUGGAUUGGUGGCCGCUGGUGGUCGAGUACGAGUUCGGGUCGCACCGGACAAUGGGUGCCGCGGGAGGCGGAUUGCAAGUGACUACGAGCAGAGUGCGAAUCGAGAUGGGUUGUGCUCACCGAAGCGACUAGGUCACCUGUAUGUCUAAGAGAAACGUGAUUUCAUGUUGAUGCAUGUAAAUGUUAGAAGAUGCAUGUGGUAAUACUAAAAGAAUACAUGUGCGCACAUUGUAAGAAUGCAUGUUAAUGACAUAAUGUAAAAUGCUAAGUGGAUGCAUAUGAUGUAAUAUAGAAAUGUUAGAAUGCAUGAUGAUAUAAUAUGAAUGAUGCUAGUUAAAAGCAUAAGGUAAAUGGCAUUUGCAUGUUAACAUAAAGUAGAGAAUAUGCUAGUUGUAAUGCAUAAUGACAAGUUGUAAAGAAUGCUAGUUUGGAUAAGCAUGUUAUGUAAAUGCUAGAUAAUUGCAUGAAGGCAUGGUUGGCAUUGUGAGGACUAUGGAAUACUCGAAUUGGACAACUAGGAUGUCAAUUAGAUCGAGUGGCAUUGAACUUAGUGUUAGUAAACAUAGGUUGGAUAAGAAUAACAUAUGAAUCUAGUGUUGUUAAACAUAGGUGGGCAUCGAACCUAGUGUUAAAGAACAUAGGUUGAGAACGAACCUAGAGUCAGUUGGACCUAGGGUGGAAAGUGCAUUGGACCUAGUUAGGUCGAUAAUAUAGGGUUUGAGACCAACCCUUGAGCUAUGUAAAGUAGAUUCUGGAAUCCCGACUGCGAGUGCAGCGGCUGCUAGUGCAGUAUAUGAGCUCGAUAGUUCUUGGCCGCGGGUGCAUGUAGCAUGUUCUUCUCCCACCGAAAGAACUUCGAGACUUGUGAUUGAGCAAGAACAGUGAGCGCUAGGGUGUAUAUGGCAUGUUCCUCUCCCUAUCGGGGAUCUCGGCUGCGGGUGUAUGUGGCAUGUUCCUCUCCCACCGGGGGAUCCCUGACCACGGUGUACGCAGCUUUGGGCGAACCGUUGGGCGAUAUGGUUCUUGGCCUGUAGGCUGGGUGCAUGCGAGAGUUCCUUCACCUCGAGCCGGACAGAGCGCGGAUUAUCCGUCGUUGAUUAACUCAAGACCGAGUCGGGUGGUAUAGUGUGACUAAGGUAAGAGUAACCUUAGGAAAUAAUGGCAAGUAAAGAGUAAAGCUAGCUAAGAAUAAAGAACGGCUAAAGAAUGAGAAUAGCUAAUAAAGUAAAGAACGGCUACAAGUAAGAAUGAUUAAGAAUAUAAAGUAGAAUCAGUAAUUUACUUGCAUAGUUGCAUGGGUUUUAUAUCGCACGUCGUGAGACAUGGCAUGUAGUUCAAUAUCGAAUAAAUGUAUAAAUAUUUGUUAUACGUUAUUGGACUAACCUGUUGCAGUGCCUCAUUAGACCUAUUGGUCGAGCUUUUCCCUUAGGUGGCCGUACCCACUGGGAUCUAUGGAGUUAGUUCUCACCCCACAUUGCUUUGGGGUGUUACAGGUUCACAUGUGAGCGGCGCUGCGGCGCGAGGAAAGGCGUAGCUUCGUAGAUAGCGCCCUACCCCAGAGACCAGAGAUAGCAGUACCCCGUGUCGGCAUAGCCUAGGGGUAUAGAAAAUGAAAAGAUCAAGAUGUAUCAAGUUGUAAUAAAUUCUAACAUCUAGAUUGUACUUUGGAAGUUAAAUGUAAUAUGUAAUUGUGAUGUAAAAUGCAUCUGGAGAUGAAUGUUGUAAUAACUUAGUUGUUUUAUGUUUUUGAUACUUAUGCAAUCUAUAUUUGAAAUGUAUUCCUGGUUGGAACCUCGUACAUUGUUCAGGUUGCGACAUCUAGGACGUACAGGGGAGACUCUGUCCGUUCGGCGGUCUGUUGGCGUGCCCGAAUCCGACCAAAGUGGCGGGCUCGGGGCGUGACACAAUGGAAUCAUAAUGUGAUAUACCGAAUUCCCGUAUCGUAAUGCUAACUUUGACCAAAUUGAUCAAAGUGUGGUAUGAAGGCAAUAGACAAGGUUCCCAUACUGCCUUGAAGGCGUAGGGAUGGUUAGAAGUGAGUUUCGAGAGUAUUUGAGUGUUUUCGGCUCAAACUGGGCGAGAAAACAGACUCCGAAGUGUUAAGUCUGCUGAAAUAGCAAAAUUUGCAUUGAAUGCCGGAACCAGGAUGGGGUACCGAUACCCAAUACAAAAGAAAAAAUACCAGCUCUCGGAUUGAGGUACUGAGCUAGGGUACCGGUACUGGGAGGCUGUGUACUGGUACUGGAGGUCAUGCACCGGUACUCAAUAGAAAACCCAUAUUUAUGAGACCGAAUUUAGAAGAACUUAACUAGGGCAGAGUUAAUAGCGGAAAAGGGUUUCUGAUAUUAAAAACUCAAGACGAAUAAAUUUGACAUAUGACAAACGAUAGGGUUUGAUGAGUUAUUCCCUUAGUUAGUUAAUUCGCGAUUAAAACGCGAAUGAUACGCGAAUUUUAAAAAUUACGUAUUUAAACGGUCCGUUCCGUAUUUUUUCGAAAAGUUAAAAAAAAACGCGAUUUCUUCCUAAAAAAAACUUGUUUGCGAAUUAUUCGCCAUUCGCGAAUGAUUCGACCAAAAAAAUGGUGCUCGCGGUCGUGGAUUCGCGGCCGAGGCUCGCAUCGUCGCCAUGCUCAUGGUCGUCGCCGCGCUCGUCGUCGCGGAUUCGCGGCCGAGGGUUGCGUCGUCAUCGCUCUCGUCGCCGAACUCGUCCAGGUCGCCCGCCUCCUCCUCCGCCGCCCUGGCCGGCACCGAGAGCAAGAGCCGCCGUGGCGGCGGAUGCCCUCUCGCGCCGUCUGCGGAAAAAUGUGGAAAAGAAACAGUAAAAAAAAUCGGGGCUUUUGAGCAGACUUUUGUGCCCGGUCCACGAGGCCACUUUGUGGCCUCGUGGACCGCGUGAGAGAGAGGUCCACGGUGGACCUCCCUCUCAUUAAUCAUUAUAUAUAUAUAUAUAUAUAUAUAUAUAUAUAUAUAUAUAUAUAAUUUUAUUUAUAAAUAUAUAUUCAUUUAUUUAUUAUAUAUAAUUUUUUAUUUAUAAAUUUAUAAUUAUUUAUUAAUAUUUCUAAAUACAUAACUCUUAUAUAUUAUUAAUAUAUAUUUAUUAUAUUUUGAAUAUAUUUAAUUUAUAUAAAAAAGCAUAAAAAUAAUAUAUAUAGUAUAUUAAUUAUUAUAUAUUUAUUAUAUAGCCGAAUUUUUGAUUCCGAAUUUUUAAUUGGUAAACGUAUAAUAUCCGUAUAAAUUACGUAUCUAAAUAAUUACCAAAUCGUUUUUUAGCCGUAUUUUUCAACGAAUUUAAAAGUUAAAAGAUGAAUUUUAUCCGAAUAAUACCCGUACCGGAUUUUUGCCGAAUCCGAAUUAACUAACUACCUGUCUAGUCGGGACUCAUGAUAGAGGGACUAUCACACGGUAACUGCACCAAGAGGUUCAUAUUCCAUUCUAUUAGAAUGCCACUACAUGCUGUUAGGCGUCACUUGUGGAUUGUGAGACUCAUGAGAGUUAUCUAGAUGAUCGAUAAUUCUCAUUGGGCUGAGUUGGAAUUGUUCCGAUCCAUUGAAAGGAAUUUCAAUGAUAUUGUUGAUAGUGAUCAAAAUAUAUCUCAUUACCAGAUAAAAUAGAACCUGUAGGAUCACACACAUAAAAGGUUGUGACUGAUCGGAUAGCUAGAUAGCGAUUUUUGAAUCGUCGAAGGACCUAAUUGUCAAUAUAUUGAUAAUUGGACUAACUUAUAAUUAUUACAAAUUAGUGGUAUUAAAGUGUAAAUAUUACAAGUGAGGACUUAUUAACAGUUAGUAAAUUAUAAGAGGGCUUAUGUGCAAAUAUUGCAUUAUUAAUUUGAUAUGAUCAAAUUAAUAUAAAGUUCAAGUUGAAUCAAAUUAGGAUCUGAUCGAUCUAACCAAUUAAGGAAAGGAUAAAUUUAAAUCUAAAUUUGUACUUAUCCUUAAUGGUUAUUAUAUUAUUAAAAUAAUCCUCUAUAUAAUAUACGGGAGUUUUUUAGAAAAUCCUAGUCGUCAUCUCUCUUCUUCUCUCUUUCCUUCUCUCUUUUUCUCUAGCAAGAAAGACGUUCUUUACAAGGGAGCUGCUCCCCGGUGAGGACAUUGAUCAAAUCACCAAUCUCGUGUGGAUACAUAUGAAGGCCAAACGCGUGUGCGACUGCAAGAGAAUCUAAUUCCACGAUGAUCAAAUUGCGGUGAAGAUCUACCCACGCAAAGGUAAAGAUUGAAUCUUCAUUUUCUCCUUUGAUCUUAAAGAACAUGAGGGAUCCUAAUUACGUGGUUUUUGAGAUCGGAUCUCGAGUUUUUAAAAAUCAAAUUUAUUUGAUUUCUUUUUUCGCUGUGAUUUUACCGUACACAAAUUUUCUAACCCAAGCAACCACAUAUGGGUUCCAAAGCCAAAACGGCACUUUUCGAGAACCCGUUGCAGCUAGUUUUGGAGUUUUUGCCUACGAAUCGCACUACUUCCUGAUACUAAAAAGUGAGUGUCCUAGGAUAGUGUGACACCCCGGGUCCCUUUUUGGUUUAAAAGUCAUUGUGGAAGUGCCCAAAUUUUUUUUUCUUUUGAAAACUUGAUCCCCAGGGUAUGCCAGAUCCGUCACAAAUAUAGGGAGUCCACUGUUCACACGGACAGAGUCCUCUGUAUUUGCACGGCGUCGCAUAAGUACAAUAUACACAAUACAGGUUACAAUCACCACAUAUGAACAUACACAUGUUCAUACACCAUUCACAUUCACAUUCAGAAUUAUUCAUAAAUCCACAACUAUUAGUUUAAAAUGUUUCCUACCCGGAAACUCAUUCUAAAAUAGUAAAUCAUGAAAAUCAUGAAAAUCUUUUAAAAAACCGUUUCCCGCAAGGAAACAUUUUCUUUUUAAAACUCGCUACCACGAGGUGUAGAAAAUCAUUUUCGGUUUGCAAGAAUCCCAAAUCCUUUAUUACAUUCGCGAAAUCCCAAAUAUUCAAUUCACAUAAAAAACUGAACCAUAAAUACUGUCUAAGUUAUUUAUUUAAAGGAAACAGGUUAAGAGUUUAAACCGAAUGGGCGGGUCCGAAAGCUCUACCGAACCGCUAAGUAUGCUCCUCAGGAACCGUCCCACUAAGAACUGCGACGUCACCUGUAAUGGGGGUAGGGGGUGAGAACAUGUAUACAUGUCUCCCCUCCCAGUGGGUACUGCAAGCCGACAAGGGCGAGGGGUACUGACCAGUCAAGGAGGAUAAACAAGAUACGGUAAUGGUAAUACAGUAGCAACGAUAAUGAAUGAACGAGAUGAAUAAAUGAAUUACAACCGCUACUGUAUGUAUGCGUCAACCGGACGACAAGUCCAAAGUACCCAAUCUAAACCUGCCCUAUCGAUUCGUAGACCUCAGGCCUGUACCACUACCUCUCUACCUGCAUAUGACCCAGUUCUGACCACUGGGCUUACGGGUUGGCACAUCAACUACUUUUUCGGAAAAGAACGCCUAGUCGCGGUAGAUCAGACCGCUGGUGUUCGUUAAAUGAGAAUGAGUAUGUGGCGAUCAAUGCUGAUAUGCUCAAUAGCCAACCGUCAACAACUAGCUGACAAUCUUGCCCCUAAGGGCAUACCGACCGUAUAGGUCACCAAGUAGUCCAACCGACCAAGUAGGUCACAAUACCAUAUGCAAUGAACCGACCAAAAAGGUCACAGAUACGAAAUACUAGAACCGACUAACUAGGUCACCGAUCUCACAUGAAAUCAUAAAUAUGCUCUACUUCUACUUAUUAUACUAGACAUGAAAAACAACCGAGUAGAGUAUAACGGGAACAAUAUGGGUGCUAGGCUCAACACUAUAUAUAUAGAUAUAUAGGCAAGAUAACAACAAGAGAACAAGGGUAAGAAGAUAUCACCGAGCGUGCACCACUGUACUAUCUUCGGAUCGAAGUACCCACCUAUACAUAACUGGCACUGGUCUCCCGACUGCGGAGAAGAAUCAACCAGACCUACGAAGGAUCCACCGGGUUAGCAUCCAACCCACAAACACGAACCACUAACUCACAAUCCCCACCAAUAAAACUACGGGAAUCAGUUUCCCAACACCGAUUGCCAUAACUCACCAGAAGUCCCGAAAAUCACACCGGGACUCUGUCGUGACCUAUGAACUGUCCCGGAAUUCACCGACUCGUCCUACGAGUCAUCCGCUGCGACUAAACACAAUUAUUCAUGCGACUUGGCAGAAAAAACAUCGCCUUACAUCAAAACGACUAUCGUCGGAUAAUCAUUCCAAUCCGGGUUCCCCGAAGUGUCAAAUUCCACACCGGAACUUUCCGAACCCUUGAAAUGAUGCGGGUGACCAGCCAAUAAGGCUCAGCGACUAAGCAAUUAUCACAAGGCACCGUCGGAAGAAUUCCGAACCAAAAUCGCGUUCCGUUGGCGGAUUUCGCCGGAAAACGCAUCGAAAAUCAACUUUCAAUUUUCGAAAAGGCUUGGGGCCUUGGACAAUCAAUCCAGAGGUCACCCACUGCCCGCACACGCUGCAAACAGUGACCACAAAAUGUACAAUUGCAUAGAAACCCCUGCGACUACAUAAAAUCACAUCAUUUUAUGUGAUUUUCGGGGUUUUACGACCCGACAGCGCAAACCGAGGGCAUUCUAGCUAGGCCGAGACAACCGUUGACAGAUCUCGAUAUGCCGGAGGCCGUGCUCACACUUCGGAGCACGGCUGGCCACUCUGGCAAGCUCGCGAGCAACGCGAACUUUAGCGAAACAGUGCGCACAGCACAUAAAACCAAUAUAACACGGAAACCGGGGCAUCGUUAGCCCCAACGAAGGUGAGCACGAUGUUCGGCACGGAUCAGGGAUCAUCAUGCUGACUUCCGAGAGUGUCGGGGUGUCUCUAGAUCGCCAGAAAAGCGAUCGAACCUGCAAUAGUGCAUAGAACAGUAAUUACAGCUUACCGGAGCCCCAGGCAGCAAACGAUGGCCGCCGGCGGUCGGACGGCCGGCGGGCAGGUCGGCGAGGGUUGCGUGGGGUCAGAGGGGGCCGGGGCAUGCACUGGCCGGCAGCGGGAGGCAGCUGAUGGCUCAGUGGAGAAACACGAGCCCGAGCAGCCUCGACUAUGUUCAGGGAGGUAGCGGCGGCCAGGCGGCGGCCGGGGGAGCGCCGGGGUGACGGCGAUCGUCACCGGAGGUCGAGGGAGGGUGGCGCGCCCUACUGUGUUCGCGGCGACGCACGGAGGCCAAGAAGGCUUGGCCUCGGCCUACUCAAGGUCUAGGCGGCCGGAGGGAGCACAAGCAACGGCCGGCGGCUCGUGGGGACGGCGGGGAUGGCGCACAGGAGGUCGCCGGCGGCUAGAAGGAGGCGGGGCGGCCGAGCUAGGGCAGCGAUAGCAUGUAGGCCUAGAGCUCAGCUGAGCUCGGCCCGAGCUGAACCUGGCUGGCCGCGGGUCGCACAGGCGACGCCGACGUCGCGGGCGGAUGGCGGGGGCUUGCGGGGACAGCGCCGGAGGGGGAUCUCAGCCAAGGGGUGGAGCUUCCCAGGGUGUAGGUACUUUCCUGCGAUCGACAGCCGAGAGGGUGGAGAGAAAGGUUGAGAAGAUGUUGGAGGAGAGGCCACCAAGCUUUUUUUGGCGACCGGAAAAGCUCGCCGGCAGCCGGGGUGCACGCACAGCUAAGGCACAAUGGCGUUGGUGACGGCUAGGGUUAGCUGGGGGAGCUAGGUGUAGGAUACCGAACUUCUGAAAAUAAGAAGUUACGGUAGGAUAUAGUAUGUCGGAAUUUAUUAUAAAAGUAAAUAUAAAUAAAAAUAGUGUGGAAAACUAUUUUUAUUGGCCUUAUAGAAGUAAAGUAAAAGUUGGAAGUGACCUGUCGANUUUAGCACUGUUUGUGCUUCUUCGUUGUUGUUGUGUAGAUCGUGUAUGAUUACAAGUGUUUCCUGGGUACUUGUGUACAUGAUCUUGUUGUGGAGCCUAGGGCGGACAGGGGAGACUCUGUCCGUUCGGCCUCACGCCCGCCGCGCCCGAACCGAGCCAAAUUGGUAGCGGUCUCGGGGCGGGGCGUGACACUAGGUCAGCUAGGUCUAGGGUUUUGUGCAAAGAAAACCUAGUGCAACCUUAUAUACAAGUUGUGCAAAAUGCGAAACAGUCCCCCAAAGCUUAUUAUUUUCAGCCCAGCCCCUGGCAGCGCGUGCAUCUUGCACGUACAUACCUCGACAUUCAAAAUCACGCAAAACAACACAUAAAAUAUUGGGUUUUUUGUACUUUUUUAAUUUUGCCAAUUUUGACCCCUCAGCGAACAAUUUGCAAUUCUCGGAGAUCCGUCCGUCGGAUUUCCGAUCGGAUUGCACCAACGCGUUCAGCAUGACUAGGGCAUUGAAUCUACCAUUUUUUUUCAUCCGAUUUGGUCACCGAUUUGCGACGAAAUCCAUCCACUCUCCAAUCUCCAAAAGCCAUACCUAUAUUUAUAAAUCCAAAAAAUUCUUUUUCUCGAAAAUCGUGCAUCAGAACCCAAAUCUGUCAGUGCCAUUGGGUCCAGGAUAGUCGAACCGUCGAAAACAAGCUAUUGGAUCACUAUGAAUGGAGUCCAAUAUGCACCAGAAGCCAUCUCCACUCAUUGGCUUCUCCGGAAAACCGGAGUUACUAUUUACUUUUAAGUGAUUAGUACAGGUCGCGUAACUUCUCCAUUCUAACUCGUUUUCUUCCGAAACUUGACGAGUGCUUAUGUAAUUACAUUACACGCAAAAACAUCGUCAAUAGAGGGUUUUGCUACACUAUCAAAUCUUGGAUAUUACAGAUAGUAUGGGAUGGUUGGGAGCUGUUCGUUGUGCUUCAGGUUACUCCGAGGCCGAAUCAAGCACCAAAACGCGAGUAAACGGGUGAUUCGGGUGUAGAAUCAUGAUUUGUGUGAUGCAACUAUUUGCUAGAGUGUUUGGGCCUCAUUUUUGGGUUACCCUUGCUGUCUUAUAUGUUUGGAGAUAAUGGAAGGGUUGAUGGUGGGUUCUAGAGCCAAAUUAACAUUUUUCGAAAACCCGACACAAUUCAAUUAAUGUUUUGAUACUUGUUUGCGUCGUUUCUGUGUGUCGAUGCUCGAAUACCCAAAUAGGUGUGUCUUAUGGCAAUGGAUGAUGAUUGGUGAGUUUUGUUAUACUCCGGGACACUUCAUGGGUUUUGGGUAGAGUUCCUGUGUGUUGUUGGGGCAUAUUCGAUGGGUUCGAGAUUCGGUAAAAGCACCGAAUACUCGGUUGGUUUUUGGGAUGUGUGAUAUGUAGUUCUAAGUCUUCGAGGGUUAAUCUCUUAUUGUCGAGUGGAUCAUGGUUUGUAGGAUCUUUUACAGGUCCAGGCAGUUUGUUAGAGCAUUAUCGGGGCUCGACGCUUUACUAGAUUUCAAGUAAGUACUUCAACCCGAAGUCGAUUCAGCGGCAUACGCUUGGUGACUUCUUUCCUUUCUUCUCUCUUAUAAUUGCCUACUUUAUCACACACGUAUAUUGAAUAUUUUGCAUAGCAUUGAAUAUUCAUUGAUCUACUCUACGGUUACCUUGUCUAAUAGUAUCAUGAUUACAUGUUGAGUAUCUUGCACACUACUUGGCACCUGUUGGUCUACUCUACGAUUAUUUCGUCUUGCAGUAUCAUGUUUUAUCUAGUGGUAGAGUAGCAUUCCAAUGAUUGAUUAUCAUUGCAUGACCUUAUCGUUGAUGGUAUUUCGUACUUGGUGAUACAACUUUAUAGACCUGAUAAGUCAGUGACAUUAUGACAUUUCUUCGGAAAUAUUAGACCUGAUUUGGUCGGAUGUGGUUGUAGAUUGUUCUUCCGGGUUUUCGCCAUCGCUAGCCAUUGAGCAUAUAGCAUCGAUCGCCACAGCUCAUAUGUAUUUUAUGUACACAAGCGGUCUGAUCCACCGCAAGAGGGUGUUCUUUUCUGGAAAAGUGGUUGCGAGUGCCGACUCAUGAACCCAGGAGCUUAUACUAGGGUUAUAUGUUAUUUAGAGUGGCGUGGCACUUGCCUAAGGUCUUUAGACCAAUAUGGCAGUUGAUGGGUAUAUUUGUAUUAUCACUUGUUAGCUAACGCAUCGACACUCCUCUAUCUUUGCUUUAUAGUAGUGGUUGUUUGUACCAUAGUGGUAGUUGCUUCCAGUUCAGUUAUCGUUACUACUACACUAGUUGAUUGUUGAUUUCAGUUGUCCAUUACUUUAUUUUGCUUUACAGUAGUAGCUCCUUUUGUGCCUAUAAGUGGUUGUUAUUCGUUAUUAUAUCUGAUUUACUUGCUACUACUGCUGUUUAUUCCUUCCAUCUGCCGGUGUGUACAACUUUCCUUCGUUUGCUUGCAGUACCCGUUGGGAUGGGAGAGUUGUUUACAUGUUCUCACCCCUCACUAUUUUUCAGGUAGCCCGGGCGGUGGGGGUGGGAACGAUGCGUGAGGACGGGUCUAGAUAGCGGUGUCUUGGACUGAUUUCCUCGUGGACUUUUAUUCCUAUACUUAGUUUAGUUUCUGUUAGUGUGACUCUCAAUUAGUAUCCAUUGAUUUUCCAUGAUGUUAGAAUGAUGGAUCAAGUUAUUAGAUUAGUUGAUUUUUAUUUGGAGUAUUUGUUUCUAUGAUCUUCUUAUUGUUUAUAGUGAUAUUCCUAUUUGUUUAUGGUUUGGUUGACAUUCGUAUGCUUGUGCUACAUCGUGCAUGUAUAGGGAAGACUCUGUUCGUUUGAAUAAGAGAUCCUUUAUCCAUGUGGCAGGUUUGUGCACGUCUCGGGAUAGUCUCGAAGAGUUUAAAAAAAAAAAUCUCACAUGUUUUUCUUCUGUUUUCCUUAAAAAAGAUUUGUAAAAGGAUCCCAAGGCAUGACAUUUUAAAUGUGCAUUUAUACAUUUUUACUUCUUAAGUUUUUUCAUGGCUUUUUAUCUCUUAUUUUUGGAUUGGGGCACUUAAGUAUAAAUAGGAAAAACAAAAAUUGCUAUUUAGGAUUUGAAGGCCAAUUUGCAUAAAAAAUCCACAACUUUUGCUUUUGCAAAACUAUGCCGUCUUUUUCGAUUUUGCAGAUUCAGUCCGAAUUUUCAACAAACUGACCAAAAUACUCUUAUACCUUUUUCUCUCUCCUUUUUUUUUCUCGUGUUCUUUGUUUUUUUCUCUCCGAAGAAGUUGGCAGAGGCGAAGGCGGAAACGGCCCCCCUGCCUUUGCCUCCACGCCCUCACUCUCGCCCAUGCAUGCCCGCCCUCCGCGCCUCCGACCCUGCCGAGACUGCGCUGCGACCCUCUUUUUUUUUUCUCUCCGACCCUCCUCCACCCGUCAUCCCCACCGCCACCGCCGGCGACAAAGAGGAAGUGCUUCUCGAGGCGAGGAAGAAGAAGAAAAAUAGUUAAACUCCGGCAAGGGCGAUGGAUGCGAUAGAGGACAAGGGAGAGGUCGUGACAAAAAAAAAUUAUAGAGAGAAAAAAAGAAUAAUAAAAAAUAAAAAUAAAAAAAACUUUUAAAGACCAAAAAUCAUAAAAGAAGGGAGAAGAUGAAAUUGCACUGUUAAAAUAAAGUUACACUAUUUUAAAAAAAAUUGUACUAUUUUAGAUGAAAGUUGCACUCUUUGAGAUUGAAAUUAUACUCUUUGGGAUAAGUGUUACACUCUUUAGGUAAAAGUUGCACUAUUUAGGUAAAAUUUACACUAUUUCUCUGCCACCAUCGCCAUCAAGCGCCCCUCACACCGCCGCCCCCCUUUCCGCCGGUGCCUGCGCGCGACAAGGUCAUAGCGCCCGUGCGCGAUGAAGUUGCAAUGUUUUAAGAGAACAUUGCACUAUUUCAAAAAAAUGUUGCACUAUUUUAGAGAAAACUUGUACUCUUUAAUAGAAAAAUUAUGCUUUUUUGGACGAAAGUUGUAUUUUUUGAACGAAAGUUUCACUCUUUGAACAAAAGUUGCACUUUUUAGGCAAAAAUGACACUAUUUCUCCUCUCCCUCCUCUUUCUUCUCCUUCCUCUUUAUUUUCGUGUAUUUCUUCUUCGCCCAUCUCUUUUUCGCCCUCUACCUCCGUCGGCAGAUUCUCCGCCCAUCUCUCUCCGACCAUCUUUUUUUUCUCCCUCUCCGUCGGCAGAUCCUCUACCCUCUGCCCUGCACGCCCUCACCAGUGCUCGCACAUGCCCCCCGCCCCCCUCACCUCCAAACCCGCCAAGGCCGCGUCGUGACCCUAUUUAUUUUCUUUCUGACCAUCCUCCAUCGCUAAAAAAAAGAGGGUCGGAGAGAGAUGGGUGAAGGAUCUAUCGUCAAAGGUGGAAGGCGAAGAAGAGAUGGGGGGAGAAGAAACACAUGAAAACGAAAAGAAAGGAGAAAAAAAAGAAGGAAGAAGAAAAACAGUGUAAUUUUUAUCCAAAGAGUGAAACUUUCAUUCAAAGAGUGCAAUUUUCAUUCAAAAAGUGCAAUUUUUGUCAAAAAAAGUGUAAUUUUUCUUUUAAAGAGUGUAAGUUUUCUCUAAAAUAGUGCAAUAUUUUUCUGAAAUAGUACAACAUUCUCUUAAAACAUUACAACUUCAUUAUCCUCUUCUUUUCUCUCUAAUUCUUUAUUUUUAUUGUAGAAAAAAGUAUUUUUCUUUAUGCUUUAUUCUUUUUAUUUUUUAUUUUCUAUAUUCUUUUUCCUAGGCUCCGUUCUCACCUGCACUCGCUUCGAAUUCUCCUUCUCUGGCGCCGGCGACGGUGUCGACGCCGGCGAAUGCAGAGGAAGAGGAUGCGGCUCUGUCCUUAUUACUGUUAUGGAGGGUCACAGAGGCAGUGGAGGUAGGUCGAAGAGAAAAAAAAGAACGAAAGAAAAAAGAAGAGUAAGAGGACGUGAUGUUAUCCUCUUUACUGUUGUAAAGAAGCGGGAAAACAGUGAAGGAAAGUCGGAGAUAAAAAAGAAAAGAGGGUCCUGGUGCUCGGUGGGGUCGAAGGCGAGGAAGGUGGAGGGAGGGUACGCGGGUGAGGGCGAGGGGGAGCGGGAUAGAGGCGAGGCGGGCCGCCUCCGGCUCCGCUAUAUUCUUCGGAGAGAAAAAAGAAAAAAAAAUGAGAGAAAAAAAAAAAGAGUGAAAAGGGAAUAUGGGUAUUUUGGUCCGUUUUCUAAAAAUUCGGCAUGAAUCUGCAAAAUCGAAAAUAGUGGCUCACUUUUGCAAAAGCUCAAAACCAGUGGAUUUUUUUAUGCAAAUUGGCCGGAUUUGAAUUGCUUAGUUUAAAUAUAGGCAACCCGCUUAAUAUAGACCUAUAACUUAGAUUUAUACUUACGAUUGUUAUAAACUCACGGUAUUUGAAUUGCUUAGAUUAAAUAUAGUAAAUAUAGGUAAGCCCGCUUAAUAUAGGCUUGUAACUUACUUAGAUUUAUACUUACGAUUGUUAUAAACUCACUGGGCUAAACUAAAGAACCCACAAGAAAAGAAAAAAGAUUGAACUUACUUAGAUUAUAAUUUGGACUUGAAAUUGCUUAGAUCUAAAAUAAAUUUAUUGAGAUAAAACAAAAUACUCUAAAAAAGAAAGAUUUGAAGCCCAGUUGAUUUGGGCUUGGGCUUGGGCUUACCUGGGUGUACUAAAUUUACUUGGUCAAUUAGCUGUAGCUAAGACCUAUUUAUUUGGAUUUAAUUUAUUCGUUGUAGCUAGACUCAAUUGCUUUGGCUUGAGGUUGGGCUUCCUCAGUGCUAAAUUUAUUAGGCUAAACUAAAGGACAAAAAGGAUUAAAAAAAAUAAUUAGAUAUAGCUAAAACCUAUUGAUUUGGGCCUAACUAAUAAGAUGCGGCUAGACUCAGGUGAUGUGACAAAUUUAGUUGGCUCAACUAAAGCACGAAAAAAAGCCACCUAAUUAGAUAGAGCUUAAGCCCAAUUGAUUUGGAAUUUGGAUUGCUUAGAUUAAAUAUAUGUGAACCCCAUUAAUUUGGGCCUACAGCUUAAGUUAUUCUUAUUGUGAUCAACUUACUAGGCUGAACCAAAGCACAUAUAGGGAAAAAAAUAGAUGUAGUUAUAUCUAAUUGAUUUGGGCUUGAACUUGCUUAGAUAAAAAAUCAACUAAUAAAUAAACACAUACCAAAAAUAAUAAUUUAAAUUUAAAAUAUAAAUAUAAAUUUAAUUUAAAAUUAAAUAUGACAUUUUGAAUUAAACAUGAAUUAAAAUUUCGAUACUUUUAGUUUAAAACAUAUACUUAAAUUUUAGAUUCGUCAAAAUUUAAAAAAAAAUAAAAAAAAUGUAAUGUAUAUAAAAAGAAAAAAAAGAACUACAUAAUUAUUAUUGGAAAUAACUAUUUGAAUUUGAAUUAGGAUAUGAAAUAUUUUCGAAUAAAUUAUAACAAAUAAAUUUACUUUUUAAAAAUUUAAUUUUCUAGAUAAAUAUGAUUAAUAAAUUUAUGUUGAUUUGAGAUAACUAUUAAAGUUGUUAUUGAUAGACCUAUUUUUUAACAAAAAAAAAUUCCAUUCCAUUUGCGAAAAUAGAAAAAAAAUUCAUAUUUAUCUAAAUUUCUGCCAACUGAAAGAUAUCUAUUGUAGAAUAUUUUUCACAUGCGCCCCGUAAAAGAAUAUUCCAUACUCUGGAACGUCAAACUUUCUGGAAGGUAUGUUUUCUGGGAUUCUAAAAUUGCAGAAUCAGUAGCAAACUAUUGUGCUAUUGUAUGUUUUUGUCGCGCGUUCAACAGAAUGCCGCAUUGAUCAUUUUGCAUUGUUGCUGUCCCUAACAGCAUAGGAUUAUGCAUGAAUGAUUUGAAUUCGAGGUCCAGGAACCCCUCAGUUGGGAUUUUAUAGUGAUCGACAUGUAAACGGUGGGUUAUGUGUAUAAUAUAGGUGAUUUUUUGCUUCGUUUUCGCGGACAGGUUUGGCUACCGGAUGCAGUGGUAGGGUAGCCUCGUUGGCUGGUUGGGAUCUCGCUGGUGUGAUCACGGACCAGUGAAUGACCCUAGGUGGUUUACGUAACCAAAAACGGCAAUUUUCGGGAACCCGGUAAGGUGAAUUUUGGAGUUUUCGCACCCGCAUCGCGCCACUCAGUGUGCGACUAUCCCAACACCCAAAAGUGAGUGUUUUGGGACAAUAAGGGUGGUCGUUUGACCCACGGAGUGUUUCAAAACAUUUCGAGGCUUAAUAGGAAUCCCAAAAUACGAAGAUCAGGCAAUUUCGGGCGCGGUUUCAUGUCACACGGGUUGCUGCUAUUUGUAGCAGGGUAGGAGACUCAUCGGCUGGUUUUAGUGUGAGGUUUGACACCUCUGGUCACAGCAAGAAGGCUGCGGGUGGUUUUGGUGCUGAAAUGGGUAUCCCAGGGUCCAAACUGGUGAUUUCUAGGAUCUCAAUAUUUUGUUUCGGCGCACUACUUGUGCGGUUGCCCCAAUAGUAUUAAAAAAUGAUAUGUUGGGACAGAGGGCGAGGUAGUAUAGGUGUGGGACCCAUUUUGGGACACCUCAUGGGUUGGGGUGACGUUCCAACGAGUCGGUGCGACAAUCGGGCGAUCUUUCAGUGACUGUGAAACGAGACCUGGAAAUCCGAUUGUUCACAUGUUUGGAUUCACUUAGACUCAUAUCUUAUAUAAUUAGCAGAUUUGAGCUAAUUAUGAUUUUGGAUGGGACUUUGUAUAGGUCUGGACCGUGACGGGAGGCAUCGACAGGGUGUCGACGACCCGAUUUUAUUCUACAGUAGAGGUGGGUACUUCGAUCCGAAAUCGGUAAAGUGGUGCCUACUCAAUGAUUUCUAUCCCUGUUAUCUCUUUUCAUUUACUUGAUACUGGUUGAGGUUUCAUACACCACUUGACUUCAUAACUAGUUGCUCUACAUUUGCUUCUAUCUUGUAUUAACAUGAUUUAGUGGUAGAGCGGUGUUCCUUUGUGAUUUAGUUAUCUAUUGUAUGAUUAUAGUAGAUGACCUUGACAUUAGUGACUUUUUAGUUGGUGACACUCUUAAUUAUCUAGUUCAUGAUUUGACAAUAAUUGACCCUACGGUCGGUGACAAUUUGAGCUAUCUAUCAUUUCACAUGACAUUAGUUGACCUUGUUGUCGGUGGCACUUCUAUUUGUAUAUGCAUGAUUUGAUAUUUGUAAACCUUGUGGUUGGUGACACUGCUAGUGGUAUAUCAUAUGACUUGACAUUAGUUGACCUGAUGGUCGGUGACACUCUUAGAUAGAGAUUGACCUGAUUGGUCGGUGACUCCUGAUUGGUUAUUCUCUCAGCUAUUUGCCGAUGUUGGCUGUUGAGCAUAUUGCAUUGAUCGCCACAGCUCGUGAGUAUUUCACAUACACCAGCGGUCUGAUCCACCGUAAGAGGAUGUUCUUUUCCGAAAAAGUAGUCGUACAUCCGACCCGUGAGCCCUAUGAGGUCCCAGUUAGGGUUAUAUACCAGGUAGGUGAGCAGGAUAUGGUUGAGCCUGAGGUCUUUAGACCAAUAUGGUAGUUGACUUUGUUGUUGGCAUUAUUAGUCCAUUGAUGCAUUGGUGUACUCUCUUGUUCUUUACAAUAGCUGUAGUUGUGUCUUGAUUGUCAGUUAUAGUCCCUUUCUGUUCAUUAUUGCUACUGUUUUGGUGCUUCUUCUGAUUAUGCCUAUUUGUCGAUUACUACACUAUCUUACGGUAGCGAUUAUUAUUGCAUUUAUUACCAGUUGUUAUUCUAUUGCUACUGUACCUGAUUCACCUGUUUACUAUUGUUGAUUAUCUCUUCCAUUUGUCGGUGAGUACAGCUCGCCUUCAUCAGCUUGCAGUACCCACUGCGAGAGAAGAGGUGUUUAUAUAUUCUCAUCCCCCACUAUUUUUCAAGUGACGUGAGCGUUGAGGGUUGCGACGGUGCGUGAGGACGAUACUAGAUAGCUGUUUUCUUAAUUGGUCCUCAUAGACCCAUAUUUUCUAGUAUUUGGUUUAGCUUUCGCUAUCACUUGGAUUAGUUUAGUUCUUCACUUGUUAAUGUACAUAUAUCAAUCGAAGAUGUGAAUAAUUAUUGUUUUGUGAUUAUUAUUGUUUAAUAAUCAUUAGAUGAUUGUGUUGUGUGGUUAUAUGUAUGCUUGAUCUUGUACUAUGGUGCUAUACUGUGCAUGUAUAGGGGAGACUCUAUCCAUUUGUACAGAAAAUUCUUUGUCCAUGUAGUGGGUCUGUGUACGUCCGCGGGGUGUUCUUAAAGGUGUUUUUUUUAAAAAAAUCUACACGUUUUUCACUAGUUUCCCUAAAAAGAAUUUCCAAAAGAGAAUUUUAAAAUUAUUUUUCUUUUCCAAAAUGUCACUCCCUAUCUAUCUAUAGAUAAAAUAAAAGCUAAGUUCCUCCGAAGCCUCCCUGCGUUUGACGGGGGGCUUCAGUGGGACCCUUUUUUUUUCCCGGCUCUCUCUCUUUCUCUCUCUCUCUCUCUCCCUCUCUCCCUCUCCCCACCCCCCUCCCCGGCUCCCUAUUUCUUUCUCUUUUUCUCUCUCUCUCUAGCGUGCGCGCGCGGGGCGCGGGUCGCGCGCACCCCCCGGCUCUCUCUCUUUCUCUCUCUCCGUCUCUCUCCCUUUCCCCACCCCCCUCCCCGGCUCCCUAUCUCUCACUCUCUUUCUCCCGCGUGCGCUGGGGCAUGGGUCGCGCACACCCCCCCCAGCUCUCUCUCUCUCAUUCUCUCCCUCUCUCCCUCUCCCCACUCCCUUCUCUCUGUCUGCCAUGUGCGGGCGGUCCACACCCCCCGUAUGCGCCGAGAAAGAGAGAGAGAGAGAGAGAGAGACUGUUUCUCCCCCCCUCUCUCUUCCUCUCUUUUCUUUCCUCCCCUCUCUCUCCCCUUCUUUUCCUCUACCUCCCCUCCUCUCUCCCCCUCUUUUUCUCUCCCUCCUCCUCGGCUCUCUCUCUCUCUCCCCCUCUCCUCAGCGCGAGCGGGCGGCGCAAGCGAGAGCGGGCGGGCGCAGGGCGUCGGCACGUGGCGAGCAGGAGACAGAGGUGCUGGCGAGAGCGUGGGGACUGGCGCAGGCGCGGGCGCCGACGUCGGCACGGUGGCGGGCUCCGACGUUGGCACGGACAUGAGCCGAUGAGAGAGAGGUCCAUGGUGAACGUCCCUCUCAUUAUAUAUAUAUAGUAUUUUAUUUUUAUAAUAUAGAUAUAUUAUUAUAUAAUAAUUUAUUAUAUAAUUUACUAUUUAUUUUUAUAAAAUGUAAAAUAUAUAAGCGCGGGCCGGCGCGAAGAGCUCGCGCGGAGAGGGGUUUGUCCUUUUUUUUUGGCUUUUCCUCUGUGGGACACACUCCUCUUUCUCUCCUUUUCCCCCCCUCUUUUCUAACUUUUUUUUCCUUUUUUUUUUUUCUCUUUUCUAACCUUUUUUUUAUUUUGUAUAAUUAUGGAUCACAUACAAAAAAUAAAAAUUAAAUUUAAAAUUUAAAAUUUGAUUUUGAAUUAAAUUUUAAAUUUUAAAUCAAAUAUCUCCUUAUAUUGCUAACUUUGCAGUUUAGGUGCUAUUUACUAUAUAAUUUAAAAUAUUUUAGAAUUUACAUAAAUUUUCCGCCACGUAGCGCGGGCCUUCACUAGUAGAUAAAUUAAUUCUUGAGUUCUCCUGUGGCCUACGUGGCGCCUCCCCAGUGCCCCCGCUCCAUCUCUCUACCAUUUCUCCUCGGGCGGGCGCGGGCGUGCAAGGGGCGCGAGCGGGCGCCGGGCACAUGUUGCGUGCACGUGGGAAAGAGAGAGGGGGGGAGAGAGAGAAAGAGAGAGAGAGAGGCCCUAUGUGCGGGGGACCCACUACCCGCACACGCGCGCGAGAGAGAGAGAGCCGGGGGGGUCCCAUAGGGGUGGGGAGAGGGAGAGAGGGGAAGAGAGAGUGAGUGAGAGAGCUGGGGGGCGGUGGGCCUGCUAUGUGCGGGUGACCCGCAGCCCCCCCGCGCGCGACAGAGAGAAAGAAAGUCUUUCUCUCCCCCCCUCUCUUUCCCUCUUACCCCUCCCCCCCUCGACUCUCUCCUCUCUCUUCCCUACUCUCCCUUGCCUUUUCCUCUCCCUCCCCUUCCUGCUCUCUCCUCUCUCUUCCUCCCCCUCUCCACAGCGCUCAGCAGGCCGCGGGGCGGCGCCGCGCAGGGCAUUGUGCCCUGGAUCAACCAAACAACCCUGCGGAGGCCCAAUGCCUAGUUCGGCGCCAAACGGAAAGUCCGGCGGCCGGUGGCCGCGGCGGGGGCGUCGGCGGCCAGGGGAUAAGCGGUACUCGCGCGACGCGCGGCGGGCGCCCGGCGGCGGCAACGACGGCGGGCUGGCCCCGGGUCCGCCCGGCGCCAAGGGAGACGGAAUGGAAUAGCGGAGGCCGGGCGCCCGGGUCCAGACGGGGCUGCCCGGGGCGCGCGAUGUGCAGGCGUGUGAGCCGGCGAGCGUUGGCGCCGAGGCCGCGCGGGGUAGGCCCGUGGGACCGGUUUCGCCGGGGGUACGAGGCUGGGUCCGGCGGCAGGCUGGCCGCGCUGGCGGGACGAAUGGUGGGGGAGGCGGGUAUCAUCCCAGUCGGCGGGCUCGCUCGCCGCCAGUGGGCUCGCCUUGGGCCCCACCGAGCGCGGACGCCGGGGGCCGAGCGUGCCGGACGCGCGCGGCGCGGAACGAGGCCGGAGCGGGGGGGCGGCGGCCCGGUUCGACAGACGAAGCGGGCGCCGGCAGAAUCGUAUCCCGGGGCUUGGAGCGGGGGAGAGACUUCGGGUGCGAGGGCAGUCGGGGCCAGAAGAGAAGGAAGCGUCGGCUCAGCUCGUCAGGUCCAGAGGAGAGCAGGAGGGACGAUUGCCGGCGCGCCCCGCGCGGCGCCAGGCCCGCCGGCGCCCCGUGCGCCCGAGAGAGGAGCGAGGAGAGGAGAGCAGGAGGCCGGCGGCGACGCUGAGAGGACACACCCCGCAGGGGGAGAGAAGAGGACCUCAGGCCGCGCGUGGGAUUUUUUUCCUUUUUUCGUGCUUUUCGGCCCCGCCUCCCACGCAUCUAAGGGUUUUUUUUUUUAGUAUCUCCGCCUGCGUCUCUGUUAAUUGUUUUUCUUUUUUUUCUUCUUUCUGCUAACUGUUUUUCCCCCUCCUCUUCUCUUUUUGCGCUACUUUUUUUAUUUUGCAUGGUUGGGGAUCACAAACAAAAAAUAAAAAGUAAAUUUAAAUUUUAAAAUUUGUUUUUAAAUUAAAAUUAAAAUUUUUAAUCGAAUAUCUCCUUAUUUCUAUAGAUUGCGGACGGUUGGGAGCAGGCGCGGGCGCGAGCCGGCGCGGUGCGGUGCGGUUUUUUUUUUUCCCUUUUUCCUGUGGAACCAACAAUUUUUUUUCUUCUUUUUUUCCUUUCCUAACUUUUUUUAUUAAAAUUAAAAUUUAGUAUUUGAUAUUUUUCAAAUGGUAAUUUUAUAUUACUGAAUUUGCAGUUUAGGUGAUGUUGAUGAAGACUGUUGAGACAAACAUUGAACCUCUCAUAAUAAUUUUUAUUUCUUUUUUGAAGUAUAGUUGACUGUAUAAAUUAAUGUAUUACUUAUGUCUUCUAUUUACUAUAUAAUUUAAAAUAUUUUAAAAUUUACAUAAAUUUUCCGCCACGUAGCGCGGGCGUUCACUAGUUAAUAUAAUUCCAAAGUAUUCGUCAUUUUUUCAACAAAAAACACUAUAUUUUUUAAUUAUUUUAAUUUUUUUUGGAAAUUCAUCCAUCCCGCUUGCUAUUUCAUAUCGCGCAUAUUUUCAAAAAUAAAUAUUACAUGCAAGGGUAUUAAAAUGUGCUAUGUAUUUGAGAAACACGUAGAAUAUUUUGACAGGUAUUACUUAAAUAUUGAAUAUUUUGCUAAAAAAAUUUUUAAUUAACGAUUUAGUUUUGAUUAGGCGGGUAUUAAAAUUUUUUAGCAAUAUUCUACGCUACUAUGGCGCAUUACUUAAAUGUUGAAUAUUUUAUUUAAAUAAUUUAAAAUUAUAUUUAAUUAACGAUUUAGUUUUGAUUUGCGGGGUAUUAAAAUUUUUUAGCAAUAUUCUACGCUUCUAUGGCGUGCCAAAUUUUAAUGCCCCCAAAAUUAAAUCUACAAUCUAUUAUGAAUUUAAAUUUAAAUUAUUAGAUUGGCGGGUAUUAAAUUUUGGCUGGCAUUACAAAUUUAAAAUUUAAUUUUGAGUACUAUGUGAUUGACAUGUAUUAUGUUUGAGAAUCCAAUGGUAAAAACUUAACAUUUAUAUUUGAGAAUAAAUUAUUAUUUGAAGAUUUAUUUGAAAUGAAUGGAUGAAAUUACUGGACAUAAAAAAACAUUAGUAAAAAAAAAUAUACAUUUUUGAAAAGAGGAAAAAAUUCAAAACUCACGCAUUUUAUAAAUAAUAUAUAUAUAUAUAUAUAUAUAUAGAGAGAGAGAGAGAGAGAGAGAGAAAGAGAGAGAGAGAGAGAGUGCGUGUGUGCAGCUACUUACUCUUAUGAGUAUAGUAGCUGCUGUACUCAUAAAUUUGUAACCAUUGGUUGUGCUUCAAGAUCUAUGCCAGAUCUAAUAGCUAAAGCCAGUGACGGAGGGGAAACGGAAGAAAGAAACCGGUCCCACUCCCGAGGCUUUUUUCAUUCUCGAAAACACUCUCUAACCCCUGCCUUUUUCAUCCCCUCAUAUCUCCUCCUCCUAUUGCACACCCACCCAUCCUACCCGUUCCUACACAUGCUGGGCCCGCUCCCAUAACCUGAGCUGCGCGACCCACCGCAACCCUCCCAAACCUUAAACCUUUUCUAAAAAAAAGAUUACUUUUUCCAUCGAAUUGAAAGUAGAUUGCUUUUUCCAUCAAAUUGAAAGCUCUUUUUUCAAUUCCUAGUAGGCACUUCAAGUAUAAUUUAUUAUUUAAACUUCAAAAAAGUAUAGUUGCGUCUAGUCAAAGGGGUAGUAGGCCAUCUUUAAAUACUAUGAGUUUAGGGUAAAAAAAAAAUAUGGAGGAUGUGCUUAACUUGGGAAGAAGAUAUGUUAUUAUCAGUUUUAUAGAUUGAAAGGAUGACUAAGUGUAAUCUAGAUCUAUUCUUGAAAAAAUAAACUGAUUUGAUAUGCAACAAUCAGGUAAUAUUAAAAUUAAAAGGAAAAAAAAAAGAAGCGAAAGUCCUAAGCAUGCUUCUCUCUAUCCAUAACUUUCAUACUCAUAUGUCAAAAGAAGUUUGAUUCAUACAUGUAAGAAGGGACGAAGCCAGAAUUUUAGUUUGGGGGUUGCCAAAAACACAUUAUGCAAAAAUUUCAACCUAAGUAAAUAAUACGAUUCAAGAAAAAUCAAAAGUUAAGGUGUGUGUCUCAAUCAAGAUAAGGUAAAGGAGUUGUUUAAAUCAAAAUGGCCUGUAGCUGACGGGAUCUGAGUACAUGUUUACCAUAUAAAAGAUGAAUUGCUCAUCGAGCAAACACGUAACCGAGAUGAAACUUUAGCAAAACCAUAUUGCAAACAUAGAGAUCUGAAUUUAACACAGAGAACAUAAAGAAUGGAUUGAGAUUACGAUGAGCCAAACCUUCACGGCCUCCCCUUGAUCACGAUGUACUCGUUCAGCCGUUCCAAGCUCCCAAAAGAGCAAUCCAAAAAAAAAACCUGCAACAAUCAAGAUCGAGAUCAUGGUCAAGAUCGAAGACGUGAAUCGAAUCGAAAAACAAUUAGGUUAAAAGAAAAGUUUAAAAAUUUUGCUUACCAUGCAAAAUUUAGAAUAGUACUCAGCGCUCCUUCAAGUCACGAAAUCUAUCAAUAUUUGAAUCAACGAUGAACUUCUUAGCAAUUUCUCUUUCAAUAUACACGAUCAAAGAAUUAGUAAGAAAGUCAUCAUCCAUCUUAUUCCGGAGAUCGGUUUUGAUAAUGUUCAUAGCAAAAAAUGCCCAUUUAGUAGUUGCAGUUGAAACUGGAAGAAUCAGUAUAGGUUUAACUAUUCGGUAGAGAAGUGGAUAUAUUUCUGACAUUCUUGUUGUUACUAACUAUUGACAUAACUCAGAAAUAGUUACAAAUUUUUGCAAGUCGAAAUGUCGCGAAAUUUCAAAUUCAUAAUCACGAAGCUCUAUUCUUAACCCUUCUCUUUCAAACUCGGUAAAAUCUUGAGGAUAAUACCUUUUUGCAAGAUAUCAAAUAUCAUCAAUAUUAAAAGAUUUGCAACUAUCUUUAGGAUCCAAAGCACAACUUAGAGUAAGUAACUCUAUCAUAUUGCCACUAAAUCUUGUAUUCAAUUCUUGCAAUUGACAAUCUAUUGCACCAUUAAAAAUAUCAACUCGACAGUGAUACUCAAGUGUAAUGUGAUCUCAUUGAAGACGAGCACGAUCUCCUCUUCCCAUAUAAGGAGCUGAAGUAAUUGGAACUUCUAUGUCAUGCUUUACACAAAAUAACGUUACUUUCUCAAAAAGAGAAUCCUAUCCUUCAUCUCUAAGCUUUUGAAUAAGUGAUUUUGUUGAUGCCACAACAUCUAUAGCAUUAAGAAUAUCUUGAGAUUUACAUUGCAAAUGUUGACAAAGAAUACAGCUCACCUCAGUUAUUUCUUUCAUGAGAUGUAAAAUAAACACAAAUUUGAAAGAUGUCAUUGCCUUAUAAGCUAAAUAUGCUUCACCGCGUUGAGCAGCAUUGGAUCCUUCAUCAAUAAUAUUCUCUAAAACUGUACAUGUUGCUUUAAACAUUCUUAGCAAACUUGUAAUAGAUUUGAAGUGUGAACUCCAACAAGUAUCACCGGCCCUUUGCAAACCGCCAACUUCAUUGAGUCCGGUUCUUGUCUAAAGCUCAUUCUUUUCAAUUAGUUCGGCAAUUUCAAAACUAUGAAACUUCUUUAGUUCAUCAUUUCGCUUGGUAGAAGAUCCAACAAUGUUGACUAUAGUACUUAAUUUUGAGUAAAAUUCAUAAAUCUCAAGAAUAUCUUUAGAUGCCGCAACCAAAGACAAUUGGAGACGAUGGGCUAAACAAUGAAUAUAGUAAGCAUAGAGACAAUUAUUAGAAAUUAAUGCUUGUAAUCCAUUCCAUUCACCUCUCAUAUUACUCGCCCCAUCAUAACCCUAGCCACGAAUAUUUUGAACAUCAAGACUAUAAUGAGAAAGAAUGGAAUAAACUGCAUUUUUUACAGUUAAUGCUUUAAUAUCCGAGAUGUGAACGAGACAAAAAAAUCUUUCCUCAAUAAAACCUUGUACAUCAACAAAUCUCAAAACAAUAGCUAAUUGCUCCUUUUUUGACUUAUCGCGUGCUUCAUCAACCAUUAUAGAAAAUUUCGAGUCACCAAUUUCAUUUCGAAAUUUUUUCUUACUUUCUUUGCUAGAACUUGCAAAAUUUCUUUUUGCGUAUCUGGCGAAGUAUAAGAAGCAUUUUGUGGAGCAUUUUCUAAAAUAACUUUUGCCAAAUUUUCAUUAAGAAAAAAGAAAACACCUUCAACAUUUCCAGAAAAUUACUCUGAUUAAUAGAUUCUUUACUUUCAUCUCAACCUCUCAUAGCACAUUCUUGAAAAGUAAAAUAUCUAACUGCAAUUAUUGAUGCUUUAAGAUGUAAAUGAUUGUUUGCCUUUUGUUGUGACGUAUGUCUAUGAAGCAUAUUCUGAAUAUGUUGAGAUUGUUUCAUCAAUUCUUCACAAGCUCUUUCGGCAACUUUAUGAGCUGAGUUUGGUUCUUUACCUAUAUGAUUUAGAAAAACACAUCUUUUUUUCAUUUUUGACUUUCUUCCAAUUGUGAAAACCGUCAACAGUGAAGGCAUUUUGUAGAGGAUGCCUAUGUGGCUUGUUAAAAAGAAAGCACGGUAGACAAAAUACAGCAUCUUUGGUUGGAGAAUAUUUUAACCACGAUUUGAAUGAUUCUGUAGAGACCAGGAAUUUUAGCUGAGGCUUGUCGACAGCUCUGGAGAGUGUCGGGUCAAGUCCGGGUCGCGUUGGCGCGAAGUGGACGCCAAACGGGCCUUGUGGGAACUUGAGAGCAGCGUGUAUCUUGAAGAUCUGCGAAAUAGCAGAUUUUCAGUGAGCUGUACCGGUACACUUUGACAGGUAUGGUGCUAUUUGACUUUUUCCUCUCUAGUCUUGUCACCACUUUUCCCCUUACCUUAAGAGCAGGGAGGAGAGAGGGGGGAGGGCUUCUUCCUCCUCUGCUGUGCUUCUUCCUCUUCCCCCUUGGCUGAGUAGAGGUGGUGGAGGAGUUCAAGGGAGAAGCUCAAGCUUCGUCGACGACGCGCCGCGGAGCGGAUCGAGGGUGCUUUCAACAUUGUGACGCUGCGAGGAGGCCGGGCGACUGCUGUCCCUUACCAUCCUCGACGUGGUGCUGCUCCCAGGGCGGUUGUCGAGGUGAGUAGGCCACCGAAAUCCCUUCGGUUACUUCAAACUACUCCAUUAUCGAGCUUCUCUGCUGCUGCUGCUGAUUCCAGUGUCGACUGUUGGCGUUUUGGCUUGUUCUCUGUGUAGGAGCGUCGGAUCGCGGUGAUUCUUGCGUCAUUGGAUCCGGGACUUCGAGACGAAUCCAGAGGAUCCUUACUCGCCCGAUUUGGAGAAGGUUUGCCCUGUAGAAACCCCUUUUUACUGAGCUGCUGUUUGCCGAGCAGAUUCUGAAUUGCUGAACCGUAGUUUCCAGCGUCGACGCUCAGUGUUUUGGCUUGUUCUCUGCGUAGGAGCGUCGGAAUUCAGCGAAACUUGAUUUACUGGAUUCGCGGCUUCGAGACGAAGAUUCUGAGCCCAAGAUUGGAAUUUUUAGAUGAGGUUUACUUGCUCGAAACCUAGUCCUAUUGCGCUGCUGUUUGUCGAGCAGAAUCUGAGGUGUUGAUCUGCAGAUCCCAGCGUCGGCCUUCGGUACUUCGGCUCGUGCGCGACGUAGGAGCGACGGAUCGCGACGAAAUCGGGUUUGCUGGAUUCUAGACUGCGAGAAGAAUCCACAGAGUCCAAGUUUGCUGGAUUUGGAAAGGUUAGCUUGAUCGGAUUUAAAGGUUUCUCAGCCACUGUUUUUCGGACAGUUUCGUGGAUUGAGUCAUCCAUGGUCUUAUUUUCCGCAGCAGGUGGAUUCGGUUUUGAGCGGGACGCGUUGGGUUUUCGCGGACUCGGCCACUCUCUUCGUUGCCAGGAGAUUAGCGAUCGAGGUGGGUUAAUCAUCGGCUUUUCAUCCUAAGCGCAUAAUAGUCGACAAGUAUAAUUUCAGCUUUUGACUAGUAUAUGAUAGCUCGAAUUCAUGGAUCAUAGUAUGUUAAAUCUGAGUUUUGGAGCAUGUUUAGCAAGUAUUUAAAUUAUACAUGUUGGACGUGGACUUGACUUAGGAGAAAACCACGGUUUGAUCGUCAUUUGUAUUACACUACCAGAUUUAGCUCUAGGAGCCGUACUGUGCGGUAUCGUCGCGGGGGAGUGUGACGGAUACCCAGGGUAGUGUAGCUUAUUUCCACGCUCGUGCUGUGGAUGCCGAGCUUUGUUACAGUAGAGUCAGACCGUUGGUGUUGUCGGGGACCGUCGGGGGUUGACGGUGGGCCCAGAUUACUGUUUUGGUUACAGAUUGUGCCAAGGGCACGAGGUAUAUUGGUGGUUAGACCCUGUUUAUUUGAAUUAUGCCUGUGAGAGCUUGAUUGAGCUCGACAGAGAUACGCUUGCAUACUCGGUUGGUUCGCGCCCACGAGUGCCGCUCCGGAGUCUGGCUUAGUGCUUUUGCGUUGGUGUCGCUGUGUCCUAGUUGUUGGACUCGCUCUCCACUAGCUACCCCAGGGGUAGUUGUUAGUGUAGCUUCGACAGGCGGGACGGGUGUAUCACAGUCCCACGUAAAAUUGGGUCAGUUUUUACUUGUUCUACAGAGGGUUGUACUAGAGCAGGAUAGCAUAGUGGUAUCUAGCUGUAGAGUGUUUCCAGCUUUUCCUUACUUUUCUUGCUUACCCUGUAGACUUAGUGGGUUGACCGAUGAGGUUUAGGGCGGCACCCACUGAGGACUACUUAUUUUUACAGUAGUUCUCACGCCCCUUUUCUUCCACCGUUGUCGCAGGACCUUCGGUCUCGGCUGCUGCUCCUUCUGAGGCGGAUCGCGGCAAGGGCGUCGCGAGCUAGAGCCCUUCCCGACUGGUGCUGAGUUAGCAGUUUUCCCCUACUGCAGGUAGUGUGCUCGUGUUUUGGGAGCUAUGUACAUAUUUGUGAACUCGUUGGAGCGAGUGCUUUUGUAUAGAGAUUUUUGUAUGUAUAUAGACUCGUUCUUUCUCUACCUGUUCAGUUUGUUUUAGUUUCAGCUCUACGCUACUGUUCGUAGCCUUGUGUGUUGUACAGGUACUGCUACGCUUCGUAUACAGGAAAAAUUUCUUGUAUACGGCGGAUUUGUCGGCGUGCCCGGUGAUCGUGCAAUCCGGGGCGUGACAGAUUCAAACCAUGAAGGUUGGAAACGACGCUGAUGAGAAAGAGGCCCAUUUUUUGGAUAUUCUAAAAGUCUCGAUUGAUAUAGACCACUAAUUAUAUAUGCCUGUCGAACUUCAUCACGUUGUUUAACAGGAUAAUCCCAAAUUUGCAGUAGUAAUGCAGGAUCAUGCUCAAAGGGCAUGUUAUUAGCCUCCUUAACUUCUAUUCUUGGAGAUUUCAAAUGACAAGUUUGGAAACCCGAAGCCUCAUCUCUAAAAAUUGCUUCUUGUUCAUUAGCUUCCGAAUUUUCAAUACUUUUUCUUUAAAAAAAUGAAUCAAGUGUAGUUGUCUUUCCUAUUAAAAUAAUAAUAGUCUAGUUCUCUAGAGAUCUACAAAAAUUAUAUCAAAAAAAUCAAGUAUUAAGAUUUCAUUUAUAUAAAUAUAAAGUAAUUUGCAAAUUAUAUAAAAUUGUAUAAAAAAUAAAAUCUAAAAAUAUAUUAUAAAUAAUAAUUAUUUAGUAUUUACUAACAGUUAGCCUUGAAAAGGAAAAGCUCUUAUAGUCUUAUUCAUAAAGAAGGAAUUCAUAAAAAUUUAAAAUUUUUGAUCUACUAUUUUACUUUAUAUUCUCAAAUACUAAAAGUUUAAAAUCCAAUAAGUUGCCGUUUGAACGUCCUAAAAAUUUUUAAAAGAUUUUAAAAUUAAAAUUUAAAUAUGAAUAAAUUAUCAUUAUUAUCAUAAUUAUUGAUCAUGAUCAAACAAUAUAUGGAUUAUGGACAACUCGAAUUAUUAAUAAUGAAGAAGGCAAAAAGUAAAAUAGCAAAUAUUAAAUAAUCCAAUACCAAAAAGGCAAACACAAUUAUUAAUUAAACAAAGCAAAUUAAAUUGCUAAAAUAUAAAUACUCUUAUUAAACUGAAAUAAUCUAAAAGGGAGAGAGAGAGUAGGGAUGCAAAUGGAUCCGGGGUGGUGGAGCUCCCGCCCCGAUCCGCCCCGAAUGGGGUAGUAAAUGGGAGGAAAUAAACGGAUUCGGGGCAGGAAACGGGGCAAUUUUAUGAUCCGUGGCGGAUUCGGGGCAGAAAACGGGAAAAUUUUUGAUCCGCCCUGAAUCCGCCCCGCCAUGAUUCGCCCCGAAUCCGCCCCGAAUCUGCCCCGAAUGUAUGUCUUUAAAAUUUUUCCAUAUGUAUGUAUUUAAAAUUUUUGAAUUUUGUUGUGAGUUGUGAUUGACAUUUUUGAUUUUUAUAGUUGAUAUUAUUAAUUAUAUAUAACUUGAUAAUAUUAUCAGUUAGUAUUAAAAAUUUUGUUGAUUUAGAUUUAUAAAAUAUUAAUAAUAUUAUAAUUUAUAAAACAAAUACUAUUUGGCGGGGCGGAUUCGGGGCCCGGCGGGAGGCGGGUUAUAAGGCGGGGCGGAUUAUGGGAUAACUAUUUUCAACCCGUCACAGAUUCGGGGCGGGAGCGUGGUGGGGUGGAACUUUUUUGUAAUCGGGCGGGGACGGCGGGCGGCUCCCAUCCCCUAGAUCCGGCCCCGUUUGCAAUCCCUAAGAAAGAGACGAGAAAAGAUGAGAGAGGACCAGGCGGGGCGGGGUGCGGGGGGGGUGGCGGGGGGGAGCGGAGAAGGGAGGAGCGAGGAGUAGGGGUCCGCGGAGGCGCGGGGAGCAGCGCGGGCGGGCGGGGGGGCGGGAGGAGGAGGGGGGGCGCGGGGCAGGGGCCGGCGGCGGCGCGAGCUGGGGGGCGGGUGCCGCGAGAGCGGGAGGGGGGGGGACGGGGGGGUCCGGGGGGGGGGGGGGAGUGGGGAGCGGUCGGGCGAGCGGGGCUGCGGAGAGGAGGCGGAGUCGUGCGGGCGCGCGCGCGGCGGGGCCCGCGGCCGGCGGAGCGCCCGGUGGUGAGACGAGAGGGAAGACGCGCGAGGGAUGCGGGGAGAAGGGAGGAGGGGACGCAGGCAGAGGAAGGGGAGCGGAGUGGGAGAACGCCGGAGGAGGCGGGGGAAGGGAGAGAGGAUUACCGCCAACCGGCCUAAGGAUUGUCUUUUCGGCUUUUUAAGCGCAGCCGGGCGCACCGUAGCUUGAAUGGGGCGAAGCGUGGGUGAACUCGGCCCUGCGAGCGGCUGCGACAGUGCGACGAGGUCAGUAGCGAACGAUGGAAAAAACUAAACUGCGGAGUGCGGCGGGAGGGGCGUAGGCCGAAGUGCGCCGAGCAUAUAAUGGCGAGGCGAGGGCGGGGCGCGAACGCAGCACGGCAAUCGACUCGGCCGCGCGGCGCGUUCCAAAGAGCGGGAGGCGGGAAGGAAGACGAUUCUGAGAGAGUGAUAGAAAAAAGAGAAUGCUUGAGGAGGAGAGAGGUAAGGGGGACGGAGGAGGAGAGGGGGAGGGUGGCGAGACGGGAGAAGGGGCGAGCGGAGGAGAGGAGUGGGAGGGGGAUGCGGAGGGCGAAGGGGGUUUUGUUUUUUUUUGUUUGUUUUUUUUUUUGUUUUUUUUUUUUUUUUUUUUUUUUUUUUUUUUUUAUUUUUUUUUGUUUUGUUGUUUUUGUUGUUUUUUUUUUUUUUUUUUGUUUUUGUUGUUUUUUGUUUUUUUUUUUUUGUUUUGGUUUUUUUUUUGUUUUGUUUUUGUUGGUGUUUUUGUUGUGUGUGUGUUUGUUGUGUUUGUUUUUGUGGUUUUUUUUUUUUUUUUUUUUUUUUUUGUUUUUUUUUUUUUUUUUGUUGUUGUUUUGUUUUUUUGUUUUUUUGUUUUUUGUUUUUUUUUUUUUUUUUGUUUUGUUUUUUGUGUUUUGGGUUGUUUUUUUGUUUUUUUUUUUUUUUUUUUUUUUGGUUGUUUUUGGUUUUUCUUGUGUUUGACGGACGGAAGGCGAGACGGGACGAGACGAGGAGACGGAGGCGGAGAGUGAGGAAGGAGGAGAGGGAAGAGAGAUUUUACCGUUAAAUUACAUGAAGUGUGGAAUUAGCGUGCGUGGGCGUUGUGGCGGUUGUUGACUGGUGGAGAAGAGCGUGCAGUUGUGGCGGCGUCAAUUAUGAUUCUGCCGUUCAUGGCAGCUCAUUGCGUGGAACUUUAUGGCCACACUAUAGGGCAACGCCACCCUUUAAAAAAUUUUAUUUUGCCCCCAAACUUUAUAAAAUUUAUUUUUUUUCAAGAACUUAAAUAUUAACCUUUUUGUAAUUUCAAAAUUGUUGGGGGGGGGGGGGGGGGGGCAUGCCAUUAUUGGCCCCACUAUGGCUCUGCCCCUGCGUGUAAGGCUCUCCUUUUUCUAUGUCAGGUGGUUGUCGACUUCUUUGCCCAAGACAAGUAAGCAUGCAUUUUCUCAAACCACCAGUUCUACAUGCAUCCAUUGUACUAAGAAGUUUCCUCCAAAAAUAAUUCUCUGAAAGUAAAAGGGGGUGGUUUUGGAGAGAGGUGCGGGUGUAGUGCGUAGGUGUGGGCUAUAGGGGAAGGAGGGAGUCUAAUAAGGAGGGAGCUUGGGGUGUUAUGUAUUGAGGAGAUAUAAGGAUUGGGUUUUUCAUGGUGGUUGUUUUAUUUGUAUUUUUUUUUCUCCUUUUUUGUGGUGGGGAGGGGAGAGGGUGAAGAACGAGAGAGUUGGCACUGUCUCGUGUCUCGUGCGAUGCAACGGGCGAUGCGAAUGGAGGAAGGAAACGAUCGUAUAACCUUCGUUAUCCGCUCUGUUAGUGAUAGAUGUCAUCAGAUCUGGCACAGAUCUUGAAGCACAUCUAAUGAUUAUAAAUUUAUAAGUACAAUAGCUACUAUACUCAAAAGAGUAUAGUAGCUGCACUGCAUAUAUGAGAGAGAAGGAGUGGAUGAGUGGUCCACAUUGGACACCUCACACGGUCUAGAGAACCAAUCUUUCUCGUGAACCGCAUUUUUUUUGUGAGUGACUGUGAGCUGCGUCUUUUGCUAGAGAUUUUUAUGUUCUGCUAACGGUGAGCGAAAAUAAAAACUUAUUUUUUUCCAAAAAAUCCGUAUAAAGUUAUUUGUCUAAAAAGUUUUUUUUUACGAGUAACCAAACAAUAAAAAACUUUUUGUCAAGCGGAUUUUUUAUUUUUUUUUUUUUUUUUUUUUUUUUUUUUUUGGUUGGUAAUUUUAAGGAGAAGCAAACAUACCCUAAGAUAAUUUGUCAAUCAAAACAUAAACGCACCACUCGAGAUCUGACCGCAUAUGCAAUAUUCUAGCCCCGCUACCACCCGGCUCACCACUCGGUCUCUCCGUGCCAGGCAUGGCUUCGAAGGCUGAGAAGAAAGAGAGCCAGAAGAGCAAAGCGGCGGCGGAGGUGGAAGGCGGGCACCAGAAAAACCCUAUCUCCGAGGACGGCGACAGCAAGCAUACGAAGAAGGAGAAAGAGGAGGGGAAGGAAGGGCGGUUCCUUCUUGGCCUGCCGACCUUCCUGGACAUGGGCAACGGGCGGUGGCGAUGCGUUGAGUCGGGGCACGAGAUGGUGGCGAAGGACAAGGACUCCUACGCCCGCUCCAAGGCCUGCCGCCUCGCACUCAUCGACGCCGCCCUCGCCGCCAAGAAACCCCCUCUCAACACCUUCCAACCCCACCCCGCCGCCAAGUAUUCAAACAACGCACCCAAUCCCAAUAUUUUCUUUCGUUUCUUCUUUUUUCUCUUUUUAUUUUGUUUGGGUGGGGUGGGGUGGUGGGUGGUGGGGGUGCUCUCUCUGUUUCUCUAGCUAGAAGGUUUGAGCUGAGCGUGGGAUUAAUGCAGAUCGCAGUUAAUAUGCAAGCUUACAGGGGACACUAUCAACAAAACGGAAGAGCAUAUCUGGAAGCAUAUCACCGGGAAGAGGUUCCUGAAUAAAUUAGGUGGGUAGCUUGUUGUUACGCUUUCUCCGUCUUUCUGAAUAAACUAGGUUUAGGUUUCUGCUAGCGUUCUUGUUAUCGCCUUAUGGUGAUGACAAUAAUGGGUUAUCCUAGGUAGUAGGAUUGGAUGUUGUGUCUGCUUUGUUUGGUAAGGUCUUCACUCUCCGGCGCAUUGUUCAUCGUUUGGUUUGCUUUUGCUCCCUUUUCUUGGAAAUGAAUUUGGUUACAUCUCUCUCGAAUAUAUACCUGCAAAGUUUGGGAAUUGCGGCCUGUCCCUGGAAGGUCUUAGCUUUGUGAUGUACCCGAAUUUCCAAAAUGUUCCAAAUUUAUCAAUGCCUGUAGACUUCUGUAAGUCGAUUGCCAAUUUUUCGUCGCUACAACUGCUGCACCCUGGAAAAACUUUAUUUCUUAAAAACAGUCCUAGGGCGUAAUAUUCACAUAGGCUUAUUUAUUUUUGUUUCAAGGAAAAGCCAAUUUAAACCGGUCAACUGAGGGAGAGCGAUAAAUUUGCAAAUUUUGAAAACUUGUUUAGUAGUGUUCCUAUUAAACCUUUUGAGAGAACAGUACGCAUUGUCACUACUUUGCACGGAUAUGUAGGCAAUAUUCCAUAUUUAAAAUCCCAGUUUUUAAAACAAACUUCAGGCUUAGCAAACUUUUCACAACAAGGGUGCUGGAAGUUUUUUUUCCCAUUACAUAUUUUAAUUGUGCAAGGAUGUGACAUGUGGUUAACAUGCUUGUUUCUGUGAAUAGAACAAAUGGAAUUUGAUAAUAUGGCUUUAGAAGAGAUGGUGGAGAAAGAGAAGAGAAAAGAGAAGAAAAAAUCCGAAAAACCGUCAAAGUGUAUUGCGGCUGUUGUGAAGAAAAAUAAGAAGAAAGACGUGAGCGAUGAUGUUUCAUUGACCAAAACAACCAUAGAUGACUCAAAAGAACCCGAUUUCUGGAUACCCCCAAUUGGAAGCCGUUGGGAUUUUGAUGAUGGCAGAGAUCGAUGGAAAUCUCGUCCGGGCCCUGAUCAGGAGAUGCAGGAUGCUGGUGACUUAGGUAAAUAAAUCCGUCGUUUGUUUUUAGAAAUAUUUGCAUUGGAUGGUAUAUUCCUUGUGUGCUUCUAUGCUCCAGAACAAUUCUUACUAUUGUUUAGCUUUCAAUUAACGAGGUAGUAUUUGCAUCUUUUAUAUCUUUUUGAAAAUAUUUAAAUUUGUCGGUAACAGUUAAAAGGUACACUUCUUAGAAACAUACUGAUGUCAUAUUAAAUAAGCUACACAAAUUUGCUAGGUACUAUUCUAGGAGAUAUGUAGGUGUUUAAAUUGUUUGUUCUUUUCUAAUUGUCAAAAUGAAGGUUCUAUGAUGAGAAUACUGUUACUAAGGUUAGGAACCUCUGUCUAGUAUUCUUUGUGUUUAUCUAUUUUAUCUCAUAGUUUUUGGUCUACUGUGAUGUAGCCCAUGCCUGCACUACAUGUUGUAGGCCAUGAACAGAGUGCUUCAAUGUCUCUCUUAUUCUUUAUGAAGAAGCAACCGAGAUUUAUUCUCGGUCUCACCUUUGGAUACUCUUAAGUCUCACAUUUAAGUUGAUUCAGACAAAUGUAUUGAUUGGAAAAAAAAAACACUCGUAGGAUUUCUUCCCAUGAUAUUCAACAAGCCGAUUGUAGAAUCUGAGAGAUUCCAUGAAUUUAUUUAAAAUUUGGGCCUAGAUUUCAAUUAUGUUGAGUCUCUUAAAAUAGGAAAGACGAAGACUUCCUUAUUUGUCUACCCUUCUUGUCAAGCAGAAGACUAGUCAUCUACGUAAUAUUCAUAUAAAGAAGUCCUAACGAAAAAGAGUUCUAAAGGAGUAAGAACUUUCUUAAUUGAUGUUUUGUUAUUAUCUUGUUGGCCGGCCGUUCAGCCGAUUGAUAGUUUGGAUUAACUGCAAUCCUCUUUGUGUCGUACAAGCUGUUUCAUGGAGAUCUUAGUCAACUGGUUUGGAAGCGGAUAGUAACUUUGGCUUGCUUCAAAUUGUUGAUUGAUAAAAAGGAUCUUUGAACUCCUUUAGUGUUAGUGAAACUUUUGCCAUCAUGAUAUUGUAGAGGGAUUCAUUUGCUUUAUAAUUCAGUUAAUUUUGAAGAAAGUGGUACUAUUCAGCUACACAUGAUUUUCUUGAUUAUAUGGUUGUUGUUCUAGGUCCAUUUUAGAGAUGAAAAAAAGUAUGUCUUAUUAUGUUUCUCAUAUCAUGACUAAAUAGCUAGCGGAAAAAUUUUUAGCACUCCAAUGAAGUUCGACAACUUCUAUUAAUUGAACUAUUUAUUAUUCAUUAGAACAUUGACAAGUUAGUUAUUUUAAGUUUCUGGUUUUCAACGAUGAGACUUCCAAAGAAAUGAUUACCUCUAUUACACUUGAUCUGCAAUAUUUGAAGUCUCUAGGACUCAAAUUUCACAAUUUUUCGUAUUUGUACCUAGUGAUUGAGUGGUCUCAAAAUGAACAUCUUAAAACAAAAACGUCAAAAAAGUGAUGCUACGACACUAAAACUAUAGAUCAUAGGUACUGGUCUUAUUUGAGAUAGUAACAAAUUUUUUUUAUCAAAAUUUCACUUGAUUUGGAUACUUCUACACUAGUAACUUGUAAAAAGAGUCAUAUAGGCCGUUCAAAUUGUUGAUUUUAAGUUCUUUCGAUCACUAAGUAAAUAAUACCAAAGAAUCACAAAAAUUGAAUCCGAGAGGCAUCACAUACUCUAGAUCUCUAAUGGAGUUGAUUGUUAAUUUGGAAGUCACAACAUCAAAAACAAAAUUGAAACACAGAGGCCUCUGUGGUACUUGCUACAUGAACAGUGCCAAAUACUUGGGGUCAAAAGUUUAUAUUAUAUUAAUCAGUGAGUCCAUGUCAGUAAGUCUAGAAACGUUGGCCAUUUAGGUUUCGAUUACUAUCCAGGGGAACACUCUUUGUGCCCUGUCGCAAUUAUUGAAUGAUGAAUAUGCUUUUCAUGAAAGGCAACUUUGGACCUUCAUCACGUGAGCUACUUUUAUGGAAAUGAGUCCAUGUCUAGUCGGUGAAUCUCCUCGUAGUCGUUGUGGUCGAUGACGCGACUAAAUGUUUAUUCUCUCACUAAACUUUGCAUUUUUCCUGGAUUGCACUUACAUCAGUCAAAGUACCUUUAUCUUUGUUGUUUGAACUUUUAUUGACUUAACUGUAGUUCAUAAGUUGAGAUGGUUCCUGGUGGAGCUGAAAAUGCAUAUUGUGUGUGCCUUGUUUCGCGAGGAACAUCAUUAUUCAUUUGUGUUCUUUUCGUGAAGUUUUGAAUCAUAUGGUUUUUACAUUCCAGAAAUGGUUGCUGAUCUCUCUUUAGCUAGGAGAUUUUAGUAGUUCUUCUUUGUUAAAUUUUUUUGAUUAUAUGGCACUAGACUUUUUUUCUAAGUGAUUAAUUACUUUGGUAGAUAAUGUGGAGAACUUGUAGUUUGUUAGUUUAAGUAUUGUUCUAUAGCACUUAAUUCAUGGCUCUGUUGUGGAGUUGGUAGAUUAUAGAAUGAUUCAUGCUUUCUUGUGAUCUAGCUCAUCAUGUGGGAAAGACUGAUGAAGGGGUAGUAACACCCAGUCGUUGAAUACAUUGCUCUGUUGUACUAGUGUUUGAUUGUGUUUUUUUUUUAUUUUUUAUUUUUGAGACUAUAUAUAUAUAUAUAUAUAUAUAUAUAUAUAUAUAUAUAGAGUUGGACUGGGCUACUANGAAGAUAGUAGUAAAAAAUACUCUAAAAAUAAAAGUCGGCAAGUAAAAAUCUGAUGAGCAAACUAUCCAUUUACUAUGGUUUUUUAAUACUUUAAAUCAAAGGUUUACAAAAGUUAUCACAUCUAGUUCAGAUUGCCUCGGCUAGCAGCUAAACCUUCGCCGUAGUAACUUUUGUUGAACCAUCGUGCCUCCGUAGGCACGAUGGCUAUCAUAUCGUCGGAUCGAGAUAUAUAUAUAUAUAUAUAUAUAUAUAUGUGUGUACAUAUAUAUAUCUUAAUCCGACCUUAUGAUAAUUAUCAUUUUGCAAGAAAAACGAUAGUUCAAAAAUUGGUAACCUACUUUUUAACAUCCUAGUCCUACUAUAAUCAGCCAAUCUCAACUCACCAGGGGGAUCCCAACUCACCAGGGGUGACCCAAUAUCAUAAAUUAGGUUACCAAUCUUUAUUACUUUUCUCAACUAGGUUUCCGAUUUUUUGACCAUCGUUGUUAUCCUAAAACGAUGGUUAUCAUCGGGUCAGGUUGAGAUAUAUAUAUAUAUAUAUAUAUAUAUAUCUCAUCUCGAUGAUACGAUAGCUUUCAUAUCUCUAUACCGCGAAAGCUAAAAAACUAAGAAUCUAGUUAGGGAAAUAAGCAAAGAAUAGAAACCUAAUUAUAAUAAUAAUAGAACAUCCCUGGUGAGUUAGGUUCUCAUAAUAAAUUAGGAUCCCCUCUGGCGUUAGUAGGGUUGGUAUGUUAAAAAUUAGUUUCCCAGUUUUCAAGUUUUUAUAGUUUAGGAGAUACAAAAGCUAUCGUAUCAUCAAGAUGUGAUAUAUAUAUAUAUAUAUAUAUAUAAUUUUUUAUAUAUUUAUAUUAUAUAAAAUUAAUAUAUAUCCGACUCACUUAUUAUUUGAAUUUAAGAUCAGAGAUAUUGAUCUUACUCUAAAUAGUAAAAAGAAUUUUCUAUAAAAAUUUCAUCUGAUUUGGAUUGUUUUACAUCGUUAAAUUUACAAAUGCAUCACAUCUACCAUUAAAAUUGUCAAUUUUGAGAUCUUUUGAUCACUAGCCAAAUGAUGUCGAAAAAUUCUGAAAUUUAGUUUCCAAAUACGUUCAAUGGUGUAGAUCACGUCUAACGAAGCCGAUCGUCGAUUUGGAAGCCGCAUCAUCGAAAACAACUUGGUAGCACGGAAACCUCCGUGCUGCCGAUAGUAUAGCAGCCGGACUCAUAUAUAUAUAUAUAUAUAUGUACGUAUACAUAUAUAUAUAGUGCGGCUAUCAUACUCUUACGAGUAUGAUUGCUCUUGUACUCAUAAGUCAUUUUCGAUAAUAGAGUUUCCGAAUCGACGAUCAAUACCGUUAAACAUUAUUUAGAGCAUUUAAAACUUCUAGAAAUCAAAUUUUGUAAUUUCGACAUCAUUUACCUUACGAUCAAAAGAGGGUUUUUUAGUGCAAUAGUCUUCUCCUAAAAUUUUAUUCUAAAAAUAGACCUGUUAAAUUUUUAUUUAUAAAUAUGGUCUUAUAAAAGCGGUGAAUGGUUCACCGCUUUUAAAAGCGUGCGGUGAAUGGUUCACCGCUUUUAAAAGCGUUGAACCAUUCACCGUUUUCUUUCUUUUUCUCAUUUCUUUUUAUAUUUUUACGAUGGUAAAAGCGGUGAAUGGUUCACCGCUUUUAUUCUUUUUCUAUUCCUAAUGAGAAGUAAUGAAUGCGGUGAAUCAUUCACCGCAUUUAGAAGUCUCUUUUUAUAAUUAUUUUUUUUUAAAAAUUAUUUUUAUAAUUAUAAAAAUCGAUAGGAUUAUUUAUAAAAAAAUUCAUCAAAAGAUCUUAAAAUUGACAAUUUUUAAUGGUCGGUAUGAGAUACUUGAUAAUUUAACGGUGUACAAGAAUCAAAAUUAGUUGAAUUUUUAAUAGAAAAUUUCAUUCACUAUCUAAAUAAAGAUUAAUAACUCCAAUCUUGAAUUGAAGAAUCCGAUUAUUUAUUUUUAGGAGGUCUCAAUUUUGGCCCCUGAUCUAAAAGUUUCAAAUGCUCCCAAUUAUAUUUAAUGGUAUGGAUCAUCGAUUUGGAAACUUCAUCAUCAAAAAUUACUUAUGACCACAAAAGGGUCUAUACUCAUAAGAGUAUAGUAGCACUACUCAAUAUAUAUAUAUAUAUAUAUAUAUAUAUAUAUAUAUAUAUAUAUAUAUAUAUAUAUAUAUAUAUAUAUAUAUAUAGGUGUGGAAAUGAGCCAAGCUCGAGCGAGCUUACCUCGGCUCAAAUUCGGAUUGAAAUUAAUUUCGAGCCUAAAUUUAAGCUCAAGCUUGGAUUGAAAUUAAUUCGAGCCGAGCUCGAGUGAGCCUAAUUUCGAGUCGAGCGAGCUCGAGCCCUAAACGAGCCGCUUGAAAUUCUCAACAUCAUACGAUCAAUAGUUUAAUUUGUAUAGAACAUUAUCUAUAAUUUGAUACAAAAAUAUGUCUAAUAGUUCAAAGUAUAAAAUAAUUAUAUAAAUUAUAGUAUUAUAAUAUGAAAAAAAAAAUUUAUGAGUUGAAUAUCUAAUCUUUUCAGUCUCACAUGUCUUUUCUUCCGCCUUCAAUCUCCAUAUUAUUCAUUUUCAUUUAUGCAGUCAAAAAUAAAUAAAUUAUAUAGAUAAAUAUUGGAUUAAACUAUCCAAUCAUAUAUAACUAAAAUUAAAAUUUUAUAUGAAUAAUAAUUUUUUACUUUAAAAAUAUUCUGAAUAUUUUUUCAAGCAUACAAUUAAUAGCAAGAUAGGCAACGGCAGGCAUAUGCUGCUACUUGGUAACUUAGAGGGCUUCCGGCUUGGCCACAUAGGGUGAGAGACAGAAAAAGAGAAAGAGAGAAAUAUAUUGAAAAAUUAGAGCUCUGUAAAAGAAAGAAAACAAAGAAAAAAUGUAUAAAUUUAGUAAAAUUUUGCUCUUUUAUUUGUCUAUUGGGUUUGUUUUUAUGGGCCAACAAUAUUGGCCCAUGUGAGACCCAGUUUCUGUCAGUGGGGACUUGUCGACAGCUCUGGAGAGUGUCGAGACAAGCCCGAGUUGCGUUGGCGUCAAAUAGACGCGAAAGGAGGUGGUUGAGGGAACAUGGCCAUGUGCCUAACGACAUGGCCAUGUUCCGGUUUGGGCUCUCGUAGACUCAAGACAGCGUGCGAGACAUGGCCAUGUUUACCUGGGAACAUGGCCAUGUCGUUCGCAGAAGGUACUACCAACAUGGCCAUGUCGUGUUGGAACAUGGCCAUGUUGUCUCAUUUUUAGGACGUUAAAGUGUCUAAAAGUGUGUCUUACGACGGGAGCGCAGUUUGCCUCAGACNNNNNNNNNNNNNNNNNNNNNNNNNNNNNNNNNNNNNNNNNNNNNNNNNNNNNNNNNNNNNNNNNNNNNNNNNNNNNNNNNNNNNNNNNNNNNNNNNNNNNNNNNNNNNNNNNNNNNNNNNNNNNNNNNNNNNNNNNNNNNNNNNNNNNNNNNNNNNNNNNNNNNNNNNNNNNNNNNNNNNNNNNNNNNNNNNNNNNNNNNNNNNNNNNNNNNNNNNNNNNNNNNNNNNNNNNNNNNNNNNNNNNNNNNNNNNNNNNNNNNNNNNNNNNNNNNNNNNNNNNNNNNNNNNNNNNNNNNNNNNNNNNNNNNNNNNNNNNNNNNNNNNNNNNNNNNNNNNNNNNNNNNNNNNNNNNNNNNNNNNNNNNNNNNNNNNNNNNNNNNNNNNNNNNNNNNNNNNNNNNNNNNNNNNNNNNNNNNNNNNNNNNNNNNNNNNNNNNNNNNNNNNNNNNNNNNNNNNNNNNNNNNNNNNNNNNNNNNNNNNNNNNNNNNNNNNNNNNNNNNNNNNNNNNNNNNNNNNNNNNNNNNNNNNNNNNNNNNNNNNNNNNNNNNNNNNNNNNNNNNNNNNNNNNNNNNNNNNNNNNNNNNNNNNNNNNNNNNNNNNNNNNNNNNNNNNNNNNNNNNNNNNNNNNNNNNNNNNNNNNNNNNNNNNNNNNNNNNNNNNNNNNNNNNNNNNNNNNNNNNNNNNNNNNNNNNNNNNNNNNNNNNNNNNNNNNNNNNNNNNNNNNNNNNNNNNNNNNNNNNNNNNNNNNNNNNNNNNNNNNNNNNNNNNNNNNNNNNNNNNNNNNNNNNNNNNNNNNNNNNNNNNNNNNNNNNNNNNNNNNNNNNNNNNNNNNNNNNNNNNNNNNNNNNNNNNNNNNNNNNNNNNNNNNNNNNNNNNNNNNNNNNNNNNNNNNNNNNNNNNNNNNNNNNNNNNNNNNNNNNNNNNNNNNNNNNNNNNNNNNNNNNNNNNNNNNNNNNNNNNNNNNNNNNNNNNNNNNNNNNNNNNNNNNNNNNNNNNNNNNNNNNNNNNNNNNNNNNNNNNNNNNNNNNNNNNNNNNNNNNNNNNNNNNNNNNNNNNNNNNNNNNNNNNNNNNNNNNNNNNNNNNNNNNNNNNNNNNNNNNNNNNNNNNNNNNNNNNNNNNNNNNNNNNNNNNNNNNNNNNNNNNNNNNNNNNNNNNNNNNNNNNNNNNNNNNNNNNNNNNNNNNNNNNNNNNNNNNNNNNNNNNNNNNNNNNNNNNNNNNNNNNNNNNNNNNNNNNNNNNNNNNNNNNNNNNNNNNNNNNNNNNNNNNNNNNNNNNNNNNNNNNNNNNNNNNNNNNNNNNNNNNNNNNNNNNNNNNNNNNNNNNNNNNNNNNNNNNNNNNNNNNNNNNNNNNNNNNNNNNNNNNNNNNNNNNNNNNNNNNNNNNNNNNNNNNNNNNNNNNNNNNNNNNNNNNNNNNNNNNNNNNNNNNNNNNNNNNNNNNNNNNNNNNNNNNNNNNNNNNNNNNNNNNNNNNNNNNNNNNNNNNNNNNNNNNNNNNNNNNNNNNNNNNNNNNNNNNNNNNNNNNNNNNNNNNNNNNNNNNNNNNNNNNNNNNNNNNNNNNNNNNNNNNNNNNNNNNNNNNNNNNNNNNNNNNNNNNNNNNNNNNNNNNNNNNNNNNNNNNNNNNNNNNNNNNNNNNNNNNNNNNNNNNNNNNNNNNNNNNNNNNNNNNNNNNNNNNNNNNNNNNNNNNNNNNNNNNNNNNNNNNNNNNNNNNNNNNNNNNNNNNNNNNNNNNNNNNNNNNNNNNNNNNNNNNNNNNNNNNNNNNNNNNNNNNNNNNNNNNNNNNNNNNNNNNNNNNNNNNNNNNNNNNNNNNNNNNNNNNNNNNNNNNNNNNNNNNNNNNNNNNNNNNNNNNNNNNNNNNNNNNNNNNNNNNNNNNNNNNNNNNNNNNNNNNNNNNNNNNNNNNNNNNNNNNNNNNNNNNNNNNNNNNNNNNNNNNNNNNNNNNNNNNNNNNNNNNNNNNNNNNNNNNNNNNNNNNNNNNNNNNNNNNNNNNNNNNNNNNNNNNNNNNNNNNNNNNNNNNNNNNNNNNNNNNNNNNNNNNNNNNNNNNNNNNNNNNNNNNNNNNNNNNNNNNNNNNNNNNNNNNNNNNNNNNNNNNNNNNNNNNNNNNNNNNNNNNNNNNNNNNNNNNNNNNNNNNNNNNNNNNNNNNNNNNNNNNNNNNNNNNNNNNNNNNNNNNNNNNNNNNNNNNNNNNNNNNNNNNNNNNNNNNNNNNNNNNNNNNNNNNNNNNNNNNNNNNNNNNNNNNNNNNNNNNNNNNNNNNNNNNNNNNNNNNNNNNNNNNNNNNNNNNNNNNNNNNNNNNNNNNNNNNNNNNNNNNNNNNNNNNNNNNNNNNNNNNNNNNNNNNNNNNNNNNNNNNNNNNNNNNNNNNNNNNNNNNNNNNNNNNNNNNNNNNNNNNNNNNNNNNNNNNNNNNNNNNNNNNNNNNNNNNNNNNNNNNNNNNNNNNNNNNNNNNNNNNNNNNNNNNNNNNNNNNNNNNNNNNNNNNNNNNNNNNNNNNNNNNNNNNNNNNNNNNNNNNNNNNNNNNNNNNNNNNNNNNNNNNNNNNNNNNNNNNNNNNNNNNNNNNNNNNNNNNNNNNNNNNNNNNNNNNNNNNNNNNNNNNNNNNNNNNNNNNNNNNNNNNNNNNNNNNNNNNNNNNNNNNNNNNNNNNNNNNNNNNNNNNNNNNNNNNNNNNNNNNNNNNNNNNNNNNNNNNNNNNNNNNNNNNNNNNNNNNNNNNNNNNNNNNNNNNNNNNNNNNNNNNNNNNNNNNNNNNNNNNNNNNNNNNNNNNNNNNNNNNNNNNNNNNNNNNNNNNNNNNNNNNNNNNNNNNNNNNNNNNNNNNNNNNNNNNNNNNNNNNNNNNNNNNNNNNNNNNNNNNNNNNNNNNNNNNNNNNNNNNNNNNNNNNNNNNNNNNNNNNNNNNNNNNNNNNNNNNNNNNNNNNNNNNNNNNNNNNNNNNNNNNNNNNNNNNNNNNNNNNNNNNNNNNNNNNNNNNNNNNNNNNNNNNNNNNNNNNNNNNNNNNNNNNNNNNNNNNNNNNNNNNNNNNNNNNNNNNNNNNNNNNNNNNNNNNNNNNNNNNNNNNNNNNNNNNNNNNNNNNNNNNNNNNNNNNNNNNNNNNNNNNNNNNNNNNNNNNNNNNNNNNNNNNNNNNNNNNNNNNNNNNNNNNNNNNNNNNNNNNNNNNNNNNNNNNNNNNNNNNNNNNNNNNNNNNNNNNNNNNNNNNNNNNNNNNNNNNNNNNNNNNNNNNNNNNNNNNNNNNNNNNNNNNNNNNNNNNNNNNNNNNNNNNNNNNNNNNNNNNNNNNNNNNNNNNNNNNNNNNNNNNNNNNNNNNNNNNNNNNNNNNNNNNNNNNNNNNNNNNNNNNNNNNNNNNNNNNNNNNNNNNNNNNNNNNNNNNNNNNNNNNNNNNNNNNNNNNNNNNNNNNNNNNNNNNNNNNNNNNNNNNNNNNNNNNNNNNNNNNNNNNNNNNNNNNNNNNNNNNNNNNNNNNNNNNNNNNNNNNNNNNNNNNNNNNNNNNNNNNNNNNNNNNNNNNNNNNNNNNNNNNNNNNNNNNNNNNNNNNNNNNNNNNNNNNNNNNNNNNNNNNNNNNNNNNNNNNNNNNNNNNNNNNNNNNNNNNNNNNNNNNNNNNNNNNNNNNNNNNNNNNNNNNNNNNNNNNNNNNNNNNNNNNNNNNNNNNNNNNNNNNNNNNNNNNNNNNNNNNNNNNNNNNNNNNNNNNNNNNNNNNNNNNNNNNNNNNNNNNNNNNNNNNNNNNNNNNNNNNNNNNNNNNNNNNNNNNNNNNNNNNNNNNNNNNNNNNNNNNNNNNNNNNNNNNNNNNNNNNNNNNNNNNNNNNNNNNNNNNNNNNNNNNNNNNNNNNNNNNNNNNNNNNNNNNNNNNNNNNNNNNNNNNNNNNNNNNNNNNNNNNNNNNNNNNNNNNNNNNNNNNNNNNNNNNNNNNNNNNNNNNNNNNNNNNNNNNNNNNNNNNNNNNNNNNNNNNNNNNNNNNNNNNNNNNNNNNNNNNNNNNNNNNNNNNNNNNNNNNNNNNNNNNNNNNNNNNNNNNNNNNNNNNNNNNNNNNNNNNNNNNNNNNNNNNNNNNNNNNNNNNNNNNNNNNNNNNNNNNNNNNNNNNNNNNNNNNNNNNNNNNNNNNNNNNNNNNNNNNNNNNNNNNNNNNNNNNNNNNNNNNNNNNNNNNNNNNNNNNNNNNNNNNNNNNNNNNNNNNNNNNNNNNNNNNNNNNNNNNNNNNNNNNNNNNNNNNNNNNNNNNNNNNNNNNNNNNNNNNNNNNNNNNNNNNNNNNNNNNNNNNNNNNNNNNNNNNNNNNNNNNNNNNNNNNNNNNNNNNNNNNNNNNNNNNNNNNNNNNNNNNNNNNNNNNNNNNNNNNNNNNNNNNNNNNNNNNNNNNNNNNNNNNNNNNNNNNNNNNNNNNNNNNNNNNNNNNNNNNNNNNNNNNNNNNNNNNNNNNNNNNNNNNNNNNNNNNNNNNNNNNNNNNNNNNNNNNNNNNNNNNNNNNNNNNNNNNNNNNNNNNNNNNNNNNNNNNNNNNNNNNNNNNNNNNNNNNNNNNNNNNNNNNNNNNNNNNNNNNNNNNNNNNNNNNNNNNNNNNNNNNNNNNNNNNNNNNNNNNNNNNNNNNNNNNNNNNNNNNNNNNNNNNNNNNNNNNNNNNNNNNNNNNNNNNNNNNNNNNNNNNNNNNNNNNNNNNNNNNNNNNNNNNNNNNNNNNNNNNNNNNNNNNNNNNNNNNNNNNNNNNNNNNNNNNNNNNNNNNNNNNNNNNNNNNNNNNNNNNNNNNNNNNNNNNNNNNNNNNNNNNNNNNNNNNNNNNNNNNNNNNNNNNNNNNNNNNNNNNNNNNNNNNNNNNNNNNNNNNNNNNNNNNNNNNNNNNNNNNNNNNNNNNNNNNNNNNNNNNNNNNNNNNNNNNNNNNNNNNNNNNNNNNNNNNNNNNNNNNNNNUUAUUUUCUAAAUUUAAGUUCUAGUUUAUAUGACUAGAAUGAGAUUUAUCACUUUUCUUAAAAGAUAUUUUAAAAAUAGCGUAAACCUAACAAAAUGUGGCAAUUUGAGUGUUUGUGUGGUGUAGUCGGUAAUACUUUAACAGUUAAAAGUCUGCUAGUUAAAAUCUGGUGAACAAAUUAUCCUUUUACUAUAGCUUUUUUAUACUUUAAAUCAAAGGUUUAUGAAAGUUAUCAUAUCUAGUUCAGAUUGCCUCGGCUAGCAGCUAAACCUUCGGCGUAGUAGCUUUUGUUGAACUAUCGUGCCUCGCGAGGCAUGAUGGCUAUCGUAUCAUCGGCUUGAGAUAUAUAUAUAUAUAUAUAUCAACUCAACCUUAUGAUAAUUAUCAUAAACCCGAGAAUACGAUAGAUAAAAAAUCAGCAAUCUAGAUGUGAAAUUAGUUAAGGUAUGGAAUAUAGUAUGAUAAGUUGGUCGCUGGGUGAGUUGGGAUCCCCCUGAUAGUGAUUUGGAGUCACAAAAUUUAUCAUCGGCGAUACCGGGGGGUAUCGUCGGCGAAUAUCGCCUAAAGUACACGAUGGCGGUACGAUACUAUACAUUUGGCCAUAUCGCCAAGUCCAAGUAUCACCGGCGAAAUCGCCGUAUCCCGGGCGAUUUCGCCGGCGAUACUCGGGUUUGGAAAUUUUCACGUUUACCCAAUUUUCUUACUAAUCUAACAAUUAUCUAAUAUCUAAAAGUUCGAAAAACAGAAAAACCAAACGAUUUAUAAAAUUUCAAUUAGAAUUUAAGAAUAUCUAUUAGUGAAAUUUAUAUAUAGCCGAACGUUAUGAUUUUUUGUUUUCUUACUAAUCAACAGAAAAGAAGUUUUAAUAUACAUAUAAAAAAUAUUCCUUAUAUUUAUACAAUUUAAACGUAAAUACUUUGAUCGACACCCAAGUAUCGCGGGCGAUAGACGAAAGACGAUACUCUGAGACGUUUAUGAUACAUGGGCGAUAGAUGAUAAAUGUUGGAACGAUUUGGGUAUAUAUCCCCUGGUGAUAGUAAAAUUGCAAUGUUAAAAAAUAGCUUCAUAAUUUUUGAGCUAUCGUUUGCUCGGGUUUAUGAUAAUUACGAUAAGAUCGGGUUACUAUCAUUUUUUAUGAGAUUUUUAUUUUCAGCCGUUCAAUUUUAGACUACUUGUUUGAUAGGAAAAUGAUAUCGAAAACUUAUGAAAUUUAGUUUCUAAAUACUUUCAAUAGUGUAGAUCAAGUCUACCGGAGCCGAUCGUCGAUUUGGAAGCCGCAUCAUCGAAAACAACUUGAUAGCACGGAGCGCUCCGUACUACCGAUAGUAUAGUAGCCGAGUUCUAUAUAUAUAUAUAUAUAUAGUUGAGUUGGAAUACUAUUAAUAGUAUUUGGGCUCUUAUGCUAUCUAUUUUUUAGUCGUUAGAUCUACACUUUAAUCAAUUCCAUACCUUAUAUCAUACUAUUCAACCAGCGACCCACUCAACCCUAGGGGGACUAUCACUAAACCUCAGUGUUUUAAAUAGUAGCCGCUAUGGCCCCCCAUAGCAGCCGCUUAUAGCGGAUUUCAUGUGCUACCGCCAUGCUAUGAUAUGUAAACCGGUAUAGCGGUUCAGGUUCAUAGUGGCCGCUUUAGCGGCAUAGGGCCCGCUAAAGCGGCCGCUAUGAGCCCAAACCUUUAAAAGUGCAAAUGGGUUAAAAGAAUGAUUAGAUUGUUAAUAGAUUAUAGAUUUUCAAGCUUUUUGUCUUUUUGGUUUGCUAAAUAUUUUAAAGUUAAUCUUAAAUUCUUAUAGAUAAUCACUUUAAAUAUAUAUCGGCUUGCAAUACUAAAAAACAAAAGAAUGAUUAGUUGUCUUUUCUUCAAAAUUAUAUGUAUAUUUUUUAUAAGGAAUAUAAAUAUGUUAAAUUUGCAUUUAUGAAACUAGCUGUGGGUUCAUAGCGCCCGCUAUCUGCUUUCUGCUAUGAGACUCUGCAAAUACUAUGUACCCGCUAUCUACUAUUUACAACCUUGCUAAACCCAUAUAUAGGGGACCACUAUCAUUUUAACGUUACAAUUUUUUAUCGAAGUAUUAAAAACUCGAUAGCAAACGAGCCCAAAUACUAUUAAUGCUAUUCUAGCCCAAUGAGAGAGAGAGAGAGAGAGAGUUGAGCUAGAAUACUAUCGAUAGCAAAUCGGCUCUUUUGCCACCCAUUUGUUUUCGAUGAUGGAGCCUCCAAAUCGACGAUCGACACCGUUGAACAUGAUCUAUACCAUUUGAAGUAUUUAGAAAUCAAAUUUCAUACAUUUUCAAUAUUGUUCUCUUAUCCAUCGAAUGGACACAAAAAUGAACGGCUGAAAAUGAAUAUUUUUAAAAAAAUGAUGAUAGGAGUCUUGUAAUCAAGAUCAAGAGUAUAGAAUCUUGUUUUAAAUAGUUUAAAGAAUUUUCUAACAGAAAUUCAAUUGAUUUGGAUAUUUUUACGCCGUUAAACGAGAAAACGCCUCAUAUCGACCAUUAAAAUUACAAAUUUUGAAACCUUUUGAUCAUUAGGCAAAUGAUGUCGAAAAGAUUUGAAAUUUAAUUUCUACAUACUUCAAGUGGUAUAGAUCAUGUUCAACGGUGCCGAUCGUCGAUUUGGAGGCUCCAUCAUCGAAAACAAGUGGGUGGAAACAGAGCCCGUUUGCUACCGAUAGUAUUCUAGCUCAACUCUAUAUAUAUAUAUAUAUAUUUAUGGUAUAUAGAGAUCUCCACAAAAGAUAAAAUAGAAAAGAGAAGAGAGGAAGAAGACAAAUCAAAGAAUCUGGUACGUUGUCAUGGAAGCAAAACAAAAUAACUUUAUUGAAGAAAAUAACUCAUCACCAUAUGCAACCUUCGGCGAGCGCUAAUUAAUUAUGGCGACUCCCGGCUUCAUUAACCAAAUAAUUAGCGCUCGCCGAAGGUUGCAUAUGGUGAUGAGUUAUUUUCUUCAAUAAAGUUAUUUUGUUUUGCUUCCAUGACAACGUACCAGAUUCUUUGAUUUGUCUUCUUCCUCUCUUCUCUUUUCUAUUUUAUCUUUUGUGGAGAUCUCUAUAUACCAUAAAUAUAUAUAUAUAUAUAUAGAGUUGAGCUAGAAUACUAUCGGUAGCAAACGGGCUCUGUUUCCACCCACUUGUUUUCGAUGAUGGAGCCUCCAAAUCGACGAUCGGCACCGUUGAACAUGAUCUAUACCACUUGAAGUAUGUAGAAAUUAAAUUUCAAAUCUUUUCGACAUCAUUUGCCUAAUGAUCAAAAGGUUUCAAAAUUUGUAAUUUUAAUGGUCGAUAUGAGGCGUUUUCUCGUUUAACGGCGUAAAAAUAUCCAAAUCAAUUGAAUUUCUGUUAGAAAAUUCUUUAAACUAUUUAAAACAAGAUUCUAUACUCUUGAUCUUGAUUACAAGACUCCUAUCAUCAUUUUUUUAAAAAUAUUCAUUUUCAGCCGUUCAUUUUUGUGUCCAUUCGAUGGAUAAGAGAACAAUAUUGAAAAUGUAUGAAAUUUGAUUUCUAAAUACUUCAAAUGGUAUAGAUCAUGUUCAACGGUNNNNNNNNNNNNNNNNNNNNNNNNNNNNNNNNNNNNNNNNNNNNNNNNNNNNNNNNNNNNNNNNNNNNNNNNNNNNNNNNNNNNNNNNNNNNNNNNNNNNNNNNNNNNNNNNNNNNNNNNNNNNNNNNNNNNNNNNNNNNNNNNNNNNNNNNNNNNNNNNNNNNNNNNNNNNNNNNNNNNNNNNNNNNNNNNNNNNNNNNNNNNNNNNNNNNNNNNNNNNNNNNNNNNNNNNNNNNNNNNNNNNNNNNNNNNNNNNNNNNNNNNNNNNNNNNNNNNNNNNNNNNNNNNNNNNNNNNNNNNNNNNNNNNNNNNNNNNNNNNNNNNNNNNNNNNNNNNNNNNNNNNNNNNNNNNNNNNNNNNNNNNNNNNNNNNNNNNNNNNNNNNNNNNNNNNNNNNNNNNNNNNNNNNNNNNNNNNNNNNNNNNNNNNNNNNNNNNNNNNNNNNNNNNNNNNNNNNNNNNNNNNNNNNNNNNNNNNNNNNNNNNNNNNNNNNNNNNNNNNNNNNNNNNNNNNNNNNNNNNNNNNNNNNNNNNNNNNNNNNNNNNNNNNNNNNNNNNNNNNNNNNNNUUACAUUAUUAUACUGUAAUUUUAAAAUUUAGUUUCUAUAAUUAGAACAAAAUAUAUCAUUUUUUUAUAAAAGAUAGUUUUAAAGUGCACUAAACUUAUAAAGAUGUGGCAAUUUGAACGUUUGCCGAGUGGUGCUGGUAACUUUUAAUAACUAAAACUCGGGUAAGCUAGUGAUCCGUUUACUAUAGCUUUUUAUUGUUUUUAAUAAAAGAUCCAUGAGGUUUAUGAGAUCUAGUUUAGAUUGCCUCGGCUAGCUGUUAAGCUUUCAGCGUUGUAGCUUUUGCUGGACCUUCGUGCCUUCCGAGGCACGAGGUUCUAUCGUAUGAUCGGAGUGAGUAUAUCUCACUUUAUAUAUAUGAUAUGAGAAUACUCAUACUAGCUGAAGCAUGAAUAUUCAACAAAAGCUACUAUCUCAACACCUUAGCUGCUAUGUAUAGCUAUUUGUACAUAUAUCUACGUAUAUUUUGAACAUCUUUAUAUUUAAUCAUUGCGGUCAUACUCUAUAGCCGAUCUUAUUGCCACAUUUUCCUAGUACCAUCCAUCUAUGAACACUAUCUUUUAAGAUAAUUGAUGGAUUUCCUACCUCUCUACAUUCCAACUCUACUACCACCAUCUAAUAUAUACAUAUACAUAUACAUAUACAUGCCGAUCUAUGAACAUUUAUAUACCCCCAUAUGAACACACAAUAAUCGGGCCUACCUCUCUACAUUAUCAUAGUACCACCACUAUUAACAUAUACAUAUCAUAUACAUAUGUAUAUGUAUACUAACUAUACUAUGUAUAUGUAACAUAUACAUAUACAUAUACAUACAUAUACAUAUGUAUAUACAUAUACAUAUACAUAUGUAUAUAUGUAUAUGUAUAUGUAUAUGUAUAUGUAUGUAUAUGUAUAUGUAUAUGUAUACACAUACAUAUGUAUAUGUAUAUAUAUACAUAUAUACAUAUAUAUAUAUAUCAUCCCGAUAAUACUCAUGCCGAUCUUAUGAACAUUUUCAUAGUACCCCCACUAUGAACACACAAAAAUCGGGAACCUACCUCUCUACAUUCCAACUCUACUACCACCAUCCACCACCAUCCACCUUAUCACAAAUUAGGUUCCCGAUAAUUAUUAGUUUUUCAUCUAGGUUACCGAAUUUUGGAUUAUCGUGGUACUACCACUAUGAACAUUUUCAUAGUAUCGAGUUGAGCCCGAUAAUAUGAUAAUACUCAUAUCUCGGGAAAGCAUGAGCAUUUAACAAAAGUUACAAUCCCAAAAGCUUAGCUGCUAGGUGUGGCAAUUUGUACUAGAUCUCAUAAACUUUGAAGAUCUUUUAUUUAAAGCAUUAAAAAGUUUUAGUAAUAUUUCAGGUAGUUCGCCCAUAUUUUACUUGCCAGUUUUAGUUUGUUUUAGGAUUUUUACCUACUAGCCUAGGAAGUUAAAUUAUAACCUCAAUAACUAGAAAUAAAUCCAUCACUUAUCUUAAAAAAUAGUUUUUAAAUUAGAUAAGGCUAAGAAAAUGUGGCAAUUGAUCGUUUAUAAGGUAUGAAAAUAAUAAAAUUUAUUUUCUAGGUACUUCAAAUACUCUAGAUCAAGUUUAACGGAGCCGAUCGACGAUUCGAAAGUCGCAAUAUUGAAAACGAGCUGGAAGCACGGAAGGCUCCGUGCUUCCGAUAGCAUAGUAGCCUCACUCUAUAUAUAUAUAUAUAUAUAUAUAUAUAUGAGCAGUUUGCUUGUUCAUUAACACAUUUAAUAUCUUAUUUGAGCCUUAAUGUCCUUUUAACUGUAUCAGUAGGAUGUUUUGAAUUUCAAUCUGUAAGCACACAUUCCCUAUGUGUUAGCUGACUGUUUUGAGCAUCUAGUUUUAUUUGCUUUAAAGGUAUGAUUCUUGCCGAUUUGCUUGUUUGGUUUCCAGCUGUAGGAUUUAAACACUUUUUGUCGUGAUGAAUAUUCCUAGAUAAUUUGUCACCAAGUAGCAUAGAGGUCAGUUGAGGGAAUUGAGGUACAGUAGCAAUGAGGUCCUAGUUAAGAUUAUCUGCAUUUUUUUUUCUUUUAUAAUAUGUUCGGAUUCCACGUGGCUUCUCUACUUUGAAUUACGAAUAGAUAAAUUGCCCCAUAAAACGAAGUUGUGCCCUGGGAGGUACCUCCACGAUGUGAUAGUGAUUGUUUUGGUGAUGCUGUUGAUUUGGUUGAUUGUAUCUCAGUCAUGAUUAAAUGAUAUUGAAAUUAUGUGUGUUUUCUCUCAGAUAAUGGGGGACAAAAUGAUGAUUCUGAAUCACAGCUCACCAUCCGGUCAGAUCAUUUUGCCUCUUUUCUUCGUACAUUCCUCCAUGUUUAAGUAUUGCACCCUCUAGUAACCUUUGCUCUUUUUUUUUAUUUUUAUUUCUUCUUCUUUUCCCUUUUCAAAUUUACAGGACAAAACGCAUGUCUGUGGCUGUGGGGCCAAGUAGCUUUGCUUCAAGGAAGAAGAAGAUCAAGAAGGUAACCAACUGAUUAUUCUAUGUAUAUUUAUAAAAAGAUGUAGGUGCAUCUUGUCUAUGUCAUCUCGGUAGAAUACAUUCCUGGGUUAAUUGCAUACAGGUUCCUGCAACUAUAGUGAAUUGUAAAUAUAUCUCUGUAAAGUUCAAUUUUCAUAAGUUAUUCCUAUAAAAGUUCUAAUGUUUUCAGAUAUGUUCCUAUCGUUAGAAUCCAUUAGAAAAGUUUAGUUAACCAUAGAUUAAAUACUUUGUCCUGGUUAAGUUUUGACAUUUUUACUCUUAUAUUAUACUGUUAUAACUUCUGAAGGGACAUUUGUGAUGGCAAAAUUGGAAAUAUAAAUAGUUUUCUAACGGUAACAAACCAGAGGGAUAUAUCUGAAAAUAUUAGGGCUUUUGCAGGAUAACUUAUAAAAGUUGAAUUUUAUAGGGAUAUAUUUGCAAUUCAUUAUGUUUGCGGGGACCUAUAUGCAAUUAACCCUACAUUCCUCGGGCGGCUUAGAUGCUUUGUUCGUAUUAAAUCAAUUUGCGAAACGGUGCAAUAGAUUCUUCGUAGUUUAUAUUUGUGUAAUACUUAAACUUCAAAUGUCCCAUGUGAUUUAGCACUUUUUUAGUUUGGUAUCCUGUUGUUUGAAGUAUUUUACGUCACUAUCUUGUGGUUUUAUUUUGAGAUAAUUGCCUAUAUAUACCCUUCAAAAUUUUUUAAAUAUCUCAUUUAUUCUUGCUUUUUUUUUUUUAGUUCAAAUAUAUCCUCCAUAUAUUUUUUCCAUUAUUCAAAAAUACCUAUGCUGUUAGUGCCCGUUAAAUUAGUUCGUGUUAAAUUUGAAUUAAAUUUCUAUCAUAGUUAAACAUAAUGAAAAAAUCUAUUUGGCUACUAACUUAGGGCAAAUAAGAAAAGUCGGUAGCGGCAGAAGGAUAUUUUUGAAAAGGUAAAAAGUUGAAAUACUUCUUUCAGUCUCCCCCUCUCAACCUUUGGGUUGAAAAAGAAAAAAAAAAAGGCAGAAACAACGUAAAAAAAAAGAGAAAAAAAAAAAAAUUUGUCUCUCUCUCUCUCAACCCAAACGUUGAGAGAGAGAGAGAGACAUGUCUUGGCUCUUUGUCUCUCUCUCCCUCCCAACGAGAGGAAAAAAAAAAAAAAAGAAAAAAAAUAAGUAAAAAAAAACAGGUUUAUUUACUUCAACUAAUGCAGCUCGGUAUGUUAGCCUCGCUUGCUUCUACUGUUUAGCUUUGCCUUGGACAAGUAAAAAAAAUAAUAGUAAAUAAAAUAAUGCAAAACAAGUUCACGCGCCCCAAAUUAGCACAGCUCGGAUAGUGCUUCUACCGGCGAGCUAAUUGACAAAACUGGUACAGCUCGGAUAGCGCUUCUACCGGCGUGCUAAAAGCAUCGUUUUAUAGGCUACAAGCUAGUUGUUAAAGCUGGUACAGCUCGGAUAGCGCUUCUACCGGCGUGCUAAAAGCAUCGUUUUAUAGGCUAUAAGCUACUUAUUAAAGCUGGUACAGCUCGGAUAGCGCUUCUACCGGCGUGCCAAAUCUAUUAUUUUAUAGGCCAUGAACAAGCUGGUACAGCUCGGAUAGUGCUUCUACCGACGUGCCAAAUCUCUAACUGCUACGUAUGCAUUCCGCCUUCGCUGCUAAACUACAGCCUAAACUAGCCAAGCUUUGGAUAGUGCUUUUACCAGUCCAACUAGUUUGGUUGUUUUUAGCGUGAAUGCGAAAAGUAUACGUACGUGUAGAGAACAACAGCAUCGUCAGUAGCGUCAACAGCAACAGUGGCUUCAGAAAAAAAAACACCAUACCUGCUUUUCACCUCCCCACGUGUACCGUGGGGAGGAGACGAUCGUUCUGGUUUUCCCGAGGAGGGAACCAUGAACGUGUGCUCUCUCUCUCUCUCUCUCUCUCUCUCUCUCUCUUUUUCUUUCUCUCUCUCUCUCUCUCUCUGUCUCUCUCUCCUUCCUCUCCUAUUUUUGAAGAAAAAACAAAGAGUGGAAAAAAGAAAGAAGAAGAAGCAAGAAAAAAAAAAGACGAAACCAAGAUAAAGCCUAGAGAGAGGAGAAGAAAAAAAGAAAAAAAAAAAACAUUCUUCGAAAUAUUAUUCGAAGAUUACUGGGACAAAUAAAAACCUUCAGUAAGUUUUUUUUUAUAAGUUUUUCCUUAUCAUGGAAGUAUGUUCCAUACCUAAAAAAAAAUAGAGGAAAAAAUACUUAGAAAAGAAAGGAAGGAAAAAAAAAAGAGUUUUCCCCUUCACCCUAUAAAAAAAAUAUUGAAAAUGUAGAAAGGAAAAAAAAUAAAGAAGGGAAAAAAAAGAAAAAAAAAAAAAUGAGUUUGUUCGAAAGUAAUCAAUAGGCCACCUAAACUAGAGUAGCUUUACCUACUUGAAGGGAGAUAUAGAGUAUAGAGUAAUAACUCGAAUAACUAUGAAGAUCCCACGAAACCAAAUCUCAAACUGACACACACGUAUACCUAUGUUUUUAGGUGCUCUUCUAAGACUCCUUUCGUGUAUCAAAGGGAAUAUUUUAUGUAGGACCUCCAUGAUUCUAUAUAUUCCUAAAUAUUCACGUUACGAUUAGGAAGUUAAACCUAUUAUCCUCAUUACAAUAGAUAAAUGUUUUUGUAUUUAUCCUUUCUGAAGAAAUUUUUUUUUAUUAGGAUAUUUUUAAAAAUUAAACAGUUUAUUGAGUAGAUUUUAAGAUAAACCGGUUGAUUGGGAAGAAAACGGUUGAGCCAUGAUAUAACCUGUUUUUACUGCAAAAAUGCAGAAAUCUUUCGCUACUUAGGAAGUGAUAAAAAUAGAAUAAUAAUAGCGAAAAAAUAUAUCCAACACGCUUAAAAACGCUCGAACAAUCCUAAUAUACAUUUAAUAAUCUUAAAAACGAACUAACAAUCCUAACAUACCAUCCAACAAUCCUAAAUAAUCCAAAUUAUAACUUACGCUAAAUAACUUUAAACAUAUGUUAACAAUCCUAAUAUAUAUUUUUUGUUAUUACUUACUAUUUAGUAAGUGUUUACUUUACACCUGAACUCACAUGUACUCCUGUAUAACCAUCUCUGUAUGUUAACUCAAUUAACUAAUAUCUGGAACUGUAGGUAUAUACCAUGGGGUGGAACUCAUCAACACUCUCUAAGAUAUAAAAUCUGUACUAUUAACCCCUGCUAACAGAGUCUAAUCUAUGAAUACUAAUACGAACAACCGGUAACACGAGUAAACGUGUUCGAACACUCUCAGCGAGGGAUGUUCGGCCGUGAGGCCUCAAUCGGGUACGAUGUCUACGAGCGGGUACGACCUAACCCACGGAUGACCUAGCGGUACCCUGUCCGAGUAAGGAUCUCCUUUUUAUAACCUAAUGCUCCGGUAAUCCGCCGUGUUCGGCCUGAUGUGAACACAUCCAGGAUUAUUUAACUUGAUACCGUAGGUUUUCAAUUAGUUUGAACUGUAAUACAAUCCGUGUGAUCACUCAACUAUAGGAAACUGUGAUCAACUACGUAUGGAUUUUCUACCUGUAUGACCACCAACCAAUGGGAUACAAUGCUGAAUUACGUAAGUAUCAUUACCCUAUGAGAACACCUUGUAACAACGUAACUGUUGGUAUCAUCCAUCUAUUGGAUGUAAAUACUAUUAAUUGUAUCUUCCUAUCAAAGUACUACUGAUAUCGUUACAUUACAGUUGCUGUUACACUCUGAUUAUAGUAUUAUUAACAAGUAUCUAAUUUACACCUCCUCGUAAAAUAACAACGUAUAUGUUAAUGAAUAUGUAUACUAACAUUCAUUUCUUAAGUAUAUGUACAAUUUCUGUAAAGUAUAUCUCCGUACUAUAUCAACCUUGAUAAGAUAACGGCCAACGUAAAUGUAAUAUAUGAACAGCAUAGUAUAGGUACGGAGUCAACUGGAUCACCACAUAAAGCGGUGAUAGCCGCCGAAUGAGUGACUUUUGAUAACAAAUUAUCAAGAGUGGGGGUAACCAACCAAUAAAAAAAGUCUCGGAAGGCGCUGCCCUUUACGAUCCCUAGCACCUUUCCUCCGUCGCUGAUCGAUCUCGGAGUGCUAAAAUACUAUCUACUUGGCUACCUUAAUAAAAUUACCGAAUCAAGACACCACAUAUAACAUGAAAUACACUCUAAGAAACAUAAGUACACCAUGGGAACUAAUUUUGUAACAUUAGAACUCUUCAUGAUCAAGAUCUUAAAACAUAGAUCGACCACAUUCAAAAACGAGACUAAUGGUAAUAAUCCUACCUAGUAUGAUAACGAGAAAUACUAACAACAUCUGCGGAACACAUGUAACCCUAAAAAACCAAUGUGUCAUCCAGACACGUGCGUGGAUUGCCCGAAAGCGGCACCAGGACCCGCACUGUGCAUCAGUUGAUACACACUGUCGCCGGGCUAUGGAUGCCCAUCCCGUCUCCAAAACCAGCUUCGCCAUCAGGCUCGAACCUGGGCCCUUGCACCCUACGGUGCACAACCUGGCACACUAAUCAUAAUGUGGCACACACAUCACCUGGGUUGGGUUCUUGUACUCCACCAAACCCCAGAAUCAACGAGAACCAACAUCACACACAUGCUUCAGAGUUAACUUUUGAAGCGGGUCACUACUAACCAGAUGAGAACGCUCCCUCUCUGCCCAAAUCCGCCAUCCACAUGCAACCUAACCGCCAGACAUCUGGUGGGCACUAUUGACUCUACUCGCCAAACCAGCUAUUGAUUCUCAGGCCAACAUUAAUCUCGUGAGCACUAACUCUCUACGUGGGCACUUUAACGAAAAUACAUUACGACCACUAGCUUAGGCUCACUUAAGGGAUCACCCUACCAUUUACGUCUCUUCUCAACAUGGACCGUUACAUCUAAGAACUUACAGGCCUUACCAUUUCAUGGUGAGAAACCUGAGAAUACACUAAGCACCUCCAGAUGGGUACACAUAACACAUCACUACCACCUGGUAAGCUGAUCAACCACAUAAAAACAAUCUAGGUGUGGUGCUCCUACUUCCCAUCAGGACUAGAGCUUCCUUUUACCAUAGGUCACCGUAAUUACUCUAUUCAGAAAGCGUACGGCCAAUACACACGGAUCACUAUCCCCUUACGCCCCGCUCUAGUGCGUUCUCCGUGUAGCUAGGGGAAUGUCGUAAGUAGGCCUACCGCGAUUCUACAUGCUCGUUAUAACCACUGGACCCUAUUUCUUUCUACAACCAGUGAAACACUGCGUUACAACCACACGGUUGUUCAAUUCCACCUUGUAGCUGAGGGUUGUUCUUUUGAAGUUCCAAAUAGUUAGGAGCGCACCUUCACCCUCCUUCACAGCGAGGGGCUAUGUAACCCCACUUCAGCCUCUUGCUGAUCUCAACCCAGGCCUACACAAUGCACUUCGGUUCCUCUUCCCAGUACAACGAGCCGUCUCCUACGACUGCCGCGUCAGAGCCGUUUUCUCAAUACGGCUGUUUGUGGCAACUUCGGAACUCAAACGCCACCCACUGUUUCACAAGAACUUUUAGAGGGGUUACGCUCGGCACUUCGCCAAACCUUACGCUCCUUUCGAUUCAGGAGCGAUACAACCUGGUCCACUCUAACACCUAGCCCAACCGGGACAGCGAAUAGCCAAUCGCAACGGUGGAUAUGAACGCUCUCACGUGUUACAUAAGGUACACAAAUGUGAGGCGUUCAUACAGAGGUUAAGAUGCGUACAUGAGGUCAUACAUGACGGGCUUGAAGCUCUCCUAUAGUGUAAGCUCCUCAAGGGCCACACGCAUGAUCGAGCACUCUUCCUCGAUGCCUUAGCACACUAGGGCAUACAAUUUCAAGUUACCUCAUUAGUUUUGCUCGCUCUUCGAUGAACCCUCGAGUGCUUACUCACCGCACUGUCCAUAGGAAUAGAGAAGGGUCUCAGAUUAACUCCAUACUGAAAAUUUAAAGCUACUGCUUUGAAAAAAAUUCCCACCCUCCUACAUCACAUGGCUUAGGAACCACGCGGCUUGUUUUGAAAUCAAUUUAACUGGUUUCACAUCAUGACCUGCGAAACCUCUUCAAGUAAUUUACAAAGCUCACUCACGAAGCCUUACCGAAUUCAUCUACAAACCUGCAAUCUCUCGUUUCAACCAUUUUAAGGUUCAAAUGGUACGACCUACAAUCACGUUUUUGCGGAUCUUGUCUAAACCGCUACUUUUUCCCUAUAUUUUUAAUGGUUUGAUGAUAAAUUCUUAGAGUGGUAGUAACCUUCGUACAAACCGUUUAUAAUUUUUUAUUUUAUUAAAAAAAAUGUGAUAUAAAUUGUAGAACUUUUUGAGUUAUUAUACAUUUUCUUUUUAUAAAAUAAAAAAAUGACAAAAAUAGCGGAAAAUUUUUUGAUGAAUAAAAUUAAGAAUUAAUUUUUUUUAAUAUGAUUAGUCUUUUUCUUUAAAAGUAAAAAACUAGUUUCUUUUUUUUUUAAAUAAAAAAUUUUAGUUUGACUCUUUAAUAAAAUUUCGUAUUAAUUUUUGAAGAGCAGGAGGAGGAGGCCGGGGUAGAGAUGGCGGUGACGGCGACCGUAGGGAGAGGAUGAUAAGAAGAACGGUGGUACCGGCAAUCAAUCUCACCAACAACAGUAGUAGCAGCCAUCAUCGUCGUAGCCAACCCAGAGCAACAUGCGAGAUCAGUAGGAAGAGGCUUUCGAAGAAAACUAAUAACUAAUAAUUAUACAUAACUGAACAGUAGUAGCCAUCGUAGUUGCGCAACCGUAGUAACAAUAGUAGCAGUAGUCUCGCUCUCCCUCUCCCUUCCCUCCUCCCUUCCCCUACCUUUCCCUCCUUCUCCUCUCCCACCUUUCCCUCAUGCCUAAUCUUCCUCUCCCUCAUCCCUUCCUCCUCUUUCCUUUCCCUCCUGCCUCAUGUUCCUCUCCCUCAUCCCUUCUCCUAUCCCUUGUUCCUUUUUUUUUUUGUGCCUUCUCGCUCCCCGCCCUUUCGUUUCGCUGGUUAUUAUAUAAAAGAUUUCAAAAAAAAAUUAGCAUUUUAAUGAGAUUUUUUAGAUAUAAUAUCUCAUUAAAAAAAUAAAAUAAUUUGAUUUUUUGUUUUAAAAAAUCUUUUGUCCUAUUAAACCAUACGAAAGGUUUCUCUGGGAAUUCAUCCACUAUAAUGGCUUCCGUACGUGAUCAUCUCUGGAGAAGCGACCUUCGUGGUCCACUAAAACUCGGUCUUGUUUUUCUGUCUACUUUGUAAGCUGACAACUGAGUUUCAACUUCUUCGUAUGUUCCCUUGUGCGGAAUUCAUCAAUCAAUAUAUAAGUAAAUGUUGGUAAAAGCAUGGGUUUUCGAUACGUAUUCGUGUUUAAUAGUUCAGGAAUAUUAAUUUCUUGUGAAGUUAAGUUGAUGGAUACCAAAUCGCGUAAAAGUUAAACCAUGAAAUAUUAACUUUAUAAAAUGAAAUGAUGGUACACUAAAAUGAAAAUAGAGCUACAAUUUGGAUGGCAAUUUAAAUAUUUGGAGUUCUGUUAUUUUAUUAUAUAAAAUGUUUAGAAUCUCACCGUUUAAUAUCAUAAAAUGAUGCGAUAUAAAAGAAAAUAUAUCGGCGGAAUAUUAAACAUUUUAUAUAGUUAAAAUAUUGGAUGAAUUGCUGUCCAUAAUUGCCGUUCCAUUUUUAUUCUCCCCAUGAUUAUAUGGGAAUUUCUUAAAACCUGAAAGAAUAAAUAGGGAGAUUUUUUCGAUUAUAAUUUUUAUUUUCUAAGGUUUUAGAAAGUUUAUAUGAAAAUCUUAAUUUAAGAUGAUCUUUAUCGGCAAUAGGUGAAUAGGGAUAUUUUAAUAAUAAAACAGGAAAAUUUAUAUAAGAAGAUGGCAAUGGUUGAAAAGAAUAAAUAGAAAUUCAAUCCCUGUNNNNNNNNNNNNNNNNNNNNNNNNNNNNNNNNNNNNNNNNNNNNNNNNNNNNNNNNNNNNNNNNNNNNNNNNNNNNNNNNNNNNNNNNNNNNNNNNNNNNAGUAAAUUGAUAGACUUCAUACAGUUUAACAAAAUUAUUGAGUCACAUAAAGUUAAAGAAAUUACUGGACUUUUAAUCUAUCGCUGCGUUUUGGAAUAAGUGAAAUUUUCGGUCAUUCAAUAAUCAUAUACAAGUUAAUGUAAUUAAUUAUAUCUAGAGUAGCCACAGAGCACCUAGUCUAUAUAUAUGAUCACUUAUGGUAUUUUAUAAGAUGAUAUUGAUUUAAAGUUAACCCAAAAAUUCAUAUGGAUCCUAAUUUAUUGUUAAAAUAGUCAUUCAAGAUGUCAAAUAAGGUUAUUGUAUUUUCAUUAUGUCGCAGGAGUAGCCACAGCAUCCUAUAAGAUAAGAAACAUAACAUAAGGUAUUCUGAUAUUGAAUAAAGUUUGACUAUUUAUUGCAGUAAUAAAUUAAUUUUCUGAAUGUGCUGAAAAUAAGAUAGUGAAUUGAAUUUCUAGAUAGCGAGUUUCUUAUGCCCACAGGUAUAGAAUAUCUUGUUGUUUUAGAAAUUUUUUUCUACUAGUCUUAUUAAUGAAAGUAGAUCGAAUUCUAUGCGUGUAGCACUCUGGCCAGCAGGAUAGAGAAUUAUCUAAUCUAAAGAUUAUUAAUCUUAUACGUAACGAUAAAGUUCAUACUUCCUUUGUUUUUGCAGCUUCUUUCCCCUCUUUACUGCCAUUUCUUAAGAUGAUUCUUGUAUUCCCCUAUGCUUACUGGGACAAUUAUUUUGAUUAGAAAGAAAUAUAUCUCUUUCACUUUGGGUUAUAUAUUUGACUUGGGCUUUGCGCAUUAAGCAACUGCUAAGAUAGUGGGGGCCAAUGAACUCCACAGCAGGAAUUCCGCGCGAGGAAAAUAGAGCGAUCCAACCGCUUAAAGUUUGAUGCCAAUAAAGCAAGGUAUUCAAAAGCAUAAGGGACGAUUCCAGAAUGUGAUAAUGCCAAAGGAGUAUCCUAAAGGCUAUUCGAGAAGCAGUUUGUCAGCUCGCUAUAAAGUUUGGCGCUCAAAAAGGGCAUUGAAACUAUCUAUAUUUGUUAUGAAUCACAUUUAGUUAAGUUCCUAAAACACAGUGGUGGAUUGACUGUCACGCCCCGGGAUCCCUUUCAGUUUAAAACAAAGCGAAAAGCGUCUGAAUUUUUUUUUUGAAAACCUUGACCCCAGAGUAUGCCAGAUCCGCCCAGAAUACAGGGAUCCAAUUUCACAGAUCCCGACAGAGUCUCCCUGUAUUUGCACGCCGUCGAUCAAAUAUGCACAGUAAACAGAACCAAGGAUACAGACCACACACCAAGAUGAACUAUAAAGAUAACUAUACAUUCAUACAUUCACCAUUUAAUCAACAGUUUUAACAUUCAAGGUUUUAAAACAAAAUCCACAAAAUCUUUUGAAAAAACUGUUUCCUACAAACAGAAACUUUUAUUCUUUAAAAAACGCUACGCACGAGGUAGAAAACCUUUUAUUUUAGCAAAAUCCAGAAUCCACAUUUUCAAAGUAAAUAAAUACUGAACCAAUAAACUAAACUAAACUAUAUAUCAACAAAAUACCAAGGAUAAUAAACUAAGAUCGAAAUAACCUGUACGGAUAGCCUAUCGACCGCCUACACACAUACUCACGUCUCGUCGGCCCACUAACCGUCUCGCCCGCGAUAUCCUGAAAAAUGGUGGGGGAGGUGAGAACAUGUACACAUGUCUCCCCCUCCCAGUGGGUACCCGCAAGCCGAAGAACGGAGGAGUACCAUCACCUGGAUCAGGAAGAGAGCUAUAAUCUAACAACACGGAGAACUAGAUAGACAUACAGUACUGGUAAGCCUAAGAUGCUGAUAAAGUAGGACUGACAAGUAUACGAUGCAAGGUAAAUAACAGUAGCUAGCAAUAAUAGAUAAGGAUGUUUACGAAAUAAGAACCACAAGCUAGCUGUAUGCAUGACGUCAAACAUGACGAUAAGCUCAAAAUACCAAUCUCUGCGCCUAUUGGCCGAAGACCUCUAGGCCCAUGCCAUGCUCCAACCCUGUACCUGACCCUCGCAAUGAAGCCCCUGGUUCAGAAGCACAGUACGCGUGAUUCCUCGCAAUGAAGCCCCCUGGGUCAGACAGCAAUCCCUCGCAAUAAAAAGCCCUGGGCUGCACGGGUUGGCAUCCAACCACUCUUUUCCGGAAAAGAACAGCCUCUUGCGGUGGAUCAGACGCUGGUGGUUCGUGAAAUGCGUACCCUGCAGUGGCGAUCAAUAUGUAUUGCUCAAAGAAUCUUCCCAUCGCAACUGUAGCGACAAUUCCACCCUCAAGGGCACACGCGACUGUAUAGGCCAUCAACAACUAGUCGGCUACGUAUGUCAGGAGUAGAAACUGUAAUCAAUCGACCGAAAAGGUCAUAGAUAUCAAAAAUAGGGAACCGCCCAAGCCAAUAUCACAGAUAUUAAGCGAAUAGAUAAGUCGACUAUACUCCUAAGCAUGAUAUCAAAUGGAACCAUCGAUGGCCGCGGGCCCGCAUGGUGUCAUGCAUGUAACCAAACGACCCAAUCCAGGUCACAAAUAUAGGAUAUGAACUCGACCAAGUCAUGCACAAUAUAUUAAUGCUAACUACCGUCGGCCACUACCGACAUGCCGACCCGCCAUCAGGGUAGCACCGGACCUCAAAGUCAUCGGUAACAACAGAUAGUCAAGAACCGAACCAAGUCGUAGGUUACUGAGUACGAGGUACACAAAACUACCAAACCAGGUCACAAGUGUAGAAUGCAAACCGUCGUCAUCCAGGUCAUGGAGAUCACAUAGGAGAUCAACCAAAUCCAAUCAUAAAUAUAUAAACAGAUAAAGUCUACUCGCUCCUACACAUGAUAUCUACGACCUGGCACAAUUAAUAGAGAGUAAAAAGAAACACAUGGUGCAAGGCUCAAACAUAUAUAUGUAAACAGAAUAAACACGCGUUUAUGAGGUAAUGGAACGUCACCUCGAGCGUUGCACAUCACUGUUACAACGUCGGAAUGGUCGAAAGUACCCCGUAACGUAUCUGACGAAAGAUCUCUCGACUGUGAGGCACGUGCAACCCGAACCACGAAAUGUCCAACAGGGUUAAGUCUAACCCAUGACAUGAAAAGCUAACUCACGACCCCCUGCUCACCAGAACGCAUGACCGGUUUCCCAAAAUCGCAUUACUGAAAGUAAACGUAAGUCCGAAAAAGCCGGCACCCGGAACUUCACCGUCGCCCACGCGUCGCACCCACGGGCGCGGUCAUUUCCAUAACCCUCAGACGACGGGUGACAGACCAAGCAGCGCAGCGACAGCUGACAUAUCAGCCCACGAGGCUCCGUCGGGUUGAAAAUCUCGGAGCGCGGAACGCGUUCUAAGUGUCGGCCGAUUUCGCAAAAACGCCUCCGGAAUUCACUUUCGAUUUUCCGCAAGGGCUUGGGGCCUUUGGACGAUCAAGUCCAGAAGGUUACCUCAGCCACAAAAUCGCCUGACAAACAUACAUCACAGAGAGAUCAGAAACCCAAAAGCGUCCAUACCGAAUAUCAUGAGAAUCGCAUCAAUUCAUGUGAUUUUAGGCUUUCUGGACCGUGCACCGCAAACCAGAGGUCAUUCAAUCCGACCGCGUCACUCGCUGGCACAGGUUUCAGCAUGUUCGGGACGGCCGUGAUACCUUUACGGAGCACUGCCCUGCACUGGGUGCGCGCACCGAGCGAUGUGAAUAUUCAAGAUAAACUGCGCGCGACAGCGCGAAGAUUCGGAAACUGAACUCACAACCAGGGACAUCAUUGACGCUUUCUAAAAUUUUCAUGAUCACCUUAUAUAUGUUUAGAGCAAUAAUGCAAAAAUAUACCGCAAAAUAUUAAACUAAACAUACAACCUUAUAUCAUGAAUAAACAAAUGAGUAGAACAGAAAUUGUAUAUAACAAAUACCAAAAGUUAUACAUAUCUUUAAUAUAUAGACUUCUUCAUAAAUAAGUCACAUCAUAAAGAAAAUUAUUAAGUAAAACUAUAUUUCAUUAUUUUCAUUAAAAUAAAUAAAUAAAUAAAUUCGACCCCGCAUGGGGGGCCACACAUGGCAACCCCACAGUCGGUUGCAAUCUACAACCCUUCUUUUUUUUUUUCUUUUUUUCUUUUUUUUUUGGAUUGCCACCUAGGCAGCCCUAUUAAGGGCUGCCUAGUGCGGCCCUAAAGGGGGCCGCUUUAUGCGGCCCUUUGUGGGCCGCGCCAGGUGCGCCUAGGUGGCGUGGUGGCGCGAGUCUACCACGCCGCCCGAUCGUCCUUAUUAUUAUUAUUAUUUUUUUUUUUUUUUUUUUGCUUCUUGAUCGCUCAAUGCCAUCAGAUUGGUGACGAUCGGAUCGGUGACGUCGUUCUUCCGAAUGCCGGUCUCAAUUAAGAUCGGCCGACGUUACCAAUAAUGCAAACCAUCGACGAAUUUAUUUAUUUAUUUACAGAAAACGAAAAUCAAACUAAAUCCGAAAAGAAACAAAAAUCCAACAAAAGGUUCGGCUCUGAUACCACAUGUUAGAAACUUUAUGAGAAAAUAGAUCGUGCCUUCUGCCAUGAUUUCGAUUUCUGUACCCGAUUUGUAAGCGGCGAUUCUUGCUCGUGGUUCGUCCUCGUUCGUGAUCUGCAAGAAGACGGGACGUUUCAAGUCUAAUUCCCUUAUCCCCGGAGAUGGAGCCGUCACAGACUAUUGGAUUAGGGUCAGACCGGGACUCCCGUAUGUUACAUAUUUAUAUAUAACUUGAUAUAAGGAUGUUAAAUCACGUCCGUCCAUCAAGGACGUGUCCAGAUACAUCAUAACCGUAAGAGCUAAAAUAUCUUUAUAGAUCGACUUAAAUAAAUUGACCGUAUCUUUAUGGAUCGCCUUGAAUAUAUCACGUGGGCCACAUCCAACAAAAAGUGUUACCCCAUAAGUAAAAAAUGAAAGAAUUAAAAAAAACAGAGAACGCAUGUAAUAAUAUAUGGUAUACUCACGUAUGCAAUAACUUCUUCUCAUUCUUCUUAUAAUUUGUGUUGCUUCUUUAUGUAAUAUACAUACUCUUAUUGAUUUACUGUGGUGGUGUUCUUCCUAAUUUACUAUGGAGUGUUAUGACUGUUGUGAUGAUUGCUUAAGAACAUUAUUUUUGUUUGCUUCAAGUGUCAUGUCUAUUGUAUUUAUUUACUUCUUUACUUAUUACUUUUCUUUUCUCUUUUUUUCCCUUUUACCCUUCUACGUAGGUGCUGCUUCUUUUGCUAUCGCUUUUGUCACUUAUGUUGCUUCAAAACCAAGUACGUAUUCUCCAUAUUUUUCUUACGUUUUGUCUUUUUAAUAGUUAUAUACUUUCAUAAAAUUCGCAUCGCUUGGGUUGUAUACUAUGUGCCUUUUCCACUUAAUUACUCUUCUCUUUGCCUUUCAUCCAUUGUGGAUGAAAAGUAUUUGAUACAUUUGCUAAAUUCUUAAGGACCUCUCAUUGUUAGUUCAUGGGAAUAGACGAACAAAUUUGAUUAAACAGAUCUCUACAAGUGUGUCUUACUGAAUCAGUGUCCUACUAAUUGACAAUUAUUAUGCCAUUAUUUUUUUGGGUAUAUUCUGAAAUUCAGCGAGAGUGCUCUGUGAAUUUGUCUUCACCCAAAAAAAAAAAAAAACAACGUUCCAUCAACAUAGUGUAUGCCUUAGGCUACUACGGAAUUUCGAACAAGUCUCCUGCCAUUUCAAAUAUGAUUCAACACAAACCGACAUCCCACAAUUUCAAACGUGAAUAAGUCCAGGUCAGCCUCUUGUCAUUUUUAACAUGACCAUUAGGAGGCAGAAUGUUAGUGCCUUUAAGCUAAUGCUGUCCUCAUGCGAUUUGCACUGCGUGUCCAUAGGCUGUUCAUAAUUCCUCAUUCAUCAUUUACAAAGCCCAAACCUGGCUCAUUUAUUCUUUUAGUAUGGCUUGAACCAAAACUUUCUUCUCCCAAGUCUAAUCCAGUUUCAAGAAUGAGCCCAGUCUAAUAUUAAAACACCCUCAAAACAGGGAAUAUUUGCUAGUGAUAAUAUUUAAGUCCACUAAUUAGAAUUUUACUUCCAAAUUUUUGUGAAUAUAUGCAUUUUGGUUACUAUUUUUCUCUGCAUGUGGAUUUUUGCAAAACAUCGUGCAUGAAAGAAAACAGCAUUCCUCGAAAAUUUUUGCUGCAACCUUCCCCUGUUCUUAGGCUACAUGUAAUUUGUAGGGGGUAUCUCGAACUAUAUUGUGAUGCUACUUCCAUAAUUGAUGCCUACAGUUCACUCAGUUGUUUAAGAUUAUUACACAUGUGAAUUAGAUGUAAAAUACUUCAAAAUCUGCUGCUAAAGCACAUUAAACUAGUGUCAUUAUAAAUGAUGUGGAGAGAUUUUGACCUAACCUUAUCAUUCUUGCAACAUUUUUUUAUUCUUCUAAUGACUCGGCGACUUAUAUUUUAUUAUGUUACAAGAAAGUCAUGUAAAAAAUUAAAAUAUUUAAACUUCUGACCAUAAAAUAUUUACGAUUAAAAAAUAUAACAAAAAUUGUUGCCCCAUAAGGAUAAAAAAAAAGAAAGAAUUAAAAAACAAAGAAUGCAUAUAAAUUAGAAAAGCAGAAAUUCUCCCAGAUCAUAAUUUUAAUUCUUGAGAUGUGAAAUUGUAAGCCUGCAAUCUGUAUCAAAGUUGUCUUAGUGUGCUUUAUGAAGUCCAAAAACAUAUUCAAGUCCUAUAGACAAGCUAGAGCAAUACAAUUUCAGUUUUGCAAGUUUUCGGACAUAGUGUAUGCCUUUGCAUAUGCCCAUGAUAAUAUCCGAAGCCACGCUUCUUAAUUUGAUACUAAAUGGUGUUGAUUUUGGAUUAAUAACUCACUUUGUCGUAUCUUAGAAAUGCAGAAAUUCUUCAAUUCACAAUUUUUACUCUUGAGAUGUGGAAUUGGAAUCCAGCCAUCCCUACCAAAGUUGUCUUAGUGUGCUUUAUGAAUGUUUAACCUCGAUUCCCUAUGCAUGUUGUCAAGGUAACCCUAUCAAUAAACCCAUCGUAUAUAAACCUCAUUAAAUACUGCUAUUUUCCUAUGAAGUGGAAGGAUCUCUUGCGCCUUUCUAGAUCUUAUGCAAGAUCGGCAAAACUGCACAUCACUUCUACAUUAACAAUAUGUCAGUAUGUAGUAUACUAAAUUGAGUUUAGGACUUGAUUGUAACAAUUCAGAAAGUUCGGACCACAGAUUAUAGUGAAUUAAAGUUUGAGGACCAAAGUGUCGCCCAACUCAUAGUUUGAGACCAAAUAUGCAAUUUACCCUAAUACUAAUAAUAGUAAUUGACUCAACCACCCCCUCUUCAUUAUCUGUGCACAUGUAUGGUCUUUUCUAAUUAGGUAUAGGUAAGGAAGUGAAUUCUCGAAAUCCGAGAGUUAUACUUCAUCCAGGAUCGACUAAUUGUCGAGCGAGUAGGCUUCGGAGGAGCUAAAGAUGUCCAAAACACAAAAAGUGCUUUGGAGUUGAGUCUGCAAGAGCAAAGAUGCAAAAAUAUGCAUUUGGCAGGUUCUGCUCUCGGGGACCGGUCCCUGGCGGUGGGGACCGAUUCCCGUAAGCAAGAAUGCUGGUAAAGAAGGGGUCUACGCUGAGUUGCGCUCAGGGACCGGUCCCUGGUAGGAAGGAUCGGUCCCCAUAGCUGAGGUUGCGGCGGACAGCCGAUACAACCGGUCCCCUGGCCAGAGGGACCGGUUCCCGUAAGCGCAACCAGGUAGAAGGCUCUGGGGGACUUGUCCUUCAUCGGGAGGACCGGUCCCUCCGCACGAAAUCUGCCCAGGCAGAGUAACUUGAGAGGAGCAAAAAUGGAGGGGCUAAACUGAAAAUGUGACAUAAGUAAAGGGUAUAGAGAGUAAAGGGCUCUCUCUCCCUCUCUCAUUUCCACCCUCGCUCCCAUUUCUCUCUCUCCCUCUCUCUCUCUAGAAAGAAAAAAUAAAAGAAAAGGAGAAGGAAGAAAAGAGAAGAAGAAGAAGGAGGAGAAGAAGAAGAAAAAGGGGAGUUUGGAGAAGAUCAUCUCCACCACUCUUUUUUUCUCCCUCUUCAUCCCUUUGGAGUAGCUCAAGAGGUAAGCUACUAAACCCUAACAAUGGUAGAACUUAGGGUUUUGAGUUUUUAGCUUUUGAAAUGAGGUCAAAUGGACCUCUAGCACCAUUAAUGGUGGAUUAGAGCUAGAGGCUAGAGUUUCAUGGUGCUUUUUGCAUGAUGCCAACACUAGGGCACCCAAGUUGGGGUUUUUGGAAAACAAUGGGUUUGAUCUCACUUGUUGACAUCUAAACCUAAUUGCUAGGUGUCUAAACGCAGGGGCGAAGUCAGAUUUUCAAUUCGUCGAGCGGGUAAAAAGCUAUUGACGAAAUAUAGCCGAUUGAGCGCCGUUUUGGACCAAGGAGGCCGAGACAUCAUCGUAAAGUUCGUUGGGAAGUGUUUCUAGAACCUUCAUACCUCAAAAGGUGGGGGGGGUCAGUAAGGUACCGGAUUUUAAAUGUAAAUGUAAAAAUAAAUAAAAAUAGUGUGGGAUACUAUUUUUAUUGGACUUAUAGACAUAAAUUAUAAGUCUAGAGUGACCCGUGUUGAAAUGGAAGCGAAAACAGAAGAUUUAGAAUUUUCUGUAAGAGUCAGGGCAGACGAAAAAUAUCUGUACCGUACUGCUAAACUGAAUGUGAAUAGUGUUCUUGGAUAACUUGGAGGCCAAGUUACCUAGAUAACUUGGAGGCCAAGUUUCCUAGGACACUUGGAGACCAAGUUUCCUAUGAAACUUGGAGGCCAAGUUUCCUAUAUAAUCAUAGGCGGACUUGAGCCUUUUCUUUCUUCUCCCUCACACUUGCAACCAAAUCGAAUAUCUCUCUCUCUCAAUAAUUUCUCCACCAAGAGAGGAAUUGGAGUGGGCAUUUGGAGAAAAAAGGUUGCUUGGAGGUGAAGUCUUCAUCCUCUUCAUUACUUGCUUUGAGGAAAAGCUGUGUUUUGAGGUUCCUAAACGCGUGUGAAGCGUCGGUUCGUCGAGCAGGUGCGACCGAAGAGUAAAGCGGCGACUAGGGAACGUGCAGUUGAAAACCUAGCCUUGUGACACUACCAAAAGGUGGGGGGUGUCAUCCCGAAACAUCCGGGUUUCCUUUAUGCCUAAGUUAAUUUUAUUCAUCAUAUAUUGAUUGAGCAUUAUAGGAUUAGUAAAGUAUUAUUCCAUUCCUUGCAUGCUUACUUAGUAGUGUAGCGGUAUGGACCUAACACUUGGACUAGGAGGCAUGAGGAUUGGGUCUUGAGACAAAGAAUCCUAUAGUGGCAAAGUGAUGAAUUUGGACAUAGCCUAGUAGAGUGGCAUUGAACAGUGUAGGAGAGACACUAUGACAUGAACAAAUAACAUGUAGAAUAAUUGAGACAUUUACUACAAUGACUAAACGAGUGGCAUUGAGUUUAGUGUAGUAAACUCGACAUGUAUUAGGGAUAGUAGAGAUUCCGGCAUCUAGGAUGCAUUGUACAUUGUGCAGCAGAGGCACGUUGACCCUUGUAGAUAGGGUAUCCUCUGUGAGGAUUGAUCAUACCUCAUAGUCUGUUUUUGCUUGUCGGUGGUCGCUCCACCGAGGCACGAGUCUCGGAGUACUUCACUAGGGGCAGACGUAGUUGUCCGCAGACGGUCUCGGUGUGCGAGUGCAGUUCUCCUCACCUAUGAGAUUGAGAUUGAGUCGGGUUGACCCGGGUGGCAACCUUCGGGUUGGCCAUGAGAUUGGAUACUACGAGGCAUAGUUGCACGACGCAGCUGUGUAGCUCGUUCAUUUGGAUUAUUGAGGCAUAGUAGCAUGUGCAGAUACAUCACUAUGUAGUAGCUCAUUUCCAAGCAGAUUGGGUAAAGAUAUGAAUGGCAUAGCAGAUUUGCAUUCAUACCUUGAGUUGACAUUGAGACAUAGUAGCAUGUUGUAAAUACAUCACUAUGUGUAGCUCAUUUCCAUUAUUGUUGAAGCAUAGUAUCAAUUUAGUAGAAUAUCAUUGCUAUGUUCAUGCAUUACCUCGAGUAGACAUAGUGUAUGUUGUAGAUUGCAUUACUGAUGUACUUUUCUAUACUCAUAACAUGAUUCUCGCAUGAUAGUAGUUGUUGCAUGCAUUAUCAUCGUUGAUGGCAUGAUAGAGUAGUCGCAGUUUACUUUCAUCUAUCUAUCUAUCUCUCUAUCUGUGCCAGCUUAGACCUAGUGGGAAAACUGGCGGCGUCGGCGGCCGAACCCACUGGGAACUAUAUUAUAUAGUUCUCACCCCGUGUGGUUUUGGGGUACAGGUACACCAUAGAGGCGAGCCGAGCGAGGACCGCGGCAAGGGCAUAGCGCCCUAAGUGAGCCUAGUUAGUAGCUUUUCCUUAUGCAUUAGAGUACCCUCGUGUACUAGUUGAUAUUUUGGAUAGAUAUCAGAGAGCUACUUGUAUUUUGAAGAAAACAUGUACUUACAUUUUGGAAGAUGAAAAUAUAAUAUAUUCAAAUAAUGUAAAAUGAUUGUGAUAGUUAGACUAUCUCUCUUUAUACACUUGUAUGUCACUUGUGGUUCUUGCUCUAGAUGUAUUGCACUGUGUGCAUCGUAUUUGAUCAUGUAUGUUAUUUAAGCAAAUCCUGGGUGCUUAUUGUACAUGAUCUGGUUUGCUUGGCCUGGCGGACAGAAGAGGUACUGUCCGUUCGGCGGUCCGUCUGAUGUGCCCGAACCGUGCCAAAUUGGUAGUGGAUUCGGGGCGGGCGCGUGACAGGUGUCAUCACCGAACAACGCGAACUCUUUUCUAUGUGUUAGAAAUACAUGAUUUUCAUCUCUUGCAUGUUGCAUUGUAGGAUUGCAUUGUAGUACCUUUUCCUUAUGCUUCUAAGUGUUAACCUAGUGUACAUGGAAUACUUGGUGAAAUGAAUAGGUAAGGAUUGGGUCGGAAUAUGGAUCCUAUAGUGCUAAAGGAAACAGAUAAACUCGAUGGUUAUUUAGUGACAUAGAGAGUGGCAUCUAAAUGUUUAAAGAACAGAACGAGUGGCAUUAUGUAGUGUAUUUGACACUAGAGGUUCGUGAACUUAGGGAUAGGUGGAUUCCCUAGGAAAUGACUCAUGAAUAAUGAACUUAGUAGAGCUAAGUAACUAUGCAUGAAUGUCGGAAUAGGUGAGUUCUGAGAGAAAUGUUGGCCCUAGUUCAUAAGGUAUCCUCACGUGGAGAGGAUAGAUCAAGCUCACGGUCUGUUAUUCGGGAUGGAAAAGCCAUCCAUAUCCUCACAUAGAGAGGAUUGGUCGUCGAGUACUCCGGAGUGUCGGGCGAUUAGGACAGAGUUGAUGUCCGCAGACAGUCCUGGGUUCGGGGGCACAUGAAGCCUCCUUACCCAAUGGAAUGGAUAUGUGAGGCGUAGGCAAACACAAGGGUUUUCCCACAGAUUGGGUAAAUGAAAAGUUAAUAUUGUCAUCGAACAUUGCUUAUCGAAUAUGGAUCGAACUUGUUAGCAUAUGAUAGUAAACUUUUACUAAAUGAUGCGUUCAUUCAUUUCACAUGAUUAUGGUCAUAGUAGCAUAGUUUUUCUAUUAUGUCUUUACAGCUUUGAUAUAUAUAUAUAUAUAUAUAUCAUUGUUACUUUUGCCCACUUGGACCUAGUGGGGAGAUCGGCGGAGUCGGCGGCCGAGCCCACUGGGAACUAUGGAAGAUAGUUCUCACCCCACUCUAUUUCCAGUGCUAGGUUCAGGGUUGCAGGGAGAGGACCGCGGCAAGGGCGUCGCGCCCGACCAGUGAGGAUUAUUGGUAGAGUAGUAGCUUUUCUUUUGCAUUAGCACACCUAUAUAUUUGAGAGAGUAUCAUGUAGGUGAGGACUUUGGAGAGCUACGUACUUGAGAGUAUGUAUUCAUUUUGAGGAAAAGAAUGUAAUUGUAUACAAAAUGCAAAUGUGAUGUAAUAGUUAGUAAGUUCUCUCUUUAUUUCACUUGUGUAUCUUGUGGAUUACUUGCUCUUUGUUGUUGGCACCGUUUGUGUCCGUUGAUUGUGUACUUAUAGAAUUUAAUAUCCUGGGUAAAUUCUUGUACUCGAUCUGUUGUUGAGCCUUGGGCGGACAGGGGAGGUGCUGUCCGUUCGGCGUCCGUUCGCCGCCCCCGAACCGUGCCAAAUUGGUAGAGGUUUCGGGGCGGGGGCGUGGCAGUCUGUGGUAUCAGAGCAAUAAGAGCAAGUAAAGAGAGAAAGUCUAGGAUGACCUAGGAGACCCUAGGUUGGUAAACCCUAAGGCUAUAGGUGCGUGAGUAGAAUAUGAACCUAUAACGGCGGCAGAAGUGAUCGAUUGGGUUGAAGUCGGUAAUAUAUCUCUAGUAGUUGCUAGAGAUGGAUUCAAGUGGUAUUAGUUCUUUAUUUGAGGUGGUUAUGUCGGCGGCUGAUGACAUGAUACCAAGAGUCUAGAAUGAGUACACUUGUGUGCUUUCGCCCGAUUUUGUUGUUGAGUCGUUAUGUGUCGUAAUUUCGACGAGAUAAUUGGUUAAGAUGACUGACCAGGUAUUUGCGUUUUAGGGACUAAUGUCUCCUAGACGCUACACACGUAGAUCUGCCCCGGCACCGUCUUCUGAGGUGCCUAAGCAGGCUUGAUCAAGCGAGAUGGAUCUGUUGAGGGCGCAAGUGACCACAUUGGUUGGUGUGGUGCAGCGCCAGGAGAGCCGAUUUGAGCGUCUCCAGGAGCUUUUGGAGCGGCAAGCUGCAGCGGCGAUGGACGGCCGUGAUGUACCCGCACCCCUGACUCGUGUACCCGAAGCGGCAGAGGGUGAGGGUAUAGCGGCGGUUCCGGUGACGGCACAUCCCUCGCCGAAAAUUGUUCCUCAGGCGGCGUCGGGAUCGGUGACACCCGAUGUGACGGCCGAAGACGUGGAAGGAAAGUGCGCAUUGGCGGCUCUUAUCAAGUUCAAGAAGUUCAACCUGUCCAUCUUCGAGGGGGAGAAGGUAGAGCCGGCGAUGGUCGAGUCUUGGAUCGACUCUAUGGAGACUCUCUUCGAUGAUCUGCGUACUUUGGAGAGAGAUAGGGUGUAUCUAGCCACCCACUGCUUGGAGAAAGCGGCGAAGCUCUAGUGGAAGCGCAUCAAACGGGAUCGACUUCCCGGCCUUCCAUCGAUGCUGUGGGAGGAAUUCAAGAGGGCGAUAUUCGCCAAUUAUUUUCCCGACACAUUGAAGCGAAAGCUCCAGGAGAAGUUCCGCAAGUUGGAGCAAAGGGACUGCUCAGUAGCGGAGUAUGAGCAGGAGUUCUCCCACAUCAUUGACUAUGUCCCGGAUGUGGUACGAGAUGACCGGGAUCGGCUCGACUGGUUCUUAUGAGGACUUCGGCCGGGGAUCUACAAGGCCGUGCAGAUACUUAAACUCACGACCUUCGCGGAGGUCUUCGACCGAGCACUCUGGGCGGAGCACGGUGACGCCCAUGUUCGGGAGAAGCGUGAGAUGUUGGCCGAGUCCAAGGACAAAGGCAAGAAGCGUCAAGGCGGCGGUUUGGGGGGACAAGCACGUUCCAAGAAGCCCCUGAAGUAUCCGCGGACUCAGCCAAAGGGCAGUGGAGCGCCACGGUGCGUCAUAUAUGGCGUAGACCACCCGGUGUCGCGUUGCGAGCAGCGCCAAGGCAUGUGCUACAAGUGUGGGCAACCGGGGCACUUCGUGCAGGAUUGCCCGAGAGGAGGAGCCUCACCUGCCCCAUCCACUGCAUCGGCGCCGGCGGUUCCGGCUCACUAUGGAGAAGCUCCACCGACGGCUGUGUCGGCGGGACGUGCGAUGAUGCUGCGCCAGCCCGAGAUGGCGCGAUCGGCCCCGAGCGGACGGGUAUUCGCCGCUCAGGUCCAAGCCGAGGAGCCUGCGGAGGCGGAGGAGCAUCGCCUAGUGGCAGGUAUGGUUUUAAUUAACGAAGUUCGCUCCAGGGCUAUGUUUGAUAUAGGAGCCACGCAUUCAUUUAUCAGUAGAUCAUUCGCACGCAUGCAUGACAUACUUAUAGAGGCGAGUGAUGGCAAGUGGUGAGUUGAGGGCCCUGGGUCGACAUUUAAUACCUACAUGGAAUGCUCAUCGUGUCCAGUACAAGUAGGUAACUGGACAAUGCCCAUUAGGAUGCUAGAGCUCAAGAAUCUUAAAGAGUUCGAUGUCAUACUAGGCAUAGACCGGCUCUCAAAGUAUCACGCAACGAUUGACUGCAAGAGUAGACUGAUUACGUUUUGUGAGUCAGGAUAGAAGGAGUUUACUUAUCGGGCCUGUCAAAGCUCGUGCUUCGCCGCGACGGUGUCGGCGACGAGAGCAAGAAAGUUGGUCAACAGCGGUUGCAUAGCGUUCUUGGCAACUGUUGUGGAAGUGGAUCGAGUAGCUCCAACAUUAGAGGAGUUAUCAGUGGUGCGGGAGUUCCCGAAUGUGUUUCCCGCGGAGUUACCGGGGACACCGCCGGAUCGGGAGAUCGAGUUCGUCAUAGACUUGAUUCUCGGUACCGCACCGAUCUCGAAGGCUCCAUACCGAAUGGCGCCGGCGGAACUGAAAGAAUUGAGGAGUCAGUUGCAAGAUCUUCUCGACAAAUAGUUUAUACAGCCAAGUGUAUCACUGUGGGGAGCCCCGGUGUUAUUUGUGCGGAAGAAGGACGGAUCGUUUCGACUCUGCAUGGAUUAUCGAGAGUUGAACAGAGUCACGAUCAAGAACAAGUACCUACUACCCAGAAUCGAUGACCUGUUCGAUCAGUUGCAAGGGUUGUGUGUGUACUCGAAAAUAGAUUUACAGUCCAGCUAUCACCAGUUGAAGAUCAAGCCGGAGGAUGUGCAGAAAACUGCGUUCCUACGCGGUACGGGCACUAUGAAUUCAUGGUCAUGCUAUUUGGACUUACGAAUGCUCCAGCAGCGUUCAUGGACUUGAUGAACCGUGUCUUCAAAGAGUAUUUGGAUCAAUUUGUCGUGGUCUUCAUAGAUGACAUAUUGGUCUAUUCUUGCAGUGACGAGGAACAUGCCGAGCAUUUGAUGAUUGUGCUUCAAGUCCUUCGGGAGGAGAAGCUAUAUGCUAAGUUAAAGAAGUAUGACUUCUGGCUCCGAGAGGUCACAUUUCUAGGGCAUGUGAUUUCUGCGGGUGGAGUCUCAGUAGACCCAAGGAAAGUUGAGGCAAUCAAGGAUUGGCCGCGCCCGACGAAUGUCACAGAGGUUCGAAGCUUCGUGGGCUUGGCGGGCUACUAUAGGCGGUUCGUGGAAGGCUUUUCAAAGAUAGUAAUUUCACUUACCCGUCUGACUCAGAAAGGCACCAAGUUCAUGUGGAGCGAGAAGUGCGACCGGAGUUUGAAAGAGUUGAAGGAGAGGUUGACUUCGACUCUGGUGCUCGCCUUAUCAGUGCAAAGUGAAGACUUUGUGGUCUAUAGCGAUGCAUCUUAUAUGGGUUUGGGGUGUGUACUGAUGCAAAAUAGGAAGGUAGUCGCUUAUGCAUCCCAUCAGCUGAAGAGCUACGAGAAGAACUAACCCAUCCAUGAUCUGGAGCUAGCAGCAGUGAUCUUCGCCUUGAAGUUGUGGCGGCACUAUCUAUAUUGUGCACAUUGUGAGAUCUACAUCGACCACAAGAGUCUGAAGUAUUUGUUUACACAGAAAGAGCUUAACAUGCGUCAACGACGGUGGUUAGAAUUGUUAAAGGAUUACGACGUGGAUAUCUUUACCACCCGGGGAAGGCGAAUGUGGUCGCGGAUGCGCUCAGUAGAAAGUUAGCAGAGAACCUCGCUAUGUGGGUUACAAAUCAAACACCCCUAUGGCUGGACAUGGAGCGAAUGAACCUUGAGGUGGUUGCUCCCGAGAUUCCUGCCCAGUUGAUGGCGCUCGUUGUCCAACCGACCUUAUUGGAGAGAAUUAAGAAUCUGCAACCCGCGGACCCAGAACUCCAAAAGGUGCAGCGCGACAUCGAGAAUGGUCGUGGCGGCGAUUUCAUGGUAGACACCGAUGGUGCACUUCGAUUUCGAAAUCGAUGGUGUGUGCCGAAUAAUGAGGAGAUCCGAGAGCUAAUCUUGCAAGAAGCACACUGGUCUCCGCAUGCUGAUCACCCGGGCAGCACCAAAAUGUAUCAAGGAUUAAAAAUGCACUAUUGGUGGCCGGGAAUGAAAAGUGAUAUUGGGCGCUUUGUGGCGAAGUGCUUAGUAUGCCAACAAGUAAAGGCUGAGCGUCGAUUUCCAACGGGAAAGCUUCAAAGCCUACCGAUCCCCGUUUGGAAAUGGGAGGACAUAUCAAUGGACUUCGUGGUCGGCUUGCCUCUCUCAACGGGCGGCCACGAUGCGAUAUGGGUAAUUGUGGACCGAUUGACGAAGUCGGCUCACUUUUUGCCGAUCCACACCAUGUGGGCAGGUGACAAGUUGGCGCAGGUGUACCUUGAUGAGAUAGUGAGGUUGCACGGGGUGCCGAAAUCGACCGUGUCGGAUCGCGACCCCCGGUUUACUUUACACUUCUGGAAGAGCCUGUAGGAAGCACUUGGCACAUGGCUCGACUUCAGCACAGCAUUUCAUUCUCAGACAGAUGGGCAAAUAGAGAGGACCAUUCAAACUCUAGAGGAUAUGUUGUGAGCGUGUGUCAUCGACUAUAAAGGGAGUUGGUGUGAUCAUCUGCCGAUGGCCGAGUUCGCCUACAAUAAUAGUUAUCAUGCUAGUGUGGAGAUGGCACCAUUCGAGGCUCUUUAUGGGCGGAAGUGUCGGUCUCCUAUACACUGGAGCGAUGUGGGUGAGCGUGCAGAGUUCGGCCCUAAUGUUCUGCGAGAAGCGAAGGAGAAAGUCCGCCUUGCUCGCAAGCGAUUGCUCACGGCGCAGUCGAGACAGAAAAGCUAUGUGGAUAAGCGCCGUCGAGAUAUAGAGUUCGCGGUGGGCGACCGCGUAUUCUUAAAGGUUUCACUAAUGCGGGGUGUGAAGCAGUUUGGAGUGCGGGGGAAGUUAAGUCCCCGGUACCUUGGACCCUAUGAAAUAUUUGAGCGAGUUGGCACGGUGGCUUAUCGGCUCGCCUUGCCGCCGAAGCUCGCGGAUGUACACAAUGUGUUCCAUGUCUCCAACCUUCGCAAGUACAUUCAUGACCCUGAGCACGCGAUGCUAUACGACCCGCCGGAACUCCAAGAAGACUUGAGCUACGAGGAGUUUCCGAUGAUGGUUAUCGCCCGAGAAGUGCGAAAGCUGCGAAAUCGCGAGAUUCCCUACGUAAAGAUCCGGUAGAGCAAUCAUGAUGAUCGCGAGGCCACCUGGGAACUCAAGGAUCUGAUGAGAAAGUAUCAUCCUCACUUGUUUGAGGAAUAAAGUAUGAAAGCUGAGUAUAAAUAAGGAAUUGGACCAGUUUCGAGGACGAAACUCCUUUUAAGGAGGGGAGGAUGUAAGGAAGUGAAUUCUCGAAAUCCGAGAGUUAUACUUCGUCCAGGAUCGACUAAUUGUCGAGCGAGUAGGCUUCGGAGGAGCUAAAGAUGUCCAAAACACAAAAAGUGCUUUGGAGUCGAGUCCGCGAGAGCAAAGAUGCAAAAAUAUGCAUUUGGCAGGUUUUGCUCUCGGGGACCGGUCCCUGGCGGUGGGGACCGGUUCCCGUAAGCAAGAAUGCUGGCAGAGAAAGGGUCUGCGCUGAGUUUCUCUCGGGGACCGGUCCUAGGUAGGAAGGACCGGUCCCCGUAGCUGAGGUUGUGGCGGACAGCCGAUGCAACGGGUCCCCUGGCCAGAGGGACCGGUUCUCGUAAGCGCAACCAGGUAGAAGGCUCUCGGGGACCGAUCCCUCAUCGGGAGGGCCAGUCCCUCCGUGCGAAAUCUGCCCAGGCAGAGUAACUUGAGAGGAGCAAAAGUGGAGGGGCUAAACUGAAAAUGUGACGUAAGUAAGGGGUAUAGAGAGCAAAGGGCUCUCUCUUCCUCUCUCAUUUCCACCCUCACUCCCAUUUCUCUCUCUCUCUCUCUAUAGAAAGAAGAAAGAAAAGAAAAGAGAAGGAGAAGGAAGAAAAGAGAAGAAGAAGAAGGAGGAGAAGAAGAAGAAGAAGGAGAAGGAGAAUAAGAAGAAGAAGGGGAGUUUAGAGAAGAUCAUCUCCACCACUCUUCUUCUCUCCCUCUUCAUCCCUUUGGAGUAGCUCAAGAGGUAAGCUACUAAACCCUAACAAUGGUAGAACUUAGGGUUUUGAGUUUUUAGCUUUUGAAAUAAGGUCAAAUGGACCUCUAGCACCAUUAAUGGUGGAUUAGAGCUAGAGGCUAGGGUUUCAUGGUGCUUUUUGCAUGAUGUCAACCCUAGGGCACCCAAGUUGGGGUUUUUGGAAAACAAUUGGUUUGAUCUCACUUGUUGACAUCUAAACCUAAUUGCUAGGUGUCUAAACGCGGGGGCGAAGUUAGAUUUUCGAUUCGUCGAACGGGUAAAAAGCUAUCAGCGAAAUAUAGCUGAUUGAGCGCCGUUUUGGACCAAGGAGGCCGAGACAUCGUCGUAAAGUUCGUUGGGAGGUGUUUCUAGAACCUUCAUACCUCAAAAGGUGGGGGGUGUCAUCCCGAAGCAACCGAACUCUUUUCUAUGUGUUAGAAAUACAUGAUUUUCAUCUCUUGCAUGUUGCAUUGUAGGAUUGCAUUGUAGUACCUUUUCCUUAUGCUUCUAAGUGUUAACCUAGUGUACAUGGAAUACUUGGUGAAAUGGAUAGGUAAGGAUUGGGUCCGAAUAUGGAUCCUGUAGUGCUAAAGGAAAGAGAUGAACUCGAUGGUUAUUUAGUGACAUAGAGAGUGGCAUCUAAAUGUUUAAAGAACAGAACGAGUGGCAUUACGUAGUGUAUUUGACACUAGAGGUUCGUGAACUUAGGGAUAGGUGGAUUCCCUAGGAAAUGACUCAUGAAUAAUGAACUUAGUAGAGCUAAGUAACUAUGCAUGAAUGUCGGAAUAGGUGAGUUCCGAGAGAAAUGUUGGCCCUAGUUCAUAAGGUAUCCUCACGUGGAGAGGAUAGAUCAAACUCACGGUCUAUUAUUCGGGAUGGUAAAGCCAUCCAUAUCCUCACAUGGAGAGGAUUGGUCGUUGAGUUCUCCGGAGUGUCGGGCGAUUAGGACAGAGUUGAUAUCCACAUACAGUCUUGGGUUCGGGGGCACAUGGAGCCUCCUUACCCAAUGGGAUGGAUAUGUAAGGCGUAGGCAAACCCAAGGGUUUUGCCACAGUUUGGGUAAAUGAAAAGUUAAUAUUGUCAUCGAACAUUGCUUAUCGAACAUGGAUCGAACUUGUUAGCAUGAUAGUAAACUUUUACUAAAUGAUGCAUGCAUUCAUUUCACAUGAUUACGGGCAUAGUAGCAUAGUUUUCCUAUUAUGUCUUUACAGCUUUGAUAUAUAUAUAUAUAUAUAUAUAUCGUUAUUACUUUUGCCCACUUGGAUCUAGUGGGGAGAUCGGCAGAGUCGGCGGCCGAGCCCACUCGGAACUAUAGAAGAUAGUUCUCACCUUACUUUAUUUCCAGAGCUAGGUACAUGUUUGCCGGGCGAGGACCGCGGCAAGGGCAUUGCGGCCGACCAGUGAGGACUAUUGGUAGAGUAGUACCUUUCCUUUUGCAUUAGCACACUUAUGCAUUUGAGAGAGUAUCAUGUAGGUGACGACUUUGGAGAGCUAUGUACUUGAGAGUAUGUAUUCAUUUUGAGGAAAAGAAUAUAAUUGUAUACAAAAUGCAAAUAUGAUGUAAUAGUUAGUAAGUUCUCUCUUUAUUUCACUUGUGUAUCUUGUGGAUUGCGUGUUCUUUGUUGUUGGCACUGUUUGUGCCCCGUUGAUUAUGUACUUAUAGAAUUUAAUAUCCUGGGUAAAUUCUUGUACUCGAUCUGUUGUUGAGCCUUGGGCGUACAGGGGAGUUGCUGUCCGUUUGGCGUCCGUUCGCCGCACCCGAACCGUGCCAAAUUGGUAGGGGUUUCGGGGCGGGGGCGUGACAGUAUAUGAAAGAGCACAUGUCGGCCAUUAAUACCAUUACUAAUCUAUACUAUCUUAUUGACUUGACCUAGGAAACAUUGACAAUAAAUUCUACCUCCUCUAGCUAACAACUCCCUCAGAUGAUGUUCUGGCAUCCAAAGCACGCAAUGAAAUAAGUAGCAUUAUCCAACAUCCACAUAUAUUAGAGAGGGGUUAGUUAAUAAUUUACUCGAAGUUUGUUCAAUAUCCACACAGUUUUAAUUCUGAUUUAAUCAUUGAAGUUUGUAUUAGAAAACUACUGUAUCCCCUAUCUAGACCGUCUAAAUCCAUAUAGUUUCAGUUUUGACAAUUUAAUCAUUGAAGUUUGUAUAACCCAACUGAUGUCUAUUCAAGUUCGAGUCACAAUUGGUCUGCCCCAAGCCUAACUAUGCAUCAUGGUCAUAAGCCUAAUUGAGAAAAGCCCAACUUGUGGGACGUUAAUAUAGUAAAUCAACUUAUAUAAGUCUAGAAGGAAAGCUUAUGAAAGAUGUGUCACAUAUGCAUACAUGUAUGACAUAAUUCUAUAAUUUUUUUUACAUUUUCUAUUAAUAAAAUCCAUGUUGAUAAUUGCCACCACUAGGAGCUAUGAUGCCAUGACUCUCAAGUAAGACACCUAAAAGGCAGAGCUCUAAGAUUCCUAAGUUUCUCGAAAUAUCCCUAGCACAUUAAUACCUAAAUUAAGGUCUUCCAUUACACCGUAAAACUCCACUUCCAAUUAUUACCCAUUUAAGUCAUGUAGAUCUGAAAUUCCUUUGUCAUAAGGUCGCUUGAUGAUUGUUAAAGGCUGUGAAUGAUCAUUUUCCUACCUAAGAACUGCAUUUUUAAUAUGUAAGUAAAUCAUCAUUCGUGUGUGAUGGACAUGAAAUUAGGGAACGAAUAAGCAAAACAUAAUGACAAAUAUUUUUUCUGAUGCAUUCACAUAUUGGUGGCAGCAAUGGCCAUUGCUAUCUGUAACAUUUCGGGUCUACAUACAUUCUGGUGUUUGAGAUUUUAACUGGUGCAUAAGAUUGCCUUCUUAACCUUUUACUUAAUAAGCAUAAACCAAGGAACCUCCUGCAUAGAUUAAUCAUUUUGAAAAUUUACCCAAAAUAACAGGUCAAGUUGUUCAUUUUAUAUAGCUUUUGCUACAACCGAAAGUACAUCCAGAGGGAGUCUGUUAAGUCUUGUGUGUUGGCAAGUUUCGUGAAAUGAGUCGGAGCCUUGAAGAAUCGGUGGGUAUCGUCGAAGACCGAAGAAUUCAAGAUUUCGAAGAGAUUGGAAAAUAACUCACAACGUGAAUCACGAUGCUCAGGUAAAGUUUUAAUUCAUGUUAUGGUGAUUCAUACUUAAUUAUAGGCAUUAGAAUCAUAUAUAAUCAAAGUUUAGUGGAUUAGAAAGUGUAUUGGAACUUUGCGAAACCCGAAACGUGAAAAAAAAUUGAAAACUAUACUGUGUAUGGGUACACAUUGAAAGUGUUACCGGUUACAAACUGUGUACAGAUACAACCAUCAACGUGUUACCGGUUACAAACUGUGUACGAUUACAACCAUCAACGUGUUACCGGUUACAAACUGUGUACGGGUACAACCAUCAACAUGUUACCGGUUACAAGGCUGUUUUGAUUUUCUCUUCCGUCAUCGUGUACCGGUGACAGCCUCACGUGUACCGGUACACAAUCCAAAUUUCGGGAAAAACUUUCUAAUCCGACUCCGAUUGAUUCUAAACCUAUAAAUAAGCUAUUGGGGUUCUCUAACUAAUCAAGCAUCACUAAAAUACAUGUUUGAGAAACCCUAGAGGCUCGGAUUUCAUCUAAAACCUAUUUUCUUCAUAAAGCCUCUUUUAGGUCAAAUCGAGAGAUUGUAAUUUGAUAUCAAUAUGUCGAUUUGAUCUUCGCUUCGCUUGGAGUUUUCUUCCCUGGUUUUUAUCGAUAUUCUAAGCGAAGGAUCACCAUACACAUGAUGUUCUUCAUGAUGGCGUCGUGGAUUCGGCGUGAUUGACGGCGGUUCGUGGAUUCGGAUCAUGAGCUUCGUGGAUUCGAAGUGGAGGCGUUUCGUGGAUUCGGAACGUGGCGUUCGUGGAUUCGAACGUGAGGGCGUGGACAACCCGGAGGAUUGCACGAGAUUCAUAGGAGUUAAGAGAGGUUGAUCCCAGUGGAAGUGGUAAUCACCUGUUGUAAUCUUUUCUCUUAGUGAAGCUUAUUUGUUGCGCGUGUUGGCCCGUGGUUUUCUCAAGUUGGAGUUUUUUCGCACUGAAAUCUCGGCCGCCUAUUUUAUUUUCCGCAUUUAUUUUAUCCCGAUUGAGAUUUGUGCGUUUACUUGGUAUUACACCUAUUUACUCACCUCUAUUUUAGAUACAAAUAUAGAAGACAUUGGGCUCCUCAAAACUUACAAAUUGAUAUCAGAUGCGGAUUCGAAUAUAAUUGAUAUGCUAUAUGGCCGAAGGCAUGGUAACAUUAAUCGACCACCCUCUUCCGAUGGAUGAACUUAUGGCCUAUUGGAAAGUUCGAUAGAGACUUUUCUAAUCGCAAUCGAUUAGCGCAGUGUUGGAAGCUAUAUGAAUUCGGUUGGAAGCAUCCCCUAGAAGUCGUCGUAUAAUUACCGUUCCGAAACUAUGCGAAACGUGGACGGAAAGAUGAAAACGAGUCAUCUUCGUUUAACGGUAAAGAGAAUAUACUUUAUCAAUGACUUUAUCGAAACAGGAGUUUACUCGUGUUUCGGCAUUGUGAAACCACAAAAGGAAAUUUGGGAUACCUAACAAGCUAUACGCAUGAAGAACAGCUUUAAGUAAGCGUUCAAAAAUUACAAAGCUAUACAAGCAAAAUUUGAUUCAUUUUAUGGAAGAAGUUGAAACCUUUAACCGAGUUAUACGCUUUCAAGAUGUUGUCAAUACAUAGUGCUUUAACUUGGGAGAGAAAAUCUCUGAUUCAAAAGUUGUUUAGAAAGAUUCUUCGAACUCUUCCGGAAACCUUUCUGGGCAAGGUGUGCCUGAUCGAAACCGUUAACAUCACGCGACGAGAUGAAAGUUGAAGAUUAGUAGGUGCUUUACAACGUAUGAGAUGACUUUUCCACUAACACCAUCUUCUUCCAAAGUCUUUUUUCUAAAAGAUAGGUGGUUGCACUCCAAUCAACAAAGAAAGAUAAAGACGACUCGGAUUCGACGGAGAUUAUUUCGCUCCGCGAUUAUUGAACAUCAACUUGCACUCCUCACGGAUAAGACUCACGAGGAAUUUGAAAGAAAAACAAUUCGAACAAGGCUUCAUAUCCUUCGGAAGCAUAAAUCUUUUUCUAAAACAUCUCAAGUUUAAAAUCUAAGGAUAAAACUUACAAAUGUCUAUCGAAAGAAAAAGAUGAAUUUGAAGUCGCGAAAUUCCAAUCUAAAAUGCAAAGGCUACGACCAUAUUGCAAACGGAUGCUCCUUUCAAAGAAGGCUUAUAAGCAAACAAAGGCUUUGCAGCUAUAGACUUGGAUGAUUCUUCUUCUAGUGGAAUCAUUUCACAGUGACAAAAAGAGUGAUCAUAUUGCCUUAUUAGCUAACACUUUCUUGAUCUUCGUCUAACGUUAUUGUUUUACCUCACUUGUUUUAAUUUCCAAUGUUAUUCUCUCCUUUUGCAUGGGUCUCCGAGCGACAAUAUGGGCCCGAAAGCGAGGAGGAAUCAACACGAGGAUAUAGCGGGAGUAUAGCAACCAACUUCUAUUUGAUCUCCAAUAAAAAAGAAAUGACCCAAGCUCAUAAGAAGUUGAGGCGCGUGGUUAUUGGACAUGAAGAGGAGAACAAAAAUUUGAAGAAUACGAAUAAUGCUCUUUGAGAGGAAAGGGAAGCAAUAUUGAAAAACAAUUCGAUCCUCCAAAAAGAACUAAAGAAGAGGAUUAACGUCAAAUCACUUAAAGACAAGAUUGGAUUUUUUGGUAAGCAAUCAAUUUCAGAAACAUCGCAUCCAAUCAAAGUAUUAACUAGUCAAGUUUAGUCAAAUCAAAUCCGUAUCUUCAGAAAUUUUUUUCUGAGAUGCAAAGAAACUAGAGUCAUAUCAUGCUCGGAUUGGUUCAAAACAAACAAGUUGGGCCUGUCGGCUAUGAAAGACAUAUGUUGAAAGGAUCAAAAUGGCGACUUCUACAAGUCUCAACAACCUUUAAAGGACAAAGUAUGUCAUAGGUUGUAUUAAAGUCACAUCAAAAGGAAUUGCUUCGGUGAAAGAUAAAGAAUCAUUCGGCAACCCUAAAGCUCCAAUGGUCACAUCUACCGACUCGACAUCCCCAAGCAAUCAAAGAAGAUAUCAAUGUAAUCAAGCAUCGCAAGCAAACCGAAUUUCUAAGCCGCGCAAACCCAAGCGUCAACCCUAAAUCGCAAGCUUAUGAGGGUUCUUAAGCCUCAAGCGACGAACGACCAACGUUGAUCAAAUCAAAGCAAAGGCACUAACGUCGACAAUACAAGACAAAACCAAAAUCCGACAAGUUUUGGAUUCGAAAGGUGAUAUCUUUCCUUGCUUCUACGUCUUAGUCGUCUUUUGAUUUUUUAUGGUAAAAUCUUUGCAUUGGUGGCUUGUUGCAUAUUUUAUUCAUUGCCUUACAUAUUUAGCCAUUUUUGGUGCUUAAUUUAUAUGUUUUUGAGGAAAGGUGUUUUGGAAUUAAAAUUUUCUUUGAGGAGGAGACGAUUGAAAAUACUUAUUUGGGGAGAUUAUAAUUUUUCAAAGUGUUUUAACGCGGAAUCAUCUUGAAUUAAAUCAUAUUAAUUAUCAGUUUAUUCCACUUUUUAUUAUAUGACGAUCAUUUAAUAUAUGAUUUCUAAUUACAUAUAAUUCAACAAAUUCUUGAAAUCACAUUUGAUCUUUUGGUGAUAAUCAUCUUGGUUGGUGUGCGUUAAUAGAUGGAUGAUAUUCACUAUCGACUAAAAUUUGCUCAAAUUAAUUCAAAUUGUGCAAAUUGUCUAAUUUAGGGGAGUUGAGAUUAUUAAAAAAAAGGAAAACUUCAUAUAGUUUAAUAAGAUGUGCGAAAGGUUACAUCCAAAAGAGUGUAAAUUACUAUCGCUACAGUACGGAAAGAGUUACCACCCCCGUCUCGUCCGUGCAAGUUGUGAAGCUACGCACAUAAGAUUGAAUUGAAUAACCGAAAGAUGGUUGAAACAAAAAAUGAAUAUUUUAAAUUUUCGGAGCUAAUAAGGUGUGUUAGUUUGAAAAGAGCCAUCUCAAAGAGCCACCCCUGGGUAUAAUUAGUUAAAUCUCUAUUUAUGAACAUUUGCACAAAUUGAAGUCAAAUUUGAGUUGAAUUAUCUAAAAAUCAAUUUUCAGAACUGUUACAUCUUUGUAUGGUUUUGAAUCCAUUAGAUUAUUUUUGAUAACAUAAUUUUUGAAUAUUCGAUGCAUUUUAAACAUCCUAUUGAAUAUUUUAUCUUCAUCAUAUAUAUUUGUGAGUUAAAAAAAUUUUAAUUUUAAUGAAGAUUAAUAUUUUUGAGGAUCGUCGAAGGUCGCGUAUCAUAGCCCUCUUGCAGUUUAGCCACGUCAAUCUCGACGUGCCUGCAACGAAAUCAAGCAUGAGUGUGCUUUGCUUGUCUCAUUCUCUUUAGGCCUUAUGACUAUGACAUGCAUACUCUAUGCUUUCUAUAAGUUUUCUCUUAUAUUGCUUUGUCUGUGGCAUUUUGACAAAAAGGGGGAGAGCAUAGAUGAACUAGUGUUGAUCGAGAAUAAAGUAGAAGAAGGAAUGAAAUCAAAGGAGAAGAGGAUGAAUUCAAAACAAAGGGGGAGAAUUGAUCAUCGAGAAACAAAGGUGGAGAAGGUAAAAAAUCUAAUGUUGUUAAGUUUCUAUCAGGUUUUUGGAUAAAAUUGUUUUGCAGAAAUCAAGAUUUCAAGACUCCUAGUUGCGUCUAAGUCAAUAGAGUCUGUUUUAGGAUUUGAUGUACUUUGCUUUAUUUGGAUCACAUGCGAGGGUUCAAUGUUUUGGUGAUGACAAUUGAACUUUGUUUUUCUUUAAAUUGUAAUUUUUGAGUUUGUGUGAGUUUUGUCACAAAUUGCCAAAGGGGAAAAUUGUAAGUCUUAUGUUUGGCAAGUUUCGUGAAGUGAGUCGGAGCUUGAAGAAUCGGUGCGUAUCGUCGAAGAUCGAAGAAUUCAAGAUUUCGAAGAGAUUGGAAAAUAACUCACGACGUGAAUCACGAUACUCAGGUAAAGUUUUAAUUCAUGUUAUGGUGAUUCAUAUCUUAAUUAUAGGCAUUAGAAUCAUAUAAUCAAAGUUAGUGGAUUAGAAAGUGUAUUGGAACUUUGCGAAACCCGAAACGUGAAAAAAAUCUGAAAACUACACUGUGUACGGUACAAUCAUGUAAAGUGUUACCAUUUACAACACUAUGUACGGGUACAACCAUCAACUAGUUUAUCGUUACAACCUGUGUACGGUACAAACCAUCAACGUGUACCGGUUAAAAUGUGUACGGUACAACCAUCACAUGUUACCGUUACAAUGCUCUUUUGAUUUUCUAUUCCGUCAUCGUGUACGUGACAGCCUCACGGUAGCCGUACACAAGCAAAUUUCGGAAAAAACUUUCUAAUCCGACUCCGAUUGAUUCUAAACCUAUAAAUAAGCUAUGGGGUUCUCUAACUGAAUCAAGCAUCACUAAAAUAUAUGUUUCAGAAAUCCUAGAGGCUCGGAUUUACAUCUAAAACCUAUUUUCUUCAUAAGCCUCUUUUAGGUCAAAUCGAGAGAUUGUAAUUUGAUAUCAAUAUGUCGAUUUGAUCUUCGCUUUGCUUGGAGUUUUCUUCCUUGGUUUUUAUCGAUACUCUAAGCGAAGGAGUCACCAUACACAUGAUUCUUCAUGAUGGAGUCGUGGAUUCGGCGUGAUUGACGGCGGUUCGUGUGAUCGGAUCGUGAGCUUCUGGAUUCGGAGUGGAGGCGUUUCGUGAUUCGGACAGUGGCGUUCGUGAUUGAGACGUGAGGGCGUGGACAACCCGGAGGAUUGCGCAAGAUUCAUAGGAAGUUAAGAGAGGUUGAGUCCGUGAGUCGUAAUCACUGUAAUCUUUCUCUUAGUGAAUUAUUUUUUCGCGUGUUGGUCCCGGGUUUCUUCAAGUUGAGAGUUUUUUCACGUAAAUCUCGUGUGAUUUUUAUUUUUCGUAGUUAUUUUAUCGCAUUGAGAUUUGUGGUUUUUGACUAUUACACCUAUUCACCCCCCCUCUAGGUGUUAGAUACAAUCUAGAUAGAUCUUGGCUCCUCAAAAACUUACAGAGUCAAGUGGUCGAACUAAUGGAGAACAAAAUAUAGGUUUAAUUCCUAUAAGCAGUUUGUGAAAUUUGUGUUAUGCAGAUUGCAAAACAUUGGAAAACUGAUUGCAAACUAUCUACAGCAGAAACUAAGUCUUGAUAUUUGCUUAUAGUGAUGUUGGUGUCGAAUUCCCUGAUCUUGACGCCGAUCAAAGAUUUCCUCGGAAUGUGUAGGGAUGCAAAACGACUAUGAAAGACCUCGGAGAGUUUGCACCCUUCGACUGGAUCAAGCGAUUCGGCUGAUGAGGGAUCGGAUCAGCCGAGUUCGAAAACCUCUACUAUGGAAUUGGUUCGGCUGGAUGAGCCGAAUGUACGAAAAAUACUAAAAUCUGGGUUGGCCGAUGAGCCGAAUGCCUUGAAAUCAACUCGUAAAAACAGUACAAGAGUCGAGUGUGCCUGAGGGCAUACAGACUCGGUUGAUCUAGCUUAAUUCUAUUCCUAAGGAAAAACAGUAAGUGCGGGAAAGUAAAGGGUUACAAGUAGACUACUCCUAGAAAAUGCGAAGAAAUUGCAGAGGAAAUAAAGGUGGUCUUCUGUUUUUGGAAAAAAGAUCUCUUUCCAGGGCGUCAUUUACCUAUUUAUAGAUUGCCCCUGUUGAUCAGUUAUUUCUUAUCCAUGAUCGGCCACUACUCCUAUAUUUUCGGACCACUUCCAGCCGAUCGGAAACCGCUUGCAACCACAUGCGGUUACUGUAACUCCCCUCAAUUACGUGCGGCAGUUGCUCAAAAUUUCUUCCGAUGCUCCUGCUGCACAUCAAAAUUCCUACCCUUAAGAAAUAGGGUUAAGUGGAGUACUGGCGUACCAUAUGGCCGCACCUUAUUGGCCUAACAAGUGACACACAUUUUUUAUCAUAUUCUUAUGUUUAUUGUAUUCGUCGAUUAUCUUUGAGCUUAACAAGGUUUUCCCCCCUCUUUGGAGUUCAAACUUUCCAUGUCUGCUGUGGGUACCUCACUCCAAACUGGGCAUACAUUCUUAGAUUGAUUCUCAUAGGGGUAUAAUCAGUUUGGUUUGAUUUCUUUGUCGUGUGUUUCGAUCUAGUUGAUCAUGGUUCAGCGUUGUACGCCCUUGUAUCUGGCUUCGGCCAAGACACCGGCUUCAGCCGGCUUUCGCAUUGAGCAUAUCAGCAUGACUUAGUCACAGCACUUGGGUGCAUUCAUUGACACUAGGUCAGUUUGGCCACCGACCAGGGGUCGUCCAGUGGGCGCAUAAAUCAGGUCGGUGCAGGUAAUGUGACAGGCAACGCUUGAGAUCUACGGACCAAUAUGGCAGGCACGAGACUGGGUUUGAUUUUGGACUAUUUACCCUUGAGGCAUCUGUUCAGUUGAGUUUCUAUUACAGUAGUAGUUGGUUCUUGCUUAUUUACUAUCAUGUAUCUGUUACUACUGUAGUUGCUUUUGUAUCAUGAUAUAUAUGUAUAUAUAUAUAUAUAUAUGUAUAUAUACAUAUAUGUAUAUGUACAUAUAUGUAUAUGUAUAUGUAUAUAUGUAUAUGUAUAUAUAUGUAUAUGUACAUAUACAUAUAUGUACAUAUACAUAUAUGUAUAUGUACAUAUAUGUAUAUAUGUAUAUAUGUAUAUGUGUAUAUGUAUAUGUGUAUAUACAUAUAUACAUAUAUAUUACUAUAUAUAUAUAUAUAUAUAUACAUAUAUACAUAUACACAAUAUCAUAUAUACAUUAUAUUAAUAUUAUAUAUACAUAUAUAUAUAUACAUAUAUACAUACAUAUAUACAUAUACAUAUAUAUAUAUAUACAUAUAUGUAUAUAUAUAUUGUAUAUAUAUAUAUAGAACAAUAUAUAUAUUGUUCUAUCUCCUUUGUUUUCCAGUGAAUACGAUUUGCCUUCGUGGCUCCAUCAUAUCCACUGUAAAACGUUGAUUGGUUUUCACCCCCCAUUUUCCCCAGGUGACUCGGGCGAGGAGUUGAUUCUUGUGGCGACGUGUCACGCCCCGAGCCCGAUCCUUUUGGCCGUUCGAGAGCGUCAACAGACGCCGAACGGACAGAGCCUCCUCGUCCGCCCAAGGCAACAAACAGUAUCAAUAGAUAUAAAUUUUGCAUAAGCAGAAGCAUACACAAUGGCUUGCACGAGGGCAAGCAAUAGCCAAUAGUGAAAGUAAAACAACUACACAUAGGAAUUAAUUACAUUUUGCAUUUAUUUCUUUUUACAUCCAAUCUUCUAAAAUAUAACAUUGAUAUUAAAUGAAUUCUUUUACAUCAUUCAUUUCCUUUCGUUAACAACUAUAAUCAUCAAAUACAAAAGAUGAUAAUAUAAAAGGGUAUGCAACUAAAAAUAAAACAUCUUAAGCGGCCUCUACCUAGGGCGCCUGCCCUUACGCCGGUGUCUGCCGCUGUCGCUCUGCGUCCCGGCUUUGUGGAGAAUAGGGGUGUUGAGAACUCACAACACAAGUUUCCAGUGGGUUCGGCAACCAACUCACGCCGACUAUCCCACUAGAUCUAAUCAGCAUAAUAGAAUAAAAGAAAGGAAGUAACCAACUAACAAAUGCACUUAUUAUGCUGAACAUAAGAAUGCGAUGCUCGAUAUAAUGCUCAUGAGAAAUGUAAGAUUUCAAUUUCUUUACCCAAUCUCUUGGCUAACCCGUAGUUUUGCUCUUAAAAAUCACCACCCAAAAUCCUAUUUAACACGGCGGAGAUACCCGCUACAACCCUAUAGGACCGGUCCUCUGGGAGAUACCCGGCUAUGACCCAGUGAUGUCGACUCCGGAGCACAUCGCCCGAGGGGGGAGCUACCACCUCGAGCAAGGACUAAAAGGUGAGUACAAUCAAUCCUACACUUGAGAUUCCAAGUUCAAUCCGUUCCUUAACUUUUAAGGAAGACCAUGCCUCAAAUGACCCUUAACGUUAUAGUUGAAAUAUCACAAGUGUCUCAAUCAUUCUUGCUUUGCCUUCUUUACUAUCACUAGUGUCAAUACACUACAAGUUUUUGUACUCAUGCGCACUUGUUCUCUAAGUGCUAUGUUCUGUUUUCACACCAAAUGUUCAAAUGUCACACUCGUUUUUUAAGUGUUCUUAGACUAUACAAUGCACCUUACUAGAUUAUGUCCAUGUGUCACUUUUGUUCACUAGCCCCUCUAGGUUCUUGUUCACUUGUCAUGCAUUAAAUAGGAUUAUAAUCUCUAAUUCUUACACAGUAUCUCAUAUUGAAAUUAAAUCACAAUCAUGCAAUAAAAGCUCACUAAUAACCCUACUAUGCAAGAUGCUCAAUGUAUAAAUAUAAGUUCAAAUAUGACACUUUAAACAUAAAGGAUUUCGAGGUCCUUGGAAUGCACCACCCACCUGACGGUUGUAGGGAUGCUACGGUGAAUUUCUUGGAAAUUUUGAAGCCUAGUCCGCAGUGCUGCGGCUAUCUGUACUGAAAAAUGACGUUUUUGUCAAUAACUUUGCGUACACUCCUGUCGGAUUAUGCGUCGAACCGAGCGUUCCAACGCGUUUAAACACCCUCAAUUAGGUUUCUAAUGAUCAAAAUAGAUCAAACCCAACUUGGCAAAACCCUCUGGGUAUGCCUAGCAUAUUGUAUCUAUUAAAUUCUAGGGUUUGAUCUUUUGUUACAAGCAAAAGAGAAGCUUGUUGAAGAUUAGGAACUAAGUUAGAACCUUCCCAAAACCUUUCUAGGGCUUAAAAGUACAAACCCUAGAAAUCCGCAUUAAAGCUCCAUGAAGAAAACUAGGAUUCAUUGGAUAUUCAAAGCUCUACUACUCUUCUAAAGCCUCUAAAGAGACCAAAACUUAAGAACUUAGGGUUUAAAACCAAACCCUAAAAGAAAUCUCACAAAAACUCACCUCUAUUCCCAAGCUCUACCAAGUCCUCCUUGUUGGAGAGCUUCUAAAACCACUAAAGCCACCCAAGAUCCCUCCUCAAGCUUCUUCUUCUUCUUCUCCUUCAAGCCCUAGGUAAUUUCUAGAGAGAGAGGAGAGGAAAUGAGAGGGAGAGAGGUGUGUGUGUGUGCUGUGAAAAGGGGAGGGGGAUGGGCCAUAUAACAUGUUGCAACAAUUGCAACUAAGUCCCCCAACUCUUUCUCUGUGCACUGCCCAGACUGGGCAUUUUUCGCAGUGAGGGACCGGUCUCCCCGACAUAGGACCGGUCCCCGAGAGCUUCUCCCGCGGACUGCGCAGGCUGCACGCGAAGCAACCGGUCUCCCUCGAUGGGACCGGUCUCUAAGGGACCGGUCUCUCCUCGCAGGGAUCGGUUCCCGAGAGCUGAUUUUUCAGGACUUAGCCGAUUUCUCGGCCAUCUCGCUGCCUACGCAUUCGGGGACCGAUCUCUCCCACCAGGGACCGGUCCCAGAGAGCACAAAACCUGCAGUUUACAGAUUUUGAUUUCCAAAGCUCUCGAAGGUCCCCUAGUAAUGCACUUUUGCAUUAUUUGACGCCUUCGGCCUCUCCGAAGUGUACCAACCUCGCACUUUGGUCAAUUUGACCAAGGUUCGAAUUUAAUUACCGAGGUUUCGGUAUGUUACAUUCUCCACCACUUAAAUUUAGUUUCGUCCGCAAAACUUACUUAAUUGAGACUUAAACUCAUACCUCAAUUCAGCUCGUUAAAGAGGUGAGGAUAGUGCUCCCGUACUGCGCUCUUGAGCUCCCAAGUGGCUUCUUGAUCAUUGUGAUUGCUCCAACGGAUCUUAACAUACGGGAUCUCGCGAUUUCGUAGUUUUCUUAUUUCUCGAUCGAUGAUGUACGCCGAGAACUCCUCAUAGGUCAUAUCCUUUUGGAUCUCGGACGGUUCGAACGAGAGAACAUGAUCGGGGUCGUGAACGUACUUGCGGAGAUUCGAUACGUGAAAUACAUCAUGCACUCCCGCAAGCCUCGGUGGUAAAGCUAUCUUGUAUGCCACCGCGCCGACCCGCUCCAAUACCUCAAACGGUCCGAGGUACCGGGGACUUAGCUUCCCCCGGAGCCCAAACCGUCGAUUUCCUCGCAUCGGCGAUAUCUUUAGAAAGACGUGGUCGCCAACUGCAAACUCUAUGUCCUUUCUCCGCUUCUCGGCAUAGCUCUUUUGCCGAGAUUGCGCCGUAGUGAGUCUUUGGCGGGCAAGGCAAACUUUCUCCUCUGCCUCCCACACUACAUCGGGGCCGAGAGUCGCUCUCUCACCCACAUCGCUCCAAUGGAUUGGAGAGCGACACUUCUUUCCAUAAAGGGCCUCGAAUGGCGCCAUCGCGAUACUUUCUUGGUAGCUGUUAUUGUACGCGAACUUCGCCAUCGGUAGAUGAUCGUGCCAACUACCCUUAUAGUCCAAUACACACGCUCGGAGCAUAUCCUCGAGUAUUUGUAUUGUCCUCUCCGAUUGACCAUCACUUUGAGGAUGAAAUGCCAUGCUAAAGUCGAGCCGUGUGCCUAAGGCCUCCUGUAGGCUCCUCCAAAAAUGAGACGUGAACCUCGGGUCCCGAUCUGACACGAUAGACACGGGCACCUCAUGAAGUCUCACAACCUCGUUGAUAUACAGUUGAGCCAACUUGUCCUCCGACCAAGUAAUAUGAAUCGGUAGGAAAUGUGCUGACUUCGUCAACCAGUCUAUUAUGCAUCGUGUCCACCUUGAGAUCGAGGCAACCCGGUCACGAAGUCCAUUACGAUAUUUUUCCAUUUCCAAACGGGUAUAGGUAAACUUUGCAACUUUUCCGCCGGAAACCGCCGCUCCGCUUUUACUUGUUUGCAAGUAAGACAUUGCGCAACAAACUCCCCAAUGUCUUUCUUCAUGCCCGGCCACCAAUAGUGCAAUUUCAAAUCUUGGUACAUUUUGGUGCCGCCCGGGUGUAUACUAUAAGGAGAUUGAUGCGCCUCUUGCAUAAUCGCCUUGCGUAUGUCCUUAUUCUUAGGCACACACCAGCGGUUUCUAAACCGGAGUGCGCCGUCGGUACCAAUGCCAAAAUCAUCGGCACUACCGCUCUCAACUUCACCGCGCACCUUUUAGAGAUACUCAUCAGAAGCUUGUAGCUCUUUUAUCCUCUCCAACAAGGUCGGUUGCACUACUAACGCGGCAAGUGUAGUCGGCACUCCCGGCUCCACUACUUUCAAGCCAAGUCGUUGCAUCUCCUUUUGCAACAAUGGUUGGGGUGUAAUUGCCGAAGCCAAAUUUUCUCCUGAUUUUCUACUAAGGGCAUCGGCCAUCACAUUUGCUUUCCCGGGGUGGUAUAGAAUAGUAACGUCAUAGUCCUUCAACAAUUCUAGCCACCGCCGCUGUCGCAUAUUUAGCUCCUUUUGGGUGAACAAAUAUUUAAGGCUCUUGUGAUCCGUGUAGAUCUCACAAUAUUUCCCAUAUAAGUAAUGCCUCCAUAAUUUUAGCGCAAAAAUAACCGCCGCUAACUCCAGAUCGUGGAUCGGGUAGUUCUUCUCAUACGUCUUCAAUUGGCGCGAAGCAUAUGCUAUAACUCGGUCGUUUUACAUCAAGAUACACCCGAGUUCAACGUAGGAAGCAUCACUAUAAACCACAAAGGUCUCCCCCGGCGUCGGUAGAGCAAGUACCGGGGUUGUGGUCAAUCUCUCUUUUAACUCCUCAAAGCUCCGCUCGCAUUCGGGGCUCCAAACAUAUUUCACCCCUUUGUGCGUAAGGCGCGUUAGUGGAGUAGUUAUUUUUGCAAACCCCUCCACGAACCGCCGGUAAUAGCCCGCUAGUCCAAGGAAACUGCGGAUCUCCGAUACGUUCGUCGGGUGAGGCCAAUCUCUAAUUGCCUCAACCUUCUUCGGGUCCACCGAGAUACCAUCGCCCGAAAUUACAUGACCAAGGAAAGUGACCUCCGAUAGCCAAAAGUCGCACUUCUUCAACUUGGCAUAUAACUUCUCUUUUCGGAGUAUUUCCAACACGGUCCUCAAAUGCUCCUCGUGUUCUUCCUCGGUCCGAGAAUAUACCAAUACGUUGUCAAUAAAUACCACGACGCAUCGGUCCAAUAGCGGACGGAAGACUCUAUUCAUUAAGUCCAUGAACGCUGCCGGAGCGUUAGUAAGCCCAAACGGCAUCACUGUAAACUCAUAAUGGCCAUACCGCAUACGGUAUGCCGUCUUGUGCACAUCCUCGGAACGUAUCUUCAACUGAUGAUACCCCGACUGUAGGUCUAUUUUUGAAUACACCCUUAACCCUUGCAACUGAUCGAAUAAGUCAUCAAUCCUCGGCAACGGAUAUUUGUUCUUCACCGUGACCUUAUUCAACUCGCGGUAAUCCACGCAGAGUCGAAGUGUGCCAUCUUUCUUUUUAACGAAUAGCACCGGAGCUCCCCAGGGUGACGCGCUCGGCCUCACGAAGCCUUUGUCGAGCAGGUCUUGCAAUUGUGCCUUGAGCUCCUUUAGCUCCGCCGGUGCCAUUCUAUACGGAUUGGAGCCGCCCCGGGUACCAAGUCUAUAACGAACUCGAUCUCUCGGUCCGGUGGCAAACCCGGUAACUCCGCCGAAAAUACAUCCGGGAACUCACACACCACUCGAAUACCACUAAGUUCCGGGUGCUCCAUCGGGGCUUCUACCACGGUCGCCAAAUAGACUUCACAACCACCCUUUAUCAUCUUCCUUGCCCGUGCCGCCGACACAGUCGCCGCGAAGAGCGAGCUUCUAGCUGCCCGAUACACUAGCUUCUCUCGAUUAGGCUCACAAAAUAUAAUCACCUUACUUUCGCAAUCUAUCACGGCAUAAUACUUGGAGAGCCAGGUGGUCCCCAAGAUCACGUCGAAACCCUACAUUCGAUUCAACACUAACAGGUUGAUCGGCAUGACCCAAUCGACUAUCGGCACUGGGCACGCUACACACUCUUCGUGAACAUGGAAAGUAUGCUCGACCGAAUUCACCGUCCAAUAGUCAUAAUGAUGCACAAUCUUAAUGCCAUGAGUCCUAGCGAAUGAUGCAUCUAUGAAUGAAUGCGAUGCACCAGUGUUGAAUAAAGCUCUAGCUCUAGUGCCUCUGAUCGAGAUAAUUCCUGCCAUGAUGUCGUUGGGAACAGGAAUCGGCUCCUCCUCCACCUGAGUGGCAAAACCAGCCCACUCGGUGCUCUCAAUGCCUCCGGCUGACGUGAUGAAGAUGAGCGUCCAGCCGACAUAGCCGGUGGUAACCCCACCUGUUGCCUCGGGGUAUAAGGAACUGAUGCCGAGGUCGGUGCAGAUGAACCCCAGCUAGGGCACUCUCGCGACACAUGCCCAGGUUGGCCACACUUGAAGCAUUUCCCAUCCCGCUGCGGGCAUGACGGCGGUUGAUGGUUGCCGCUGCAAAUGACACAACGAGAUGGCUUCCAACCCCUUGACUGCUGUCGGGGAUACCGAGGGGGUUUCUUAGCGUUCGGCUGGCCCCCAGUGCUACCUGCUGUUCGCUUCUUGCUCUUCUCCUUGGCCUCGGCUGCGGAUUCAUGCUCCUCGCAUUUGUGGGCAUAGCCAUGCUCCGCCCACAAUGCCCGAUCAAAGACCUCCGCAAAGGUCGUGAGCUUAAGGAUUUGCACGGCCCUAUGAAUCCCCGGCCGCAAUCCUCGGGGAAACAGUCUGCUUGGUCCCAGUCAUCCCUAACAAUAUCCGAGACGCAGUCAACGAGGUUGGAGAACUCCUGCUCGUAGUCUGCCACCGAGCGAUCCCCUUGCCUCAACUUGCGGAAUUUCUCUUGUAGCUUCCGCUUCGCCGUAUCGGGGAAGUAAUUGGCGAACACCGCCCUCCGGAACUCCUCCCACAACAUAGGCGGAAGAUCGGGCGAUCGAUCCCGCCUAACACGCUUCCACCACACCUUCGCCGCCUUCUCGAGGCAAUGUGUGGUCCUUCUCCAAGGUGUUAAGGUCGUCGAAAAGUGUCUCCAUGGAGUCGAUCCAGGACUCCACCACCGCCGGUUCCACCACUCCCCCUUCGAAGGUAGAUGGGUUGAACUUUUGAAACUGAAUGAGAGCCGCGAACGCGCGCUCCCGCUCCGCCUCCUCCGCCACACUACCGGGGUUCGAGGUUCCCGAUCCAGCCGGCACCAUCGUAACUGGCAUGGCUGCCGCGGCCACACCCUCGGCCGCACUCGGCACCACUGCAGGAGGCGUAGGGUGCACGGCUUCCACGGGAGUCCCCUUGGCGCUGUACGGAUUCCGCCUGCUGCCGCACUACGCCAAUAAGCGCGGCCAUCUGCUCCCGAAGCUCCCCGUCGCCACCUGCUCCGGGUUGCAUAGGAGCCGUACUUGACUCCUCGGCCAUAGACCUUGUCCGCGGUCGACCACGAGGCAACUUAGGUCGUCCACGAGGCGGCAUUACUUCCUGAAACGAAGCAACUCACGUUAGUUACUUAGACAACAUACUCGAUUAUACCCAAUCCGGCGAAAGCAUAAAAGUGUAUUCAUUUCCAUUCCAAAGCGUCAUGUCGUCGGCUGCCGAUCACAACACAAGGAAAAGAAAACAAAUAACAACUUAAGUUUAGUCCCUAACCACAUUAGAGACAUAAUUACACCGACCCAAUCCAUGCCUUCGCUAUAACUUGUUCAACGUCACUCACGUUUUCUAGAUCCUUAAGGUUUUUCCAUUCCUAAGGGUCUCUAGGUCCACCCUAUGCUUUCACUUUUGGCUCUUUUACGCUCUGAUACCAUCUUAUCUGUCAUGCCCCGAGCCCGAUCCCUUUGGCCGGUUCGAGAGCGUCGAACAGACGCCGAACGGACAGAGCUUUCCCUGUCCGCCCAAGGCUAAACAACAAGUAUCAAUAGAGUAUAAAUUUGCAUAAGCGGAAGCAUACACAAUGGCUUGCAUGAGGGCAAGCAAUAGCCAAUAGUGAAAGUAAACAACUACACUUAGGAAAUUAAUUACAAUUUGCAUCAUUUCUUUUUACAUCCUAAUCUUCCAAAAUAUAACAUUGAUAUUAAAUGAAUUCUUUUACAUCAUUCAUUUCCUUUCAUUUAACAACCAUAAUCAUCAAAUACAAAAGAUGAUAAUAAAAAGGGUAUGCAACUACAAAAUAAAACAUCUCAGGCGGCCUCUACCUAGGGCGUGAUGCCCUUACCACGGUCGUCUACAGGCUCGCUCGGUCCCGGCUCUGUGGAAAUAAAUAGGGGUAUAAGAACUACAACAAAGUUCCCAGUGGGUUCGGCAACCAACCACGCCGACUAUCCCACUAGGUCUAAUCAGGUAUAAUAGAAUAAAAGAAAGAAAGUAACCUACUAACAAAUGCAACUAUUAUGCCUGAACAAUAAGAAUGCGAUGCUCGAUAUAAUGCUCAUGAGGAAUGCAAUAUUUCAAUUUCUUUACCCAAUCUCUUGGCUAACCCGUAGGUUUUGCCCUCAACAAACUCACCAACCCAAAAUCCUAUUUAACCGGGGAGAUACCCGCUACAACCCGAUAGGACCGUCCUCUGGGGAGAUACCCGCUACGACCCAAUGAUGUCGACUUCGGAGCACAUCGCCCGAGGGGGAGCUACCACCCUCGAGCAAGGACUAAAAGGUGAGUACGAUCAAUCCUACAUUGAGGAUUCCAAGUUCAAUCCGUUCCUUAACUUUAAGAAAAACCAUGCUCAAAUGACCCUUAACUCUAAGGUUGAAAUAUCACAAUGUCUCAAUCAUUCUUUGCUUUGCAUUCUUUACUAUCACUAGUGUCAUAUACACUACCAAGUUUUUGUACUCAUGCCGCACUUGUUCUCUAAGUGCUAUGUUCUUGUUUUCACACCAAAUAUCACACUCGUUUUCUAAGUGUUCUAGACUCAUCAAUGUCACUUACUAGAUCUAUGUCCAUGUGUCACUUUUGUUCACUAGCCCCUCUAGGUUCUUGUCACUUGUUAUGCAUAAAUAGGGUUAUAAUUCUCACAUUCUUACAAGUAUCUCAUAUGAAAUUAAAUUCACAAUCAUGCAAUAAAAGCUCACAAUUAACCCUACUAUGCAAGAUGCUCAAUAUAUACAUAUAUGUUCAAACAUGACACUAUAGACAUAAAGGGAUUUCCGAGGUCCUUGGAAUGCACCACCCACCUUAGACGGUUGUAGGGAUGCUACGGUGAAUUUCUUGGAAUUUUUGAAGCCCUAGUCCGCGUGCUGCGACUAUCUGUACGAAAAAUGACGUUUUUGUAAAUAACUUUGCGUACACUUGUCGGAUGGUCGAACCGAGCGUUCCAACGCGUUUAAAACACCCUCAAUUAGGUUUCUACAUGAUCAAAAUAGAUCAAAAUCCAACUUGGGCAAAACCCCUCUUUGGGAUGCCCUAGCAUAGUAUCUAUUAAAUUCUAGGGUUUGAUCUUUUGUACAAGCAAAAGAAAGCUUGUUGAAGCAUUAGGAACUACGUUAGAACCUUCCUAAACCAUUUCUAGGGCUUAAAAUACAAACCCUAGAAAUCCCCCAUUAGAGCUCCAUGAAGAAAACUAGGGUUUCAUGGUAUUCAAAGCUCUACUACUCUUUUAAAGCCUCUAAAGAGACCAAAACUUAAGAACUUAGGGUUUAAAACCAAACCCUAAAAGAAAUCUCACAAAAACUCACUUCUAUUCCCAAGCUCUACCAAGUCCUCCUUGUUGGAGAGCUUCUAAAACCACUAAAGCCACCCAAGAUCCCUCCUCAAACGUCUUCUUCUUCUUCUCCUUCAAGCCCUAGGUAAUUUCUAGAGAGAGAGGAGAGGAAAUGAGAGGGAGAGAGGUGUGUGUGUGUGUGCUGUGAAAAGGGGAGGGGGAUGGGCCAUAUAACAUGUUGCAACAAUUGCAACUAAGUCCCCCAACUCUUUCUCUGUGCACUGCCCAGACUGGGCAUUUUUCGCAGUGAGGGACCAGUCUCCCCGACAUGGAACCGGUCCCCGAGAGCUUCUCCCGCGGACUGCGCAGGCUGCGCGCGAAGCAACCGGUCUCCCUCGAUAGGACCGGUCUCUGGGGGACCGGUCUCUCCUCACAGGGACCGGUUCCCGAGAGCUGAUUUUCCAGGACUUAGCCGAUUUCUCGGCCAUCUCGCUGCCUACGUGUUCUGGGACCGGUCUCUCCCACCAGGGACCGGUCCCAGAGAGCACAAAACCUGCAGUUUGCAGAUUUUGAUUUCCAAAGCUCUCGAAGGUCCCUAGUAAUGCACUUUUGCAUUAUUUGACGCCUUCGGCCUCUCCGAAGUGUACCAACCUCGUACUUUGGUCAAUUUGACCAAGGUUCGAAUUUAAUUACCGAGGUUUCGGUAUGUUGCACGACGGGAGGACGUUCUAGCUAGGCUAUAGUAGUGGUCGUCACCAUGGUUACUUUCUCUUUCUGCGUUUAAUAAUUUAAAUAAUGAAUGGUUCAGUUAGAUAAUCACUAUUAUUGUGAGAAAAUUCACCCAUUUCGGGAAAGUCAGACCCACCCGAUAUACGACGCCUCAUGUCGAACAACAAGCGCAAGGAAUCUGAAGUCUCCAAGUCCCCUUGCAAUAAUUAAAAAUCAGCUAAGAGCUGAAUUACAUUCUUAAGGCAAAAUCCUCACCUUAUACAAGGUUGUAGCUCGAAUCCCUGAUUUGGUUCACUUUAGUACCUCAAGUUUAUCCUCUAAAGGCUCUCCAAUAGCAGCCGAAGAUAAUCCGAAGGUCCAUCGCAACCAUGCUGCGAACAAUCGCCAAAACAGCAUUAAAACACUAUAUACUAGAUAAUCUAGUCAGAAUCUCGCUUAAUCAGUUUUCUAACUGAAAAUUCUGCUUACUCCUGGUUGAAACACCCUCUAAACCAGCCUCCAAGGUCAGUAAUUCAACUCAAAUAGAUUCGAAAACCUGCUGCAAACAAAAUUCCAAAACUGCAUCAAGUUGCUUGAUUAAACUUCGUAUAGUUUCGAAAUAAAGUCAUUAGUUAACUAAUUACCUUUGCCAAGCCUCAAACCAGCUUUUCCUUGAAUUAAAGUGCAGAAAUCACAGCUAGAUAACCCCUCUCUAGCUACUGGAAUUCCCCUCUCUCUCUCUCAGCUGGGAGCAAUGAUACCAAAACAACUCAAUUUUCAACAUUAAACCUCAAACUAGAGAAAUCUUAAAUGAUUUACCUUUAACCAACUUUAAAGCAACCUUUCUCUGAGCUAGAGUGGUUAAUUCAUAACUAAAUAACCCUUCUUUACUGUUCAAAACAGGCUCUAAUUCAGUUGGAAACAAAAAAAUCCAAAUGACUCAAAAUUCGAUAUGAAAUCGCAAACUAGAGAGAAAUCAAAUUAAUUACCUCUCUACAGUUGAGAUUCAGCUUUUCUGAGAAUAAAACUCACAAAAACUUAGUGAAACACCUCCUCCCCACGUACCCAGAGCUUCCUUCAAGUUUCCAAGUCAGCAAACAUCAAGCGGAACGCGCAAUCGACGCGAAUCGGCGACUUUCGCGUAGAGAGAGAAAAACCCUAGAGAGAGAAAAAGGGAGAAGGUGGGAGAAGCUUUCUCUGAACUCCAGCAUGCUUAUCUGAACAUCAGGGGUUGAGCAGGGAGCUUGUAGAUAAACUUGGGUAGUGAAAUGACCAAAUUCUCCUUGCUGCCCCGCAGCUGCUGCCAUUGCUGCUUGCUGUACCGAUACAGCAUAAUGCCUGUACCGAUACACAAUGCAGAAAUGACCCAAUUCGCAGGAGCAAUGCACUUUCUUGUCUCCGACAAUCCAAUCACGCUCGAACUUAUUCAUAAACAUUUUUAAACUCUUUAGAAUAUGUAGGAAGGUUCCGCUUAUCAUUCCACACACUCGAACUCCGCAAAUUGCAAAAGUUCAGUGUAUUACAGACUUAUAUACAAAUAUUGCAUUAUUAAUUUAAUAUGAUCAAAUUAGGAUAAAGUUCAAGUCGAAUCAAAUUAGAAUUUGAUCGAUCUAACAAAUUAAGGAAACAAUAAAUUUAAAUAUAGAUUUAUUCUUAUCCUUAAUGGUUAUUAUAUUAAAAAGAGGAUUAUUUCUCUCUAUAUAAUAUAUGGGAGUUUUUAGAAAACUUUAGCCGUCAUCUCUCUUCCUCUCUCUUUCCUUAUCUCUUUUUCUCUAGUAAGAAAGACAUUCUUUGCAAGGGAGCUAGCACCCCGGUGAGGAUAUCGAUCAAAUCACCAACCUCGUGUGGAUACCUAUAGAGGCCAGACGUGCGUGCGGCUUCAAGAGAACCUUAUUCCAUUACUGUCAAAUUGCGGUAAAGAUCUACCCGCUCAAAGGUAAAGCUUGGAUCUUCCUUUUCUUUUUUAAUCUUAAAGAACAUGAGGGAUCCUAAUUACAUGAUUUUUUAGGUCAAAUCUGGAGUUUUAAAAAUCGAAUUUGUUUGAUUUUAUUUUCGCUAUGAUUUUAGCGUACGCAAUUUUCUAACAAUAUGCAUUAUUCAUGUAUGAUCACAAGGCAACCCCCUCUAACUUCACUAUUUUCUUCUCAGUCCCCCACCAACACCCGCAAUGUGCUUGGAAGGCCCUCUCUUCACAAUUUCGUGCGAUUCGAUGCAAGAAUUAUCAAAAUUUUAUAAAAACACCCCUCGAUGAAAAUUCCUCUCUUGAAAUUCAAAUCUGUGUUAUCUUGCAUAGAAGUGCCGGAAUUUCGCAAAAUUGCAUUGGUGUGUUCCUCUCUCAAUCCGCUUUCAUUCGAGUCCCUCCGCUCGCCAAAACUCUAAGGUCUCACAUGAAAUGAUAGCUUCUUCGCGACGUAUUCUAUUUCCACAAAUUGCUAAAUUUGCAAUUUAGCCCUCCAAACUUGGAGUUUGUUACCAAAAAAUCACUAAUGAGUGUAUUUUGCACAAUGACACCUUUUCCUGGAGUUUCAUCCAAUUCAGCACAUAAAAUGUUGUCUUUUCGGUAAAAGCUCAAUUUCCCUAAUUGACCACUUUUUGAAUUUCGCUUAACACAACGCUUUAGCCUCACAGAAUUCGAAACGGACUUCACUACAACUUCCAGCACUGUUGGACAUUAAAGUGGUGAUUUCAUUUAGUCGGAAAUGAGUCCUUUUAGCGAAAUACUCGGUCCUCUUUCCAAUUUCCUAUUUGAACUUAGAAAUUCAAAUUAAUAUUUAAAUUUUAAAUUUUAAAUAUUAAUUUCUCGAAUUUGAAAUUUCAAUUUCCUAUAAUUUUGGAAUCAAAAUAUGUAAACUCGAAUGUAGCUCAAUUUGUAUGAGAUAAUUUUCGUAAUUGUAAACUUUAAAGUUGUUUAAAGUUGAAUGUUUUAAAGUAAUAACUAUACUCUGGUAUUGCAUGUACUAAUAUUGUGUAAAUUGUUAUUGCAUGUAUUAAUAUUGUGUAUAUUGUGUUAUGAUUGUACAAGUUGGAAUGUGAUUCCGCUUCAAGCUGAUAGAAAAAAGCCUCUCAUCCGUUUGGCAGGUCUAUCGCACAUGUCCGAGCAGGCCCGAUUGUCGAUCUCGGGGAACGACAUAAAAACAGAAGGAUAGUCAAAAACCAAUGAAAACAAACAAAUCCAAUAUAAAUAAACCUGAUGGUUUUUUUUGGCAAGAUACUGUCAUACAACUGUAAUAAUGGUACAAUUUGUCAUUGAUUUCGCUUCUUCCUUUUUUUCCCCCCUUUUUCACCAUGUCAACAAACUGUUAUGGAAGCUCCACAAAAGCAUAGUCCAUGAUCGGAGAACACAAAUUAAUGCACAAAUAAUUUUCCAAACACAACCAAGCCCAUGUAUAUAGAAUUUUACAAAGUAGUGAAGUUGAAGGUAUUUCACCCAGCCCAUAUUCUGUCCAACCUGUCGACGCUCUUCCUUCCUCUGUCCAGCUGAUCGGUGUUCCUUCUCGAUCUCUCGAGGCAGUCCACGCUCCUCCUAGACUUAUCGAAGUGGUCAAAUGAGACCCUAAGCUUAUCUGACUUCUCCACAUUGCUGUAUCUGUACUCAUUAGUUCUCAACUUGUCUAUGCUAGACCUUGAUUUGUCUCUUCGGUCUGUGCUCUUUCUCGCCGGUUCAAAAAAACGGUCGGUGCUUUUCCGAGAAGGCUCAAACUGGUCAUUGCUUUUCCUCCAAUCAUUUCUAGUGGAAGGUGAUUUCUCGACAGUGAAUAUAAACUUCUUGAGAUGUUUGAGGUAAUCCGGGAAGAGCUCUAAAUUGCAGUGUUUUCCUCCUUUAAGCCAUAGGGGCUCAUAUUUCUCCCUACAGAGUUCCCAAAGCUGCUUUCCGUGAGACCAAUCCACAACUUCAUCUGUUGUUCCCUGUAGAAGAGAAUAACAAAGUGUCUUACCAAGUGACAGAACAAAUUAAGCAAAAGGAGGAAAAACAAAAAUAAAACAAAAAACAGAAGGAAAGAAAGAGAGAGAGAGCCGAAUGAACCUAGAAAGCCUCCAACUAGGCGCAUAAUGCAUGAUGCAAACACUAAAUUUUACUAAAUUUGAAAGUGGCGCUGCUUUUAGUGAUUCAACACAUUAUUUUGAAUUCUGAACACGACAGAACAUUUCCAGAAAAUCUAGUAACUGCAUGUUAAUGAAACAACUCACGCAGAUGAACAUAGCAAUCUACUGAGAUACAAAAUGCUAAUACUUAACUAGAGAUGUCAACGGGUUGGAUUCGGGGCGGAUUUUAAAAAACCCGAAUCCAAACCCAACUCCAAACCCGAGACCCGAACCCGAACCCGAACCCAAUGGAUUUUAAAAAUCCAUAUCCAAACCCGAACCCGACCAAAAAUCCGAAACCCGAAACCGAACCCGAACCCGAAAAUUUGACCGGAAACAAUUAUUUCUUUUUUCAAUAUUUCAAAAUAUAUUAAAUUAAAUCUAAAUUUUUAAAAUACAAAUUCAAAUAUAACAUCAAAUUUUUUUAUAUAUAUUAUAUAUAAUACAAAAUAAAUUCGGGUUCGGGUCGGGUUCAGGCCGGGUUCGGGUUCGGGUUCGGGUUCGGGUCGGGUACAAUCAAAAUCCAUAUCCGAAUCCAUAUCCGUCGGAUUUCUAUUUUUUAUAUCCAUAUCCGAAUCCAUAUCCAUAUCCAUCGGAUAUAUCCGUUUCAUUCGGGUUCGGGUUCGGAUAAAAUUUCGGGUAUCCAUACCCAUUGACAUCCCUAUACUUAACCAACAUGUAUCGGGAGCAUAAGCUUGUAUGCUGAUGAAACAACUAAUCUGAAUGACCAUAUCAACUUAUUCACAUCAAACUACUAAUACUAAACAUUUAACAUAUGUUGAUCGCCUAAGAUUGUAAACCUCACGAAUGAAAGGAGAGACGACCAUUAAGACUGAGUACAGCACUACUUAUUAGCAUGAUACCUUGAAGUUUCAAAUAGGGAAACGUCUUGUAUGGUAAACGUCUUGUAUGGCAGCUGUCAUGUACUUGCAUCCUUAGCGCUUGUAACCAUCCAAAUGACUCCAUUCCGAUUCUAGAAACAUAAAAAGUUUAAGUUUAUCGGCGUGUGUGGGUGUCCGCAUAAAGACUCCCCACAAAAAAUUCAACUCCAGAACUUACAUUAUGAUUGUUAUUGUUGCGUGCCGAAUGUCCCGACCCUUGAUCCGGUCAAUAAUUCUCCUCGAAAAGAUCGUCAGGAUGCGAGACGGCUGCGGAUUAUGACCCUCGAAGUAUGCGCCCACAGAGGAUCAAGCGAUUAGGCCGAUGAGGGAUCGAAUCAGCCGGGUUCGAAAACCUCCGCAGUAAAUUCGCUUCGGCAGGAUGAGCCGAAUGGAGAGGGGAAGCCCAGAAUUCGACUAAGAGACGAGCCGAAUGGCCAAACAACUUGUGAUCUGAUCGGCAGGAAGAGCCGAAGAUGACUUUCUAUUAAUAGCAAAAGAAAAAAAUACACAAACAGGGGAGUGAUGGCCAGAGGGCAGACAGACUCCAAGUAUGGGAACAGAGGAGUGAUGCCCGUAGGGCAGACAGACUCCGAGUAUGGAAAAUUACAGGAACUACUCCUAAGGAAAGCAGUAAAUGCGGGAAUUGAAAGAUGCAGAAAAAUAAAGGUGGUCUUUUGUGCGCAGGGGCGAAGACCCUUCUUUUAGGGUGCCGCAUGCCUAUUUAUAAAGUUGCCCUUGCAAUUUAGUUAUCAUCAAUGCACGAUCGGCCACUAUCUCAUGAUUUGUAGGACCACCUUCGGCCGAUUGGAACUGCUCAUAACUGCUUGCGGUUGCUACGUUUUUUGAACAGACGCGGCUCAUAUCUUCUGGCGCGUAUUAUAUACUCCCGGUCCACCAUUUUGACAUGGGUCAUGGAUGUAGUCCCGGCUUGCCAGCUGUCCGCACCGAAUUGGCCGAACAAUUGCCCCCUCGGCAGCUUUCGAAGCGAUGCUUCGGUAGCUGGCGUUAUCUUUCGAACCCUUAGUAUACUUUUCGUCUUAUCCUUUGAAAAUAAGUGCGAUCCGAAGCGUCUUCCUCGGUUCAAUCAAAUUCAAAUUCUCUGACAUAAUCUGCAACAAUCCGUAACACAAUCUUUUGUACGGUUUAAUUUUGGCCACUAAUUCUCUUUUUUAUGGCCUUGAUCACAUUCUCUGCUUUUGUCUCAUACGCGGCAUUAAUUAGGUCAUCUUAAUUACCGCCGUUUAAUCAUCAUUAAAGCCGACCUCGAAACUCGCUUCGAUCUGACGGUUCGACUCUAAGGCCUUUCUUCUUCUCCAAGCUUUUACCUUUUUGUCUCUCCUAUUACCAAACUUUUACCUUUUUGUCUUUUUUAUUUCUUCUUCGUUUUCCAGGAGACUCUUCUUUCGCUUCUUUUGGCGUCUUCUUCAUUUUCUUUUGCUUCGAAGAAUGGCGCCUCUUCCGCCAUUGCCUACUCGUCCUUCAUUGGACUAUACUCUGCUUAGGCCAUAUCUUGAUUCAGACCCUGCCAGGUUUAUCUUGGGUCCCUCAUUUACCGCAGACCCAUCUGCCGAUGAUUUCCCGUUUUCUAAUGAAGGUCUUCCUUUGAUGGCUGAAAAUAUUCAUCUUUAUUCAUGGUAUCCUUCGGCUUCGACGGGAAGAAGUCUUCGAACCUGGCCUAGUACCUCAGACGCCUAUUUGGCUUGGUUGGAUCGUGUACAAGCCACUCACGGCGAUUUAUGGCGAGAAACUGGCAUCUAUGAAGCCAUCCAGCUAUCCCGAAAAUCUCCUUCAGCUGAUUUCCUUCUUUUGGCUUCCGCCCUUUGUUUCCGGUCCCCUGUUUCUAACAUUUUUCUUUUUAGAGGCGGCCCUCUCACCCCAACUCUUUUUGAUGUCACCGCCAUUGUUGGCCUACGUCCUCAUGGUGUCACCCUUUUCCUGGCUUAUAACCCUGAUGGUGUAUCCGAUUUUGAGGUCAAUCUUGAUCUCAAUGAUUUGGCCUACUCUAAAUUUCUUCGUAAAUUUGCAGGUGAAUCUCCUGCUCCGGUCACUAAGAAGGAACAUACGGCAUUCCUUCUGUACUGGUUAUGUCAUAAUCUUUUCUGCACUCGUUCGCAGAAAAUUAACCGAGAUUUUGUUUCUAUCGCCGUUGGUUUAUCUGACGGCGAUAAAUUGGCCUUGGGGCCCUAUUUUCUUGCUUUUGUUUACAGAGAAAUUUUUAACUCUAUUAGGCCGUCACCCAAUGACAAUGAUGUCACCAUUAGCUCGGGUUGCGGCGUUUUUUGGUUUUUGCAGAUGUUUUUGCAAAUUUAUUUCAGUAGGCUGUGCUGAGAACCUUUAGAUUUGAGCUCGGCUGCUCGCUUUGACUCCUAUGGACUUGCUCUCGGCUGUCCACCACCAUUUACACCUGGGCAUCCUCUGGACUUCCUCACUUAUUUUUCUGUAUUUUAUGAUUCGAGCCUAACUUUCUUAUUUAUUGGUCUCCUUUUGCUGAUCGAGUCACUGGCCCCCCUUGGUUUUUGGCCAGAUAUGAAUCACUUCAGGGUGAACUCGCCUCUUCUCGUGCUGGCGAGUAUUCUGAUGUUUGGUAUUCUUUUUUGGCUCCUCGGGACUUGCACAUCGGCUUAAAAUCACGCUCGAAGUUAUUACCCAGUACCGAGGUUUACUCUCCACAGUUUGUGGCGCGCCAAUUUGGUUUUACACAGGCCAUUCCUGCUCCAGCCAAAUUUUUCACGGCUAAUACUGCCACUCAUCGCCCGCCUACCAAGAGCAUAGCUGACGCCGAUCAGAUUUCGGCUAUGGGAAACCGUCUGCGGCGAUUUUUCAAAUUGGUCAGCUUCAGGACCAAUCAAACCGGAGUAUUAGGUUUUCGCUAUGCUGUAAAUUGGGAUAUCUUCCUCAAGAAAACCUUUGCUCCCAUCAUCUCGUGUGCACAUCGCAAGACUCGUCAUCCUCUCAGUACGCUAUUCCUUUUGAAAAUGACUUCCUGCUUAUUAUUACUGCUCCUCAUUUGUUUUUUCAUUUGUAGCUCCUUUCCCAAGUAAGACUCAAUCGGAGGGUCCUGCCGAGCCAUCCAUAUCAGACGAAAAAUCGGAAGAGGCUGCUGAAACUCCACCUCCUUCCUCUGUAAUGUUUUCUAAUCUGCUCCUCCUCUGUUCUUUCUAUUUUGAUGUUUGUAAUACUCAUUUUAUUUUCAUUGUCAGUCUAUGCCCACUCCUUCAUCGGUUCCAACUUCAAAUAAGAGACCGACUGAGACUGUACAAGUUACUCCUCCGCCGAUUUCGAAACGGCGUAAAUCAGUUGCCAAGCGGCAAUUUCGACAAGCCGAAGGUGCUCCUUCGGCUGACAAUUUAGAAGGCACAGCCGAAGAUGUGCCUUCAGCCUCAAUUUCAACAACAAGAACCGAAGACAUGCCUUCGGCUACUAUUCCAUUAGAGAAAACUGUUGUGCCUUCCUCAGCUACGGAACCAAGCUGUGUCCCGACCGAAACAAUUGAUAUCGGGGUACGUCCAGUUCGUUGUCAGCAAGCAAAUUUUAUAUUUCUUCAUCUAUUUAUCUUUUUCUUUUAACUCGCUCACAGUCCUCUCCUGAAAGAGCUCCUUUUCCUCAUUAUUCGAAGAUGCAGAUGGAACGGCAGCUUCGCAGGGAAGCUCGUCUCGAGAAAAAGAGAGGGAUGGAAAAGAAGAAAUCUGUUGAAACGGCGGGCACGACGCCGUUACCCAGUGAGGUUGCAUCACCUCUUUCUGCUCCUACCCCGACAUCAACUACAGGGGAUGAACAAAUAAACAUACCUCUCGGCGAACUUCCGAAGACACCAGCACUAUUUCUCCCCGCUCGCCCCAGGGAGUUUCUUCCCCUAUUGCUGAUGAUCCUUUAUCUGCGAUUCUUCAUUCUUUUUUUAUUUCAAGCCCGAGCUCCAAUGAAGGGGAUGAUUCUUCGACCAUUGCCAUUUCAUCAGACACCCAGAAUAAGUUCGAUGAAUGCCUUAAAAUGUAUAGCAUUGGUAUUCCUGGUCUAGCUCAAAAUCCAGAACAAUUUGAUCGGCUAUAUGCCCUUUUACUUGACUUGGCCGAUCAAUCAGAUAUUACUCCCAGCAUAAAAUGUUUUGUAGCAACCUUAUCACUUCAACUUUCAUCUUUUUUGGCUCGGCAGCGAUCUUUGGGCGCCGAACUUGUAGCUUUAGAUCAACAUUUUCAUCAUGUUGAUCAUUUUAAAAAGAAUAUCCCUGAUAUAGCAGCUCCGCCUACUGAAGUGCAUCAAGAAGAUAAGGAAUUGGCUGAUCAAGAAUCGGCUCUACAACAACGGAUUUCUACUCUUAAAGAAGAGUUAGUCGCAGCCGAAUCUACUCUCGCACAAACCUCUGAGCGCCGACUUCAACUAAAAGAUCUACUGAAGUCCAAAAAGGAAGAAGGGAUAAGGCUUAAAGAGGAGCUUUCUCAACUUUACAAAGUCCAUCCUUUGAUGAAGCGCCGAAGGAAAGCUGCUGAGACUGCCCAAGCCAAUCUCAUAGCCGAAUGGAAUCAACUCAAAGACUUAUUGUCCUGAUUCGACUUGUAAUAUUCUAACUCUGAUUUUAAUUAUUCUCCCACAUGGAUGGGUAAUAUCUCUUUAAAUAUUUUCCGUUGAUUGGUUUUUCAUUUUCUGACACAUCUCUGCUUUGUAAAUAAUAUGCGUUAUCCUUUUUUGAUUCGCGCUAUCUGAAAUGUCUCUUCCCAUUUUGGGACCAUUUUCCAUAUCAUUCGAUCUUUUGACCGGAUUGAAAAUCAGCCGAAGUAUAAAGUCACCGACACAAGCUGUCUAUUGAUCGAACUUUGUCUUAUUGUAUGCGCUACGCACUCGGCUUUGGUAUGCUUGUAUAUUGUCUAAAGCUAUCAGCUGAGUAUCACAUUACUUCUUCUGUUUUGUCCAUCAUUAGACUACUAUACUUCAUCCAGCCGACAAUCUUUUUAUUUUUCUAUCCUAAAGAAGGAACUGAUUAUUUCGGCUGAAUUACAGGCCCAUACCGUAAACUAACUGAAACGGGUUCAUUCCCUGUUGCGUUUUCACUUAAGUGCCGGCGUGCCCACAAUUAUUCGCGAAAGUUUUUCAUUUCCACUUUCGUCGGGUAUUUUCAAAUGUCGCUGUUCAUGAAGGUGAUAAUUAUUUAUAUUUCGCUACCUCUACUGCUCCAUUGCCUGGGCUCAUAUAAGGCGAAGAAUGAAGCAAUUAUCUUUCGGAGACUCGGAUAGAAGCCGAACGGCACUGUCCUCUGUGAACAUUGUUCCACUGAUCGAUUGUGACUGUCUCCGGAAUUCCAAAGCGAUGAAUUAUAUGGUCUUCUACAUUAAAUCGCAAUUUCCUUUUGAGUAACAACGAAUAGGUUUAGCUUCCACCCACUAAGUAAAAUAAUCCGAUGGCUACUAUUAGGAAUUUGCCUUUUCAUUUUCAUAUCUGCUCAAAUGUUCAAAUUCGGCUUCUCCGAAAUUGCAUAAUAGUUCUAUUGUCUUCUUCAAGUAAUUUUGCAAAUUUGGAUUCUCACAUCGGUAUUCUCCGUUAACCUGCUUGAUUACCAACUGUGAAUCACUGAUGACUUUGAUUGAUUUUGCUUUCAAUUCUUGCAAUAUUGGAGGCCGAUUAUCAAGGCCUCAUAUUCGGCUUGGUUGUUAGAACAGCCGAAAUCUAAUUCAAAUGCAAAUUGACAAACAUAACAUUCAGGAGAUUGUAUUACUAUCCCUGCUCCUGCAGAUUUGGUUGUUUUUGAACCAUCAAAAUACAACACCCAAGGCUGACAGCCGAUUAAACUCUGUUUCGGCUCCUCAAUCUCUACACAUGGGUACUCAGCCAGAAAGUCGGCUAUAGCCUGACCUUUAACAGCUUUGGCAGGAACAUAAUUAAGAGAAAACUCAGAUAAAGCUAAUAUCCACUUUCCAAUCCGCCCCCUUAAUACUGGUUUAGAUAACAUAUAUUUUACCAAGUCGGUUUUACAUAUUACCGAUACUUCAGUUGGUAAAUAUAAUAUCUUAAUUUCGCACAUGAAUAAUAUAAAGCCAAAGAUACCUUUUCAAUAGCCGAAUACCUUUUUACAGUAUCUAAAAAACGUCGGCUUAGAUAAUAAAUGGCUUGUUCUUCCUUUUCUUCAUUUUCUUGAGCUAACAAGCAUCCCAAAUUUUCUUCUACAGCCGAUAUAUAUAAUUUCAUCGGCUGAUUUGUCUUCGGAGGUACCAAUACUGGAGGAUUUGAUAAGUAUCUUUUUAUAUUUUCGAAUGCCUCCUGCUGUUCCUCCGUCCAAAUGAAUUCUUCUUUAUCUUUCAGCCGAAGUAAUGGAGUGAAAACCCCGAUCCUUCCGGCUAAGUUAGAUAUAAACCGCCGAAGAUAAUUAAUCUUUCCCAGCAAACUUUGUAGCUCCUUUUUGUAUUUGGGUGGCGGUAAUUCUAGUAUUGCUCUCGCCUUAUUUUUAUCAAUUUCGAUUCCUUUUUUAUGCACUAAAAAUCCCAAAAAGUUUCCUGCAGAAACUCCAAAAGCGCAUUUCAAAGGAUUCAUUUUUAAAUUAUAUUUUCUCAUUCUCUCAAAGGCGAGUUUCAAAUCGCUCCAAUGCUCGGCUUGUGAUUGGGAUUUUACAACUAUAUCAUCGAUAUAUACUUCCAACUUUUUGCCGAUUAGAUCGUGAAAAAUAAAAUUCAUUGCUCUCUGGUAAGUAGCUCCGGCAUUUUUUAAGCCGAACGGCAUAACAACCCAUUCAAAUGUUCCAAUUGAACCGGGGCAUCUAAAAGACAUUUUAGCCAUGUCUCCCUCAGCAAUGUAAAUUUGGUUAUAACCAGCAUGUCCAUCCAUAAAGGACAGUAUCUCAUUACCUGCAGCCGAAUCUACUAACAUAUCGGCUAUUGGCAUUGGAUAUUCGUCUUUAGGUGUAGCUAAAUUCAAAUUCCUAAAAUCAAUACAAACUCUAAGUUUGCCAUUCUUUUUACGCACUGGAACUAUAUUAGACACCCAAUCAACAUAACGGGCCGCUCUAAUAAAUCCGGCCUUUAAAAGAUUUUCAAUUUCAUUUUUAAUUUGAAGUACAAUACUCGGCUCAAACCUACAAGCCGGUUGUCUAAAAGGCUUGAACCCUUUUUUGAUGGACAGCCGAUGUUCUACGAUCUCUCGGCUUAGACCUGGCAUUUCUUCAUAGCUCCAAGCGAAGCAGUCCUUGUAUUCCUUCAACAAUUUCUUCAAUUCUUCCUGUUGCUGAGCCGACAGCUUGGAACUUAUAAACGUCGGCUUGUUGUCUUCAUAGGACCCCAGGUUUACUUCUAUCAACAAAUCCUGGGUCUCCAGCCUUUUUUCGCCGGCUGUAAUAGGCGAUUCUUCUAGCUUCAUUUCCGCUGUUUGCCUAUUCAUCUCAUAUGAAUCAUCAGUCUCAAAGACCGAUUUCAUUUGGCUUUUUUCUUCGGCUUUAUGAGCCGAAUCCUUUAUGGCUUCUUCGGACUAAUUGGCCGAAUUGUCGGAUGCUAUCACAUCGGCUAUAGCAGCCGAAUCAUCUCCAUAGCCGAUCUUGUUGAUCGGCUCGUCUUGUAGAGGCUUAUGUCCAGCCUCUAUUCUCGAUUUUUGGGACUCCAUUUUAACCAUUUAGGUGGCUCCUCUUCAGCCACCAUAGCAUUGAUAUCUUUGGAGAGAAUUAAUUGAAUCCCCUCCACCGUCACUCUCACAAAUGAAAUCUGAUCCGGAUCAGCAUCGGCCCAAUUGGUGUGGCCGAUGUCCUCCAUGUUGACGUCUAUCAAUUGAGGCCGUCCUUCGGCCCUGACUUCUUCCACCUUAUCUCCUAUCCACUGGAACAACUUCCCGUGGAGUGUAGAGGGUACACACUCAUUUGAGUGUAUCCAAUCUCUUCCCAAAAGCAAAUUGUAGUGGCUAUCUGCAUCCACUACGAAAAACGCAGUUUUUAGAGUUUUCGAACCUACCGGGAGUUCGGUGGUGAGCACUCCUCGAGCUUGUUGACCGUUUCCUGUAAAAUCGGUCAUAAUUGAAUCGGUGGGCUUCAAUUCAUCUUCAUCCUUGCCCAACUUCUUGAAAAAAGUAGGCAUCACAUUGACCGUAGCGCCGCCGUCUACCAUAACUCGGCCUACCGGCCGGCCUUCUAUUAAAGCUUUUAUAAAGAGAGGUCUGAUGAACCUCUUCUGCAUGGCCGAUGGUUUCCCAAAAACCACCGCAUCGGCCUGUCGAACAUCCUCUAGCUGCAAUUGGGCUACGGUAAGCCCAUUUUCUUCUUCUUCUCUGAAUUCCUCGUACUCAACGAAUUCUGCUUUGAAGGAUUGAGGCAAAGCGUACACCAUAUUCACCUCGGCCGGUGAUUCGUCAGCCGAUUUUCCUUUGACUCUUUGUUUCUUUUCUUCUGACUCCUUGGCCGUUUCGGCUGAGGAGUCACUCUCCAUACGGACCUCCUCUUUCGGAGGCCACUUUUCUCUCUUGAUCAUCGUCUCGAGGGAAGCUAUUUUAUUUUCUAACUCCCUCCUGGUCAUUUUCUCUUCUAACUCGGCGUCAGCUGGCCGUUCUAUUCUUGACUUCAACUGUAGGGCAGGCGAUGAGCCACCUGCCUCAUGGUCAUUCCUCAUCGGAUGAAAAGGGUAUGGCUGCUCAUCUAGGCAUCUCCAUACAUUGAGCCUCAUCCCUUUCGCCUCUUCAUAAUGUUGACGUGCCUCGGCUUGCAUCCUCUGCUGCCGACGCUUUUGGAUUUUUGUUAACAUCAGCCCCUGCCAUCUGGCCGAUGAUUUAACUUCGACUUCGUGCCAUUCAUCCACUGGCACGUUUGCCGGUACUUUUACUGUUCUUAAAUGAUUUUUUAGAAUUUCUCUUCUUUCCCAUGGUCUCGGCCAAGGCUGAAUGCCGAGUUCGUUGACUAGCCUCCGACCGAGGAAUUCUAUAUCCCUCUCGGUCAUUCCUUCAAAUUCCGGUUCUGGUCUCGGCCUGACUUGCUGUUGCCAGUGUGGCCGAUAUCCCGAGAACCUUUGCUUUGAGCCGAAUGGUCUAUCCUGGUAGUCCCAUCGGCCAUAACGUUCUCCACGCCUGUUGUUGUAGUAAUCAUGCAGAAUCUUCUGCAUGAGCAUAUCUUUCUUGCGUUGAACCGAAUCUACUUCUGGUUCAGUAUCAUUAGAGGCUGCAUCCGAGCCUUCUUCUUCUUGGUCUUCGCCAUCAGGAAUGUCAUCCCAAUCCUCAGGGAACGCCAUCAGCUCAUUCCAUUCGUUCCCCCUUUUCUUGGCAUUCACGAUGACUUCCCAGUCUUUAUUCGUCAUUUCGACCUUGCCCCUAAUGCAUAGCCGAAGGUGUUUCUUGGCAUUGGCCACGUUGUCAGCGGUCUCCUUGUCCAAAACUUCUUUUCCUUUAAUAUUCACCAUAUUGACCUGAAAUGGAAAUGAACUUUUGUUAAUUAUUUUAUUUUCGUUUUCUUGGUCAGACAAUAUGAGCCGACCCUCCUCUAUUUCUUCUUGUAUCUGCCUUUUCGCAGUCGCUUUUCCUUUCCCUUUCAUGUUCACGGCGUUGACCUGUGAUGGAAAAGGAUUCUUAUCAAUUUCCAUAUCUUUAUUUUCUUGGUCGGCAAAGAUCAGCCGACCCUCAUUUAUCUCUUUUUGAAUUUGCCUCUUAAAGGCAAUACAUUCGCUAGUUUUAUGGCUCCAUGAAUGGUGCCAUUUGCAGUAUCUUCUGUGUUUCAGUUCUUCUACAGGAGGUAUAGUUUGACCUUCCUGUAGUUUAAUUCGUCCAUCCUUUAACAACCGAUCGAAAAUAAGAUCGGUCUUUGUUAUGUCAAAUGAAUAACUAAAUGCUGAUAUUUGUGCCUUUGCUUCUCUUGAUUUUGCAGGUUUCAGCAAAGCACAUUUGUACAAUUGACUGUUUCUUACCAUCUCGGCAGCACAGAUUUCGGCCUCUUCAGAUGAAUUCCGCUCUUCAUGAGCCGAGGUUUCUUCAAAGAAAGAAAUAUUUUUCUCUUUCCCUUUACCCCAAUCCUGGUUUCGGCUCCAUCUAGGCCGAUCUUCAUUAUUCCCUUUUCGAAAUUGCUCGUAUUGAGCAACUCGAACUCCCAAAUCAAAAAGAUUUGGAAAGAACUUAUCUUCAAAAUGAUCUUUAAUUUUAAAAUGCAUGCCGUUAAAUGCCAUUUUGGCAAAUUCUGAUUCCGACAUCCUUCCAAAACAUCGGCUUCGAGCCGUCUUGAACCGGUUCAAAUAUUCAUCAACCGAUUCUCCUGUUUUUUGUCUAAAUUGAGCCAAAUCCGCAACCGACAGCUCCGGUUCGGUUCUAUAGAAUUGCUCAUGAAAUUUACCCUCUAAUUCGUCCGUCUCGGACAGAAUUAGCGGGUAGACUCGUGCACCAAGUGAAGGCAGUCUUGGUUAGUGAAGUAUUGAAUAAUCUCAAUUUUAGAAAAGGAUCUGCCGCUGCUUCGCGGCAUUGGGCUGUGAAUCGAGCGACGUGUUCGACCGUAUUCUCGGUCUCAACGCCAGAAAAUUUGUCAAAUUUCGGCAUCUUCCAGUUUGCCGGAUAUGGAUGUUCUACAUCUAUAUUAGCAGGAUAUGGUGAUCUAAAUAUAGGCCGCAUUGCCGGCCUUGUGCCUACUCCGAAAGUGUUUCGGAUGGCCUCUUCUAUUUGCGCAUAUAUCUCAUUGUUAAUUCCUUGGAGAGGAGCUUGCGCUGGUACCGGGUUCAGUGGUUGUUGUGCACCGAGAUUUUGUGCUAAGGGAUUAAUCCCUUGCCCAUUCAAAACCUGCCCCCUAGCCCCUACAUUUUGGAGCUGGUAGGCUGCAACUGGAGGGGGUGGAGGUAACCCCCAAGCCACUUCCGGCUGUUGACCGGCGUUACCAACAACCGGUUUAUAAGCCGCUUGAUACUGUGCCCCCUGGUAUUGGGGCUGACCAACCACCAGCGUUACUGGAUUUUGUAACACCGGCGUUAUCGCAGGCACUUGUAGGCCUACUAUCGGCUGUUCAUUUCUAGCUAACAAUUGCCCUAUUCGGGCUAUGUUCUCGUUAGAGGCCGUGAUUGCGGCCAAAACGGCAUCCAGUCGUACGGUACUUGCGUGACUAUUCUGGUCCAAAGUUUGUAGGACCCGAGUCAUUUGACCAAGCGCUUGGGUCAAACUAGGCUCCUGUUGGUCAGAUUGACCACUAGUCUAACCCUCAGCAGGUAAAACCGCUUGGCGCUCUACGUUAUUCUCCGAAUUACUGGACUGUUCACUCCCAGAAUUUCUGGGAAUAGCCCGAUUACGGAGAUUCAUGGCGUUAUCGUCAGCCAUGUUUUAAAUAGAAUGCAAAUUUACUUGAAAAGAUGGUCCCACCGGGCGUGCCAAAAAAUUGUUGCAUGCCGAAUGUCCCGACCCUUGACCCAGUCAAUAAUUCUCCUCGGGAAGAUCGUCGGGAUGCGAGACGGCUGCGGAUUAUGACCCUCGAAGUAUGCGCCUACAGAGGAUCAAGCGAUUAGGCCGAUGAGGGAUCGAAUCAGCCGGGUUCGAAAACCUCCGCAGUAAAUUCGCUUCGGCAGGAUGAGCCGAAUGGAGAGGGGAAGCCCAGAAUUCGACUAAGAGACGAGCCGAAUGGCCAAACAACUUGUGAUCUGAUCGGCAGGAAGAGCCGAAGAUGACUUUCUAUUUAAUAGCAAAAGGAAAAAGUACACAAACAGGGGAGUGAUGCCCGUAGGGCAGACAGACUCCAAGUAUGGGAACAGGGGAGUGAUGCCCGUAGGGCAGACAGACUCCGAGUAUGGAAAAUUACAGGAACUACUCCUAAGGAAAGCAGUAAAUGCGGGAAUAGAAAGAUGCAGAAAAAUAAAGGUGGUCUUUUGUGCGCAGGGGCGAAGACCCUUUUUUUAGGGUGCCGCAUGCCUAUUUAUAAAGUUGCCCUUGCGUUUAGUUAUCGUCAAUGCACGAUCGGCCACUAUCUCCUGAUUUGUAGGACCACCUUCGGCCGAUUGGAACUGCUCAUAACCGCUUGCGGUUGCUACGUUUUUUGAAUAGACGCGGCUCAUAUCUUUUGGCGCGUUUUAUAUACUCCCGGUCCACCAUUUUGACAUGGGUCAUGGACGUAGUCCCGGCUUGCCAGCUGUCCGCACCGAAUUGGCCCAACAGUUAUAAUUUUAUUUAGUAGAAGGUCACAUAGUAAAAACUAAUUUAAAUCUUAUUGGAUAGGGUAAGCGUUUUCUUUGGGGAUAGGUUCCUAUGUACUAGUUUAGAGAGUGUAUUUGCAUUGUACUCUGUUUCAUUUCACCAUUGGGCAAAUCUAAAAACAUGGCAGAGAUGAAGUAUCCCCCCUUUGGCUUUAAUGUUUCAACAUACUUCCUGCUUCACUUUAACAUUUUAAUACAGGAGUUUUAGAGGGUUAUUCCGUCUGCAUGAGCUCUAUUUUAUGACCAAUAAGAGAGAUUACCUGCUAUCCAGCCUUACAGGUUUCAUAAGAGGACCCUAUCUUUAUUAUAUGCGCUUUCAGAGUAGCUUCUACUUGCAAUAAAUUGUGCAUAGCCACCCUAUCGUGGACUACUACUUCAAGGCCAGUUUAAUGACGCAUUUUGUUGAGUAGUUUCCAAUGUCUAGGGCAGUUUCAUAUCAAGUCAAGGUAAUCUAAUUAUAGACCACAUCUUCUUGAUUUAGAAUGAUCUCGUAGGCUUGUCGACCAUAAUUUAGACUUAACAUUCAUCAGGAAGACCAACAUGAGGCACAAAAGGGCCAUCAGCCUAAGCAGAUUAUAGCAAGAGGUUGUCCAAGUGAAAGUUUAUUACAAGUCAAUUUUAACACUUAGGAAAGAGAGAUUUAAUGUAAGUUUCAUAUUACAAAUUAUCUUACCAUGCAAUCGAAAGACAAGUUUCCCUUACAAGGAAAGAGUAGAAAAAUAUCAAGAGGGAGGGCAUCUGUCAAAACAACCCCUCAGUUUACUUAAGCCCAAUAUAUUGGAAACAAAUUUUAUAAAUUUAAACAGACUUUCGGAUCCUUGCAGUUUGUAAUCUUAAGAUUAAUUAUAUCUAAGCAUUUUGUAAGCCGAAAAAGAAGUAAUUCCUUUUUGACUGGACUUUUAAUAACCAUUUUGCGUUACAAUAAAAUCAAGCUAUCAUAUAAAUUUGAAUGCUCAAUGUGAAGACAUCGAUACUUACAUGGAUUAUCAGCACGGGACAAUUUACUAGAGGGAUCUUGUCGAUAUUCUGAAAGAACAACAAGCAAAGAAGAAAAAGCCGAAGUUAGGAAAAUCAUAAACUGCCAAAAAAAAAUAUAUAUCAAGUGUAGAUAUGAAAGAGUACUAACCUUGUAGAUGUCAAACCAGUAUGUACGUUUCACAGGAUACAUAACCCUCAAGCCUGACAAUAUAGGACUAUGCAAAACAACAGCUCGUAAAUUAGGCAGGCGGCUUGCCAGGUCUAUAGUGGGUCCACUUCCAACAGAUUGACCAUAUAGGAUAAUCUCCUCUUCCUUGGCACCAAAAUGCUCUAUUAGGCAUUUGUAAGCGGCUUCUAUAUCAGCAUAUGUGUUCUGUUCACUUGGCUGAAAACAAAAUAAAAAAACUCUUAGUUUACUGCAACAAGCUAUGUCCGAUCAAUCACAUGACGAUUUAAAAUAGCUGCAUUGAUAGGUCAAAAGGAAACAAACCUUUCCAGAUGACUGGCCAUAUCCAGAAUAGUCAUACCUGCAAGUUUACAUAAGGCAUAAGCAAUGUACAUUCCUAAAGUUUCCUAAAGUUAAUAGAAAGCUGUAAGGGCAUAAGCAAUUUCUUUUCAAAUCAAUCAUUUUUCAAACCAAUCAUUAGAGACUGAAGACCAACAAAACUCGUGGAUGAGAAAUAGGGGCAAUGCCUCAAUCAUCUCCUAUGACAUUGGUGUUUUAUUGCUUAUUGUUUCUCAUAAUUAUUACACAAGUUGCACAAAAAGCUUUUGUCGUAAAUACUAGCUGACAUUGUUACAAGCCAUAGCAUGUGGAACUUAACUCUCAUGGGAAUGCAAAUAGUGUGUGAAAUUUAACUCUCAUGGGAACGCAAUAUUAUAUGCUGCUCUUAUAACUGAAAGAAGCUUCGAAAUCCACUAGCAUAUGAACUGAUUUUAUAACAAUCAUCUGUCCAUACAUCCAUGAACCAAAAACUAUAUAUAGGAUCUCGAUAUAUCACAUUGACAAAAAAGUUAAACUGGCUAACCCUAACUUCAUGAAAAACAGAAAUUCAGUAGUACGAUAUCCAUUAUCCAACAAGUUGCAAACUUUGUGAGCCAAGUCCACUAGUUUAAGUUGCAGUUUCUUUGCUUUUGCCAAAAAUAUCUCUAGCAUAAAGAAAAUAGAAGUUUAUGAACAUGCAUCCAUUCAGUAGCAAUAACUAUAAUUUAAAACUCCGCAUAUUAUAGCAGCUUCAACAAAUCCCGAUUGUCUCUAAUCAAGAGAAGCUUCCCCAAAGCAGCUCCUAAUUCCAAUUAUAAUUCAUUUAUCUUAACAAAAGCCUUUCUCCCCAUAAUACUCCACAUUGUCCUUUGCCAAACCUUGCCAGGUUUCUCUGGUUAUUUUUUGCCUCAUUAUGAUGAUCCCCGCAAAAUCUACCACAAAUAUAAUUGCUCACUACUGUCAAAAUGUUCAUCAUAAUAACAACACUUCCACACUGAACAUCACAACUUAUGCAUGUUUCAAAGCUGCCAAGAAAGGCCAUUAAUUCACAUAGUCAUCAGAAUUUACAGUCAUCUUUUUCAGUUCACAUAGUCAUCAGAAUUUACAGUCAUCUUUUUCAGAAACCUCUUAGAUUUUUUGCAUGUCCGUAGAAAAUAAGGAUGACAGGGAGAUAAAUAUGCUAUAAAUUGACAUCUCCAUCAACUGUUAUAUUUGCCAUCAACUGUUAUAUUUGCCAAGAGAUAUAACGUUAUGUGCGACGGCAAAGGCCUUCCCUAAUUGUGCUAGUAUGACAGGCUUAGUUCACAGAGGCAACUUACUGAUAAGAACGGUACCGCUGCCUAUGCUUUCUUCCUCUACUACCUACAUUAGCAUAAGCCUUCUGCACAACAAUGUUCUAUCUUUUAUGAGAGUCCAGAUGAAGUAUGGGCAGAAAAAAUGAUAGUCACCAUAGUCAUGAUAGUACAUAGGACAACAGGAAAAGAAAAAUAUACAAAUUCAAUGUCACCUGUUAAAUGGUAUUAGCUACGCUUAUGAAGAAAGGCUGCCCAUACAGGCUAAUAUCUGAUCUUGCAGAGAACUUAAUACAGAGUCACCUACGUCCAAUUGUUUAAUUCAAGCUGCAUGAUAUCGAUGUGCACGAAUAAGAUUAAUGCAAAUUAUGAAAAAGCUAGCCAUAUUUAGAAAAUUCAACCUCUUAAGAAAGUAAUUCAUGUUUUCAAGCCGCUAAACAAUUCUCUUAAUUGCUAGGGAGACAUUCUGGGCCAAAUUGAGCAUGAAAUAAAGAUAAUUAAAGCCUCUUAACUGAUACGGCAUUGGCAUGUUGCUCCCCACCACAGCUUAAUCAAAUAAUUAAAGCCCUCUUAAUUUGCAUAUAUCUUUGAUUAAAUAGGAAGAGAUUAAUUUAAAUAGUAUCAAUUAACAAACUGCUUGCUAAACAAUAAUGACUCAUACUAAAUUUCAAAUAAAAGAAUAUUAAUUUAUAUGCUACUCCCGGCUUCUUCCUAGGACUAGCAUUAUAGGGAAUGUCACACAUCUUUGAACUUGCAUAGCCUCCUGUUUAUCUUACUAUAUUCUAAAACCCUACUUAAAAGUAUAUAUCAAACUCCUAAAAUUCAUAAUGUGUACCGGUUUUUGUGCCAGAUGUAGAAUGACCUAAUUACAUAGGAUCGACUUGUUUGCCGCAAAGUUCACUCCCAUGUGCAGAAGCUUGCGGGUUUGCACAAGUGAAUCAACUUCAACAUCCUUUUCUUUCUAUGAAUGUGUACAACUCAUAUCGCAUGAAUGAAAGAUCUUAGAAUGUAUUGGCCUUCGAUCUAGCAUUAUUCACUCUCUCCCCGAAUGCUUGGUAACCUUUUACAAGCAGAUACGGAGGCUACAAAUAUGAAAGGCACCAGUUACAGAAUCAUCAUAAAAGAAAAUCCAUUAACUUAAACAAUGUGUUGAAGUUCACUACAAUUAGAGCCUAAGAACCAUCCAAGACUGUAGAAUUGCGAUCAUACAUCUCAAUCAUUUUGAAGCAUUAUGAUGAGGUAUAUCUAAGCAAUAAAGUAUUCAGAUAUAAAUUCUAAAGAGUCAAGAUCAAUGAUGAAUUGAUGACACACUUUCUUUUUGACAGUAUAGAUUCAACAUCUACAAAGGAAGUGCUUGUUGUGAGAACAAAGCGUUUCAGACACACCACAUAACAUCAUCAAGAACCUUCGAGGACAAAGCAUGCACCAAAUCUACGUGUCUGCACGUGUGCAUGGGGUAUAUGAUUAGUCGCAAAGCAAGACUACAUGACUAUAUCAGGACAGAUCUGCUGUUUGCAUGGUGUUCUGGUGCUUGUCGCAAACUGAUGACAUAGAUACAACAAUCAGCCAAUUGAGGACUCCUCAUGGCGCUACUCAGCUAGCUUUCAUGAUUUAGACAUCUCUAUUUUCUUUGGACUCUUCUUUCCAUGCUAAAGAGAUUUAAUUAAACUAAGAAUAAUAAUGAUGUACUCUAUAAACAGAUAGCCUCUCCGUAAGUUUUGAGGAAUGGUUUAUUUCAUUGGCUAGUGCUUAUCAUUACAGUAACCUUCCGAUAUGAAUUCCUAAGAGACAAAUGAAUGAAUAAUCGUACAUUAUAACUUCCUUAUAUGUUUCUGUUUUAAAAAAUAAAAUAUGACAAAUGCAUUUUGUUAUAGUUUCCAGAGUUUUAGCUCGAAACAAGCGUAACUAUUCGAUAAGAUUCACUUAAAGAAUGCUAAAUUCGCAGAAAACUCAUUGAAGCCUAUUACAAACUACCAAAACUAGUAAACUGUAAACUCAAAGGCCCUACCAAAAACCAAAAGGCUCAAAUCUUGCUUGAGGUCAUCAGCUAAGUAGGCAUGCAAGAAGCUUUUCAGUACCCGUUUCUAGGAUGCAGAAUAUGGUCAUUGGCUCAUUGCCCUAAAACACGUUCAACUACGUUGUUAGGGUUUGGUUCUGCCUAGUGCCUACUAUCCUCCUCACCUCUCUAGGGGAAUGAGAUGCUUCAUUUUUCUUCCAUUUGAGGAGAAAGCAUUUUAAACAUGCUUUAUAGGCAAAUGUUUUCCAGUAUGCAUGGAUGUUAACUUGUAAAGACUUAAGAUUUUCGAUUUGAGAGAAUGUACGUGAAUACUUUAUUAGGAAACUAUUAAUAAAAGCAUUAUCAAUCACUUAUGAAGUACAAGCUUACUUGCAAAUUACUGAACAUCAAAGUAAAAAGAGUUAAGGUUAUCUUAAUGUAAUGGAUAUUUAAAAAUUUAAAAAUAGGUGGACGAUCUCACUGCUAAUCAUUUUCAACAAAAAAGAAGAGUACCAACAGGGAGAAGCUGUCAAAAUGGUAUGAGUUGAUGAAACUAUUUAAAAGCUCUGUUACACUACUGAAUCGAAAAAGUUGAUGGUGAAAUUGAUUUGAUUCUCAGUGCUUUAAAUGUCGACUCUGUCUUGCUUCCUAUGGUCCUCAAGAUUUUUACAGUUUUUAAUCAAGUUCUAUCAACUCGAUCUCAUGGUUAACAUACUUUUUUUGAAACCGGAACCCAAUGCUGCUAGCUUCAUUCAUCUGUGUGUCCUCACAAUAUUUUACUUCUUUAUUUUGUUUUUCCUGAUUUCCUCUUCUUUUUAAAUGAUCAUGAAUUCCAUACUCUUCACAUUAUAUAUAUAUAUAUAUAUAUAUAUAUAUAUAUAUAUAUAUAUAUAUAUAUAUAUAUAUAUAUAUAUAUAUAUAUAUAUAGUAGGGGUACNAUGAGCCUUUGUAUAUAGCUAUAUGUGAUCUAAUAUGGAGAGACCGCAACAUGAAUAAACUGGCAACUUUCCUUUCAGAAAGCAUGCCCAACUAGGAAUUACACGUUCGAUCAAAAAAGAGCCAGGGCUCAAAAUAUGGAAUUCACAAGAAAAAUUCAGAUCUGCAAGAUUUAAUGCUGCGAUUCUUAGAAAGACACCCUACAAGUAUUCCUAGAAUGCAGAGUGCAAAUAAAGCCCCCAAGAGCUCACUUUCUCCACAACUUGCAUGAGGCCCAAUCACACAAACGCAAACUAUGCCUAUACAAAAAUAAAUAAACAGGUGUAGUAGAGAAGGAUAAGUUCGCUUCUCAUUACAAAUCAAUCAGCUUUGAAGUUUUAUAAUUAACACUUGUCUGUAGCACACCUACAUGAAAACACUUAAGAACUGCACUAGCAAAAGCAAAUUUGGUAUAAAGUUCCCGCAGAAUACGAGAUUAAGGGCCUCACGCGAUUACGUACAGUUCUAUAGCAGGUUAAAGAUAUGUAUAUUUGCAUGAAACUUGUGCAGCCUGACUAAAGAUUCAAUCGCCUAAACUUAACCAAUACAAAAACCACCAUACGCCAGCUCUGCAUCUCAAAAGGUUUGGUAUCUUUCUCGGAUGCUGCCUUGCGCAAUAAUGCAAAGCAAUUGAUUCCUUAUAUUACAGACUCUGGAAAUGGAGAUAUCAAAAAGCAAAAGAGACUAGUGAUUGAUCAGCCUAACCAAAGUAGGUAAAAUGUUUCAUAUCGUGAAUUACACACAGCAUAGACAGAAAAUAAUAAUAAUAAUAAUAAUAUUGGUAACACUAAAAAAAUGAACCAGCACUCCGAAAAUCAAAACCCGGCGAGAUCUAUUUACCAGGACGAGAAAAAGGAGCAGAGCCACCAGAUAUUAAAUGGUGCUCAUAAAGCACGAAAUGACCAAAAUAACAGAUCAAUUGCUAUGAUGGACAGAAUCGUUUUUCUCUUAACAGAUAUAGGCACGAAAUGACCAAAUCCGCCGUCCGCUUCUACAUUGUGGGAGUAUCAAAACUGUGAAACAAAACCUUGUUCCUCUAAAAUCUUAAGCCUCUUAUGAAGAAGUAAAGACCUCUCCGCCAUCUUAUUAGAGCUUAAGCUCGGAGAAUAUAGUGCUUUUAUUAAUCAUUAUACUCGACAAAAACCCAUUAGAUCAGAGGCAUAGGUGGACGCCACAAAAAGGAAAAAAGAAAAAAAAAAAAAAAGAACAAAUCCAUAAGAACCAAGCUUCAACUCUCAAACUUUCUCCUAUCAGAAAAAAAAUUGACAAUAAAAUUUUUUUAAAAAAAAAAAAAAGCCUCUCAGGGAUCAAACUUGAGCUAGAGAUUCACAAAAAAAAAACCCAGUUGCGGUUUCUCCGCAAUCUUGGCCGCAGAAUUGAUUAACGAUAGGCAUUUCGCAAUCAAACUUGAAAAAUGGGAAUGAAAAGAAAAAAAAAAAAGAAGCUCCAAUCUAGCAAAACAGAAAUCAUUGAAGCAGCAAAAGGAUUGCAAAUUUCCGCCCAAUUAAGAAGAAGAAGAAGAAGACGAAGAAGAAACCCCAAAUCCCCGGAAAGAAAAAGAAAAAGAAAAAGAAAAAGAAAAAGAAGAAGAAGAGGGAAAGAAAGAGAUGAAGUGGGGUGGGGGAUUAAUUGUUGGCGUACCCGAGGACGUUGACGCGGAGGUGGAUGCUGAGCUCGAGGAAGAGGUCGUACAUGUGGCCGAGGUCGGCGGCGUUGCCGUGGGAGUAGAGGAGGGUGGAGGCGGCGAAGGGGUUGCGGACGUGGAGGGCGACGAUGUGGUUGCCGCGGCGGGUGGGGAGGCGGAGCACCUCCACGUUCUCCCGGUGGGGGAACCGGCUCAGCGUCACCAGCCCCGUCUCCGCAUCCCUCGCCACCUCGUACGACGCCGGCUGCGGCGGGAAGAACGCCAGCUUCGACGCCAUCGACGACGUCACCCCGCCCAUCCCCCUCCCCCACCCCACGCUCGCCCCACCUCCCCUGCUAUACCUACCUACACUCUAGACUCACUGACUGACUGACUGACUGCCUGCCUGCCUACUACUACACCCUCUCUCGCUGACUGCCUGCCUCGAUCGGCUCUUUAAGCCGCACCGCGUGCUUCCUUCCCCCCCCCCCCNNNNNNNNNNCCUCUUUUCCUUUCUCUCUUCGUUUUCCGUGGGACUGAAGCAAGGAUGGAGGCGACGAGAGCAGCGAGUCAGAGAGAGAGAGAGUUAUGAUGGAUUGGGGCUGCUGCAUUAUUUAUUUAUAUAUUUAUAUAUAUAUAACCCGGUAAAUUUGUUUCAAAUGGGCGUAGACCGAGACGAGUGGCAGCUUUCUCUCUCUCCUAUUAAUUAAUUUGUUUACUUUCUAACUCGGAACGUUUGCCGCUUGCUACUGAGAUUGUUCAACGGCUGUCUCAUUAGACUUAAUUAAAAACUAUUAGCUCAAUUACAAGAGCACUUAAUUUCCAAAGUAUAUAUUUUCAAUUUUUAGAUCCGCAACAUUUUUUAUCACUACUAAAUAAUAAAUUUCAGACAUUUAUUCGGAGCAGAAAAGUUAAAAAGUAUGCAUGCUACUUUCAGAAGCAUACGAUGCCAAGUUCUUACAAAUGCAAUAUAAGUAGACAUAUAAUGUUUCACUAAAAAUAUAGUUAGAAUUUUUACAGCUGCCACAUUUUCUUCAAUUAGAAUAUCAUGUCUUGUCUUUAUUUUCAUAUUUUAUAUAGUUCGAAUUUUCGCAGCCACAUUUUCUUCAAUUAGAAUAUCAUGCCUCCUCUUUAUUUUUUGGCUAAAUUACAAAAAACCUCCUGUAAUAACCCGCUUUUUCACUUUCCCCCCCUGACAUUUAAAAACCUACACUUUGCCCCCCUAUAAAAUGAAAAAUGUUCACGGAGGGUUACGGUGUAUAAAAUGACCAUUUUGCCCCUCGCCAUUGCCGUCUUCUUCCCCAUCUUUUUCAGCCGUCCCUUCGUUCGGCCGCGAUUCCCACCUCAAUCGGCCGCGAUUUCUCUCCAUUUCCUUCUCCACCUGCUCCCCUUCUCCUCCUGCACCCUCGCCGCCCUCGAUUUCGGCAACAGUAGGAGAAAACCGAGGUGGGCGACAAUAGGAGAAGGGCAAAGAAGGCGAAGGCGAGGCGACGGAGGACGGCGAAGGGGAUGUGAGUGAGGGCAAGGCAGUGGAGGACGACGAGGCGGCUAGGCGGCGAGGCGGCGAGGCGACGGCGAGGUGGCGAGCCGGAGGGAGUCGAAGCAACAGGGAGAUGGCGAAGGGGUAUUUUCAGCAUAAAAAUAUAUUUUUUAACGAAACCCUAACGGCAGGGGGUGAAGUGCACAUUUUUUAUUUUACAGGGGGGCAAAGUGUAGUUUUUUAAAUGUCAGGGAGGGAAAGUGAAAAAGCGGGUUAUUACAAGGGGAUUUUCUGUAAUUUAGCCUUUUAUAUUAAAUUGGAUGAUCAUGUUCUUCACCAAUUUGAUUGUAAUUUCAACUGUAGUGAUUUGAUACAAAUGUAUCGAUCAAAAUACAAUAUAUUUAUUUUUACAUGCAGUUAAAAGUAAAAUGCCAAAACAACCGCUUCAAUUUUGGACAACUUUCACCCAUCUUUUCCUAACUAUUGUAUCGCUUAUAGCUUAGUCAUCAAUUUUAAUUUGUUAUAUUUUAGUUUAAAUUAGUGGAUGUAUAUUAAUUCAGUUUUGUUAUUAUAUUUUUUUCAUCCAGGCUUGACAGAAAAGUCAAUGUAGGUAUAUAUUUUUCUUACCAAUAAAUAAAACGCAUAAAGAGCAAAAAGCUUUAAAGCCGUUUUGCAUAAAAAAUUCACCAGUUUUAUAUUUUUGCAAAAUCAGACCGUCUUUUCGAUUUUACCCAUUCUAACAAUAUUUUUAAAAAACUAAUCAAACACUCAUAUUCUCUCUCUUCUUUCUUUCUUUCUUUCUUCUUUUUUCUUUCUCCUCUCGCUUUUUCUCUCUCCUCCUUCUCCAUCGCCUGCACCUUGCUGUCACGCUCCUCUCCCUAUCUCAUAAACAUCUCUGUUGCCACUGACGAUGGCGACGCAAGCUCAAAUGUGGCACGAAUCAUGAAAGUGAGAAUAUGGGUAGCGGCGCAGUUCAAGGCAGCAGUGUGCCGAAGCUAGACGAAAAAGAAGAUGAUAUGUUUCUAGAUUAGGAUUUUCUAAUUACGAAAAUAUAUAUUAUUAUAUUAGGAUAUUUUAGUUAUUUUCAAUAAAGUGUAAUAGGGUUAGCUUAUAUAGAAAUAAAAAUGUAUCUUCUAGGGUUUAGAAUAAUAAGAAGAAAUUAGCCGUCUUGUUCUAUCUUUCCUCUCAUUCCCUUCUCCUUUAUCUAUCUCUCUAAUAUCUCCCUUUUUAGGAGGUUUGAUCCCCUUGAAGUGAUCGUUUAUCCCCUCUAAUACAAUAAGAUCGUAUCAAUUAGUAUCAGAGCCUUGUUUGGUGUUGACUAGAGCACAAAAAAAUUUUCUGAAGAGAUGGACGGGGAAUUCGUAAGAAAAAAAGAGAUGAAUGCUCUGUUUUCCAAUGUCGAUGGUCGACUCAACAAACUAGAGACCGAGAUAAAGCUCAUUGGCAAGUAUGUUAAUGAUCUCAAAAUUUUGAUCAUUGCUAUGAGCACGAAGAUAGAUCUGCGGCCGCAUACGCCAUUUGAAGAUAUAUCUAUCUCGAGUUUCAACAAAAAUCAGCCCUUACUCCCAACUCCUAUUAAGGAGGGAACAUUGAUUUCUCCUAUAGAAAAUCAUAUAGUGGUGCAACCUUGCAUCACACGCUUGGAGUUUCCGCGGUUUGAUGGAAAGAAUCCAACUAGAUUGGUGUAUCGGGCGGAGCAAUUCUUUAAGUUUAAUCAAAUACUGGACGUGCAAAAGGUUCCCUUUGCUUCUUACCAUAUGGAGAAGGAAGCAUUUCAAUGGUUUGAGAAGAGCCGUGAAGUCGUAGCUUGGGCGGACUUCGUAGAAGCCUUUUGCACUCGUUUUGGUCUAACCAUGUAUGAGGACUAUAUGGGGGAACUAUCAAAAUUAUAACAAGGACCUAUUCAGAGUGUACGUGACUAUCAAGCUUGAUUUGAAAUGCUUGCAAAUCACACUUCAGGACUAACCGAGGCAUUUUUCAUAUUUUGCUUUGUUAUUGGACUGAGAGAGGACCUAAAGCAUGAUGUUCGAGCCUUCCGACCAACUUCUAUAUCAGCCACCAUUGGUCUUGCUCGUCUACAGGAAGAGAAGUUGACUGCUGUAACAUAUCGAAUUCCCGACGAGUUAUACCGAACUUCCGUCAAAUUGACCGAAGCGUGGAAUCAGACAUGUUAGAAUGGUCCGUAAAGUAUUCCAAAUGCUUUGGAAUGACUUGUGUAGGGUCUAUGGACAUGGGAAAGCAAGCUGGAAAAUUUUCAGCUAGUUUCCUACUAGAAAUGUUCUCGGGGUUCGGACCCUGUGCAGAGUCCGGACCUCGUACGCGAAAAUUGCCCAAGUUGGCCUGCCCUGUUUGGUGAGGGGGCUAUGUGCAUUGUGUGUGUGUGAGUGUAUAUAAGUGAGGGCUUGGUGUUUAGCUCUCAUUUCCUCACAACCCAACAUCAAGAGAGGUUUCUCUUUCUCUCUCUAAAACUCUUCUCUCUCUCUUUCUCUCAUUCUCCCACUAGGGUUUGAGCCAAGAGAGAGGUCUUGGUGGAGAAGAAGGCUAAGUUGAGGGUGGAGUUAGCUAUUGUGCAAGUGUUGAAGGAAAGCUAAGAACCUAAGGUGAGCUUUCAUAACUUUGAGCUAGGGUUUGGUUGUAAUUUCUUCUAGCUUAUGUUUCUAGGAGUUAUUGUGGUUGGUUGGUUCAUUAAUAUCCAUGAUUAAUGAGUAUUAUGAGGUUGUGGUAAAACCUAUGAUUGUAUUAGGGAUUUGUAAACCAUGAGAUCUAAGUUAGGUUUGAUCUCUUGUAGCCCUAAUUGGUGGAUAAUCUGACGCGUUGGGAGACUUAGUUCGAGGAUCCGUUGAAUCUACGCGAAGAAAUUGGGGAAAAUCCCCAUUCUGGCUUCGUUUUGCCACAGUCGAGAGAAAUUGGCGGCUAUAAAUUGCAAGACUUGAACUGUAGCUUCUCGGCAUCCCUACAAAGUGGGUGGUACUAUCCGAAAUCACUGAAUUUCUCAUUAUCUCUUUGUCGCCCCUUUGAGCAUAUAUGUGUAUUGUAGUGUUCAUGCAUCGUAGGGUUAUGUGACAUGUAUUGAUGGUUGGGAAUCAAUUGUAUGCUUCUAGAUAGGAGAACAUAUAAAUGACAUAUUGGACCAUGUGUAUUGGAACCCUAUGAAUGUGUGAUAUGGACAUGGACUAUGACAAUAGUAAACAAAGGUGACAUUGACAUUAGCGGGUAUGAUUGGCACCGAGGACAUGAUAUGCUAGGCAAGGCAAAACCUUAAGAGCAUUGUGGCAUUGUAGCAAGAAUGGCAAGUUUGGCUAUACAUCCUCAAAAUUGAGGAAUGGAUCAUACUCACAUUGGGUCUUGGCUUGAGGGCGGUAGCUCCCCCUUAAGCGGUGUGCUCCGGUGUUGUCACCACUGGGUGUAGUGGUAUUCUCACCAGAAGACGGUCCCUCGGGUUGUAGCGGUAUUCUCCCCGAUCGACAGGGAUUAUAGUUGUGAGUUUUGGGGUUAACCAUGUGUUAACUGGGUUAAUUGGGUGAGGCAUGCAUGCAUUAUUAUCAUCAUACUUAUGAUCAUAUUACUUGUUGACCCAGUUUUUUUUUGCAAGCAUUGUAAUAGCAUUAGUUUGGUUUGCUAUCUAUCUAUUCUUCACUUACAUAUGCCUGAAUAGACCUAGUGAGCGAGUCGACGGGGUCGGCGGCCAAACCCACUGGAAACUUCUUUUAGUUCUCACACCACUAACCUUGCAGAUCCUAGCGCGAGCGGAGCGGUCGAGGAUCGAGGCAAGGGUAUUGCGCCUUAGUUAGCGGCUACCGGAGUAUAGUCAUACCAUGUACAGGUUCAACUUUUGCUAUGUUGAACAAUGAUGUAUAAAGAUUGUAAUCCAUAUGUUUUGGUUGGAUGUAUCAUGUGAUGUAUAUGAAUGAAAGGAAAAGGAAAUGAAUGUAAUAUAUGUGGUUUACUUGUAUUUGGUUGUAUUAAAUCAAAUGACAUUUAUGGUUGUAUGUAGUAGCUUUAGUGCUUUCACUACUUCUUGUUGUUUGCCCUCGUGCAAACCAUGUAUACUCGCAUUCUUCUUGUUUGAAUUGCUAUGGUUAUACAUAUGGGUGGAGCCUUGGGUGGACAGGAGAGGUGCUGUCCGUUCGGCGUCUGUGGACGUACCCGAACCGACCAAAUAGGCGGUCGCGGGGCAUGACAACUGCUCAGCAUCGCAUUAUAAAGCCUUUCCUUUUGUCUGCUUCCUCGACGCCAACAUCUACCAAAGCGCUUCCUCCCAUAAAAUGCCUUACACAGGCUGAAGCAAAAGCAAGAAGAGAUCAGGGCCUUUGCUACAACUGUAAUAAGAAAUAUAGUCCCGGACAUCGAUGCAAAUCAGAGCAACUAAUUUUGAUCGAGACCGAACCUAAUCUAAAGGGAAUAGACGAGAUUGAGGAUUUUCCACCUUGAGGACAAGGUGGCUUUCGAGGGCGGUGGAAUAAUAUAUUUCUAGAUUAGAAUUUUCUAAUUAUAGAAAUAUAUAUUAUUAUAUUAGGAUAUUUUAGUUAUUUCCAAUAAAGUGUAAUUAGGGUUAGCUUAUAUAAAAGUGUAUUUUCUAGGGUUUGGAAUAAUAAGAAGAAAUUAACCGUCUUGUUCUAUCUUCCCUCUCAUUCCCUUCUCCUUUAUCUAUCUCUAUCUCUCUAAUAUCUCUCUUUUUAGGAGGUUCGAUCCCCUCGAAGUGAUUGUUUACCCCCUCUGAUAUGAUAGGAUCGUAUCAGAAAAGGAAGGGAGAAAAAAAUGAGAAGAGGGAGAAAGGAAAUGCCAAUGUCCUCCUCCUUUAUUUUUUAUUUUUUUAUUCUUUAUCCAUUAAAAAAAAUUGUGCUAUUUGAUUAUAUGUUGCACUAAUUGAUUAGUACAACAGACCGCAAAAAUAGUACAAUAUACUAUCAAGUAGUGCAAUAUACAAAAUCACAUAGUGUAACAUAAUUUUCAGUAUUAUAUUACUUGACUAUAUACUAUAUUAUUUGACAGUAUGUUAAAAUUUUCUAUAUUUUUUGCACCUAUCAAAAAGUACAAUACAUAGCUACAUGGUGCAACAUUUUUAUUCUAUUUAUUGGAGAAACAAAAAUGAGAAAAAAAAGAGGAGAACAUUGGCAUCUCCUUCCUCUCCUUUCUCCUUCUCCACCGCUUAUUUCUAAAUCAUCAUCUUUGCAACCUCGGCCUCCUCGACCUCCACCCCGUUGUCAUCAGGGGGAACCUAUCAGAGAUUACCAUCCUUGUUGUCAUGCCCCCGCUGUCACGACCCGCGACCACCCACCUAUUUGGCCGAGGUCGCGGCGCCGACAGCGCCGAAUGGACAGGGUUUCCCCUGUAUUACGGACAGAGUCUCCCCUGUACAUUCAAGGCAUCGCAAUCAAUACAAUACAAAGGUUCCAACCAGGAACAGUACUCAACAAACAGAUUGCAUAAAGAAGGUAUCAACAACAAAACACAUCCUAUGUUAUUACAUACAUUCACAUUCAUUGGUUUUACAUCACAAUUCUCAUUUGACUUCUUCCAAAUACAAUCUAGUUAUUACAAAUUUAUUUACAAGUUGAUACAUUGUGUUCUUUUCAUUCCCCAUACCCCUAAGCUAUGUCGACGAGGUACUGCUAGCUCUGUUCUCUGGGUAGGGCGCUAUCUAUGGAGCUACGCCCUUUCCUCGCGCCGACGCGCCGCUCACGUGCGAACCUGUAACACCCCAAAACAACGUGGGGUGAGAACCAACUCCAUGGUUCCCAGUGGGUACGGCCACCCAAGGGAAAAGCUCGACUAAAAGGUCCAAGGAGGCACUGCAAUCAUGUUAGUCCAAAAACAUCUAUAGAUAUAUAUAUAUAUAUUAUCAUGUUACUAUACAACUAACAGAUAACAUGCCUCACAAUAUGCAAUAUGAGCAUUACGCAACAACUUGUAGAUCUAUUGAUUCUACGUUCAACUUUACUAAUUUUAAUUAGCUCAUGUCAUUUAGCCUCUAAGGUUCUACUACCUUAGUUUACAACUCAAGUUCAACUUGCCUCCAAGGUCUCUAUUACCUUAGCUCUUACCUUUAUCACUAGCUUAUAAGGUUUCUAUUAACCUAAUCAAGCUAACCACCCGACUCGGCCUCAAGUCAAUCAUCCGCGGAUAGUCCGCGCACUGGCCGCCCUCUAAGACUUAACCAGCUGGCGGCGAUGUCGUCGCACAUGCCGAACACUGGUUCAAGUCCCUUGACUUGGCCAUCUGGCGGCGAAUGAAUCGCACCUCACCGAACAAUGGCUCAAGUCAAUCUGGCGGCAUAAUCCACAAACUGGCUUAACCAUCCGGCGGCGAAAUCGUCGCACAUGCCACGACAAUGGUUCAAGCCCCGGGCGGUGAUCUCUGCACAUUCACCCCCAAUCCAUCCUUGGUAUCAACCUCGGCGGCGAAGUCGUCGCACACACCCUAGCCUUGAUACCAAGGUCAUCACAGGUCCUGGGAUUCCGGAAUCUACUUCCACAGGUCGAGGGUCCAUAACCAAUCCUAUGCUGUUGACCUAGAACAUCCUAGUGGCUGCUACCACUAUACUCAACAACCUAGGUUCAAAGCCACUCUAGGUUUACUAUUUCGCAACCUAGGUACAAAACUCUAGCUUACUAGUUCAACCUAUGUUCACUGACACUAGGUUCAACAUCACUAUGUCCGACCUAUGUUUAUCAACACUAGGUUCGAUAUCAUUCCUGUUUAACCUAUGUUUACUAACACUAGGUUAGAUGCCACUUGAUCUAUUUGAUUCUAGGUCCACUCACGACCUAUAUUCUUUAACACUAAGUUAGAUGCCACUCGAUCUAUUCGACACCCUAGUUGUCCCAUCGAGUAUUCUAUGGUUUUCACGUUCCUAUUUCCAAUGUCAUGUUCUUUACUCAAUUUAGAGUUAUCAACCAAGUUCACAUGCAUACAUAAUCUCACAAUGCUAAUCAUGCAUCUAUGCAAUUAUCUAGCAUUAUGUACUUGCUCAUUAUGCAUUCUACGAUCUCUAUAUCUUUUAUAUGCAUUUACUUAGUAUUUGCAUCAUAUUACCAACAUGCACUAAUUAGCAUUAGCUAUGUAAGGAAGUGAAUUCUCGAAACUCGAGGAUUAGACUUCGACCAGAAUCGACUAUUCGUCGAGUGCGUAGGCUUCGGAAAGUCCGAAGGUGUUUGUAAUGCAUAAAGUGCAUUAAGGAGAGGUCCGCGAGAGCACCAGUGCAAAACUUGCACUGGAGCAGAAAUGCUCUCGGGGACCGGUCCCUGGCAGGGAGGGACCGGUCCCAUCAGGCUGGGUUGUGGAGGUCUCUGAUGAGACCGGUCCCUGGUGGGCAGGGACCGGUUCCCGAACGUUGGCCCCAUGAAAAUAGCCGAAAAUUGGCUAAGUCCCGAAAACUCAGCUUUCGGGAACCGGUCUCUCGGACAAGGACCGGUCUCCCGGGGACCGGUCUCUCAGGUAAGGACCGGUUCCCGAACGCGAAAACCCCUCUGCCCGAAAUGGCAGCCUUCGGGGACCGGUCUUCCCGAGCUGGGACCGGUCCCUCACUGCGAAAAUGGCCCAGGGAGGGCUGUUUCAAGGAAUGAAAAGUUGAGGGAGCUAACUGCAAAAUGGCCUUUAAUAGAGGUGGGGGAUCCCUCUCUUUCCCUCAUUGCUCUCUAACUCUCUCACUCUUUCCCUCUCUCUCUCUAGAAAGAGAAGAAAGAGAAGAAGAAGAAGAAGAAGGAAAGGAAAGAGAAGAAAGAGAAGAAAGAGAAGGAGAAGAUCAAGAAGAAGGAGAAGAUCAUCUUCUUCCCUCUCUCCUUCAACCUAGGGCAAGCUUGGAGCUUAGGUUAGAGGUAAGCUUCUAACCCUCUAAUGGUAAUUCUAGGGUUUUGGGUUUUUAUGGUUUAGAAUUGGUUCAAAUUGAACCUAUUGGGAAUAAACAGAUGGUUCGAGCUCAAAAUCGAAGCUCGCACCAUGGAUUUCCCUCUCGUCACCAUUCUAGGGCACGGAUUGGGAUUUUGGGAAAUUUAGGGUUUUGAUCUAUCCUAAUAGGUUGUAAACCUAAUUGCUAGGUCUCUGAACGCGUCGGCGAAGACGGUUUGCCGAUCCGACGAGCGAGUGCAGAGUUAUCGCCGAAUCGGGUACUCGAGGGCUCGCUUCGCCCCGAGGAGUUGAAGCGGCAUAUAAGAACCCCAACGUCGAGUUUUCUGUUGUCGCGGCAUCGCCAAGAGGUGGGUGGUGUCCAUCCCGAAGCAAUCGGGCUCCCUUCUAUGUCUUAGUACAUGUCGACCCUUGCAUCUUGUAUUAUUGCAUUAUAGGAUGAUUAUGCAUUGCCUUUCCUUAUGCCUUCCUUGAUGAUAUCGUAGCAUGUAUUGGAUAUUUGACAUAGUGGAUUGAUAAGGAUUGGGUCGAGACUUGUGAAUCCUAUAGUGCAGAGAAAGUGAUGGGCUCAAUGGUUGGUCUAAUGUUAAACAAAGAACGAGUGGCAUCUAGUCGAUAGUAAACAAUGGACGAGUGGCAUUUAGUUGAUAGUAAGCAAAGAACAAAUGACACAUAUGAGUCGUAGCGUAUGUGAAGCCUAUGGACUAUAUGAUGAUUGUAACCCUAGAGGAUAGGGUAUUCUCGAGACGAGGAUUGGAUCAUGCUUACGGUCUGUUUCUAAAUCUUGUGAUGGAAGCCCCACACAAGUAGUGCGCUCCGGAUGUUGGUCACGUGGGAUUGCCUAUCUUGGGUCCCAAGGGAUUUGCCUAUUUGACCUCGCCAGACGGUCUCGGUUCGUAGUGCGAGUUGACCCUCCCUACCUUCGAGAUGGCUAGUGAGCUGUAGGCGAGCCUUCGGGUAAGCCACGAGAUUGAUGAACAAGUAAAUGAGGUAAACAAUCGAGUGAAUAGCUUUAUCUUUGGACAUGAUAACCGGUUAGCUGCUUACCUAUUUCAUUGUACAUGCAUCAUAUAUUAUGAUUGGGCAUAGUAGAGUAGUUUUAUUCUUGUUAUUUACAGCUUUUCUUAUUAUCUAUCUAUUGGUAUAUCUACUUGUGCCCGCUUGGACCUAGUGGGGAGAUCGGCGGAGUCGGCGGCCGAACCCACUGGGAACUAAGGAAGUUAGUUCUCACCCCCAUUUUACUACAGGUUCCAGUUCGGGUGUCCCCGGUGAGCGUGAGGAUCGCGGUAAGGGCCCGGCGUUCUAGUCGCAUUAGCUACCUCCCUUUUUGCAUUAGCCGUCACCCUUUUGUAUUUGAGAGUAGAUGAUGUAUAGGGUGAGGUUGAGUGCUUGUACUUAUGUUUUUGGAUGAAUGUAAAAGAUGUACUUAAAUGUAUUGAGCCAAUGGGUGUAAUAGAUUAUAUCUUCUCUCUUAUGUACUUGUAUAUUUUCUAUACUCGUAUCUUGCUCUUGGUUGUUGCACUAGUGGUGCUUCUUGAUCGUGUAUUUAUGAAUUGAUUCCUAGGUAAAUUCUUAUACAUGAUCUGUUGGUUGCCUUUGGCGGACAGGGGAGGUCCUGUCCGUUCGGCGUCUGUUCGACGCGCCCGGGCCGGACCAAAUUGGUAGCGGUCUCGGGGCGUGACAAGCUACAUGCCUCAAUUACAUGUAUAUGCAUCAACAUGAAUUCUUAGCUUUCUUAGACAUAAAGGCAACCUAGUCGCUUCGGUAAGCACAACCCACCUUAACUUGCGUUCCGAUUGCUUGUCGACACUUGCAAUCGGUCUCCCGCGGCACCCGUAUCCGGCACGGCCCAAUAUUGCAACUGCGUCACAACAGUGCUCCGCUUCGUAGCCCCAAAAAUUAUAGGUCUGCAGUUAUGUAUCACGGUGCCACCAGUCCAUUUUCAUGACCUUACGACGUCGCCUCGGCCCUCCAGGCGGAAACGAAGCUAAAUCGCCUGUUUCUUCAAUAUCUUUAUAACGGCUUGACAAAUGGCUGAACCGACUUCGCCAACGCGUUCGUUUACCUAUCAAUUAGGUUUACAGAGGUGUAAAUGAGAUCAAACCCAUCUAUUUACAAAAACCCCAUUUUGAGCGCAAAAUACUCCAAAUCGAAUCAAGAAUUGGGUAUUUCCCACUUAUUUAGCAUGCUAGGAUUCCAUCCAAACCAUCCUUAGAGGGUAUAAACCAAACCCUAAGAAGUUACCAUUAAAGACCUAGAAGCUUACCUCUCUAGGUUUGCUCCAAGGUGAGGAAGAAGAUGAUGGGAAGGAAGCUCUUUCUCCUAGCCUCCAUCUCCAUCUUCUCCAUCUUCUUCUUCUUCUCUUCUUUCUCUUCUUUCUCUUCUUCUUUUCUUUUUCGUUGUUAGAGAGAGAGAGGGAUGGUGUUGGGGUUGAAACGGUGAGGGAAAGAGAGAGAGAGAGAGGUUUUAAUCCUCUCUAUACACUUAACCCAUGCAACAAUUGCAUAGAAACCCCCCAACAAGUCUCUUCUUGCAACAGCCCGAACUGGGCAUUUUCGGGCUACGGGGACCCGUCCUUGGAUGAGGGACCGGUCCCUUAGAGACCGGUCCCUGGCUGAGGGACCCGUCCCCGUAUGCAUUCCAGCCCAGCCUCAAGGACUUAGCCAAAUUUUCAGCAUUUUCGUCCGUUUUCACUCGUUUUCGCUCGUUUGACCUCCGAUUCACUUCAAAUCGAACCGAGACUCUCCAUACAUGUUUUCAAGCAUGUUUUCAUCAUCUUUCCAUCCAUGCUAAUGCCGGAUUUAGCUCAUGGUCCAAUAUAGCCUUUCGGGUUUCGUUUUCGCGCCUACGCGCACCGAAACGCCCGAUUGCUCCCGAACUUCACCGAACUUCACCGGAACUAUUCAAAUGGCUCUCCAACCAAAUGUACACCGUAACUUCAUGAUUUUAGAAGUCCAGUACCUUACACCCGCCCUGAAACCCCUACCAAUUUGGCACGGUUCGGGCGCGGCGAAUGGAUGCCGAACGGACAGCACCUCCCCUGUCCGCCUAAGGCUUAACAACAAAUCGAGUACAAGAAUUUACCCAGAAUUUUAAAUUCUAUAAGUACACAAUCAACGGGGCACAAACAGUGCCAACAACGAAUAGCAAGUAAUCCACAAGAUAACACAAGUGAAAUAAAGAGAAUUUUUACUAACUAUUACAUUAAUUGCAUCUAAUUAUAUCACAUUCUUUUACAUUCACAUUUUCCUCAAAAUGAAUACAUACUCUCAAGUACAUAGCCCUCCAAAGUCCUCACCUACAUGAAUCUCUCUCAAAUACAUAGGUGUGCUAAUGCAAAAGGAAAGCUACUACUCUACCAAUAGUCCUCACUGGUCGGGCGCGAUGGCCCUGCCGCGGUCCUCGCCCGGCAAACCUGUACCUAGCCCUGGAAAUAGAGUGGGGUGAGAACUAUCUUCUAUAGUUCCCAGUGGGCUCGGCCGUCGACUCCACCAAUCUCCCCACUAGGUCCAAGUGGGCAAAAGUAACGACGAAACAGAUAAAUAGAUAGAUAUCAAAGCUGUAAAGACAUAAUAGGAAAACUAUGCUACUAUGGCCAUAAUCAUGUGUAAUGAAUGCAUGCAUCAUAUAGUAGAAGGUUACUUUCAUGCUAACAAAUUCGAUCCAUAUUCGAUAAACAAUGUUCAAAGUCAUUAUUAACUUUUCAUUUACCCAAUCUGUGGCAAAACCCUUGGGUUUGCCUACGACUCACAUAUCCAUCCCAUUGGGUAAGGAGGCUCCAUGUGCCCCGAACCCGGGACUAUCUGCGAACAACUCUGUCCUAUCGCCCGACACUCCGGAGUACUCGACGAUUAAUCCUCUCCAUGUGAGGAUAUGGAUGGAUUUACCAUCCCGAAUAACAGACCGUGAGCUUGAUCUAUCCUCUCCACGUGAGGAUACCUUACGAACUAGGGCCAACAUUCUCUCGGAACUCACCUAUUCCGACUUUCAUGCAUAGUUACUUAGCUUUACUAAGUUCAUUGUUCACGAGUCAUUUUCUAGGGAAUCCACCUAUCCCUAAGUUCAUGAACCUCUAGUGUCAAGUACACUACAUAAUGCCACUCGUUCUGUUCUUUAAACAUUUAGAUGCCACUCUCUAUGUCACUAAAUAACCAUCGAGUUCAUCUCUUUCCUUUAGCACUAUAGGAUCCAUGUUCCAACCAAAUUCUUACCUAUCUAUUUCACCAAGUAUUCCAUGUAUACUAGGUUAACAUUUAGAAGCAUAAGGAAAAGGUACUACAAUGCAAUCCUACAAUGCAACAUGCAAGAGAUGAGAUUAUAUGUUAUUCUAAGACAUAAUAGAGAAUUCGGUUGCUUCGGGAUGACACCCCCCACCUUUUGAGGGUAUGAAGGUUCUAGAAAUGCUUCUCGCCGAACGUUACGACGAUGUCUCGGCCUCCUUAGUCCAAAACGACGCUCAGUCGGCUAUAUUUUGCCGAUAGCUUUACACCCGCUCGACGAAUCAUAAAUCCAACUUCGCUCUCGCGUUUAGACACCUAUCAAUUAGGUUUACAAGCUACUAAAUGAGAUCAAUCUCAUCAUUUAUCAAAAACCUCCAUUUGGAGCCCUAGGUUUGCACCUAUAGCAAACCACUCCAUCCAAACCCUAGAUUCUAGCAUUGAUCUAUUUAGAAGCAUGCUAGAAAUCCAUUUGACCCAUUUCCAAAGCCAAAAAUCCAAAACCCUUAGCUCUACAUGCUAGGGUUUAGUAGCUUACCUCUUGAGCUACUCCAAAGGGAUGAAGAGGGAGAGAAGAAGGUGGUGGAGAUGAUCUUCUCCAAGCUCUCCUUCUUCUUCUUCUUCUCCUCCUUCUUCUUCUUUUCUUUUCUUUCUUCUCUUUCUCUUUUCUUUUCUUGAGAGAGAGAGGGAGCUGAGGGAGAGAGAGUGUGAGAGGGAGUGCUAGAAUGAGAGAGGGAGAGAAUGAUCUCCCCUCUAUACCCUCUAACUAAUGGCAUUUUGCAUAAAAGCCCCUCCACUUUAACCCUCUCAACUUACUCUGCCUAGGCAGAUUUCGCGCGAAGGGACCAGUCCCUGGUCGGGAGGACCGGUCCCCUAGGACCUUCCCAAUUUUCACGUGUACGGGAUCCGGUCCCUGCCCGAGAGACCGGACCCUUGAGGACCAGUCCUUCCCGAGAGACCGGUUCCCGAGAGCUGACCUCUCGGGACUUAGCCAAAUUUUCACUUCUCCCGCUUGCUUCACCUACGGGGACCGGUCCCUCAGCCCUGGGGAUCGGUUGCAUCAGGCAAUGCCGCAACCACCAGCUACGGGGACUGGUCCUUCCCUGCCAGGGACCGGUCCCCGAGAGCAGAAUAUGCUAAGUGCAGAUUUUGCACUAUUUGCUCUCGUGGACUCGACUCCAAAGCACUUUUUGUGUUUUGGACAUCUCUAGCUUCUCCGAAGCCUACUCACUCGACAAUUAGUCGAUCCUGGACGAAGUAUAACUCUCGAAUUUCGAGAAUUCACUUUCUUACAUCCUCCCUUCCUUAAAAAGAGUUUCGUCCUCGAAACUGAUUCAACUUAAAUUUAAACUCAGUUUCCAUACCUUAUUCUUCAAACAAGUGAGGAUGAUUCUUUCUCAUCAGAUCCUCGAGUUCCCAGGUGCCCUUGCGAUCAUCAUGAUUGCUCCACCGAAUCUUCACGUAGGAAAUCUCGCAAUUUCGCAGCUUUCGCACUUCUCGGGCGAUAACCAUCACCGGAAACUCCUCGUAGCUCAAGUCUUCUUGGAGUUCCGGCAGCUCGUAUAGCAUCGCAUGCUCAGGGUCAUGAAUGUACUUGCGAAGGUUGAAGACAUGGAACACAUUGUGCACAUCCGCGAGCUUCGGCGGCAAGGCAAGUCGAUAGGCCACCGUGCCAACUCGCUCCAAUAUCUCAUAGGGUCCAAUGUACCGGAGAGUUAACUUUUCCCGCACUUUAAAUCGCUUUACACCCCGCAUUGGCGAAACCUUUAAGAAUACGCGGUCGCCCACCGCGAACUCUAUGUCUCGACGGUGCUUAUCAGCAUAGCUUUUCUGUCUCGACUGCGCCGUGAGCAAUCGCUUGCGAGCAAGGCGGACUUUCUCCUCUGCUUCUCGCAACACGGCUAGACCGAACUCUGUACGCUCACCCACAUCGCUCCAGUGUAUAGGAGACUGACACUUCCGCCUAUAGAGGGCCUCGAAUGGUGUCAUCUCCACACUAGCGUGAUAACUAUUGUUGUAGGCGAACUCGGCCAUUGGCAAAUGAUCACACCAACUCCCUUUAUAGUUGAUGACACAUGCUCGCAACAUAUCCUCCAGAGUUUGAAUGGUCCUCUCUGUUUGCCCAUUUGUCUGAGGAUGGAAUGCUAUACUAAAAUCGAGACGUGUGCCAAGGGCUUCCUGCAGGCUCUUCCAAAAAUGCGAAGUGAACUGGGGGUCGCGAUCCGAUACGAUUGACUUCGGCACCCCGUGCAGUCUCACUAUCUCGUCAAGGUACAUCUGCGCCAACUUGUCACCUGCCCACGUGGUGUGGAUCGGCAAAAAGUGAGCCGACUUCGUCAAUCGGUCCAUAAUUAUCCAUAUCGCAUCGUGGCCGCCCAUUGAGCGAGGCAAGCCGACCACGAAGUCCAUUGAUAUGUCUUCCCAUUUUCAAACGGGGAUUGGUAGGCUUUGAAACUUUCCCGCUGGAAACCGACCCUUGGCCUUUACUUGUUGGCAUACUAAGCACUUAGCCACGAAGCGUCCAAUAUCACUUUUCAUUCCCGGCCAUCUAUUUAUUGGGCAUGUACAUAUGUAUGUGUGAUUAUGCAUCUUAGGGUUCAAGUUAUUCUUUUUCAUGUGAAUUGCAUGCUUUCCAAGUUAAUGGUAGACAAUUGCAAUUGAGAACUUUAUGCUUAUGAUACAUGAAUAUGAUUCCAUUUGAACCCUAGAGAUACAAUAACUAAUAGGUUGUACGGACGUAGAAACCAUAGUGAAACAUUAGGUGUCAUUGUGAUGUCGAUCAUGAACCUAGUGGCAAAACUAUGGAUUGGGUAUAACCUAUUGUAGAUGCAGAGAACUAUGACAUUGUGUUGAGAUUAUACAUGUAGUAUGUGCUAGAUGUUCAGCUAUAGUCACAUAUACCGUGAGAUGUUACAUGCUUAGCCAUAAUCAUGUAGCAUAUAGAGGUAUGUUGCCAUAGUUGCACAUGAUUUGAGAUAAGCAUGUUAUGGAUUGGCAGAUCCCUAGAUAGUGUCAUUCUUUUAUCAUAUGUCAUGGUGCAUGAGAGUUGCAUGAUGUAUUUGUGAACUAGUGGUGAGACUAAAGUAUGGACUUAGACAGAACUUGUGUAACACUAGGUGUAUUGAUAGUUGUAGAACUUGAACCUAGUAUAUGAAUUGAGUAAAAUUUCAAGUGUCAAUAAAGGUUUGAGUCAUUGCAUUUAUAGUGUGACAACUAGCACCUUGCCAUUGGAAUUGAAAUAGAUCCCUAAAGGUUGCUAUUCGGAUUAAAAUAGAUCCCCAGAUAUUAUCACAAGGGUCAGUGGUGAGUCCUCGAUAUAAAAGGACUAAAUCAUACUCAUAUAGUCUGUGUUUGGCUUGUGGAGGUCGCGACUCCACAAGCAGUGAGCUCGGAGUGUCACAUAUAUCGGUGAUUGGGUCACUUUAUCGCCUCCCCAGCAGAUAAACGAAGUAGGUGAUUGGGUCGCAUUUUCGCCUCCCCACACGGUUUAGAGAUGUAAGUCGGGCUCGACCGUUGGUGAGCUGGUGCGAUUGGGUCAAGAGGUACUUUGUAGAGAGAGGACAUAAUAGUGUCAUAUGUUUGGUAAUGGGUCGAUUGUGCCUCCUCACGAAUAGCCGAGGUAGAUGAUUGAGUGGUGGAGCUCAUCCCCACAUAGCUGAGAGGGCUAAGUUGGGCUUAGUCUUAUGGCAAGUGCUUGAUCAGGUUAUGAGUAAAUAGAGAGCCAAGUUGAGCAUAUUGGACCUUAAAACUUAUUUCAUGUUGUAAAGGCAUAGUAGUAUUUGUGUUCAUUCAGCUUAUGUAUAGUAUAGUUGUUAUACUAUCUUCCUAUUCUUUUAUCUACUUAUGCCUUGUUGGACCUAGUGAAAAAGUCGGUGAGGUCAACGGCCGAACCCACUGGAAAUUUUUUUUAGUUCUCACCUUCUAUUUUGUAGAGCCAACCGUGAGCAAAGCAGCACCAGACCAGGGCGUGGGUGUUGCGUUCUGGAUAGUGGAGUCACCAAGUGUAAGUUACAUGUGUUCAAAUAAAUGAAAAGAUUGUAAAGAUAUUUGGAACGAAAAUGUAAUUAAAAAUAAAGAUUGUAUUUUGAGAAAAUGACAUGUACCAUGUAUUAUAAAGAUUGUAUUUUGAGAAAAUGACAUGUACCAUGUAUCAUGUAUCUAAGUUGAAAAAUGUAUGUAUAAAUGUAGUUGUUCCAAUAUUGUAAUAAUUAGAUUUAUAUUCUCGCUCUUGUGAUAUACCCUCGUGUAGAACUGUAUUAUGUUAUUUUUUCUAGGUGCAAUUUAAUAUAUUUGGUUUUGUUUACGCGUUGGAUGGAUAGAAAAAACUAUAUUCGUUCGGCGGGUCUGUACACGUGCCUGCAUAGCCUCCAUUGUGAAAUGGGGCAGGACAUGACAAUAGCGACAACGGUGCCGAAGGAGAAGAGAGGAAUGAGAAAAGGAAAGGAGAGAUGAGUAAGGGCAUUCUAAUCAGAUUUCUAAAAACCUAGACUAAAUUUGUAAUAUUAAAAAAAAAAAAGGCCAGAUUUACAAAAGUACAAAACCAAUAGAUUUUUUAUGCAAAUUGGCCAAACUUCUUUGCAAACUAGUGGUCAACAUGAAAUUUGUAUUUCACCAAUUUUCUAAAGCCAUAUGAUAUAGUAAAAAUCCCAUCACAAAUAAUAUAUAUAUGAUGAUAUGAUAAGUUUGAAUACAAAUAAUAUUGCUUUUUAUGACGGAUAGAAGUGUGCAUAAUCAAAUGUUAUUAUUUUCAAAUAAUAAUAUACUGAGUAUAUAGAGAAUAUUUUAUCUCAAAAUAUUUUCACUAAAAUCAUUUUUAUGUUAGUUUAUCUACCCUUUCCUCUAAUUUGAAGCUGGUGUAUAUAUAUGCUUACCCUUUAAUAGAAGAAUUUCAAUGUGUUGUUAACAUGCAGGCAAAUUCAUGCCACAUUAAAUUAUCCAUAUUAGCUAACAAAAAAAAUUUAUAUUAUAUUUAUACUUACAUAAUAAUAUUAUAUAAAAUCAGUAAUUUGUUUAACGUAGCAGUACUCUUCCCAGUUUCCCUUUACUAAUUUUCGCUUUUACUUUGAGAAAGGAGUCAGUGUGCGAUGUGGGGGUUUUGAGAGAGAGAGAGAGAGAGAGAGAGAGAUAGAGAUGUGUCCUUCUCUAGGCUUUACUAAAAGAAUGAUUGGCCAAACACUCGUGUUCGGAGGGGAUGGGCGUACCAAAACCGUACGUACCGCACAUUUAAGAGGGAUGAGAGGGAGUAUUUAUUUGCUUGCAAACUUAAUUGUCACACAUUAAUGAUGCGCAGAAAAAAAAAUAAAAGAAUAUAAACCGUUUUGCAAAAAAAAAAUAAUGUUGAUAAAAAUAAAAAUGUACAAAAUAAUGUACUGAAAUUAUAUAUAGACCAUUUUUUUAAUUUAAUUAUCCAAUCUUUGGGUAUUUAACUUUUAAUUUAUUUGAUUUAAAUUAAUAUUUACUUUAAUAAAAUUUAUAAUUACGAAAAUUAAAUAAAAUAUACUGACUAAAUCUGUAAAAUUAAAUGAUGUAUUUAAGUUUUGAAGUCCAAAAUAUCGUUGACUAACUGAAAUCAAAUAAAUUGAAAAGCUAUGUAGUAAAACAAAAAAUUUUUAAAGGUUGGAUAGUCAAAUCAGAAUGGUCUAUAGUUCAUAUUAGUUUUAUACAUUUUUAUGAAUAAUAUUACGAGCGCCUCAAAAUAUGCAACAAAAUGCUAUAAUAAGCAAGUGGCAAAUCUUUAUGACGUAACACUUGUUAGGGUCAUCUGGUUUAAGAUUUUUGAUAAUUCAAAAAUAUUAUAUUUUAUAUUUGGAAUAAUAAGCCUGUAACUAACUUCUUAAGGCAACUGGAUUGGAAGGUUGUUAAGAACUAAUAUAUUCUUAUUAAUUAACUAUUAACUAUUCAUAUCAAGCAUGAAAAGAAGAGUACCUCCCAAUUCAUAAUAAUUUAGUGUACCAACCAUCUACAAAUCAAUAAUAAUUUCACUAUUUUGCUAACACUUUUUACAAUUACCCAACUUCAACUAAAUAAUACUUAUUUGAAUAUUUUUAAUAAAAAAAUAUGGAGAAUUACCGGAAUAUUAUAAACUGUGAAUGAAACUGGCCUUAAAUUAAUAAUUUAAGAUUUUCUGUUACCAAUUUUAGCAUAUCUCUAUUUAUUGUUAGGUACAAUUUUCGGAUUUAAUUUCUUGACUUUUAGUUAAAAUUGGAUUCAUUCAGAUUCAAGUUAAAUAGUCGGAGAAAACAUUAGCGAAAUCAUUGCAGAUCUGUAGAUGGAUGAUAAGAAAUACUAUGUUAUUGUUAAUUAAAAAAUUUUAUUUUCAUACUUGAUGCGAAUUAUUAAUUUAUUAUUAAUAAAAAUAAUAAUUUUUAAUAAUUGUUUUAAUUUAAGUGUUUAGAUAAAUUAAUGAUAAAUUUAUCAUUCCCAAACCUUGAUGCCAACUGCCCCUUUUAAUAAUAGCCUAGAUUAAGAUUUUUUUUUUUUUUUUCGUUUUCCUUUGCUUACGAAGUUAACCAUCGUUGGAAGCAAAGUGUCUAAAAUCAAUCGAUCAAUCAUGCGUUUCUUUCUCAAAGCUUUUUAUUUCCUUUAACAAAAGUGGGUGUGGCAUGUGGAUGUUGUCCCCAGCCCCAACCCUAGCCCCAACGUGUUACAUGACAUAAUUAUAUACGCCCGCACGCACCCUUACUACAGCUGUGGGAUGAUCCCGUCGCCAUGAAUGGUCUUAAGCACAUAGACACAGUACAGCUGCUGUUUUUUUUUUUUUUUUUUUUUUUAAGAAAUAGAUAACACGCUACUCGUUUCGUUUAUUUCAUUUAGAAAUAAACUUAGCUGGAGAUGUAAAUCAACUAGGAUUCGAACUUGGGUCUCGGAUACCAACCACCAAGCCUUUUGCCACUUGCUCUAGGGACGGUUCGUCAGUACAGCUGCCGUUGUGUUUCACAAUUGCUUCUGACGUGUGGGGCCCGUGUGCGCGUAACACAAUAAUCCAAUGAUAAAUAUUGAUUAAUUAAUAAUAACUACACCAUCAAUUUUUUUAUUCUCUUUUUCAUUUACCAUAUUGUAAUUUCUGUUUAAAAGCGAUGUUGUAGCUUCAUUGUUCUUUAUAUAAGGGUAUAUUUUAGGAUUGAGGAUGGAAAGGGUUAAGGAUAAUACAAAGAUGAUGAGAUGGAAUUGAAAUUAGGACAGAAUAUUGGACAUUUGAUAAUAAUCUAAUUUACUGUUCGGUGCUUUUAAGAUAACACCAAGGAUUAGAUCAUUUAAUAAAAAUUCAAUUUUUGACCUAAAUUUAAUAUUUAAUUUGAAUUGAGAUAUUGAAAUUUAAAUUCAAAUUUUCCUUUUGAAAUUAAAAGUCAAAAUCUGAUAUUAAAAUUUGAACUCAAAAAUAGUUGUAAUUUUGAUCGAGUUGAAAUUUAAAUCUGAAAUUUAAAUUUGGAAUUCGAUUUAAAACCUUACUUUUGAUUAAAUUUGAAUUCUGAAUUUGACUUUGAAAUUGCAAGAGAUUUCGAUUUCAAUUUUUGAAUUCUAAGAUUGAGAAUCGGAAUCAAGAUUCAGUCUAAAUUUGAAUUGAAAAUUUGAAUCCAAAAGAUAAAUUUGAAUUUGAAAUUUAAAUUCAGCAUAUAAAUUUGAAUUUAAAAUUACAUUCAAAUUUAAAUUUUGAAUUUGAAUUCGAAUCCAAAAAUCUAAAUCUGAAUUUGAAUUCAAGAAUCUGAAUUUCAAUUUGAAAUUCGAAUUCAAACGCUGAAUUAGAAUUUGAAAUUCAUUUUAAAAAUCUUAAAUUGACUCUUGAAGUUUGAAUUACAAAUCUGAAUUUAAUUUUAAAUUACAUUUGAAAUAUGAAAUUGAAUUUGAGAUGGGAUACCUCUAGUAUUUGGAAUAGUUAUAUAUAUAACCGACUAUAACAUUUUGGACAGUAGUUAAGUCCAAAAAAUUAAGAGAGUUAUCCGUAUUAGGGUUAUUGUAAUUUUACAACAGGUGACACCCAGGGAAGCGGUACGUCAUAGUUAGUAUCAGAGUUAAUCAUCAGUCAAAAGUAUGAGAUAAAUCUCGGUUGAGUUCAGAUCAUAUAGCGAACAGAGCUGUAUGUAUUAUAUUAGUCUCGGUUGAGAUAGGUUCAUACAACGGGCAAAGUGCAGCCUUCCGACUGACAAUCGUUGUGGGUGAAAUGUAGCUCCCCGCAUGAUCGGCUAAAACAAGUGAGACGAGUCUCGCAUCGCCUAAUAUUUGUGAGUGUACUUAAGUUAUGAGGAUGGGAAGGGCUUAAAAAGAGGAGGAAUGGGACACCCUUAGAAUUUGUAUUUUGUAAUAGUCCUAUAUAUGAGAUAUAAUAGGGUUUAAGGCUCUUAACCCCACUAUAGCACUUUAGAUAGCGGUUAGACCGAAGAAAUUAAGAAAAUUAAACAUAUUGGAGCUAGAAUAAUUCUAGGAUAAAUGACCCCCGGAGAAGCGAGGCGCCUCAUGAGAUUUGAAUUCAAAAUUUGAAUUUUAAUUCAAAAUAAAUUUAUAACCUGAGUUUGAAUUUAAAAUUCAAAUUCUAGAUCUGAAUUUGAAUUCAAAACUUGAAUAUAAAAUUUAAAUUUAAAUUUUUAAUUCAAAAUUUAAAUUUUGAUUAAAAUUUAAAAUUCAAAUUUUUUAAAUUUAAAUUUAUUUAAAUUUGAAGUUCGAAUAAAUGAAAUCGGAAUUUAAAUUUAAAAUUUGAAUCCAAAACUAUGAUUUGAAUUUAAAAUUUAAAUUCAAUAUCUAACUUUGAAUUUAAUACCGAAUUCAAAAUAUUGAAUUUAAAUUUAAAAUUUAAAUUUAAAAUAUGAUUAAGUUUAUAAUUCGAAUUAAAAUCCUGUAAUUAGUAGUAGUAUUUACAUUGAAAAUGUAAGAGUAAAAAGCUUGCGUGUCUAAUCAAAUCUAACCCUAAUCUCAAACCUUUAAUUAGGUGGGAUUAAUUAGUCCUCAAGGGACUAAUUUAGUUUAAUCCAGCAACUAUACCAAAGGUAGGACUAAUGCUGGACCGAAUUUUUCUAAAUCCAAUCCUCUUCUAAUAUCAUGCCUCUCAAGUAGUAGAGAACGACGUAUACUCAAAUUCUGCUAACUAUAAUUUCAAUGAAUCUAAUCUUGAACGAUCGUAUAUAUGCUACGGUGUGCAAUAGAGUACUCAUUCAUUAGACAAAGAAAAUCACCAAAAAUUAUGUGAUUGUUGUCGAGCCUAUUCCAAUUCCAACAUAUUACACUCGAACUACAAAUAUCACAAAAUAUAUUAUAUAAAUAGAAAAGAGACUCGUUCGAUAUCUCAAUAUUGAUUAGAUUUGAAAUCUAACAAUCAAAUUGCUCAUUUAAUAAGUAUUUUCAAUAUUAUGCCAUGACAAGGACUUGACCUCCACACUUUAUAGUAGUAGAUUUUGAGUCUGAUAUGUUGGUUUAAAUGGGCCAGCAUUUUGCCCUAUGACGGGUGGUCGGGUUGGACCGAGUCACGUUCGAAAUGGCGUGAGGUUGGGCAGACCGAGUCAUGUUCGAAGUGGCAUUAGGUCGAGUGGUCCGAGUCACAAUUGAAACUUGUGGGCGUUGUAUCUGUACGCUUUCAGUGAAUUAGUUGCGUAUUUCUAACAGCUCGAAAUUUUAGGAUUAAUGGUUAAUGCCAAUGAUCCGACAAGUGAUAUCAGAGCUAGAGGUCACAAGUUCAAUUCCCGUAUGCUGCAAAUGUGUGUAAGUUCUAGAAAGAGGAUUGUUGGCUUAAAUGGGCCAGUAUCUUACCCUGUGGCGGGAGGCCGGGUUGGGCCGAGUCACGUUCGAAAUGGCGUGAGACUGGAUAAGCCGAGUCAUGUUCGAAGUGGCGUGAGGCCAAGUGGGCUGGGUCACAAUUGAGACCCGUGGGUGCCUGUAUUUGUACGCUUUAAGUGAAUUGGUUGCGUAUUUCUAACAGCGCGAGCUUUUGGGAUUAAUGGUUAGCGCCAACGAUCCGACAUAACAUGUUUACCAUUUCACAAUGUUUUAAAACUAGGUUGAAUAACAAUUCAACAAUAUUAUCAGAUCAAGGAUUACUGAUUCAACUAGUGAAAAGUGGAUGUCGUAAAUAUUUAAUUAUUAUUAAAAUAUACAUAUAUUAUUAUUCUAGUAUCAUAAUUAACUAUAAAAUUAUGAUUUUUAGACCAAAUUAUAUAGAUGUAAGCCUUCAAGUUUUACUUUUAUAAAAUUAGUUUGUGCCUACAGAAAAUAAAAUCAGCUAAGUUGAGUUUAACUCGUUGGAUGGUAAUAUGACGUGAUAAAAAAAAACCUAGUCAAUUUCAUUAAAACAGGACUGGUUCACUAGUUCGAUGGUUGAAUCGCCGGCUCAAAUGGUUCAAAAUAAUUUUUUAACUUAUUCAGGUUAAAGAAUUGAACCGAAUCAUUUCAUAGAAUGAGAUACGGUCAAAUUGGUUGAACCGGUCAUUUCAACCGGAUUUUUAAAUCAUUGCCAUUCUACCCCAUUACAAAAAGCAAAUGAAAUAUUCUCCAAUAGCAAAAAGCCGUAAUCUUCAAUACCAAUGUUUAAAAAUCGGAUCGAGCUAGUCGGUUGGACCGGUAAAAAAUGCUUUCAACCGUUCGAACCGGCAAUCCAACAAUCAAAUUGAUAAAGAAAUCCGAUUUUAAUCAAGCCAGUUAAGUUUUUUUAUCAAGUUAUAUUAAAAUCCAACGGCUUAAAAUCCACUUAGCGAUUUUACUUUUUAUUAGUAUAGAUUAGUCUUAUAGGCACUGUUUGGUUAGGGGAUAGGGAUAGGAAUAGGCCCUUAUCCCUCCCUUUAUACCCAAACGCUAAUUUUUUAUCCGAGAAUAGUAGUUCUCGGUUAUCCCCACCAACACCUCCAUUUUCUAUAUAAAACUUCCUAAUAUUUUUCUUAUCCUCGGGAACAACCUAAUUUUCAUCCAAACGCUAUUUUUCUUAUCCCCAUACUUGUACCUAUACCUGUAAUAGCUAGUUCUUGCUUAUACCCGAACCAAAUGGUACCAUAAGAUGUGAAAUUUGAAAACGUAUAUCUACUUAAUUAAAAAUAAUAAUUAUAUAUAUAUAUAUACUUGCGAUGUGAUACUCACGUUCAAUUCUUAACUAUUCACUGAUUGAACUAGUGACUUUUGAUCUAAUAAUAUUUUCGGAUGAGUUCGUGUGUAAAUUAUUGUUUUUUUUUUUUUGAGAGAUAGGUAGCACGCUAUCCGCUUUGUUUAUUUCAUUUAGAAAUAAACUUAGCUAGAAAUGUGAAUCAACUAGAAUUCAAAUUUGGGUCUCGAAUACCAACCAUCAAAUUUUUUGCCACUUGCUCUAAAGACGGUCGGCAAAUUAUUAUUAAAUACAUAAGCGUAUACUAGUACUAGUACUAGUGCUAGUACUAGUUUUGAAGGUUUUAAAUUCAUGGACAGGUGUCACGCCACAACGGAGCGUUGCGCCGAAGGAAUCUUGCAAACGCCCACAGGGGCCAACAAAACAAAUAAUUUUCCUUACUUUAUAAUAAAGUCAUGGUCUAAAAUAAUGAUGCCCUCCUGAUUAUUAAUUAAAGAUCACACGUUAGUAAGAGAAUAGGAAAGGAGAGCGCUUAAUUAAUUAUAUGCCAACUCCGUCGAUCCGUUCCGUGAGUGGAGCCCCUUCCCCCUCUUAUUAUCUGUCUAAUCUUUCGAUGAUCUUUAUGCCCCAGCCCGCCGCGAAAGCAGGGGCCGCUGUGGUGGUGGUGGUGGUGGGGAUCCGCGCCCACUUUACAUGGCACGUGCGAGCUUGUGGGCCCGCCCUAGGCACGUGUAUGCACGGAGCCAGAUGAAGGUUAUCGGGAUCUGGGCAGGAACCAUGUGCUGCGUGGGGCCCACAUGAAAACCCUCCCCACCCAUCUCUCUCCCCCGCCCCCCUCUCUCUCUCUCUCUCUCUCUCUCUCUCUCUCUCUCUCUCUCUUCCUUUACCAGUUACCUCCCUUCUUCUGGGUGAGUGUACCUCUGCAGCUCCACUUCGGCGUUCUGGUUGUAUGUUGUUUGGUUAUAUAUGGCGUUUUUGGUUGGAUGUUGUUGGUUAUAUAUGUUUAACUAGUUUAUUAAAAUUAACAUAUAUAACUAGUUUUUAUAUCCUCCGUGCUUCGUGGCGGAUCCAUAAUAUUUCAGUAAAACAACAUAUAUAAUUAUUAAAAUUUAAAAUUUAGAAAAUUUAAUAAAAAAUAAAAAAAAUUAUAUAGCCUUCUAUACUGCUAAUCUUUUUUUGAUUAAUAUUUUUUAGCUUUCAGUAUUUGUAGAGUUAGAGUAUUCUAGUAACUUCACUUAAAAAUUCAAUCAAACUUAGUAUUUUUAGUAGCUAUUCUGUAAAUAAAUUUUUAAUUAAAAAGUUAAAAUUGGAGGACUUAUUCUGAAUUAUAAAUAUAUGAUAUUAUUCUUAUCAAGUUAACAUUGAUUGGAGAAAGAAGAAAAUUAUUAUAUACACCUGGUGUAUAUCAACACACCAUACACCACAACUUAUAUUAAAUGACUAAUUUCUAAUAUCGAAACUUAAUUAAAUAUAUCUAAAUUACAAAGUCUAACAAUUUAAAUAUAUUUACUUAAUUAAAUUUUAAAAUAUCUAUUCGAUGUUUUAAAUAUGUGGUGUAUGUUUUUAUAUACAUCUUGUAUAAAGAAUGCUUAAUAGAGUGCAUUCAUAAUUCCAAGAAAAUUAAAGAGGAAAAAUCUUUACUUGCACCUAAUGUAUACUAAUAUUUCAUACACCAUAAAAGCAUAUUAGAUAAUUGAUAGAAUAUCUGAUAAUCUGAUAAUUAGUAUUAAAGAUUUUUGUGAUGUGAUGGAACGGCCAAAUUAUAUAUCUUACAGAUUUUGAAAUAUUAACAAUAAAAAAGGUUUGGUGUAUAUGAUAUUUUAAUAGAUCGGGUGCAUGCAAUAUUGUUGAAGUAGAGAAGGGAGAGAAAAGAGAACACAUGUUGCUCUGAGGGCUUAUGAUAUGACCCAACUGUCAAAUUAAUAUAUCUACUAUAGAUAGAUAAUUAUUAAAAUUUUAAGAUAAAAAAUUAUAACUAAAUAAAAAAAAUUAUAAAAUAGUGUUAUGUACAUUAAAAAAUAACUUUUAUAUUAAUAUUUUCUUAAUUUUGAAGAGUUAUAUUAUUUUAACAAUAUUAUUUAUAAAUUAAUCAAAUUUAAUAGUUUUGAAAACUGUUAUAUAAAUAACUUUUUUUAACUAAAAAUGUAAAAUUGAGGAACUUAUUUCAAAUUGCCGAAAAUGCGAAGAUGUCUUUACCUUAUUCAAAUUGAUUGAAAAUUUUUUUUCUUAUAUGCGCAUGAUAUAUAGUAACAUUUUAUACACCUCAACUUAUAUUAGAUUAUAAAUAUUUUGAUAUCAAAACUUAAUUAAACAUAUAUAAUCUACAAAGUUAAUAAUUUAAAUUCUAUUUAAAUUCUAUUUAAUGAAUUAGAUUUUAAAUAAAAAAUAACGAAAAAAAGAGUCGAAGAAUCAAAAAAAUACAAAUAAAGAAAUUUAAAAUGAAACAAUAGCUACUACAGUAAAAAUUUAAGAAGUAUAAAAAAAAAACUAUAAGAAGAAUUAUAUUUAUAGCAGUAGUAAGAGUUGAGAAUUAAAAUAUCAUAUGUCUCAUAAUUUGAGUAAGAAAUUACAACUAAUUAACAUUUAAGAUCUUAAAUAUUGUGUUCCUUUUUGAAUAUUUCAAAAGAUUCUGAAUGUAAAGUUGAUUGCCUAUAAAAGUAUAAGCAUAGUAUUGAAGUUUAAUAUUAAAACCAAAUGUAUCAUUUUGAAUCAAUUAUUUUAAUUUUCAAUUUUUUUUUUAUUAUUAAAUUUUUUAAUUUAUUUGAUUUGAGUCGAUCAACAAUAUUUUGACUUUAAAUUUUGAACGCGUCAUUUAUUUUUAUACAUUCAGUUAAUAUAUUUUAUGCAAUUAUUGUAAUUUUAAAUUUAUUAAAGUAAGUAAUUAAAUUAAACUCUAUCAAUAUCUAUUUUAAUUUUAUUGUACAAGUUAUUUUUAAGUGAUAAAUAUUGUAAAAUUAAAAUUUAUACUCAACAUAUGUAAUUUUAGUUAUAUAAAAAGUUGUGUAAAAACUUGUAGAUUAUAUAAUUUAAAUUUUAGGAGAGAAUGAGAGGAAUGAGUUGAAAAAAAAAGGCCCACUACCCCGAGAGAGAGAGAGAGAGAGAGAGAGAGAGAGAGAGAGGAGAAUUAGUGGGAAAAAAAAUCCUGCCCGAGCCACCCAAUCGCGCCCGCUCGCUUGCGCUAGAGCGUGACCUCGGUCGGCGUCCGCUCGUGCCCCUCGCGUGCGCCUGUGCCCCUUACAUGCGCCCGCCGACACCGCGCGAGACCUGCGCCCCUCACACGCGCCCACGCCUGCCCGCGCCCGACCCGCCCGUGCUGCCAUGAUAAGAACUCAACUUUUAUUAUAUCUAUAGAUCCUGGCUUAAUGAAAUGACCAAUUUGAAUAAAAAAUCUAUUAAUUUUAAAAUUUUGUAAAUAUAGAUUGUUUUUUAGAUUUACAAAUUUGAACUGAGUUAUAGAAAAUUGACCAAAAUACUCUCAUUCUGUUUUCUUUCUUUUUUUUUUUCUUCUCUUGUUCUUCUUUUUUUCUCUUCGACCCUCCUCCAUCACUACCGCGGCCCUCAGUGACAGUAACGAGGGCAUCACCGCGUCCUAUUCCUCUGCUUUAGCUGGCACCGAUGCCGGCACCAGAGGUAGAGGAUUCGGAGUGAGUGCGAGUGAGAGUAGAGCUGAUGGAGGUGAUGAGGUAGUGGCUGCAACGGUGCUUGUUGUCGCCUGUGAGGGUGAGAACGAAGAUGCACCCCGCACUUCUUCGAGGAGAGCUUUCAGUGAGGGUGGUGCUGCAGUGGAGGGUGAAGGAGAGAUCGCGAUAGCGAAAAAAAAUGUAGACGACAGAAAAAAAAUAAGAAAAAUAAUGAAUAAGAAAUAGUAAAGAAAAAUAUUUUUUUUUACAAAAGAGGCGAAGAAACAGAGAAAAAAGAAGAAGAUGAUGAAGUUGCACUGUUAAGAUGAAGUUGCACUGACAGAAGAAUUCUGCACUGUUUUAGAUGAAAGUUAUACUAUUUGAGAAAAAAAUUAUAUUCUUUUAGAUGAAAGUUAUAUUUUUUGAACGAAAGUUGUACUAUUUAGGCAAAAGUUACACCAUUUCUCCUCCUCCUUCCCCUGCACUUCCUCCUGCUUUUUCUGCACCCAUCUUCUUUUCGCCCUUCAUUUCCACCGUAGCAGAUCCGCCACCCACCAAACCCACUUAUGGAACUCGCUAUCCUACCGCCACUGUUGACGACACAGAGGAAACGCUUCUUGGCACUAAAAAUCUCGCUGGCGUGGGAGAGGGACGUAACCCACGACAUCCACUCAGGGACAACGACGUAUGCGGUGGAGACGGAGAAAAGCGCAAUGAUGCCAAAGAAGAGGGUGGGCGAGGAGAGCAAAGUUUAGGGGUUCAGCAUCGCCGCGCUUUCCUCCGUCUUCACCAUGUGCUUCGCCAUCCCCGGGUGGGUGCCGUGGGCCACAUACCCUCAUCCUUGCCGGCGAGCUUCUCGGCGCCGAGAAGUGCUUCAUCUUCAUCGCCGACGAUGGCAUUAGAGACGGUGGGUUUCCAUAAGUGGAUUUGGUGGGUGGCAGAUCUACUGUGAUGGAGGUGGAGAGCGUAGAGGAGAUGGGCGCAGUAGAAGCACAAGCAAGCGGAAGGAAAGGAGGAUAAGAAAGAGAAAAAAUAGUAUAACUUUCGCCCAAAAAGUGCAACUUUCAACCAAAAAGUGUAAUUUUUGUCUCAAAGAAUGUAACCUUCGUCUAAAACAGUACAAUAUUUUUCUCAAAUAGUGCAAUUUUAUCUAAACAGUGCAACUUCAUCAUUAUCUUCUUUUUUCUCUAGUUCUUCGUAAUUUUUGUAGAACUUUUUUUUUAACUUUUCUUUAUUUUUUUAUUUUUUAUUUUUUCUACUAUUUGCAUAUUUUUUCUAUCGCGAUCUCUCCCCCGCCCUCUAUUGCAACCACCGCCCUUGACGGAAGCACUCCUCGGAGAAGAGUGGGUGCGUUUUCGUCCUCACCCUCACAGGUGACAGCGAACACUACCUUGGCCAUGACCUUAUCGCCUCCAUCGCUUCACUCUCACCUUUGCUCGCUCCGAGUCCUCCUCCUUUGGCACUGGCGUAGGUGCCUGCAUCAACAAACGCGAAGGAAGAGGAUGCGGCGCUGCCAUUGUUACCGUUGCGAAGGGCCGCGGAGGCAGUGGAGGUGGAGGAAGAUGGGAGAGCGAAAAAAAAACAAGGGAAAAAAAGGAGAGAGAAAAGGGAAAAAGAGUUUUUUUUGUCCAUUUUUUUAAAAUCCGAUUGGACUAUGCAAAAUUCAAAAAUACAGCCUAUUUUUGAAAAAUCUCAAAAUUAGUAAUUUUUUAUGCAAAUUGGCCUAAUUAAAUCCCACCAUAUUAUUUUUUAGUGUUAUUUUUAUUUAUUAUACUAUAAAUAGUUAAAAAGAUGCUAUUAAACUAUUAAUCAAUUUCUAUAUAUAUACUAUGGUAUAGAUUUAUUUUUAAUUACUAUCUUGUAUAUAUAUAUAUAUAUAUAUAUAUAUAUAUAUAUAUAUAUAUAUAUAUAUAUUUCUAAAAGACAAUACUAAAUAAUUGUUUUCUUAUUGGUCUCUAUAUUAUAACCAACAAAUUUAUUAUUUUAGAUAAAAAUUAAUUGUUGGCGCCAUAAAAGUGACGCCACGUGGCAAACCGACUUACACCACAUUGAAGGCUUUUGGAGCCAAACGCAGAACAACACGUGGUGUGGCAAGAACUGGGGAGCACACGCCCAAAACCGAAAAUUGGUCGGGCAAGAUGCGGUUGAGAUCAGCCAAGAGUAGCCCAUAGAUUUAGUGACAUGGCUGGGACACACCCCAUAAUGGAGAAUAACUGAAUAACGGUGGGCGAGACUAUAAAUAAAUAGAAUACGCCUGCAAAAAGGGUCAUUUUCCCCUACAAACAAGAGACCAUUCUAUUUUCAGCAUUUUUCUGCUUUUCAAAAGUAGUUUACUUGUAAUCUUCACUUUCCUUGCACUUUCUACUUUUAUAGGAGUAGUUUGUUAAGAUAGAUUUUCUCGUUUAGGUAGUAGAUUUUACAGUAUUCCUAAGCGGGACUUGUCACAUGUACAUUUUCUUUUUAUUGAAAUAUAUCAAUGUCACUCGACUCAUCUCAGCCAAGUCAGUAAUAUAAUAGAGUGUACGAACUCGGCUGAGUGGAUCCCUCAUCAGUCGAUCGCUUGAUUUUGUCUGUGGCAUAUUUUGAGGGUCACCAACAAGAGUCAUCUCAUCACUUGACUCGCUUCCCGGAGCAGAGUUAGGCCAAGGCAAUGGUCUUGGAAUUUGGCUCUCAACAAUUUUUCCCACUCUCAGUGGGACACAUAUAAGUAAUUCCUUAAUUUUUUCUUUAUCUUAUGACUGACGAUAACACUAUGAACCUUCGGAAUAGAGUCAUUUCCAGGCCUUCAGGGAAUAACAAAGUUAAUAGCAUUGAAAAUGCGAACGAGUAUCAGAUAAUGCUACCAGUGGAAGGUGAGACUAGCGGACAUUCAGCUUAUCAGGAGCCGAAUCUAACUCAAGCACUCGGCUAGAUAACCCGAGUCUUGCAAAUUCUAAAUCAAAAUAGUCAUCAAAGCACUGCGUGACUAGACACAGUGUUGGUCGCAAUCAUGGCCUUCAAUAAAUAUAUUGCCCGAAUAGGGUAGCUGUUAGUGCGCAAUGAGCAACCUUAUGGAGGUCUACAAGGACCGCCAACAAUGCCAAUGCCACAAGAUCCUGUUACACCGGCAGUCGCACAAGCGCAACCCCAAACCACACCGUUCCAAGUUGCGUAUAGACCGGGGAACUGUCACGCCACAAGGCCUAAAGCAGUGCCUUCUUUUUUUUUACAAAUCAGAGUUACGAAAAUAUAUAUAUAUAUAUUUUAAAAAAUAGCCUGACCCACGUGACGUACAGACCUGUAACAAAUACAAAGUUCUUCUGCCCACACGGACAGAGUCUUCUUUAUAUUUGCACGGCGUACCCUACGAUAACAAUAAUAGGAUCACAACUCACAACCUACCUUCACCAAUCCACAAGCAAUUGAUGCGAUGCAAUUCCAUACAGCUAGCCAUCCUUAAAGAUGAUGUAUCCCUCUAAACACUUCUUAGGCGUUGGAUGAUGCUGUAACAUACCACAUCCCUCGUAAAUCAUGCCGAGUUCCGUCAAAACGAGCGGAACGCGGAAUUGAACGAGUUAGAAUGGACCCUGAGCACAUUAGGGCUCAUAGGAGAAGCAAAAAGGGAUCCGAGAGAGAGAAUCAGAAAAUCUGGUUAAGUCCCAGAUUUUGUGCUCUCGGGGACCGGUCCCUGAAGGAGAGACCGGUCCCCGUACGCGUAGCCUGCCAAGAAGUCUUGAGGCAACCGGUCCCUGGUGGUGAGACCGGUCCUCGGGAGACCAGUCCCUGAAGGGGCAGACCGGUCCCUCGCUGCGCAACAGCCAAAAUACCCGAAAAUUUGGCUAAGUCCUUGAACACCCACGUUUGCGAACCGGUCCCUGGUCGGGGAGACCGGUCCCCGAAGGCGAAAAAUGCCCAGUCUGGGCAGAUCAAGGGGAAACAAGUUGAGGGGUUUAAAUGCAAUUGUCACAACACUAUAUGUGGACACCCCUCUCUCUCCCACACCCAUUUUCACCCUUCUCUCCCAUUUCCUCUCUUCCUCUCUCUAGAACUCUUGCUCUAGGGCUUGGAGAAGAAGAAGAAGGAGCAAGGGAAGGUGGAUUUGGAGGCUUUGGUGGGUUCUACAAGCUCUCCUACAAGAAGGACUUGGAGGGCUUGGGCUAAGGUGAGUUUUUGGUAGAAAUGAGUCUAGGGCUUGGUUUUAAUCCCUAUGUUUUGGAGCUUUGGAUUGUUUUUGGCCAUGGGAGCCUUCUAUAUGCCUUGAACUCCAUGGAACCCAUGAGAGCUCAAGUACUCUCAUGGUGGUUGGGUAGGGUUUGUCAUGGAAGCCCUAGGGUUGGUUCCAAGGGUCUAGAAACCUUACUAGGAUGCUUCUUAGAUGAUCCUAAGCUAUUGUUUGCUUAAGGUUGGGAUCGAUUCAUGGGAAAACCCUAAAUGACAAUAUUAGGGCUUGAAUUUGGGGCUUUUGCUCUAGGAUUGUUCGGGGACAAAUUGACCUCGUGGAAACCUAAUUGGGGGUGCCCUAAACACGUUGGGCAACUUCGUUUAACAUUACAAAAAUGAUAGAGUAUAGUCCAUGUACAAAAGGCCUAAUAUGGCACCGUUUUGAUUAUAGGGUGCGGAAGCGGCUUUUGUAAAACCCGGGAGUUGUCAUAUACUUCACCCACACGAUUACUAGAGAUGGGGGGUGCACGCCGGAAUCGUUGGAUUCCCUUCUAUGUCUGUUUUCUGUACUCUUGAGCAUAUAUGUAUAGAUAUACCCAUUCAUGCAUAGUAGGGUAGAUACAUGUGGAACUUGGUUUGACUUCAUUUAUAUGUUCCUAACGUAGUUGAACAUAGUGGACGAUAGAACCAAGAGGACAUGUGUGAUUGGACCCUCAAGUUGUGUGAAUGUGAGGUUGGACUUGGACAAUAGAAAACAAGGGUGACAUUGACAUAGAAACAAGAUUGGCAUUGAGAAAUAAACCGUUAAAUCUAGUUUAACCAAAUUAUGGCAUCAUCACGGAUAUGGCCUUGAGAGUGGCAAGAAUGAAUAGGUAGAGACCUACCAUGACAUCGACAUUGUGACCAGUGGCUAUGAAUCCUCAAGUUGGGGAUUAGAUCGAUGCUCACAUUACGUCUUGGCUUGAGGGAGGUCGCUCCCUCUCGAGCGGUGCGCUCCGAAGUUGGUCACCACUGGGCGAGGUAAAGUCCCACCAGUUGACGGUCCCUAGGGAGGUUCGAGUCCCCCGUUAUUAAGGAAUUUUGGGUUGUGAGUUAUUGGGGUUAACAGAGUUAACCGGUAAGAUUGGGUAAGAGCCAAAGCUUGAUUAUGGUUGGAGCAUGCAUGCAUUUCUAUUAUCGCAUUGAAAUUAUAUAUCUACUAACUUCUUUCUUGCAGGCAUAGUAUUAGUUGCAUUAGUAGUGGUUACUUUUCCUCCUUUGAAAUACUUAUGCCUGGAUGGACCUAGUGGGUAAGUCGGCGAGGUCAGAUGCCGAGCCCACUGGGAACUUCGUUGUAGUUCUCACACCACUAACCCUACAGGUCCUAGCACGAGCGGGGCGGCGGAGGACCGAGGCAAGGGUUUAGCGCCGUAGGUAGCGGCCACCGGAGUAGCAUUAUAUUUUGUAGUUAUUUCCCUUUUGGUGUACAUGUAGCAGCUUUAUUUUGUUGAAUUAGAGAUGUAAAGUUGUAAACAAUCAUGUAUUUGGUGGAUGACUAAAUGUAAAAGAUAUGAUGGUUGAAUGGAAUGUAAUAGUUUCGUUUACUUGAAUUUGGUUUAAAUGAAAUCAAAUAUCAUGUGUGAUGUAUAUUUGGCUUAGAGCUUUCGUUUUCGUUGUGGCUUGCCCUCGCGCAAGCCUUGUAUUAUAUAUGCAAUUCUCUUGUUGAUUGCCUAUUUAUACAUGUUGUUAGAGCCUUGGGCGAACAGGAGAGGCUCUGUCCGUUCGGCGUCUAUUGACGUGACCCGAACCCGACCAAAUUGGCGGGGAUUGGGGCGUGACAGAUGCGAUGCACAUUACAACAAUCAUCCUAUUCAAAAGUACUCCCCACCUGGAAGCUUUAUUUUUAAACUCUAUUUGUUCAUCCAUAAAAAUCAUUCGAAAUUCUUUUAAAACUGUUUCCCACACGAAAACUUAAUCUUCGAAAACCGACUACCUUGAGAGGUAGGAAACCACAACGCAUGAAUACAUAAAUCCAAAUACCAAAGAUUCGUAAAACUUCGAUUACAUGCAUAAUAGAAAACACCAACUCAUACAAGUUCACGAUUAUUCAAGCAAUAACAGUGAUCAUCUAACAGAACCAUUUCAUUAUUUGAACUAUUAAAUACGAAAAGAAAAAUAAUUAGGGUGACAACUGCUAAUGCAGUCUAGCUAGGACGUCCUCCCGACGCGCCAAGAAUCAAUUCCUCACUCGUGUCACCUGGGGAAAUAAGGGGGUGAGAAACCACAACAAGGUUAAUUUUCCACUGGGUACUAUAGAGCGACAAAGGCAAAUCGUAUUCAUUGAAAAACAAAGGAGAUAGAACAACAGGUAUACAUGAAUAUGACAUGAUACAUAAGCGAACAACAGUAGUAAUAUAAACAGGAUAGUAAAUGAGCAACAACCAAACUACUACUGUAACAGAAACUCAACUGAACAGAUGCCUCAAGGAUAAAUAAUCCAAAUAAAACUCAAUCUGGUGCCUGCCAUAUUGGUCCGCAGACCUCGAGCGUUGUCUGUCACAAUGCAUACACUAACCUGAUUCACGUGUCCACUGACGACCUAUCCGGAUAAGUAUACCCUGGUCGGUGGCCAAAUCGACCUGGUGUCUAGGAAUAUACACAGUGCUGUGAGUAAAUCAUUCUGAUAUGCUCAAUGCGAAAGCCGACAAAAAAUCGGUGCCUUGGCCGAAGCCAGAUAUAAGGGCGUACGACGCCGAACCAUGAUCAACCAGAUCGAGACACACGACAAAAGAGUCGAUGUAUUGCCUAGACCCGAGGUCCACAUAUAUACUGUAAGGAAGUGAAUUCUCGAAAUCUGAGAGUUGGACUUCGUCCAGGAUUGAUUACUUAUCGAGUGGGUACCCUUCGAAAAAGCCGAAGAUGUCUAAAACCCAAAAAGUGCAUUGGAGUUGAGUCUACGAGAGCAAAUAGUGCAAAAUCUGCACUUGGCAGAUUCUGCUCUCGGGGACCGGUCCCUGGCGGUGGGGACCGAUUCCCGUAAGCAGGAAUUCUGGCAGAGAAGGGUCUGCGCAAAUCUGCUCUCGGGGACCGGUCCCUGGAAGGGAAGGACCGGUCCCCGUAGCUGGUGGUUGCGGAGGACCCGUGAUGCAACCGGUUCUCGGCCAGAAGGGCUGGUUCCCGUACACGUAAUCUGGCUGAAGGCUCUCGGGGACUGGUUCUCCCGUUGAGGGAUCGGUCCCUCCGCGCAAAAUCUACCAAGGCAUAGCAACUUGAUAGAGGUAAAGUUGAGGGGCUUGGCUGCAAUUAUGCCCUAGUUAGAGAGUAUAGAGAGCAAAGGGCUCUCUCUCUCUCUCAUUUCCACCCUCACACUCUUUCUCUCCCUCUCUCUCUCUAGAAAGAAAAGAAGAAGGAGAAGGAAGGAGAAGAAGAAGAGGAAGAAGGAGAAGGAAAGAAAGGUGGAGAAGAAGAAGGAGAUCAAGGAAAAGGCCUUGGACACCUUCACCUCCCUCUCCUCUCCCCUUUGGUGUAGCUUAAGAGGUAAGCUACUAACCCUAGCAUGGUAAAACUUAGGGUUUUGGGUUUUUGGCUUUUGAGAUGAGGUCAAAUGGACCUCUAACACCCUUAAUGAUGGAUUAGAGCUAGAAUCUAGGGUUCUAUGGUGCUAGUUGCAUGGUGUAACCCUAGGGCUCCAAAUUGGUGGUCUUUAAUAAAUGAUGAGAUUGAUCUCAUUUGAUAGCUUGUAAACCUAAUUGAUAGGUGUCUAAACGCGAGGGCGAAGUCGGAUUUUCGAUUCGUUUAGCGGGUGAAAAGCUAUCGGUGAAAUAUAGCCGAUUGAGCACCGUUUUGGACCAAGGAGGCCGAGACAUCGUCGUAACAUUCGUUAGGGAGCGUUUCUAGAACCUUCGUACCCUCAAAAGGUGGGGGGUGUUGUCCCGAAGCAACCGAGCUCUUUUCUAUGUCUUAGAAAUACAUGAAUUUCAUCUCUUGCAUGUUGCAUUGUAGGAUUGCAUUGUAGUACCUUAUCCUUAUGCUUCUAAAUGUUAACCUAGUGUGCAUGGAAUACUUGGUAAAAUGGAUAGGUAAGGAUUGGGUCGGAACAUGGAUCCUAUAGUGCCAAAAGAAAGAGAUGAACUCGAUGGUUAUUCAGUGACAUAGAGAGUGGCAUUAAUAUAGUGUACUUGACACUAGAGGUUUAUGAACUUAGGGAUAGGUGGAUUCCCUAGUAAAUGACUCGUGAACAAUGAACUUAGUAUAGCUAAGUAAUUAUGCAUGAAUGUCGGAAUAGAUGAGUUCCGAGAGAAUGUUGGCCCUAGUUUGUAGGAUAUCCUCACGUGGAGAGGAUAGAUCAAGCUCACGGUCUGUUAUUUGGGGUGUUAGAGCCAUCCAUAUCCUCACAUGGAGAGGAUUUGUCGUCGAAUACUUCGGAGUGUCGGGCGAUUAGGACAGAGUUGAUGUCCACAGACAGUCCCGGGUUCGGGGGCACAUGGAGUCUCCUUACCCUAUGGGAUGGAUAUGUGAGGGUAGGCAAAUCCAAGGGUUUCGCCACAGAUUGGGUAAAUGAAAAGUUAAUAUUGUCAUCGAACAUUGCUUAUCGAACAUGGAUCGAACUUGUUAGCAUAAUAGUAAACUUUUACUAAAUGAUGCAUGCAUUCAUUUCACAUGAUUAUGGGCAUAGUAGCAUAGUUUUCCUAUUAUGUCUUUACAGCUUUGAUAUACAUAUAUCUAUCUGUUUCGUUGUUACUUUUGCCCACUUGGACCUAGUGGGGAGAUCGGCGGAGUCGGCGGCCGAGCCCACUGGGAACUAUGGAAGAUAGUUCUCACCCCACUUUAUUUCCAGGGCUAGGUACAGGUUUGUCGGGCGAGGGCCACGGCAAGGGCAUCGCGCUCGACCAAUAAGGAUUAUUGGUAGAGUAGUAGUUUUCCUUUCGCAUUAGCACACCUAUGUAUUUGAGAGAGAUUCAUGUAGGUGAGGACUUUGGAGGGCUAUGUACUUGAUGAGCAUGUAUUCAUUUUGGGAAAGAAAAUGUAAUCGUAUAAGGAAUGCAAAUGUGAUGUAAUAGUUAGUAGUUCUCUCUUUAUUUCACUUGUGUAUCUUGUGGAUUACUUUCUCUUCGUUGUUGGCACUAUUUGUGCCCCGUUGAUCGUGUAUGUACGAAUUUAAUUUUUUGGAUAAAUUCUUGUACAUAAUCAGGUUGUGAGCCUUGGGCGGGCAGGGGAGUUGCUGCUCGUUCGGCGUUCGUUCGCCGCGCCCGAACCAUGCCAAAUUGGUAGGGGUUUCAGGAUGGGGCGUGACAGUAUGUGGUAUCAGAGUGAUAACAGCAAGUAAAGAGAGAAAGUCUAAGAUGACCUAGAAGACCCUAGGUUGGUAAACCCUAAGGCUAUAGGUGCGUGAGUGGAACGUGAACCUAUACCGGUGGCAGAAGUGAUUCAAUUGGGUCGAAAUUAAAGUUGUGUCUCUAGUAGCGACUAGAGGUAGAUUCAAGUUGUGUGAGUUCUUGUCGUAAGGUGGUUGUGUUGGCGGCCGACGACAUGAUACCGAGAGUCUAGAAUGAGUACGCUUGUGUGCUUCCUCCCGAUUUUUUUGUUGUUGGGUCGUUAUGUGCCGUAGUCGCGACAAAGUAAUCGAGUUAAGAUAAUUAACCAAGUAAUUGCGUUUCAGGAGCAAAUGGCACCAAGGGGACGCCCAAGUAUGAGAUCUACUCCGGCACCGCCUCCUGAGGUGCCCGAGCAUGCUGAACCGAGUGUGAUGGAUCGGUUGCAGGCGCAAGUGACCGCAUUGACCAAUGUGGUGCAGCGCCAGGAGAGCCAUUUUGAACGACUCCAGGAGCUCUUAGAGCGGCAAGCUGCGGUGGCGGCUGCAACGGCGACGGGCGAGCGUGAUGUACCCGCACCUCAACUCGUGUACCAAAAGCGGUGGAGGGUGAGGGUAUAGCGGCGGUUCCGGUGACGUCACGUCCACCGCCGGCAAUUGUUCCUCAGGCGGCGUCGGGAUCGGCGACACCCGAUGUGACGGCCGAAGACGUGGAAGGAGAGCGCGCGUUGGCUGCUCUUAUCAAGUUCAAGAAGUUCAACCCGCCCAUCUUCGAAGGGGAGAAGGUGGAGCCAGCUAUGGUCGAGUCUUGGAUCGACUUGAUGGAGACUCUCUUCGAAGAUUUGCAUACCUUGGAGAGAGAUAGGGUGUAUCUCGCCACCCAUUGCUUGGAGAAAGCGGCGAAGGUCUGGUGGAAGCGCGUCAAACGGGAUCGACUUUCCGACCUUCCGCCGAUGCUGUAGGAGGAGUUCAAGAGGGCGAUGUUCGCCAAUUAUUUCCCCGACACAUUGAAGCGGAAGCUCCAGGAGAAGUUCCGCAAGUUGGAGCAAGGGGACCGCUCAGUAGCGGAGUAUAAGCAAGAGUUCUCCUACAUCAUUAACUGUGUCCUGGAUGUGGUACGAGAUGAUCGGGACCGGGCUGACUGGUUCUUACGAGGACUUCGGCCGGGGAUCUAUAAGGCCGUGCAUAUACUUAAACUCACGACCUUCGCGGAGGUCUUCGACCGAGCACUCUGAGCGGAGCAUGGUGACGCCCAUGUUCGGGAGAAGCGUGAGAUGUUGGCCGAGUCCAAGGACAAAGGCAAGAAGCGUCAAGGCGGCGGUUCGGGAGGACAAGCACGUUCCAAGAAGCCCCCGAAGUAUCCGCGGACUCAGCCAAAGGGCAGUGGAGCACGACGAUGCGUCAUAUGUGGUGGAGACCACCCGGUGUCGCAUUUUGACCAGCGCCAAGGCAAGUGCUACAAGUGCGGGCAACCGGGGCACUUCAUACGAGAUUGCCCGGGAGGAGGAGCCUCACAUGCCCCGUCCACUGCAUUGGCGCCGGCAAUUCCGGCCCACUAUAGAGAAGUUCCACCGACGGCCGUGUCGGCGGGACGUGCGAUGAUGCCGCGCCAGCCCGAGAUGGCGCGAUCGGCCCCGAGCGGACGGGUGUUUGCCGCUCAAGUGCAAGCCGAGGAGCCUGCGAAGGCGGAGGAGCAUCGCCUUGUGGCAGGUAUGAUUUUAAUUAAUGGAGUUCGCUUCAGGGCUAUGUUUGAUACAGGAGCUAUGCAUUCAUUUAUCAGUAGAUCAUUCGCACGCAUGUAUGACAUACUCAUAGAGGCGAGUGACAAGUGGCGAGUUGAGGGCCCUGGGUCGACAUUUAAUACCUACACGGAAUGCUCAUCGUGUCCAGUACAAGUAGGUGACUGGAUAAUGCCCAUUAGGAUGGUAGAGCUCAAGAAUCAGUUCGAUGUCAUAUUGGGCAUAGACUGGCUCUCGAAGUAUCACGCAACGAUCGACUGCAAGAGCAGAGUGAUUACAUUUCGUGAGCUAGGACAGAAGGAGUUCAUUUAUCGGGCUUGUCAGAGCUCGUGCUUCCCCGCGACGGUAUCGGCGACGACAGUAAGAAAGUUGGUCAACAGCGGUUGCGUAGCGUUCUUGGCAACUGUUGUAGAAGUGGAUCGAGUGACUCCCACUUUGGAGGAGUUAUCGGUAGUGUGGGAGUUUCCGGAUGUGUUUCCCACGGAGUUACCGGGGAUACCGCCGGAUCGGGAGAUCGAGUUCGUCAUAGACUUGAUUCCCGACACUGCACCGAUUUCGAAGGCUCCGUACCGAAUGGCGCCGGCGGAACUGAAAGAGUUGAGGAGUCAGUUACAGGACCUCCUCUACAAGCAAUUUAUUCGGCCGAGUGUAUCACCGUGGGGAGCCCCGGUGUUGUUUGUGCGAAAGAAAGACGGAUCGUUUCAACUCCGUGUGGAUUAUCGAGCGUUGAACAAAGUCACGAUCAAGAAUAAGUACCCACUUCCCCGAAUCGAUGAUUUGUUCGACCAGUUGCAGGGGUCGUGUGUGUACUCAAAGAUAGAUUUACAGUCUCGCUACCACCAACUGAAGAUCAAGCCGAAAGAUGUGCAGAAAACUGUGUUUCGCACGCGGUAUUGGCACUAUGAAUUCACGGUCAUGCCAUUUGGACUCACGAAUGCUCCAGCGGCGUUCAUGGAUUUGAUGAACCGUGUCUUCAGGAAGUAUUUGGACCGAUUUGUCGUGGUCUUCAUAGACGACAUAUUGGUCUAUUCUCGAAGUGAUAAGGAACAUGCUGAGAAUUUAAGAUUAGUGCUUCAAGUCCUUCGGGAGGAGAAGCUAUAUGCUAAGUUAAAGAAGUGUGACUUUUGGCUCCGAGAAGUCGCAUUUCUAGGGCAUGUAAUUUUCGAGGGUGGAGUUUCUAUAGACCCGAGGAAAGUUGAGGCGGUCAAGGAUUGGCCGCGCCCGACUAAUGUCACGGAGGUUCGAAGCUUCGUGGGCUUGGCGGGCUACUAUAGACGGUUCGUUGAGGGCUUCUCUAAGAUAGUAAUUCCACUUACCCAUCUGACUCAAAAAGGCACCAAAUUCGUUUGGAGCGAGGAGUGCGACCGGAGUUUCAAGGAGUUGAAGGAAAGGCUAACUUCGACUCUGGUACUCGCUUUACCGGUGCAAGGUGAAGACUUUGUAGUCUAUAGCGACGCUUCCUAUCUAGGAUUAGGGUGUGUUUUGAUGCAGGGCGGGAAGGUAAUCGCUUAUGCGUCCCGUCAGCUGAAGAGCUAUGAAAAGAACUACCCCAUUCACGACUUGGAGCUAGCGGCGGUAAUCUUCGCCUUGAAGCUGUGGAGGCACUACCUGUACGGUGCCCAUUGUGAGAUCUAUACCGACCACAAGAGUCUAAAAUAUCUGUUUAUACAGAAAGAGCUCAACAUGCGACAGUGGCGGUGGUUAGAACUACUAAAGGAUUAUGAUGUGGACAUCCUUUACCACCCGGGGAAAGCUAAUGUGGUCGCGGAUGCGCUCAGCAGAAAGUCAGCAGAGAACCUCGCUAUGUGGGUUACAAAUCAAACACCCCUAUGGCUGGACAUAGAGCGAAUGAACCUGGAGGUGGUUGCUUCGGAGAUUCCGACUCAGCUGAUGGCGCUCGUUGUCCAACAGACCUUGUUGGAGAGAAUCAAGAAUCUGCAACCCGCGGACUAAGAACUCCAAAAGGUGCGGCGCUACCUCGAGAAGGGUCGUGGCGGCGAUUUCAUGAUAGACGCCAAUGGUGCACUUCGAUUCCGAAAUCGAUGGUGUGUGCCGAAUAAUGAGGAGAUCCGAGGGCUAAUCUUGCAAGAGGCACAUUGGUCGCAUUAUUGUGAUCACCCGGGCGACACCAAGACGUAUCAGGGAUUAAAAAUGCACUAUUGGUGGCCGGGAAUGAAAAGCGAUAUUGGGCGCUUCGUGGUGAAAUGUUUAGUAUGCCAACAAGUGAAAGCGAAGCGCCGAUUUCCAGCGGGUAAGCUUCAAAGCCUACCAAUCCCCGUUUGAAAAUGGAAAGAUAUAUCGAUGGAUUUCGUGGUCGGCUUGCCUCGCUCAACGGGCAGCCACGAUGCAAUUUGGGUAAUUGUGGACCGAUUGACGAAGUCGGCUCACUUUUUGCCGAUCCACACCACGUGGGCAGGCGACAAGUUGGCGCAGGUGUACCUUGACGAGAUAGUGAGACUGCACGGGGUGCCGAAAUCGAUCGUGUCGGAUCGCGAUCCCCGGUUCACUUCACACUUUUGGAAAAGCCUGCAGGAAGCCCAUGGCACAUAGCUCGAUUUUAGUACAGCAUUCCAUCCUUAGAUAGAUGGGCAAACAGAAAGGACCAUUCAAACUCUGGAGGAUAUGCUGCGGGCGUGUGUCAUCGACUAUAGUGGGAAUUGGUGUGAUCAUUUGCCGAUGGCCGAGUUCGCCUACAACAACAGUUAUCAUGCUAGUACAGAGAUGGCACCAUUCGAGGCUCUUUAUGGGCGGAAGUGUCGGUCUUCUAUACACUGGAGCGAUGUGGGUGAGCGUGCAGAGUUCGGCCCAGACGUGUUGCGAGAAGCGGAGGAGAAAGUCCGCCUUACUCGCAAGCGAUUGCUCACGGCGUAGUCGAGACAGAAAAGCUAUGCUGAUAGGCGCCAUCGAGACAUAGAAUUUGCGGUGGGUGACCGCGUAUUCUUAAAAGUUUUGCCAAUGUGGGAUGUGAAGCGAUUUGGAGUGCGGAGAAAGUUAAGUCCCCGGUACAUUGGACUAUAUGAGAUAUUGGAGCGAGUAGGCAUGGUGGCCUAUCGACUUGCCUUGCCGCCGAAGCUUGCGGAUGUACACAAUAUGUUCCAUGUCUCUAACUUUCGCAAGUACAUUCAUGACCCCGAGCACGCAAUGCUAUAUGAGCCGCCGGAACUCGAAGAGGACUUGAGCUACGAGGAGUUUUCGGUGAUGGUUAUCGCCCGAGAAGUGCGAAAGCUGUGAAAUCGCAAGAUUCCCUACGUGAAGAUCCGGUGGAGCAAUUAUGAUGGUCGCGAGGCCACCUGGGAACUCGAGGAUCUGAUGAGGAAGCAUCAUCCUCACUUGUUUGAGAAAUAAUGUAUGGAAACUGAGUUUAAAUUAAGUUGAAUUAGUUUUGAGGAUGAAACUCCUUUUAAGGAGAGGACGAUGUAAGGAAGUGAAUUCUCGAAAUCCGAGAGUUGGACUUCGUCCAGGAUCGACUACUUGUCGAGUGGUACCCUUCGGAAAAGCCGAAGAUGUCUAAAACCCAAAAAAUACAUUGGAGUUGAGUCCACGAGAGCAAAUAGUGCAAAAUCUGCACUUGGCAGAUUCUGCUCUCGGGGACCGGUCCCUGGCGUCGGGGACCGGUUCCUGUAAGCAGGAAUUCUGGCAGAGAAGGGUCUGCGCAAAUCUGCUCUCUGGGACCGGUCCCUGGUAGGGAAGGACUGGUCCCCGUAGCUGGUGGUUGCGGAGGACCCGUGAUGCAACCGGUCGCCGGCCAGAGGGACCGGUUCCCGUACGCGUAAUCUGGCUGAAGGCUCUCGGGGACCGGUCCUCCCGUUGAGCGACCGGUCCCUCCGCAUGAAAUCUGCCUAGGCAGAGCAACUUGAUAGAGGUAAAGUUGAGGGGCUUGGCUGCAAUUAUGCCCUAGUUAGGGAGUAUAGAGGGCAAAGGGCUCUCUCUCCCUCUCUCAUUUCCACCCUCACACUCUUUCUCUCCCUCUCUCCCUCUAGAAAGAAAAGAAAAAGGAGAAGGAAGGCGAAGAAGAAGAGGAAGAAGAAGAAGGAAAGAAAGGUGGAUAAGAAGAAGGAGAUCAAGGAGAAGGCCUUGGACACCGUCACCUCCCUCUCCUCUCCCCUUUGGUGUAGCUUAAGAGGUAAGCUACCAACCCUAGCAUGGUAAAACUUAGGGUUUUGGGUUUUUAGCUUUUGAAAUGAGGUCAAAUAGAUCUCUAGCACCCUUAAUGGUGGAUUAGAGCUAGAAUCUAGGGUUCUAUGGUGCUAGUUGCAUGGUGUAACCCUAGGGCCCCAAAUUGGUGGUCUUUAAUAAAUGAUGUAAUUGAUCUCAUUUGAUAGCUUGUAAACCUAAUUGAUAGGUGUCGAAACGCGGAGGCGAAGUCGGAUUUUCGAUUCCUCGAACGGGUGAAAAGCUAUCGGCGAAAUAUAGCCGAUUGAGCACCGUUUUGGAUCAAGGAGGCCGAGACAUCGUCGUAACGUUCGUUGGGGAACGUUUCUAGAACCUUCGUACCCUCAAAAGGUGGGGGGUGUCAUCUCGAAGCAACCGAGCUCUUUUCUAUGUCUCAGAAAUACAUGAAUUUCAUCUCUUUCAUGUUGCAUUGUAGGAUUCCAUUGUAGUACCUUAUCCUUAUGCUUCUAAAUGUUAACCUAGUGUGCAUGGAAUACUUGGUGAAAUGGAUAGGUAAGGAUUGGGUCGGAACAUGGAUCCUAUAGUGCCAAAAGAAAGAGAUGAACUCGAUGGUUAUUCAGUGACAUAGAGAGUGGCAUUAAUGUAGUGUACUUGACACUAGAGGUUCAUGAACUUAGGGAUAGAUGGAUUCCCUAGUAAAUGACUCGUGAACAAUGAACUUAGUAUAGCUAAGUAAUUAUGCAUGAAUGUCGGAAUAGAUGAGUUCCGAGAGAAUGUUGGCCCUAGUUCGUAAGGUAUCCUCACGUGGAGAGGAUAGAUCAAGCUCACGGGCUAUUAUUCGGGGUGGUAGAGCCAUCCAUAUCCUCACAUGGAGAGGAUUUGUCGUCGAGUACUCCAGAGUGUCGGGCGAUUAGGACAGAGUUGAUGUCCACAGAUAGUCCCGGGUUUGGGGGCACAUGGAGUCUCCUUACCCUAUGGGAUGGAUAUGUGAGGGUAGGCAAAUCCAAGGGUUUCGCUACAGAUUGGGUAAAUGAAAAGUUAAUAUUGUCAUCGAACAUUGCUUAUCGAACAUGGAUCGAACUUGUUAGCAUGAUAGUAAACUUUUACUAAAUGAUGCAUGCAUUCAUCUCACAUGAUUAUGGGCAUAGUAGCAUAGUUUUUCUAUUAUGUCUUACAGCUUUGAUAUACAUAUAUCUAUCUGUUUCGUUGUUACUUUUGCCCACUUGGACCUAGUGGGGAGAUCGGCGGAGUCGGCGGCCGAGCCCACUGGGAACUAUGGAAGAUAGUUCUCACCCCACUUUAUUUCUAGGGCUAGGUACAGGUUUGCCGGGCGAGGGCCGCGGCAAAGGCAUCGCGCCCGACCAGUGAGGAUUAUUGGUAGAGUAGUAGUUUUCAUUUUGCAUUAGCACACCUAUGUAUUUGAGAGAGAUUCAUGUAGGUGAGGACUUUGGAGGGCUGUGUACUUGAUGAGCAUGUAUUCAUUUUGGAAAGAAAAAUGUAAUCGUAUAAGGAAUGCAAAUGUGAUGUAAUAGUUAGUACUCUUUUUAUUUCACUUGUGUAUCUUGUAGAUUACUUGCUCUUCGUUGUUGGCACUAUUUGUGCCCUGUUGAUCGUGUAUGUACAAAUUUAAUUUUUCUGGGUAAAUUCUUGUACAUGAUCAGGUUGUGAGCCUUGGGCGGGCAGGGGAGUUGCUGCCCGUUCGGCGUCCGUUCGCCACGCCCGAACUGUGCCAAAUUGGUAGGGGUUUCGGGGUGGGGGCGUGACAUAUACAAUAUAUGCAAGUCUGCUCUACUUGUCUACGAACAACUAUCACUAUGCAACUAUCAGGAUAUAGAGAAAUGAACGAUAAAUAAAGGCAACCAACAUGUAGAGACUAAAAUACUGAUUUACAAGUGCAAUACUAAGGAAAAGGAAAGUGAAACAAUUUCACCGACUACCAGCUCGAAGCACCCACCUAUACCAUAUGAAGUACACGGUUUGUCAACCGCUUGUCGCUGUCUUCUGCUAUCAUCCGGGCCUAUGCAUAGUUGCAAACGAAGCCGUAAUUAGCCUAACCCACUAGUUACCCAUAAGACAAGACUCUGAGUGAGUCCAACCAUUGGACAAUCGAAUUUUCGGAUUUCAGCUAACGGUCACUAAAAGAUAGCCUGAUUGUCACCCCAACUCGACAGAAUGUUGCACCAACACCAGGGGCGACCCGAAGUAAGACCCAUAGCUAUUCUACACUGCCCGCUAUCCCAAAGCAUCAUUUUAGUGUCCUUGGGACAGCCACACAAUGUGUGCGCUAAAAUUGAAUGUCGGGGCUUUGAAAAUUAGCUGUUUGUAUAUUUGGUCUCGGAACCCUCCAUGGCUUUCUUGCUGUAAUCCAGGGGCUCUAACCUUCCCCCGGCACUUCGCAAAUCAGCCACAAACCUGCUGCAAACAGCAGCAACAAAUACGACACUAGAUCGCACCCGAAAUCGCCCGAAAUUCACGUUAUCGAGCUUCGUUGAGCCCCGAAGCAUGCUGAAGUAUUCUAGAUUUAAUCCUAGCUUACUUGCUAUCCUGAAACACUCGUCUUUGGGUGUCGGAACAACAGCACCUCGUUUGGUGCAAGAGCAACUGGUCCAAUGCGGUCUAUGCCGCGACCGGGGUCCCGAUUAUUGCCGUUUUGGCUCCGGAAGACCCCGAAUCGCAAAGCGUCGAUUCAUGAGCGAGGACUUCGGCCCCAGAUCUUUAGAGUGGUGCACCCCUUCUAGAUCAAGAAGUUUGUUGAGGUGUUGGACAGGGCUCUUUGGGUGGAGCAUGGGAAUGCGUUCGCGCGUGAGGAGCACGAGGCAUUUGAAAAGGACAAGGGGAAGAAGCGAACUACGAGCAUUUCGGGGGGACAGUCGAGUUCCAAGAGGCCCCCGAAGUACCCGCGAGCACAGUCCAAGGGUCCAGGACCCCUACGAUGCGUUAUUUGUGGCAGAGAGCACCGACCGAUAAAUUGCAAGCAGCGAGAGGGGAGAUGUUUUAGAUGUGGUCAGAUGGGACACUUCAGCCGUCAGUGCCCAGGAGGGUCCUCGCCUGCCCCUUCGACUGCUUCUGCUCAGUCGGCUACUCGACAGUUGGAGCUCCACCUUCUGCUGCAUCUGUUGGAAGUGCCUUGGUACCGCGUCAGUCUGAAGGACCCCGAUCGGUGCCUAGCGGUCGCGUAUUUGCCGCCCAAGUGGAGGAACCUGCUGCAGUCGAUGUUGUCGUGGCAGGUAUUGUAUUGAUAAAUGGAAUCAGAUCUAGGGCGUUGUUUGACACGGGCGCAUCGCAUUCAUUUAUUUGCCAGUCAGUUACUAGUAUUCAUGGCAUAGAGGUUCAAGUGAACGAGGAUACUUGAUAGGUUGAUUCCCCCGAGCAUACGUUUAGUGUUAAGAAUGAGUGUUUGGUUUGUCCAGUACAAGUGGGCGACUGGGUUAUACCGGCAUAUUUACUCAUGUUAAAGCGGUUGAAAAGGUUUGAUUUGAUAUUGGGUAUGGAUUGGCUCUCGAUGCACUAUGCGACGAGUGAUUGCGAUAGUAAGGUGACAACCUUUCGUGAGCCUGGACAAGAGGAGUUCACCUAUCGUGGUUGUAGGAGUUCGCUCUUUGCCAUGAUGGUGACGACGUCGUGGGCAAAAAAGUUGAUUAGUAGUGGUUGCGUGGCUUAUUUAGCAACUGUGGUGGAGACUCGUAGGGAGACUCCGGUGCUCGAAGACAUUCCAGUGGUCCAAGAGUUUUCGGAUGUAUUUCUCGUGGAGUUGCCUGGAAUACCACCCGAUCGGGAGAUCGAGGUUGUGAUAGACUUGGUUCCCUGAUCGGCGCUAAUCUCAAAAGCUCCAUAUAGGAUGGCACCGGCCGAGUUGAAAGAGUUGAGGGCUUAGCUGCAAGAUCUUCUUGACAAGGGAUUCAUCAAGCCGAGUGUAUCACCUUGGGAAGCCCCAGUGCUGUUUGUAAAGAAGAAUGACGGAUCGCUCCGGUUAUGUGUGGAUUAUCGUGAGCUGAAUAAGGUCACGAUCAAAAAUAAAUACCCAUUGCCCUACAUCGACGACUUGUUUGAUCAAUUGCAAUGGUCUCGGGUGUAUUCGAAGAUUGAUCUUCAGUCGUGAUACCAUCAAUUGAGGAUCAAGCCGGAGGAUGUUCACAAGACCGUAUUUUGUACGCGAUAUGGACAUUACGUGUCAUGCCCCAUGGCCCAGCGGAAGCCCGCACGGCGCGUGCACAGACCCGCCGUGUACACCAGACAACCAAAAUGCACACAAGGCGUCUACCAAAACAAGAAAUGAACAUAGUAAAGUCCUAACAAAGCUAUCAGAGCGAGUAAUAUAAAAUCACUAAUGUUCUAGCACAGAGAGAUUCACAAAUAUACAAAAUGUAACAACUAAAUCCAAAAGACUAACAACAUCUCUAAAAUCAAAUGCAUAAUACAUCUUUCUACAAAAUGCAAAAAAGAAAGAUGAUAACGGGUCCAUCUAAAUAACUCCGUAGGGGCUCUAGCUAGUCGCUAACCCCUUGCCACGAUCCCUAGCCUUUCCAGCCGCGGAAGGCUCUGAAAUAAAAAUCAACAACAAAUGGGGGUGAGAACUAUUAAACAAUAGUUCUCAGUGGGUAAGCUGCCGAGAGUGGCGAAAUACACCACUAGGUCAACUGAGGCAUGCUAUAGAGGGGUAAAUAAACAACAUAUAUGAAAGCAAGUAAAUAAAUAAAACAUGUUGAAUCAUAGUCAUGCCUCCACUACAAAAUUAACUAUUAAGUAUAUGAUGUUCUACUUUCAUCUGAUCAAUUAUAUGUCAAUGUCGAUUUACAUGCAUAUUCAUUUGUAUGCCAAUGUCCAUUUACAUGCAUAUUCAUAAUGUCCAUGAUACUACAUAGAGUAAAUUGUGCUUUUCAUUGUUAUUCUAGUCAUGCAUACGUACUAGCACAAGAAUAUAGGUUUACUACCACUAAAGCUAUCAAUGUCACAAUGUCCCACAAAAUGUCCAACUACUAUGUAUGCAUCAAAUAGCAGUAUAAGGUAGCAAACCACAUGUAUGAACAUCUAUUAUGUAUGCAUCAACUAUGGUGAUGUACAAUAUCAAAUUAAGUCUUAAUACCCAAUUUACAAGGAACGUACACGUGGUAACGUCCUGGCUCGUGCCGUGCCUUAGUGGCCCGUGGGGGUCAUCAUUUUUCCUGCAAGAAAAGAGACUCUGCCCACAGCAUCCCACUUCGGCGCCCAAUCCCGCACGGGCGAUCUAUCGUCCCAAGGCUAAACUCCGGAGUGCCGGCUUGCAGGGAGCGACCCUCACAAGCAUGUGCGAAUGAGCACAAGGGUAAGCAAGCGUGAUCAUAGUAUAGGGUUCACAAUUUGGGAUACUCAAUCAUCAUGUCUAAAACAUGAAAUUUUUACACAUCGACUCGACAGUCGGGUACUAGAUUAUUCAUGUCACAUCAUGUCUUGUUUACAACUACUUGGGUGCUAUGUCUCUACCAACACAUAUAAUGCCUAAAGUAUGCAUAGUUCAUAUGACAAUAUCCUACCUAGGAUAGUUCACUACUCCAACAAGGUUCAUGACAUGCAAUUACAACAAUUGUCAAGAGAAACAUUUACUAAUACCAUAUGCAAGAGAACUAUGAAAUGUCCACAAGUACCACAAUGUAUGUUAUGCACAUGUCUUUCCACUAACAUUCCCACUACAUGGAGUAGAAGUAUUAUGAUGCAGAUAAUUAAUUCCACUAGUAUUACGUGCAAUCAUCUCUAUUAGGGUUCGCCCCAAGGGCUUUAUACUCUCUUUUCCUCAUGUCUAACAUAUGGAAUACAACUAUCAAACCCUAGAUCGCAUGUAAUGUCGCAAUGGCAAAUACUAGUUGUUCUACUAACUUAAUGCAUCAAGUUACCAUGUCACAUGUUAAGUUCUAGUUGUCCAACUAGGUUAAAUAUACCAAGUUUAGUUUCAUGAUGACCUUAUCAUAUUCUAUGUCACAUUAUCACAACUACCUUGUCUACAACAAGUAUAAUGUAAAAAAUGCUAAGUUCCAUUCACUUUGUCUAUAACGAGUAUAAUGUUGUCAUCAUGUAAGAUAAUUAUUUACUUAACCCAUUCACUAGGUACCCUCAAGGGAUUAUAUCAUCAUUCAUACUCUACCAUUAGGGUUGCAUAAAAGAUAAAUUGUCAAGAAGUGUCAUUUAGUGCCAAAAUCCACAUGUAUGCCUCUACUACAUAGAGUAUAGAUUCUCACUAUACAUAACAUAUAUAUGUUAUGUUCUCAUAAAUUCUAGCAUGUCAUAAUGAGUAUGAAAAAGCAUCUAAUUAUAUCUAAAAACCAAAAGGAAGACAUAGGGAGAGUUCAUCCAUUUCGGUUAGGUCAAACCCACCGAAAGCACUCGAACCCUUUCGUUCCUUCGAAGAAGUUGUCCACCGAACUUCUAACACCAUAAGAGAAAUUCUAAAGGGUUAGAAACUCCAAAACUACUAUUUCGAAAAUCUUCGAAAAACACACACACAAUAAGGUGAAAAAUACCUUUGAUCGAGCUACACUUGUCCAAAGCUCAAAUCAACCCAAAGGAUCUUCAAAUCCAACCUAAAGGAGAAUUCUACACUCAUCAAUUAGGUUCCAAAACCUCAAACCAAGAAACCCCAAAAGAAACCCUAAUAUCUCAUAUUUAGGUUUCAUCUCAAGAAAUCCACUAAAACAUAAUCUAAAGAAAAGAUUAAAGUUACUAACCUUUCUACAAGCUCCAAACCAAGCUAGGGGUUUGCUAAGCUAAGAAAUCUUUCCUCCAAAAGGCUCCAAUCCAAGCUCCAAAGCUUCUCUAAUGGUGGAAAGGUCAUCAAAAUGCAAAGAGAAGCAAAAGAGGUGAUUAAUCCUCCAAAAUCCAAGCAAAAAUAGAAGGAAAUCAAAGAGGGGAUGAGGAGAGGCUCCUUACCCUUCUCUCCUCAGGUUCCAGGCUCAGGGAACACAAAAGGGGGCGUGGGGUAUUUGUAGAGUAGUAACAAUUCCAAAAAUAUCCCUCAAGAACAAGCAGUCAGCAAUCUGCACUGCGUACCGGUGACACGGGAUGGGGUACCGGUACCAUGCAGCAGCACGCGUAAACCCGAGCCUCGAGUUGGCAAGAAAACACACUGGGUACUGGUACCAGCGCAAUGCAGUAACGGUACUAGGUCUAGUACCGGUACUCAGGCAAUACAGUAUAGGUACUCUGCCCUGCAGAGUCCAACCCGAGAGCAAUCCAAAUUCUACAAUUUAGAGAUUUUGGUGCUAAGUUUUCAUCCUCGCUCCUCGGGAUGCGAGUCAUAGGUCGGAACACAAUAAACGACCAUACAGAAAACCCAAAAAGGCUCAGAUUACCAAUCAAACACUCGAACCUUACAAUUUGCUAAAGUUCAGUGUGUUACAUUCUCCCCUCCGUAAAGGGAGUUUCGUCCGCAAAACUACAAAUCAACCACACUACAAACCCAUCCGAAGAGGAUGGAAGAGGCGCUCCAACAGCGCACAAAUUAGAUUCCAAAGGUCUCGAGCAUGCCGGAUUGCUCCAAGGCAUCUCCACACCAAGAUCCCGCGGCUCCAAAGAUUCGGCAUAUCGCAAGCCAAUCUUCCACAAUAGUUCCUCGAACUCAAGUCUUCAUAGGGAAGUUCCAUCUCUAAUCCGCGCUCCUUCAACAAGCUCUUCAGUUGGUCCACAUGAAGCCAAUUGCCCUCAAAGGGCUAAAUUCCAUUUCUUACCUUCCUCAACCAGGUCGAGGGCGAAGUCUAGCUCUGCUUUAAUUUGCUCUUAUAAAUAGAGUUCCAUAAUAUCUCCUUCUCAGGAGGAUUCAAACCGUGUUAUCCAUAGGAAGAAUCCACCGGUUAUACCCGAUACAUAACCCAACAAAACUCCACCGGAGUGCUCGAAAUGAUUGUCACUUACCAAUAAGAGGCGAUAUAAAAUCCAAUCGUCGACCCAAAUCCCAACGAUGAUCCUCCAAAUCCAAGGGUCAUAACUCGUCAAGAAAUUGCACAACUGGGUGCAAUUCUAUUUCAUAGUUAAGCAUGGUGCAAUUUUUUUCCAUGUUGCUUCAAUUUGCCACAUUCCACAAUUCAAAUCCCGUUUGACCACAAAGCAGUCCAAAAUCAACAUCCAUGGUAAAAUUUCUUUCGAUAGCAACGAAAGCAAACGAAUCAUUCCAACUCGCACACCAGAGGUGAUUACUUGAUCAAACAUUCGGCUUCGAAUCACAAUGUAUCCAUGCCAUCUCCAAUUCCACCACUAGGGCAGAAAUCUCAAUUUCACCUCUAUAAUUGCUGCUUAGGGUCGGUGCUCAAAAGCUCCAUGAAUUCCACUAAGGACAUCUCUUCAGUUUCAAUACUCGUUGAUACCAAUCAUAGGGCGAAUCAUAACCAUCCCGUCUGCGAGAAAUUUCCUCACCUGUUCAACUUUGAUGUCCAAUUAAAUCCUUCACCAGUCUAGACGACGGGCUUGCCGCCGAUAGAAUAUCACAUAACACUUGUCACUUGAUUCCUCGAGUAGAGCCAAUCAAAGUCUUACCCUUAAUACCUUCCUUAGUACUUGAUACUUAAGGUGUCCGUCGUCACCGAGCUCAACUAAAGCGAUAGAGAGGGAUCCAUUCAUUCUUCAUUAAUAAGCUCUCUACCGUUGUCAUCUAGAUAUGACUAUUAACCAGAGUGUCAAUCCCAUAAACUCUUUUAUGCAGUUCUAUCCAAUGAACUUAAUUUCUUUGUGCAUGAACCGGAAAAAGGGAAACAAGUAACUUGGUAAUUUCCCUCUCUGAGUUUUCCAAACCACUCAAUCAAACGAUGAGGGUCUCACACCUCGAUCACAUCAAUCUGCCUACGCAGUCAUCCGUCGUAGAUCCUCAUCAGAAUACUUCACGGCCAUCAGCAACUGAUUCCACAAAUCCAUCCAGAAGGGCUUGGAAUUAUCAUUCAGCAAGUCCCUAAACUGGUGGGGCACUAAAAGCUUAGGUGGCAUCACAAUAAUUUCGUGAUGUCUCUGCCCAACAUCAGGAUCCAUUUAAGGUACAACCUUAAACUCCAGCACAAAACGGUCAUACUCAGAUUGUAAUCCAAUCUAUUGAGUAUACCUACAUCUCAAGACUAAUUGAAAAGAUCAAUGAACCUCUACAAUAAUCCAAAUACCAAAUUGUGUUUCAAUUUAGAUCACGAUAGUCAACACAUAGUCGAAACAACCUAGCCAGUCUCACAACAAGUGAGAGCGCUUUCCGUAAAGCAAAACAUUAGGCAUAAACGCCUCUCUGCUAGUCGAGCUCACAAUUUGUGACUCAGUCGGGAGUACUAUACAACUUCUCAGAAGAUAUCCUUCAUUCCGAGAAUUCUCAAACAUCCAAAAGUUAACGGCCAAUUAGGCCCCAAAUCCUCUCCAAUAAUUACCUGAUUUAGGUAAGGAGGUAGUCUUCGCAGACAGCGAGAUUAGACCCUCAAAAUGCACUAUUUCGUGCUCAAGUUCUCAAAGCGAGUCAAUUCAGCUCGCACGACCAAGGACACAAAGUGCUUCACAACUAAUCCAUAACAAGUAGGGCCAAUCCAUUUGUUUGAACACAAAAAUCUCUUAUGAAGUAGGGUGUUCAAAACGACACACCCGAUCAUCCAAUCAUCCUACAUGCAUCGAAAAUGAGUUAAUGCUAAACAGCUCGGCGAACACAGUUAACGACCAUAUCGAAAAUCCAAAAAGGCUCAGAUCACCAAUCAAACACUCAAACCUUGCAAUUUGCUAAAGUUCAGUGUAUUACAUUACGAAUUCACGGUCAUGCCGUUUGGGCUCACAAAUGCCCCUGCAGCAUUUAUAGAUUUGAUGAACCAUGUUUUCAAGUCCUUCUUGGAUCGAUUUGUCGUGGUAUACAUAGACGACAUAUUGGUCUACUCUCAUAGCGACGAGGAGCACAAAGAAUAUUUGAGAAUUGUGCUAUAAGUCCUUCGGGAGGAGAAGCUCUAUGAGAAGUUGAAGAAGUGCAAUUUUUGGCUUCGCGAAGUCACCUUCUUGGGCCACGUAAUUUUCGAGGGUAGUGUAUCGGUUGACCCAAGAAAAAUUGAAGCAAUAAAGGAUUGGCCUCGCCCGACGAAUGUAUGGGAAAUAUGCAGUUUUGUUGGUCUUGCGGGCUAUUAUCGGUGGUUUGUGGAGGGUUUCUCAAAGAUAGUUAUUCCACUUACCCGCCUUACACACAAGGGAACUAAAUUUUUGUGGAGUGACGAGUGCGGUCGGAGUUUUAAAGAGUUAAAAGAGAGAUUGACUACGUUUUGUCGUGUACAACUAUGCAUCCUAUCAAGGUUUGGGGUGUGUUUUGAUGCAGUGCGGGCAGGUUAUUGCAUAUGCCUCACGCCAGUUAAAGAGCUACGAGAAAAACUACCCUAUUCAUGAUUUGGAGCUCGCUACAGUGAUCUUUGCACCCGAAUUGUGGAGACACUAUUUGUACGGCGAACGUUGCGAGGUGUACACUAACCACAAGAGCCUCAAGUAUUUGUCACACAGAAGGAACUGAACAUAAGGCAGCGUCAGUGGUUAGAAUUGUUAAAGGAUUAUGAUGUAAUAAUUCUAUACCACCCGGAAAAAGCCAAUGUGGUGGCGGAUGUACGCUCAGCAGAAAAUUAGUGGAGAAUCUUGCAAUGGCCAUCACGCAUCAGCCAUCGUUGUGGAAGGAAAUGGGGCGGCUCAAUCUCGAAGUUGUGGCUCCGGAAGUCCCGGCUAUGCUUGCUGCCCUCGUUGUUCAAUCGACAUUGUUGGAGAGAAUUAAAGAUCAGCAAUCCUCGGAUCCGAAUCUCCAAAAGGUGCGGCGAGAUAUCGAGAACGGGCGCACAGCAAUUUUAGUGUGGGCUCUGAUAGUGCACUCUGGUACCGAAAUCGUUGGUAUGUGCGGGAUGACAAGGAAAUCCAAAAGAUUAUUUUACAAGAAGCUCAUCAGUCUCCCUAUAGUGUUCAUCAGGGCGGCACCAAGAUGUACAAGGAUCUGAAAAUACAUUACUAGUGGCCGGGGAUAAAAAAGGACAUCGGACACUAUAUGGCGCAAUGCCUUGUGUGCCAACAGGUCAAGGCGGAGCGCCGAUUUUCAGCGGGAAAGCUUCAAAGCCUAAUAAUUCCCGUAUGGAAGUGGGAGGACAUAGCCAUGGAUUUCGUUGUGGGACUACCCCGUUCGCAGGGUGGUCAUGAUGCGAUUUGGGUGGUGGUGGAUCGCCUAUCAAAGUCAGCGCACUUUCUACCUAUCCACACCACUUGGGCUGAUGAUAUAUUAGUGUAAGUUUAUCUUGAUGACAUCGUAAGACUCCACGGAGUUCCGACAACUAUUGUAUUAGAUCGGGAUACCCGAUUACAUCUCAUUUUUCGAAGAGUUUGCAAGAUGCGCUUCGCACACGGCUUGAUUUUAGCACGACAUUUCAUCCUCAAAGUGAUGGUCAGUCGGAGACGACGAUCCAAGUUCUUGAGGAUAUGCUUCAGGCGUGUGUAAUAGAUUACAAGGGCGGAUGGCAUGAUCAUUUGGCAAUGGCUGAGUUUGCCUAUAACAAUAGCUAUCAAGCGAGUAUUGAAAUGGCGCCGUUUGAAGCUCUUUACGGGAGGAAAUAUAGAUCUCCUAUACAUUGGGGUGAAGUUGGCGAGCGAGUUGUUUUUGGCCCCGAUGUGUUGAGAGAGGCGGAGGAGAAUGUUCGCAUUGCUCGCUAGAGGCUUCUAACAGUGCAAACUCGGCAACAAAGUUAUGCAAAUGUGCACCGGCGAGACCUUUAAUUCGCCGUGGGAGACCGUGUUUUUUUAAAGGUGUCACCAAUGCGUAGUGUAAAGCGGUUCAGAGUUCGGGGAAAGCUUAGCCCCUUAUACAUCGGACCAUACGAGAUGUUGGAAUGAGUAGGCACCGUGGCGUAUAGACUUGCAUUGCCGCCCAAACUUGCGAGAGUUCACAACGUGUUCUAUGUGUCCAAUCUCCGCAAGUAUGUUUAUCAUCCAAAUCACGUCCUCUUGUUUGAACCGCCGGAACUUCAUAAGGAUAUGACGUACGAAGAAUUCGGGUAUGCAUUCUCGCCCGAGAAGUUAUGGAAUUGCGGAAUCGUACGAUACCGUAUAUGAAAGUCUAGUGGAGCAAUCACGACGAGCGUGAAGCCACUUAGGAACUUGAAGAUAUGAUGCGGGAGCACCAUCCUCAUCUUUUUGAAGAUCUAAGUUGAGGUAUGAGUUGAGUUUGAGUUGAGUUUUGAGGACGAAACUCUUUUUAAGGGGUGGGGAGUACAAGGUAUUGGCUCCCCGAAGUGUUAUACCAACUUUGAUCAAAUUGAUCAAUGCGUGGUAAAGAGAGCUAUUGGACAUGUUUCAUAUAUGGGCAUGAGGGCUUCGGAGUCAUUAGAAGUAACCUUGGAUAAUAUUUGAGUGGUUUUAGCAUUAUCCGGGGCGAAAUCAGACUUAAGCAAUAAAAAGCUGCAGACUUUGCACUGUGCACCGGUACUGAAGCUUGGUACCGAUACCUAACAUGAAUGCAGAAAUGCUAGCUCUCGGGUUUGGGAAACAUGGCCUUGAGUACCGGUACUGGAAGGUUGUGUAUCGGUACCAGAGGUCGGGUACCGGUAUUCUAUAGAGUGCACAAAUAACCAACGUUCGGGUUGAGAUACCUGGUGGGUGGUAUCGGUACUGGGGACGUCGCAUACCGGUACUGGAGCCCGCGUACCGAUACUCAACAGAAAACUCUGAUAGUCUGUUCUCGGGUUGUGGCAUUAGCCUGGGGGUACCGGUACUCAAGCCUGAGUACCGGUACCCAGUGUUGCGUAAGGCAGAUUUUGAACUGCAACAAAUAUAAUUUGUUCAGGGGUCUAAUUGCAAUUGUGGGAACUUAUAUAUAGUCCCAACACCCCUCUCUCUUCUCCACAGCUGAGAACACCCUCAUUUCUUCCUCUUUUGACAUCUCCUUCUCUUUCUCUCUCUAGAAACUCUCCAACAAGGUCGUUUGGUGGGGUUUUGAAGGAUUUGGAGUUUUUGUGGAGUGGAAGAGGCUCUCCUUCAAGGUGGAGCUUGAGGUGUAGAAGUGGCCAAGGUAAGAUUUAGUAAGUUUAAGGUUAACCUAGAAUCCAUGUUUUUGAGAUUCUUGUGGCUUAGAAACCUAGAAUAAUCCAUUGUUUCUCAUGGUGUUUGGUUUAUGGCCAUGGUUUGGAAACCUUAGGGUUGAAAUUAGGAUUUUUGUAGAUAUGGAGUUUAUGAUGAAAUUGAUCCCUUAAUUUCUUAAUUGAAGGAUAAAUCGACAUGUUGGGAGACUUAAAACGAAGUUCCUACGAGCCUACGACGUACCGUUGGAGAAAAACACCGAUUUGCUUUCGUUACCUUUGGGUUGAGCCAAAACAGUGUCGGUAAAUUGCGGGACUUGAUUUCUUGCCUCUUAGCAUCAAUCGAAGGUGGGUGGUGUUAUCAGAAAUUGUUGAGUUUCUUCCUAUGUCUAUGUUACUAUUGUUGGCCAUUUAUAUACAUGUGUAAAAUUCAUGCAUUGUAGAGUAGUAUGUAUUGUAUACUCAAUUCCUUGCAUGCUCUUAUGGUAAAUGUAGAAAAUAUGAGAUGGAACAUAGAUGUAUAUGCACGAGGAUUGGGUCCUGAACAAUGGAAUCUCUAUAGUGCCAUGAACCGAAUGUGACUUAGACAAUAUAAUGACAUGGAAUGGUGGCAUUUGGACUUGUGAUGUUGAUAGCACACGUGACACUAGAUGUUAGGGAUGGAUAGAUCCUCGAGUAUUGUUACUCUUAGUUGGUAGGGUAUCCUCUAGUUGGAGUAUUGGAUUGUACUCACAUAUCGUCUAUCGGCUUGGUGGUGGUCGCUCCACCCAAGCAGUGAUGUCACGCCCCGCAACCACCAAUUUGGUCGGUUGGGGUACGCCGAAGAGACGCCGAACCGACAGAACCUCCCCUGUCUGCCCAAGGCUCAACAACAAUCAAGUACAUAUAGUUGCCCAGGAAACAUUAACCGCAUACAUGAUUCAUUGCGAGUAUAAACAAGCAAGAGCAAAAAAGUGAGAGUACUAGCUAUUACAUUUCCAUUCAACCAUUUGUAUCAUUGGUUAUAUUUUCAUCUCCCAAAAUGCAUACAUUAGGUUUACAUGUUCAACUCUCCAAAAGUAACCUCUCGCAAAAUACAUCAAGUCUCUCACAUGCAUAGGGUACUCUAAUGCAUAAAGGAAAGCUGCUAACUACUAGGCGCUAUGCCCUUACCACGGUCCUCGCCCGGUCAGCUCGAACUCGGCCCUGCAACAAAGUGAGAUGAGAACUACGAAUAGUUCCCAGUCACUGCAACAAAACUAAGUUUUAAUGGUGAUUAUUUGUUAAAAUCCUGGCAAUUAUAAUUGCCGCUAAAUAGUUUAGUGGCAAUUGUAGUAAUUGCUACCAAUGGUGGGGUCGGUAAAAGUUAUUAUGGCAUUUGUUUGGACGGUCGGUAAAAGUCUAAACAAAUGCCGCUUAAUCCUACCCAAUAACAACAAUUAUAAAUGCCAUCAAAAUUAAUUAUAAUUGCCACUAAAAGUAGACUAAAUAAUUACUAAAUAAGACUUAUAGCGGCAAUUGCCAUAUAUAUUAAAACACUUGAUCCACAAUUAAAUAUUCCAAUAAAUUGAAAUUAGAAAACAUGCAUUACCAAAAAGCAAUCAUAAUUUGCGACAAAUCAUAGUUUCAAUAUUAAAAAUAAAUUUCAUACAUGAGUUUCAAUNGCCACUAAAAGUAGACUAAAUAAUUACUAAAUAAGACUUAUAGCGGCAAUUGCCAUAUAUAUUAAAACACUUGAUCCACAAUUAAAUAUUCCAAUAAAUUGAAAUUAGAAAACAUGCAUUACCAAAAAGCAAUCAUAAUUUGCGACAAAUCAUAGUUUCAAUAUUAAAAAUAAAUUUCAUACAUGAGUUUCAAUUACAGAAUGCUUGUUUGAAUUCUAGCCAAACUAUCUCGAAAAAAUCCUAAAUUCUGAGUGCUCAAGCCAUUUUUUUGGACGGCAGCAAAAUGGCGGGCACGCAAAUAGAAAUGACCCCAGGCACACGCGAGUAUCUCCUCACAGUCAUCAUUGCCUAAAAAAUCCAAGCUGAUAUAUGUUUAAUCAAUCAGACAUUAUGAAUGGCUUUUCUACACCAGAUUAUAUGCCAAAUGCACAUAUAUUUGCAAAUAGCUGAAUUAUCGAAGAGUUUAAGCUGUGAUUAAGAUUAUAAAGAGCUAUUAAUUACAAUGGCCAAAAAUGAUCAUGUCAAGUCCAUUAGAGCAUUAUGAGAAUGAAAUACUAUCGUGAGUGGAGCAGCGCCGCAUCUCCAGUUGUAAACUGGGUGCUUCAGGUUCGUUACAGUUGCUAUAUAUUUGUUCAAACCAGCUGCAAGCAUACGACAAUAGAUAUGGCCGAGAACUUGCACGUAUUCAGCUUGUGGAAGCUGCUCAUGACAUGAAUUUGACAUUCAAAAAGAAGAUUCCCACAAAAUUGAAACUCACAUAGGCAUAAUCACCUUCAAAUUUCAAUGGUAGGGAUCCCCGAGCUUGAUAGCCAAAAUAGUGGCAUAUGGCAUUAAACUUUUUCCCCUUAUAUGCCCCUUGUUUCUGGAAGAAUUAAAGCACAAAGCACAGAAAUGUUCAAAGAAAAUAACAAGAAAUACAAGACAAAUGAUAGGAUUAAUUAGAUACAUGUUUUGCGGAUAAAAAAGUACUCCUUAAGACUUUAUCAACUAUGUACAAUAAGUUAGGUCUGAAUCUUUGAAGUCCUAACUUGUACACAAAUUUUAAAAAAGUAAAAUCUACCAUUCGCUCGUUCAUUUCUGCUUCGACCAAAGUGCCUAGUAGUUUCUCUCUCUCAAUCUGCACAUAAUUACAAGAAAUAAGUACAUAGACAUAUAAAACAACCUUAUGACAUUGCUAACUGCUGAAUCCGAACAGAGUUGGAAACAACCUUCUUCGCUCUAGCUUGGACCACAUCACAAAUAUGCUUUGUAAUGUCUACAAUAGUCAGUUUAGACAAUGCCACCACCUCACCUAGGAGGAGCUGAUAUAAAAUUAAAGUGAUUCAAGAUAUGAAAGAAAAUGCGACUUUAUUGGAAUGGAAUCAUCUGCUAUGAAAUCAAACCAUGUUUCAGUGUGAUUGGAGUGCACGCUCCAAAGCCACAUGUGAUGCUUUGUGACCCAUCAACCGUAUGAAGUGAUAGUACUACAUAAAAUGGAAUUUGUUCAUUUCAGAAACCAUAAGAUAAAUACUUGGAAGCAUCACAACAAUGAUACGCAUCUCACGCCAUAUAAGAACUAUUCUCUACUAAUAAUUGCACGAAAUUCAAAUAGAAAGAGUGAUCGCAAAAAUAAAACUACUAAUUGCAAACACUAAACAAGUGAUGAUCUUCUUCUAAUGAUCCACUUAAUCAAUUUGGAAAAUGUUUCUCCAAUAUCAAAUAAUAAAAUCCUCUUUAGUGGCGAUUUUUUUUUCUGUUCAAAAAAAUCAUUCAGGCAGUGUAAUGACUGAAAGAUGUUCCCGCAAAUUCUACACAAUAUGGUUUCUCCAUGAUCUAUGUCCAUUCAAAACCAAAAGAUUAACUUUUCACGCAGUCACCGACCGUUCCUAGAGCAAGUGGCAAAGGGCUUGGUGGUUGCUACCCGAGGUCCCAAGUUCGAAUCCUAGUUGAUUCACAUUUCUAGCUAAGUUUAUUUCUAAAUGAAAUAAACGAAGCGGGUAGCGUGCUACCUAUCUCUCAAAAAAAAAAAAAAAAAAAAUUUCACGCAGUCUAUAACCUAUAUAAAAACAACGGUUUCAAAAACAUAAGAUAGUAAUCCAUACCUUGCCAGCUGAGAUGGCAUCUAGGCAAACAUUGCUGAUGAGCUGCGAGUUGAUCUGGAAGUAUAUAAAAUUAAAGCCUACUAUACUAGUCAUUUAUGAAGAAAAGAUGUUGAUUGUUAAAACAAUAUUUUUCAGCAAAAAUAAAAAAAAUAUAGAAAAAAGAACUACGAAAAAUGUCCACUAUUAAAUUCAUUUAUCAUAUUUGGCAAAUAUGAAUGGAAUUCAACAAUAUUUUCCACAACUAUACAUGGAUCUGGGUUACCAUGGAGUAAAAAAAUUAUUUUAUAAGAAGGAAUCUUAUAAAAUAAAAGAUCCGGAACAAAUUCAGGGCAAUCACGAAUUAUUGAUAUAAAACGAGUCAUUUCAGGAUGCAUAGAUAAACUACAUAAAAUUAUAUACCUUUGUUGGGCAUUUUAAUUCGGUGAAUGUCUCUGCAAGCUGAGCGGCAUCUGUGUUGGAAGUUGUUCCUUCAUAGACAAAUCAAAACAAUUAAGAAGCCGCAGUAAUCAAUCUGAGAGCAAAAUAAUUAACGACCUGUAUGUGGAUCAACGGAUUCCUCCAGUAAUGACAAGACUAUCCAACUUCAGAUCUUGGCAUGCCGACAUUGCAACAUUCACUUGCUUAGUUGUUCUUAUUUGAUCCACACUCCGACCAAGCAUAUCGAAACCACCUUCACAAGCAAAAGAUUUUAUGUCGACAAAAUAUAUAUAUAUAAGGUAACACUGAAGCUAAAACAGAAAAAGAGAAGGGCAACUUCGUGCAAACCUUGGUGUUUGUACGUAGAAAGAACUUCAUCUGUGAUUUUCAGGGUUUUCUGUGCAAAUAAGCCUUCUGUACCACCUAUAUCCAGAAAUAGGAAGAAGCAAUGAGCAAGAAAUGCUGAAGAAUAUUAUAAUUUGGAACUGGAGUUGAGCUAGAAGAGUCGAAGCCUAUAAACAAAAGUGUAAUUGUUAUUAAAGUGCAAUCUUCAGAACUUGGCUUUGGCAACAAAUCUAUAACAGCGAGUAUACUUGAAAGACUACUAAUCACUUCAACUCCACAAAUGGAACUUCCAAUCCUCACAAAUAAUAUCUGAUCUCCUUUCUAACCGUGUUUAUGUGCGCUGCACAUGCUUCAUAGCGUUCUGAUAAAUCAAAGCUAAUCGCAAAAAAAACAACAUACAACAUAUUGCUAUCGAAGAAAAUUACAUGCUUGCAAGGGGAAGAAAGGUAUGCUAAACUAAAAGGGCUGAUUUAACAUGUUAUUUUGGUGACUUACAAGCCUAGAAUAGAAAACACGGCAGUCAAACUUGAAGAAACGAUAUGCUACCUCGUAAAGAAAAAUGCUCACCAACAAAUCCUAGCAAAAGUAUUGUCAGGAUUGUGAAUUUUUAUAGCAUCGUAAAGGCCCCAAAUUACGUUGUGGCCUCAUGGUGAUUGUCUUCUGGAAAAUACAACCCCAACCCUACAGCAACAGGUUUUGGAGCUCUAAGCAUCAGCUGGCAGCUUCAGUGUGGCUCAACAUGCCAAAAAAUGAUGUGUAUAAUAAUGACAGUCCAGCAAAACAAAUUCUUGGUCUAGAUAGAGGAGGUCAGCAAUCUAACAUUUUUGUCCAGUUUAAAUCUUCUGAGAGGUAAGAACUGCAAUAAACCUGAUAGGUGGCUGGUCCUCAAUGAUAUGCGUGUCGGGGACUUUCGAUGUUGCCCUCAGAAAAUGAGCUAACAGCUGCCCGAAAGUGUGGGGAAACGCUUGGGCGAUAACAUGCGCGCUAGAUGAAUCGGUGGUUGUCGUCGAAUCCCCAUACUCUACUCUCACUGUAGUCCCCUGUUUCAAGAGAUCAUGCUAAGUAAAACCAGAUAGUAUUCACAGGAAUCAGCAACAAAACAAGUCCUAUUCGGAAGAUGCAGCGAGCAAUUACGGUGACUAAAAAACAUACUAAGAUGAAAGAACAAGUGAUUGUAAUAUUUCCUGUAUUCAAUAUAUGAAAAUCCAAACUUUCCGCAGCAAUAAUUAAGUUCUUUACAAAACGGCAAUCAGCUCUCUCAUCUCGGGCUUCGCUUUUUCUCUGACUAAANAACAAAACAAGUCCUAUUCGGAAGAUGCAGCGAGCAAUUACGGUGACUAAAAAACAUACUAAGAUGAAAGAACAAGUGAUUGUAAUAUUUCCUGUAUUCAAUAUAUGAAAAUCCAAACUUUCCGCAGCAAUAAUUAAGUUCUUUACAAAACGGCAAUCAGCUCUCUCAUCUCGGGCUUCGCUUUUUCUCUGACUAAAACCUCCUCAAAUUUUACCUUCCUUCGGCUCUCCUCAACUUCUUUAGACUGCGAGACUGCACUCACCACUUGGUUGGAUAGCUUACCAAUGACCGCCAUCUCCCUGUUAACCCAUAACUCUUCUUCUUCUUGUUCGAGGAACUCUGCGAUUUUCAUAAACAAUUUGUCUUCGAAAUCAUAACUAUCCCACCAUCCAUAUUAAUUUGUAACCAUACUGAACUAUACACUGGAACAUUACAUUUAGGACUUUUACAUAUGUAUCCAUGCAAAAUCAUCUGUCUAGUGUCUACACAUAUGCCCCUUCCAAGUGCGAAGUUGGUUCUGUUCUAAGAAAGAUCUUUAAGAGAGGACAUUCUUGUAGAUGCGUAUAUUUAAGAAAUUAAGCUUUAAAGGGCCUAUAAGAGAAUACGGCAUAUAAGUAAAUAGAUAAUUUAGCAUGGGGAUAUAUGUAAGUAUCUCUUAAGUUUAAAAGUUGGACUUAUGGGUAAGAUAAUAGCCGAGUGAUGAAGCAUAUACCAUAGGCAUUUCCGAUCAUAUGGGUGUCCCUGAAUCCAAUUGUGACGGCUAGACAAAGAAGCAUCAAAAGCCAAUUCACCUCCGGUAUGUAUAUCUGCCCAUGGACGUGACUUGAUGUGUGUAUGAUCUUAAUGCAAGAAAAGCACCCCAAUGGCCUACACUAGCUGAUUUUGGAGAAGGUAGCUGAUAUAAUUGCUUGGCUUCCAACUACUGUGGCUAAUGUUGCGAUGAUUAAUAUUGGUCAAAAGACAUUCUCUGGAUUGAAUGAACAAACGAGUACAAAGAAAGCAUCAAAUAGUGUUAAAUAAACUUCUUAAUGGCAAAACUAAAAUUUUAAUUUAUUAUUACAUGAUUAAUAUCGGCCAACUUUUUAUUUCCCAUAUAGGGCAAAGAAGACAAAUUUGAGAGGAUCAACUUCUCUCUUGCUACUCGAUUUCUGUCGACUAGAUGAAAUUGCUCAAGCAACAGUUAUGAUAUAUUACUCGAGUAAUAUAAAUUAUGAUAUAUUACUCGAUAGAGUGAGGAUUUGAACCUAUAACUCAUAAACGAACAACAAAAAGCAAAAGAAAAAGAAAAAAAAGCUCAUAGAGCGAGGAUUCGAACCUUGGUUUGGAAAUCGACGGAUUGGAUAUCCGCCUUGUAAGCGGAGGCGGCGAUCUCCCCGAACGCAGCCUUGAGGGAGAGGGAGGAGUCGACCCAGACCCCAUUCGCGAAGGAGACGCGGGGCCCACCGGCAGCGGAGGCGUCGGCGAGGACGCGGCCGACGACGUGGGCGGCGAGGGCGGAGACGUCGUCUGUGGUGGCGUCGGCGCCGCCCGCGGGGGCGAGCACAGCGAGGAGCUCGUCGAGGGUGGGGCCUGCAUCCCCGCCGCGGCGAGGCUGAGGAGCGCGUGGAGGAAAGAUCGGAGAGGUGAAUGUGAAGGAAAGGGAGGCGACAGAAGAGGUGGAGGAGAUGGGGAGAGCUCGAUCGAGGUCGAGCUCCGCGUGGGAGGAGGGGGCGCAAAUGAGGUGGGGGGCGAAUAGGGUUAGGGUGGGAGGUGCACUCUUGUGAGCCCAAUCGUGCUGUUUUGGGUUGGAAUUAGAAUUAGGGGUAAGAUUAUAUUGAUUGUCAAAUAAAUAUAUUUAAUAUAAAAUUAACGGCUAUUUAAAAUAAUUGUCGCUAAAACAUAUAUUGAUAAAAAGUAUUAACGGCUGUCCAAUAAUCGAUGCUAUUAAAUUGCCGCUAAAAGGCAAUCUUGUUGUAGUGAGUGGGUUCGGCCGCCGACUCCGCCUAUCUUCCCACUAGGUCUAAGUAGGCAUGAGUAGAUAGAUAGAUAGAUAUGAUAAUAAAAGCUGCUAACAUAGUAAUGAAAUCUACUAUCAAUUUACUAUGCUACUAUGCCUUCAAUAAUAUAAUGCAUGAAAUGCUCACCUAGCAAUGAAACCAACUAUCAUGCUAGUAUAUCUCAACAAUGUAAUUGAAUGAAAGAACUACAUAGUAAUGAAGUCAACUAUCAUGCUACUAUGUUCAACAAGUAUGUCAUUCAUUAAUUCAUCACCCAAUCCACAUGGCUACCCCGAAGGUUCGCCCCGACUCACAUCUCAAAUCCCAUAGGUGAGGAGUCUUAGCUGCUCAACCCACCUGAGACCGACUACGGGACAACCACGUCUGCCCCUAGUAUGAUGACUCCGGAGUGCGCUGCUUGGGUAGAGCGACCACCGCAAAACGAAAACAGACUAUGUGAGUAUGAUCCAAUCCUCGUCAACUGAGGACACCCUACCAACUAGAGCUAACAACAACUCGGGAACUCAACUGUCCCAAUGUCCAUGUUCAAGUGUCUCAACUACACUAAGUUCACGUGUCAUUUGUCCAUAACUAGGAAAAUUCAUCUAUUCCUAGAUUCAUCAUGUCAUUAGUGCUUCUACUACACUAGUUAUAUUCCACUCGUUAUGUCAUCAUACAUGGUUUUAUAUGCCACUCGUCUAUGUCAUCAUUUGUUACCGACAUUAUAGGAUUCCAUGUCAAGACCCAAUCCUCAAGCAUCCAACAUGUAAUGUGUUCAACUCACAAUGCUAUAUCAAUCAAGGAAGCAUAUAAGGAAAUGGGAAUGCAACUACCAAUACCCUACAAUGCAUAAUCAACAUACAAGAUGCAUGGUCAACAUUAGAACAUAGACAUAAAGUGAAGUCCGAUGGCUUCGGAUAGCACCCCCCACCUUUUGGUGAUGCCAAGAUGCUAGAAACCAAAUUUCGUGAUUUUUGGACGUUGCCUCGGCCCUCCAGGCGGAAACGAAGCAAAAACGAUCGUUUUCUUCAAUACCGUGCCACAUGCCCGUAGGAACUCCCGUUCGAGUUGCCCACAAUGUCGAUUUUACCUUCAAUUAGGUUUACAAAGGGUCAAUUUAACCAUAAACCUCAUAUCUAUGAAAACCCCAAUUGCAACCCUAGGGUUUCCAUAGCAUGAACUACAUGAGUUCAUCAUGUGAUCCCAAGGUUUUCUCUAAGUUUUCCUUCAUGUAAGAAGAUCAAAUCCAAGUGUUUUAGGGUAUAAAACCAAACCCUAAACAAGUUCUUACAAGAAACCUUACCUUAGCCUAUGAACACCACGAGCUCCACCUUGUAGGAGAGCUCUUCACAUUCAAAAAGCCUCAAAUCUCCUUCAAAUUCCCUCCAAUCUCCACCAAUCACCCUUAGGGAGAAGCUUCUAGAGAGAGAGAGAAAGAAAAUGAGAGAGGAGGAGUGUUCUCAGCUUGUGAACAAGAGAGGAGGAGAUGGGGUCCUCUUAUAUGUUCACACAAUUGCAAAUAAGCCCUCCAUUUUGUUUUAUUUGUAGCAGACUGCAACCUGUUGUUCGCAGUGCAGUGUACCGGUGACACGGGCUCUUGUCACCGGUACACCAUCCAGCAGCAGCCAAACCCGAGAGAUGCUGUUCUCGGGUUGCUGCAGAGUACCGAUGACUAACCAGGGCUGUCACCAGUACACUGCCCCAGUACCGAUGACACCCGAAUGUUGUCACCGGUACACAGCCCCAGAUGCCCAAACCCGAGAGCUGCUGCUCUCGGUUGCCUGCCUGGUACCGGUGACACCCAGGGCCAUCACCGGUACACAGUACUCAGAUUGCAUUUUUUUGGUAGAGCUCAGUUCUAUUUCGCGUCGAGCAAUGCUAAAACUCGUUAAUCUCAUUUGGAACUCAACUUUAACCCUUCCGACAUUAUUGAAAUGUCGUAUGGACCGUGUCCAACCAUAUCUCUCGCCACGUUUUAAUCAUUUUGACCAAAAGUGGUUUAACUCGACGAGGAUCCAUUAUCUUACAAGUGAGCUCCGGAGUGGUCACACACUGGGUUAACGUAUCUACCCAACAGACGGUCCCCGAUGAGUGUAGCGGGCGUCUCCUCAUCUGCGGGAUUGGUUGUGAGUUGGGCUCAACCUUCGGGUUAGCCGGUGUGAUUGGGUUACAAGCAUAUGAAUGGCAUGCAUCAUGAGCAUAAUGGUUACUUAUUCAUCAUAUCAUAUUAUUGAGGCACAGUAGUAUGUUAGCAUUCCUUACUCUUGUUCUCCUUUCUACUUAUGCCUACUUAGACCUAGUGAAAAAAUUUGUGGGGUCGGCGGCCGAACCCACUGGAAACUUCUUUUAGUUCUCACCCCAUUAUUUUGCGGAUCCCUAUCCUAGCGGAGCGGCCGAGGAUUGUGGCAAGGGCAUAGCGCCCUAGGUAGUGGACUUCCCGUGCAUUAGUAUACCAUGUACCUAUUUAUGUGAGAGACGUUUUAUGUUUUGGAGAGAACAUGUAGUGAGGAUGGCUACGUAUGAAUUAGAUGGUUGUAUUUUGGUGAGAUGCAAAUGGAUAAGUAAAUGAAUGGUUGUAAUAGUUAAUUUAGUUAAUCUUCUCUCUUGCUCUUGUAUAUUGCCCUUGCGCAAAUCAUGUAUGUUGUUUGUUUUACUUGGGCAAAACUUGAUGUACAUGAUGUUGUUGAGCCUUGGGUGGUAUAGGAGAGAUUCUGUCCGUUCGAUGGUCUGUGUGCGUGCCCGCAACCGAUCAAAUUGGCGGUUUUGGGGCAUGACAAACCAUUGGACAACUCGAAUUUUCGGAAUUCGGCUGACGGUCACCGAAAGAUAGCCCGAUUGUCACCCCAACUCGACAAAAUGUCGCAGCAACCCCUGGGGUGACCCGAAGUAAGACUCAUAACUAUUCUACACUGCUUGUUGUCCCAAAGCAUCAUUUUAGUGCCCUUGGGACAGCCGCACAAUGUGUGCGCUAAAAUGGAAAGUCGGGGCUUCGGAAAUUAGCCAUUUGGCUUUUGGGGUGCCGUUUUUGGUCCCGGAACCCUCCAUGGCUUUCUUGCUGCAAUCCAGGAUCUCUAACCUUCCCCUGGCACUUCGCAAAUCGGCCACAAACCUGUUGUGAACAGCAGCAACAAAUAUGACGUGAGGUCGCACCCGAAACUGCCCGAAAUUCACGUUAUCGAGCUCCGUCGAGCCCCGAAGCAUGCCGAAGUAUUCCGGAUUUAAUCCUAACUUACUUGCUGUCCCGAAACACUAGCCAUUGGGUGUCGGAAUAGCAGCACCUCGUUUGGUGGAAGAGCAAUGUAACACACUGGACCAGUGCAAAUUGCGAGGUUCGAGUGCUUGACUUGGAUUCCGAGCUUUUCCACACUUGGUUGAAGGUCGUAGAUAGUAUUCCGACCUAAAAGUUCGAUUUCUGGAAUCUUGGCUAAGUCCUAGAGUUUUCACUCUCGGGGACUGGUCCCUGGUAGGAGAGACCGGUCCCAUCGGAACAGUGUUGCGGCAGAACUUGAGGCAACCGGUCCCUGGCUGAUGAGACCGGUCCCCGAGCGCGACUACGCGGGGAGAGACCGGUCCCAUGCGGGGAGAGACCGGUUCCCGAACGUUGGAUUUGCCGGAUGAACCGAGAGAUCAGUCCGAGGCAGGGAGAGACCGGUCCCUCAGCCCGAAAAUUACCCAGUUCGGGCAGUGCAAUAGUUUCAAAGUUGAGGGGCUUUUUCUGGAUUUUAUUACAAUAGAUGGCCUAAAUGGCCAUUUCACCUCUCUCCCUCCCUCAUUUCACACUCUCCCUUGCACUCUAGAGAGAGAAAGAGAAGGAGAAGAAGAGGAAGAAGAAGGAGAAGGAGAGGAGCUUGCUUGGAGGCCUUGGAGCAUCUUCCUCUCCCUCGUUUCGCACCUUUGGUGGCUUGGAGCUUGUGGUUGGAGCCUUGUGGUGGAUCAAUCUUCUACCCUUAGGGAUUUUGAGCUUGUUUUGGAACAUCUUAGAGGUAAGUGGCUAGUUUUCUUCCUCUAUAUCCUAGUUUUGAAGCUAUAAACUAGAUGAAACCCUAGAUUUGGAUUUUAGGGUUUAUUUUGGAGAUUUUUGAUUUGAGGGCUUUGAGACCCAAUUGAUUGGUUUAGAACCUUCCUCUAGGUUAGGUUGGAAGGGUUCUAGCUCUCUUUGGAAGCUUGUGAAGGGAUUUUUACACGAGAGGUGAGUUAUGCCCUUUAUACCUAGAUGGUUAAAGAUUGAGCUUAGUAUUGUUCGUAAUAUUCGUUUAACUCUUGUUCCUACAUUUUUAGGGUGCUAGGAGACUAGUGGACACCUUCGUUGGAGCAAACGAAGGAGCGCAAGAGUUAUGGUGGGUUUGGCUUCAUGAGAACGGGGCAAAAUGGCCCCUACGCUUGCUAUAUUUGUCGUAACGUCUUUUUGAAUGCAAAUCCAUGCUAGAUAGGAUUUAUGUGAAUUUUAGAACACUUAAAAUGCAUGCCUUAUAUAUCAUAAAAAUUUCACUCUAUAUAAUAGAGCAUUAUGAGUAAAUUCCAUGCAUGUGAGAAGUGUUCGUGUUAGUGAUUUGGAAACAUGUCUAUUAUGUUAGAAAUUGCUCAAAUUAUGCAUUUGCAAAUAAUAAACUCAUGUUUGGACUUAGCGGACAAAAAUGCCAUAAAGGGGCACUUGACAUAGUAAACUGUGAAAUUGCAACAUAGAGACAUAGUGAUAGGCCAUUGAAUAUCUGCUAUAUUCUAUGUUAGAGACAUGAUGACAUAGAGAUAGGCCUUUGGGACAUUCGAUAUAUAUAUAUUCCAUGUUGUUAGACAUGAGGACUUGGUACUUGAGACGGAUUUUUUGGUUACUUGCCAUUGUGCUCAUUCGCACAUGCUUGUGAGGGUCGCUCCCUAUAAGCCGGCACUCCGGAGAUGGCCAUCGAGAUACAUAUUCGCCGUGCCGGAUUGGGUGCCGAAGUGGAUUGCCGUGGGCUAGGCUCAUUCCUAGAGUGAGGAUGUUGACUACCACGGGGCCAUUAGGCUCGGCACCGGCCAGACAGCCUACGGGUGGGUCUCAGGGCCAGACAGCCUUUGGCGGCGGGUCUCUUCAGAUUUGACUUGGAGCAUUCAUCAUGCCAUGUGGACAUUAACUAGAAUAGUAAACAAUAACAUCUUUACUAUUUGACUUAUGGACAUCAUACUAGCGAUACUUGGGUACAUUCAUACGAGAAUAGCUUUUCUUACUUAUGCUAAAUCAUGCUAAGUAGAGAUAUCAUGUGGUAACAAAUAUUCAUACUUAUUUACUUGUUGUACAUUUCGCUCUUGUUUAUAUCUGCUUACUGACCCCUUGUUAGUCUGGGCCUAGUGGUGCAUUUCACUGAAGCCAGUAAUUGCCCACUGGGAACUAUUAUUCAAUAGUUCUCACGCCCUCUGUUUUAUGGUUUUAUUUCAAAGCUUUCGGCACCGGCGGAGGCACGGGAUCGCGGCAAGGGAGUCGUAUAGCUAGAUAGCGGAGCUCGCUAUUGCUCCUAGGUGGUCACUCUCUUCUUUUUGAUUUUUGUGAGAGAGAGAGUUUUGUACCAUGUAUAGAGACCACCUGUGUACCUUGUUUAGCUUUCGUUUUUGGGAUUUUUAAUGUAUUACUUUAUGUUUGUACUUAGCGGAUUUCACUUUAUGUUCCUUUUCCUUUUGUAGCUUCUAGAUACACUUUGCUCUGAUACAUCUAGAUGUUCUCUUUUUAUUGCCUUAUUUAUCGUUUUGUUUUAGACGCCUUAUAUAUUUUAGACAUAUGGCGGGUCUAGGCACGUGCCGGGCGGGCUUCCACUGGGUCCCGGGGCGUGACAAGCAAUUGGUCCAAUGCGGUCUAUGCCACGAUCGGGGUCCCGAUCAUUGCCAUUUUGGCUCCGGAAGCCCCCGAAUUGCAAAACGUCGAUUCGUGAGUCUCGAAGGCUCAUUAACGGUAGCACACGAAGUGUUACGCCUGGUGUGACCAGCAGCGACACGAGUCCUAUAACCAAAGCCAAAAACGAGGCUCCGACGGCACAAAUGAUGGUGAUAUAAGCGCUAAUUGCCUUGCUAAUUGAACCACGAGGUUCGUGGGCAUCGGACAAUGAACGAGGACACAAAUAUUUCAAUAUGCAUGCUGCCUACAGCAUCAACGAUGCGAAAACACCGCUAUGAUGCAAACCGAGCCCAAACGCUUGACUACGAUCUCAACGUGCGAUAGUUUCUCGACAACUACGAAGUUACAGCCUUACCGUUGUUCCAGGGGCUUCAAAAACACAGCAAGGAUGAAAUCCUCACGAUCCUUAGGCGCUGGACUCCUCCCACGGCAGUCCCGAACGGGAGUCGCGCUCGCUGCACAGCGAAUCCGCGAACAAUGCCUUGCCGCAGCCUGCGCGCGAUGAUUCAUCGCAAUCUGCGAACCAGCCAAGAAGAGCAAGAAUUUUUAGUGAACCCAACAACGAAAGUAAUCAGCGGAGGGUGGUGCUUACCUUAACCAUGCUCCACAAGGUAAAGAAUAGUAGUUGGGAAAUUUUGAAUUUUUCACGAACAAUCCCCCACAAAAAUUCAAAAUUUUCAAAUAUAAAAAUUAAACAAAAAUAAAUUAAAUAAAUAAAUCAAUUAAUCACCGGAUAUUUAUAUUAUGCAAUAGGCGAUGUGUCUUUAAGAGAAUUAACCCUACUUAGUGUAAAUAGUUUCCAUCAGAAAGAAUCGGAGUGAACCAAGUCUUGAACUACGUUCCUUUGACCCUAACUUCAACUACCACACACACAGUACAGAAUUCUCCGUCGCGGGUCUGUGCGUUAAUGGCCAUGCAUAAUAUCUUGAUUUUUCAUAAGAGCUUAUAUAGACAGCCCACAUCACAUAGCCGCAGCCACAUACGGAUACUCUUAUAUAGGUGGUUUCCUCCAGGGAUGUGUGUAGAGUCACAUCUCGCGGAAAUUAUCGUCUUGGAUUCCAUUAAGAGCUAUCAGCUCAACCUCAACCACUAACAGAGCACUACUCACCAUAGGGGUGGGAUUAGAGCUAAAGCUCCUCUAAAUAAAUUGUAGAAAGUGCUCUUUGGCCAACCUAACAGCUUAUUUUUACCAUAUUGAACCUUCUUCAAGGGAUCUCCUAUCACAAAGGUUGGGUUCCCAUUGCAGGAAGGCCCUAUACGGGCAAAGUCCCACUACUAUAGGUACAAAAUUUAGUGGCGACAUUUAGUACAAGAUUUAGUGGCGACAAAUGUCGCCACCAUAGCCAAAAUUGUUGCCAUGAAAAAUGUUUUGGCGGCGACAAUUCAUCGCUGCAUACCGCCGCCUAAAACCCUGUCGGUAAAACUGUUUAGUGACGACAAUAUUGUCGCCAAUAAAAGUUAGAUAAUUAGCGGCGACAUACUGUCGCCGUGAAAAGUUAGAUAAUUAGUGGUGACAAGUUGUCGCCGCGAAAAGUUAGAUAAUUAGUGGCGACAGAACCCUAAACCGGGACCGAACGUUUUGGUGGCGACAAUUUGUUGCCGCUAAAAGUUAGAUAAUUAGCGGCGGCAUAGUGUCGCCGCGAAAAACUUUAGAUAAUUUGAUUGUGAUUUAAAUCUAACUAAAUUUUGUGAUGAAAAUAAAUAAAUCAACUUACAGAUAAUUGCUAAAUUCCAAAUAAAAAUUUAAUUGAUCCGGAAGCGUGCGAAGCACUGCCCUAAGACGUAUUCCCGUCCUUCAUGCAGGAUUAACCAGAAACACCGCCCCAAGAUACGACCGGAAUUCCACUUCCUACGAGCACGAACGCGGAAGAGGUUGACGGAGACUCUUUCAACACCAGGUGAUAAACGAAUCACAGAAAAUAAAAAAUAUUAUCAAAUCUCUAAAUAAUCUUGCUUCAAAAAUUACUGGACAAACACUUUUUGCUUCUCUGUUUCCUUUUUCUCACUAUGCACCUUUCACAGGCUCAUCCUAUAUAUAUAUAUAUACACAGCAUGCGAAAAAGAAAAAAAGGAUGUUGCCACGUUCUAUGCGGAACGGGUGCGCAUCUAGCGCGCGAGCAGGGCGCGAGCGUGCGCGGAGCGGGCGCGCACGUAGCGUGAGCCCGUAACGUCCGCAGAGAAUAAAAAUAAAAAUAAAAAUAAAAGAAUUAGAGAAUUAAAGAAUAAAUAAUAGUAGUUGGGAAAUUUUAAAAUUUUCACCAGCAUGGAGAAGGUCUAGGACGGUUGCAGCAGGUCGGGGAGGUCCAGAGGAAGGAUUUGGCAACGUCCAAACGCAACCAGUGCUACGCCCUAGCUGCUGCGACUACGGUCGAUUUGAAAUAACCUCUUAAUAAUAAAAAAGAAAAGAUGGGUUACUUUAUAGAGCCCUGCAAUAAUGUGGUCCAUAUUGGGCUAUUGGAUCAAAGGCCCAACGCAGGCCUAUUUUGAGGCCCCCUAAUUCACAUCAUUUCCAACUAAAAAGGCCCGUAUUUGUACAACUCCGUAACCUUGUCGCUCUCUCCCUCUCUCUCUCUUCCUGCGAUUCCGCACUAUAAUCGUCGUCGUCGUCGUCGUCGUCGUCGCCGUCGCCUCUCCGACGAGGUCGCCAUGGACGAGGUCGCGUUUGCUGUGGAGGGCCUGAAUGGGGAAUGGGACGAAACCGCGGUGCAAAUCCGAGAGCGGAUCGCAGCGAUCGAGGGUUGCGGGAGAUCCGGGAGGGGGACGGAGGAGGCGAACUCGCUCCCGCGGUUGAACGCCUCGGCGCAGGACGGGCUCGCCUCGCUCAGAUCGAUGCAGUGCAAGCUCGAUCUACUCGCCCAGCAGUUGCCCACACCAAACGAAGUGCAGCGUGGCCAAUCCACUCUAGAGUCCUGGAAGGAACAGUAUAACAAGUAUGUUUGUUCCUCUUGCAAAUUAUUUUUAUUAUUUUCCCUUUUUCUUUUUCAAGAUCCUAGUGAAUUUUUGCUCGUUGACACUCUUAAUCGUUGGAAAUUUGGAGGGGAAAAAAGAAAAACCAACCAUAAUUUUUGCAAGAUUUUGGGGCUAAUUAUGGUCCGUGACACUCAUUUGGCCGUUAUAAUUUCAUGUUUAUCCCUUUGCUCUCUGAAUCGUAAGAUAAAAUUUGGACGAAUUUAGGGGGGUUUGAGUGAGGUGGCUGAUUGAAACGGAUUGAGAGUUCGUAUAGUUUUUCUUUUAAUUUUUUGAAGUUCGGGUUAGUAAGUAUAAUCCGGCUGAAGUUUGUUUAAUCAGGCCCAACAUUUCUAUUUUUUUCUCGUUUUUCAUGGAUUAAUUUCUCACAAUUUUCCUAUGUUGAUGUUUGUAGGCUGCAUAUGAGCUUGAGGAAUGCGAAUCUGCAGGCGAAGCAGAACAUCAGGAAAGCUGCUCAAGAAGAAGUGAGUUUCUCUUCUUAAACCUGGAAAUCAUAAGACGCCGCAUAUUGAGAUGCAUGAUGUCAUUUUACGUCCACCACUAAGUUUUGGAGUAUAAUUUUGUCCAUGUGCAUCUUAAUCGUAUGUCUGGGUUACUCACUUUUGCUCACUAUUGUUGAAUUUUUCACUGGGAUAUGUCCGUGUGAUUUAAUUGUGUAGUCCAAUGAAAUUGUUUAUUUCAUUCUUCCAUCGGAGUAUCUAAGAUCAUUCUAAUUAUUGGUAUCAAACUCUUUUUUCACAGAGAGAGCUGCUUUUAGGAGGUGGGGAAGAGUCUACCAUCCGCAGACGUAAUUUAUAGUAUGUUGAGUUGUCAAGUGAAAAUUUUCCCAUUUAAAAUUGCAACAUUUAGAUGUUCAUGUAGUCCGAACGAAUGUUUUUUGCGAAACCCGUCCUUAACUUGGUCUUUGAAUUUUACAAACUUGUUGAUUUGGAUUAUUUCCACUACCAGAACAAUUUCCGUUGUUCAUGGCAGUUGGAACGCAAUGUCGCUUGUUAAUAACCAUUCUAGGAAUGCUAAAAAUAUUCAACAAUAGCAACAGCUCUAAUGCUGACUGUCAGCUAUAAAAUGAUUUUAAUGGUUCAUUGAGGAAAUUCAAAGUAGAAGGUUCUUAAUGCUCGGUAGUCCUGAUGAUCUCCAUCAUCGGCUUCAUUUAGGGUGAUUUUGAGAAUUUAGUUGUUGAAAAAAUCGCUAGAUACUUGGUUCAAUGUUAGGUAGUUUUGGUAGAAAAAUGCUCUCUUUGGCUUAUUGUUGCCAAGUGAGAAACCAUGAUUAGCAUUUAUCGAUGCUUAUUUAGGACAAAGGCUGGGAUGACUUCUGCUGCAGAAAGUAUCACUGAGAGCCUCUGCCGGACUCGUCAGCUGAUGGUUCAGGUAAAAUAAGCUCUGCAAGCUCUCCUUGAAAUUUUAUAAUCUUUCUCAGGGUUAGUAUUAAUCUCAAAUGUUUUUGCAGGAGGUGGAAAGAAGUUCUAGCACAUUAGCAACCUUUGGUAUGACUCCUCCUUUUGCUAAGUAGAUUUACUUGCUAAUCACAUGCUUCCAUGAAAGUAAUAUUAGCUUGCUGUGGUUUCUCAUGGUUUGGUUAAAGAAGACUUAUAGCAUGGAUGUAUUGACUAUGUAAUCCGGAAGCAGAUAAGCGUUGUUUCCCUGGAAAAAAAUGAGAGGAAAUUUUUGUAGGUUGGAAAAAGGCUUUGGAAGUACCAUGACUAUUCCUUUCAAUCUUGUAUGAGAUUUGCCUCGAGAAGUUCAGCAAGGUUCCUUUGCCAAAUGACUUAAUAAUUUCUCAAAUUUGAUAUUCAGGAUUCCUAAUAGAAUGUAUGGUGCCUAGUGGCGAGUGCUAUUGGAUUUCAAUAUUGUGCAAAUUGAUUAGUAUCUGUUGUUAAUGCUCCAUGCAAUUAAUGAGGAUGAUUGUGUCUCAUGCCUACAAGUAUAUCUAUUCAACUUAGAAUUUCUGGUUCUUCAAUCUUUGUAGAACUCUUGCAUAUCUCGUAAUUACAGAUCCAAGUUGAUGAUAAAUUUAACUUUGAAAAACCUAGCAGCGUAGAGGAGCUACUUGUUUGUAAUUUGGUAUGUAUUAAUUGAAUAAGAAGAUAGAAAAUAAGAAACAAACUAUUUGCUGUAUUUCAAAGUUUACAAUGGGAAGAGUCUGUGAAGAAAACCUCAAAAAUGGACUAUCAAGAAGAAAUGUGUUAAAGAAGGUGUAAGGAAGUGAAUUCUCGAAAUCUGAGGAUUAGACUUCGUCUAGAAUCGACUGAUUGUCGAGGGUAUGAGCUUCGGAAGGUCCGGAGGUGAUUAAAAUGCAUAAAGUGCAUUAAGGAAGAGUCCGCGAGAGCAGCAGUGCAAAAUCUGCACUGGAGCAGAAUUUGCUCUCGGGGACCGGUCCCUGGCAGGGAGGGACCGGUCCCAUCAGGCUGGGCUGGCGGGGAUCCUUGAUGCAACCGGUCUCUCGCAGGUAAGGACCAGUCCUCGAACGUUAACCCAGCGAAAAAGGCCGAAAUUUGGCUAAGUCCCGAAAAUCCAACUCUCGGGAACCGGUCUCUCGAACAAGGACCGGUCUGCCGGGGACCGAUCUCUCAGGCUGGGACCGGUUCCCGAAUGCGAAAUCCCCUCUGCCCAAAUAGGAGGCUCUUGGGGACCGGUCUCCCCGAGCUAGGACCGGUCGCUCGCUGCGAAAUCAGCCCAGUGAAGGCUGUUUAAUAGAUGGAAAGUUGAGGGGUUUAUUUGCAAAAUGGCUUAUAUGAGAGGCUGGGGGACCUCUCUUCUCUCACAUCCCUCUCAUUUGCUCUCUCCCUCUUAUACUCUUUCUCUCUCUCUCUCUCUAGAAAGAAAAGAAGGAGAAGAAGAAGGAGAGGAAGAAGAAGAAGGAAAAGAAGGGAAAAAGGAAGGAGAAUACUAAGAAGAAGAAGAAGAUCGUCUUCUCUCUCUCUCUCCCUCAAGCUUGGAGCUUUGUUUAGAGGUAAGCUCUAAACCCUUUAAUGGUAUUUCUAGGAUUUGGGGUUUUUGUUGCUUAGAGAUGGUUCGAAUGGAACCUAUUGAGGUUAAGGAGAUGGCUCGAGCUCGAAAUUGAAGCUCGCACCACGGAUUUCCCUAUCGUUGCCAACUUAGGGCACGGAUUUGGGAUUUAUGGAAAUUUAGGGUUUUGAUCUAUUUUAAUGGGUCGCAAACCUAAUUGCUAGGUCUCUGAACGCGUUGACGAAGACGGUUCGUCGAUCCGACGAGCGAGUGUGAAGAUAUUGCCGAAACUGAUACUUGAGGGUUCGCUUUGCCCCGAGGAGUUAAAGCGACGUACAAGGACCGCGACGUCGAGUUUGUUAACUACGCGGCACUACCAAAAGGUGGGGGAAUGCCAUCCCGAAGCAGUCGAGCUGCUUUCUAUGUCUGAGUUCUAUCGUUGAUCCAUUACAUAUUGUAAUAUAACAUCAUAGGGUGUUUUAUGCAGUUGUUACAUAUCUAUAUUUGCAUGCUAGUGUAAUGUGGCUUAGUUGAUAUAGCACUAGAACCUAGUAUGCAUGAGCCGAAUAUGAGAUGGUUAACCCUAUAUGUGUGGAUGUACAUGUAGCCAUGGAAACCUAGUACAGUGUGGACUAGCAUAUUGCGAACUUGUCAAAAGAACGAGUGGCAUGUAGUUAACUAUGAACACAAACGAGUGGCAUCUAGUUGACGUUGAAUAUGAGAACCCUAGUGUAGUCAAAACACUAUGAGCUUGGGUAUUGGAAUGCUUGAUUCUAUGAUGAGACCAACUUUAGUUGGUAGGACCAGUUUGUGAGUUCAGAUUAUACUCACAUAGCCUGUCUGCGCUUGUCGGGGUCGCUCCCCACAGGCUGUGCACUCCGGAGUAUUUGUCACUCGAGGGGCAGUCGCCAUGCGCUGCCUGGACAGUCAGUGUAUCUGUCCGCAGGCGGUCUCGGGGAAUAGUUCAGCGAGGCUUUUCCCUAUGAGACUAUAAACGUGAGAUUGUGUUGCCGGAUUGAUCGAAAGAUUGGGUAAAGUAAUGAACAAUCCUUAUUGUUGAGAUAGUAGUAUGGUAGCUACGAAUUCAGUAUGAAUGACAUGCAUGCAUGAUUCCAGAUUGAGGUAUAGUUAGAUGCUCAUACAUAUACUUGCUUAUUCCUCGUUAAUGCUUUCAGUUUCGUAUAUAUCUAUCUAUCUGCAUAUCUAUCUGUGCCUUCUUAGACCUAGUGGGAAGAUCGGCGGAGUCGGCGGCCGUACCCACUGGGAACUAUUCGUAGUUCUCAUCCCACUUUGUUGCAGGUCCGAGUUCGAGUGUCCCCGGCGAGCGUGAGGAUCGUGGCAAGGGCAUAGCGCCCUAGUGAUAUAUGUACAUAGCUAGCUUUAUUUCCUUUUGCAUUAGCUCUAUCCUGUACUUAUAUUGAGAGUAGAUGUUGUAUAGGGUGAGGUUUUGAGAGUCAUUGUACAUAUGUUUUGGAAGAAUGUAAAAGAUGAAAUAAUUGUAUAUAGUUGAAUGGAGGUAAUAGAAUAGUUAAGUAUCUCUCUUUUAUCACUUGUAUGCUUUACUUGUGUUGCUUGCUCUUGGUUGAUAAGCACUGUUUGUGCUUCGUCGUCGUUGUUUGAUCAUGUAUGUAAUCAAGUGCAUUUCCUGGGAGCUUGUGUACAUGAUCUCGUCGUUGAGGCCUUGGGCGAACAGGGGAGUUGCCGUCCGUUUGGCGGUCCAUUCGCCGCGCCCGAACCGGACCAAAUCGGUAGCGGACUCGGGGCGGGGGCGUGACAGAAGGCAUUCCUUGAUAGUAAUAGUUCCAUGACUUUAUAAUAUGUCAUUGAUUGGACAUCAUUCAAACUUCUUAGGCUUGAGCUUUCUGAUGUUUAUCUCUCCUAUUUUACUUGAUAGCUAUGAUGUACGGAUACUUCAAAUUUCAUGCAGUACUCGUAUUGGAUACAUAUUGGACACCGAUAUGCGCCCGAUACGUGCCCGAUACGGGAAUGAAGUAUCCGGCAAUUUAAAAAAUAAAAAAAAUAUCGGAUACGGCUUGGAUACAGGGGGGAUACGGCCAGAUUUUUUUUUGGCCUAAAAUGAUCGGAAUUUUCAAAUUUUUUUAAAAGCCCACAUCCAAACCUGUUGAAAAUAAGGACAAGAGUGAGAAAAACACCAAUCUCUAUUUAGUUUGUCAUUUCUUCUAUCUUUUUGCUCUUGAAUAGUAGAAAGCGCUCCCUCUCGUGCUAUCUCUACACAAUAUUAAGCCAUGAUUUAGGUCUUCACUGCUUCUCUUUUACUCUUUUUCAUCUAAUUUGUCAACCUAGCAUUAAGCAACAAAGGCUAUAAAGAAUAUGAUUUUUUUUUCUUUUUUAUUAAAUUGCUAGCAUAUUUUCUUUUAUUACUAUUUUAAUAAUAAAACUAAUAGAACAAACAUAUAUGUUGAAUGGUUAAUUAUCUAGUUUGUGUGACUACAUAUCUAUUUAUCAUUUGAUCAAAUUGGAGAAUAAUUGGGUGAUACUUUAUGAAUUAUUAUUUCAUAUGAACAAAUGUAGGACAAUUAUACAAGUUACUGUAUAUUAGAAUAUAUUUCUUAAUAUAAUCCAGAUAUCCUACUUGUUAUCAAUAUAUCAUUACAUAUAAUCAAUAUAUAUUUAAGUAUAUUUAAAUAAUACUUUAUACAAAUAUACCCCGCGUAUCGUAUCCUGGAAGUUUUAGGAAGUGCUGUAUCACCGUAUCUGUGCCGUGUUGUAUCCGUAUCCCCGUAUCCGUAUCUGUGCAAUAUAGCUUGAUAGGCCUAAGAUCUUCUUUUGCAACUCAUGUUAAGACAGCUCAUUUUCUUAUGCAUUUGUAAGUUGGCGAUAAUGUUCAGUUUUAUAUUUUACGACUAUUGAACCACAGUUAACUGCUGCACUUUUAUCUUGCAUUCUUUUUCAUUUAUCAGAGGAAUCAACAAGUGUCCUAAGGAAGGCUGAGAGCGAGUACAAAGGGCAUCGCUCUUUGCUUAUGCGUACCUGCCGCUUGCUCUCCACAAGGCAGCGUCAGGAUGUUAUUGACAGGUUAGCGCCUUUCAAUUUUUCAUAAGCCAAGUUUAUGCAUGCAGCUGACAAUUUUUUAUAGUGAGAAGAUACUUUAAUCAGAACUCAGUUUAUGGGUCCCAUUUGCAAUCAACAUGUACUAACUGUCAUUUCCAUGUAACAGGGUCAUUCUGGUAAUUGGGUUUCUCAUAUUCUUGUCUGCGGUGUUGUUAGUUUUCUCGAAAAGGGUUGGCUUGUUGACGUUACAAAGGAAACUUGUGGAUGCUAUUAGAUCAGGUUCAAUAGCAAAUGAACAUGUCAUUCAAGAUGUCCAGAGAUUGGCAGCGGGAACCCAGGAUAAUGCAGUUCCUCAUGCAGAAAUUCGGCAUGUCUAUGAUGAACUAUGAAUAGGUGAUUUCAACAGUUAUUGGAUUUAUGAAUAUUUCCUUUGUAGGCAGUUUAAAAAUUAUGCAGGCACAUUUUUGUACACGAGAAGGCUUGUAUCCUGUAAUGCAUAACAUCUAGGCAGUUUAAUCAAAUUGGUAUCUCUCGUUGAUGCCUAUUCUUUCAUAUGAGAGUGGCAAACUUUCUCAGUUGUUAAAUUGUACACAAACAAAUCCCUGCUUUGCAGUAACAUUUUUUACUCUUAAUUGUAUUAUCUCUAUAAAAACCCUUUAUUCUGUUAUUUUUCGCUUUCUUCGGGUAUAUAUCGUGUGAUAGUGAACCUCUUUCUGCUUUCCUUCCACUCCUAUUGAUGAUUAGACACGACAUAAUACCCUAGCAGCAGGAUAAGUUGGAUGAUGAAGCAACUUGGUUCUUUUGACCUAAAAUGUUGUUUCCUGUGUGCAUUAAAGUUCGUCAUACUAGUAUUUCUCUCAGCAUGGCCACAACAUGCUUUUCUUCUCACUUUGCCCCCUUAAAUUAAUCGAACUCAUGGUGUAGAAAGUGUUUUUAGAUAUCUACAUUGUUCGAUUCUGUAAGGUGACAACAUUGUACAUUUCUGGCUCUUGCAAUUCUCUGCAGUUUCUGAAGUAUGUUUGGGGUUCUCUUAUUUUGUUGCAUUCGCUAAUUGACUGUUACAAUACAAAAGUUUCCGCAAAGGGAAUUCCAAAAAUCAAAAUCAUAAGUUAUAUGAUCAUUCCUUAAAAAAGGGAAAAAAAAAAACUACUUGCAUGAUAUUUCUUAACAGUAAGUGAAAUGAGCAACUAUGAGGUGAAAACUACAGUACAAGUUUUACGACAGAAGCGGUUUUUCGAUGUCCUCAGUUUGCUGUGUUGAUACUUUUGAAGUCUCUUCUGAGGUAGGAAGAAGUAAUCCUUCUUUCUUCUUUGCCCACAGAACUAUGUACAGGCCGGAAAAUAGAACUAGUAUUCCUGCUAAGCUGCAGCAUGACAUACCCAAUUAGUCGAUAUUGAUCAAAAGCGUUAUGAUUAAUACUUUCUUUUUGACUUGUAGAUCUCUUUAUUUGGUUGGAGACAGCAAAGAGGAAGAGAAAAGAAUAUUUCAGCUUUUCUAUUUGGAAUGAGACUCGAAAAAUGAAGAUAACUGAAGAGAAAAUAAGCUCCUCCUAUAGUGGAGAGAAUAGGUAAUAACAACACUAUUAAAGACCCAUUUUCGUUUCUCUUCAUUUCUCUACUUUGUUAUCUCCUCUCUUAUUAUUCUCACCCAAUCAUAAAGAAAUAAAAUUCUAAUGAUCUUGUUGUUAGAUGUGAUUUUCAUUCAUACCUUCCUGGUUGUAUGACUUGCCCUAAGAAAAUUGCUGAGAGGACUGUUGUACCCACAGUUUGAGUGGGGCUAAACAUGGAGACAAUCACCACUACAGGAAAUUAGUUAAAAGGCGACACUUAUUUAACGGCUUUUUGAAUUGGGCCGGCCCAAAAUAGUAGCCGAAAUUAUAUAUUGCUCCUCUCUUUAUCUGGGCCUAGCCUAUAAGUAAUUAGCCAUCUCCUUCUCUUUCUCUCUCUCUCUAGGCCCAAAUUAAUUACCUAUCUCUCUCUUUCUCUCUCUCCCUCUCUCCUUCUUCUACAUAGACCCAAAACCCGACACCUUGCCCUUUCUCCCUCGCGUCUCCUCCAACCUCUUCCUCUCUAGGGUUUUCUCCUCAACCAUUUUCUAGGGUUUUAGACUCGUCCGCUCCUCUCAACCUCACAUACGAUGGUCGGAUUGGGAAGGAUCGUUCGCCGAGGUGAUCCCCUUUGAGCUCGCACGUGAUCGUCGCUUGGGAGGACCUUUGCCGAGGUGAUUCCUCUUGAGCUCGCACGCGAUCGUCGCUUGGGAGGACCUUUGUCGAGUCACACGCGAUCACCGCUUGGGAGGAUGUCACGCCUCGAGCUCCGCCUAUUUGGUCGGAUUCGGGCCACGUCAACAGACGCCGAAUGGACAGCACCUCCCCUGUCCGCCCAAGGCUCCAACAACAAGUAUAAUUAAGCAACUCAAACAACGAGAUUGCAAUUAUACAAGGCUUGCUCGAGGGCAAGCAACAACAACCACAAGUGAAAGCAAUCUAACUAUUACAUUCAUACAUUGUAACUUGAUCAUUUUCAAUCAACUACAAAGCUUGUACAUUUACUUUACAUUCAGUCUUCCAAUUUACAUAACCAUCUCUCAAAUGAAUUAAUUACAUUUCAUAUACAAUUUACAUUCAUCAACAUAAUAGAUGAAAUAUACAUAGGAUGUCUCUAUAUACAACGGUAGUCCGCUACCUAGAGCACGAUAACCAUGCCACGAGCCCCGCUCGCGCUAUAACCUGCAUGGUUAGUGGGAUGAGAACUACAACAAAGUUUCCAGUGGGUUCGACAACCGACCUCGCCGACUUACCCACUAGGUCUAUUUAGGCAUAUGUAUUUCAAGAAGGAAAGAUAGCAAACCAACUAAUGCUACUACUAAUACAAUGCCUGCAAGAAAAUUGGUCAAUAAACAGAUAAUCAUAUGUAUGAUAAAUGCAUGCAUGCUCUUUCCAUAACUUUACUUUGGCUUUUAUCCAAUCUUACCGGUUAACCUUGUUAACCUCAAUAACUCACAACCAAAAAUUUCUUAAUAACGGGGGACUCGAACCACCCUAGGGACCGUCCUCUAGGGGGACUUUACCACGCCCAGUGGUGACCAACUUAGGAGCGCACCGCCCGAGGGGGAGCUACCUCCCUCAAGCUAAGACUAAUCGUGAGUAUUGAUCAAAUCCUCAACUUGAGGAUAUAUAGCCACUAGUCACAAUGCCACUGUCAUAAUAGGUUUCUACCUAUUUAUUCGUGCCACUUUUUAGUUUACUCUUGCCAUAAUGCCACUAUGCCACUAUAUCAAUGACAGGUCUCUACUUGAUCAUAUAUGCCAAUCUCUAGGCUACACUUGCCAUAAUGUCAUAAUUGGUUAAACUAUAUUUAACAAUUUAUCUCUCAAUGCCAAUUUUGUCUCUAUUGUCAAUGUCACCUUUGUUUACUAUUGUCAAGUCCAAUUCUCGCAUUCAUACAAUCUUUAGGGUUCUACCAUACAUGUCCAUUAUGGUUCUUGUUCAAUCACUAUGUUCAUCUACGUUAGAAGCGUAAUAUUGAAAUUCUAACCAUUAAUCACAUGUCAAACACCCUAUCAUGCAUGAAUGGUUCUAUACAUAAAUAUGCUCAACAAAAUUGAAAUAGACAUAAAGGGGAAUCCGAUGAUUCCGGUGUACACCUCCCACCUUGUAGGAAUGCCAAGAAGCUACGGUUCAAAUCUCGUGAUUUUUGGGCGCCUAUUUUGCGUGCUGCGGCCAUUUGUACCAAAAUAGAGCCAAAUUAGGCUUUUUACUCAAUAUCUAUACUUAGACCUUUCUGUUUGGUCAAACCGAGUUUCCCAAUGCGUCGAGAAUACCCCUAAUUAGGUUUCCACAAGGUCAAUUUAUCUCGAAAACGAUCGGGGGCAAAAGCCCCAAAUUUGGUGCCCUAACAAUGUCAUAUUGCAAUUUUUCCUUAGAUUGAUCUUAGAGCUAAGCAAAACUAACUUAGAAUCAUCUAAGAAGUUCUCUAAUACCAUUUCUAAGCCAUUCCAAACAUUCCUAGGGCAUCUAACAUGAACCCUAGCAAUCCACCAUGUGAGCACCAUGAGAAACCUAGGUUUUCAUGUGUUCUUUGGCCAUUAGAGGGUUUCUACACUUGUAGAAGCUUCAAAACCUAGCUCCCUAGGGUACAAAACCAAACCCUAGACUCAACUUUACAUAAAACCUUACUUUGGUCACAAGCUCACCCAAGUCCACCUUGUUGGAGAGCUCCAAGAUUUUCCACAAGCUCCAAAUCCUCCAAAAAUCCACCUCUAAUCUCUUCCACUUGAGCUCUUGGAGGAGAUUGUAGAGAGAGAAAGGGAAGGAAAUGAGGGAGGAUGAUGAAUGGUUGUGGGAGAGAAGGAGAGGGAGUAUUAGGGUUAUAACAUGUUGCAACAAUAGCAACCAGGCCCCCCACUUCUUUCUAUUUGCAACAGUCUUCAAUGUUGCUGCCAGACCAAAGUGUACCGAUACACGGAAUUUUGUACCGGUACAUUUUCUGUGCAGAGGCAACCCGAGAGCAAGGUUCUCGGUUUCGUAGCAUUUGUACCGGUACACUUUCAAAGUGUAUCGGUACACUUUCAGUUUUUCUCUCAAACCCGAGAGCACACUCUACUCGGGCUACAGGGCUGUACCGGUGACAACUCGAUGGUUGCACCAGUACCUUUGCUCCAGAAUGCUGUUUUAGCUCCGAUUCGACUCUACUUCGCGCCGGUCGAUGCUAAAACUUUUCUAAUCUCUCUUAAACUCAUUUUUAAUCCUUCCAACAUUGUUGGAAUGCUAAUUGCAACUUGUCCAUCCAUCUUUUUCGCAUACUUUAGUCAAUUUGGCUAAAGUUCGAUAUUUGCUACCGAGUUUCGGCAUGUUACAGAGGACCUUCGCCGAGUGCUUGGGAGGAAUCGUUCGUUCACCUUCAUCAUCCUUCUUUCUCACUAUUUUUUUUUGGUAAGUUUUGAUCAUUUUUUGAUUUUUUUUCAUUUUUAAUUAUCAUUUGUGCAUACACUCUGUUUGUUUAUAUUAAUCUUUACCUAGUUUUUUUCUAUUUUUAAUUAGUAUUUUUUUAUUUUUAAUUAACUUCUGAUUCAACUAAUCAAAUCCACCAACAUUUGGAGAAUUGUGACUAUGACCAAUUUUAUAGAGUGUAAUUUAUUAACUGAUCAAUAAAUUAUAUAUAUGUUUGAUCUCUUAAUGAUCAAACCUUAUCAAACAGUGUAUUUUUAUAUACUGGACUAAGUCAAUAAUAUCUUUUCACAUUGUUUAUUUUGUAAAUACAGCCAAAAUAGCAGCAUUAAUUGUUUGAAAAAAGUGCUGGUGUUAAAAAACACAUGCCAAGUCGGAGAGCUUAAAUUGAUAGAUAAAGAAAUUUCUCAUAAUAUAUAUACAUCAGAAUUUUAAUUUGUGUCCAAUAUGGGAGUAAUCUUCUAUGUAAUCUCUCAACUGAAUGCAUCGGAAUAGCAUUGACUCAUUAGGCUAAUUCUGUAGAGAAAACAUGCAAAGAGAAAAGUUUCUUGUUAAAUGAGAGAUUUGUAGCUCUGAUAAAUCAUAUAGGAAAGGUGAUUUGUAGCUCUAAUCUAAUAUUUACUCCUUAAAGUUUGACCUUAAUUUCAUUUAGACAGUUUAAAUUGUAACAAUUUAGGCAGUGAAGUUUGUUCAGAUGACAAUUUUGUCCCCAUGCUAGUUCACAGUCCAAAAAAACACCAUGUCAAAAUCAUCAUUAUUCUUUGCUUUAGUAAUACUGAAACAAUGAGAACCAAAACUGAAAUUGGGCUCAAACUUUCAGGGUUAAAUUGUUAAAAUUGCAAUUUGAGGACGAAAUUGAAAUCUUUAGGGGUUAAAUUGCUAAAAUUGCAAUUUGAGGAUGAUAUUAGAAUCAAGUCAAAUCUCAAGAACUAUAUUGUUACAAAUUGAAACUUGGAGGGAGGAAUUGAAAUUAAGGUCAAACAUAAGGGACUUAAUUUCUAAUUAACCCUCUCAUAUAGUAACAAGUAGAAUAAAAUGGAAACAGAAUUGAAGGAAAGACUUGCAGGAUACCUCAUCAGAUAUCCCAAUAGGCCUAUUUCUUUUGGAUACGUGAUCAGAAUCAGCUGACGGGUAAUCUAUGGUAGAGUUGGCAGUUGUAGGUGUCCUAGGAUGCUUCAAUAUUGCAGCUAUGGAAAACAUGAGGAUAAGUCAGAUUAUCAAAUCAAACGCACUAAUUAUACAGUGCCAAUUUACAUCUCCCACAAAAAAAUUUGUUCACAUAUAUACCCCUGCCAAACUGGAACUUCUAUAUAUACACUUCAAAAGUGCAUUUUCUUACAUGAGUACCAUUACCAUUACUUCAAGUUGAGGAGUCAUCCAACUCAUAAAGGAAGUCAGUUUUGUACUAAAAAAUGGUUUUGUAGUAGAAAGCACUUUCUUCGGGGCAUUUUAAAAGUUAAAAGGUAUAUAUGUAAGAAUAUAAUUAUUUGAAAAGCUCAUGUGAAGAAUCAGAUUCCGCAUGAGCAUAUAUGUAAAUAGAUAAUAUUGCAGGGACACAAAAACUUGUAGUACCAGGAUUUGUAGGAGCACCCAGUCCAAUAGCUCCACCAGAGAUAGCUGGAUGAGUUACAUUAUUCCUGUUGCUAAUUUUGGUCUUCAGAACAAUUGAUCAAAGAAAAAGAUUAAUUCUAGCCAUGGAUGCAGCAUUUGUGUAAUACACUGAACUUUUGCAAAUUGUGAAGUUCGAGUGAUGGAACAGUAAUUGGAACUAUUCUACGACUUUUGAAGGAUUGUGAGAGGUUUUCAGCAAGUUACUGAAGCAAGCAAGUGGCUGGAAGUGGAAAAGUGCAUUGCAAAUGCACUAUUCAACUAUAAUACUCUGAACUUGGUCAAUUGCGAAAUUCGAGUGUGGGAUGGGUAUUGGAAGCUAACCCACAUCUUUUAAAGAGUUGUAGUAAGGUUCUCGACAAGUUUGAGAGUGAUCAGGCCGCAGGAAGCGAGAAAAUGCAUUGCUACUGUCUAUUUUGCAAUUCUGCAUUGUUGUACCGGUACAAGCAUUAUUCUGUACCGGUACAACAGCAUCAGUAGCAGCAGCUGCGUGGCAGCAUGUCUCUUUUGGUCUUUUGGGCAAUUGAUCUUAUCCCCUCAGGCCCUGUUCGACCCCUGAAGUUACUUGGGGGUUAAGGAAGCUCAGAGGAAGGGAAUUUCACCUCAUCCACUUUCUCUCUCUAGAUUUUCUCUCUCCUUGAGAGGAAAUCAAAGAUUUAAGCCUAUUGCUUCCCUUCUUUUGCGUUUGCUUGUUCAGGAGUCUUGGAGCAGCUGUGAGAGGGUAGAAAGGAGUCUUGGGUGAGGCGUUUGCGCAGCUCAAACUCAGUCGGAAGCUGAGUCGAAGUUUAGUGAGGUGAGCUAACUUAUUUUCCCUCUCUAGCUUGAUGCUAGUGAUGAAGUGAUGAUGGUUUUUGUUCCUUGCUACCCGCAGGAUUGGGAAGGUUUAAAGCAGCCAGAGAAGAGCUAUUUAGCUGUGAUUUCUCUACUUUAGUUCAGGGAGAAGCUGAAUUGAGGCUUGGCAAAGGUGAUUAGUUAACUAAUUACUCUAUUUCGAAGCUAUACAAGGUUUAGCAAUGAGUAUUGAUGCUGAUUUUAGGUUAUUAGCUGACAGCAGCUAUGAAAAUCACUUUGAGCUGAGAUUGUGACCUCGGGAGCUGGUUUGGAGGGUGUUUCAGCUAGUGGUAAGUAGAUUUCCUGGCUGGAAAUCUGAUUAAGUAAGAUUUCAGCCUAUACUAUGUAAUUGUAUAAUUGUACUAAUGCUGUUUUGGUGAUUGUUCGCAGCAGGUUCACAGCGGACCGUUUGAUCUCUCUCAGCUGAUUUUUAGAAGCUUUCGAAGAUUGAAAUUGGUACAUUAACCUGAAGCGAAACAGAGAUUCGAGUUAUAGCAUCGUACAAGGUGAAAAUUGACCUCUUUGAAGGGUUUAUGUCGCAGCAAUUGGUUAUCCAUUUCGAGUUGAAGUUAAUAGUAGUGAUAAGCUGGAUUAGGGUGCUGUAACUCAAGUCGAAGUAGAGGUUGGACCCUGCUUUGAACUUAAGUGAGAUUCUAACCUCAAUUGCGCAACUAUAUAAGCGUAUUAAUGCUGAUUUUGAGUAUUUGCUCGCAGCAGAUUCUCGGUAGAGUGUGGAACCUUUCAGUUGAAGGUUUGGUGGAUACUAAAGGUUAGGAUUGGGCAUAUUCUAACCUACAGCAAGGUGAUCUUACCCCUGGCUCCAUUUCAAGUGCGGAUUUUGCUUCAACUAGGUGAAUUGCAGGGUUCUUAGGCACUUUGACAUAAAGUAAUGAGUUGAACUCUUAAUUGAUUUUGGAUUACUUGUUAGGUUAGCAAGAAGCCGCGGAUAUCUCAUUCCCGAACUCGACAAGAGGUGUCGACUAUUUGGUGGGUCGGACCUUCCCGAAAUGAGUGAAUUCCCUCUAUGUCUUCUUUGACAUUAUGAAUUGGAAUGGUGACAUAUUCACAUGCAUGUAUGGAUAUAUGAAUGUAUAGGGACAUGCACUGAAUGUCGAAUAGAUCAUAUAUGAUAAAACCUCUAUCUAUAUGGAAUUGUCUGGUUUAUAUAAACUGCUCGCUUGAUUAGCAUGUAGUUAUGUUAAAGGAUGAUUGGGUGGACACUGGAUGAUUGGGUGGACACUAAGUAUAACCUCCUUCAAAGUGGAAUAACUGUAAAAUUAAAAAUAUGACUUUUGGUCAAUUGAACAGCUGAAUGAAUGAUGUAUUGAGAUAAUGUGUCUUUGAACUAAAUUACACUAGUUGUACACGGUAGACAAGUUGAUUGAACUUUCAGCAUAUCAUAUAUGUGAACUACAUGUUUAUGUAAUGAUAUGUAAACCAUGUUAACAGUACAGUUAAAGAGGCUUCGUAUACAUGUACUGCCAAGUUGAUUAUUGUUAUCACAGAAUGAUUUCUAGUGUUGGAUUAUAUAAUUAUGAUUUAAUUAUGUAGUUAGAACUGGUAUUGUAACACAACAUGGUUGUUAUAGUAUGAACAUAAUCUAGUGAAUAACUAGAGUUGAAUAUGAUGACAUAUCUGUAUAAUUCAGUAGAGUAAUUGCAUAUUACUUGUUUACUCCUAGUANUUGAUUAUUGUUAUCACAGAAUGAUUUCUAGUGUUGGAUUAUAUAAUUAUGAUUUAAUUAUGUAGUUAGAACUGGUAUUGUAACACAACAUGGUUGUUAUAGUAUGAACAUAAUCUAGUGAAUAACUAGAGUUGAAUAUGAUGACAUAUCUGUAUAAUUCAGUAGAGUAAUUGCAUAUUACUUGUUUACUCCUAGUAAAGAGUGAUGAUGUGGAAUUAUAGAAUAUGUGCCACGAGUCAAUUGACAUGACCUUAGAAAACUACUUCCCUUGUGUAUAGAGAAUAGGGAGAGGACUCUAUGGAGUAUGUGUGGGUAUAACCCAUCAUGAUGUAAAAUAUAUAUACUUGUUUAAGUUAUACUAGCUAUUGGUCAAAGUAUGUCAACAAGUAGUUGAUAGUAACCUAUGAUUUGAGUACUACAGUGUCGACUUUGCGUCGAGUUGAGAUUCCAUGUCAGAGACAUGAUGACGUUGUGAUACUUAUGCUAUAGAUUACAGCUUGCAUGCCAUUGUGCUCUUUCGCACAUGCUUGUGGGGGUCGCGCCCCCCAAGCCAACGCUCCGGAGUGGCUUAGCGACAGAUUGCUCGCUUAUGUACGAUUUGAGCGCCGAAGUGGAUUGCCGUGGGUAGUGUUGACUUCCAUGGGGCCAUUAGGCACGGCGCGGCUAGGACUUUACCUUGUGUAAGUCUCUUAUGAAUUGGGUUAUUAUGAGUUACUUGGAUCUUAGACGGACAAAGUAGUAAAGAGACUGUAUGUCAUUAGUCGAGUAAACCUAGUAUGAACUUACUAGAAAGUUGACAUUCUGAUUAAUUAGUAGUAUAAUGACAGUAUGUUUACACUUUUGGUUAGUGUAGAAAUAACUUCAUAAUGUCAUCAACUAGUUAAUGAUAUUUGGUAUACAGUCUAACAUAUAACUAGUUAAACUGUUGAGUGGCAAGAUCAUAAAACCUAUUGCCAUGAACCAGUACAUGAAACAUAUUAGUAAAUAUAUCUUGAGAUGACUGUCAUGAUUGAUCUACUUUAGUACUUGUUGCAUUUACUUGCUUAUCCAUCAUCAUCCACUUAUGUCGCAGUGACCUAGUGGUGUACUUCGCCACUCUCGGCGGCUUACCCACUGGGAACUAUUGUUUAAUAAUUCUCACACCCUCUUUGUUGAUGUUUUUGCAGAGUCUUCCGCAGCGGGAAAGACUAGGGUUCCUGGCGAGGGGUCAACGGCUAGCUAGAGCCUCCUUGACGUUAAAUAGACAAACCCUUACAAGUUUAUGCAGUUUUGAUCAGUAUUGUAUGUUGAAAUCAUGUAAAUUGUACUCUAUCCUUAUCUGUUGUAUUAGAGUUUUGGGUUGUAUAAGUUUAGACUUCUAAUUGUGCUCUGAUUACCUAGUUAAGUUAAGAUUUUGUUACUACAUUGUUGAUUCUCUUUGUAGACGCCUGGUGUACAUUGUGAUGGUUGGUGUACACGGCGGGUCUGUGCACGUUACUGCGAGUUUUCGCUGAAGUCCAGGGCAUGACAAUUUGGGAUGGAGUAUUUGCAUGGGAAGAACAUAGUUCAUUUUGACCUAAAAUGUGAAAAUUUACUAGUGAAUAUGCGAGAUCCACAUCGACCUGUCUGCAAGGUAUGACCAACUUCAGUUUUUUGUCAGUCUUGAAUUCAGCAUUUAUGUACUUGGUCUGUAUUAGUCCAUCUUCUGGGGUGAGUUUCAAGGCAACUUUAGUAUGCAGCUUUUUGUGGAUAAUGAGAGCAAUUUAUUCUUCGAUUAAUCUUAGGGACGGUUUGGUAGAAAUUUGUUUCAUAUAUAAGCAAGAGUUAUAACAAUAAUUAUGGAUUGGUUAUGUAAAUUGCCCCUUUUCAGAUUGGUGAUCUAGGUCUAUCCAAGGUGAAGCAACAUACUUUGGUGUCGGGUGGUGUUCGUGGAACUUUACCAUGGAUGGCGUCUGAGCUUUUAAGUGGCAAAAGUAAUAUGGUAUCAGAAAAAGUAAGAUUAAUCAUGGCGAUGAAUGCAUUGCUUUCAUCGUUUAUUAGGAUACUGGUCGAUGCUCUUAAUUACUGAGUCAAAGUAGCAAUUUAGUGUCUUAUAUAUGAAGAAUACAUUAUUCUUUCUCGUUGUAUUCUUUUUGUUGUUAGAUCGAUGUUUACUCCUUUGGGAUCGUCAUGUGGGAGCUGCUUACUGGGGAAGAGCCGUAUGCUGAUAUGCGAUGUGCUUCCAUAAUUGGUAGGAUUACAACAUUCAAUUUAACUCAAACUACUUAUUUUGGAUUGCUAAAAACUAAAACCUCUUGGGUUGUGUUCUGGAAAUUCAUUGUGGGCUUAAACAGCUUAUACAAGUAAUGAGUUUGACACCUGGUUUUCUUUUUUUGUAUCUUCAGUUACUGUUUAAGGUGAUUUUAGAGCUUAUCUUUGAUAUUUUAAGGUCUUAGCUCUUGUCAUUACUAUAGCUAUAAUUUUUUGGAUGAAACACAUUACGUCAAAUGAGAAAUACGGAAGGUUCUAUAUAUGCAACAUGAGAUAGGCAGACUAUGCUCUAGGAAGGGAAAAAAAUCAAGCUGUUUAUGCAACAAAAUGCGAGUUAUGUUUUGAGGGCUCGUAGAUUUAGCAUGAUUACAUCCUGCAUGUUUUCUAAUAACUUUUUAAAGAGAUUGCAAAGUAUUCUUAUCUUAUUUAUAUUGUGUUCAUUUAAGUUUUUAACGAGCUGUUAGUGAGGAAACUUUCAUCAUUAUGCUUUCUAUAGGGGGGAUCGUGAAUAACUCUUUACGUCCUCAAAUCCCAACUUGGUGCGAUCCUGAAUGGAUAUCUCUGAUGGAACGUUGUUGGGCCUCUGAUCCUACCGGGAGGCCAUCUGUCACGCCCCGAGCCCGCUACUAAUUUGGUCCGGUUCGGACAUGUCGAACAGAGGCCGGACGGACAGCACCUCCCCUGCCCGCCCAAGGCUCGACUAUAGAUCAUGUACAAGAAUUUGUCCAGGAAUUUAAAUUCAAUACAUACAUGAUCACAAAGAGCACAACUAGUGCAGAUAAGUAAGAGCAAGAUACAAGUAUGGCAUACUAGUAAUUAAAGAGAGAUACGUCUAUCUAUUACAUCCAUUCAACCAUUCUUUUACAUCAAGUUUACAUUUUGUAACUUGCAAAAUGGAUAUAUAUACAAUAAUCCUCCAAAAUACAUAAGCAACUCCCAAAGUAUAAAUACAUCUCCUCACAGGAUACUCUAAUGCAUAGGAAGCUGCUAUCUGACUAGGGCGCUAUGCCCUUACCACGAUCCUCUGCCGGCGCUCUCUCGCUAGGCCCUGCAACAAAGUGGGGUGAGAACUAUAUAAAUAUAGUUCCCAGUGGGUUCGGCCGCUGACUCCGCCGAUCUCCCCACUAGGUCUAAGCAGGCAUAAGCAGAUAGGUAGAUAGAUAGAUAGAUAUCUAAAACUGUAAACGAUGCAUAUUGAAAGAAUUGCAAUAUUCUACUAUGCCUUGAGAUUCAAGAAUGAACAAGAUAGCCAUGCAUUUGCUAACAUGCUAUAAUACCAACAUCGAGUAUGAAUACAACUCUACAAUGCUCAAUAUGCACAAUAUGCCCAACAUGCAUAACUCUCUCUCUUGAGUUUAUUACCCAAUCAUCUGGCUGGCCCAUAGGCGCGCCCUCAACUCACAUCUCAAAUCCGUCUAUGAAGGGGGACUCGAACCACCCGAAGGACUGUCUGCGGGACCCCACAUAGGCUAUCCCUUGGGACCCUACAUAGGCUAUCCCAAUCGAUUCACGUGCCAAACUCCGGAGCGCACUACUUGUGCGGAGCGACCGUCACAAGCGCUGAACAGACGUGUGAGUAUAAUCCAUUCCUCGUCUAAUGAGGAGAUCCGGUCACUAGGACUACCAUGCCACAAGUGUUCUUUAACACUAAAUUCUAAUGCCACUCGUCAAGUUGUUUACUUGGUAUACAUAUGCCACUCAUCAAGUUAUCUACUUGGUGUACAUGUCACUUGCCAUAAUGCAAUCAUCCCGACUAUACUAGUCAUAUGUCCUCAUAUUCAACCAUGCAAGAUCAAGUUAUUGUUUAACUUAUCUCUAUAGGGUUCUAUGUCACAAAGCUCAUUCUCAUGCAUUCCUAAGUUCACAUGCCAGGCCUACUAUGCCGCAUUACAAAGGAACAUGCAAGAGUAGUAAAGUAACAUCUAAACACCCUACCAUGCAUGAUGCUAUAUAUGUAUGAAAUGUAAUCAACAUAGAAAUACUUAGACAUAGAGAGAAGCCCAGUUGCUUCGGGAUGGACACUCCCCACCUCUUGGGUAAUAUCGCGAUGCUAGGUACUCGAUUUUGCGAUCCUUGGUCGCCGCUUUCACUCUUCGGGUCAACACGAAGCCCCGAACACUUGUUUCGGCUAUAACUUCGCGCCCGCUUGACGAAUGCUUAAUCCGUCGCUUCCCACGCGUUUAGACACCUAGCAAUUAGGUUUACAUAUGAUCAAUUUAGAUCAAAACCCUUCACUUUCAAAAAUCCUAAUUUGGAGCCCUAAGUUUAACCAAUGCAAGAAUCCCCUAUUGGAGCUCUAGAUUCAAGCAUAAUCCAUCUAUUAGAGGAGCUAGGGUUCCAACAAAACCAUUUCUAAAGGAUAAAAAUCCAUCUAGAGGGAUCUACCAUGAAAGCUCUCAAAGCUUACCUCAAGAAGCUUGCUCUAAUGGUGGAGAGGAAGAAGAAGAUGCCAAAGAUCCUUCUCCUAGCUUGCUCCUCCACCAAAUCCUCCUCCUUCUUCACCUUCUAGAGAGAAAGAAAGAGAGUUUAGAGAGAGAGAGGGAGCUAGGCCUUGGGUGUGAAAUGAGAGAAAGAGAAAGUGCUUUCUCUUCUAUACCCCCAACUCAAGUCACAAUUGCAGUUUAGCCCCUCCACUUUACUUCUCUUGACUUGCCCUGCCUGGGCAGUUUUCGCGCACGGGGACCGGUCCCUCAAUGGACAGACCGGUCUCCGAGAGUAGUCUUUGUGAGCAGAGGCUGUCUGCCAGCCUCUACGCGUAUGGGGACUGGUCUCUCCCUGCCAGGGACCGGUCUUCGAGAGUGGAACUCUCAGGACUUAGCCAAAUUUUCCUCUCUUUCGCAAGUUGUGCGUACGGGAACCGGUCCUCGACUGAGGGACCGGACCUUUAGGGACCGGUCCUUGCCCGAGAGACCGGACCCCGAGAGCAAAUAUCGCGCGCAAAGUCUUCUGUCUCUUUUUUUUUUUUUUAGCUUACGGGGACCGGUCUCUCCCGCCAGGGACCGGUCUCCGAGAGCAAAAUUUGCCAAGUGCAGAUUUCGCACUGUUUGCUCUCGCGGAUCCAACUCUAAUGCACUUUUUGGAUUUUAGACAUCUUCGGCUCUUCCGAAGCCUACCCAAUCGACAAUCAGUCGAUUCUAAAUGAAGUCCAACUCUCGUAUUUCGAGAUGCAACAUGAGAUAGGCAGACUAUGCUCUAGGAAAGGGGAAAAAAAUCAAGCUGUUUAUGCAACAAAAUGCAAAUGAGUUAUGUUUUGAGGGCUUGUAGAUUUAGCAUGAUUACAUCCUGCAUGUUUUCUGAUAACUGUUUAAAGAGAUUGCAAAGUAUUCUUAUCUUAUUUAUAUUGUGUUCAUUUAAGUUUUUAACAAGCUGUUAAUGAGGAAACUUUCAUCAUUAUGCUUUCUAUAGGGGGGAUCGUGAAUAACUCUUUACGUCCUCAAAUCCCAACCUGGUGCGAUCCUGAAUGGAAAUCUCUGAUGGAACGUUGUUGGGCCUCUGAUCCUGCUAGGAGGCCAUCAUUCUCUGAAAUUUCUCAAAAGUUGAGGAAAAUGGCUGCUGCAAUAAAUGUGAAGUGUAAGUAUUGAUGAUCCAUGCUGAAGAGCUUAAACUCAUUUUGAGGAAGUGAUCGUAAGAUGCUUCGACCUAAGGCUAUAGUGUUCCAUAGAUCUUGCCGGCUUUUGACGAGAGAGUUAUCUUCUCAGAUAUAUCUUAAGUUCUUUGUUGUUGCCGUAUAUGGCAUUUAUUCUUCAUGUAGUGCGACUACCAUUUUAUCAUAUUUGUACAGUACUUGCUUUCCUAUGGAAUAGCAUGAAGGUUUGAUUAAAAUGUAAGUUGAAUUUCUUAGCUUUUGUUAUUCUUUUUCAUAUCAGAAAGUUGUUUCAUUAUUUAAUAUCUACCUUCUCAUAUUCAGGAGUUAUUGCAGAGCAUCAAGAAUCUUUGGCUGUUAUCUGGCACUGGUAUAUUAUAGUCUUUUUCUUCUCGGUAGGAGUUGGUAUGUACUAAUGUAAAUAAAUUUUGAGUUGCACAAUCUUCUGCCCUUAUGAGGGGACAGUGCGUCAUGCUUCGAUUAUGAGAACUUUAUCGCAAUUUUGCCAUAUUAGCCAGUGAGGAUGAAUCUCUAUGUUGGACCAUAAAUAAGUCAAAUAUAGAUAUCUCCUAUUAUCCAUUUUGUAUAGAAUUUUUUAGAAGAAUAUUGUCUUUUAUGUAUGAGACAUCCAAUAGCUGGCAUGUAUUACCUGGCUUUUCAUUCCAGUUCUUUCUAUCAUGCAUAUAUUAUAUUAAUCUUUACGUCGUGACUCAGUAAAUGCAAAUAUAUUGUUGGUGUAUAUAUCUUUGUUUUCUUUUUACUAAUUCAGUAAUUUGAGAUUAAGUGCUUAAAUGAUCUCACAUGCCAAGCUAACAUAAGCAACGCAUUUGACAUCUGAAACAUUAUGCCAGGCUCUGACAUUUGCACACACAUACUUAGUAGGAAAAGCAAUCAUAUGUUGCCGAUGCCACCAAUGUAUCAGUAGCUAACCACAUCUAAAUUACAAAGUACUCAAAUGAUAAAGAAGAUAUUCUCCUUCAACAACUCUCCGACACUAAGGCAUAUAUUUAGAAGACCCAACAAGAACACUAGGAUGAUAUUAACGUUGGGAUAAGUCAACUCUUCUUAUCCAUGCGAAAAAAACAAUGCUUUGCAUCUGCUUGUUUUGGCAGAGUGUGCCAACUUUGGAGGCAAUUUGAGUGGGGAAGUUCUUUAGGUGACUCUGCUCCAUCAAGUAAGAAACUUCAAGUAUUCUCUUUGGAGGAUUCCUACGUUCUUAUUCCCAUAUCACCUGACAGGUAUACUUUCAUUCAUUUUUGUUUUUGUGUUUUUUUUUUUCUUUCCUUUUUGUCUAUUAGAUUUUGAUUCACUUUUGGAUUAAACCUCUAGUGAUGACAUGCUCCAAGUUUGACUCCAACUAGUGGUUGACAAUUCGCGGUUGGAUUCGAUGUUUACAGAAAUAACUGGUCAACUAAACAAGGACAAUUAGUGCUUUUACUCAUCUUGUUAAUAUGUGCAUGGUUUAGUUAUUAUAUGAUCACUUGUAAUGAAAAGUGUCUGCAGUUUCGGGCCUUGUUGGUGUAAAUUAACCAAAUACUUGGAGAGUUAACAUUGUUUUUCACUUGUUGCCUGUGCUUUUUUUGUUUCGUUUUUCCUUCCACUGUAGAUAAUUUGCCAACAAAUGACUCAAAAUCCUGGUUUGAUCGAAACCGGGUCAAUGUUUUCGCCUCUUCAAAUUUAGGAUUAAUUAUGAUAAUUUCUCUUUUCAGGGAUGUUUGGUAGAUAGAAUUUCACUUUCUUUUUUAACUACUAAACAAUAAAGUCUCAAGUAAAGAUAUUAUAGAUAUCAAAUUGAUUGAGGAGCACUAAUUAUUGAUUGAUCAUGAUGCAUGGAACAUGUUUUUGUAGUUAGCAUGUAGUGAUCGACUGUGCAGCAUGAUAUAGGUUGCUAGCUCACCAACCCACACAAUGAACUUAAACUAAUUAUAUAAUGCAGACUCUUGGGUUUGCAAUUUACACCUUAAUCAACAAAGCUAAUACUCUUUCUACUUAAUUUGAAGGUCUCCUUACGCUUGACUACAUUACUGUAUGGUUUUUGAUAUUCGGGCAUUUGGUGACAGUACAUACAUAUUGCGUACCUUUAUAUUUUUUUGCAUAUAUGUUAUAUCUCCUCUUGUUGGUGUUCUGGCAAGGUACAAUGAGGGAUCUCUCAAAAAGCCCGCCUGUUCCACUCCAGACUUUGCCUCCAGAACCAGUGGAUAGGGCAAGUCUUCUUCUCUCAUCUUGCAUACAAUUCACCUGCUCUUGUUAUUUCCAAGUAUCUUCAGUCUACUUUUUUUUAUUUCUGGGAGAUAAAGAAGUUCCUGAAUGCCCUGAACUUGCUUGACAUCCCUGAGUACCCAUCUGCUUCUAAGAUCUCUCUAACGUCUACUGGAAGCUGUGCACACUAGCUAUAACAAUUGUUAACAGCUAAUAAACCCGGGGAUGUUACUAAAAGAUAUUAGGUAAGUCUAGGAAUUAAUCUUUUUAAGCGUAAAAUAGUGGCCGUGUCACAAUUCAUAUAAGUACAGGAACUACCCACACAAUUUAACCUUUUGAUUUUAUAGAUUCAUCUCUUCUGUUAGGAGUUGAUGUUCAUUUUCUCUAGAUUCAUCUCUUCUGUUAGGAGUUUUCUCCCCGUACAGACUGGAACUGCUGCUGCAGCAGCUGUGGGUGAGCAACAAUCAGCUGCCAUCACUGCUAACGGUCAUGAUUCAUCGUCGUGAGCGGAAGUACUGCAUGGAGAUAGAUAUUAGUUAGAGCAAUCGCGGCCUCAAGGAGAACUGAAGAUCUAUUCUAUGCAUGCCUAGAUGCCUGUACUAUUGUUAGUUGGUAGAGAAUUUGAUACAAGAUAUAGAUACUUUCUUCUUUCUCCUGGUGAGAUGACAGGCUAAGGUGAUGCUAAUUAUGCUAUAUUGAUUACAUCCGUGGUGUGUGGUUUUCUUGGUUGUAUCAAUCUUUGUUCACAAGAUUUGGUAGCUCGAUGUGUGCGCAGGAGUAGCCUAACUACUUGAUCAGACUUGGUAAUAUCGUAAUCUCUAGUUGAGAGAGUAUUUUCUUUUCUGGGUUAUUAGUGCAUAUGCUGAUUAUGUAAAUAAUAAUUGCUUAAAUGUUUCUUGUAACUCUGCUCUUUGUUUGCAUUUGUUUUAACUCUUGGAAGAAUCUGGAACUGUACCUGUGCUUUUUGGGGAAAUUCUUAAUACUAGUUGCUUGGAUUUCUCUGGGCCUGUGUUUUUGCAGAUAUUAGAGGGGAUUUAAAACUUGUUUUCCAAUUUGAUAGUAGUAAUCUUGUCAUUAGCAAGGUCAAAUCCUUUGCCAUCUUCAGAAUUUUAGAUGCACCAGUUGCUGUCAACCACACUAAUUUAACAUAUUUAUGAUUUAGAAUUUUUACGUUGUUACCAUAAGAUGUGGUGAAUGUAAUAGAAUGAUGAUGAACAGUAGUACUUGUAGACUUAUUACUGUGGGAGUUGCUGUCUCUGGUGAGCUAGUCACAUCCCUUGAAUCUAGAGAUGUCAGUGGGUCGUAUUCGGGCACGUUUUCAAAAAUUGGACCUGAAAUUCAAAUCCGAAUUCGAUGAAUUUUAAAAAUCCAUCUCUAAACUUGAAUCAGCUAAAAACUUUGAAAUUUGAAGUUCAAUUCAAAAAUCCGAAUCCGAACAAUUAUUUUUCUUUACCCUAUGUCAAAAUAUAUUACAUUAAAUCUAAAAUUUUAAAAUAUAAAUUUAAAUAUAAUAUCAAAUAAUAAUAUAUAUUAUAUAGUGUAAAAUUUGGGUUUGGAUUGGGUUCGGAUUCGGAUCGGGUACAAACAUUCGGAUCGGGUGCAAAUAAAAUUCAUAUUCAAAUUUAAAUUCGUGAUUUUUUUUUAAUAUUUGUAUUUGAAAUUAUAUCAAUUUAGCAUUGAAUAUAAUAAAAUCAUUUGAGUUCGAAUUUGAAUAAAAUUUUGAGUAUCUGAAUCCGUUGAUAUGCCAAACGGGCUUUUUUUAUAAAAUGACCCUCUAAAAGUUCGAAAUUGGCAAAAUGACUCUAUCAAAAUUUUAUUUAUAAAACUAAUCCUUCUUUUGCUACGUGGGCGCCACGUUAGGAAUUUCUCAAAAAGACGGUGAAUCGUUCACCGUCUUUGUAAUAUUUGUUGUGAAGGCGGUGAAUGGUUCACCGCCUUCAGAAGGCAUUGAACCAUUCACUGCCUUUACAGCAAAUCCCUACUCCGAUGCACAAAUCUUUUCAAGUCUAGGGCAUGGUGUCCUUGAUAAGACGGUGAAUCGUUCACCGUCUUCAUAAGACGGUGAACGAUUUACCGCCUUUAGUUCAAAACCGGUGAAUCGUUCACCUAGUUGUGCUCUAGAGAAGACGGUGAAUCGUUCACUGUCUCAAUAAGGCAGUGAACGAUUCACCGCCUUUAGUGCAAAGGCAACCCCUCUUGCUGUGCCCAAGAUAAGACGGUGAAUCGAUUCACCGUCUUCAUUAGGUAUACACGANUGCGUCGACCCUCGCAUCUGCCGCCGGUGCCAAUCUUCCCUCACCAACCCACAUUGCAGGCAGCAACCCUUAACAUAAGAGAGUAGAUGCGGAAAAGUAAAAAGAUUACAAGUAGACUACUCCUAGAAAAUAGUAAAGUACGAAGAAUAUGAAAAGUGGUCUUCUUGUUCGCCGGAAAAAAUACCUCUCUAUCAAGCAUUUUCUGUUUAUUUAUAACUUUACCUUACGUUUUUCAGUUAGAUGCAUGAUCAGCCACUUUCCUAAUUUCGUGGGCCACACUACCAGCCGAUCCUAACCGCAUCAAUGUUAACCAUUUUUCGGUUUCAAUCUUACUUUCGGUUGAAUCCUCCGGUUCUAAUUCGGGUUCGGAUCAAAUCUGCGGUAACAUCCAUAUCUGAUAUUGCCCACCAACGGGUUUUUUAUCCAACUAAUCUCCUCCAACAAUUUUUUUCUAAAAAUAGGCCUCUGAAAUUUGUAUUUACGAAAAUAGACUCCAAACUGCCACGUGGGCAGUGAGCUGGCAGGAGAGGUUAAAAGCGGCGAACCAUUUACCGCUUUCAUGUGAAAGCGGUAAAUGGUUCACCGCUUUUAGGAGGAUUUAAUAACACUAUGAAGGCGGUGAACCAUUCACCGCCUUCAUUGUGUUUCCCCACUGGGAAAGCGGGAGCUACUCACCGCCUUCAUAUGCGGUAAAUGGUUUACCGGCUUUAUAUGCGGUGAAUAGUUUACCGCAUUUAAAUGCGGUAAAUGGUUUACCGCAUUCAAGCAACACACCACCCCCCCCCACAGCAACUAUGCAAAAUUCCCACACAAUACAAAAAAGCAAUGUUUUCAAGCAUUUCAAUUACAGAAAUAAAUACAUAAAAUCAUCUACACCAACUUCAACCACACUUUAAACAUACAAAAUGAGCUAUACCAAUAUCAACACAUUUUAAUAUGAAUAAAUUUAGAUAAUACUAUAAAAAUUCAAUGUAGAAAGAUCUGAAAUACANCUAUAUAUUUUUCUCUCGAAUUCUGUAAAUGUAAUAUCCACUGGAAUACCACUUAAUUUCUUACGACCGCCAACGUACUUUGGAUUGCUAUCAUGCGCAAAUAUUUCUCCAUUCCAAUGAACAACAAUAGCCACAUUACUACGCGACAUCCUAACUUAAACAAAAUAUAAAAUUUGUAAACAAACAUAAUUAUACCAAAUUAAAAUGCUGAAUUGAUACUGCAAAUAAGUUGCUAAACUCACCCAAAGCACUUCACUUCCCCUAGAAACACUAAUAACUUACGGAGCAUCAUUUGUUGGUUUCGAUCUACAUAUGAGAGUUCGAAUUAAAUCAACUACAGUAUGAAUUCAAUUUAAAUGAUCCAAAAAAUACUAUCCUAAGUUUUAUAGAUGCCACAGUAUGAAUUCAAUUUAAAUGACCCAAAAAACACUAUCCUUCACAAAAAAAACCAACUACGACAUUAUUCUCGGUGUUGGGCUCUACUACUAACCUAAUAGGGCUUAAAAUGUGAUCUAAAAUUGUGCAUACUUCAAAAUAUAGAUAAAAUACUGUAAAAUAACAUAAUUAUUUAGAAACAAUCAACUCUAUUUCAAAAAUAAUUAGAUUUUUCUCAAACCUCUCACCACUAACCUAAUGGAACAAUGUCGUUGCAAUGCUGAGGAGAGAAGGCACGGCAGAAGCAGUACAGUCGGCGCCGGCGACGGCGGCAGCGAUGGCGGCGUCCGCAGCGACGGCGGCCUCGAACUCGGGUCGGAGUGAGUGAGAUAGAGAGGAGUGAGAGAGCGUGCGGGAGACAGAGAGGAGAAGCUCUGGAGAAGCAGGAGCUCGCGCGCGGGUACAGUCGGCGCCGGCGACGGCGGCAGCGACGGCGGUGUCGGACUCGGGUCAGAGUGAGUGAGGUAGAGAGGAGUGAGGGAGCGUGCGGGAGACAGAGGAGAAGCUCGCGCGCGGGUGAGUGAGAGAGAAAGGAAAGGGGCUCGGGCGCGGUUGGGUAUACUGCUUAAAGGCGGUGAAUGGUUCACCGCAUUUAAAAGCGGUUAACCAUUCACCGCCUUUAAAAGCGGUGAAUGGUUCACCGCAUUUAAAAGCGGUGAACCAUUCACCGUCUUUAAAAGCGGUGAACUAUUCACCGCGUUUAAAAGCGGUGAACUAUUCACCGUAUUUAAAAGCGGUAUUUAAUGGUCCCAGCACACGUGACGGAGGUAUUUGAUGGUCCCGCAAAUGCGGUGAAUAGUUUACCGCAUAUAUAUGCGGUAAAUCAUUCACCGCAUAUGCCUGCUUGCUGACCUGGCCGAUUUGGAGACUAUUUUUACAAAUAAAUUUUAAGGAGGCCUAUUUUUGUAAAUAAAAAUUUCAAGAAGACUAUUUAUAAAAAAAAUUCCCCACCAACCUGCCCUUGGCGUAAUAGACGAACAACAACAGGGAGUCCGCACCCUCAAAACCCUACUGCUCCCUCAAAACCCUAUUCCUCCCCCCGAAACACCCCCCCGUUGUUGGUGCGCCCGACGAACCGUGCAGAUGUCGUCGUCUCUAAGCCGGAGGGGCCGCGGCGAGGGCGAGGGCGAGGGCGUGUUGGGGCCGAUCUCUCGCUCGCCGAUCGUGGUGCGGGGGAGGGAGGCGGCGGCGGAGGCGGCGACGGUGGCGAAGAAGCUCCUCCGGAGCACCGGUAAAGCGGCGUGGAUCGCGGGCACGACCUUCCUCGUCCUCUUCGUCCCCCUCAUCAUCGAGAUGGACCGCGAGCAACAGCUCAAUGAACUCGAGCUCCAGCAGGCCACCCUCCUCGGCGGCCCCUCGCCCGCGCUGCCGCCGCCGCCUCCGUCCAAGUGAUCUCGGUGAGAUCCGCUCGCUCCCUCCUCGAUACUAGGGUUUGGGUUUCCGUUUCAGAACUUCUAUCAAGCUAGGGUUUAAGGGUUUAAGGGUAUUGUCAAAUUUAAUUUUGAACAUUUAGCCUUGCAUUCGGUAAUGACAUUUUGACGGAUUUACUCUUUUCAAGAAUAUAAAUUUAGCUACAAAGGUGCAUUAAUUUUGUUAUUGUAGCUUGGUUUGCUUUUUUUUUUUUUUUUUUUUUUUUUUUUUUUUGCCUUUUCCUUUUUUUGUUGCAUUAGUUAUUUGCGGGGACUACAUAGAAUAUCAGACGCAUGCUGCUUACCUUAUCCUCUUCCGGAUUGUCCCUCGUUUUGUUGCAGUUAUUUUGUUGGCAAGUUAUCCUUCUUCUUGAUGCUGCCGCCGCACUUGGUUAUACGUCUUGCUCUGCUGAGAGGCUUUUGAGCUCUAGUAUUCUUGUGAUCGACACUCUCUUGGUUUUGUAAAUGUUGGUUGGUUCUGUGUCUCUUCAGUGUCGAUUCCUCGCUUCGUGUACUGAUUUUGGUUUCCGGUUAAAUCGUUGUUAGCUGUGAGCCAUUGGUUUUCGGUUGGCUCCAGUGACAUGGAAAUGAAAUACAACAACAGAACAAAAAGUACCGGAUGGCACAUUAUCAAUGGGAUGAAGCAUGAUCUUCAAUCGUAUAAGACACUAAAUCGAAAACACUGUCGUAAAUGAAAAUCUUUAGGUGAUAACUUAAGCUUCGGCACUUGCAAUUUUUCCUUCACUAGAAAAUUAGUGAAAACAGUCAGACACACAAUUCUCGUCUUUUCGGUGAGAUAAAAAGCUGCCUGGACUUAACAAUACAGCUCGAGGCCGUGAGAUCAAAAUGACUUGGGCGUCGGUUCCACUAUUUUUUCCCACUCUUAUAGAAGCUGCCCCUGCAAUUCAAAGUAAAGUGUUUAUAUAUGAAUAAAAUCCCUCUACAAUUGUAAUUCCGCUCUUUAUUUACAUGCUACUUAACCUUUGGAUGCUGAGAGAAAAGAUUGGGGGAAACUUCUAGAAAAAGAACUUCUAUCCUGUCCAUAUGUUGGAGGAUUAUUGUCAAAAUUCUUUCCCGAAAGAUCAAGAAACAAUUUGGUUAGAGUGGAUGAGAAGCCAAGAGAUCACUUAGUCAUUUGUACUUUGUCUUCAAGAAGAUCCAUUGGCACUGUUGUAUAGAAAUUGAUUAGCUCAUUCUUAAGCAGAUACUAAUGAGUAACCUUAGCAUUUUUUUUUUCCAACUUCUAAAAGUGAAAUUUGCUCAUCGCGAAAUGCUUUGUUUACAUUUUUCUCAACCUCUAAAACAAAAGUAACCAAAUCUAAACAAAUUAAUUUUGAAUAGCAGGUAGAAAUCUAAGAAAACAAAGACAAAAAAUGUUGCUGAAGCACUAGUGCUUUGAAUAGAAGGAAAUUUGUGUUUAAAAAAAUGGUGCUGAAAUUUGUGUUUAAAGAACUGGUGCGUUAAAUACUUAUGAAGAAUUGCUUGGUUAAGUAUAGUUUAAUAAAAGUAACAUUGUUGGAACAAUAAGGGAGGAUAAACAAGAAUAAGCAGCAGCUAAUAUAUUGCAAAGACAUUAACUUAAGUAGAAAGAAAUUUCGUAUCUAAUAGACAUAAUACUAGUUGGAACCUGCCGCACUUAGGGCAUAUUUUUUUGUUCGUAAAUGAAACAAUGAAAGUGGUACUUUGGCGAAAUGGUAUUUUUCCGGUUGUUUGGUUUAUAAAAGUGAACUUGUUAUGAAACAAUAAAGUGGGUUACAACUAGAACUCACUUUUUUGAGUUUGGCCCCAAAAGUCCCAAAGUUGCUGAAAGUGGACCACCAACUCCGCAUGACUUAUGAACUGUCACAUUAACAAAAAGCCCCAAUUGAGAAACAACUCAUGAGAAACCCCUCCCCUCUGUUGGCUAUUUAUUAUUGGCGAAAAUGGGUCUAAUUUUCUGUUUCGUGAUAAUAGGCUUAGGAGACUAAUAAGUUGAGUUAAGUAAGCUCAAUAAGUGGAGUGGGGUUGCGUUCCACAAUAAACCUAACGGCAAGAGGCUCAACAAUAAACCUAACGUCUAGGUGGGUUGCGUCUGUUCGAAAUCUGUGAGUGCUGUGGUUAAGCUCUCAAGUGCGAUGAGUGCGCCAUUCCUAUCAUGCUUUUGGGAUAGUUGGUUAGCGCUUACAAUCCACAAGUGGUAUUAGAGCGAAUGGCACUGGUUCGCUUUACACAUGCUGCAUUAAUCGUAAAGGUGUUUGUGGGGGCGGAUGUUGGCUAUUAUUAUUUGCUUAAAUAGGUUCAACUUCCUACCUCAUGGUAAUAGUUAAAGGAGAUUAAUUCUCUACACCGCACUUUGAGGGAGGAGACACCGCCGCCCACUGAGCCUAAUAAGUUGGGCGAGCCCGAUAAGUUGAGUGGGGCCGCAAUCCACAAUAGAUCUAAUGAUAAGAGACUCAACAAUAGACCUAAAGUCCAGGUGGGUUGAGUUAGGUCAAGGCCUCUGAUUUUUGUGGCUAAGCCCGUAAGUGUGAUGAGUGUGCUCUUCUUAUCGGCAUGUGCUGUUGGGAUAAUUGGUUAGCGCUUAUGAUCCACACCCUCGCAUACUGCAUCUUCUCCGCAAUAAGGAGACCAUCUCUGCAACAAGGAGACCAUCUGCUUUCUACCCAACAAAGUAGGCCUCUCUCUCCCCGCACAUGUUUAUUUUAGUGUUUGGAAAGGCGUGCCUGAGGCGCACGCCUACGCCUCAGCAAUAGCGAGGAAAGGCGCUAUUGCUGAGGCGCGUGCUUAGGCCCUGAGGCACGCGCCUCAAGCAAGGUGCGAGGUGCGCGCCGGUUUGGGUUUAAUUUUUUUGGGUUGUCGGAUUUCGAAUUUAAGUUCUAUAUUUUAACUCGAUAAGAUAGUUAAAAGAUCCUACAAGAAACCCACAAAACCCCCUAGAGAAACCCAUUCGUGCGCCCUCUCCUCCCGCUCUCGUGUUCCCACAUCCUCUCUCUAUCCGUGGGCAUCCAGCAGCAGCAUCGGCCAUCGCUGUCAGCAGGACCAACUGAACAAACAAGCAACAACAGCGGUAGCAACAAGCAAGAAAGCAAGAGUAGCAGUAGUUUGCAAGUUGCAACGGCAGUAAAAACAAGAGCAGCAGUAGCAAGAACAAGCAGUGGUAGCAACCACAAUCACUUACAAGUUUUACGUUGAAAUAUAUUUAUUUUAGUUUAAGAACCUAUAUACAUAUCUUUUCUUUAGUUUUUGAUGGUUAUCUUAUUUUUAUAUGGUUAUUUUGGGGUUUUUUAAUGUAGAAUAGUAAAUUAAAUUAGGCUUAGUAAAUGUGCGUCUCGUCUUCUUGAGGUGCGCGCCUAGCCGUACGCCUCAAGCCUAGGCUCCAGGAGAAUCUUGCGCCUCUUUGCGCCUCAUGCCUUUUCAAACACCGGUUUAUUUUGAAGAAGAUUCUACAAUUGUUAUUUUGCGAUGCUAUUUGGUUGUAAUUUUUAUUUUGUGAUGUUGUUUACUUACAAAUUUCUUAUUAGGGUUUGUCUUUUCUUUGUCCUUUUAUUCUUUUCCUUUUGAGGUAUAGUACUAGGGAUUGCUAAUGCUUUGGUUUCUAGGUUCUAAUCUUGUAAGCUAUAAGAAGUAUAUUAUAUUGCUGUUAUCUUAUAAGAGUAUAUCUGUGUGUGUGUGUGUGUGUGUGUGUGUGUGUGUGGGUGUGUGUGUGUGUAUGAGAGUUAGGAUAAGGCUCAGCAGAACUAUUGCUAUGCAUGCUUCAAGAAUGUUGACCUCAUAAAUUGCUAAUCUGUUGGUAUAUAUUAUUGGAGGAUGAUAAUUAGUUCAUAUAUACAGUCCAACAACCAGCUGCUAGGACUGAGCAGUUAGGAUAAGCCUCAGCAGAACUAUUUGGCAAAUAAAAGUUCAAACCUUUAUAGGCCCUAUUGAAAUGUCUUGACAUACUCCAAAUCGUUUUUGGGCUCUCCUAAAUGCUCCAUAGCCAGUGUGAGAGAUGCAAAAGAGGCACCUUAGGAAGGUAAAUUUUCAUACAUCUUACCCUUUUUGAUCUCCAUAUUAUUUCCUCCACCAUUAUUCAGAAAUUUCAGAUAUCAUAAGUUAAAUAUAAGGGAAACUUUGUGAAACUUAAAGAAUAAUACUUCAAUCUCCAAGUUUCUUUUUUCUUUUUCUGUUGAAUUGGACAGGUUUCGUAGAUUUAUUUUGUUACUGUGUUCAAUAUUAUUAUAGUAGCCAAGAUUUAGUAAGAUGAAGCGUGUGUUGUUCAUCUUGUAAUAUUAAUUGUGUUACAUGUCUUGGGUGUGUUAUGGUUUUUUGUCUCAAAAGAUGCGUGCCUUGAUUGUGUCAAACACUUUAGGCUCUUUCUGAAGAUUUUCUGUACAAAUGCACUUCAUUUGCAUGAAUUGAUUAGAAGCACAUGGCAAACUAUUCGAGUUCUACUUUGUGGUACUUAAGAAUAAUUUCAUAUGCAUAAUUGACAUCAUUCUAAUCUAGUUUCUUGAACCCCUUAAUGGCAUGCUAGAGUGGAUUAGAAUUUGGAAACAUAUAACAAACUACUAUUCCUUUCAAUAUUUUUGGGAAUUACUAAGGGCCUUAAAAUUCAAUUUUAGAGUAAACAGAGUAGUUUUAAGAUAUCAAUGUAAGAACUAUUCAAGUCAUAUUCUGAUCAUCAUAUUUAUCAUCCUUUUCUUCUCUUUAUUGGUGUCCAAUACUCCAACGCUUAUCCGUUGCCUCUAUUAGCUAUUUUGUUUGAUAUGAUAAGAUUAUUGUAUAGAGUAGCUUUAAGGGAUAAGGCAUUUUCCUUUUGGUGUCUGUGUAAUAUAGCAAUGUUGUUGAUAUCAAUUAUGAACAAUUUGCUGUAACAUGACAUCUCAAGUAUAUUUGGGUUCUCUUCGUAGUAAAAUUCUGGGAAAUUUGUGCCCGCUAAUUGAGUUUAAUAAAUAAUGUCAUAUUGGCUCAUUUUUGUAUUCAACUAAAUAAGUGUGCACUUGGUCCAUUGUUUCAAAAGCAAAGCAACCUAUGCUGCUGCAUAUUCGGUUCAGAUCAUCAACCGAAUCGCAUAUGUAAUAUGCGGUGUAGUAUGCGGUCGGACCGCAUAUGUGGACCAUAUACGGCAUGCGACUGCAUAUGUGAUAGUUUUUUUUUUUCCAUGGUAGAAUUCAAGUGCAGUAUUGAAUAAGAUCGUUUGCUUAAUGAUUAUGCAUAUAUAUAUAUAUAUAUAGAGAGAGAGAGAGAGAGAGAGAGAGAGAGAGAGAGAGAGAGUUAGGCAGGUAUACUAUCGGUAGCACGGAGGCCUCCGUGUUACCAAGUGGUUUUCAAUGACUUGGCUUCCAAAUCGACGAUCGGUUACGUUAGACUUGAUCUUUACUAUUAAAAGUAUUUGGAACUAAAUUUUAUAAUUUUUCGACAUCAUUUGGCUAGUGAUCAAAAUGUCUCAAAAUUGACAACUUUAAUGAUCGAUGUGAUGUGUUUGUGAAUUUAACGGUUUGAAACAAUCGAAAUCUAAUGAAUUUUUUGUAGAAAAUUUUUUUUACUAUUUAGAGUAAGAUCAGUACCUCUGAUCUUAAAUUCAAGUCUUUUAACAUCAUUUUUUAUGAGAUUUUUAUUUUCAACCGUUCAUUUUUAGACUAUUCAUUUGAUAGGUAAAUGAUGUCGAAAAAUUAUGAAAUUUAGUUUUCAAAUACUUUUAAUAGUGUAGAUCAAGUCUAACGGAGUUGAUCGUCGAUUUGAAAGCUACAUCAUUGAAAACAACUUGGUAGCACGGAGGCCUCCGAGCUACUAAUAGUAUACCAACCUANUGAAGUGUUUAGAAAUCAAAUUUCAAAUCUUUUCGACAUCAUUUGCCUAAUGAUCAAAGGGUUUCAAAAUUUGUAAUUUUAAUGGUCGAUAAGAGGCGUUUUCUCGUUUAACGGCGUAAAGAUAUCCAAAUCAAUUGAAUUUUUGUUAGAAAAUUCUUUAAAUUAUUUAAAACAAGAUCUAUACUCUUGAUCGUGAUUAUAAGACUCCUAUCAUCAUUGUUUAAAGAAUAUUCAUUUUCAGCUAUUCAUUUUUCUGUUCACUUGAUGGAUAAAAGAACAAUAUUGAAAGUGCGUGAAAUUUGAUUUCUAGAUAGUUUAAAUGGUUUAGAUCAUAUUUAACGGAGCCGAUCGUCAAAUUGGAAGCUCUUUCAUCGAAAACAAAUAGAUAGUAAAAUAGCUCGUUUACUAUUGAUAGUAUUUUAGCUCAACUCUCUCUCUCUCUCUCUCUCUCUCUCUCUCUCUCUAUAUAUAUAUAUAUAUAUAUAUAUAUAUAUAUAUAUAUAUAUGUAGUAGAUUAAUUUCCUACUAACUAUAUCUCUUCUUAUUUUAGUUGAUAUUAUUUUUACUGUAUCUAAUAAUUAUUUUAUAAAUAUUGGCGUAUAUUUUUGCAGUCGUCAGAUGUUAUUAUGCUAGAAGUUUUUAAGUGUUGGCCUUUUGGAUGACCACUAGUGAUCGUGAAUGACAAUUAACUGAAAAUAUUAUUAUUCUUCAAAAAAGUUUAGCCAAGUUGCUCCACAUCUAUUUAUUCCUAUUUUUAAUAGUAUAUUUGUAUUUUUUACAUUUUUAUUUGAAUUUUUUAAUAUUUUAGUUGAUGAAUUAAGUGCCUGCAUAUGCACCCGCAUAGCACAUAUGCACGGUGGGACAAUUGCCUGCAUAUCUCAAACCGCUUUUUAGAACAUUGAUUUGGUUUCUAUGAUAUAGAAGAAAUGUAGGUGAUUAACACAUUUUUCAUUGUUUUGGGUUUCCUUAAUUAGCACGCACCAACUGUCGGUAUUUAUUUUUACUAGUAAUGUAUCCCUGUUCAUAUUUUUUUCCUGAGAAUUACUUGUUACUUUGUAAGUUACAAUCAUAUUUUUUUCCUGAGAAUUACUUGUUACUUUAUAAGUUACAUCUGGUUUUCUAAAAAUCAGUGAAUAAAGAGUCUUUUUGGCUCAAUCUGGCAUUUAAUGAAAUGUCAGCAUGCCUAUUUACUUUAAAAUCUCUGUUCAGACAUGUAGAAGAGAAGUUUCUUUCUAAUCUCUAUUGAUAAACUAUUGUUUGCCAAUAUUAUCGAAAAUUGUUUCUUAAUUAACAGCAAUAGUGUAACAGUGGAAUAGUCUGCCGACCAUAUUAAAAAACUAAUAGCUAUAUGAUAACGAACUGUAGCUAUGGGGUCAUAAAAUAUAUGAAUUAAUUACAGAGCGUUCAAAGCGGUAUUUAUCCAGAGAAUCUCCUGUAUCCUUGACUGUUGUAUUUCUUUUGAACUUUUCUUGCUCUUUGAGAUUGAAUUUCUUGUAGACCUGCGGAAGUGUUAUAAGUCUUAAAUAUCUCUGUGAUGUUACUCGCCGCCACAGGAUGUUGUAUGGAAUUAUGCCUCUUGGUUUUGGUUCCGUAUGUAGCACGAACUAUUAAAUAUAAAUCAUUUUCUUCUUUUGACCUGACUGCAACGUCUAACAGUAAGUGCCUUUCAGUUUGUUUGCUUUCUUGAUCAAGUUUUUUUUUUAUUAGAUAGUCUAAGAUUCCUGCAUUGCCUUGUCAAUGUGAUGAUAGAAAAUGAACAACAAAGUCAGCUUGAUUCUACUCAGAAAGUGCUUAUUAUAUGAAUGAAAUAGUUUUGGUCCUAAUUGUCUUUAAUGUUGUUAUACUUUUGGUUCCUGAAGAUUUUUUUUUCUUUCUUCUUUAUUUCAGAAAGAGAGACUGGAGAGGGAGAUGGAGAUCAAGAGGGUCCGACUGUAACAUCUCGCUGAAGGAAAAGGAAAAUGAUUCUCUUGCAUGCAUGUUUUGUUUUCUUACUCUGUAGUAUCAAAAUUCGUUUUGAAGUUUCCUAAUAGUGAGCCAAGAGAUCACUGAGAGAUUUGAGACAAGCUUGCCAAUAUAUCCUGCUAAUAAGCCAGGUGGGGUUUUAGUCAGAUACUGGCAAUUUGCUGUGUUAUCAAGAGACCCAAGUUGUUGCUUAUUUUUCAGAUGUUGCAUUCAUCCCUUUUUUUGCAUGCAAUAUACAUUUUUGCACCCUUGUAUGAGUUACCUCCCUUCUCUGUUUUUGAUGAGCGGCUGUGCAAAGCUUCUACUGAAGAAAAAGAACACCUCUAUUAGUAGGCUUUAUUCGACAUGUUUUCUGGGGAUGGUAACUUGAAAAUGAUUGUGUAUUUUCGAGUUUUAACAGAGAGUGUUUGUACUUGAAUAUUCUAAGUGCAAAUAUUUUGUCAGUAGUUACUUAUCUUUCCUCGUUGGCCGUGCUACUUUUAUUUAGAAAUAUUUGAAAAGGUUGCUUUGGUUCCAUAAACCUAGCCCCAGCCGCUAAUCAAUAUACACUUGGAACCUGCCAAGGUGCAGGUAUCUGUAGCUGCCAUGAGUUUCUUCGCUUUUGUUUCUUUGUUAUUGUUUGGAUUGGAUGAAAAAUAAUAAAUAAUAAAAUAAAAAAAUAUAUUGAAGUAAGGGGAUAUGGAAUAAUAAAUAGUGAUUCGGACUUUUCUUAGGAGCCAUACUACCAAUGAGAAAGAAAUAAAAAAUAUAGGAUGCCUUUUUCAAAAGUAUUCAAAACUAGAGCAGUCUUGGGUCCAAUAUAAAUUACGGUCUAGGAUUUUAGAGAAAAAAAAAAAAAAGCUUAGGGUUUUAAGAAAAAAAACAAAAGAGAAUUAAGAAAAAAAGAAAAGAAAAACAAAAGGGCGGCGCCAGAGGGGAACCACCUCUCAAACCAACCACACAAAAACAAAAAAAGAAAAGGGAAAAAGAAGAAAGCAAAGAAAAGAGAGAAAAUAAAGAGAGUGAUGGUGACAACGAUGAAUACCUACAAUCCGCUCUUUCGUCUCCAAGGACAAUGGCGGUGCAGAAAAUGACAUCAUGGUCUCUUCUUUCUUUUUCGACGGCGAUGACUUUUAAACCGCUCUGGCCUUCAAUGUGCGCACAAACGGCACGAUUCUCUUGUCGGAUUGAUUGAGCGGCAAUCUUCAUGAUAUGCUCACUGCGGUCAAAUUCGGCAUUGGAUCGUUAUUAUCGCUAUGCGUGCGUAUCAUCAAUUCCUAUACCAAGCGGCCAUUUUUAUAGUAGGCUCAACAAGGUCAAAAUCGGCGAUUCGAACUGAACCUCCUCAUUGGAUUGAUUGAGUGGUCAUCUUCGUACUAAGCUCGACAAAAUCAAACCCACCUAUUUGGACACAAAAAAUUAAAGUAAAUAUAAUAAAAAAAUAAAAAAUAAUAAAAAUAGAUAUUUUUUCGGAUCACUAUCUUCAUGAUAGGCUUCAUCUGCUUAGUUGGGUCCCCGUCUUUAGUGAUAGACAUGACUCAAUCAAAUCACUAUCUUCUUGAUAGGCAAUGGCUUGACCCAUUUGCCAUCUAUAUAUGAUAGGUGUGGUUCAGCCAAAUCAAAUUGCCACCUUCGUAAUAGGCACGAUUUGACCAUUUGCCAUCUUCGUUGUAGACGUGGUUUAGCCAAAUCAGAUCGCCAUCUUUGUGAUAUAUAUGGCUUGUGCUGUGUUGGGCGAGCCAAUCCAUUUCAAGAUAACAUCGAAAUCUUACAUCUUUAGUACAUGCAAAUCAGCAGGCCAGUAUACACUACCUUCCCCAUGAGUUUGUUGAUGCAUAACUGGUAGUUGAGAAUGUCUAUGGGGAUGGAGAGCUUUCGUGCAAAGAUAAAGAGAUGAAGGAAUGAAUAGCUCCCAUAUCAAAGAGAGAGUAUACUUGAAGUAAGAAGAAAGACGGAAGACACAUGUUGAUGUGCUAUCUAUUUGAAUUACACGAUAUUGACAAAACAAAAUUAGACCUAAGAGGAAAGUACAUGAGAUAACUGCAUAGCUGGUCAUAGCCUCCUACUCUGUUAGCACAGAAACAUGACCCUACUUCUUGAGUAACAGGAUAAGGCAUGGACAUCGUGAAUGUCGAUGCAGCCCUGGGCGUCGGCUAGGGUGCUCUUAGACCCAAUGAUGCCAUGGCCGAUGGAGUUGGUUAGGUAACUAGCGACGGACCUAGUUCAUGUAUCGAUACACUUAAGGAAUGCGUAUCCGAAUUCAAAGUAGAACAUAGACCGGAUAACUGCAUGAGAUAACUGCAUAGCUGGUCAUAGCCUCCUACUCUGUUAGCGCAGAAACAUGACCCUACUUCUUGAGUAACAGGAUAAGGCAUGGACAUCGUGAAUGUCGAUGCAGCCCUGGGCGUCGGCUAGGGUGCUCUUAGACCCAAUGAUGCCAUGGCCGAUGGAGUUGGUUAGGUAACUAGCGACGGACCUAGUUCAUGUAUCGAUACACUUAAGGGAUGCGUAUCCGAAUUCAAAGUAGAACAUAGACUGGAUAGAGCUAGCGAUGGACUGUCGAUGGCAGAUACACCGCGAAAUCAACCUAUUCGGCUUUGAAUGAUGGGGGUACAAGGAAUGUUCGCACAAGCAUGAUUUGGAAACUUGGAAUAUCCCUAAAAGUGAGAGUAUUUACUUGGCUAGUCCUCAAGAUGAAAACUCCUACAAUGAACAACCUUUUGAAAAGAGGAUGGACAGGAAGCACAAAUAAGGAUACUCACACCUUAGCUAUAUUAUACACAUUUGCCAUUUUUUCCUAAGUUUCCUUUACCUUAGCCAACUAUGCCACUCGACUCGGUCUUAAGUCAAUCAAAUGCGGAUAAUCCGCGCUCUAUCCGGCUCGAGGUGAAGGAAUUCUCAUAUACACCUCAGCCUUCAAUCCACAAACCACAUCGACCAACGGGUCGCCCAGAGCUGCGCACACCCGUGGUCAGGGAUCUCCCGGUGGGAGAGGAAUAUACUGCAUACACCCGCAGCCGAGAUCCUCGAUAGGGAAAAGAACAUGCCACAUACACCCUAGCGCUCAAGAUUCUUCCGGUGGGAGAGGAACAUGCCACAUGCACCCGUGACCAGGAAUCUUGCUCAAUCACAAUUCUCGAAGUUCUUCCGAUGGGAGAGGAACAUGCCACAUGCACCCGCGGCCAAGAACUAUCGAGCUCAUAUGUUGUACUAGCAGCCGCUGCACUCGCAGCCGGGAUUCUGAAAUCCACUUUCAUAACUCUAGGGUUGGUCUCACCCUAUAUUAUCGACCUAUCUAGGUCCAAGCCUUUACUCAACCUAAGUUAAUACAUUAGGUUCAAUGUCACUAUGUUCAUAGCCUAGGUUCAUUAACACUAGGUCCAAUGUUCUUGAUCACCUAGAUUCAUUUGACUCUAGGUUCAAUGUUACUAUAUUCAUAGCCUAGGUUUACUUAACUCUAGGUUCAAUUCUCAACCUAUGUUUAAUACAUUAGGUUUAAUGCCACUCAUGUUCUUGUUUUCCUAGUUGUCCACACCUAGGAAUCAUACAUGACAUGCCACUUAUGAAUCACCUAUGUUCAAUGACGCUAGGUUUCAUUGCCACUCCUAUCCUUAUUGUUCAUAUUUAGGAUUCUCAGUUUACAAGCAACACUUGUCGAGUUCUUUACUCUACUUAGAGUUCAUCAAUCUAAGUUCUCAUUCUCCAAGGAUAGUCCAUACACAACAAUACUUGCAUUCAUAUAGCAUUUAGUUCAUGCACUAACUUAGCAUAUACUCUAUGCAUUCAUUUACAUUUUUCAUAUGCAUUCAUUAAUAGCAUCUUAAUCAUGCAUCAUUUACUAAUUGGACUACCAUUACAUGCAUUCCUUACUAGCACAUAUGUUAUACUCUCAUUUAGCAUUUAGCUCAUGCAAACUUAGCACACAUCAUGCCUUCGUUAGCCUUGCAAUUAACUAGUGUUACAUGCAUCAACUAUGACACACACUACACUUUGGUAUGGAAGCGACCUAAUCGCGUCGGUGAGCACAACCCACCUAAUAUUGCUCUCCGAUUGCUUGUCGACAUUUGCAAUCGGGCUCCCGCGACACAUGUGAUCCGGUUCGGCUCCAACUUGCAAUUGAUCGCCGAACACACAUUGAUUCUCAACUUGGAGCCAUCAAGGGUUUAUCUCUAACCUUUAAUUAGAGAAUAAUAGAGUUAUUAUAGAUCAACACCCUCUAAUUUCCAAAACCCUCAUUCUAAUCUUAGCCUCUACACAUGCUCCAAAUAACCCAAGUAUUAAGGAUUUAACAUGCUAAAACACAUUAGAGGCUAUUAGAACACUAAGCAUUAAGGAUUAAGCAAAAUCCCAAAAACUUAUCAAAAUGUGAACGCCGAGACGGAAGCACGCCGCUCAAACGGCCGCACGAGGACCCGAACCGACGCUUCCAACGCGUUCCCAAGCUUACUCUCCACGAACCCUCAAAUUUUUAGAGAGAGAUCUAGAGAGAUGAGGGAGAUAUCUAGACAGAGAAAGGGAGGGUUUCUCUCUCCCCACCAUGUGUGCGUGUGUGUGGUGUGUGUGUGUGUGCUGCAUACGGUUGAGGAGGGAGGAGGAAGAAGGCAAGCUUCCAACACACAAAUAGCCCCUCAAACACUAUUACAACUAUUUCAGUUUAGUAGCUCAGGAUCAGAUACAUUUCGCCAGCCCUUCUGAAUGCCCGUUUUCACUCAAAUUUGACAGUCAGGCUUGGUUUUUGCUAAAUAAAUGGAAUAUAUCUUAACUUUACAGUUUCAACCAUUUUUGGUCAUCGAAGCUCUACUGAACUGUAAUCUCUAGCAGAUAGCAGUCGGAUUUUAUUUUUCACUUUCUGGGUGUCAGAAUGGCAUGAAACUUUAAAUCUGGCCUCAUAAAAAUAAUUUUGACAUAUUCUCCAAUUUUCAUAAUUUUCUGACAUUGUGCAUUUUCUGCUAAAAUAUUAGCCCCGUUUCUUACAGAAAAUUCUAAAUUUUCUGUUUUCAUUCCAAUUUCAGCACAAGUCGUUUCCAACUUAUAUUUUACUUCUUUAAGUCAAAUAAAAAUAGUAUCUUACACUAUUUAUAUUUAUAUUUACUUUUAUAUUAAAAUUUGGUAUAUUACAAGCAACGCCUCGAAUCCACGAGCGUCCACCGAAUCCACAGCCUCAAGCGAAGUCCUCGCGCCAACACUCCAGCCGGAGCUCGUAGAGAUAAUAAUUGGCGGUGAUUCAAUUUCUUAGAAAAACCAUAAGCUAUGAGGAGAAACCUUUCAAUCCAUCACUGACUCGAUUCUCAAUGAAACAUUGGAAUAGAAACCAAAAAUUGAGUCGAUGAUCGAAAAUCAAAACUUGUUUUUAAAACAUAGAUCGAAAGGCAUCAAUAACAAGUUUUUAGGGUUUCUAAAAGUUUUUCUUUCUAAGCAUAUAUCAUAGGAUGCUCCUCAUAGCUUAUUUAUAGGUUUAGAAGACUUAUAGAUAGAUUAGGAUUUAAAAAUCAAGUUUUAAAAAUGAAAAGACGGUCUCAGGGUCCGGACCUCCCGAAGGGUCCGGACCCUCUCUGCGUAUCAAAAAAUACACCCUACGGGGUCCGGACCCUAACCCGAGGGUCCGGACCCUCUAUACGUGUAUGCCAAGAGAACCUACGAGGUUCGGACCCUAACCCGAGGGUCCGGAACCUCUUUACGUGUACGCAAAGAGGACCUACGGGGUGCGGAUCCUCUCUUCCUGAACUUCGAAAAGCUCAGUUUAUCCAGUUUUUUUUACAUUUAAAAACCAUCUAAGUCUUCCAAACACUUUUAAAUGUGUAGAAUUUCACCACAAAUUAUUAACACACAUACCUGAGAUAUUGAGCAUCACAAACGAGUCUUUUGAUCUUGAAUCACGCAAUCUUCGUCUUCAACUCUUCAAGACUCCAUUCGAUUUCACGAAAUCCGUCAACUUAGAAAAAUCCUUAACAAUCUCCCCCUUUGGCGAUUUCGUGACAAAACUUAAUACAAUGCUCAUCCAAAUCUCAAAAACAAAAAAAAGGAAGAUUAUCGCAAUCACCAAACGACAAUCUUUUGCAUGAUCGAUCCAACAAAAAGAAAUUACAUAUUACUCAUCCUAAAACAAACUCUAUGACUUAGACAUGGUGGAGUCUUGAAGUCUUGAAAUUUUCUGCAAAAACAUUCUCCAAAAUACACAAUCAAGAUUCAAGGAUAUGCAAUAAAGAACCAAUAAGUCAUAGUUAUAGUUUCAGUUAUCAGUCAUCAAGAGCCUAAACAAAAGAACAAGCAUUCACAUUCUCAUCUAAGCAAACUAAUAAAAAACUAACAAAGUAUCAAAAACUAACAAAGUAAGCAAGUCUAAAAGUAAACAAGUCUACGUCAAGUCUAAGUCAAGCAUGCAUAAGCAUCUCCCCCUUUUUGUCAGAAAGCGCCAAAACGACAAAAGGAGGACACCCCAACGCACUCAAUCUGAAUCAUCAUCUUGCGGUGGAAUGUCAGCACGACAACACCCCAUUUUGUCAAAAAUUGCUUUCAUUAGCCGGGAGAGCUUGCCGAGUUUCUUUGUGAUGCGAGCUUGCUCAGACGUUAUACGUUGCAAUUCUGCCGAAAUCCGCUCCUGUUCAGUCGAUAACCUCUGUUGUUCACGAUAGACCAAGGAAACAGAGACGUCCUCCUCAGACACUUCCUCUGACAGCUAUGAAGGAACUAGAGCAACAGGAGGUGGAGUGGAGCGACGUUGAGUAGAGCGACGUGGAGGAGAUCGUCGUGUGGGAGAGCGAAGCUGAACUGUCGAUUUAAUAAAUGUCGUUUCACUUAUCAUGCCCAGGCUAUGCUCAUAAGAACUACAUCGGGUGUCCACGCCAUGGUUUUGCAAAAUGUGCAUGAUAAUCACAGGAUAAGGCAAACACUUAUUUUGACUCGAAGUCUUGAUAUCUUUUGCCAUACGAUGCCAAAGCAAGAAGGGGACAUUCAAAUUGAUUCCACGAGAACGCACCUCAGCAGGAUGACCAAGCAAGUACAUGUAUAAGAGCCGCUCACAUCGAACCACUUUAGUAUUCAUCGUGGGCAAAAUAUUAUAAACAAUGAUAAAAUUGAGAAAACGUGUCACGCCCCGCGACCGAUCCUAUUUGGUCAGUUCGGGCACGUCGAACAGACGCCGAACGGACAGCACCUCCCCUGUCUGCCCAAGGCUCAACACAAGUACAAAUUGAGUAUAUAGAUUGCACAUGCGGAAACAUACAUACAUGGCUUGCACGAGGGCAAGCAAUAGCCAAAAGUGAAAGAUUCUAAACUAAACAACAUACAAGUAAUAUGAUUAACUUUUAACCACAUACAUGCAUUCAACUUGUACAUUACAUUCUUUUUAUUAUUUCUUUUUACAUCACAUGCUCUUCAAAAUAAGCUUUUACAUUCUUUCAUUUAAACAUCUUUAAUACAUCUAUAAUCAUCAAAAUACAAAAGAUAAUAUAAGGGUAUGCAACUAAGCAAAAUAUGAAACCAACUUGGGAGGUUUCUGUCUAUGGCGCGAUACCUUUACUGCGAUUGUCAGCCGGCUCACUCGGUUCCGGCUCUGUGAAAAUAGUGGGGUGAGAACUACAAAAAAAGUUCUCAGUGGGUUCGGCCGUCGACCUCGCCGACUUUCCCACGAAGUCUAAAUCAGGCAUAAUAGAAGAAUAAUAGAUAGAUAGUAACCAAACUAUACAAAUGUAGCUAAUAUGCCUGAACAAGAUAUAAUCAAUGAUAUGCUCAAAUAGAAUGCUCAUGAUGAAUGCAAAAUUCACUUUCCAAUUCUCAAUCCUCUUGGCUAACCCGUAGGUUUCGUCCUCAAUAGACUCACCAACUCAGAUCUCUUUGUGUCGGGCCCUCAGCUGCCUCCCGAUGGGACCGUCCUUUGGAAAAACUCCAACCCAGUGAUGACUACUCCGGAGCUCAUCGCUUGAGGGGGAGCUACCACUCUCCGAGCCAAGACUUAUAGGCGAGUAUGAUCCAAUCCUUAAUUAUAAGGAUGCCAAGUUCAAUCCAAUCCUUAACUAUAAUGAUGCAAUGCUCAUAUGACCCUUAACUAUAAGGUUGUUAUGUUAUAAUGUCAACUUUCUCAUGUACUUGCAUUCUCUACUUUCAUUAGUGUCACUUACACUACAUGUUCUUUGUACUCAGUCACAUGCAUUCUUGAUUCAUUAAUGCCACACACUAAGUGUUCAACUCUAACAUUCAAAACUCAUUGAUGCCACUCAACUAAGAGUCCAAUUCUAGCAUUUAUUUUAUUUACUAAAGCCACACAAUCCAUAUGUCAUAAUGUCAUUAUUCUCAAUGUCACUAGAUUCUUUGCCUUUUCUAGGUUCUUAUUAACAUUCAUGCAUACAUGGGGUUUUACAAGUUUUGAAUCACUCACAACAUCUCAUAUGCAUUUGUACUCACAAUAUGCAACAUAUAUUCUCAAAUCAACCCUACUAUGCAUGAGGCUCAAUAUACUCCACUAGCUCCGUCGGUGCCAUUCUAUACGGAGCCUUCAAAACUGGCGCCAUCCCGGGAACCAAGUCAAUGACGAACUCGAUUUUCCGGUCCGGUGGCAAUCCCGGUAACUCCGCCGGAAACACAUCUGGAAACUCGCAUGCUACAUGAAUAUUCCCAAGUUCCUGGUACUCCCUUUGAGCUUCUACCAUUGUGGCCAAAUAGGCCACACAUUCACCUUUAAUCAUUUUCCUCGCCCUCGUCGCCGAUACGGUCGCCGCGAAGCGCGAGCUUUUACAUGCGCGGUAUACUAACUCUUCUUGAUUAGGCUCACGAAAAGUGAUCACCUUACUUUCACAAUCAAUAACCGCAUAGUACGUGGAGAGCUAAUCGAUUUCCAAGAUUACAUCGAAACCCCACAUUUGCUUGAGCACUAGUAAAUCUGCCGACAUAAUCCAUUCACCUAUCCGAACUGGGCAAGCCAAGCACUCCUCGUCGACCUUAAAUGAGUGCUCAGGUGCAUUGACCCACCAAUAAUCCGGGUUAUGCAAUAUUUCCAUGUCAUGUAGUGAAUGAUGCACCAAUGAAUGAAUGAGAUGCACCUGUUUCAAAUAAAGCUCUAGCUCUAGUGCCAUUAAUCGAAAUAAUACCUGCCACGACAUCAUCUGGUACUACAGGCUGCUCCUCCACCUGAGUGGCGAAAACCCAUCCACUCGGUGCUCUAGAUCCCUCCGGCUGAUGCGGUGACGAUGCGCGUCCAGCCGACAUAGCUGGUGGCAACCCAGCAAGCUAUCUCGGGGUAGAAGGAACUGAUGCCGCCGUCGGUGCAGACGACGCCCAACUCGGGCACUCCCGAGCCAUGUGCCCCGCUUGGCCACACUUGUAGCACUUUCCCUUGCAUUGCGAGCAAGCCGAUGGUCGAUGCUCACCGCCGCAAAUAAUGCAUCGGGAAGGCUUCCAAUUCUUUGAUUACUGUCGGGGAUACCGAGAGGGUUUCUUAGCAUUUGGCCGGCCCCCGGCACCGCCCGCCACCCGCUUCUUUCCUUUGUCUCUUGACUCUCCUAUAGCGCAUAGGCGUUGCCGUUCUCCGCCCACAAGGCUAGAUCAAAGACCUCCGCAAAGGUCGUAAGCUUAAGGAUUUGCACGGCCUUGUAAAUCUUCGGCCUAAGUCCUCUCAAGAACCAGUCGGCCUGGUCCCGGUCAUCUCGAACAACAUCCGGGACGCAAUCAAUGAUGUGGGAGAACUCCUGCUCGUAAUCCGCCACUGAGCGAUCUCCUUGCCUCAACUUGCAGAACCUUUCUUGUAGCUUCCGCUUCACCGUGUCGGGGAAGUAAUUUGCGAAGAUGGCCCUCUUAAACUCCUCCCAUAGUAUAGGCGGAAGGUCAGAAGGACGAUCUCGCUUCACCCACUUCCACCACACCUUCGCCGCCUUUUCCAAACAGUGAGUGGCGAGGUGCACCUUGUCCUUCUCCAAGGUAUAUAUAUCUUCGAAGAGCGUCUCCAUCGUGUCUGUCACGCCCCGGGACCGGCAGAGGCCCUUCCGGGAGCGCGCCCAGACCCGCCAUAUAUCUACACAUAUAAGGCGUCUACAAUAAAAGCGGAAGUAAAAGUAAGAAAUAUAACAAAAGGAAGGAACUACAGCUAAUGAUAUCAGAGCAGUAUGAUUCUAUCUUCUAUAACAGUAGUAAAAGAACAACUAAACCAUAAAAGUAAACGUAAAGUAAUACAAUGCCUGUCUCAAAAGUACAAAAAUGGUAGUCUCUAGUACACUGGUAAAACUCUCAACCUCUCUAAAAAAGAAACAAAGAGAGGUAGACCACCUAUCAAACGAUCCCUCGGCGAGGAAAGCUAGCCCGAGGCGAUACCCUUUCCGCGAUCCCUAGUCUCUUCCGGCGUGGAAGGCUCUGAAAAGCAUCGAGAAAAAGAGGACGUGAGAACUAUAAUUUAUAGUUCCCAGUGGGCAAUUACUGACCUCAGCUCAAUGCACCACUAAGCCCCAAAGAAAAGGGUAAGUCAAAAGAGGGCAAUAAUAAUGAAUAAACUGCAUUUAUGAAAGCAUAAUUAAAAUGCUAAACUACUACACUGCAAUUAACAUGAUGUUAAUAUAGUACACCUUUAUUUUGUCAUAACCAAUAUGUCUCUACAUGGCCACAAUUAAAAGUCACGGUUUACUUAAUGAAGUUUUGAAGAUCAUGCUUUAUCAUGGCAACAAUGUAUAUAUGAAUGCAAUAAGCAACCUCUCCUAGCAUGCUACAUGUAUGUAUGUAUACUCAAAUGUCCCAAAACUAUGCUAGAAGUAAGUCCAAGUAAUCCAACUACUACUCUCUAUCUAGUAGUAAUUAUAACACACUCGACACUGUGUCGAUUUUCAUUUCCAAUUAAGGAACUACCAAAGGUAGUCCAGCUUGUGCCGCCUAAGUGCCUGUGGUAGCCCAACAUUCCUACUCUUGGAAUGUGUCUGUCCCACUCGACUCUGUAGGCUUCUCAAUACCGCACGAGCGAACAUAGGUCGCGUAGGCUAACUCCAGAGUGCCGGCUUGUAGGGAGCGACCCUCACAAGCAUGUGCGAAUGAGCACAAAUGGCAAGCAAGCAAGCAUGGUCCAAGUCUCAAGUAUCCAAUCCUCAUGUUUCUAACAUGGUAUAGUCACUAGCAUUCCGAAGAUCUAGUUCUAAGUCACAAUGUGAAGUUUCGACAUUCAUUACGCCUAGUGCCCCUUGAUGACACUUAGACAAGUUAAUGUUCAAUAUGUUUCCAAUCCCUCAAUGGCCCUAUUUACUAGGUUUAACCAUGUCCCGAGCUCAAUGCCGCUUAAUGACAUUAGCCCUCUAAAUCACAUAAUAACCAAGUUCGGUGCCUCUAUAUGGCAAUUUUGUUAUCUCUCAUGUCUCAAUUAAACUUAAGUUUGAAUGCAUGUAUCAAGACUCAUUUACACAAUAGAACAUGAAACCAAGUCUCAUAUAGAACGCUAAUGCAAUCCUAUGUCUCUCAAGCAACUCUCUACUACAUAGAGGUCCAAAAUUUCAUUACAUGUAACAUAGGCAUUUUAAGCAUUCUAAAAAUCAUAAUAAAUGCACAUAAUAUGAAUUUGCAUGCUUUUUCAAUUAACGAUACUCAAAUUAUCACAAAUGAGAUUUUCUCAUUGUGUGGCUAGGUCAAACCCAGUGAACCGUCGCGUAGUCCUUCAUUACGCCGAACGGAGUUGUCCACGAGUCUCAAAAUACACUAAAAGUAUUGAGCGAAGAGAUACACAGGCAUUACGAUCAACUAUAAGAUCAAACAUUAACCUAGAAGCAAAAAGGGCCAAAACUCACCUCAAGAGAAAAAAUCUCUUCCAAAACUCCAAAAGAGAGCUAGAACCCUUCCAAUCUAGCCUAGAGGAAGGUUCUAAUCCAACUAAUCUAGCCUCAAAAGCCCUAGAAUCAAAAUGCCCAAAAUAAGCCCUAAAUCUACAAUCUAGGGUUUCAUCUCAAAACCACCAAUAAAAAUCCAAUCUAGAGGGAGAGAAUAAGUAGAUUACCUGUUAGAAGCUUCAAUCCAAGCUCUAAACCCUCUAAAUGCCAAGAUCUUCCCUCAACAAAGCUCCAAAUCCAAGCUCCAAGCUUCACUCAUAGUGGAAAAGCAUAAGGAGGGAAAAAGAGAGAGAUUAAACCUUAAAUCCCAAGUAAAAAUGGAGAAAUAAACCAAGGAGAAGAAGAGCGGAGGUGCCCUACCUUGCUCUCCACCGGUUUCAGCUCAGGGAGAGGCCCCAAAGGCGUGGGGACACUUAUAGAAGCCCACAAUUGCAAAAAACCCCCUGCAGUUCAAACUGCACGAAAUCAACCUCCUUGUACCGGUACACGGGCCCCUAUACCGAUACAAGCCCUAUGAAACAUCACAACCCGAGGCUCGGGUUGGGGGUUCAACGGCUCUGUACCGGUACAAGCUCGGUGGUUGUAUCGGUACAACCAUCAACCCUGUACCGGUACAGCCAUCAGCUUGUACCGGUAUACAGCCCUGAAAACAGCAAUCCGAGAGCAGCCUAAGUCUAAUUUUUUGGUGACCUUAGGGCUACUUUAACUACCUCAAAUCUCGGGAUACGAGCCAUGGGUCGGAAUACUGUCAACGACCUACCAGAAAAUCUGGAAAUGCUCAGAACACAACUCAAACACUCGAACCUCACAAUUUGCAAAGGUCCAGUGUGUUACAGUGUCGAUCCACGACUUCACCAUCGCCGGCUCCACCUUUUUCCCGUCAAAGGUAGGUGGGCUAAACUUCUUGAACAUGACGAGAGCCGCCAAUGCACGCUCCUGCUCCGCUUCCAAAGCCGCACCAUCGGGAUUUGAGGUCCCCGAACCGGUCGGCACUGCCGUGACUGGAAUAGCCGUGACUGGCUCCGCCGCCACUACUCCCUUGGCCGCACUUGGCACCACCACAGGAGAUGCAGGAUACUCGGCACCCACCUGGGCCGCCGCCGCCUACUGCCGCUCUAAGGCCUCUUGAAGCCUUUGAAUCUGCUCCCCUUGACGCUGAACAGACUCCGCUUGUUGCCGCACCACUCCUAUAAGUGCGGACAUUUGCUCCUGAAGCUCCCCAUAGCCAUUUGCUCCGGAUUGCUCGGGCGCCGCAGUCGUCUCCUCGGGCAUAGACCUCGUUCGCGGUCUACCACGAGCCAUUGCUACCUAAAAUGUAGCAAUUCACGUUAACUACGCAACCAAUAUACUCGAACAUACCUAAUCCGGCGAAAGCAAACAAGUGUAUUUAUUUCCAUUCCAAAGCAUUAUGUCGUCGGCCGUCGAUCACAACACAAAGAAUAGAGAACAAAUAUCAACUUGAAUUAGCCCCUAACUACAUUAGAGACUUACAAAUAUUAACACAAUCAUAAAGCUUUCGCUAUACUUUAAUUCCACGUCACUCACGUUUCCUAGAUCCUUAAGGUUUUCCAUUCCUAAGGGUCUCUAGGUCCUUUCUAUACUUUCACUUUAAGGCUCUGAUACCACUAUAUUUGUCACGCCCCGAGACCGAUCCUAUUUGGUCGGUUCGAGCACGUCGAACAGACGCCGAACGGACAGCAUCUCCCCUAUCCACCCAAGGCUCAACACAAGUACAAAUCACGUAGUAGAGAGAUUGCACAUGCGGAAACAUACAUAAUUGGCUUGCACAAGGGCAAGCAGUAGCCAAAGUGAAAGUACUAUUCUAAACAUCAUACAAGUAAUAUGAUUAACUUUUAACUACAUACAAGCAUUCAACAUAUAAAUUCUUUUACAUUCUUUGCAUCAUUUCUUUUUACAUCACAUGUUCCCCAAAAUAGAACUCUUUACAUUCUAACAUCAUUUAAUACAACUAUAAUCAUCAAAAUACAAAAAAUGAUAUAAAGGGGUAUGCAACUACACAAAAUAUACCGAACCCAGGUGGUCACUGUCUAUGGCGCGAUACCUUUACCGCGAUUGUCUGCCAGCUCACUCGGUCCCGGCUCUGUGAAAAUAGUGAGAUGAGAACUACAACAAAGUUCCCAGUAGGUUCGGCCGCCGACCUCGCCGACUUUCCCACUAGGUCUAAAUCAGGCAUAAUAGAAUAGAAUAAUGGAUAGAUAGUAACCAACUAAACAAAUGCAGCUAAUAUGCCUGAACAAUAUAAUAAAUGAUUAUGCUCAAAUAGAAUGCUCAUGAUGAAUGCAAGAUCCACCUUCCAAUUCUGGGUCCUUUUGGCUAACCCGUAGGUUUCGCCUCAACCAACAACUUGCCAAUUCCGAUCCCUACUAUCGGGCCCUCAGCUUCCUCCCGACGGGAUCAAUAGACUAACAAACUCAAAUCCCUAAUAUCGGGCCCUAAGCUUCCUCCCGACGGGACCGUCUUCUGGGGCAAACACCUUCCCAGUGAUGACAACUCCGGAGCUCAUCGCUCGAGGGGGAGCGACUACCCUCAAGCCAAGACUUAUAGGCGAGUAUGAUCUAUCCUUAACUUUAAGGAUUUCCAAGUUCAAUCAAAUCCUUCACUAUAAAGAUGCAAUGCUCAUAUGACCGUAACUUUAAAGUUAUUAUGUCAUAAUAUCAACUAUCUCACUUUACUUGCAUUCUUUAACUUUCAUGAUGCCACACACACUAAGUGUUCUUUAACUCUUUUUCAUGCAUUCAUUGUUCUCAUUAAUGCCACACCAAGUCGUCAACUCUAGCAUUCAAACUCAUUGAUGCCACACACACUAAGUGUUCUUUAACUCUUUUUCAUGCAUUCAUUGUCAUUUACUAAUGCCACCCAAUCCAUAUGUCAUAAUGUUAUUUGGUUUUUUACCUCAUCUAGGUCUUUGUCACUAUUCAUGCAUACAUAGGAUUUUACAUGUUCUCAAUAGCUCACUAUAUCUCAAAUGCAUCUUAUACUCAAAGCAUGCAAUAAUAUAAAUUCCACUCACCCUACUAUGCAUGAAAAGAUAAACAUACACAUACUCAAAGAUGACACUUUAGACAUAAAAGAAAAUUCAUCGAUUUCAGAAUGCACCACCCACCUUGUAUGGUUGUAAAGGUGCUAGGUUCAAUUCUUGUGAUUUUUGGGCGCCUAUUUUCUCGCCUGCGGCAAAAAAAAGCCAAAUUUGGCUUUUUCCCUAAUAUCUUUACGUAGACUCGUCGGAUCGGUGAACCGAGUUCACCAACGAGUCAGAAAUACCCUUAAUUAGGUAUAAGGUCAAUUUGCCUUUAAACCAACCUAGGGCAAAAGCCCCAAUUUUGGUGCCCUAACAAUCAUUUGCCCAAUACCUUGGUUUGAUCUCUAAGACGAGCAAAAGCAAGCUUAUUCAUCAUCUAGAAACUCAUCUAGAAACUUUUCUAGGUCAUUGAUACCAUCCCUAAAGCAUAUAACAUAAACCCUAGAAAUCCACCAUGAGAGCACAUGAAGAAACAUGAAUUUUCAUGUGUUCCAUAGCCUCUACUAGGUUUCUACUCUUAUAAGAAGAUCAAAUCCAAAUGUUCUAGGGUAUAAAACCAAACCCUAGCCUAUUUCUUACAAGAAAACUCACCUUAGUCCAAAAGCUCUCCAACGUCUUCCUUGAAGGUGAGCUCCCAAGCCACCAAAAGCUCCAAAAUCUUCAAAUCCUUCUCCAAUCUCCUCCAAAUCUACCUUGGAGUAGAGUUUCUAAAGAGAGAGAGGGAGAGAAAUGAGAGAGGAGGGAGGUGUUCACUACUGGAAUGAGAGAGAAGGGGUGUGGGGUCCUAUAUAGGCUGCCACAAAUGCAAAUAAGCCCUCCAUUUCUUUUUAAUUGCAGCAGACUCAACCUAUUGUUUCGCAGACUGCGUAUCGGUAGGCGGGUGGGCGUCACCGGUUAAACCCCCUGUUCAACAGCGCAACCCGAGAGCUGCUGUUCUCGGGUUGCCGCGGGGUAUCGUGAUGUACCAGAUUGUAAUAUAAAAUUAAGUGUAAAUAAAAAUAGUGGAAGAUACUAUUUUUAUUAGACUUAAAGAAGUAAAAUGUAAGUCUGGAAUGACUCGUGCUGAAAUCGGAAUGAAAACAGGAGAUUUAGAAUUUUCUGUAUAGAACGGGGUUGAUAUUUUAGUAGAAAAUUCAGUGUCAGAAAAUUAUGAAAAUCUGAGAAUAUGUCAGGAUUAUUUUUAUGAGGCUAGAUUUAAAAUUUCAUAUCAUUCCGACACCCAGAAUGUGAAAAAUAAAAUCCCACUGCUAUCUGCUAGAGAUUACAGUUCGGUAGAGCUUUUGGUGACCAAAAGUGGUCCAAACUGGAAAGUUAAGAUAUUUUAUUUCUUAUUAGCUUAAACCGAGCCUGACUGUCAAAUUUGAGCGCAAACGGACAUUCAGAAGGGCUCCGGCGAAAAGGAACAGAUUCUGAGCUGCUAAACUGCUAGUUGUAAUAGUGUUUUGAGGGUGUUUACUAUAAAAGGAGUUGUCUUCUUCUUCUUCUCCUUCAACCGAGCAACACACACACACACCAGCACACACGCAUGGAGAGGGAGAGAGAAACCCUCCCUUUCUCUCUCUAAUUAUCUCUCUCAUCUCUCUAGAUCUCUCUCUCAAAUUCGCGGCGUUGGCGAAGAGCGAGCUUGUGAACGUGUUGGAAGCGACGGAUCGAGUCUUCAUGCGCCCGGUUGAGCGGCGUGCUUUUGACUCGGCGUUCGCAAUUUCGGUAAGUGUUUAGGAUUUGGUUUAAUCCUUAAUACUUAGUGUUCUAGUAGUCUCUAGAGUGUUUCUAGCAUGUCGCUCUAUUUAAUUUUGGAAUAUUUGGAGGUUAAUUUCAUGCUAGGGCUUAAAAUGAGGGUUUGAAAAUUAGAGGGCUUUGAUCUAGUUAAACCCUAUUGUUCUCUAAUUGAAGGUUAGAGAUGAACCAUCGGUGACCCUAGGUCGCGGAUUAGCGGGUGUUCGGUGAUCGAUUGCGGAUUCGAGCUUAACCGGAUAUUGUGUGCCGCGGAGGCCGAUUGCAAGUGUCGACAAGUAAUCGGAGAGCGUUGCGAGGUGGGUUGUGCCCACCGAAGUUAUUAGCUAGCUUCCAUGUCGAAGUGGAAUGCGGUUUUGUUAUUGAUGCAUAUAAUGAAUUAUACGCUAGAUGAAUGCAUGAAUAAAUUGCUAGACGAAUGCUUGAAUUAAUUGCUAGAUGAAUGCAUGAGUUAAUUGCUAGAUGAAUGCAUGAAUUAAAUGCUAGAUGAAUGCAUGAGUCAUAUUAUACUAGAUGAUGUUGCCUACCAUUGGAAUCUACUAGAUGAGAUGCUAGAUGAAAAUAUAUGUAUGAUGACAUAUUAUAUAUGCUAGAUGAAAUGUAUAAUGACAUAUGGUGGAUUAUGUUAGAUGAAUUAUGCAUGUUGAUAUAUAUUGCGGAUUAUGUUAAUUGACAUAUGCAUGUUGAACUUGGGUCGAUAUCUCUAGGUUGAUUAGAGAACUUGACAUUGGAAAACAAGGACAUGUAGACUCUAAAACUCGAUGUGGACAAGUAGGAUGUCAAGUAGAUCGAAUGGCAUUUGGAACUAGUGUAGCAGAGACACUUAUGACAUGAUGAAUAUAGGGAUUGGUGGAUUUUCCGAGUCAUGGUUAUUCCUAGUUGAUAGGGUAUCCUCAGUUGGAGAGGAUUACAUAGUCUGUUCUCGCCUGGUGGUGGUUGCUCCACCCAAGCAGUGAGCUCCGGAGUCUUCACACGAUGGACUAACGUACUUGUCCAGCAGACGGUCUCGGGUUUGCAAAUGGGAGGGUCUACUUACCUAUGGGAUUGCACUGUGAGUCGGGGCGAACCUUCAGGUUAGCCAAGUUGAUUGGAUGACAAGCAUAUGAGCCGUAGUUGAAUCCCAGUAGAGUGGAUUCGGUAUCCCAGUUGAGUGGAUUUAAGGCUGAGGUGCAUGUGAGAUGUCCUUCACCUCGAGCCUGGCUUUACGCGGUACUCCGCGGAUGAUUGACUCAAGACCGAGUCGAGCGGAUAGCUACGUAGAGGUAGAUGAAACCUUGUAAGCAAACAGUAAAGGUAGAUAAAACCUUAUGAGCAGAAUUGUAAUUGACAUGAAUCUAAGAUAGAGGAAAACUUAGAUGUCAUUUGGAUGAGCUAUGGAUAACGAAACAGAAAGUAGAAGCAGUUGAUCUACUUACAUUAUUGCAUAUUGAGUUGCAUGAUUGCAUUGUUGCAUGUUGCGAGGCAUGAACAUGAUAAAUGUUAGUUGCAUAAAAUAUUUGAUGAAAUAUAUAUAUUUGUGGAUACUUGUUGGACUAACAUGUUGCAGUGCCUCCUUCGGACCUGGUGGGUCGACAACAAUCCAAAUCGCGUCAUGUCCACCUUGUGACCUAGGCAAACCCGUCACAAAAUCCAUCGCUAUGUUUUUCCACUUCCAAAUAAGCCAAAUAAGCCUUGCAACCACCCUUAAUCAUUCUCUUCGCCCUCGCCGUCGAUAUAGUAGCCGCGAAGCGUUUGCCUUUGCACGCCCGAUACACUAACUCCUCUUAGUUAGGCUCACGGAACGUGAUCACCCUUCUUUCGGAAUCUAUAACCGCGUAAUACUUGGAGAGCCAGUUGAUCCCCAAGAUUACCUCGAAGCCCCACAUUUUUUUUAACACUAGAAGGUCGAUCGGCAUAAUCCAAUCACCUAUCUGCACUAGGCAGUCCAAGCACUCGUAUGAACAUCGAAUGAGUGCUCGGGAGUAUUCACCGACCAAUACUCCUCGUUAUGAGUGAUCUCUAUGUCAUGAGCUUAUGCAAAUGAUGCCAAUAUGGAUGAAUGAGAUGCACCCAUAUCAAAUAUAGCUCUAGCUCUAGUAUCCCUGAUAAGAACAAUACCCGCCACGACAUCGUCGGGAAUCGUGAUCGGCUGCUCCUCCACCUUAGUGGCGAAAACCCGCCCACUAGGUGCUCGAGAAGUCUCUAACUGACGAGGCGCCGAUGAGCGUCCAACAGAUACAGCGGGUGGCAGUCCCGCUAACUGUCGCGCAGUGUACUAAACAGGUGCUAAUGAUGGAGCCGGGGAUGCGCCGCCCGGGCAAUCUCGGCCUAUGUGGCCCGGUUGGCCGCAUCGAUAGCAUCGCCUCUCCCGCUGUGGGCAAGUAAUAACUCGGUGGUCUCCGCCGCAAAUCAUGCACAGAUAGGUGGAAUGGCUCUAAGCCUGAUUGUAAUAUACCGAAAAUUCGAAAAAUAAAUGUCGAACUUUAGUCAAAUUGACCAAAGUGCGUGGAUGGUACACUUCGGAAAGCCCGAAGGCGUUAAAGUAAUCAAAAGUGCAUUGUUGAAGGUCGUCGAGAGCUUAAAGAUUCAAAAUCUGCAUUCUGCAGGUUUUGUGCUCUCGGGGACCGGUCCCUAAAAGAGAGACCGGUCCCCGAACGCGUGAAAACUGAGCAACUGAAAAAUCGGCUAAGUCCUGAGAAGUCAGGCUUCGGGAACCGGUCCCUGCCUGAGAGACCGGUCCCCCGAAGACCGGUCCUCCAAAGUGAGACCGGUCGCAUCGCGCACGGCAGCUCUGGCUGCGCUGGGACGAGCUUCGGGAACCGGUCCCUGGUCGGGGAGACCGGUCCCCGCAUGCGAAAUCUGCCCAGUCCAGGCAGUGUGAAAGAGUAAAAGUUGAGGGGUUUAGCUGCAAUUUUGCAACCCAUAGAGUAUAGUAAUAUGAGGGCUUUUCUCUCAUUCCACUCCCCCUCACACUCUCUUCUCUCUUUCUCUCUCUAGAAGACAAGAAGGAGAAGAAGAAGACAAAGAAAAGGAAGGAAAAAAAGAGGAAGAAAGUGAAGAAUAAGGCAAGGAGAAGAGGAAAACCUCUCCUCUCCUUCUCUAGCUUGGAAAAGGAGUAAGCUUAGAGAUAAGCCUUGCCCCUUCUCAUGGUAAAUCCCAAACUAGGAUUUGGAUUAGAUUAAAGAUGGUUUUUAUAGAACCUCUAGAGUCUUUGAAGCUUUCUUUUUGCUUCUUUUGAUAUCAAAACCAUGGAAUGGUGGAAAUGGUGAAGCUUGAAUGAAAGCUUCAACCUCCUCUUAUGGUGAAACCCUAAAAUGGGUUUUAAUAAAGCUAAGAAUAGUUUAGAUGGACUCUUUAGAGUAGAAUGAAGCUACUUUUGCUUCCCAAUGAGAUCAAACCCUAGGUUUGAUGUAUGCAAUGGAGCUAGGGCACCCAAAUUGGGGCUUUUGCUCGUGGGGAUUUCUAAAUGAAAUUGACCCUCUAGAAACCUAAUUGGGGACCAAACGAACGUGUUGGUGCGCUCGGUUUGAAUAAACGAAAAGCCAAUGUAAAGAUAUGAGCAAAAUGGCUAAUAGGGCUUCGUUUUGCUGCAGGUAAAGAACGAAGGGUCUAAAAAUCCCGAGAAAAUCGUCGGAGCACCUUUGGAAGCCUACGGGGUGGGUGGUGCUUUUCAAACUCGUUGAACUUCCCUCUAUGCCUAAUGUGUCAUUCAAUUGAGCAUAUGUAUAUACGUUGUUGCAUGCAUUUUAGGGUAAAGUAAUGAUAAAAAAUGUGAUGUUGCAUGAUUGUGAGUACAACUUGCAUAAUGUGAUGGUUAAGAACCUUAUGAAUGUCGAAAAUUCUAUAUAUAUAUGCAUGAGAGAAAAUGUGAGUACCCAAGUGAGCCGAAAGAACAGAGUGACACAAUGAGAUAUAGAUCGAGUGGCAUUUGAUAAUGUAAAGUACAGUGACACUAGAGGUAGUGUGAGGCAAAGAAUCAAUGUGAUGUAAAGAAUAAUGAUAAUGACUAAAGUGAAAUUAAAGUGGGGCAUAAAGAACAAGAAUGCUAAAGAUAACCAAAAGUAAAGAAAUGUAAAGAACAAUGAUUGCUAGAGUAGCAACAUAAAAUGAUGUAAAGAACACUAGAGUUAGUGUAAAGUCAAGAUUGAACUUAUAAUCCUUUGAGUUAAGGAUUUGAUCAUACUUGCUAUGAGUUUCGUGCUCAAGGCGGUCGCUCCCCCUCGGGCGAUGCGCUCUGGAGUCUUUGCAUCACGGGUAGGAGUAAACCCGAAGGACGGUCUUAGCGGGAGGAAGCUGAGGGCCCGCGAUGAUGGACUUAAUGUAAAGCAAGUUAAUGUGGCGAAACCCCUGGGUUAGCCUUGAGAUUAAAGAACAAAGAGUAAAGAACAAAGAACAAAGACAAAGUGUAAGGUGUAAAGAACAAAGAACUUGCAUAAUCUGCAUAUGUUAAUGUUGAGCAUAUUUCCUGCUUAUUGUUCAACCAUAUUAGUAUCAUGUUAUAGAAUGGUUACUAUAUUCAGCUUAUCCUUUCUAUUAUGCCUGAGUUAGUCCUAGUGGGAAAGUCGGUGAUGUUGAGGCCGAACCCACUGGGAACUUUGUUGUAGUUCUCACCCCACUAUUUCCACAGAGCCGGGACCGAGCGAGCCGGCGAGCGACCGCGGUAAAGAUAUCGCGCCUUAGUCAUAGGCCACCCUAGUCGGGCUUGUAUUUUGUUAGUAGUUACCCUUAUAUCAUCUUUUGUAUUUGAUGAUUUAAAAUGUUGAUGUAUUAAGCAAAAAAAGAAAAGAAUGUAAAGCUCUCUUUUGAGGUAAAUGAGAUGUAAGAAAGAAAUGAUGUAAUGAUGUAAUGAAAUGUAAGGAAGUUGAAAAUGUACAAGUUGGACUUAAUGUAUAUGAUCUAAAUUGAAUCAUAGUACAAGUGAAUGUUUAGUUUCCUAUCUUUCACUCAUGGCUAUUGCUUACCCUUGUGUAAGCCGUAUUUGUAUGUUUCCGCUAGUGCACUUCUUUUUGAAAAUGUACAUGUGAUGAGCCUUGGGCGGACAGGAAAAACUCUGUCCGUUCGGCGUCUGUUUGACAUGCUCGGGCCGGCCCAAAUCGGUAUCGGUCCCGGGGCGUGACACUGACUCCAACCACCUCGCCAAUGUGAUCGCUGAGGUCGCGGGGGUCGCUUAGAAUUCGACUGACCCGCCGACCCUCCAGCCGGCCGCUUCUUGUUCUUCUCCCUUUUCUUGUCCUGCUCGAAGGCCUCGCGUUCCUCUCGCGCAAUGGCAUUGUCGCCCUCUACCCAGAGCGCGCGAUCGAGUACCUCCUCAUAAGUCUUCAGCCGGAGCGCAUGCACAAUCCUGAAUAUCUCCUGCCGCAAACCGCGCUCGAAGGUCUCCGCCCGGUCCCUAUCGCCAUGGACCAAGCUUGGCACGCAAUUUGUAAGGUGCGUGAACUCCCGCUCAUACUCCCGCACCGUUCGGUUUCCCUGUCUUAGCUUGCGGAAGUCCUCCUUGAUCUUCCGCCGGUAGCUAUCGGGAAAGUACUCCAACAGUAGCAUCUCCCGGAACGCCUCCCAAGUGACGGAAGCGGAAUCCAAGGAGUGGUUCUUCUUGGCUUGAGUCCACCAUAGUCGCACCUUCCCGUCAAAACAAUAGGCCGCUAGGUGAACCUUGUCUUUAUCGAAGGUGUAGAUAUCCUCGAACAACGCCUCCAUCGCGGCUAACCACGACUCCACCAACCAUAGAUCCUUUACAUCGCCGUUGAAGGUCGGAGGGUUGAAUUUCUUAAAGGUCGUCAAUGCCGCCAACGACCGCUCCCUCUCGGCCUCAAGUACAUCAGGAGUAGGAGUCGAUGAACCCGAUGCUGCUGGAGGAACAACCGUCACUGGUGCCGCCGCUACCGCCGGCGUAGGGGCCACAAGAGCAGCAGGUGCGGGCGGAUCCCUAGGUACAGAUGCCACUGCCGCCGCCUGUCGGGCCAACAUCUCGUGGAGCUGCCCAAUCUGCUCUCCUUGCUGUCGCAUAGACCUGGCCAAAACUGCUACCUGGGCUCGUAACUCACGUACUUCGUCCGACCCCGACUGCCCGGGCUCCUCCCGAGGCUCUGCCGGCGUGGACCUCGUAACUCGUCGUGGUGGUGCUAUCACGUCCUGAAACGUAAUGCACAAAAAAUGCCUUGGAGUUGAGUCCGCGAGAGCAAAUGAGGCAAACUGCAUCAUUGGGCUGAUGUUGCUCUCGGGGACCGGUCUCUGCAGGUGAAAGACCGGUUCCCCUAACUAGGCGUAGCGGGGUUGCGUGAUGCAACCGGUCCCUGGCAGGGAGGGACCGGUUCCCGAACGUGGACCCAGCGAGAGAUGCCAAAAAUUGGCUAAGUCCUGAAGAUUGAGCUCUCGGGGACCGGUCUCCCAGAUGAGGACCGGUCUCCCGGGGAGAGACCGGUUCCCGAACGCGUGCGCCCGAGGGAAGCUCUCGGGGACCGGUCCCAAGUCGGGGAGACCGGUCCCUCCGCGCGAAAGCUGCCCAGUAAGGGCAGUGCACAGGGGUGAAAGUUGAUGGGCUUUUAUGCAAAAUGGCCUUUAUUUGAGUGGGCUGAGCCCUCUCUCUCCCUCACACUCUCUCAUUUCUCUCCCUCUCACUCUCAUUUCUCUCUUGCUCUCUCUCUCUCUCUAGAAAGGAAAGAAGGAGAAGAGGAAUAAGAAGGAGAGGAAGGAAAAGAAGAGUAAGAUAAGGAAGGAGAAGAAGGAGAUCAAAAGGAAGGCUUUGAACACCUCCAUCUCCCUCUCCUCUUCCCAUUGGCUUAGCUCUUGAGGUAAGCUACUAAGCCAUAGCUUUGUAAACUUAGGGUUUUUGGGUUUUAUGCUUUGGAAUGGGUCAAAUGAACCUUAAGCUAGCUUCUAAAUAGAUCAAUUCCAAGAAUUUAGGGAUUUAUUGGGUGGUUUGCUAUAGGUGCAAACCUAGGGCUCCAAAAUGGGGUUUUUGUAAAAGUAUGAGAUUGAUCUUAUUUGAAGCCUUGGAAACCCUAUUGAUAGGUCCCAAAACGCGGGGGCGAAGUCGAUUUCGGCAUUCGGCGAACCGACGUGAAGUUCUCGGCACAAUUGGGCCGGGCUAGUGUUGAUUCGGGCGAGGAAGGCUAAAGGCUUUUCGUAGAGCUCGCCGAGAAGGAUUUUUCAAACCUCUACAUCGAUUAAAGGUGGGGGGUGUCAUCCGAAACUUUCGAACUCCUUUCUAUGUCUUAGAUUGCAUUUAAUCUCAUCUCUUAUGUGCGUUGAUUAGGAUUUGGCAUAGUAGUUCCUUUCUGUUAUACUUUUAAUUGAUACCUUGUGUACUUGGAAGCUUGGUGUUUAGGAUAGUGCAGCUUGGUCGAGACGGUUUGAAUCUUAUGGUGCGAAAGAAAAAGAGAUGACCGAUGGGCGCUAUUGAUGACUAGGAAGUAGGAUAGUCGUUAAUAAACACGAGUGCGCAUACCGAAGGACAAAUGAUGAGAGUGGGCGCUUAAUGUAGUGUAAAUAACACUAGAGGUCGAUGGCUCAGGGAUAUGUGGAUUCCUUAGAAUAUGCCUUUGGAACUGAAUUUAGAAACUAAGAUAUAUGCUAUGUAAUGUCGGGAACGAUGAUUCCGCGAUAGUUGUUAACCCUAGUCAGUAGCGGCGUCCUCACUUUGGAGAGGAUUCAUUGGGUUAGUUGACUCUGUUGCUUAGAGCACUCCGUCACUUUGAGAGAUUUGAUUGGUGUUGACCCUGGUUACAUGAUGCUUAUCCUCACAUGGAGAGGUAGAUCGUAAUUCGACAAGUCGCGUUAGGGUGGCUAGCCAUCAUCCCCACGAUGGGAGAGGAUUGUUGAUGAGCUCCGGUAAACAGUGCGCGCAACUAGGACCACUUGGAGGUCACGGCAUCACAGGGGAGUCCCCAGACGGGUUCCCGGCUUGGCUGCACUUGGAGUCUCCCUCCCACUUUGAUUUGAAGGUGAGUCAUGAGCGAGCCUCUAGGGCUGGCACAGAUUGGGGGUAAAUGGUAAGGUUAUUAAUGUCAUGAAACAUCUACAUUCGAGACAUGCGAUCGAUUUUGUUCUGAUAGCAAACCUUUAUUAUAUGAUGCAUGCAUUCAUAUUCAUGAUUAUGGGCAUAGUAGCAUAGUUUUUCUACUACUGCAUUUACAGCUUUCAGAUACAUAUCUAUCUAUCUAUCUAUCUAUCUGUUGUUACUUGUGCCCACUUGGACCUAGUGGGGAGAUCGGCAGAGUCGGCGGCCGAGCCCACUGGGAACUAUGGAAGAUAGUUCUCACCCCACUCUAUUUCCAGUGGUAGGUUCAGGGCUGCAGAGAGAGGACCGCGGCAAGGGCGUCGCGCCCGACCAGUGAGACCGUGGUAGUAUAGUAGCUUUCCUUUUUGCAUUAGUCACCUAUGUAUAGAGAGAGAUUUAUUGUGGGUGAGGAAUUGGAGAGCUAUGUAAUUUGGGAUGAAAAAAUAAUGUAAAGAAUGCAACUAUUGUAAUAGUUAGUAAAGUACUCUCUUUAUUUCACUCAUAUAUCUUGUGGAUUACCUGCUCUUCUUGUUGUUGGCACUGUUUGUGCCCUCGUUGAAUGUGUAUGUUUAGAGUUUAAAGUCUUGGGUAAUUCUUGUACACAUUCUUGUUGUGGAGCCUUGGGCGGACAGGGGAGGUGCUGUCCGUUCGGUGGUCUGUCGCCGCGGCCGAAUCGUGCCAAAUUGGUAGUGAUUUCGGGGCGGGGCGUGACACUUAGCUUGCGGAAGUCCUCCUUGAUCUUCCGCCGGUCGCUAUCGGGAAAGUACUCCAACAGUAGCAUCUCCCGGAACGCCUCCCAAGUGACGGAAGCGGAGUCCAAGGAGUGGUUCUUCUUGGCUUGAGUCCACCAUAGUCACGCUUUCCCAUCAAAACAAUGGGCCGCUAGGUGAACCUUGUCUUUGUCGAGGGUGUAGAUAUCCUCGAACAACGCCUCCAUCGCGGCUAACCACGACUCCACCAACCAUGGAUCCUUUACAUCGCCGUUGAAGGUCGGAGGGCUGAAUUUCUUAAAGGUCGUCAAUGCCGCCAACGACCGCUCCCUCUCGGCCUCAAGUACAUCGGGAGUAGGAGUCGAUGAACCCGAUGCUGUCAGAGGAACAACCAUCACUGGUGCCACCGCUACCGCCGGCGUAGGGGCCACAGAAGCAGCAGGUGCGGGCGGAUCCCUAGGUACAGAUGCCGCCGCCACCGCCUGUCGGGCCAACAUCUCGUGGAGCUGCCCAAUCUGCUCCCCUUGCUGUGGCAUAGUCCCGGCCAAAAUCACUCCCUGGGCUCGCAACUCACGUACUUCGUCCGACCCCGACUGCCCGGGCUUCUUCCGAGGCUCCACCAAUGUGGACCUCGUAACUCGUCGUGGUGGCGCCAUCACGUCCUAAAACGUAAUGCACACACGUUAGUACUCGUUACACGUGACUCUCACACAUUCCAAAUAACUACCCAAUCAAGCGAAAGCAAACAAGCAUAAUUGUUUUCCACUCUCGGCAUCUUGUGGUCGGCCGCCCCACGCAAUACCAUCAGAAGAAAAUAAAUUAAUGCUUGAAUUCAUCUCUAGUUCCUUUUAGAGAAGUACUAUCAUUAACCCAAUCAUUCGCUUUCGCAUAUCCAAGUCCACGUUGAGCGUUUCCUAAGUUCCUAAGAUCUCCAAUCCUAAGGUUCUUAGGUCCAUCCUAGACUUUUGCUUCCAACUUCGCUCUGAUACCAUUAUAUCUGUCACGCCCCGAUCUCCGCCAAUUUGGUCGGGUUCGGGUCACGUCAACAGACGCCGAACGGACAGGGCCACCCCGCCCGCCCAAGGCUCAAACAACCUGUAUAAAUAAGCAAUCAUACAAGGAGAUUUGCAAGUAUACAAGGCUUGCACGAAGGCAAGCAACAAUAGAAGCGAAAGCUCUAACUAUCAUAUACAAAAUACAUAAUACUUAAUUGCAUUUGAAUCAAAUAAAGUACUACUGAACUAUUACAUUCUUUCCAUUCAUCCACAAUUCCUUAUAAUUUUAGCCAUUCACCAAAUUACAUAUUUGUUUACACUUUAUAACUCUAAAUCAACAAAAGAAAGUUGAUACAAGUAUACAAAAGGGAAUGACUACAAAAUACACAUGUCCCGGUGGCUGCUAGCUAUGGCGCUAAACCCUUGCCUCGGUCCUCCGCCGCCCCGCUCUCGCUCGAACCUGUAGGGUUAGUGGUAUGAGAACUACAACGAAAUUUCCAGUGGGUUCGGCAACCGACCUCGCCGACUUACCCACUAGGUCUAUUUAGGCAUAAGUAUUUCAACGAAAAGAAAAUAGUAACCCAACUAAUGCUAAUACUAUGCCUGCAAGAUAGAAGUCAGCGAAAAUAGAUAUGAAAGCAAUAAAUAUGCAUGCAUGCUUGUUCUUACCUUUCUUUGGAUUUUACCCAAUCUUACCGGUUAACCUUGUUAACCCCAAUAACUCACAACCCAAAAUCCAUUUUCAUCGAGGAGGCUUCGAGCACUUCAACUCGGGGGACCAUCCUUCGUGGCCACUAUCCCCGUGGUGACCUACUCCGGAGCGCAUCGCUUGAGGGGGAGCUACCGCCCUCAAGCCAAGACUUAUCGUGGGUAUUGAUCUGAUUCCCAACUUGGGAACGUAUAGCCACUAGUCACAAUGCCACUAUCAUAAUAGGUUUUCUACCUAUUUAUUGAUGCCACUCUCUAAGUUAUUCUUGUCACAAUGCUACUCUUGGUUAAACUGUGUUUAACAAUCACUAUCUCAAUGUCAAUCUUGUCACUAUAGUGGAUGUCACCAUUGUUUACUAUAAUCAAGGUCCAAGUCUCACAUUCACACAUCUCUAGGGUUCUAGCAUACAUGUCCAUUAUGGUUCUGUCAUUCAUUUAUCCAACUACAUUAUAAGCAUAUAAAUGAAGUUACUCCAAGGUUCACAUGUAAACAUCCCUACUAUGCAUGAAUGACUAUAACAGAUAUGCUCAAAUGAAUAGUGACAUAGACAUAGAAGGGAAUCCAACGAUUCUGGAAUGCACCCCCUACCUUUGAAGGUAUAAGAAGGCGAACUCGAUAAUCUCCAAGCUCUAUGGAACACCGAAUUUGCGUCCUAUAACGAAGAAAGUGCCCAAAUUAGGCCCUUUGUACAUGAACUACUCUUAAACAUUUUCGUAACGUUAAACGGAGUUGUCCCACGCGUCGAGGACAUCCCCAAUUAGGUUUCUACGAGGUCAAUUCAUCCCCGAAAAAUUUUCGGGCAAAAGCCCCAAAUUUGAGCCCUAACAAUGCCAUAUAGCAAUAGCUUCUGGAUCGAUCUUGUUACUAAGCAAAAGAUAGCUUAGAAUCUACUAGGAAGCAUUCUAAUAAGUUUUCCAAGCCUUUGGAACCAUCCCAAGGGCAUGUAAGGUGAACCCUAACCAUCCACCAUGAGAACACUUGAGUUCUCAUAGGUUCCAUGGAGUUUAAGGCUUAUAGAGGGUUUCUAAAGCUAGAAACAACCCAAAACUCCAAAACAUAGGGAUCAAAACCAAACCCUAGACCCAUUUGUACCAAAACCUCACCUUAGCCCAAGUCCCACCGAGCUCCUUCUUGUAGGAGAGCAUCUAGGUUCACCAAAUCCACCAAAGAUCCACUUCCUCAAGCUCUUCUCCUUCUUCUCCAAGCCCUAGCUCUAGUUUUCUCUAGAGAGAGAGAGGACGAUGAGAGAGAGAGUGUUUGGGAGUGUUGGUUGUGAAGGGGAGAAGAGAUGAGCCUAUUACAUGUUGUGACAAUUGCAAAUAGACCCCUCAACUUUCUAUUCUGCAGCAGACUCAUCCAUGCUGCCAGAGCCCCUAUGUACCGGUACGCGGGUUUGUGUACCGGUACGGCCCUGCGCAGAGGCCCAAACUCGAGAGCAGCCUGUGCUCGGGUCGCUUGCUGUACCGGUACGGCCACCAAGGUGUACCAGUGCACAAUGCUCCAGAAUGCUGUAUUGGCUUCGAUUCGACUCUACUUUGCGCCGAUCGUUGCCCAAACCUUUCUAACACUUCUUGAACUCAUUUUUUAGCCCUUCCAAGAUUGUUGGAAUGCUAAUUGCAACUUGUCCAACGGUUUCUCUCGACACUUUAACCGAAUUUGGGUUAAGUUCGAUUUCUCUCUUUCGGGUUUCGAUAUGUUACAGCCACGAUGCAAUUUGGGUGAUUGUGGAUCGAUUGACGAAAUCGGCACAUUUCUUGCCGAUCCACACCACUUGGGCAGGUGACAGAUUAGCGCAGGUAUACCUAGAUGAGAUUGUGAGGCUGCACGAGGUGCCGAAGUCGAUCGUGUCAGAUCGUGACCACCGGUUCACUUCACAUUUCUGGAGGAGCCUGCAGGAAGCGCUUGUCACACGGCUCGAAUUCAGCACAGCAUUUCAUCCUCAGACAGAUGGACAAAUAGAGCGAACCAUUCAAACUCUGGAGGAUAUGUUGUGAGCGUGUGUCAUCGACUACAAAGGGAGUUGGUGUGAUCAUCUGCCGAUGGCCGAGUUCGCCUACAACAACAGUUAUCAUGAUUGUGAGACCCCGAGUAGUCCUAUAUAUAAGAUAUAAUAGGGCUAAACUCUUAACCCGGCUUAAGCAUUUUGGGUGGUGGCAAGGCCCAAGAGGUUAAGAGAGUUAAGCGUGCUAGGACGGGAGUAGUCCUAGGAUGGGUGACCCCCUGGGAAGUUGGGGCGUCACAAUGAUGGUGUGGGGAUGGCACCGUUCGAGGCUCUUUACGGGCGAAAGUGUCGAUCUCCCAUACACUGGAGUGAUCUGGGUGAACGUGUCGAGUUUGGCACUGACGUGUUGCGAGAGGCGGAAGAGAAAGUCUGCCUUGCUCGCAAGCGAUUGCUCACGGCGCAAUCGAGACAGAAAAGCUAUACAGAUAAGCGCCGUUGAGACUUAGAAUUCGCGGUAGGCGAUCGCGUGUUCUUGAAACUUUCGCCGAUGCGAGGGGUGAAGCGAUUUGGAGUGCUAGGAAAGUUAAGUCCUCGAUACAUCGGACCUUAUGAGAUAUUGAAACGAAUUGGUACGGUAGCUUAUCGGCUUGCGUUGCCACCUAAGCUCGCCGAUGCACAUAAUAUAUUCCAUGUCUCCAAUCUUCGCAAAUAUAUUCAUGACCCCGAGCAUGCGAUGUUAUAUGAGCCGCCAGAACUUCAAGAAGAUCUGAGUUACGAAGAGUUUCCGGUGAUGAUUAUCACUCGAGAGGUGCGCAAAUUGAGAAAUCGUGAAAUUCCCUACGUCAAGAUACGGUGAAGCAAUCAUGACGAUCGCGAGACCACCUAGGACCUCGAGGAUCUGAUGAGAAAGCAUCACCCUCACUUGUUUGAGGAAUAAGGUAUGAGUUUGAGUUUGAGUUGGGAAUUGGAUUAGCUUCGAGGACGAAACUCCUUUUUAGGAUGGGAAGAUGUAAGGAAGUGAAUUCUCAAAAUCCGAGAGUUGGACUUCGUUCAGAAUCGACUAAUUGUCAAGUGGGUGUGCUUCGAAAAAGUUGAAGAAGUCGAAAAUCCAAAAAGUGCAUUGCAAUGGAUCCGCGAGAGGAAGAUGUGCAAAAAUCUGCACUUGGCAGAAGUUGCUCUCGGGGACCGGUCCCUGGCGGGAGAGACCGGUCCCCGUAAGCUGAAAAUGCGGCAGAAAACUCUCCGCGCGAAGUUUGCUCUCAGGGUCCGGUCCCUCAGGCGAGGACCGGUCCCCGUACGCGCAACCAGCGAGAAAGAAAGAAAUUUGGCUAAGUCCUGAGAACUCUGCUCUCGGGGACCGGUCCCUGGCAGGGAGAGACCGGUCCCUAUACCCGUAAAAGCUGGUAAAAGAGCUCUGCCCGCAAGUGUUGCUCUCGGGGACCGGUCUGUCCAUAGAGGGACCGGUCCCCAUGCCCGAAAAUUGCCUAGACAGACUGGGUCAUAUUGGAAGAGUUGAGGGAUCUAAUAGCAAUUGUUGCAUUAGUGGGGGUAUAGAGGGGAGAUCACCCUCUCUCUUUCUCAUUUCCACCCCAACCAAACACCUCUCUCUCUCUCUCUAAGCUCUCUCUCCUCUCUUGAAGCAAAGAAGGAGAAGAAGGAGAUGAAGAAAAUGAAGGAGAAGAAGGCGGAGAAGAAGGUGAAGCAAGCAAGGAGAAGGCCUUGGUCAUCUUCCUCUUCCCCCUCACACCAUUGGAGCUAGCUUAAAGGUAAGCUUCCAAGCUCAUUAAUGGUAGAAAUCUAGGGUUUGGAUUUCUAGCUUUGUGAAGGGUUUGAUUAGAACCCUACCAUGCUUAAUAGUUGAUUAGUGCUAGAAUCUAGAGUUUGGUUAGAGCAAAUUGCAUAGAUGCAAACCUAGGGCUCCAAUUUGGGGUUUUGCUCAAUAGAUGGGAUUGAUCUCAUUUGAUGGCAUCUAAACCUAAUUGCUAGGUUUCUAAACGCGUUGGCGAAGACGGAUUGAACAUUCGUCGAGUCGUUAAAAAGCUAUCGGCAAAAUAAGACCGAUUAAGCUUCAUUUCCGCCUUAGAGGCCGAGACGACAACGAAGCAAGUGCCGAGUAGUGUUCUUAGCACCCCGACAUCGUCGAAAGGUGGGGGUUGUCAUCCCGAAGCAACCGAGUUCCUCUCUAUGUCUUAGUAAACCAUGAUUUUGCAUCUCUUGUAUGUUGCAUUGUAGGAUUGCAUUGUUAUUCCAUUCCUUAUGCUUUCUAAUUGAUAUCAUAGUGUGAGUUGAAUGCUUGGUAUUAUGGAUAGAUGAGGAUUGGGUCUGGACAUUGAAUCCUAUAGUGUCGGAGAAAAGAGAUGGACUCGAUGGUUAUUUAGUGACACGAUGAGUGGCAUAUGAUUGUUAAAUGAACAGAACGAGUGGUAUAUAAUGUGGUGUAUGGUGACACUAGUGACAUGUGAACUUAGGGAUAGGUGGAUUCCCUAGUGAUGACUCGUUGAACAAGAACAUAGUGUAGUCAAGUACUUACACUUGGACAUUGGGAUAGGUGGAUUCCCGAGUGAUUUUUAGCCCUAGAGUUGAUAGGGUAUCCUCGAGUUGAGAGGAUGGAUCAAGCUCACAGUCUGUUUAUACUUGUGGUGGUCGCUCCACCCGAGUCGUCGUGCACUCCGAAGUAUGCUACGAGAGGGGCAGAGUUGAUGUCCUGCAGACAGUCCCGGGUUUGAGAGCGAGGUGAGUUCCUUACAAUACGGGAUGGCGAAGUGAGUCGUGGGCGAACCCAAGUGAUCGCCAAAGAUUGGCUAAACAAGAGAAUAGCAUUGUCAUUGAACAUUUGCUUGUUGGACAUUGUCGUGGACAUAGUAGCAUGUUAGUAAACCCUUUACUAUGUGAUGCAUGCAUACAUUACUCACGAUUGGGCAUAGUAGCAUAGUUUUCCUACUAUCGCAUUUACAGUUUUUAUAUCUAUCUAUCUAUCUGCUUUUGCCCACUCGGACCUAGUGGGGAGAUCGGCAGAGUUGACGGCCGAACCCACUGGGAACUAUGGACAAUAGUUCUCACCCCACUUUGUUGCAGGGCCUAGUAUGAGCGCGUCGUGCGAGGACCGCGGCAAGGGNGUAGCAUAGUUUUCCUACUAUCGCAUUUACAGUUUUUAUAUCUAUCUAUCUAUCUGCUUUUGCCCACUCGGACCUAGUGGGGAGAUCGGCAGAGUUGACGGCCGAACCCACUGGGAACUAUGGACAAUAGUUCUCACCCCACUUUGUUGCAGGGCCUAGUAUGAGCGCGUCGUGCGAGGACCGCGGCAAGGGUAUAGCGCCCGAGCAGUAGUAUAGUAGCUUUCCUUUUUGCAUUAGCAUCACCCUAUGUAUAUGAGUGAAUUAUGUAGGUAAGGAUUUGGAGAGCUAUGGAUGUAUUUUGAUGGUUAAAUAGUAAACCAUGUACUAUUUUAGGAAAAGAUGUAAAUGUAACUCGAUGUAAAGGAAUGCAAUGUGAUGUAAUAGCUAGUAAUCUCUCUUUUGUUCACUUGUAUGUACUCGUGACUCUUGCUCUUAGUUGUUGGCACUUGUGGUGCCCCUCGUUGAUUGUGUAUGUAUAGAAUUUCUAUUCCUGGGCAAAUUCUUGUACACGAUCUGUUUAGUUAGCCUUGGGCGGACAGGGGAGGUGCUGUCCGUUCGGCGUCUGUUCGACGCGUCUGAACCGGACAAAAUUGGUAGCGAUCUCGGGGCAUGACACAUAUACAUGGCUUGCACGAGGGCAAGCAACAACCAAGUGAAAGUUCUACAACUACUACAUACAUACAGGUAUCAUGAUUACAUUAAACCAUAUACAUCUUUCAUUCUUUUUACAUCACCUAUAUACAUCAUAUGUCUUUCACCUAUGUCAUUUAUACAAUUCUUUACAUCACAACCAAAAUGACAAUGGGUAACACUAAUGCAUAGGUAGCUACUACCUAGGGCGCUAUGCCCUUGCCGCGAUCCUCGACCGUCUCGCUCGGCUCCGGCUCUGUGGAAAUAGUGGGGUGAGAACUACAACAAAGUUUCCAAUGGGUUCGACCGCCGACUUCCGCCGACUUUCCCACUAGGUCUAAACCAGGCACAAGUAGAAGAAUAAAGCAGAUAGAUAGAUAUCCAUGUCUAAACAAAUGCAGCUACUAUGCCUGCACAAAAUGUUCACAAUAUAUAGAAUGCUCAUGAUGCAUGCCAAUUGAUAUUCUCAAUACCCAAUCCUCUCGGCUAACCCAUAGGUUUCGCCGCAAUAACUCACCAAUUCAAAUCCCUGCUAUCGGGGAGAAACUCCAACAACCCGACGGGACCGUCCUCUGGGGAAACUACAACCUAGUGAUGACUACUCCGGAGCUCAUCGCUCGAGGGAGAGCGACCACCCUCAAACCAAGACUUAUAGGUGAGUAUAAUCUAAUCCACCACUCUGGGGAUCGGAUGUCAUGUUCAAUCCAAUCCUUAACUAUAAGGAUGCUAUGUUCACAAUACCACAACAUACUAUGUGUGUAAGGUACCGGACUUCUAAAACUAUGAAGUUACGGUGUACAUUUAAAUGGUUCCGGUGCAGUUGCGGUGUAAUGUAACAUACCGGAUUUAAAUAUAAAAAUAAAGAAAUAAAUAAAAAUAGUAUGAGAUACUAUUUUUAUUGGGUUUAGAGAAGUGAAAUAUAGAUUGGAAAUGACCUGUGCUGAAAUCGGAGCGAAAACAGAAGAUUUAGAAUUUUCUGUGAGAAGCGGGGCAGAUAAAUUAGCAGAAAAUGCACAGUCUCAGAAAAUUAUGAAAACUGGCGGGGAUGCCAGAAAUAUUUUAGUGAGGCUAGAUUUAAAGUUUCGUAUUUUUCUGACACCCGUAGAAUGAGAAAUAAAAUCCGAAAGCCAUCUGAUCAAGAUUGCAGUUCGGCACAGUUUUCGGUGACCAAACGGGGUCGAAACUGAAAGAUUAAAAUUUUUUUCGUUAAGUUAAACAAAACCGAAUAUGACUGUCAAAUUUGAGCUCAAACGGAUAUUCAGGGAGUUCCGGCGAAAGAUAUCAGAUUUGGAGCUGCCUGAUGUGAAUAGUGUAUGCUACUAUUGAGGGUUGACUAUAAGUAGAAGCUACUAGGCUUCUUCUU
rnacentral:lncRNA from 1 species